GUAAGGUUGCAAUAGUCAUCACUCUCUUAUGACUAGUCAUCAGUAGAGUACUGUUUUUCUGCUUUUGGUCGUGACCAAAUGUCCAUUUUGUCCUUGAUAACCGGCCUCCAAGAAGUAGGGAGGUAGCUUUUUUUACUGGGUCAAAACCCUACUCCAAAUAGUAGUAUAUCAAAGUUUGACAGAAAAAAUAGAUCAAAGGCUUUGUAUUAUACCCGUGCGGUACACUUUUUUAGUACUGCAUGUAAGUUAGUGAAUAGAUGAUACACUUUCUUAUCGAUGUGCAUAUUUUUUAAAAAUACUUAAAAAAUACUGAAAAUAUAGACCGAAAAUAUCUAUAAUUUUCGAUUAAAAAACCUAUUUGGAAUCAUAAUUGGCUUGAAAUUAUGGGAGAAGUCUGUAGAGGGGCCUUAGUCUAGAUCUAGAACAAUCUGUUAAGAGGACAUAUUGGUAAAUCCACAAACGGGGGUUCAUUUGUAUGGUAUAGUAGAAAACUAGUGAUAAGUUUUUGUUAAUUGAAGGGUUAUUGUCAAUUAUGGCGACAAAUUUUGCCAUAUUAUGUGUAGUUCUAUGGAUGAGUGAUAUAUCACGUCAUGUGUAUUUACAUUAAAUAAAAAUGGUAACAAAAAUUUGUCAUUAAGGGGUUGUGGUGGAUGGAUCUUUUGAGCGGAUAAUGCAAGGCGGCCAGAAAAGUUAGGUGGAAAUGUGGAAAAUGGUGGAUCAGAGGGUGCAAUUAUUUACUGGUUGUCUUCUUAUACACUAAUAAUCCGUUUUAAGGUGGCAUCCACGGAGAUGUUUAGUAAAUUAUUUGGUAUUACAACCAAAUCUUUCCUUUUCGACGUCACAAGUCACACCCACCUUGCAACUUGCACGGGGAUUAAUUGGCUGAAAUUGACUUCGGCUCCUCCUAUGGGACAUGUUUGUGGUUGUAUCACAAGUUGUAUGGUGGACGUGCGUCCUUACUCUUUUUGCUGGAUGGAAGAUCCAGGGCUUGUACCUUAAGAAGGGUAAGAGGGCUAAUGAAUACAAGGUGCAGGAGUUUCAGUUGAAUUCCGUUUCUGAUGACUAACCAAACAAACAUAGCCGAAGGGACAUGAUAUCUAGGUGGUAGUAAGACUUAAUUCUCUGUAAGGAGCUCGACAGUGGUAAAGAGCAGGUGCUCUAAUGAAGUCUGUGCUGUGUUUCAGUCUAAAUAUGUACCUCCUGCUCGAGUAAGAUUGAAUGGGCUGCGAUAUGCUGUUGUGCAAGACUUUGUAAUACAAAAUCUUGAAUGUGCUGCGAUAUGCUGUUGCCCAUCAUGAUGGUUGUGUGCAGCAAUUGAAAUGGAAGCUUGAUUAAUUUGGCAUAUGGAACCGACGAAAAGUUAGGUCUUAGGUCAUAGGAAGUGGAAGUGUUGUUAUGCAUGUGAUCAUGUGCAUGACAUGGUCCAUGCUCUCAGCCUGUGGUGGGAAAGAAUCCGAGUAGGGUGGAAUAAAGGGAAAUAUGGUUGGAUGUGGUAGGUGAUGGGACUGCUUAUUAAUGAACAAAUUGAAUUGUAAAUGGCAUGGAUGGUCUCAAAGCAAUGUGAUGAUGUAGUGUUUCUUUUUCUUCCUUGAUCAAUAGCAAUUGUAUCAUGACAUGGGGCUUCUUUUGCAGCUUGCUUGGUGCAAUGUCUCUGUCCCCCUCUUUAUACUCCUUGAUGCUGUACUGUACUCCAGCCUAUUGACUGCUACAGUUUUAUUUCUUGUGCAAGCUUUCCUGCAUUUAUUGCAUUACUUGGAUGAAGAAUGUUGACAGCAAAAAGAUUUUCUCGAUGCAUAAUGUGUAGGUGCUGGAGGAAGAGAGGCGUUUCGGUUUCGCAGGAAGUCUGCAUCAUUCGCAUAUGAGAAAUCCAGCAGUGUUGACCCAGGAGCCCUCCUCCUCCUUACGACCUGUGAGAUAUGAUGAGGCUUGGCAUUUUCCAUUGAGCGGCGGCUAAAGUAGUCGGAUUUUCGUCUUCUUCUCAGCUUUGUCAUGGGGAAAUCUUUUAGAUGAAUAGCACUGAGUGUGAAAAAGUUUGGUGGCGUGCAAUCAAAAAUUAAUCUUGUAAAUAUGGGUUAUGGUAGUGUCUGCUGUCUCGGUCGCGGUGUAUGGAGGGCUGGUCAUGCAGACUUUUGUAAAAGCUCAGUUUGAAGUUUGUAAUGUGUCCUGGUCUCUGUAUGCAGAGCUCAGAGUGGUUUGGUUUCUCCCAAAACUGCUAAGUUUCUUCUGUCAUUUUCCGGUGCGCUUGAAUGCCUAUUUGUGUUGUGCAACUUUGGUUGAUAUUGCAGUAAAGCUCUCCUCUCCCUGUUCCUGUUUUUCAAUGGCAAUAUUUUUCCUUUUUACCUACACUUCUCGUCUGUAUUAUGUGAUGAGUGAGCCCCUCGAAAAGAAUGGAAAUUGGACACCAAUUGGUUUUCCCUCACUCCCCCCAUCACCCUUAAAAGGGUAGAAAUGGGCAUGGUGGUGUUUAAUAUGUCGCCAAAAUAAUUAUAGCUUUGUUUGAAUUGCAGCUUUUCGUCGAAAAAUUACGUUGUUUUCCGUGAUUAUAUUUUUUUAUUAUUUUUUUUCUCACAUACAUCAAAUCGAUACAAUAAAUUUUUUAUACAAAAUUAUAAAAAAUGUAAUUCAAACAUACCUUUAUUUUAUGAGCCAUUGAUUUAAUUAAUUAAUUGUGGGUUGCAUAAUAAUUAUAUUAUAUAAUAUAAUAAUAUAUUUAAAUUAUAAAAAUAAUAAAAAUUUUAAAUUGGUGGUUUAAUCGGUAAUUUAUCGGUUGAAUCCGUUGACUAGUCAAUAGAUUUGUUGUUUAAUUGGUUUAAUUAGAAACUUAUUUGGAUCGUAUAGUCAGUUCACUGUUAAUUGGUUCGAUAAUCAAGCCGGACCAAAAUUUAUAACUACGAUAAGAAUGACAUGUUUCAUUAGCUAAUUGACAUAAUAUGCUCUUGUCUAUUAAAAGCACAAGUCAUUAUUAUUGAAUUUUGGUCUAAUGAUCAGGAGUUUCUUAAAACUCUCCUGUGCACUAAGGUAGGGUUCAAAAUUUGCGUAGUGCAUUAAGGCAGCCAUGCACUUGUGUGGUGUAGGGGUUCACGUCUUGUGUUUGGAUUGCAUUUUUCAUGAUUUUUUAUGGAAAAAUUACUGUAAUAAUUUGAUAUAUGUGAGAAAAAAAAGUGAUAGGGAAAUAUGAUCACGAAAAUGACGUAAUUUUUCGACGAAAAACCGCAAUCCAGUGUAGAAUGUUGCCUGAGGAGAGAAAAAAAAAAAGUUGGACACAAAAGACUAUAAUAACAUAAUAGAAAAGGAAAAUAAUAGUAUAUAACUCCUCAAAAUUUUAUGAAAAUUUGACCUGGAAAAAAGUCAUGAUUCUGGGAUAAGCAGAUGGACCAAUUUGACUUCAGAACUUUGGGCUUGCUUCACUGUCUCUACUCGGUCCAUGUUAACAACCAAUUGUUUAAAAUUUUGAUUAAUUAUUUUCGCUAAGCACACAAAUUUGGUGGCAAGAAAAAGAUUAAUUUUAUUGAUAAAUUCUAAAAUAAAAUCAUGAGAUAAGAAUAUAAACAUCCAAAAAAAGGUUUAGAUUAUUGCUUGGAAUAAAUUAAAGCUAUCUUAUAUAUAUAUAUAUAUAUAUAUCUCAGUAACACUGUAUCUUAUAUAUAUCAGUAACACUGUAUCAUAUAACUUUUGAGUUAGAGAAUAGAGAGUUUAGGCAAGAAGAAGACGGCUUCGUUUGGAGUGGAGGAUUCGGACAGAAAAGAAAGGGAAAGAAGAGAAAGUUAGCUUUUCUUUCAUUUGUUAGUUUUUAGUAGGAAAGAAAAGAAGGAAAUGGAAUGAUUUAAGAGGAUGAAUAGUAUGCAAAAUUUUUCCUUCCAAAUUGGAGAGAAAUGGAGAGAAAAUUGGAGGAAGCUUAUGAAAGUUUUUUAAAAUACCCAUUUUAUCCUUAAAAAUGUCUUGAACAAAUAUUUAAUGACUUUCAUAUCCAAAAUUAUUCCACUAAUUCUCAAAACUCCCAAACAACGUAACAAUCCCUUCUCUUCUCUUCUCUUCUCUCAUAACUUAAGUUUUCCCUUCUUUCUUUUCUAUCCUAAACUCCCAAACUUAGCCUAAAACUGAUUAGGCAAAUUUCCUCUUUCAUAGAGGAGAAAAAAAAGUUGAAAUUUGAAAACGGAAUAAAAGAAGCUUUCUGAUAUUUUUAUUACUGCGAAACCUUUGGGAAGAAAAGUUGGAACUCCUUGACCUAUAGCACCAAAAGAUGAGAUGGGAAAGUCACCGCUGCAUUUUGCUGCUGAUACUCACCACCUCAACCAUCAACCUUCCUUUCUCUCGCGUCUUUGCUGCUUCUGCUACUACUAAUACUGGUAUGUGUAUUAUUCCUAAUCUCUGCCUCUGUUUCUCAAAUCCAAAGUUAUUCCUGGUAUGUGUAUUAUCAGUCAGACAUAUGCACGAACAUAUACAAGGCAUGCCACGCGAUCACAGAUGAAUUCACGGUUAUUUUGCAUUCCAUAAUUUUUUUCUGACCCUUUACAUUGUUUAUUCUCGAACCCAAAUUUUGUUUUCAUCGUUUUUUGAGUUUUAUUGUUGAGGUGUUUGUAUGUUUUGCUUAUCUUUUGCUAUUCAAGAAUUUUGCUUCAGAUGGUCAUUACUGCCAUACAGUAGUAUAUUUUGUGGCUUUAAACCUAUCAAAGACAAUUCAUAAUGGUUUUCUACAAUUGUUUUGUUUUUACUUCCGUUUGGGUGGGGUGAAAGGGGGAGGCGAGGUUGGAUUAUUUGUUGAAGUGUAGCCUUUUACUAAUGUAAUGGUAGUGGUAGUGAAAAAUAUUUAUGAGGGUGGUGCGAAAUCAUUAAUACCUAAUUGUAAUGCUAAAACCUAGCUAGAAACAACGUCUAGAGAUUUGGCUUGAAAUGGGCCCUUAAGUACUUCAAAGCAACCGAAUUACCCUUGGAGUUAUUUAAUUUAACAGGAUUCAUCUGUUUAGAUUUGAAUUCCUGUCUCUUCUUGAAGGUCCACAUAUUUUAAAGAUUGAAUUUUUACACCAGAUUGAGGCAAUGGUCAACCAUAGGCUACCUUUCCCGCAGCUUUUACAAUUUAUUUCUCAUUCAGCAGUUUAGUGAAUCUUGUGACGUGCUUGUUGUUUAUUUGGGUAGUUAAGAAGAGACAUGGCUUCGCAUAUUAGUUUAAUAGGAACCUUAAGAGGUUUAGACUGUUGAUUGUGCUUAGAAUGUACACCUUUCACCUGAUUAUCUUCUUGUAGUUGUUUUUCUGGUCAUAUAUGGAAAGGGACCAGCGGCAUCCCUCACUGGUUAUUAAGGAGAGAAAGCAUCUGAUAUGCGGAAACUAAUUGAGUUUAAUAAUUGUCGAAACAUUGUGGAUCAGGAAACCAUAAGAAGCUAGUAAAAUUGCUCCUUUCCUUAAUGGGUAUGGUUUCUAGCGCCUGAUUUAGGUUAAUUUUUCAAUGAGCUCAAAAUGAUGAAUCUAAAUGUUACUUAAAAUCGUUGAGGGAGAAUGUAAGUAGUGAUGGUCAUAACUAGGUGAUGGUAGGUUUCUAAAUGUAAUUAUGGUAUCCAAUGCAUUAGACAAACUGGAAAGACCUUUGGAGUUUGUUUUGAUUCUUAUGUGCUUAUCAAAGUUGAGGAAACUUUUGGAACAAGGCAAGUCAACCAACUUCCAGUUUAGCAGCAAGUAGUAGGCUUCCGAUGACCAACAUAUUAACAGAAUGCUGGUACAACAGAAUGAUGACAUGGAUGGCCUGUAAAAUACUAAAGAUGUCUAAGAAUGUAGCAACCCAUAAUACGAUAAAGCUUCCACUUCCAGGAGAAUAAUUAGGAGAUACUCAAGAUUGGUGGAGUCUUCAAAAAGAUGAGCAGAUUUAGAAAUCCCUGGGAAUUAGAGGUUCUGGGUUCAAAUUCUCCUUUGCCCUCCCCGCUUCUUUAAGUCCCGCCUCAUUCAUCACUGCUAAAAUAAAAAAGGCCAAGGUGACCUUGGUUUAGUGGCUAAGGUUGGCAAGAAUUACCCCCUCCCCGGGGGGCUUGCUUUUCAAAUCCCACGUCUCUCCUGCUUAAUUUGGAAAAAAAAAAAAAAGACGAAUUGGAUGUGCAUAAAAUGUUGGUGCUAAGAAUUGAAGGAAAGCAAAGGAUAGAAUAACUCGUAAUGGGUAAAUGGAACAGUAUACAGGUCACUCAAAGUAAAGUAUGUGCUAAUAGUGCGGAGCCCAAAAGAUAGGUUACUUCUGUCCAGUUGUGCUAAAAACUUGGAAGGUAAGUGGGUCUUCAACACUUAAAAUGCCAAAACUGAUUAUAAUAUUUCAAAACCAGUGCUUGAGUCUCCAUUGCUAUCUUUAUAAUUCUGUAGCUUGGAAAAUAGAGUCUUCUACAAGGCUGAAGUGAUUGAGGAAUAAUCCACGAUAAUAAGAGAACUUGAAAAAUGGCAAUCUUAUGUUCUGAAGAAGGGAAGAUACCAUUUGAAAUUGAAAAUUCCUACGUUGCUCACAUUUUUCUUCUGGAGCAAGGUUUACAAUCUAACUUGUGUAGAUUAAUAAAUAAACACAUAGCAUGCUUUGAGCAGCUUGUAUACCCUGUAUGGAUUCCUUAACAACAAAUAUAUUCUUAAAGCAUCAAAAGAUCUGCUAAUUUGUAAAUAAACUCUGUUAAUAUAUAUGGUGGUUACUGUGCUUUUGAAGUUCUUGACAUCCUCCUAAUGUGUCUUUACGCCUAAACUAAGGAAUUGAAUUUUACUUCAUGCAGAAAAACUUCUGUGUUUGUGUAUCUCCUGGUGGGCGCUUCCCACCAUUUCUAGAUGAGGGUAAGCCUCCCAGAAAAGUAAGCAAGGGACAUCGGGAUCUGACUCUUUGCAGGGUUUUUCGCCAUAAUACAUGCUGUGAUGUAACCCAAACGCAUCCAGCUUUUCUGUCUAUCAGGAAGUUGGCUUCAGCUGGAGAAGCAAGCCAAGAAUGCUUACACUUGUGGGAAUGUUGGAAUGUUCCAUCUGUGAUCCUCGUGUUGGUGUACAGCCUGGACCUCCUGUAAUAUGUGUAUCGUUUUGUGAUAGAGUGUAUCAAGCAUGCUCGGAUGCAUACUUAUCUGUGGAUGCUAAAACACAGGUUUGUUGUGCUUUAAUUAAGGCUAGAUAUGUGGUUUUCCAGUUGGCCUUGUAACAAAGUAGCAAAUAUGAAACUUUGCUGAAGCUUCCUAUCUUUAGUUUGCGAGGGAGCUUGAUCCAUGGAACUGUUCUAUGUUUUUCUUUGGUGUUGCUUCUUUCUUCUUUUCCCAAAUCUGAUUCAGUAAAGUUAGCAAAAACCGUUCAAGGGAGCAUGUGAAUUAUCUUCAAAGUGCUCCUUAUCUAGAAUAUUGUUAUGCCAAUGCCCCUAAUUUUCUGUGUAUAAAAAAUAUUACCUUAAGUUACCUCAUGCAUUAUGAAAAAUUUACUCUCUUAUUUGACCAUUACAUGCCAGGUUCUAGCACCAUGUGGAUUAAAAGACUUUGUGUGUGGUAGAGCCUCAGAAUGGAUCUCUAAUGGCACAGAUCUCUGCCGUGCUGCAGGUUUUUCUGUUAAGCCAUCUGAUGAUCCUCAAGAAUUAUCAUGCUAUGGUGGGAAAGCUAGUCUGGAUUACGUUGCUGAUCUCUGGAAAGCUUCAGAGUCUAGGGUUCCACAAGAAACAGAAGGUUUGUGGUCUUUAGAAGAUUUCAGGCAAUGGGUGGAGGCAAUGCCAUUCAGUGAAAAAGUUUCUUGGGCAGUAGGAGGAAUGGUUCUUACAGCGGGACUGAUAUUUGCAAGGUUAGACAACUUUGUUAAUGGUAUCAAAAGCAUCCGCCAUGUUUUCUACUCGAGUCACAAUACUUAAUGUCUAUGGUUUGAUGCUUUUACUAUCUGAAGUUUAGUUCAUCUACUGAAUUUUUUGUAUCAUAUUCAUGCUAGUUGAACUUCAUAAAUUUGUGGCAACUAUGCAUAAUGAGCAUUCUGUGCUGUCUUGGUCUAUAAGAGAUCAAGCAGGAGACACAUACUUCGGUUUAGGUGUUUGAAAUGGAAGUGUUGAACAGGCUUAGUUUGAUGACCAAAAGUUUCUGAAAUGGACUUUAGGGAGACUGGUGUUAUACACUGUGACAAAUAGAGUUUGAAACAGGAAUUGGAGAAAGGCUGUCCAUGUGGUCAAUAUGUGAAAGGUCAGCUUCUGGACUGGUAAAAACAUAAUAAGAGGUGCUCCAGUAUCCCUUGACUUAAUCAGAAACACAUUUGGGCUUAGGAUGCAGACCAAAUCAAACAACCUUGAGUAAAUAGGCUUUAGUCAAAUCAAGGUUAUAUAUCUUUAAGCAAGGUAAAAGUUCUUUUAUUGGCAUGAGGCCUGGCUCUGAUGAGUUGAGGGUGGUCACAAAAUCUCUCAGUUUGUGACUUCAAGAAAGGGUUGUGAAGAAUUUAAGCAACAGCUUCACACGCUUUAAGCAAAAGCUUCACACACUUUUCUGGUCAUCUGUUUGCAAAGUAAAGUUGCCCUGGGAGGAACAUAUGAAAGGUAGGUUUUAAUCAGCUAAGGGGAAAUCAGCUCUGCUGAGAGGGGACAGAGACUGAUGAAAUAGUUUCAGAUGCCGUGGAGAUAAAACUUUGAAUAAACAGGAUCAUAGAAUAGUGUCUUAUUAUAUAGCUUUAAAAGUGAUACCAAAGGUUGUAAUUUUUAGGAAUGCAAGGGUUUGUUUCUCUGAAGAGGAAGGGAGCUUUUGAGAAAGAGGUUUGAAUCUGGUGGAGAUGGAGGACUAUAAUGAUGGGUUGUGCUCUGGGGUAGGGAGUGAUGAUAUAUAGUUCAGUUGCAGAAAUUGAGCUAUACCUUUGAAUGAUUACCUGUAUGAUCUACCUCGGACUUAUGUGGCAUCCAACUAACUGGUUGCUCUAGCAAAGUUUAAAGUGUAAUUAGGCUUUUUCAUUGCGAACUAUGAAGUGAUAAUAGAAGAUUAAAGGAAUCCAGACAAGAUAAAAGCCAAGGAAAGGUCAAUUGUGACAAAGGGAAGAAAGUGGGGAUAGUAUGCUGAUGGAAGUUGCAAUUGUGGGUUGUUCCUUGUGUUUAUCUUUGUUUUCUGUCCUUUCCAUAUUGAAAUGUUUAGGUAGUCUUUUGGUGCUAAUUAUAGUUCGUUUGAUGGAUGGUAGUUUUUUUUUUUUCAUUUGUCUAUUUGAAGUUUCACGUUGGUGCAGCAUAUUUUUUAGCUCUCAGUCUUUGGGUUAUGUAAAAUUUUGGGGAGAGAGAGAGAGCUGUUUGUGUGCAUCUCUUCUAGAAACAUUUCUAGGAGGAGUAGCAAGAGCAGCUUGGGAAGCAUUUAAACAAAAAUUUCCAGAUAAAUUACAACAAGACCAGGUGCAUGGAGUAAAUCCCAUGAAUUUUGUUAAUAGAGUAGAAGAAAUUCUUUUAGCAACAAGUCCAAAUAGAGGAGGAGUUCUAACACAAAUAGAAUCUAUAAGAAAAAUAGAACAACUAUCUAUUAGAAAUUGAAAAUAUAUUAAACCAUUUUUACAAGAUUUCUUAUAUCAUAGCUGUUUAGCGGGAUGUUUUUAUGAUGAAGGAAUUAUAGAAAAAUUAUUUGCUAAAUUACCAGACGAUCUAGGAAAGAAAAUAUAUACUUUAUAUAAAGAAACACCUAUGGAACCAACACUAAAAAAUGUAAGUACAGCUAUAAGAUUCAUAAUUAAUAGAUUAGUAGAGGAAUGUACGUUUAUUAAAAUACAAAGAUAAUUAAAAGGGGAAUAUAGUUUUUGCUCAGAAAUAUAUACACCACAAAAAUAUGGAGAAAGAGAAAAAGAAAAAAGAAAGUAUAGAAAACCUUAUAAAAAUUAUAAAAAGUACCCCAGAAAACAAUACUAUCUUCGGAAGAGCAAAGCUAGAAAACCAUUUCUUAAAAAGGAACAUCAUGUUAGAAGAUAUAGGCCAGAACGUACCUAUGGGAAUAGAUUAUCUUGUUUUAUUUGUAAACAACCUAACCAUUUAGCAACCAAUUGCCCAAAUAAACAUAAUUCUUUUAACAAAGAAGCUCAUUUAGUAGAAUUAUUUUCAGAAGAUUUAAUCGAAAUAGAUGACAAUAUAUUAGAAACAGAAAGCAUUUAUAGUAUAGUAUCAGAAGAGAUGGAUUUAACAGAUUUUAUAGAACAAGAAGAUACAGGAUUCAUAAAUGAAAUCCUAGAAAAAUCAGAAAAUAGAACUAUUAUGGAUAACAUAUACCUAGAAGAAAUAAAAGAAGAUUUUAAAAAAUUAGAUGACUUAGAUCUAGUAGAAGUAGAAUGUACUCAUAAAUGGGAACACAGAAAAGGUAAUUAUAGUAAAGCUUGUUAUAAUUGUAAUAGAUACCCAGCAAUAGAAUUAAGAUUCCAAUGUCAAUUAUGUUAUACAGAAGGAUGUAAAUUUUGCUUGGAUAAAUUAGCACAAAUAUACGUUUUAUUAGAACCAGUUAAAAAGGAUAAAACAGAAAACACUGUGCCCUUAGAAUAUUACCUAGAAAGAAGAAUAAGAAUUUUAGAAAAUAAAAUAGAACAAUUAGAGGAAAAAAUAGAAAAAUUUGAUAAAGGGAAAUCGAUAGAAAGGGAAGUAUAUAUAGAGAAUGCUGAUAUAGAAAUUUUUCCAGAAUUAAUAAGACAUAAUUAUGAUUCUGAAUUAUUACAAGCAGGGAUACCAACGAUAACUUCCAUUGAAAUAAAAACUAGAAUAAUAAUAGGAGACUUUGAUACAGAAGUUUUAGCAAUAGUAGAUACAGGAGCAAGUAAUAUAGUUAUCCAACAAGAAUUAAUACCAGAAAAAUAUUAUGAAAAAGCAUAUAAUAUUAGAACUGCAAGGCAAAUGGAUGGUAGUACUUACACCUACGACACUGCAAUUCAUAAUAGUCUCUUAUUUUUUGAAAUAGACAAUAAUCACUGCACACCACCUUAUCCAGUAGAAGAAAUAUAUGUUAGAAAUUUUCCUUAUCAAAUGAUUUUAGGAUUAGCUUUUUACUACAAUCAUAUCAUGGCAUGAUUAUUACAAGGACAGGGUUAACAUUCUUAAGAGACCAUACUUUACCUUAUAAUACAUUCAUAACACCAGGAAUACGGAAAGACAAUAAAAAUACAGAAAUUCAUAAUUGUAAAUGUAAAGGAGCAAAAGAUUGCAAAUGUAAUCACAUAGAAACUAUAGAAGAAAUAGAAGAAUUUAAUAAUAUAGAAACUAUAGAAAGCAUAGGAGAAGAUUUUAAUGAAAUAGAAAUAAGUUUAGACCUUUUACAAAAUGAGAAAAUCUAUAAUAUGUUAGAAACAGGACACACAGAUAUAGACCGAUUAAUAAGUAAGUUAGAAAAAUUAGAAAUUUUUGGAGAAAAUCCAACCAUUCAUUGGGAAAAAGAUAAAACAGAAUGUAAGUUAGAAAUUUUAAACUCAAAUUUAAAAAUUAGUACAGCAAAAAUAGAAGCCAGUAAUGAAGACAUAAAAGAAUUUGAAAUGCAUAUAGGAGAUUUAAAUAAAUUAAAAAUAAUCAGAAGAAGUACAAGUCCACAUAGAAGUGCAGCAUUCAUAGUUAGAAAACAUAGUGAAAUAGUCAGAGGAAAAAGUAGAAUGGUAAUAAAUUAUAAAAGAUUAAAUGAUAAUACUAAAGAAGAUAGUUAUGACAUACCAGAUAAAAAUGAACUAAUAAAUAGAAUUCAGUAUAGAUAUAUUUUUAGCAAAUUUGAUUGUAAAUCAGGAUUUUGGCAAGUAAUAAUGCACACAGAUAGUAUAGAAUGGACAGCUUUUACAUGCCCCUUAGGACAUUUUGAAUGGUUAGUAAUGCCUUUCGGAUUAAAAAAUGCACCGGCAAUAUUUCAAAGAAAAAUGGAUAAUAUUUUUAACAAAUAUAAAGAAUUUGUCAUAGUAUUCAUACAUGAUAUAUUAGUAUUUUCAAAAAAUAAAGAAGAACAUGUUGGGCACUUAAAGUUAGUUUUCGCAGAAUUUAUUAGACAUGGAAUAAUAAUUAGUAACAAAAAGGCACAAUUUUUUAGGAAAAAUAUAGAAUUUUUAGGAACAGAAAUAGGAUAAGGAAAAAUAAAAUUACAACCACAUAUUUGUAAAAAAGUAUUAGAAUUUCCAGAUAAAAUAGAAGAAACGAAGAAAUUACAACAAUUUCUAGGACUACUAAACUAUGCCAGACCUUUUAUAAAAAAUUUAAAUAGUUUAGUAGCACCAUUAUAUAACAAAACAUCUUUAAAAGGACAAAAAUUUUUUAAUAAAGAAGAUAUGAAAUUGGUCCAAACAAUAAAACAAAUAGUAAGUAAACUAACAGAUUUAAAAUUACCUUUAGAUACAGAUUAUUUAAUAAUUGAAUGUGAUGGCAGUAGUAUAGGAUGGGGAGCAGUUCUUUUUGCAAAACCAAAUAAAUAUAGUAGCAAACAUAGUGAACAAAUUUGUAGAUAUGCCAGUGACAAAUAUAAGGAAAAAUGUAAUAGAAGCAGCAUAGAUAAUGAAUUGUUAGCAGUAAAAUAUAGUCUAGACAACUUUAGACUUUUUAUACUUAACAAACCAGAAAUUACUAUUAGAACAGACUGCGAGGCAAUAAAAAAGUUUUUUGAUAAACACAAUGAAAAAAGAAGUUCUACUAGAAGAUGGUUAAACUUUGUAGAUAGCAUUAUAGGUAAUGGAUAUAAAGUUAGGUUUGAACAUAUUAAGGGAAAAGAUAAUAAUUUAGCAGAUUUUUUUUUCCGUCUAUUUAACAAUUCUUCUGAUCUUUUAGCAGAUGGCACGGCAGCUACCCAAAGUACAAAUUGGCCAAUAGGAACUUAACAAGUAUCCUAAAGGAUCCAAUUUACAUUUUUUCAGCUGUGAGGAAGGUAAUUUAGAAGAAAUUCAGCAGGAUAUCUUAGAUAACCUCUGGAAUAGUAGAAUCAAUUCUGAUAGAAUUAAAAAUUUAAAUAUUUUAGCAUUUUAUUUCAGUAAUCUACCAAAACAAAGUUUUUCAUAUUAUGCAGUAGUUCGGGGUAAAACACCUGGAAUUUAUUCCAAAUGGAUUUCUGUAGUAGAACAAAUUAAAGAUUUUCAAAAUCCUUUGUGGAAAGCUUUUCAUAGCAACCAUGAAGCCUUGGAUUUUGCUAGAAAAAAUAUUGGCAUCAGUUUUCAUGUAGAUAGCAAAGCUAGUAUGGAUAGCACGAGGGUGCCAGUACAAUCUUGUACAGAAGCCCCUAGUAGCAGCAAUAGUGGUAGAAGUUAUUCUGAUUCAGUAGCAUAUGAUAAUACUCAUAGCAUUCAAUUUUGUAAACAUUGUAAGGUUAUGGAAGAAGCAAUUAGAAGUCUAAAUCUUAAAUCUAGAAAUCUAGAAGAAGAAAAUAAAAAUUUAUAAGAAAUAGCUCAUUCUCUGACAGGGCAACUCAAAGAAAUGUGUAAAAUAUCUGGAUCACAAAGUGAUACAAUAAUUUCACAAAUUUCUGAAAUAGGGGAGCUACAAGGAAGACUGUCUCAUACAGUAUCACAAAUGGCCAGUUCUUCAUCCGGCCCAGCAAAAGAGAUCUUCAUAAAAGAACAACCCAUCUCAAAUAGACCCUUUGAGUUUCUUAAGCCCAGAAUAUUUUUUAGGCCUUAUCCUUUAUUAGAUCAUUUUCCUUUAUCAAUCAUAGACAUUAUCAGCCAAAAAGUGCAAGCCCAGCACUUAGCAAAAUUAGAAGCAGUGCAAAAAUACUUCAAAGAAAUAGCAACCAAACCCAAUACCAACUAUAGCCUUAACAUUAGCCCAUCUUACUGGAUCAACCCACAUAAAAAAUGCCCAAAUAAUCCAGAACCUUGUAACCACCAAAAAUACAGAAACCAUUGUGUACAUACACUUGAUUUUCUCAUACUCUGAGCAUCCAUUAAAUUACACAGAUAUACUCCAGUAGCCCUUAUGGUCAAUAAAAAAAGAAUAGUUCUUACACCACAGUUCUUAAUGGAUUGUGGAUUCUUAAAAGAAUUUUGGAUUUCUGAUCCAGAUGACUCAUAUCAGUUAGGAACAAGUUUGGCAUAUUUUUGUAGACAAAUGCUAAAUUAUGAACAAUGGGUUCAAGUAAAAAUUAAAUCAGCACCAGCAGAAUGGAUUGGACUCAUUGAUUUAGAACCAACAAUCCAUAGAAUAAAAAUUCAAGUUAGCAAUGAUUAUCCGACUCCACCAGCAGCAGCAAGAAUAAUGAUAGCAGAGUGUCCUUUAACACUAGAAGAACAACUCCGAAAUUCAAAGGCUAUGCACUUAGCCUAUAGACAUUUUAAAUCCGGAUGGUCAUACUUCAGAUUGGCAGCAGAAAACAAAAUUCAGAAGAUCUACACUCCCUACCGAUAUAAGCUGGAAAAAGACUUUAUAGUUCAAACAACUUUUCCAGAACUAUUCCAGCAGUACUUAAAUGAUUAUAUGGAAGAAAGAACUCAGCCAGAAGAAAUUGAAGGAGAAAUUGAAGAAGCAGACAACGAUCAUUAUUGGCAAACAAUGGGACCAGAAGAACUCCACAACAUCGAGAAUAUGAUGGAAGGAUAAUAGGAUUCAGACACAUUAUUGUACAUACCAGCACUGAAAAAAUACCGGUCUCAUAAAUUUUUGUAGCACAUAUAGCCUUUAGAAGCUUUGAAAGUUUCGGCCCUUGUAGGCUUUUCAGCCAUCGUAGGCCAUUGCAGGCUUUUUAGCCAUUGUAGGCUAUAUAGCCUUUAAGAGCUUUAAAAAAGUUUGGCUAUUUAGCAUAGACAUAGGUUUUUGAAAAUUUUGGCUAUAGACAUAGCUUUUUGAAAAUUUCAGCCACUGUCGGCUCCAUAGAUUAGACAUCAGAUUCCAAUCCAAUUGAAAUCCGCAAACAUAAUUAGGAAAUAGAAGUCCGGAUUUCAAAUCCGAACAAUAAAGCCUAUAAAAGCACCAGUCCCAACCAUUGUUGGGUACGAUACUUUCAUAACAUGUAAAUUACAAAAACAUUCCAUAUAUCCAGUUCCAAACACUUCUUGCAAGUUCACUAUUUUUAGUCAUCUUAUUGAGAGGAAAGGAAAACAUAGAAUAGAAAUUAAUACAGCCUCCAAAUAACCGGAAACUUUGAGAGAGAUAUCCUAUUUUGGAACCCAAAAAGUCUAAAAGACGGUGUAGUACCCAUCAUAGCCGUUCUGUCAAGAGUUCCUGCAAGGCGUAAGGGGAAGAUCUGGUGAGGCAAACCUCCAAAGAUAGGACUCCAACUCUCAUAGCAUCAGAAGAAAACUUUGAAGGUAUAAUUUCUGUAACCUCUAUCAAGUACCGAGUACUCGUAUAAUUCUUAAAUCAAGUUGAUAAUUUAUACAUAUAAAAUCUGUAUGAAUUUUGAACCACCUUUUCAGUUUACAACCACUCAAGAAAAUUCAUAUAGAAUAGCAUUAGCAACUCUUAAACAACCAGAUACAUAUUAUUAUUUUGAUAAAAUUUUAGAAGAUCUAGAAACUUUAGAUUAGUGUUUAGCACAUAUACAAAUAGAAGAAUCUAGAUUAGUAAAAGUAGCACACCACCAUCCCUCAUCCUUUCUCAGAAAUAUUAGACAAGCAAAUGUAGAUUUACUUUGGCACAGAUACUCUGAAUUAAAAUCUAUAGAAAGACAAAAAUUAGAAGAAAAAGAAGAAUAUAAAAACAGAAGGAAUUCCUGUAAUAAAAUCUGUGGAAUAUCUGAUUAAGCAAUAUAGGAUUUUAAAUAUAGGUCUUUAACUGGAGCCUAAUAGUCCAGCCAUUCUAGGACUUUUGGUACCUAGGUAGUUUUUGAAAAGUCCUAGAAUGGCUGGACUAUUAGGCUCCAGUUAAAGACCUAUAUUUAAAAUCUUGUAUUGCUUAAUCAGAUAUUCCACAGAUUUUAUUACAGGAAUUCCUUCUGUUUUUAUAUUCUUCUUUUUCUUCUAAUUUUUGUCUUUUUAUAGAUUUUAAUUCAGAGUAUCUGUGCCAAAGUAAAUCUACCUUUGCUUGUCUAAUAUUUCUGAGAAAGGAUGCGGGAUGGUGGUGUGCUACUUUUACUAAUCUAGAUUCUUCUAUUUGUAUAUGUGCUAAACACUGAUCUAAAGUUUCUAGAUCUUCUAAAAUUUUAUCAAAAUAAUAAUAUGUAUCUGGUUGUUUAAGAGUUGCUAAUGCUAUUCUAUAUGCAUGUUCUUGAGUGGUUGUAAACUGAAAAGGUGGUUCAAAAUUCAUACAGAUUUUAUAUGUAGAAAUUAUCAACUUGAUUUAAGAAUUAUACGAGUACUCGGUACUUGAUAGAGGUUACAGAAAUUAUACCUUCAAAGUUUUCUUCUGAUGCUAUGAGAGUUGGAGUCCUAUCUUUGGAGGUUUGCCUCACCAGAUCUUCCCCUUACGCCUUGCAAGAACUCUUGACAGAACGGCUAUGAUGGGUACUACACCGUCUUUUGGACUUUUUGGGUUCCAAAAUAGGAUAUCUCUCUCAAAGUUUCCGGUUAUUUGGAGGCUGUAUUAAUUUCUAUUCUAUGUUUCCCUUUCCUCUCAAUAAGAUGACUAAAAAUAGUAAACUUGCAAGAAGUGUUUGGAACUGGAUAUAUGGAAUGGUUUUGUAAUUUACAUGUUAUGAAAGAAUUGUACCCAACAAUGGUUUGGGACUGGUGCUUUUAUAGGCUUUAUUGUUCGGAUUUGAAAUCCGGACUUCUAUUUCCUAAUUAUGUUUGCGAAUUUCAAUUGGGUUGGAAUCCGAUGUCUAAUCUAUGGAGCCGACAAUGGCUGAAAUUUUCAAAAAGCUAUGUCUAUAGCCAAAAUUUUCAAAAACCUAUGUCUAUGCUAAAUGGCCAAACUUUUUUAAAGCUCUUAAAGGCUAUAUAGCCUACAAUGGCUAAAAAGCCUGCAAUGGCCUACGAUGGCUGAAAAGCCUACAAGGGCCGAAACUUUCAAAGCUUCUAAAGGCUAUAUGUGCUACAAAAAUUUAUGAGACCGGUAUUUUUUCAGUGCUGGUAUGUACAAUAAUGUGUCUGAAUCCUAUUAUCCUUCCAUCAUAUUCUCGAUGUUGUGGAGUUCUUCUGGUCCCAUUGUUUGCCAAUAAUGAUCGUUGUCUUCUUCUUCAAUUUCUCCUUCAAUUUCUUCUGGCUGAGUUCUUUCUUCCAUAUAAUCAUUUAAGUACUGCUGGAAUAGUUCUGGAAAAGUUGUUUGAACUAUAAAGUCUUUUUCCAGUUUAUAUCGGUAGGGAGUGUAGAUCUUCUGAAUUUUAUUUUCUGCUGCCAAUCUGAAGUAUGACCAUCCGGAUUUAAAAUGUCUAUAGGCUAAGUGCAUAGCCUUUGAAUUUCGGAGUUGUUCUUCUAGUGUUAAAGAACACUCUGCUAUCAUUAUUCUUGCUGCUGCUGGUGGAGUCGGAUAAACAUUGCUAACUUGAAUUUUUAUUCUAUGGAUUGUUGGUUCUAAAUCAAUGAGUCCAAUCCAUUCUGCUGGUGCUGAUUUAAUUUUUACUUGAACCCAUUGUUCAUAAUUUAGCAUUUGUCUACAAAAAUAUGCCAAACUUGUUCCUAACUGAUAUGAGUCAUCUGGAUCAGAAAUCCAAAAUUCUUUUAAGAAUCCACAAUCCAUUAAGAACUGUGGUGUAAGAACUAUUCUUUCUUGAUUGACCAUAAGGGCUACUGGAGUAUAUCUGUGUAAUUUAAUGGAUGCUCAGAGUAUGAGAAAAUCAAGUGUAUGUACACAAUGGUUUCUGUAUUUUUGGUGGUUACAAGUUUCUGGAUUAUUUGGGCAUUUUUAUGUGGGUUGAUCUAGUAAGAUGGGCUAAUGUUAAGGCUAUAGUUGGUAUUGGGUUUGGUUGCUAUUUCUUUGAAGUAUUUUUGCACUGCUUCUAAUUUUGCUAAGUGCUGGGCUUGCACUUUUUGGCUGAUAAUGUCUAUGAUUGAUAAAGGAAAAUGAUCUAAUAAAGGAUAAGGCCUAAAAACAUUCUGGGCUUAAGAAACUCAAAGGGUCUAUUUGAGAUGGAUUGUUCUUUUAUGAAGAUCUCUUUUGCUGGGCCGGAUGAAGAACUGGCCAUUUGUGAUACUGUAUGAGACAGUCUUCCUUGUAACUCCCCUAUUUCAGAAAUUUGUGAAAUUAUUGUAUCACUUUGUGAUCCAGAUAUUUUACACAUUUCUUUGAGUUGCCCUGUCAGAGAAUGAGCUAUUUCUUAUAAAUUUUUAUUUUCUUCUUCUAGAUUUCUAGAUUUAAGAUUUAGACUUCUAAUUGCUUCUUACAUAACCUUACAAUGUUUACAAAAUUGAAUGCUAUGAGUAUUAUCAUAUGCUACUGAAUCAGAAUAACUUCUACCACUAUUGCUGCUACUAGGGGCUUCUGUACAAGAUUGUACUGGCACCCUCGUGCUAUCCAUACUAGCUUUGCUAUCUACAUGAAAACUGAUGCCAAUAUUUUUUCUAGCAAAAUCCAAGGCUUCAUGGAUGCUAUGAAAAGCUUUCCACAAAGGAUUUUGAAAAUCUUUAAUUUGUUCUACUACUGAAAUCCAUUUGGAAUAAAUUCCAGGUGUUUUACCCCGAACUACUGCAUAAUAUGAAAAACUUUGUUUUGGUAGAUUACUGAAAUAAAAUGCUAAAAUAUUUAAAUUUUUAAUUCUAUCAGAAUUGAUUCAACUAUUCCAGAGGUUAUCUAAGAUAUCCUGCUGAAUUUCUUCUAAAUUACCUUCCUCACAGUUGAAAAAAUGUAAAUUGGAUCCUUUAGGAUACUUGUUAAGUUCCCAUUGGCCAAUUUGUACUUUGGGUAGCUGCCGUGCCAUCUGCUAAAAGAUCAGAAGAAUUGUUAAAUAGACGGAAAAAAAAAAUCCGCUAAAUUAUUAUCUUUUCCCUUAAUAUGUUCAAACCUAACUUUAUAUCCAUUACCUAUAAUGCUAUCUACAAAGUUUAACCAUCUUCUAGUAGAAUUUCUUUUUUCAUUGUGUUUAUCAAAAAACUUUUUUAUUGCCUCGCAGUCUGUUCUAAUAGUAAUUUCUGAUUUGUUAAGUAUAAAAAGUCUAAAGUUGUCUAGACUAUAUUUUACUGCUAACAAUUCAUUAUCUAUGCUGCUUCUAUUACCUUUUUCCUUAUAUUUGCCACUGGCAUAUCUACAAAUUUGUUCACUAUUUUUGCUACUAUAUUUAUUUGGUUUUACAAAAAAAACUGCUCCCCAUCCUAUACUACUGCCUUCACAUUCAAUUAUUAAAUAAUCUGUAUCUAAAGGUAAUUUUAAAUCUUUUAGUUUACUUACUAUUUGUUUUAUUGUUUGGACCAAUUUCAUAUCUUCUUUAUUAAAAAUUUUUUGUCCUUUUAAAGAUGUUUUGUUAUAUAAUGGUGCUACUAAACUAUUUAAAUUUUUUAUAAAAGGUCUGGCAUAGUUUAGUAGUCCUAGAAAUUGUUGUAAUUUCUUCAUUUCUUCUAUUUUAUCUGGAAAUUCUAAUAUUUUUUUACAAAUAUGUGGUUGUAAUUUUAUUUUUCCUUGUCCUAUUUCUGUUCCUAAAAAUUCUAUAUUUUUCCUAAAAAAUUGUGCCUUUUUGUUACUAAUUAUUAUUCCAUGUCUAAUAAAUUCUGCGAAAACUAACUUUAAGUGUCCAACAUGUUCUUCUUUAUUUUUUGAAAAUACUAAUAUAUCAUCUAUGUAUACUAUAACAAAUUCUUUAUAUUUGUUAAAAAUAUUAUCCAUUUUUUUUUGAAAUAUUGCCGGUGCAUUUUUUAAUCCGAAAGGCAUUACUAACCAUUCAAAAUGUCCUAAGGGGCAUGUAAAAUCUGUCCAUUCUAUACAAUCUGUGUGCAUUCUUACUUGCCAAAAUCCUGAUUUACAAUCAAAUUUGCUAAAAAUAUAUCUAUACUGAAUUCUAUUUAUUAGUUCAUUUUUAUCUGGUAUGUCAUAACUAUCUUCUUUAGUAUUAUCAUUUAAUCUUUUAUAAUUUAUUACCAUUCUACUUUUUCCUCUGACUAUUUCACUAUGUUUUCUAACUAUGAAUGCUGCACUUCUAUGUGGACUGGUACUUCUUCUGAUUAUUUUUAAUUUAUUUAAAUCUCCUAUAUGCAUUUCAAAUUCUUUUAUGUCUUCAUUACUGGCUUCUAUUUUUGCUGUACUAAUUUUUAAAUUUGGGUUUAAAAUUUCUAAUUUACAUUCUGUUUUAUCUUUUUCCCAAUGAAUGGUUGGAUUUUCUCCAAAAAUUUCUAAUUUUUCUAACUUACUUAUUAAUCGGUUUAUAUCUGUGUGUCCUGUUUCUAACAUAUUAUAGAUUUUCUCAUUUUGUAAAAGGUCUAAACUUAUUUCUAUUUCAUUAAAAUCUUCUCCUAUGCUUUCUAUAGUUUCUAUGUUAUUAAAUUCUUCUAUUUCUUCUAUAGUUUCUAUGUGAUUACAUUUGCAAUCUUUUGCUCCUUUACAUUUACAAUUAUGAAUUUCUGUAUUUUUAUUGUCUUUCCGUAUUCCUGGUGUUAUGAAUGCAUUAUAAGGUAAAGUAUGGUCUCUUAAGAAUGUUAACCCUGUCCUUGUAAUAAUCAUGCCAUGAUAUGAUUGUAGUAUAAAAGCUAAUCCUAAAAUCAUUUGAUAAGGAAAAUUUCUAACAUAUAUUUCUUUUACUGGAUAAGGUGGUGUGCAGUGAUUAUUGUCUAUUUCAAAAAAUAAGAGACUAUUAUGAAUUGCAGUGUUGUAGGUGUAAGUACUACCAUCCAUUUGCCUUGCAGUUCUAAUAUUAUAUGCUUUUUCAUAAUAUUUUUCUGGUAUUAAUUCUUGUUGGAUAACUAUAUUACUUGCUCCUGUACUACUAUUGCUAAAACUUCUGUAUCAAAGUCUCCUAUUAUUAUUCUAGUUUUUAUUUCAAUGGAAGUUAUCAUUGGUAUCCCUGCUUGUAAUAAUUCAGAAUCAUAAUUAUGUCUUAUUAAUUCUGGAAAAAUUUCUAUAUCAGCAUUCUCUAUAUAUACUUCCCUUUCUAUCGAUUUCCCUUUAUCAAAUUUUUCUAUUUUUUGCUCUAAUUGUUCUAUUUUAUUUUCUAAAAUUCUUAUUCUUCUUUCUAGGUAAUAUUCUAAGGGCACAUUGUUUUCUGUUUUAUCCUUUUUAACUGGUUCUAAUAAAACGUAUAUUUGUGCUAAUUUAUCCAAGCAAAAUUUACAUCCUUCUGUAUAACAUAAUUGACAUUGGAAUCUUAAUUCUAUUGCUGGGUAUCUAUUACAAUUAUAACAAGCUUUACUAUAAUUACCUUUUCUGUGUUCCCAUUUAUGAGUACAUUCUACUUCUACUAGAUCUAAGUCAUCUAAUUUUUUAAAAUCUUCUUUUAGUUCUUCUAGGUAUAUGUUAUCCAUAAUAGUUCUAUUUUCUGAUUUUUCUAGGAUUUCAUUUAUGAAUUCUGUAUUUUCUUGUUCUAUAAAAUCUGUUAAAUCCAUCUCUUCUGAUAUUAUACUAUAAAUGCUUUCUGUUUCUAAUAUAUUGUCAUCUAUUUCGAUUAAAUCUUCUGAAAAUAAUUCUACUAAAUGAGCUUCUUUGUUAAAAGAAUUAUGUUUAUUUGGGCAAUUGGUUGCUAAAUGGUUAGGUUGUUUACAAAUAAAACAAGAUAAUCUAUUCCCAUAGGUACGUUCUGGCCUAUAUCUUCUAACAUGAUGUUCCUUUUUAAGAAAUGGUUUUCUAGCUUUGCUCUUCCGAAGAUAGUAUUGUUUUCUGGGGUACUUUUUAUAAUUUUUAUAAGGUUUUCUAUACUUUCUUUUUUCCUUUUCUCUUUCUCCAUAUUUUUGUGGUGUAUAUAUUUCUGAGCAAAAACUAUAUUCCCCUUUUAAUUGUCUUUGUAUUUUAAUAAACGUACAUUCCUCUACUAAUCUAUUAAUUAUGAAUCUUACAGCUGUACUUACAUUUUUUAGUAUUGGUUCCAUAGGUGUUUCUUUAUAUAAAGUAUAUAUUUUCUUUCCUAGAUCGUCUGGUAAUUUAGCAAAUAAUUUUUCUAUAAUUCCUUCAUCAUAAAAACAUCCCGCAUAAGAAAUCUUGUAAAAAUGGUUUAAUAUAUUUCCAAUUUCUAAUAGAUAGUUGUUCUAUUUUUCUUAUAGAUUCUAUUUGUGUUAGAACUCCUCCUCUAUUUGGACUUGUUGCUAAAAGAAUUUCUUCUACUCUAUUAACAAAAUUCAUGGGAUUUACUCCAUGCGCCUGGUCUUGUUGUAAUCUAUCUGAAAAUUUUUGUUUAAAUGCUUCCCAAGCUGCUCUUGCUACUCCUCCUAGAAAUGUUUCUAAAUACGUAUACAUUUCUGUUACAUUAUGAUCAAACCAUUUUUGUAUAUAAUUCCUAACUACUCUUGCUUUCCAGCUACCUAUUACAUCUUCUAUCAUUUGGGGGUCAUAGGAUGUUAACAUUAAAGUCUUUCCUUCAUCUACUGAAUUUUCUUUUAUUUCUAAUUCUAAAGGUCUUCUUUUUCCUCUAGGAUUAUAUUUUUCUUCUGAUUCUCUAUAUUCAUUAUAUAUUAUUCUAGGUGGUUGCCCUGGUUCAUAUGUUCUAACAUUCCCUGCUUGGCUAGUGUCAGUUUGCAUGUUUGUUGGUUGAUUACUUCCACUGCUUUGUUCCAUUAAUUCUCUAUAUGAUGUUAUACUAACGGUUUCAAUAUCAUUUUCUUCUUUUUUAACUCUAAUAUUUCCUAUGUAGUCAUAAUAUAGAAUUUCAUCUAAAGUUAUUUGUCCGUUUAAUUCUAAUUUUCUUUCUAAAUCAAAUAAUUCUUUUUCUGUUAAAAUCAUAUUUAAUUCUGCUGGAUAAAUAAUUUUAUGUUCUAGUUCUACAAGUUCUUCUUCUAUCAAAUUUAUUUCUACUAGAUCUAACUCUGUAUCUGAUCUUUCUGCUUCUUCAUUUUCUGUUCCUAAAGAUGUUGAUUCAUAAUUAUAGAACCUAAUACUUGUUUUUCCCUUACUAUUUUUAUAUAUUAUACUAUCUUUUGGUAUGAUUGGAUUAUUUUCUUCUAUAAAUUUACUAAUUUCCCAUUCUUCUCCUGCCAAAUUUUCUGAACUUACUUCUAUUGGUUUUAUUAAUUUUAUUCCCUUACUAGCCAUAGCCUCUACUAUUGGUUUAAUAUCUACCUUGUAUCUGGUUUUACUGCUAUUUGUUAAUCUCCCUAUAAAUCCUAUGCUUAUUGUUAAAUUAUCUCCUUGAAAAUUUUCAUAUCCUUUAUUUUGUAUGCCUAUUUCUAAAUUUUUAAUAUCUUCUAAGGUUACCAUAAAAUCUGGACUACAAUAAAAUAUUCCUCCAUUUUGGUUCAUAUCUACUUCUAUACUGGCUAUUAAUGCAUCUUCUACUGUUUUAUGUCUUUUAUCUAAUAUUGCUAAUAGUACCUUUUUUUCCUAAUCCUUUUCUUGUUAAACCCUUUAUUCCUAUAACUAUUAACCCUAUAUGCAUAUAUGUAUAUUGUCUUCUGAUUUGAUUUAUACUUUGUUGUGUUAUUAUUCUUAGAUUUACUGGAUUUGUUAAUGCAAUUACUGGCUCUUCUCUAGUUUGUCUAAAUAAUCCUGUAUUACUUCUAAGAAAUCCUACUGAAUAUAAAGUUCUCGGAUUUAAUAAAUUUAUUUCAUUAUUUCUAUAUAUUUCUAAAUCUCUUUCUAUAUCUAUUGUCUCUUCUAAAUGCAUGCUCCUAUUUCUUCUUAACUGUCUUCCUAUGUUUAAUACACUAGUUCCUAUUUGUGUAUUUUCAUUAACUGUUCUACUGGGUCCUGUAAAUGAGCUUCUACUCGUCAUUUUAAAAUUUUUGUGGUUUGGGGUUUACUGAGAAUAUGUUACUGAGAUGUGGCUUAUUUUCUUUCCUUGUUACUGGUAGUCUUUUAAACUGAUCCGUAAUCUCUUCCAGGUCCUUUUCAAAUUUAUCUAUCUGCAAAACCCUAACUUUUUCUGUUACUGCAUCUAUUUUCUUAUGUAAUGAUACUAACAAGGCUAUUAUUACGUUAUUUUGUUUAGGAUAUGUUUUAUCUGAUAUACUAGUUCCUAAGUAAUCUGUUAACCCUAAUGUUUCCUGGUGAUAAUAUUUUAAUUCUUCUAAUAUUUUUAUAUAUUCAGGAUAAAAAGCAUACUGAGAAGGAGGUGGUUUAUUAGUACUGCUCAUAUAUUAACUCAAAAUUAUUUUUUCUAUUUUAUAUAAUAAUAUUUCUACCUGAUUAUAAGAUUGUUUUAAUUCUUUUAAUUUUUGACUAAUUUCUUCUAAUAUUUCGUUAUUAAUUUUAUAUUCUUUGAGUUGUUCUAGACUUCUUAUUUUUGCAAUUAUCUUAUUAUUUUGAUCUUUUAUGUAGUCUUGAUUUUCUACUAAAUUUUUUAUUGUUUUAUUUUUAUUUUUUAAUGAUUCUACUAAGUUUUCUAUUAUCCUAGAAUUAUUUUUUGACGUGCGCGGGGUAUGCAUAUACAAUUAGCUCAUCCACAAUCAAGUUUUACAUUUAUAACAUCCUAAAUACCCCACACGCAAUUUUUCUGCAAUUAUACAUUUCGUGAGCGAAUAUAGGGUAUUAAGGGUCGAUCCCACAGAGAAGAUUUUUAAUUACCGGUGUUUUUCAAACUCCUUAAUUAUUUAGACUACCAUAAACAUAAAAGUAAUGAAAAUAACACUAGAAAACUCCUAGAGAUAUGGAAUUCCUUACUACUUUAGCAAAUGAGAUUACCGGUUAAGUGAAUGCUAUUAUUUUGGCUAGUUAUGGCGUAAUUUCCUAAUGUAUGCGAAACCUACUCUCGUAGUGAAUUAACUAUACUUGUAGCUAAACUAUACCUACUCUUGUGGUUAUGAAAUUAACUACAAGCUCAUUUCUUUUAUGAAAUUACAUGAAACAAGUCACUAAAACACAUAGGUGCACCUCUACUUCCGUGAGUAAACUCCCUAGAUUUAUCAUUUCCUUGAACUAAUGUUAAAUUUCAAUUCUCAUUGCAAACUUAACACCUUUAGAUAAUCACAAUUAAUGGCUGGUUAAUCAUGAUUAGAAAAACAAAAGUGAUAUAUAACUUGCUCAAAAUAAUAUCAUCACAUAACCAAGUAAACAUCACAAACAAGAUAUAGAAAGUUCAUCCAUACUCUAGGCAUCAACAUUAGCAAAACAUGAAAAUAAGAUCCAAACUUGUAUUAUAGUUAAACAUGAACUUAAAUACAAAAGAGAAAAUGAUAGGAGAGAUGUCACCCUUGUCACGUGAGUUUCAAACUCUCUAUCUUUGCUCAAUCUUCAUCCAAAUCUAACUACAAAUACAAGAAAGAAAAACUACACUAACUACUCUAUACUACCCUAACUAAUGAACUAAGGAAAUUCUAGUGAAAGCUACAUUUUUUUGUGAGUUUCUCUAGCCUUCCAAAGUUCUUCUUAAAAUGGUUCCCAUAAAGGAUUCAAGAGCCAAAAUGAGUUGUUUUCUUGUUGGCAUUUUUGACUCUUGAAACUCUCAAAGAUUGCUUCUCAAAGUUUCCAUAUUCAUGUAAUCAUUUCCAGUUGGAAUCUUUGCAGAAAAAGUGGUCAAACAUGUUGUGUGAAAAGAGCACAAGUUGCAAAGCAAGUAGCAGCCGAAAUCCACUAAAACACGGGUAGAAAACGCGGCCUGUGCCUGCGUUUUAACCCCCUCCCGUUUUACUCUUUGCAGGUUUGCACUUUUCUGGGCAGAAUUCAUCCUUGCUCUAUUUUUUGUCCAAUUUCAACUGAUAUUUUCUAGAUGUUAAAGGCUGAAAUUGCUUUUGCGUAAAACAUGAAAGUUGUAGCUCUUUGAAUUAGUUUUCCAAUGCAUAAAAAAUCAUCCAAUUUGGAGUUUUGUGGACUAAGAAAUGACCACUCGACUGGUCAGAACCUCGUUUCAGCUUUCGACCACGAACAAGCAUUGCUAUAUUUUAAUUUUUUGAUAAUGAAAAUGACUGAACUGGAUUUCAAUAUCUUCAAACCAAAUGUAUAUCUAUCUAUUAGUUUCAAAAUGGCUUAAGAAUCAUCUCGAUCCAAUACUUGUAACUCAAGAUAUAGCUGAAAUACCAUAAGGUGUCAAAACUGUUUUCACUUGCAUUUCUUCCUUUGAAUGUUUUGCACUUCAUGUCUUUUUUAAACCACUUCAAAUCAUCAAUAAUCAUUAAAUUCUCUUCUCAAUUCACUCCCUUUGAGGAUUGAAUCCUUAAACCUACAAAACAUGAAGUUUUCACCAUGAAAAUCCAUAGAAAUGCAGUUUUUAUCACUUAAAUCACAAAAUACAUAUUUUCACUAAAAUUCAAGUUAAUUAGCUAUAAAAGUAGUUAAAACAUACCAAAACUAACUAAUAAAACACACUUAAAACACGUAAAAUAUACUUUUAUCAAUUUUGACACCUGAUUUAAUAUGCCAACGUGAGCCUAACUAAUGGCUGUAUUUGGUCUUUACGAUUUAGUUACAAUAAAAUAUUCACACUUUACUUAUUAAGCUUCUUAAAUAUGUCCAAUUUCCUUUUUGAAGAGUUAAUAGGCCCAAAACUAACUUCCGCCCAAGUUAUAUUGUUCACCUUUUACCCAGUUAAAAUGAUCAGAAUUGGCCACUUAUUUUAGUUAGGCAGCCCAUAAGAAGAACCCAACUAAUUCAGACUCGUUUGAUUUUGAAUAGUCAAACCCAUUGACUCAGAUAACCGACCCGUUUUCAAAAUGGAUAUCAUCAUCCAAAUCAGAAAAGCCUAUGAUACAAAACCCUAUUGUACAAACCCUGAUCACCAUCACCAUCAUCAUCGUCAUCAUUUCCUUCAUUACUGAUGGUUCUGCCUAGGGCUGCAAACGAACGAGCUACUCGCGAGCGAUUUGAGUCAAAAUCGAUCUCAAAAUAUUAAGCUCGUUAUGCUCGCGAUCUCGAGUAUAUAUAUAUAUAUAUAUAUAUAUUAUUUUAGGUAUAUAUAUUUUUUAUUUUAAGUAUAUAUAUAUUUAUUUUAAUAGUAAAAUUACAUAUAUAUCCUUAAUAUUUUAUUAUUUAUUAAGAACAAAAUAUUAUUUUAUUUAUUUUUUUAAAAAUAAAAUAAUUAUUUUUUAUUUUUUUCGAGCUCGAGCUCGAGCUCGAGUUUUAAAUUGUUAGCUUGUCGAGAUCGAGCUCGAGUUCGAGUUCAAUAAAAUUAAGUCAAGACUCGGUUCGAUAAGAUCAAAACUCAACUCGACUCGACUCGUCUCGUUUGCAGCCCUAAUUCUGCCUAAAGCAACAACAGCAGCUGCUAAUGCUGUAGCUAUAAAAUGAAGCAGCAUCGUUGCUGGCUACUGGCUGCCGUGGCCCUUGGCAGCCAUAUUUUGCCGGCCGUCGCCAAACACUGGUGACUUUGAAAACUUUUUUUUUUUUUUUUUUUGAAUGUAAGUAAGAGGGUUUGACCUUAGGACUUUUCAAUUACACUCCCACCCCUGAACCACCAAACCCAUCCUCCCUCUCCCCACUAAAUUAGAGAACAUACUUGCUUUUAGGUUUGUGAAAAUAUUUGUCCUAAGUGAGACUCUAGUUGAUCGCCAGAAUCUUUCCUCUCCAUUGAUAUUUUUAGUUUCUGAUAGACAGACUAGUAACCAGAAUGAAAAAUAUCGUAAGUUUUAUUUAAGGUUUGAUAAUAUAUCUCUUUUAAGAAGUUCAUUUUUAGUAACCAUCCUACCCACACUCUCACACUAACUCACAUUCUGUACUUAUUUUAGCUAAAACUUAGUUAAGGGAUAAUGGAUAGAACCAACUUAUCCUCUCCUCUCCUGAAAUUUAUACUGUAACUAAAAUUUAUCCUAUUUUACUAUUAAGUAAAUCUUAUAUAUACUAACAAUGUAUAUAUUAUCAUGGUUGGACGCAUGAAAAUAUAAGCACAUUUUGGAUUUUAAAUUUAAAUUCAUAUGAAUUGUCAUGUAUUCAAUAGUGAUGGUGUAUACAAUAUCAGUAUAUAAAACAUUAAUCCUUUACUUUUACCCUUAGUGAAUUAAAUUAAUAACAUACUAAAUAAAAAUAAAAUUUUAUGGUAUUGCAAUAUUCACAUCAAUAAUACCACCUCAAAAUAACCUUUUUUUUUGACAAAUUUGAAUGAUGUGCUUACUAAUUUUGGAAAAAUUCAAUUUAAGAAAAGCUCUAGUUUCAAUAUUUCUUUAAAUUUUCUUAUACACAUUGGGAAUUAUUUGUAAAGAAAGAAUUCUAAGUUUCUUUAUUCACGUCUACUCACUCUAUCUUCUCUACCGCUCCAUCUUCGUCCAUGAAUUCAAGUGGACUCCAUUGAUAACAGGGGCGGAUUUAAAGUGGGGGCACUGGGGGCCCUUAAAUUCCUAUAAUACAUUUACAAUUUUGACAUAAUUUUAAAGGUGCCCCCAUAAUUUUUUUUAGAAAAAAUAUGAAAGAAUGGGUCAUAAAAUUUAUAUCAUUCACUUUCCUCCUCUAGUUCCCAUUUUCCCACCAAGAGGGCCAAGUACCAAUUAUAUCAGUCAUUCCUUUUGGUCUCCACUCCCCAAGUUCCCUUUAUUCCUGUGGUCCUCCAUUUCCCUUCACAACCAGCUCCUCUUCUUCCACACCCAAGCCAACUACUUUUUCUUUUUAUCACUUCAUCCAAUUAUCAUUUACUUCCUUUGUCCCUACUCCCCAAUUUCCUUUCCUCAUCUGGCUCUCGAUUGUCCCCACUCCCCAACAUACAUAGGAGAGCCAUUUUUUUUCCACAACCAAAGCUUGUUACUCUUUUUUUUGAUCACUUCAUCCUAUUUAGAAAUUGUACCAGAAUCAAUUGAUCUUCUAGGACUUGGGUCCGUCACAUUUUGCAGCUCUUUUCACCAACUUUAGGAGACCAUCAAAAUCAGGUUAUAAACAAUUACUUCUUAUUAUUAUUAUUUUAAAUUUGUUUGCAAAUAUAUUUCUAGAGCAUGAGACUAUUACUGUUUUAAAGAAAUUUGAAAAUUGAUUAGUUAAUGUAAUAACUACUAAAUGGAUUAUUUGAUAAAUAUUUUAACUUGUGAAAUGGUGAUUUUAUGCAUGAGACUUUUUUUUUUGCUUAAAAAAUUAGAAAAAGAGUAGAUAAAAAAUUUUAGUAUUAUUUUUGCCCCCACUAAGAUUUUUUUCUGGCUCCGCCCCUGAUGAUAAUAUCCAUUACAAAUUUUGCAAGGUCUAGCACGACUUUUGCAAGGUAGAUGAAAUCUAUGACGAAAUCUAUGAUGAAAGGCUGCAAGACUUCCACUGGUAAGACAAUAGCUAUACCAGUGGACAAUAUUUCUGAUAAGCAAUAUUGAUCGGAAUUAUUCCUUGAAAUAUUUGACACCACCUUUAAGAAGACUAUUAUUCAAAAGGAAAUGUGUUUUUUCUGGUGAAAUGUGCAUGGUGGAGAUACCCAAUUUGUUAAACAAACAAGUAAUACGUACUUCUGAUCAUUAAAGCCAAAAAAAAUAAAAAUAAAAAUCCGUAAAUAGUUUUUGAUUUGCUAAUUAUAGCAGACAGACUAAUGCAUUAAAUAAAGCAUAUUGAUAAUGGUUAAAAUAAUUCUGAUCAUCCGAUUUUUGGUGAUAUUUGUAUGGAACAUGAAAAGAGAAAACUUAUAACUUUAUUGUACGUUUUUCUCUUUUCUCUAAUGACUUCAGCUCUUUCUGUUUUUUUAUUUAAUUUUUUUCACCUAUCAAAAAUUUCCGAACCAGGCUAUUGCAUCAUUCUGCAUAUUGUAAGAGAAACAAAAGAUGUGUUGCAUCUAGUGUGCUACGAGCCCAGAAACACUCCAACUUCAAAGGCUGGUGAACUCAAAUUUGAAACAUGCCAUCAAUAUGUUGCUCUUUAAUUCAAGUCGCAUACUAUUUCAUGUCUGUGCCUAUUUUGUUAAAGAACAUAAACAUGUCCUACUCUAGCAACCAACAGUAUAUGUUAACAUAAUCUUUUUAUGUUGCUGCCCAAUCACAUCAAUGAAUUACUGGGCUGCUUCAACUCCACUAUUUUGGUAAUUCUAGUUGUCAAUUUGAAGAUUUCUCAAUUGUUUCUUAAAAUCCAGUGUAUAACACAACCACAAUAUUGUAACAAUGGAGGGGUGGUAAAAAACUUACAUGUAGAUCUAACUUCUAAAGUUGAUGAUAAUUUUUCGUGUUCCAAGUGCAAUCAACAUAGGAAAUACAGCAACAUGAUUAAGUAAAUAAGAUCAUAGCAUAUGUCCAAAUGGUACAUUAUUUUUUAAGCCUUAGGGAUCAACCUCAUUUGCAACCUACAUCCCAUGCCUAAAGGUUAUGAAUUAUGAUCCCAAAUGAAUGGUUGUCCAUUUUGAUGGAACCACCGAAUCUUAUCGCAUCACUAAUUAUGUCAGGUGCUUUAUAGUAAAGGUCAAGCAGGAGGAAUUUUUUUUUUUCUUUCUGGGAGAAAAAUGGGGACAAGCACGAUGUGAUGUACUGUGAUUGUGAAUGAACGCUUUUGGAAGAAAUGAACUGAUGAAGUCAUUGUCAAACACUCUAUCCUGCACAUCAAAGAGAGACAGACAGACGACUAUGGCGACCAAACUGAUGGCGACACAAUAAAGUAGCUCUGGGUGUUGCUAAGAAACGACAGAAAUCUUUUAGGAUGGCCUUAGCAAGAUGCAGUCUAGAAAUUAGUAUAAAAACACAUAUUUUAGAAAUCCGUUUGUUUGGAUUGUAAAUUAUUUGAAAUAUUUUUACUGUAACACUUUUAAUGAUGUGAUGUAUGUGAAAUAAAAAAAUAAUUAAAAAAAUAAAAAAUUAUAUUAGAAAUUGUAAUGAUGAUAUAAAUAAAUAUAUUUAGGAAAAUAACUCACUGUCCAAACAAACGAACGCUUCGGCUUGUAGGUGUACCAAAGGCUUGUAACCAACUGAAUCACGAGUAUAACCCACUGAAUCACGAGUAUAACCAAAGGCUUGUAGGUGUACCACCAGCAGCCUGUGCCUAGUAUAUUGGUUGCUAGCUAUAAUUCUGAUUCUGAAUCACCAUCGCUUUUGGUUUGCUCGAGCGAAUUUGUCUUUUUCCAUGUUCAUCCGUCAUGUUUUCUAGUUACUAUUCUUUUUUUUUUUUCCAGAUACCAUAAAUUCUAAUUUACACUUACUCCUACUCUGUAACAAGGGGAGGGCGUGACUCAAAGGAGUCAGGGAGGAACUCGAAGAUAUUAAAUCAACACCGAUCCAAACGAGUGCCUAUGCACUCACUGGCUAAAUUUUUCAAGAAAUUCUAAAUUUUUAAAAUGUAGGUCAAGAGAUUCGAUUCCUUGAUUUCCAUUCAAACAGAGUUUUAAAAUUCUCUUAGUGACUUUUUUUUUUCUCUAGAGACGACAACUAUUGUAUAAUCAAUCUAUCCUAUACUACAGGGGAGAGGGAGUCUAAAGAGACUUUGUGUUAGGGACUAAUAGGUACACAGAUCUUAUUAGACCAACAAAGUGUUUUAGCACAACUCUUGGAUAUUUUUUGCUGCAGGUAAAAUUUGAACCCGCCUACGACCCAAGCAAAGUUUUAAUGCCCAUCUUGGUGGCCACUCUAUUGUUUUUCUAGUUACUAUUCGUUUUGGAAGGAUAUUGUUGUCAGACUGCAUUCAGUGGUCUGAAUGGCACAGCUUUGCAUGUGGGAAUUUAAGAAUUAAUUAAACAGUAUUAGUGCAUUCACCAAUUCAAAUGUAGGGGCGUAAAAAAUUGCACUUUGCGAGCUCAAACUCCUGACAAGUAACUUUGAUCGAACUGGAGCUCCAACUAAGUUGAGAAUCAAAAUUAGAACUCAAGUUCGACUCAUCUUAUGAAGGCUAGGAACAUCAAGCUCAGCUUGAGUUUGUUAGAGAGCCAGGCAACUGAUCGAGGUUGAGUCUUCAUUGGAGAUGAGCUCAAGCUGAAACUUGAGUAAAAGAUGUAAUUUGUUUAAAGUGAAUAGUCAUUAAUCUUUAUAGAUUAUUAAACCAAGCAAAUUACAUUAGGGGUGAGUGUGUUUUGUUGAUUAAGUGGCCUUUUAGAGCAUAAUUAGAAGUUGAAGCGGCAGCAGAAUAUUUAUUUAUGUGGCCUUUGUUAAAGUUUGGCAAAUUCCAUUUAUUCAUGGUGUUGGGAGAGAGUUGAGUUAUAAGGAUAGAGGGAAACUCUCUAAAAUUGAUAAUUGUGAGUUUCAUUAUCCAAACUUGAGUGUUUGUCGUGUGUUUAUCCUCAUCUCUUGCUACAUAUUUUUUUUAUAUGUAUUGAAAUAACUUCAUUUUUAUACGUACUAAAAUAAUUUCUGUUAUGCAUAUUUUUUGUAUUAAAAAUUUUACCUAAAUAUAUGAAAAAUUGAUAUAUAUAUAUAUAUGAUAAUUUUUGUAUAUACUAUCAGUGAAAACGUAGUUUACAUUAACAGUUAACAAUAUUGUGACACCUCAUUGAAUCACUUACUUUACGGAUUACCGACCUUCUCUCAAUUAUUUCGUGCUCAUAAAUAUCGAUCCCACAUACAACUCUUCCAGUUAGCAGCAAUCUUCUAAGACUUUCAUAUGUGCUUGUCACUACUUGAUGAGCAUUUGACUAGAGUACUAGCAUGUUUAAAUUUGAUUCAUUAUCUAAUUUAUUUUAACGAACACACUCAAAUUUAACUCGAGCUCGCUUUUAACCUGGUUCAAUUGAGUAUUUGAUUGAUCUGCAAGCAAGUAACUUGGUUCAUUUACAGCUUUAUUCCCGUUUGCAAAACGUACCUGACCAUAAUUUCCAUAUAGAUGUAGGAAAAUGGUGCUAAGGCAUAGGUGCUUAAAUAGCUUAAGCGCAUUAACAGCAGGAUUAGCUCCUAUCCAUUAGAAUGGAGUGAAUUCCUUUCAAUUAUGCCAUAAGUUUCAAAAUUCUAAGUUAAACCCUGUUUGGCACUUGAGUUUUUUGCCAAGUUUGUCUGUUGCAAGUUCUUUAAAAACUUUAACUACAGUAAUAUCAAAAAAUUUUUCUAAAAUUUUAAACUAUGCACUUCAAAAUAUUCAAAAAUUUACAUACUUCAAAAAUUUUUUUAAAAACUUCUAUAGUAAGUUACAGUAAAGUUUUAGACAAAUAUCCAAAAAAACUCACUUACCAAACGGGGCCCAAAUUCAUUCAUAAAAUACUUCAUGUGAUGUUUUGGUUACAUAGAGCAUUGAAAUUAUAUGGACCAAGUUUUGCUGGUUGAUUAAUGGUAAAAAUGAAAACUUGGUUAACAUAUGGGCUAGAGUGGCUAUUUGUGGGACUUUUUUAUAUUAAGGAGCCUCUAUCUCCAUGAAUCUAAGCCACUUCAAUUGGCCACGUCACCGCUAAAAAAAUCUUUGAAGCAUAUUCAAAAUUCUUUUUUGUUUUGUGUAUUAAGUCGGAAGAAAUUUCUUUAUUGGAAGGGCGAAAAGUAAUUGAUUAUUAUUCUUGGUGAUCAUCAUUCCUCGUUCAGCUAAAAAAACGUUGUACUUAACAAAAAGUACAUUUGAUGAGCAUAAACAUCAUCAGUUGUCAAGGAAAAAAGUCUUGAUCUUCCGUUUUGUUGUAUCAUAUAUGUAUUUGAAGAAACACGGCAUCGUUUCGUGUUGGUAGAUAGUAAAAUGGAAUAAUUGUACGCGAAAAUCGUUCAAAAUGUCCUUCACAUUUUACAAGAUAACUUUUUUCGUCCCUCACUUUUAAAAGUAUAAUUUUAAGUCCCUUACAAAUUCACAGUGACCAAAUUUGGUCCCUACCUAAGUUUCCGACUAGUUUUUGGCCGGAAUCCAUAAUGUGACUUGCAUGUGAUCAUUUUUUAAGGGGCAAAAUUGUCAAAUCAAAUUUUUACAUAAUCUGAUUCAUAGUCCCUCACAUUUCACAAAAUGAAUUUUUUCGUCCCUAACAUUUUACAAAAUGAAUUGUUCGGUUUCUCACAUUUCAAAAAAUGAAUUUGUCCAUCCUUCACAUUUUUCAAAAUGAAUUUUUCAUCUCUCAUUGAUUAUGUGUAUGAAUAGCUUUUCUUCUAUAAGCCCACGUAUAUGUGUGUUUGAUUUUACCUGAAUAGUACGAAUAACAUGUAAUUUAUCUCUAUUGGAUUUCAUCUAAAUAUGCUAAUCGUAGUUAUACACAUGCUAUUCAAUAGAUAUAUAUAGGGGUUUUAAGCUAAUAAUUUUGUUUGAAACCCAUGUAUAUAUUUAUAUGAUUUCACCAUUUGAACCUAUCCAAUAUUUGUGACUUUUCUCUUUUGGUAAUAAUUUAUUUAUUGAGUUGUAUAAUAAGUUCAUCUAAUUAAUGGGUCCUAACUUGAAUUCUAUAAUUUUGCUAACAAAUUUCAGUUUAAAUCUGAAUUUCUACUCGACACUUUUAGACCAACUGUUGAAUUACUUGCCUUGUGAUUGUCUUAAAAUUUGAAAGUGCCAAUCACUUAUUUCUUUUUGUCAUAUUUUUCUUUUGUUUAUUUUUUCUGUCCAAAUUUAAUUUGAUAUAAACACUCGAUAAUAUUUAGGAUUAAAGUCUUUUUUAUUUUCAAAUUUUGAAUAAAAGAAAAUAAAUAUAAGUGAAAAACUAACAAUUUUUUUAAACUCAUGUAUAUAUCUAUUUGAUUUCACUUGAACAGUAUGAAUAGUAUGUAAUAUAUCUCUAUUUGAUUUCACAUGUUAUUCGUACUAUUCAAGUGAAAUCAAAUAGAUAUAUACAUGGAUUUAAAAAAAAUUAUUCACACAUAUGAUCAAUAAAAGAUGAAAAAAAUCAUUUUAAAAAAUGUGAAGGAUGAAAAAAUUCAUUUUGUGAAAUGUAAGGGACGAAAAAAUUUAUUUUAUGAAAUGUGAGGGAUUAUGAAUCGAAUUAUAUCAAAUUUGAUUUGACAAUUUUGCCCUUAAAAUAUGAUCAUAUGCAAGGCACUUGGUGCAUUCCGACCAAAAACUAGUAGAAAACCUAAGUAGGGACCAAAUUUGACCAAUGCAAAUUUGUAAGGGACGCAAAAUUAUAUUUUUAAAAGUGAGAGACGAAAAAAGUUAUUUUGCAAAAUGUGAGGGACGUUUUAAACGAUUUUUCCUAAUUGUACAAACCUCUCUCUUGAGGUUUAUGAUAAUUGCAGGCAACAUAUUUUGAGUUUGAAAAAUUAUAGAAACCUCCCUUGAAAAUUUGUUCGGGCUCACUUUGCUGGUAUAAGUGAAAUGUACCUAUUGAUAAUGUUCCUAAAUUGCCUUUAAGUGAUUUUCCUCAUAGGCAUAAAAUUCCAUAGUAAUUUUAAACAAAAAAAUAUACCUUACAUAUCGUAAGAAAGUUAUCUACCGAAUUCAUUCCUCUUGAAUCAGAAUAGAAAAAACACUCACACCUACUGAUCUUAAAAUUUUUUUUAAAAAAAAUUCUUGGAUACUAGUCGAAUAAAAACCUACGUUCAGAGGAAUCUAGAAUUUUUUUCCCUUCCCAAAUUAUGACUAAAUUAAAUAAGAUUGGACUAAUGUGAUUUGAGUGGUAAGGACUAGAUAGAAUCUAUUGCUCUUGCUCUUCUACUCUCUCUCUCUCUCUCUCUAACGGUUUGGUAAAUUAUAUCCCUCCAUGAAGACAUUAAAUCUAGUAAUUUAUCAAGGUUAUUAUUCUUAAUUUACACUAUGAGGGGAGGACGGUGUAAUUCUUGGAAGGUACUUUCUGUAAUUGUUAUAAACCUCAAAGGAGAUUUGUGAAAUUAUCCCUACUAAAAUUCCAAUACGAUGCUUAUUAAAAAGAAUAAAAAUUCAAACUGGGAUAUACUCAAAAGUAUCAAUAUAUUUUAACAUAUUAUUUUCAUUUUAUUCUUUUUUACCCGCUUUUGUUACACAUGUUUUUAUAUGAUUGCUUUAGUUAGUAACCUUAUGGUUCCUCCAUCGAAAGAAAAUAGAUUGAAUGGUAACUUGUUGUACCAUCAGUUAAUUAACCAUGAUUUUGAAGAUCUUACUUUAAGAAUUACACUGAGAAAAAGUUAAAUGUGACUCCUUUUAUCCUUAAUAAAAAGGUGCAAAAAAUCAGAGUAAUUCACCUUACAGUGUUCCAUAGGCAACAAUGACCAACUUAUUUCUCUUGUGUAUCUCACAUUAUUACAAGUACCAUGAUAAGUGAAACAAUGGAAUUAGAUUUUAUAAACGUACCUAAACCUAUUUUUUUUUUUUUUUAGAUUUUUUUUACACACUUAUGUAUUCGCAGCGCCGCAUACAAGUAUUUUUUUUUCCGAUUUUGUCUGGCGUCUGUUAUUAUUUGCUUAUCAGACCUUGCACUUUUCUAAUCAUACAGAGGCUUAAUUGGAAGGCUAUUUAUAAACUCGAAAUUGUCUUAUUCUCUGGACAAUUAACAUUGUUCUUACUAGCAGGUGUCGACAAUGUCUACUACAGAAAAGACAUGAUCCCAUGUGAGUCUGUUGAUUGCAUUGCCCCAUCGAUCCAAUCUUAUUUAGUUAGUCCUAAUUUGCCAUAAGCUUGACAAAAAAUGUUGUUACUUUAAUCAAAUAAAAGAAAUUUUUUAAAAAAUACACAAUCAAUCUCCCGUACUUUGUUUCUGAAAACUAAUUGAAUAUUAAAAAAAAAAGUUUGCAGACCUAACCUCAUGACAUGACAUAUCUGUUUCUGUAAUUUUUUUCCACCUGACUGGACAAUAAAAACAAUUGCCUAUACUUAUUCAAUUUAAAAUUUGAAUGGUUAUUUUACUUAAAAGGGAUAAUUUCAGAAACCUCUCCUUAGGUUUCUGACAAUUUCAUUGCUUUCCCCUGAGGUUUUAAAAAUAUCAUUAACCUCCCUUAAAACUAACGUUCUUGUAACAAAUUAGCCCAAUUCAAAAAAAUUGACAAUACAAAAAUGAUUUCAAGAGUGAGAAGAAUAUUUCAUACCAAAAGUAUCCCUUAACUUAUUACAAGUUGGUUGACUUAGAAUCAAAAGGGAAUAUUAGUUAAAAAUAGAAAAUAAAGACUAAACUCUAGCAUGAGCAUAAUAGAAUUUAUGGUCUGUUUGGUAGGACGUAAAAUAUUUUCUUUGAGAAAAUAAUUUCAUUGGAAGUCUUUUUCUUGAAAAAGUUUUGUUUUCUUUCUAAUUUUCAUCUAUUUGGUUACUUUGGAAAACAUUAGUCCUCACGAGUAAUUAAUUCAAUUCCUCACCAUAUCAAGAAAUCCUCUCCCAUCGCCGUCUCUGCCAUUCCUCUCUCGUCUCCCCUACAAAAAACUUUCCUUCACCGCGUACACCACCCCUGCCAUCAUUCUUUGACCGAGAAGAGAUUAAAGAAAUAGAUACAUGAGUGAUCAAUAUCAGUUUUCCAACUCAACCAUAAUCCAGUCAUAAGACAUUGAAGAUGACAAUGAAAUAAAACCAACUCUCACAAGAAUAUUUUUGUCGCUAAAAUUCUUUCAAAGAUCUAGAAGAUCUCGGAUUGAAAUUUCCAAAGCAAAAGCUGGACAUUGUUGGUGAUGUAUAGAAUUAGUUCAUCUCUCUCCUCUGUGGCCAAUCUUAAAAGACUUUCUUCCUCCUGUAAAAGUUCCUCUGAGAUCUCUUCUUUCUUUAUGCUGCAAAUCUCCUUGUUUUGUCUCUCUAGAUCCCCCCCUAUUUCUGUAGAUCUUAAUUGUUUUUGUAAAUCCAACACAGAUGCAAUGGGAUGUGCGAUAGGUUGGAUUGCGUUUGUAUGAGAGGAGGGAAUAACAUGGAAUGAACAGAGGGGCGAUGAAAGGAUCGAUGUUUUGCUGAGAGAUAUCGGACAAUUCCACCUGAACUAUUUCCUAUGGCCUUUUACAUCGUACGUUGAUGAAUGUAACUAAGGACAAAAGGGACAGGAUUAGAGGGUGGAAAAUAACUUCAGUAAGUUUAUAAGUAAAGUUAUUUUACACCCACUUAUGGAAAGGAUUUUACAAGAGAAAUCAUUUUCUCAGCGCUAAAUUGAACCAAACAGCGGAGAUCUUGGAAAAUAUUUUCUAGAAAAUCUUUUCAGUAACAAUGACUAUUUUUCAUAGAACUACAUAAAAUAGAAAAAUCAAAGUAUUGGAGAGGAAAAAUUGUUAAUUUGGAAUCAAGAUUUACACAUAAAAUUCCUAAACUCUUAGUAUCAGAAUUUGAAAGAUUUGAAUAGGAAUUGAACAAGACAAAGUAUGGCAUUUUCAAGAAAAAACAUCACAAUAGAUGGCUAAUGAUAAAAAGUGUAAAAUAUGGUAAAAUAUAUUAUGUUUUUUGAAUUAUUUUUUAACUUACAUGGUCCAUUAUUUCACAUGAUUAACAAGAAAUUUCCAUCAUUUGUAAUUAAAAAAAAACAACAACUCUCAAGCAACAUUUGGAUUAAUAAAAAGUGUAUGAUUUUAAUGGAAAGGCAAAUAGAUCAAAGUAGAAAAUUUUUUUUCUAUCCAUCUUCUUUGGAUUAUGUAUACAAAGAAAAGAAAAUAAACGCCAAAUAUUUUGGAAAAGAAAGGAAAGGAUAGAUUAUGUACAGUUACAUUUUAUUGCAUUUUAUCCAUAAUAAAAUCUAAUUGUAAACAUAUUUUAAUACUUUAUCCUCUUUUUUUUAUGUAUUUUUCAUAUUCAUCUUGUUAUUCUUAUGAAAAAUUCAUGAAAUAAUAAUAUUUUAAUAGGAAUUUUAAUCUUCUUUAGGAGAAAGAAAUUACAAGAACUACUAAAAUACAGAAAAAAAUUUUAAAAUGUUAACAAUUAUUGUUAUAAAAUUUAAUAUUCAAGAUUUUUAAAUUUUUUAUAUUCCAAAGUCAUGGUUAAUUUAGUUCAAGUGACUCAAUUGUUUCCGUCCAUAUAAAUACAUAAUAUUUCCUAAGUUGAAUGGAUAGUAAAGUCAUUUGACCAUCCAUGAGGUAAGCAUUGAGCCCCAAAUCGCUUAUAGGGGAGGUAAGUGAUAUUUUCAAAAUUUUGAAGAAGGGCAGUGAAAUUGUUAGAAACCUCAAGGAGGUUUCUGAAAUUGUCCCUACUUAAAAUUGAGAUAAGUUGGUAAUUCUUGAAAUGAGAACAAGAAAAGAACACAAAGAAAAUGCAUACUUGACCCCCUAAAUUAGCUACUUAAAUAAUGGGCUAAAAGGUGCUCGGCCUCGGAAGUUAAUACCUUGGAGUUUUAGAGGACUGACUCUCCAAGACUCCAACCAUUGUUGAAGCCAUUGCUCACAAGUUCUAUUGCUUGGGUUACCUUUAUAAGGGAGAAAGUCAUGACACAUGCCGUCGAUGCUAAUCUUUACAAGUCAUCCUUUUAAAGAUAAAACUGAAAGUAUCAAAAUAAGGCAUAGGUAACAUGUCAACUUGACUAGUUUAAUAAACUUCUUAAUUGGUCCAAGACGAAUCAUAUACCAUAUUCUGUUGCAAUUAGUGCCCACGAAUUCUAUAUAUUUCGGGCCCACCUUAGAUUGCUUGUUUAUCGGGCCGAUUUAUCCGUUAAUUUUCGUACUUAGUCUAAUUAAGUGUGUGUGUGUGUUUAUUUCUGUAUCCGGAAAAAAACAAAUCCAUAUUUGGUGAGGGUGUGCACGAGGGGUUGGGCUUCCAUCCCACAUUAGAAGAUCGUGGAGUCUUCAUCUUGGAUUUAAGGUCCAUGGGGUGUCCGUCCUGUCACCAAUUGACUGGAUUGAAUUGCUCUGUGGGUCUCCCUUAGAUUGCUUGUUUAUUGGGCCGGUUUAUCCGUUAACUCUCGUGCUUAAUCUAAUUAAGUGUGUGUGUGUUUAUUUCUGUAUCCGGAAAAAAAAAGAAUUCUAUAUAUUUCAAUCCUCAUAAAUUAAGUCGUCGUUGUAUUUAGCUAAUCCUAACUCAGUUUUUGACACAUGCUCAUUCAUUCACAUGACUGAGUCAAAGGAAAGUUGCCGGUUCUCCACUUAGCACUACAAGAUUUCAAACGGCACACAGGCCUUGAACGGGGCCGAAAAUAGAAUUGGCUUAAACUGAAAGAUGAUGAUAUAUAUAUCAAAAGUAAAUCAAGUGUAAUCCAAAACAUAACUGACUACAACUUUUUCAGGUACAAACAUGACUUGACAUUUGCAUCCUCUGAACUGAUGCGUACGACUCUUAAGCUUGAAUUUGAAUUCAUGUUUCUGUCUAAUGAUUUAGGGACGACUUCGAAAACCUCCCUAGAGGUGUCUGAUAAUUUCAAUUGGCUCCCCUAAAGUUUCAAGUAUUAUACUUACUUCCCCAAUUUUGAGUUUUAGUAGAGCAAUAUUAGCCCAUGUAUGCCAUCAAAAUUCAUAUAAAAUCCUAAAAUGUAUUCUCAUCCUCAAAUUAUCCUUCCACGGCUUAUAAAAAAAGACAACAAAUUAACUAAACAGAAUUAAAAAUUCAUUCAAGAUGUAAGAUAGUUAUUUGCCAAGAAAGAGUUAUAUAUGGCAUGUCACGAUGAUUAGGUACAUUUUAGGUUUAAAUACAUUUUACCCCCUUACAAUUAGGCGUUAGUAGCAAAUCGCCUCCCAUAUUCAUGAAACUUAUGAAUUGACCCCUGAUGAUAAAAGUCUAAUGUAUCUGGAUAGUAAAAAAGACAAUUUGCCCUCAUUGUUAUAAUAUUGUCCAAUGACUAUUUGUCUUUUUCUCUUUCUUCUUGUUUUUUUGCUUAUUAUUGUUUAAAUUUCUUUGCUACUAUGAAAUACAAAUUUUCAUAAUAAUGUGCUAAAGAAUAUCUUCUAAACAAUUUAAUUAUCAUAAGAAAUUAAAAUGUAUAUAUUUAUUCUAAAUAACACCUAUUUUAUUAACAAAUUCUUGUCAUGUAUUCAUUGUUACUAAAAAUAAUUAGUAUUUUAUUAACUUCUAUUUUCUCUUUUUAUUCAUCUACUUUUAUUCUUUAUAUUCAUCAAUGGUUCAUUUGACACUUAAUCAUAUACAGUUAUUUUUCUAUCAAAUAUUUAACUAUCAUAAAUUAUUACAAGAAACUAAAAAAUGUAUAUUUAGUAAUAGUGCGCUAUGUAAUUUCUAUUUUUUAUUAAUAAUUAGUGCAUCAUCAACAUCUUAUCAAUAAUUAAUACACAAAAAGAAAUAGUUAAAGAAAAUAGAAACUAGUUCAAGUUUUGUAUUAAAUAUGCACUUUCUCAUUUCAUAUGAUAAUUUGUGAUUGUUAAAUAUUUACAUAAAUAAAUAAGGAUAAAUAUAUUUACCUAUGAAAAGAAAUUAUUGACAAGAAAAUAAUAGAAUAUGUUAAACCAUAAAAUAAGGAUUCUUAAAUAUUGUAUUAUAAUCGGUGGAGUAAAAAGAAAUCUAAUAUAUAAAAGGAAAAAGGAUAAAGAAGAAAGAGGAAAGAAAAAGGAUCAUCUAAUAAUGUCUAAUAAUGAGAGCAAAAUUGAAUUUUUGUUAGAGACAUACAUUUGCCUAAUAGUCAACAAGGGAAAAUUAAUUUGUAGGUUUGUGAAUAAAGGGGGUAAUUUUCUCCUUGACCCUAGUUACAAGGGGGUAAUACACGAUUAAACCUACGCUUUAACCAAAUCAUUGAGAAUUAAAAUCUAAACCUUGAUUAUUAAAAAUACUUGGUGUUAAUUUAGAAUUAUAAAUUGAACUUUAGAAAAAGUGCUUGAAAUUUCAAAAGGAAAAAAGGGAAAGAUAUAUCCCUUAUGAGCAAUAAUGAAGUAGGCCACAUUAUCACACUUAGCGGUAUCUAAAAAAUGAGUGUCUUAAUUUGAUGAGUAGAAUUUGGUAAUUUUCGAAAGCAUUUCAAAGCAUGAAAUGGAAAAUUUUUUUCGACUUUGUUAUGAUUCAUCUAAACAGUUUACUCUAAAUAAUUUUGUAAGAUUGAUUUAUCUCAUUUAUACUGCAUUUCUCUAGUCCUUUUUUUUUUAAUUUUAGUAUGCAAACAUAAUUUGGAAAAGCAAAUGAUUUUCAAACUCUUAUAUGAUUUUUUUAAUAUAUGGACUAAUUUUGUCACACUAAAAUUCAAAAUAGGAGAGGUAAAUGUAAUAUUCAAAGUCUCGGGGAAACCAAGUGAAAUUGUCAAAAACCUCAAGGGGAGGUUUCUUGAUAUUAUCCAAUUGUAAUGUUCAUAUUUAAAUUUCACAUUUUUGUGAAUGGAUUGGUUGAUAAAGUAUAAACAUGUAUGUAAGACAAGUUUAGCUUUCAUUUCAAUAUGAUUUUUGUGCAUAUAAAUUCUUUGGAAAGAAAGAGGUGACAAGAACUUUGUUCUGUUUUCCUCAUGUCACGUGUGGCGGUUGCUGAGAUCAUAAUAAAGUUUCUUUUAUUUCCCUUUUAAUUCAUAUUUAAAUUGUACUGUUCAUAUUUAAAUUUCACAUAUUUGUUAAUGGAUUGGUUGAUAAAGGAUAAACAUGUAUGCAGGACAAGUUUAGCUUUCAUUUCAAUAUGAUUUUUGUGCAUAUAAAUUCUUUGGAAAGAAAGAGGUGACAAGAACUUUGUUCUGUUUUCCUCAUGUCACGUGUGGCGGUUGCUGAGAUCAUAAUAAAGUUUCUUUUAUUUCCCUUUUAUUUCAUAUUUAAAUUGUACUGUUCAUAUUUAAAUUUCACAUAUUUGUUAAUGGAUUGGUUGAUAAAGGAUAAACAUGUAUGCAGGACAAGUUUAGCUUUCAUUUCAAUAUGAUUUUUGUACAUAUAAAUUCUCUUGAAAGAAAGAGGUGACAAGCACUUUGUUCUGUUUUCCUCAUGUCAUGUGUGGUGGUUGCUGAGAUCAUAAUGAAGUUUCUUUUAUUUCCCUUUUAGUACCAAUCCAACGACAUUACAUGUUUGGAUUCAAAACGAACUAUGGAGUCGACUUUGGUACAUAAGUCAAUUUUAUUGACUCACAACUAGCGUACAUACAUGUACAUAUACAUAUAUAUAUAUAUAUACACACACACAUAGUGUAUAUGUAUGUAUAUAUGCAUACAUGUACACAUGUAUGAGUAUACAUUUUUCUCAAACAAAUGAAAUAAUGGAAAAAAAUUUUAUGCUAUAUUUUACCUAUAUCGAAUUAACUCUACACAUCUCAUAAGUCUUGUUUUGAAUGUUUUACUCAAAUUAUACUAUUGUUGCCCUCUCAAACAUGUAUAAAACUUAUAUGUUGUGCCCUCUCUCUCUCUCUCUCUCUCUCUCUUUUUUUAAGGAUUAGUACAAUGUAAACAAUAGCAUCCGAUAACAAAAUAAAUUACAAUUAAAAAAUAAAGAUAAAAGAAAGUAUAAUCCCAUUAGCAUUUUACUUGUAUUACAUCAAAUUGAAAUAAUUAGGGGUAUUAAUUAACAUAACUUAUAGAAGUUACAUAGAUGAUAAAAAUAGAGUACUAACUUUUGGGUCUUUGUAUUUUUUUUUUUGAAGUAUCUGGGUUUUCGGACUGAUAAUAUCUAUUGACCCAACUAAUCCUCUGCGGAUCGGGAGAGGCUGCCCAGCUUUUUCACCAACCGCUUUACCCGGGAUUCGAACCUUUGCGGAGGUACUUCCCCAACUGGGGUACUACCACCAGCUCUAGCCCUGGGGGGGCUAACUUUAAAUCUUGUAAUUUGGUCCAAUAUAUUUUCCUUUUUAAUCAAAUGUUUUUGUUAAAUUUCUUUUGAUUUGGGUAUCAUUUAUUGGUUACUAUGAAAUUUUUUAUUGAUAUUUUUAUAGUUCAUAGUCAAUUUAAUUUUUAGUAUUCAUUUUAGACUGUCUCUAUUAUUAAAAAUAUUUAAAUGCUAGUUAUCUUCUUGUAAUUUUUGAACUUUGAAUUUUUGUACGUUUGGUGGCUUGCCUCCUCAACUAUAAGACUCUGGUUCUGUUCAUAUGUAUAAUGCAUACGAUGAAUGAUCUAAGUUUUUUCAUAACAAAAGAUUUUCAAAACAUUUAAUAAGUAUCAUAUAUAGUUACUAGAAUAUUCUUUAGGCAGAAGAGGUUUUGAUCCUGUGAUUAAAGUUGAGAGACAAAGACUUGAGGUUUUGGAUUCAUAUUCUUCUCCUCCUUCCCGUUUUUUAAAUCUUGUACUUCUUCCGUUAGGAAAAAAAAUAAAAAAAAAUUACUAGAUUAUUCAUCACCGCUAUCUCCAAAAUAGGCUGUCCAUUGGCCUGUCCCUCGUAAUCCUGACGAUUACUACGGUGAGCAUUUUGAACUUUAUCGUGAUUGUAAUGAUAAUAUCGUACCAGAUGUUAUGUAGGGAGUCGUGAUUCAUAUAUGAGGUUAAACAAGGAGUUUCAUAGUUGGCUUAGAAAAGAUUAUUAAACAAAAACCCUUAAUCAAGAGCGUUCUUCGUGCAAUUACCUGAACACAAAAUAAGAAAAAAAAAUUACAUAGGGAUAUAUUAUGAAAGUCAUGAACCACAUGAGAGAGUUUGUUUUUAAUUUACACUUUCGGGCUCAUAUUUGCAUUGUACCUGUAUAAAAUGAACUCAUUAAAGAAAUGAUCAUUACAAAUUCUAGAACUGGGUGAAACAUAUUAUUUGAUUUGAUCUUUUACAUGCCUAUUUUAUCAAUCAUGGAAGUGAAUGUCAUUCAAUUUUCAAAAUAGAUUUAGAUACAUCUAUAUCUUUUAAACUUAUAGUUUGGCUAACGAGUAUCCAUUCGACACUCAAUAAGAAGGGAUUCAAGUGUUAAUUUUAGAAAAAGUAUGGUUAAUUUGAAAAAGCAUUACAAUUCAAGGGAUCCAAUAAAUGUGAGUCUAUAUUUACAUGGUAAUUUAGACGUGUUUCAAGUGUUUUAACAAAUAUCCUACUGGCACUCCUCACUGGAAAAAUUUUAUUUAUAUGUAGGAUUCUACAUUUGCUCCGAAAUGACUCGCAUCUUAUUAUUGAACUAUUUAAAACAUACAAUUCAAAGAUUAGGUUAUAAUAUGAACUAUUUUGUUUUAGAUAAUGCAGAAUUAAGAUUCUGCGAUUAGAUCAUCGCCAUUAAGGAGUAAAUGAAAAUCAUCCAGACACGCAGUAAUUCUUGGCAAAUAAUUUGACGCAAACAUAAGGCAUAUAUAUAACAAAAAAUUUAAUAAUAUAUGCUCGGAUGCUCAGGCUACAACCAUGCAAUUAAUUACUCUUACGAAAAAAAAGAAAAAGAAAGCAUGUUGUUGUUUUGUCAGAGCCGCAAGCUUUGACUUGUGGCAUAAUUUUUUCAUUUCCUUCUCAUCCCACAUCGGAGCCUGCUGAAGAGAAGCCGGCUACUCGAGGCCUAUAAAUAGAAGGGUCCAUUGAAGGAUUUAAUUUGCACCACUCAAGAGAGUUAUAUGGGCUAUUAGCUUCUUGAGUCAUAUAGCCCAUUUAGUUAAAUAUUUUAGGCUCUCUUGUUUUGAGUUUAGGAAUAUUUUCUAAACUCUUUUGUAAGUGCCUAUUGGCCUAGGAACCACUUUCCUACGGCUUUUGUAUUUCUUCUUCAUAGUAGAAAUAUUGCUCCUCCCUCGCCCGUGGACGUAGGUCAAUUUGACCGAACCACGUAAAUCUUCUGUGUCUUUUAUUUGCUUUGUUAUCCGUCUUUAUAUGGUCGGUUUUACCGCCUAAUUAUUAUAUGGCUGGUAUCUACCGCCUAUCUAUUAUAUGGUCGGUUAUACCGCCUACUUUGUGCUAACUUGAAUUUGUCUACUUCCUGACCCGAUCCUAACAAACUGGUAUCAGAGCUGGUUGUUAUAUUUUGCAAGACAGGUUCAUCUGGUGGGGCCCGUUCAUCUGGUGGGGUCCGUCCAUCCUGUGGGGCCCACUAAUCCUGUGGGGUUCGUUUAUCCGUGGGGCCCGCUCACCUUGUGGGGUCCGUUCAUUCCCGUGGGGCCCGCUUAUCUCGUGGGGUCCGCUCACCCUGUGGGGCCCGCUUACGAGACUUGCAUAUUUGUUUGGCCAGUUUUUUUGAGACAAACUUCAGGUUACAGAUUUUGUGGCAACAAUGACGAUAACAAAGACGGUUGUCGAGAAAUUCGACAGGAAUGUCAACUUCGGCAUGUGGCAGCUCAAGAUGGAGGCCAUUCUUGUUCAAGACGGAGUUGAUUUGGCAAUUCAAGGAAUUGAGAAAAAGCCAGAAGAUGUGACAGAUGCAAAUUUUGCUGAGAUGGAUAAGAAGGCAAGAUCCAGUAUUAUCCUAAAUCUCUCCGAUGAGGUAUUGCGUGAGGUAGCAACGGAGACUUCGGCCAAGGCUAUGUGGGAUAAAUUGAAAGCCUUGUAUAUGAAGAAGACAGUCGAGAAUCGACUAUAUUUGAAGCAGAGUUUGUACAUGCUUCGGAUGUCUGAAGGUACAUCUAUACUCUCCCAUCUUGAUAAAUUUGAUUCCAUUAUUAUGGAUUUGGAGAAUAUAGAUUCGAAAAAUGAUGUUGAAGAUCAAGCCCUAUUACUUUUGUGUUCCCUUCCCCAAUCCUUUAAGUAUUUUCGUGAUACUAUGAUAUAUGGAAAGGAAACAAUUUCGUAUCGGGAAAUUAAAUCUGCAUUAAAAUCUAAAGAGCAGAUAGAUAGGGAUAUUACUGGGGAAACUAGUGGGAGUCAAGCUGAUGGCUUGUUUGUUCGGGGUAGAUCUGAAAAGAGAAACACAGAAAAUAGAAAUAGAUCCAAGUCCAGACAUAAAAAUGUGGUGUGCAAUUAUUGUAAAAAGAAGGGCCAUGUUAUCUCUGAUUGCUUUAAAUUGAAAAAUAAAGAAAAGCAAAAGGGAAAAUUUGUUGAGAGAAAUACUGAAUCCGCUGAAGCUAGUAUAGCAGCUGAUGAGAAUGAUGGAACCAUUUUCUGUGCAACGGAAAAUAAUUUUAGGUCUAACAAUGAGUGGAUUUUAGAUUCGGGUUGUUCAUAUCAUAUGUGUCCCAAUAAGGACUGGUUUUCAACAUAUGAAUCAACUGAAGGUGGAGUUGUCUUAAUGGGCAACAACGCUGUUUGUAAAGUUGUUGGCAAAGGCACAAUCCGGAUUAAAAUGUACGAUGGUAUUGUGAGGACGCUCACAAAUGUUAGACAUGUUCCAGAUUUGAAGAAAAAUCUCAUCUCUUUAGGCACUCUUGAGUCUAUCGGGUGCAGGUAUUCAGGUGGAGACGGAGUUCUUAAAAUCACUCGAGGAGCUCUUGUUGUUAUGAAGGCACACAGAUCUGGUACUUUGUAUAUUUUGCAGGGAUCUACUGUGACAGGUGCUGCUGCUGUUUCAACAUCAUCUUUGUCAGAUACUGACAUCACCAAAUUAUGGCAUAUGCGUUUGGGGCAUAUGAGCGAAAAAGGCUUGGGCAUACUGAGCAAAAGAGGACUUCUGUGUGGACAAAGUACCGGUCCAUUGGAAUUCUGUGAACAUUGUAUUUUUGGGAAGCAGAAAAGAGUCAGCUUCAGUUCACCAGCAAUUCACAAGACAAAAGGUACUCUUGAUUACAUUCAUUCAGAUCUAUGGGGUCCUUCUCGUGCUCCUUCUAAAGGUGGUGCCAGGUACAUGUUGACUUUCAUUGAUGACUAUUCAAGGAAAGUUUGGGUCUAUUUUCUUAAACACAAAAAUGAUGUUUUCCUAACUUUCAAGCAAUGGAAAGUUUUGAUUGAGAAACAAACAGGAAAACAUGUUAAGCGGUUGAGAACAGAUAAUGGCAUGGAAUUUUGUGGAGGUGAAUUUAAUGAAUUUUGCAAAAAUGAAGGAAUUGUUCGGCAUCACACCGUCAGGAUGACGCCUCAACAAAAUGGUGUGGCCGAACGUAUGAACAGAACGCUUUUGGAGAGAGCAAGAUGUAUGAUCUCCAAUGCAGGGUUGACAAACGACUUUUGGGCAGAGGCGAUCAAUAUGGCCUGUUAUAUUGUCAACCGUUCUCCUUCUGCAUCUCUUGAUUUCAAAACUCCUGAGGAAGUUUGGUCAGGUACUCCUGCUGAUUACUCCAAUUUAAAAGUUUUUGGGUGUCCAGCAUACAUGCACGUGAAUGAUGGAAAAUUGGAGCCUAGGGCUAAAAAGUGCAUUUUUCUUGGGUAUGCUUCUGGGGUGAAAGGAUACAGAUUAUGGUAUCCUGAUCCCAAAUCCCCAAAAUUUGUAAUCAGUAGAGAUGUUACUUUUGAUGAAUUGUCUAUGUUAUCUUCCAAGAAGGAGUCUUCUAGUCCUUGUACUAUUGAUAGUACACAGAAGCAAGUGGAGCUUGAUAUUGGCAGUUCUGGUCCUUCUCAAUCCAAAUCUUCUAUUCAGCAAGUGCCAGUAGAUGCACCUGAAUCUACUGUUGAAGAUAGUUCAGAAGAAGAUGAGUAUUCCAUAGCCAGAGAUAGAGCAAGGAGAGAAAUUCGACCACCACAAAGAUAUGCAAAUUUAGUUGCAUAUGCUUUGUCUGUUGCAGAAGAAACUGAUGCAGUUGGUGAGCCUUCCACCUAUUUAGAAGCAGUUUCUUGUGAUGAUUCUGCAAAGUGGUUGAUUGCGAUGAAUGAAGAAAUUGAAUCUCUUCAUCAGAAUGAAACUUGGGUUCUUGUAAAGCCGCCGUCAGCUAAGAAAAUUGUUGGUUGCAAGUGGGUCUUCAAGAAAAAGAAAGGUAUUCCAGGGGUUGAAAAUGCAAGGUAUAAAGCACGAUUAGUUGCAAAGGGCUAUAGUCAGGUACAAGGUGUUGAUUUUAAUGAUAUAUUCUCACCUGUUGUUAAACAUAGCUCUAUUCGUGUUUUGCUUGCUUUAGUUGCCAUGUAUAAUUUGGAGUUAGAACAGCUCGACGUUAAGACAGCUUUCUUACAUGGCGAACUUGAAGAACAAAUUUAUAUGAGACAACCCCAGGGUUUUGAAAUUGAAGGUAAGGAAGACCAUGUUUGCUUGUUGAAGAAAUCCUUAUAUGGAUUGAAGCAGUCUCCAAGACAAUGGUAUAAAAGGUUUGAUUCCUUUAUGUUGGGUCAUGGUUAUUUGAGGAGCAUGUAUGAUAGCUGUGUUUACUUCCGGAAGUUAAAUGAUGGUUCUUUCAUUUAUUUGCUGCUUUAUGUUGAUGACAUGCUCAUUGCUGCCAAGAAUUUGUCAGAAAUUCACACCUUGAAACUGCAGUUAAAUAGUGAAUUUGAAAUGAAAGAUUUAGGAGCAGCUAAAAAAAAUUCUUGGCAUGGAUAUCAAUCGAGAUCGAGGAGUAGGAAAGUUAUUUUUGACCCAGAAAAAUUACCUUGAGAAAGUCUUGGAGCGUUUUGGCAUGAAAGAUGCUAAACCAGUAUCUACUCCUCUUGCUAGCCAUUUUCGGCUAUCUGCUGCUCAAUCACCAAAAUCAGAUGAAGAGGAAGAUUAUAUGGCACGGGUUCCUUAUUCCAGUGCAGUCGGCAGUAUUAUGUAUGCAAUGGUUUGUACUCGUCCAGAUAUUGCACAAGCAGUCAGUGUUGUUAGCAGAUAUAUGUCUUGCCCUGGUAAAACACAUUGGCAGGCUGUGAAGUGGAUUCUCAGAUACUUGCGAGGUACUUCAAAUGUAUGUUUGGAGUUUGGAAGAAAUAAUAACACUUUGGUUGGUUUUGUAGACUCAGACUACGCUGGGGAUCUUGACAGGAGAAGAUCACUUUCAGGCUAUGUAUUUUGCAUUGGCAGUUGUGCUGUUAGUUGGAAAGCUACUCUACAAUCUGUCGUAGCUUUGUCUACUACUGAAGCAGAAUAUAUGGCUGUGACCGAGGCAAUCAAAGAAGCCUUGUGGUUGAAGAGUUUAUUUAGCGAGUUAAGUCUAUAUCAAGGUGUUACUGAUAUUCACUGUGAUAGUCAAAGUGCCAUACACUUGACUAAAGAUCAGAUGUAUCAUGAGAGGACAAAACAUAUUGAUGUGAAGUAUCACUUCAUUCGGGAUAUCGUUGCUGAGGGAAAAGUCCUUAUUCAGAAAAUCAAUACUAAGGACAAUCCAGCCGAUUUGUUUACGAAACCUCUUCCAAUUUACAAGUUCAAACAGUGCUUGGACUUGAUUGGUGUUCGCUUGUGAUUUAAGCCCAUUGGGGCUUAUGUGAAGAAGGUGGAGCAAUUUUUACUAUUGUCGAUGAUAGAAUUCAAAAUUAUGCCAAGGUGGAGAUUUGUUGUUUUGUCAGAGCCGCAAGCUUUGACUUGUGGCAUAAUUUUUUCAUUUCCUUCUCAUCCCACAUCGGAGCCUGCUGAAGAGAAGCCGGCUACUCGAGGCCUAUAAAUAGAAGGGUCCAUUGAAGGAUUUAAUUUGCACCACUCAAGAGAGUUAUAUGGGCUAUUAGCUUCUUGAGUCAUAUAGCCCAUUUAGUUAAAUAUUUUAGGCUCUCUUGUUUUGAGUUUAGGAAUAUUUUCUAAACUCUUUUGUAAGUGCCUAUUGGCCUAGGAACCACUUUCCUACGGCUUUUGUAUUUCUUCUUCAUAGUAGAAAUAUUGCUCCUCCCUCGCCCGUGGACGUAGGUCAAUUUGACCGAACCACGUAAAUCUUCUGUGUCUUUUAUUUGCUUUGUUAUCCGUCUUUAUAUGGUCGGUUUUACCGCCUAAUUAUUAUAUGGCUGGUAUCUACCGCCUAUCUAUUAUAUGGUCGGUUAUACCGCCUACUUUGUGCUAACUUGAAUUUGUCUACUUCCUGGCCCGAUCCUAACACAUGUGAUGAUAACUCUAGCCUUAAACUAGUAUAAUGUGUGUAUGCAAGUUACCAUGUUUUGUAAGAUAUAUUCCACUUUGAACUUUUAGAUUAUAAACACCUUUCUACUUUAGAUACUUAGCCCCUAAAUUAUGAAAUUUAUCUUAUUUUAGUCCUUAAAUUUCAAUUCUAGACACUUUAUCCUUUAAAAUAUGAAAUCUACUCUACGGAAUUGUCAAAACUAAUGAAAUAGUAGUCAAAUGUUGUUCAAAAUUUAAAGAUUAGUUUAGGGUGCAUUCUAUACUUUGGAUGGUAAAGUGUUCAAAAUUGAAAUUUAAGAACUAAAAUAAGAUGCAUUUCGUACUUUAGGAUGUAUUGUUUCCAAAUUUAAACUUUAACGACUAAAGUGGAAUAACCUCUAUAGUUUAAAAACACAUUAAGUUAUUACUAGAAGAAGAAUAAUUUACUUGGUGAGGCAGCCUGACGAGUCGACACAUGCAUGGAUGUCUUCCGCUCCAUUCUUCACCUUCUGCGCUCCAUCAAAGGAACCUCUCUCUUGACAAUGGAGGGCAGAAGGCUCCUUUUGAAGCGCUGAUAUCAAUCGUCGUUGUCUCGUGUACUCCUUGUACAUUUUAAUAGAACUCAAUCAUUGUUCCUUUAGUCACAUUUGCUAUAUAUAAAAUGCCAAAACUUCUUAGGAUUUUCAGAGAAAAGCUCUAAGCAGCCGGAGUUGACCAGCAAGAUAGCCUUCCUACUUCCCCUUGACCACUAGCUUCACAUAUCUUCCUCAAGAUUUGAUGGACAAUUCAGUCGGUUCAUGGUUCUCUGAGCUGGUAAGAAUUGUGUUUUUAAGAAUUGCGUUUUUCCUAAUCAGUUAAAUCGCUAGCUAUUUGAACAUUAUUCACUGUUUCUUGAAGCUGAGUCAAUACCAUCUCUUAUAGAUGAAAGAAAGAAUCUAUCCUAAGCAGUAGUCUUUGAACUCAUAAGCACCAUGAAUACUAACAAGUUUAUACGUUCGCCUGGACUCUGAUGCCAUACAUGCACGUAGAGGGAGAAUAUCAUUUAUUAAGAACCAUGCUAAUGAUUUAUCCGUUUGCUAUUGUUGUUUAUUAUUUUCACUAAUAUAUAUCAAUCAUGCAAGGGAUCGAAGAUGAUAAUCACCACAUCUUUUGUGAUGUUUUAAGUAAACGUAAGCCUUAAAUUUACAUAUUUCAUAUUCUCCUCAACUGUUUUUAGAUUUUUGUUUCAUUUUUUUUUCGAGUAAACCUAAGUGCUCUGUUAAAUUCUUUCAUUUUCCCGUGCAAGUAGAGAACCAGCAUCUCACAUACGUUUCUUUAUUGACUUGUUAAUUUUUGGUGGUACAAAGCAUCCCUUCAUCCUUAGCAAGCUGUCAAUGGAAGAUUAAGAAACAAAGAAACGUAAAAAGGAAUAACGGCAUAAGAAGUAGCCUUCAUUACUUCCUCAACAUGUUUUGGUUACCGGAAGAAAACAAGUUUACUUCGAUAUAGUUGUUGAUCCUUAGAAAUUUCUGAUUGAUGUAUGGUUGAUCCGUAUCCUAUUAUUCAAAUCCAUUUUAAAAAGAUAGAUUACUCAACGGACAAAUCACACACAAAAUUUUAGUCUUACUUUUGUAAAAUCCAAUUUGCUAUUGCUUAGGAUGCAAAAUUUAGUCUUGCAAAAGUUCAAAGGCUCCAUUGAUUACUGAAAAAAUGAUUAUGGUGCAUCCCAUUAAUUCCUAUUUCAACACAGGGGAUGGAUGAUCCACAUUUCGAUGAGCAAUGUGAUAUCAUGGACUUUUUCGAUGAAGAGUUAUCUGCUGCACUAGGAGAAGAUUUGCAAAACACUUUGUCCCAAGAAGACAAUACAUAUUCCUCCCAGGAAGUUCCAUUUCCCCAUUGCGGGUUUCCUGAAAUUAACCUUAAAAAUACAUAUUCCUCCACCUUAAUUCCAAGAAAUAGUUCCACAACCAAUUUAUCUGCACUUUCAGCCAUGGAAGCUCCUCUAGUUAGUACUGAAAUACCAACAAAGCAGAAAAUUCUAAGAGCUCUACUUCGUCCAUUAAUCUUAAUCAACCUUGCUGCUCCCCAAUGGUUCUAACUUUUGGAAAUUGUCAACAAGUAACACUAGGAAGUUUUAGUCCCGAGGGUGAUACAAUGUCUGAGGUUUUAUUAUCCCAAGAAUCCCAUAUGAAUCUUAAGGAUGCAAUUAUUAAAGAUACUCGAAAGAAAAAGAAAAAGAAAACUGCCCGUCGCGUGAGGCCAGCAUCGCAAACUUAUGAUCACAUAGUAGCUGAAAGAAAGCGAAGGGAGCAGAUCAGCCAGCGUUUUGUGGCUCUCUCAGCCUUAGUCCCUGGCCUGAAGAAGGUAUCUAGUAUUUUUUUUCUUUUUAUUUAACGUCUAUCCCAACAUUUUUGUUCCAUUAUCUUGAUGAUAGAAAAGUUUGAUGAGACUUUAAAAAUUGUGAUGUCAUGCCUCAUGUCACACGCGACUAAUUAAAGUAAUCACUGUACUAGACAAUAAUAUCUCGUGGGCACUGAUAAAAAUUUUUGCUCCAAUGUCUUUUUGCCUAAAGCUAAAGAGGUCAAAGUUGAAGCGAAUUUAUCAUUGGUCAAUAUAAAAUGCAGAGUUUUUUGUUCUGAUUCCCAUUAAUAUAAAGGAAUGUAUAAUGUAAGCUUGUAUGUGCAAUUGCUCUAUCCUCAAAAUAGAACCAUUCAAUCAAAUUGGUUUAGCUAGUUUUUAGGCUACACUGCAGAUGAGUUCAAUUCCUAUACUAACUUCGGUAGGGACGAAAAACUUUCUCAUCCUAUUUUCUUUACGGCUUCAGAUGUUUUCCACAUGGUUUGUCUGAUGAUGAGAUCUUAAUUUCUUGCAGAUGGAUAAAAAUUCUGUUCUUGGAGAUGCAAUCAACUACUUAAAACAUCUUCAGGAGCGAGUGCAGACGCUCGAGGAACAAGCUGCCAACCAACGCAGGGAAUCUUCCGUGCUUAUGAGGCGAUCACAGCUCUUAAUCGAAGAUGAAGGAUCAUCAGAUGAGAUGGGCUGCACCGAUGAGCAGAUUCUACCUGAAAUUGAAGCUAAAGUAUGCAAUAAGAAUAUUCUUCUGCGAAUCCACUGCAAAAAUCACAGAGGGUUGCUGGUAAAAAUACUGUCUGAAAUUGAAAAGCGCAAUCUCUCUGUUGUCAAUACAAAUGUUGCACCUUUUGGAAGUUUGGCUCUUGAUAUUUCCAUUAUUGCUGAGGUGAGCUUUAUCCAGUCUAAUCUUAUUAAUUGGGAAUACUGCGUUCUUAUUUGUUUCUUUUGAACUAAUGAUCCCUUAUAAAACUUUGUUUCAGAUGGACAAAGAAUUCAACCUCACAAUGCAGGAACUAGUGAGAAGGCUUCGAUCUGCUCUCCGGCAAGUUCAACAGUCUGAUUGAAUGCAGAAUCAUCUCCAAUUCUGAUGGUGUAGGACUAGGAGUGGCUGCCUGGUUUAUCUAAUGAAAUUGCAAUGGACUGAAGAGUGAAGCCCAGUGGUUAAGGACUGAAAGAAUGGUCACGAAGCCAGACUAGUGACCAGAAUGCCAAUCAUUCUUGUAUUGUCAAUAGGAUAACUUUUGGCAACAUUAGACUAAAAUUUGCACCCACGAGGGUCUCGUGGGCCUUUGAUUGCUUCUGUGGAUUUUGUUUUCUUGUAUGUUCAUUAUAUCAAUGUCCGGCAUGAUGAGGAGCUUUCACCUACAGUGGUAUAGUAUAAUAUACAAUGGCUUGGUCCUCAAAUAUUCCUUCAACUGGGGACCAUUAUUUAGCUUGUCAUUUUAUGGGCAUGAUGAAGCCUUAACCGCUAAAGAAUACUCAAAUUAACACUCUACCAUUUUUUUUUCUUUAAAGUGAUCAAAUAUCUCAUAAAAGCAUAGUGUAGAAGUUGCAUUUUGUUAGCUUUUGCAAUUAAUCUUUCUUUUUACAGUUAGUUUUGGGGUUAAUUAAGUUCAACAGGACUUUAUUACAUCAUUUACUAUAUACUUCACGUUUAUGUAACCUCUAUCUGACUGUUGGGAAAUUUUCAUCUACCAUGUUUAGGACUAAUUUAGGAAGAAAAGAAGUGAUGAAAUUCAAGUGGGUAAGCUAAGUGUACAACAGUUCGAUGCACACGCUGUAAUUGGUUUGUGUAACAUGUGAUGAUCAGUUUCUUAAAUGCUGCUUAUGUAUGCAAAUUGACUAAACUAUCAAUCAAAAGCAAAAGGUAGUCCAUCAUAUUGCAAACCACUGGAACCUUAAGAAAAGCAAUUGAACUUCUGCAAUAGAUGGGACUCGUUAAAAUCAGUAAUUGAGGAAUGUUUUAGUAAAAUAUUGGUGCAUGAGAGUGAAGUAGCAUCUGAAGAGCACGAUCCAAGUGUAACUAUAGAAACCUUUCGCCUUUUCCUGCAUUUGUUUGAGGUUAACUACUGAAAAACCCGAGAUAAGCAAUUGAACACCUCCAAACAAUAGGGCUAAUCAAAAUUAGUAAUUGAGGCAUGUUUAAGACAACAUUAAUGCGUCAGAGGUGAAAUAUCAUUUGAACCUUGGUUCGAAGACUUGGCCGAGUCGUCUCGGUCUCGGCCCAGUCCGAUACGAUAUCGUGACGAAAAGAUACUAAAAUACUUGACUCGCCGAAAAAUAGGUCGAGACGUCAUCACGACGGGUUGAAACAGCCCAGUCACAUCGAGUCACUCCGAGUUAUCCCGAGUCAAGUUGAAUUCAACAAAAAACCUUUAACAAAAAAAGGAUUAAAAAGGGGAAAUUCGGGGACCUCUCUACCGCCUGUGUCAAUCUCCUGUCAAGUAUGCUAAUACUGAUGCUCCUUUAUACAGGGAAAGAAAUGCGACUGAUGGGCACAUCAUAAAAGACUUCGUGGGGCCUUCUUUAGAUUAAUCAUAGUGGUUUCCUAUUCUAUUACCAGACAUAAUUGGGAGAAGCACUAGGACCGCAGCUCAAUUACAUCGACCCUUGGAGUAAAAACUAUAGCUAGAUCCCAACACAUGAGAAGGAGAAGUCAAUAUCAAAAUCAUUCAUUGGAAAAUAGAAACAAAUUUGUCAAAGUACUGAUCAUGUGAAAAGAUGCGUUUAUAUUAUUCCAACUUGGUUCAAGUAUAUGUACCUUCACUUUAUUUUUCUUUUCUUUCAAAGGCUAUCACUUCCAACUUUCUUUUCCAAAGUUAUCACUUUAUUUUUCUUUCAAAACUGGCAGGCAUCCAAGGUGAUAGAAUAAGUGAGAGGAGAAAUGCCCAAAAAUGAACUGGAAGACCACCCCAGUCAUGGUACUCUUCUUACGAACUCUUAUGCCACGGUGGGAUCCGCCUGGAGUUUUGUUCUUCAAAUAGGAUGUCCAUAAUGCGGCUGCCAUUCUUAUAUCGGUUUUGCUUGGCUUUUUCCUGCAACUUUCUGGAGCUUUGACACUUUUGUACGAAACUCUUUAAAUAAAAGACUAGACUAGUAAUUUUAUGUGUCGGCGCAAGAGUCCACAGAUUUAAAAUUUUUAUGCUUUCUCUCAUCUCUGUUCUUAUUUGCACUACAAGAAUUUUGGUCAUCAGUGAUAACUACUUUUCGUCACAAAUAAUAAAAAAGUCGUCACUGAUGACCAUUAUUGACAACAUUUCAGUUGUCGCAAGGUCGUCAUUGAAUCUCCGUCGGUAAAAGUAUACAGUGACGACUUUAAAGUCGUCAGUAAAUAGAACCUUUUUUAUGACAAUCUAUGUUGUCAGUAAAAGAUGAAAUUAUACAGUGACGACUUUAGAGUCGUUAGUGAAUGAAACUUUUUAUGACAACAUAUGUCAUCAGUAAAAGCUAUAAAUUUAGUGACAACACCUUCUCUUGUCAGUGAUGCAAGUGAUGCAUGAAGGGACGAUAGUGAGGGCAUAGGAGAAUUAGUGACGACUUUUGUUGUCGAUAGUGAGGGCAUAGGGGAAUUAGUGACGACUUUUGUUGUCGAUAGUGAGGGCAUAGAGGAAUUAUUGACGACUUUGUUGUCAAUAAACCCCUGAUCAACUGUGGCAACAUUCCCUUAUCAAUAGACAGUUUUGAUUGAGUGACAAUAACAAUUGUCAAUAAAGACAUCCUGCCUAGAAAAAUACUACUCAUUUACAACACCUUACACAUGACUUUCCUACUACAAUAAUAUCUAAAAAAUGAAAAUAUCAGCAAUGUUUAAUAAAUAACAAAUGUAGGCACCGUUACAAUAGAAUAUGCCAAAAUAAUAUAUUAAAUAUUCAAAUGUCAUAAAUAAGUGCAACAUCAUAGUACAAAUAGUUUCAUAAGUUUGAGUAGAACAAAUACUACUCAUAUUAGUCAAAGCUGCACUAAAAAACAUAUUCCAAGUCCCAAAACAUUUCCUGCGCUUCUGAAACAUUUUCUAAACUUAAGACAGCACUAUAACCACAGUUUUUGAGCCGACAUGUAAGCCGUACUGCUAAUCUUCUUCGAAACCUCCAAAAUGAGCAAUAUAUCUGCAAUAAAGUAGUAAAGUUAUUAGUAAAGUUAUCAGAUGACAAAAGCAAAACAGUCUCUAAUUGCUAAAUAAACAACAAAAGUAACAAGCAUUCACUAAUCUGAUACCACCGUAAUGAAUGCAGCAAUUGCAGCAGAAAUAGAGUGAUAAGGGGGAGAGAAACUAGACUUGAGAAAGAAGAAAGAGAGAUAUUAUUCAAAAUGAUUUUUCCAUGUUGCCCAAUCUAGAUUUCUGCAUUCUUAUACAGCUCAAGAAUAACAAAAUAACUACUUGAUUGUUGACUCAGCACAACAGUCUAACUAACAAGGAAGAUUCCCUUUAACUACUUGAAGGAAAUACAUUUCGCAUGUACUAUACUGGUAUUCUUCAGGUGAAAUACUAUACUAGAAAUACAUUAAUUCUUCAAGUUGAAACUGACAAUCCACUGCAGAGAGACCAAACAGUACUAUACUGGUAUUAAAGGCUAGACGGACACAAAUUAAUGGAAGGGGAGAAGAUGGAGAAGGGGAGAGUAUGUGUAACAGGUGAGCAAGGAGGACUAGGUAGGUAGGUGGCAGUUCUUCUCAUGGCUGGUAAGACAUAACAAAACUGUUUACCCCAAUGAAGAAAAAGCAAUCUUUAGAACUGAAGUCUGUAGAGCUGAAUCGGAUUCCACCCUGCAUGCCAUUCGGAGGAUUGUAAAUGGAUUGGUGGUCUGUGGACAAAAAAAAAUUAGUGCACAGGAGUGUGUGUAGGAGGAAAGAGUUGGUGGAUUGGAUUGAUGAUCCGAAUUUGAUUGCUGAAGACAUCGGUGGGGUAGAAAAAUCUUGUUUCUGCAAAUUUUGCCUGGAUGUCAAGAAAUGAUAUGUUUUUGCUACAAUGGAUGGAAACAGGGAAAAACUGGGAACUGUGAUAAUUGCAGGCCUUAUCUACUACACAAGAUGCCGUGGUUGACUACCAAAGAACGAGGAGUGUUAACGGUUGUAAAGAGGAGGUUUGUCACAAAUGAAGACCAAUUUUGGCAUUAGCAAUGUUUCUUUAAUCUGUCAAAAUACUAUCAAAGAUGAAUAAAUCUUCUGUUUUGCUCGUCCAUCACUACUAUACUACCACUCUGCUAUACAAGAGGAAUAUUCCUUUUAGAAUAGUCACGUAAUCAAAUCAGUAAUCUUACAAUACAAGUCAGCGAUUGAUAAAAUGUUCACGUAAUCAAAUGCAGUAUUCUCCCAACCCAACACAAGUCGGAGAUUGAUUAAAUUGUUCACUUAACACUUGGGACUGUAUAUCUUGUUCCGUCAAAAGUUUUUAGCUAACUCAUUGGCCAUGAAAAGUUUUUAGCUAACUCAUUGGCCAAAUGACAAUAAUAAUCUUUUCUAUUCUUUAGCCCUUCUAUGCUCCUCAAAUUAAUAUCAUGAAACAGAAACACUAUUGAAGCUUUUUUUUUGUGUAAUGUUAUUGUUUCAUGAUAACAAAGCUAUGAUAAAGCCACAAAUGUACUCCCAGGAUCAAAACACCAUCUGAUUAGAACCUUGUGUUGACAGAAGUAAUUCUUAAAUGUCCCUCCUCAGUCUUGAUAUUACAAGUUAAUAUUGUCACCUACCAAUAACUAAUUUGCAAUAACUUAUGUUAACUUUAAACCAUAGCAGCCAUUAUAUCUAUUUAGACAAGUAUAUAUAGUUGAAAAAUUGCUUACCAAUCAGUUCGUUCAGAUGUGCCUUCAUCGUCUUACUUGUUGGCUUGUAGCUGUGCUUUCAAAGAUUUAAGGAGAUCUUGCAUUUCACUUUGUUGGUUCUGCAUUUCACUUUGCUGGUUCACAAGCUUCUCCAUAAGUUGUUGUUGAGAUUGGACCGUUAUUUCCAACUCAGCUGAGCGCUUCUCCGCUUGUUCUGCUCUUUUCUUGAAAUCAUCUAUCUCUGCAAGCUUUUGGGCAAUUAUUCCAGCUUUGGAGGGACCACGGCCAUGUACGUAUCCGGUUACACGUCCAGUUACUUCAAUGGAAAUGUCUUCUUCAGUCCUAUUUGCACCACUGGAUUCAGAUUCCAACUUUUUCUCCUUCAUCAUGCUCUGUCACAAAGGUAAAUUCUGAAGUUAGACUUUCAUAAGAGUUGUACAACAAUAUUAGAGUACCAAUUCCAUUUUUCUUACUAAGUUCAUAGCAGAUGUUUCGUCAACCAUUGCAUUCUUCUUCUUGCUGUAAUGGGUGAUGUCAUAAAGUUCUAUUGGUCCAACUUCCCUCCCUUCUUGUGCUUCCUGUUACAAUAAGAAGUUAAAUAACCUGCCUAAACAAUCCAAAAGACAUGUCUUCAAGAUAAUCAAAUACCCGGUCAGCUUUAUGACGAAGAAAGGAUUUUGUUCCAGCUGUAUGAGCAGUUUUUUGCUUUGAUCUAUUGAUCUUGUUCCUCUCACUUAUCUUCUGCACUUAUCAAGUUCAGCCGUGAUCAAAAUUUAACACACAAAAAACAUGAGAAAGAACAAUAGUAAAUGAUCAAAAGUCGGCCUCUAUACCAUAAAAUUUAGACUACAGAAAUAGUCACAAAGGUAAAUCCAAUCAGAUUCUUCAACAUAUUGUGAACGAUUUGCAAGUGCUUCCUCUUUUGUACUAAAUUUCUUGAAAAUCUUGUGAAAAUUGUAUCGUCGACUUCUGUACUGUGUAUUUAACUGCUUAAGAAGUGCUGGCUUAACAUGUUCUCCUUCUUUUACCAUUUUUCUGCUUUCCAUUUGCCAUAUUUACGAAUGACACAACUUGCCUCUGAGAUGUACUGUUGUGCCCCUCCUCCAAUUACUCUUCCACUAACUUCAGAGACCUGGACUUUUACCUUUUUGCCGGCCUUCUUUUCCUUGGACAGUGCAAUAUUGCGAGUAUAUCCUCUUUUCCUAGUUACAUUGAUACUACCUACCCAAAACAUAGUACACAGUUAUGAAUGUGAGUGGAAAAAUCUGAAAUGAAAUUAGCUGUGUAAUAUAAAUUACAAGUAAAUCUCAUAUACCGGUAUCAUUCUGUUGAACAUCAUUGCUCUCAUUAUUCCGGUCACUUCCACAACCAAUGGACUGGUUAGAUCCGACUUGUACUGAAGUAGGAGUAGUAUUUUGCUGGUUAGAUCCAACAAUUGCAGCUCAAACCCAAACAGAUUCAGCAGCCAAACCGACAUUAACUUUCAUAAACUCAUAAUCAAAAUGCCAUGUUGUACAUACAAGAGGAUAAGAGCUAACAAAGUGAAAGUUUGCAAAUUCUAAUUCAUUCAAAAGGUCUCCACCAGUUCUGAAUUUACCUAUGGGAGUUCACUUAACAAGUUAACACUCACACUUGGUCGGCAUUAUGAAAAGGAAAACAGCAGUGAAAGUCUUGUUUCAUGGUAAAGCAAGUCAAAAUCUCUCAAACGGGCUCUUAAGCAAAACUCCGCAGAAACGUAAGAAAAUAGUUACUUAAACAAGUGAACGAACAGGAGCACAACAGAAGGUAGCAGGCUUACUGAUUGCUGUUUUAAAUCGUAGCAUACUCAUAUAUGAGAUUAUUAUCAAACAACAAACCAACCAAAAAGGAAAUUCAAACCAUUCCAGAAACUUCAACAAUUCAAAAGAUCAAAAUUUUUAUUGCUGCAAUAGAGAAUAGGGCUCUAAUCUGUCUACAUUGCUGCAGCAGGACAAGGAGCACCGUCCUUGUUGCAGCAACUCUCAGCUACUGGAAUUGCUCGCAUAACAGCGAGGGAAUGGGAAAAGAGGACAGUGUGCCUUUAGUUCAAGGCUAAUGACUUUCUAAACACAGCCCUGAUAGCUGAUAUGUUCAUAGUAUCCCACUCCAGUUGCAAACGAAAACAAGAUUAUCAAAUGAAACCACAACUUUAGCAAUCCCAGAAAGAAAAGACUGCUGCAACAAGCCGAUAACUUCGAGCUUGUCGCAGCGCAUCCUUCGAUUGGACUCCAAAGGCCCUAACAGACCCAGGUUAUGCAAAUAAGGACCAAAGAUGUAGUCUUUGGCUUACCAGAUUGGAGAAAGUUAAAACCUUUGGAUCAAACAACAAACACAGCAUCACAUCAAACGCUAUCUCAGCGACCGAAAGGCCAAAAAAGAUUAAAAAAAAAAAAAAGUACCGGAAACAGUUGCAACAAGCAAAAGGUUUCAUCUUGUUGCAGGGGUUCUAACAAAACCAUUAAUCACUACCACAAGUAAAGGAAUGGAACGUUGAAACAGGAAAUUUAUGUGAUUUUUCUGAUUUUGGCCUGUCAAAACAUAAGAGGGCAACCAUAAACAUCCAACGAAAGACCUCAUGGGUUCAUCAUAGACUGUACCAAGAACCUUAAAAUCAUAAGUAUGGCAAGGCUACCUCGUCAUCGUCAAACAGAUAGAUAAGAAGUAACAUACCUGGACAGCAAAAAGGAAGCGGAUUGGAAAGAUCUUUAGCGGACAGAGUUGCCCUUCAACGAUGAUGGAAACCGAUGAUGGAAAGCGAUGGUUUUCUCCUUCACUCGCUGCUUUCCCUUUCCUUUUGCUUAGAAUUUCUCAGCCUUACUCUCGGCUCUCUCGGUUUCUCUUCUCAGUUUUUCCUUCUUGUUUCAGUCUUUUUCCUCUCAGCUCCAACACCUUGCUCCCCUGUGCUUCCUCGACAUAAAUAGAGGGGGCAAAAGAUUGGAAAAAAAAAGGAGAAAAGCAAAUGUAGUAGGGAUUUGGAAAAAUUGGGGAAAAUGUAGUAGAAUAUUAGGGAUUUGGAAAAAUUGGGGAAAAUGUAUAGGAAGCUCUGUUUCAGCUCAGUGCAGAAGCUUGUUUGUGUUUCAGACCAAGUGUUCCGUUGCUUUUGUUUUCAGAAUGUGUUCCGCUGCUUUGGUCUUUGCUUUGCUUUGGAUAUUGUUUUUGUUGCGCGGCACUUUCCUAUGAUUUGAUCAAAAUUUUGACUUCACUCAUUUUCCCCCCAUUUGAUACCAAAAAUCAUGUUUUUUUCUGGAUUUGUAAUAUGGUUUGAACCAUAGAUUUUAAUGCUAUAGUAUUAUUCUUUAUUUUUUAGCAAAAAAUAAAAAUUUUCAUCAACAUAGGUGGCAAAAUUUGUUAAUUUCAUAUAAUUGAAAAUGUACUUUUAUAAUUUGCUAACAUUUUAUACUAAUUUCUUAUAAUUGCAGCACUAAAGAACAUCAUGUAAUUCAAAAUAAUUAAACUCAAAUUAUAUCGUUAUAACAUAGUUUCAAUAAAAAUAAUCAUUUUCCCAACAUUUGAGACCAAUCAUCAUGCUUUUUUUUUAUUUUUAAUUUGGUUUGAAGCAUAGAUUUUAUUGCUAUAGUAUUAUUCUUUAUUUUUUAGUACAAAAACACAAAUUUUCAUCAAUAUAGGUGGCAAAAUUUGUUAAUUACAUAUAAGUGAAAAUAUACUUUUAUAAUUUGCAAAUAUUUUAGCCCUGCAAUUUUUUAUAAUUGCAGCACUAAAGUACAUCAUUAAUUGAAAAUAACGAAAGUCAAAUUCUAUGGUUAUAACAGACUUUCAUUAAAAAUAAUCAAAUGCUAUUAAUAAGACAUUAUUGUUAAGUCAAAAUCAAAGAAAAUUUAGUGAUGACAUAAUGUUAUCACUAAUUUAUUCAAGAUUAUAAUGACAAGAAAAGUCGUCACUAAUUAAAUUGCUAGUUUUUAAUAUUGUCAAUUGCUAGUUUUUAAUACUUUUGUGAAAAUAUUGAUAAUGGUUGAGAAAAUUUUGUUACAUUACUGCAAGUGAUAAAUGUACUUUUGUUCUUUUUCAAACAUUUAUUUUAAUGUUUAAUUUUGUUUAAAACUAUUGUACUAGUAUAGAUUUGCAAGACAAAACUUAAGUUCUCAAUAGUUAAAAAAUUCAUUACAGAGAAAACACAAAGUAGUAGUUGCAAAAUGUGUAUAAAUUACAGAUAUUUUAAUGUGUAUAAAUUACAGUUUAUUUUAAUAUUUAAUUUUGUUUGAAACUAUUUUACUAGUAUAGAUUUGCAAGACAUAGAUUUAUGGGUAAUUUCUUUUUUUUUUUGCUUUCACAUAUUUAAUUUAUGUUAAAUACAAAACCUACCAAUUUCCCUCUCAUAAAAAUAUUAGUGCAACACUUUUUGAAUUUUACUUACAAACAUUUAUGUAUUUAACAUAAAUUAAAUGAUUCAGAGUGAAAUGCCCAUAAAGAGCAUAAUAUUUGUUCAUGUAAUGGAGGAAGCCCACAAAGAGUUGGUACUUUAUGGGCCAUUUCUUUUUUUAAAAAAAUUUAAUUUAUAUUGAAAAGAUAAUCUACCAGUUUUCGUUUUGUAAGAAAUCAGUGUAACACUUUUUGAAUUUUACUUACAAACAUUUAUAAAUUUAUCAUAAAUUAUAUAUUUGAGAGUAAAAUGCCCAUAAAAAGUUGGUACUUUGAAUAGAUAAUGCUCAUUUGCCCAUAAACUACACUCCCUGAAGGCUAUUUUGUUAAUUAUUUUGUAGUACUUUGUUAUUCCUUUGCUAAUACUACUUGGCAUGUAGUACAAAUGAUAAAUCUGGCAUAAAUUUCUUAUUCCAUUGAUAAAAAGACCUGCCUGCCUUAUAACUAUUGUAAUGAAAGAUAUAUCUUUAGAGUUUAUAACAAAUUAUUACUUAAGUUUGAGAAAAUUAUAAAAUAUUUAUGCAUAGUUUAUCAAGAUACCAUUCGCAAUUUCCUAAUAAAAAAAUAGGGGCUAAAUUGUAAAAGCUAGGGUGCCAUAAUAGAAAUAAUAAAAUUGGUGUAUUACACAUGGGUGUCAAAUUGCAAAAGUUAGAGUGCCAUAGUAGAAUUAAUGAAAUUAGUGAAUUACAUAUGGGGCUAAAUUACAAAAGUUAGGGAGUAAUAAUAGAAUUAAAGAAAUCGGUGUAUUACAUAUGGGGCUAAAUUGUAAAAGUUAAGGUAUCAUAAUGGAAUUUUUUACAACAUUUGGGGCUAAAUCGCAAAAGUUAGGGUGGCACAGUAGAAUUAAUGAAAGUGACUUAGAAAUAAGUACUUUAAACAGUGACGAUUAAUUCUUGUCACUAAAUCUGCAUCGGUAGAGUGACAGUGACGAUAUUAGAAGUUAUCACUAUAUAAAUCAUUUUAGUGACAACUUUUUCAAGGUCGUCACUGAAGACUUAGUUCCUUUGAGCAAUUAUGACAACUUUCCUUGUCGUCACUAAACAACCACGUUUUGUGACGACUUUUUUCGUCACUAAAAAUGUAGUCACUAAUGACCAUAUUUCUUGCGGUGUAGUUUGUGACGAAAAUAACGGGUCGUCACUAAACAUUUAGUUGCUUUGAUGCAAUUGUGACAACUUUAGGUGUCGCGACUAAAGAAGCUCUUUUUGUGACGACUUAUUGUCAUCACUACAAAAAUGUUGUCACUAAUACCUUUUUUUUUAGUGAUCAGUGACGACAACAAAAAGUCGUCAGUAAAUAGGCCAAGCAAUAGUGAUGAUGUUCUUAAUGUUGUCACUAUUGUGUGUUCUAAACACUCCCGCGCUCUUGCUAAAUCUUGGCGGGAAUUUACUAGUGACGACUAAGUCGUCACAAAUAAGUUGGCUCCCUUUAGAGGUUUGUGACGAGUUAGAAAGUUGUCAAUAAAGGAUCCACUUUUGUGACAACUUUUUUUCGUCACAGAGAAAAGUUGUCACUGAUGACCAAUUUUCUUGUAGUGUUGGAUGUUCUUAGGGAAACUAGAUAGUACCUAACAUAGGAGGAAUCAACUCCGAUCAAGCUUCUCUUUCCUAUCAGAAAUAGCUAGUCGACAACUUUAGUUGCAGCAACGGCCCUUUCAUUGCCCUCCCUUGGCCUUUCCUUUGAAAUAAGGACUUUUCCCGUGAGUCAGCAGGUAUGAAUUUAUUUCUUUAAGUUUUCUAUACUUAUAGUAGGUAUGAAAUAGAAACAUAUUUGGAUUAAUUAUAGCCCUUAUGUAAUAGGCCAAGGUUGGAUUAAUUAUGAUUGUGUCCAAAAUAAAAUUUAGAAAUUUAGAUUUAUCUAGCUAAUUUGUGUUGUUGAAAUUUAUUUUGGGCCAAACAUAAGUUUAACACUUAUCUCACAUAUAAUUCAAAGUUUAGCACUUUUGCAAUUAUUAGUUUUAAAAUUGUGGUCUAUGUUAUUUUGAUUUUAUUUGUGAUGCCAUUGUCUUAAAUAAUUAAAAGUACUUAUUGUGUUUAAUAUGUAUAAAAUAGUACAUUUUGCAAAUUUUUUUUUGCUAGCUUUUUAUUAUUUUUGUUUAGCGUACUUUUUUUAUAUUAUUAACAAUUUUUAGAAUAUUAAAUGUUUUAAAAUUUGCUUCUCACUGAAACAGCGACCGAUAUGCUGAGACCGAUGUGGAACGUUCCGAGCCGCGACCGCGACUUUGAACCAUGAUUUGAACAGCACGUUACAAGUGUAAUUGCAGAAAUUUUCCCCCUCUUCUGCACUUGCUGAUAAGUCUAUACUCUAUAGAGCUAGAUGCAAUAAUGGAGGCUCUUACUACAAAACAGUGGUGCUUCAGUUGCUUGUGUUUCAUGCCAUGACACUGGCCUUUGAAGAGGUCUUUUGUUUACUCUGUUUCUUUCUUCAGUUUUUCGUCUUUAGUUUUGAGAAUAGGUACUUUUAAUUAGUCUUUGUAUUAUUCACUCAUUUGCUACUGUAUCAAUGUUUAUAACAUUUUUUAAAGAUGCUCUAAGUAUAUUCUUAAUUUUGAAAUUUGUGUGGGGAACCAGGUGAGGUGUGGGUAGGGGUUGUUGUUAGACUGCAGUUUGGUGAUCAAGGUACGCUCUAAAUAUAAAUUUAGGCCUAAUGUCAUUAGCAUCAUUUGUACUAAAGUCAUUGAUAACAAUCCUACAGAUUCAUCCUCACAGAUGGAUCAAUUUAGGCCAAAAGUUUAUUAAAAAAUAUUGGAAUUUGUUCUUCAAUACACUCUUUUGGAACCUAAAUUUUUGGGACAAUGUUAGUACUAUGGCAAGUGAAGUUGACAAGUCGCAGAACACUUUUCCUGUAGCACUUUUGUGUGCUUUCAUUUUGACUUGUUCAGGCUAUGUCAUACCUCUUCUAGCUAUCACUGGGGCAAUAUUUGUUGAUAAAAAUUUAUGAUUAACUAGAUACAUGGCUUAUAAAUUUUGUAGCACGAAUGAUUUCUGGUAAAUGGUUGAAAAUUUGGAUUGAAGUCGGAGUUGUUUUAUCAGCAAUUGGCUGAUGCUCAGUUGAGCAAGUUGAGAGGAAUAGCAAAGAUUGGAUUCUUGCCUAAGUUUAUUAAAGUAAUGUCAAAAUGGUUCAUGCUUAGCUGUUGAUAUUGUAAUCAACUGCUUUUUCACUUGGUCUUUUAUGUGUAAGCUACACAGAUAUGAUAUCAGCAAAUUUCUUGCAUGGUUUAGGGAUGCUUUUGGAAUUUCCAUCCUUUCUUUGGUUGAGAAGAAAAUUUCCAACCAGGAAACAACCUUAUCAGGUUUCGCGGAAGAUGCUGGCUCUUGAUUGUAUGCCUAAUUCUAUCAAGAUUUUUGGUGUUUACAAUGGCUAUAGCCACCAAGAUCGUGUAUUUGGUGAGUCUUCUGAUGACUGUUUGUGGGAUUGCUUCAUGCUUGGUAUUUGUUGCUGAAGUUGUGUGAGGCAAAGAAGUGGUUCAAAUUUAAUGUUGGGGAAGAAAUACAAGGACAAAGAUAUUUUUAUCUUUUGAAGAUUCUUGUCAAUAUAAGUACAGAAAAACAAGCUAAUGACUUGUCUAUCUCCAUGAAUUCACUAAGUGGGACACAUGUUUCCAAAGAUUUUAUUACUCUUGCCAUUGAUUCCAUGUUUUGGAAGAUUUCAUAAUUUCGCUCUGUCUUUUCUUGCGUUACUUUAAGCAUCACUAAUUGUUACACUUAGAAUUUGGAUACCUAUCAUCGAACUUUUAUCUCUAUUACUUUUCAUCCUUAUGAUUUCUGUUUGUUAUACACCAAUUUUUGAUUAAAAUUGUCACUUACUCAACAUUACCAGUUCCCUCGCCAUGCGCGAGUCUCACCCCUGGUAUCUAACUAAGAUUGACACAAAUAAUCCUAGAACUAUCUAAAAAUAGUAAAUCUACCAGCAAAAUCAAACAGAAUGACGACUAUUAUAUUUAUAUAGAUUGAAUGUACGGUUGGAAACAAAAAAUAGCUAUUUUUAGCAAAAGCAAAAAAAGUUCAGCGGCUAAAAGUAUAUGACUUGAGUAGUUUAAUUGCUAAUUAGGUUUCUUUUCCCUCGUCUUAUUUUCAUUAACCAAUUAAAGCAUAAGAGAUUUCUCUUUCUUUUUUAAUAAUUUAUUCCAUUUCCUCGAGACAUCCAAUAGCUUAUGGCUCCAUAAUUGAAAUUUGAAACCCAUGACCAAGUCAUACCCAUUUCUUCAAUCCGGUAACUGAGUCACAACACUGGCCAAAAUAAAGGACGGUAGAAAAGCAAAAUAACUGAAUAGAAAAGGACUACACAACAGCCAUUGCUACCUUGUAUCUUUUCGAUCCAUUUUGUACGCCUUGCUAGUCAUCUUUGGGAGCAACCGAAUUCCAUUGAGGAGGUGAUCAUUUGCAAAUGAGGGAGACAACUGAAUGGCUAUAUUUAAGCGGCAUUAUGAUCAGUAUUGCCUGGCAUAGUGGCAGAGCAUAUUCCCUAUGAAUGCCGUGCUAACUGCUAAUGAACAUGAAUUGUUCAUUAACAAAUAGAGGAUUAUAGUCUCAAAAAAUGUGAGUUUUAUCUAAUUCUGUUCUGGUGUUUAUCCCAUUGUUUAGCAAUUAGUUUACAAUUUCAGUUUGUCCUAUCUACAAGUGAUAGGCUGGCUAACAUAUGCCAGUAUGCCACAUCUCUUCUUUCUGUACGUAUAAUCUGAAACGUGGAAAUCUUAUCGUUAUCAUUUUUUGUAAUAGACGAGACGUGUGUGAUUAUGUACCACGAGUGGAUUGUGAAGUAGCCAUCUGUAAAAGCGCCACCAGCCAGUUUUUGGAAGUUAGAAUGGCUUGAUUAGCUAAGUUCCAUGGGUGCAGUCAGAAUUCAGCAAUUACCUUUUGGUUGUACUUGUGGAGUUAGUUUAGGUGUAGUUUGUGAAAAUUUUUACUAAAAGAAAAAAUGACCUGUUGGUGAGGUUUGAAGACCAGAGUGAAUGAGUGUUAUUUAGCACUUAGUAGAGAGGUUCCCUGCUCCCUUGCCCUGAGUCCCACAUCGGUUAGUAAGAGUGUGCGUGAGUUCCACUUAAGUUCUAUAGGUGUAGCCAGAAGUCGGCAAUUGCCUAUUGGUUGUACUUGUGGGGUUAGCAGUUAGCUUAGGCGUAGUUUGUAAAAAUUCUUGCUAAAAGAAUGGCUUGAUUAGCUGGAAUAGAAGAGGAGGGAUCAACUGAUUUCACCCAAACAAAGGAAGCAGAUGGUCUCUAGAAGCAUUUUGCGCAAAGUUUAUGCGAUAGAAUCUCUAUGCUGGUUUAAUCCUAGCUCUUUUAAUGGGUAAAUUAUUCAUAACUCUCUUGUACUUUUGCAUAAUGACACAUGACUUUCAUAAGAUUUCAAAAUAUCGAUAUAACCUCUCUUACAGUUUUGGGUAAAGUGAAAAUUUGACGAUAAAUAAUGUCAUUAAUUGGCAUGCCAAUAAUGCUUUUACUUAAAUACUAAAUUGAUUAAUGGUCUAACUAAUUUGUAUAAAAUUAUAGGGGAUUAUGUGGAUAGAUACUAAACGACAAGCUUGUUAAGUGGAUAUUUAUGCAAAAUCAAAGAGGGAAGUUAAAUAAAUAUUAUAAUUAUAAUUUCAUCACACAUACUUUUUGAAUGCGUCUCAGCUAAUCACCAUAAUUGGAGAUGCUUUCUAUCUGUUUUUCACUUUACAUAAAAUGACUGGGGAUUAUAUGGAUAUUUUAAAACUUUAGGGAGAUCAUAUGGUAUUAUAAAAAAUUGUAGGGGGUUAUGAGUAAUUUUCCUUUUUUCAAUGAUUUUUUAAGGGUAAAUUAUAUUUCAUCCUCCUAUGAUUUAGUAUUUUACCACAUAAACUCUUUUAUAAUUUUAAAAGUUGUACAAAACUUGCUUGUAGUCUGGACUAAAUGGUCAAACUGGCAAACACAGUCUUGUGUCAUAUAACCAAUUUCAAAAUCUAUACAUAACCUCUUUACAGUUAUCUAAUUAUUUCCAUCUUGAAACUGGGUUAUUUUUGAAAAUUUAAAAUUUUAGUCAGCUUUGUUACAGAUGGAAAAUUCCUCACUUUAGUCUUUUACGACAAAUAAUAAGGGCGUUACAUGUAAUUUUGAAAAUUAUAAGAGAGCUAUGUAGAAAGCACUAUUUCAUAAGAGUGUAAAGUAUGAUUUACCAUUGUUUUAAAAACUGCGUAUUAUGCUCACAAUUAGUGAUAUUUUGGUACACAUAUUUACUUUUGUUGGCAUACUAAAUCAAGUCUAAAAAUAAAAGUUUAUAAAUUGUUAUUUAGCAAUAUUUUGGUCAAGUCAAAUUUUUAGUAGUUUCAUUGGAGUCAAAUUAUGGUAGUUUUAUUGUUUAGGAAUUAGUAUUUUAUUAGAAAAUUCUUAUGGUUGUAAAACUUGUUUACCAAGUCAUGUAGUUUAUAAAUAGGGAGUCUUAUUAUUGUAUUAGUAGAACAGUAAAAUUUGAGAGAUUUGUUAUUUUGGUGUGUGAUUAAUAUAUUAUUGUUAGUAUUAUUCCUCUUCUCUCACACCUACUUGCAUAUGUAUAAAUUGGCUCCCCAUCUACACUGAUUUCAUGAAAUUUAUCUCCUGUAACUUGUUGAUUGAUUUUUUGGAUUCUAUAUCUAAUAUCAGAGACCUAGGUUCAAGAAAUUGAUUCUAUGAUGCCUGUGAAUAUUGAAAAUUGUUCUGACUAUGAGGUUAGUAUUGGACAUUUUUCACUCUUAGAUGGAGCAUAAAUUGCUUUGACGAAGUCAGUUGAUCGAGUUAGACCACAAAAUUGGUCAUGGAGUAUCUAGUUGAUGCCGGUUGGACCAUAGGAUUGGUCCGAAAAUUGUUAAAUUGAUUGUGAUUGUGAAGUUGUCAGUUGAAUUGUGAUUAUGAAAAUCAUGAAAUGAGUUGUCAAUAAAUUGAUAUCAAAUUAUGUAACAAGAAUAGUCUAUCCAGUUGGGUGAAUUAUUUUAGCGAGUCAAAAACAAGUUAAGUGAAGAGGUAAAUCUAUUCAGGUACAUGGAAUAUUAUAGUAGCAAACAUUUUUGUAGAUGAAAAAUUCAAAAUGAUACUAAUAGAAUUUUACAAGAGAGGUUAUUGAUCAUGAUGGUGGUGAACUCGAUCUAAGAGAAAGCUUGAUUUAAAGGAGGCAAUGUUGGUACACCAAAUCAAGUCUAAAAACAGUAUUUUCUAAAUUGUUAUUUAGCAGUGUUUUAGUCAAGUCAAUUUUUUAGUAGUUUUGUUGGAGUCAAAUUAUGAUAGUUUUAUUAUUUAGGAAUUAGUAUUUUAUUAGAAAAUUCUCAUGGUUGUAAGAUUUGUUUACCAAAUCAUAUAGUCUAUAAAUAGGGAGUCUAAUUAUUGUAUUAGUUGAGAAGGGUAAAAUUUGAGAGCGUUAUUCUUGUGGUGUAUGAUUAAUAUAUUAUUGUCGGUAUUAUUCCUAUUCUCCUGCAUAUAUUUUUAUGUGUGUAAAUUACCUCUCCAUGCAUCUACAUUGGUUCUAUGAAAUUUAUCUCAUCCUACAACAUUUUGAUAUAAUUUUUUUGGGUUCUACAACUUUAAUUUUUCUUUCAAAUGUAUUUUGUGGCUUAGUACGUAAGCAUCAAUAUAGCAAUUGGUCUUAUUUUACUGGACAUUCCUCUUCAGCUAAGAGGUGAUAACUGCCAAAAAAAUAAAAAUGUGCUAAAACAGCAAAAUUUGAACAUUCUGACCAUUGUUAAGGAUCCACUAUCCAUCCGUGGAUCCAAGUUAACAAAUUUGCACAACUCUCUGAAAUGAAUCCGAUUCACUUUCUAUGGAAUCCAGGGACUGAUUCUUAAUCCGUGGAUAGAUUCUCAAUAAUCCAUGACCGGAUUCUGAAUUUUAAAAUUCGUCAACAAUUGUGUAUAUAUAACUCAUCUCAUUUUAGUAUCCACAAAAGUAGUUGGCUGUGCAAAAACUGAAAGGAUUAUAGUUACAUUACAUUAGGAUCUCAUGUAGUUCAUGGUUUCAAAACUUGCUAUCUGAUUUUAAUUUCUUUUUACUCACAUAACAUAUGCUCUUGGUAUCUAAUACCAAUGCAAAAUCAUUCGAGUUUGGCAACAGUUUUCUAUCUUUAGAAUCAUUAGGGUUCUGAAAUUUAAUUGUAUUUACAUUGCAUGAGUUCGCAUUUAAAAUUCGUGAUGGUGACUUGUCAAACAAAAAAAAAAAUUUUGUGAUAGUGACCCGACCAAUUGAUGUAUCAGUGGCAGGGAAAGAAUAAGUGAAGGAUAAGCAGUGGCAGACUGUCAUAUUAUGAUAUUAAUGGGCACUAAUAUAAGAAUCCAAUAGCUAAAUUUCAAAGAAAUUACAGGCAACAUCUGCAUAUACGUACUAUAUCAUAGUUUCGUGACCCACGAGGUGUAUUAUUUUUCAUCGACUAAGAGCAUCACAGCUUCCUCCAAAAACAACAAAAAAAAAGGGAAAAAAAAAAUCCUGGGCCAUGAUAUUGGUCUGUCUGCAUCCUCCACUAGAUCGACAGUCUUGCUCCAGAUCUUUCUCAAUUUUUUUUCACAUAGGACGCCAAAUCAUCGGCAGUUUUAUUAUUAGUACAGAUCAAGGCAUUUUGAAACAAUUUCCCUCGAAACUCAGCACUAAGCAGCCUGCUUGCCUCUCUCGUGAUAUUGAUGAACAGACACAAGAAUUCCCAACUGCUUCCAUGAUUAUCAGGUUGAAUUCUUUCUCCAUCUAAAAAAGAUUAAUUCAAAGGAUCAUUGCUCGAAAAUCUGUUGCAAUUUUACUGAAAAAUCGUUCCAUGGAUCAGCAGUAAUUGUAAUGUCAAGAGCCCAACUUCCAAAUGGUGUCACACUAACAGCAAGAUUGAGUUUCUCUACCUCAGAAGCAAUUUUUGUCAGUACCCUUUCUAUGAUCUUCACAAUGAACAAUCAGAAAAACGUUCUUGUCUUAAAAUUUAGCCUAAAUUUCAAUCCGUGGCUGCUCAUCAGGGCCAGCCAUAUCAUCUAAAUAACCUUCAUUUUCAACUAAGAGUUGUGGUUUCUUCACAAGCACCGCUGGUUCCAUGGUUUGUUCCUCCAGCUUCUUUGCUCUCUCCUCAAGAAUGAAAGUUUUAUGCAUCUGCAAGAACUUAAAUGUCUCGUGAACAAGAAUUCUAUAAGAACUUCGGUUGCAAAUUACGUGCUGAGAUUUCAAAAUCUAUAUAUAGGUUGGAAAACUUGCACGCCCGAUCAAUUUAUUUAGUGUAGUCGUCACUGUCUGCCUGAUCAAUUUAUUUAUCUAACCGAUAUUAGCAAUCAACACAAACUUGUCUACUAUGCUGGUUUUUUUUUAUCCCUAGUUUAGGAAAAAUUAGAUAGUACCUUCUUGAGACCAGGAACUAUGGUGGAAAGAGCCAUGAAACUCUGGCUGAACAGCUCGUAUCGCUUUCUUUCUGCUACUACGUGAUCAUAGUUUUGGGUUCGUAACCUUGUACGACCGCCAGGUUUCUUUGCUUUUGUUUGGACAGUAGUAUUAGUGGCCUCAUCAAGUUUUACAAAUGAACCUUGGGAUGUCAAAACCUCAGACACUGCAUCAUCCUCAGGGUUCAAUGUUCCUAGACUCACUUGUUGAGGAUUUAUUCCUAGCAUAUUUGGAUUCCCAAAAGUGAGAAUCAGUGGACAAGAAGAAGCUUGAUCAAAAUUUGGCACAUUGUGGAUGCUUGACAAGUUAUAGCCAUUAGGCUUGUGCUGUUUGGCUGGUCUUUCAGGAACAAAUAGAUGAGCUACCAUCACUGAACUAAGAGAUCCGAAAAUCUGGAGAAGGAUGAAUUGCCUUUUGGAUACAGAACUAAGAUAUAGAAAUAGGUGGAGAAAGAUGAAUUGCCUUUUGAAGACAAGAGAAUAUUGAAAGUAAUGGACAGCUGCGGCAGAUAACUCUUCAUCAAAGACGUCCAUUAUUGAUCACUAAAACUGGAUCCUCCAUUCCCUGUUAAUUAAGACAAAGGAGAAGGUUGUAUAAGCUUUUCAUACGUACUUGAAUUUUUCCUCCUAAGUGAUCUUUGUAGCUUCUGAGAUGGGUGAAACAUAUCCAUACCUUAAAAAGCAAAAGUGGGAAAUAAAGGAAAAAACAAAAGAAAGAGCAAUAGAGAACAAGAGGCGUACAAGUCCAGGACAUUUUUAUCAGUGCUUCAAAAGGAUCCCCCCUCUGCGCUCCAUUGUCAGGGAAGGCCCCUCCUUCAAUGGAGCGCAGAGGAUGAUGAAUGGAGCAGAAGACAUCACUCAACCAUUUAUACACGGUUGUACGCCUGAUUCAUUUAGGGUUUGAAUGUGCUCAAGCUGCACGAUGACUAGUUCAUGAAAUAUUUUAUUUGAAGCGUGUAAAUUGAGAAAAUCGUUAAAUAUUACUAUAUUCGAUGAACGAUUAUAUGCCAUAAAUAUUCACUAAACUAUUCUACGUAACUCUAGUACCACAAAUCCACCAAACCUCCCCCAUCCCCACCCAAAAAAAGUUUAUUUUUUGGGUAAAAUAUCCAAAAACUCCCUGUAAUGUGCUAAAUAUUCAAUUUAACUCCCUCUAAUUUGAAAAUUUAUACUAUAACUCCCUGUGGUUUCAACUAAAUUGAAAUUGGAUGGAAAGCAUUUAAUCUAACGGUUAUACUUGAAAUAUCAAUAUUGCUCUUAUAUAAAUGAACUCCCUAUGAUUGGUUGAAUGUUCAAUUUAACUCCCUCUGGUUUGAAAAAUUACACUUCCUACGAUUUUGACUAAAUUAAAAAUUGAAUGGAAAGCAUCUCACGUAUAGCAGGGGCAAUAUUGAUAUUUCACACACAACCAUUAGACUUUAUGCUUUCUGUCCAAUUUUCAAUUUAGUCAAAAUCACAAGGAAUUAUAAUGUAGGUUUUCAAAUCAGAGGGAGUUAAAAUUGAAUAUUUGUCAAAUCGCAGGGAGUUUUUUGGUAUUUUAUCUUUUAUUUUUACUGCUUUUUGUGAUAUGAAUGGAUAAAAAGAUUCUUUUUUAUCUCAAUUAAAAAAAACACAAACAUCGGGUAAUCGAAACCAUUAGAUAGUAGAUAUAACUUGAGUAAGUCCGAUUACAUAUCUUAGUUGUACUUGUUAUAGAAUUUUAUGCAAAAUUAAAAUAUCAUUACGAUGCAAAAAUUAGUGUAUACAAACAAAAUAUUUUAUGUAACUAAAGCCCAUUAAUAUAUUAUAAUUAUACUUUGUACGGUAAAAUAAGUUCAUUAACUAUCAACAAUUGUACAUCAUGUAACUCUACUAUCACUAAUCCAACACCCCCCAUUUCCACCUACCGUACUCGCAUUACCCCACCUCCCUUCUGGAAGAGGGGCAAACAAUCGUUCUUGACAGUUCACGGCUAAGAUUUGACAAAAAAAAAAUUAUAUGAUCCAGAUCUCAUUUUGUAUUUAAUUUUUAAUAACAUGCAUGAGAUCUAUAAAAUUUUACUCUAAAAUUACACGUUAUUAAAAAUAAGUUACACCAUAUAUAAAUAAAAUUAUACCAUAUAUAAAAUACACAUAAUCUUCGUCAGGAACUGCAAUCGUUCCUGCCCUGGUCCCUCCCUCCCCCCCAAACCGACGCCGUAAAGCCCGAGCCCAACUUCUGGUACGAAGAUUCUCAUAUCUGCGACCUCAGCCUUUCCUUUAUUGUUUUGUUUUUUAAAAUGUCGUACAGAGAUUGUGGGCCUUUGACUUCUUCAACUCUCCCCUAUUUUUUCAACAGUCUGUCUCAUGAAUACCCGAUCCUUAUGAUAUACUAUUUUAAGUAUUAUAUUUUUAAAAAUAUAAAUUUAAUUAAAAAAAUAAAUAAAUAUAAGAAAGGGUAAACAAGAUUCAAUAGGAAAAAUAUAUAAAUAUAAAAAAAUAUAUAUAAAUAUUAGGGAUGAUAAUAAUUAUUAAUAUGUAUAUAUAUAUACAGUAGAUUAGGUGAAUGAUAAGUGUAUUAAUGUGUCCUAAGAAUACUUGCUAUAAAAAAUCCUUUUUUCAACCAAACAUGGACAGAGUUUGUAGUACUUUCUGUCUGUGGAAGUGAAACGGGGUCGCUUGAGAGAAGGGGGAAAAUAAAAUUAAAAAAAAAAACAGAGAAGUUUAGUGAAGGCUCAUGACAUGAACCAAGCAAAUUUGAUGUUGGAAAUUCAUGAUUUCCUGCCCAAAUCCCUGGAUUCUUGAACCAAAUUACUCCUUAGUACUUAGGAAUUCUAAUGCCAUCAAGGAUUUGAGCUGAAAUCCCUAUGUAUGCGAUACUUCAAAUUUUGAUAAGUGCAAGUACAAGGGAUAAUCCCCAAACAUAUAUAGGAAACCUAUGACUGAGCCAAAGGCUAUACUAUGUAUGUUACACAAACCAAGCCAAAACAGCCUAACUAAAUUUGUGCAGUCCAAUGGAUUGAUGAAAACCAACUCAUUAUAAGACCCCAAUUCUUUUUCUCGCUUUUGUCACAUUCUCCAACUAUGCACAAUACAAUACAUCCCGAAUAAAUUCUUUGCACAACCGGACAGGCCAAUCUAAUGUUUGAAUACCACCAAGAUUUGAGCUCUCCAAAUGUGAUAAACAGUCAUAGCCAGUCAAAGUUUGCUAAGCUGAUGACGAAAAGAUCAAUUAGACCUGGCAUUGCAUCUCAACCAGGCUAUUUUCAUUGGUCCAGCCAACAGAUCAGCCAUAAGCAUGAUAAACUCCAAUAUUUGCCUCGAUAAAACUUCAAAUCUUCUGCUUUAUUUUCUCCUUCUGUGUUCCAAAGCUUUCUCUUUCCUUCUUUUGUUUUCUGAAGUACUACUCUUCCCUUUUUCUUUUCCUUUUUCCGAUUUUGUCUUACUAAAAAUAGGCAAGUUUCGAUUGGUAACUUUUACUAAUGAAAAAGUAGUAUCUUUUACCCAAAAAUGGUAAGUUUCAUUAAAAAGGUGAAAAGUUUGUAAACAAAUUGUUAUAAACAGAAUGAUGUGUUUAGUAACGAAAUCGUAUGUUUUAGUUAAAAAAAAAAAAAAGAAUCUUAUUGCCGUAAAAGUUUGUCAUUUUGCUAAAAAGGAAAGCUUUAUUAGAAUACUAGUCAGCUCAGCAGGUGUAGUAAUACCAAUUAGAUUAUGUGAUAUUAAUUCUGCUGUAAGUCUUGCUAAUGUAAUCUACUCAAGAAGUAGUAAACUUUGCUAGCAAUAGUAAGAAGCAACUUUUUUUUAUCAAUUACUCACUUUUUCUAUUAACUGGUAUCCCUUUUUUUUUUUAAAAAAAAAAGGAAGGUAGUGCCGUUUUUCUAUAGAGUCGUAGUCACUGUUGAAAAUAGAUAGAUUUUGUCAACAAAGUGUUGAGAGAAAGAAAAACGCAUAAUUAGUGAACACUAAUGUCAAGGGAUGUGGUCAUCACCAUCGUUGAAGUGAUUUUGCUCAUCCUGAGAAAGUGUCCGACAAUGGUACAAAAGAGACCUCACAUGCUAUCUCUGUUGAAGAAGUAUUCAACGGCUACCUUAAUUGCGUGCACUCGCAGCCAAGGCUUGGAGAUUGUUAGGACGAGUCAAUAAUAGAAGAGGAGUUCAUUAUCAAAAAAAAAAAAAAAUUAGAAGAAGAGUUUUGUCGUGUGGUAUGAAAACGGUGAUUAAUUAAGCCAUGAUCAGUUAGCCUUUUGUUUUGUCGGAAUAAUAAUGUUCUUAUAAUAUAAUCAAUUCUAUUUUAUAGCGGGCUAGAGAGGAGGUUAAAGAGCCUUAUAACCUAAUCUAUCCUAUUUUACAGGGAGGUAUCUAUCACUUCUGCAGGUGGGAUUCGAACCCCUUAACCUAUAGACAAAAGAGGGAUUUAAUCGCUUUUUGGUGGCUACUAAGUCAAAACUCGAUGGUUAUAAUUAGUUAGCCAAUUUGAGGGUAAUUCUAACAUAAGUCCAUUGACUAGUAAUUAACACAUCUAAAUUCACCUAACAUGACAUGUAUAUACACUGUACAUACUAAUAAUUAUUAUCUUUCUUUGAAUUCAUAUACUUUUUCUAUUUAAUUUUUUCUAUCAUUCAUUGUAUUUAUUUACUUUUCUUAAUUAAUUUUACAUUUCAAAAAAUAUAACAUCUAAAAUAUAUCUAACGGAUACCCAAUGGGCACCUGUUAGAUAGACCCUUAGGAAAAUAAUUGAAGGAAAAUUCGAAAAAGCGCAUUGACUAAACAAAGGGACAAAAUCGAUGUGUGAUUAACUAGAUGAAUUCAUAAUGCAGGGGAAGUUUAUAUAAGGAAACUCAGUUUGUUUGGAUAAGAGUUUAUUUGGAUGAUUUAUUUGAGAUAAUUACUGUAGUACUUUUUAUGAUGUGAUUAGAGGUGUCAAAAUGGGUAACUUGGGCGGGUUUGGGUUGGGUAAAAUAGGUAAUGGGUAUAAGUGAAUCAACCCAUUUAUACUCAUUUAAUUAAAUGGGUAUAAAUGUGUAAGUUAAAAAAUGAAUUUGGUAACCUAAUUACCCAUUUAUAACCCAUUUAUUUUAACUUUUUGUAAACUCAUUUAAAUUCAUUUUUUGCAAACUAAGUUAUCAAUUUAUACCGUUCUUUGUACCCAUCAUUAGUUUUAAAUAUUUACUUAUAAUGCUCAAUAAGUCUAAUUACCAAUUUUUUUUCCAUUUAUACUCUAUGUCACAAAAUUGCAUAUUAUUUAAUAAUUGAAUAAUAAGAAUAUAAAAAUGUGAACUAAGUACUAUAAAAGUUAAUAUAAAAACUUAAUCCAAAAAAUUUUGAACUCCUAACAUAUUUUUCAUAUGUAAAUUUAAAAUUUCAUUUUAGAAAGAUAAGAAAAGAUGCUAAAACUUAUCAUAAAUUGGUAAUGCUGAAAAAUGAGCAAGUUAACAAAUUAAGAGAAAAUAAAAUAAUAAGAUAAAAUCAACAAAUAAUAAUAAUAAUGAAACAAAAAUAGUUAGCAUCAUGAUGAAAAGAAAAAUCUGAAAAAAAUGGGUUGGAGAAGAGAAGAGACUUGGGGGAAGAGAACUCUAAAUGGGUUAAUUGGAUUUGAUAGAUUACCUAACAAUACCCAUUUAAUAAUACCCAUUUAAUAAAUUGGUAUUAUUGGGUAAUCCAUUUAUACCCAUAUAUAAAAAUUUAAGAUACCCAUACCCAUCUAUUUAUGGGCGGGUAUGGAUAAAUUUAGUUAAAUGGGUUGGUUUGCCGGUAAUAGAUGUGAUGUAUGUGAGAUAAAAAAGUGAUUGAUAAGAUAAAAAGGUGGUUGGAAUUUGUAAAGUAAAUUAUUUUACUUCAAAUCUUUUUAAUCCAAACACACCCUCUAUUUGAACUAGAAAGGAGCUAGCUUUGACGCUUUAUUACUUAGAAGAUGACGUUGUAACUUAUUUCAGAAAAGCAGUACAAUUUCUUAUUGACGUUGUAAUACAGUUGUCCAAAGAAGUAAGUUUUUGUUUUUAGUGGUUAAACUAGCAAGUCAACACUGAGAUAAAGUGGUCAGUUUUCUCAACAAGAUUUUUCUAACGAGUAAUAGUUGCACUUGCUAACAAAGUCAUUUUCACCUAAUUUAGCAUUUAGACACUUUUUGAGAACUAACUUCACUUUUGUAAUCCAAAAAAAAAAAAAAACACCUGAGAUUACUCUUAAUGAGUGCCAAGUUAGUACCACUAGCCAAAUCCUUGGAAGCAUUAAUAAGGUUUUCAAACAAAGUGCAUAAGAAAACAUAAAUUUUUGGAUAUUAAAAAAGUAAGCGAAAAUAAUUUCUAUAUAAUUAAUUACAACAACUAAUUCCACUUUGAACCCUCUGAUAGAAAAAAGUUAACCAUUCUUAUUUUCCACCCUCAAUUUCAGUUUUGAAUAUGUUACAUAUCAAAGUUUCAAAAUCAUUACAAUUUGAUCUUUUCGUAAACCACAUUGACAAAAUUGAUGAAUUUUAUGUGCGUGCAGACCAAGAAUGCUAAGCAAUAGGUCUCAAAUUCACUUUUCAUGCUCAACUUUUUUUCUAUUUUUACUUUACACCACAUAUAUUAAUUCUUUAAGCAUUAUGCCCUCAAUUUGGUUUUGAUGCAUUGUCAUAGAUUUUCUAAAUGUGCAAUAGAAAUAAAAGAAUUUUUACCAAUACCUUGCUCCAUUCAAUUUCAUGAAAUUAUUUUUUGUAGAAUUUAUAUUUCUCUAAUUACCUAAAUAUUAGUUAAAUAACACAUCACUACGUAGAUAUCCAAGUGUAGAAUAGGGCGUGGUUUUAUAAGUUUAGGUGCUAUUAGAAGUAAAGGGCAAUAAACUUGGUUUUGAGUAAAUGUAUUAAACUUAUUGUUAAUAAUCCUAAUAAAAUACUAUAUGAUAGCAGUUUGGUUUCAACUAGCUUAAUCCAUCACGAGUAGCAUGGUUUCUUUGUUGGUUAUUAGAAGCACACUAAUAAUGAUCUUCAUAUAUAUAUAUAUGCUAAUAUAACACAAGUUCUUUGUCAAUUAAGCGUUCAUUUGUGUCUAAUUGUAUGGUCAAUUCAUACAGCUGUAAUAGAUGAAAAGUUAUGCAGAAAAUAUAUGCACAUAGAGUAAAAGAUUCAAAAUACUAAUUUUAUAAAUUUGAGGGGACAUGGUGUGCAAAAUAUUAGAUAAAAAUCUAUAUAUACCUAUUGCACAACUAAAAGUCUAUAACAUUACAUUAAAAAAUGAAUUUUAGAUGAAAUAUAUCCAAAUACUGGAGUUAAGGGUACAAAGUAGAAACAGGGGAGUAAGUUAGCGUGCAAAAUGACAUAGGUAUGCCCCCGCGUGAAUGGUCCAGUGGUAGUGCCUCUCACCAGUGAAUCUUGAGAUCACAAGUUCGAGUCUCCGCUCCACUGGAUUCCUCCGUGCACUUAACGUGUUCGGGCCGGGUUGGAGCGCCGGGUCCAGGCCAAUGGAGAUUAGUCGGGUAAGUUUUCUUCUUGUUACAAACGCAAGUACUUCUAAAUUUCAUUAGCCUUAUCCACUAUUAGUACAAAUAUUAGUAUUUUCUUUUAAUCAACCGUACAAAAACAUGAAUUUGGUGGACAGAGCUGAUACGUACCGGCUGCGUAUGGCACCAAAUUGUCUAUUUAUGUGACGCAGAGCACUGUCCAAAAAUAUAUUAUACCCAAUUUGUUUGUUCUGAUUGUUUAGACUAUAAAGAAUUAGGGUGGACUGGUGUUGGCUCCACAACAAUAAUUUAUAGCCAGCCUAUCAGGUCUAGUGAACUAUCCUAGCUUUUCUUAUUAUUUGACAAUUCGCAGGUCAUAUUCUUAACCACUUGUCCCUUUUGCUUCUCUUUCUUGCAGAUUAAAAAACGUCAGGUCUAGGAGAUGCCAUGAGUAUUUGAAGCAUCUAAAGGAGAGGUAAGGACACUAGAAGACCAAGCCACGAAGAAAAACCAUGGAAUCUGCAGAGCUUGCGAACAAGUCAGAAUUUCUAGCUGAAGGUGAGGGAUCUUCAGAUGAGAUGGGCAGCACCAGUGAUCAGCGGCCACUACCUCAAAUUGAAGCCAAAGUUUGUGAUAACAAAGUUCUUCUGAGACUUCACUGUGAAAAUCAACGAGGAGUGCUGAUAAAAAUACUCUCUCAAGUAGAAAAGCUCAAUCUUGCUGUUUCUAACACUAAUGUCUCACAAUUUGGAAAAAAUCGGGCUCUUGAUAUAACUAUUAUUGCGGAGGUAAGCUAAACUAUACACAGUUCAAUUUCUUCAAGUUUUUUUUUUCCAAGUGAAUAUUAAGGGAUAAAUUUUUUUUUGGUGUGCAGAUGGAGAAAGAAUUCAACCUGACAAUCAAAGAACUGGUUAGAAAUCUUCAAUCAGCUCUUCAGCUUGUGAACUAAGAAGCCUGGGGUUUCGUCUGGUCCUCAGGUUCAACUAGAUGGAUCAAAGGGCCUUACGAGUCAGCUUUCGUGGCCACUAGAUCCAUAAGUACGUGUUUCACGAGUGCAAAUGUAAAAGAACUGUUAUGUUUUCCAAUAUUUCAUAGGUAUAUGACUAGUUUACUUCAAGGUGUUUUACUAUGACUUCAUUCAGUUCAUUGUGGUUUUGUUCUGUUCGGUUCACGAAAGUUUCUAUCUGAUGUAGACAUUAUUUCUACCUUCGUAAAACAUUCAUUGGCAUUUGUGAAAAGUAUCAGGUGGCCCAAAUUACUUCCACGGCCCCUUAAUACAGAUACGGAGAUGCUUUUUGCAGUACCAAUUUUAGUGUUUCACUCGUGUAUAAUCUGGGUUUUUUUCUAUUGGUUAGAAAAAAGCAUGAAAUCGACAAUUGAGGUCUACUCAUUUUCUUCGGUGUGUUUCUCCAAAUCCCAAAAAUUUCCAGGUGUUUCCAGGUGUCUGAUACUGCAAAUGCAAUGUUAAUUUUGUUUACAUCUCAAACUCCGAUUAUUUGAGCGGCUGUCUUGAAGCUCGAGAGUCGAGACUUGGAAAGAUUUCAGUUAUACACCCUCUUUAUAACCAUAUUAUUGCAAACGAGAUCGUUAAAUGUACCUUGUCAAAGUAUCAAUAAGCAAAAGAUCCACUGCUGUUUCCUUUAAGAUAUACUCCAUUAUUCAUGCACCAAAACGGAAUUCAGAAGUGAAGGGGCAUAUCCAUGGUUCGAAAUCUCGGCCGAGACCGAGACGACUCGGCCGAAUCGUCACCGUCUCGGCCCCUACCGAUACGAUACCGUGACGAAACGAUACCGAAAUACUUGACUCGCCGAGAAAUCGGCCGAGUCGUCACCGCGACGGAUUGACUCGACCGAGUGACACCGAAUCACUCCGAGUUAUCCCGAGUCAAGACGAGAAAUCAGUCGAGUCACACCGCGACGGAUUGACAUGGCUGUUUCUUUUGCUAUUUUUUAAUUAUUUUUAUUUAGCAUACUUUUUUAUAUUAUUAACAAUUUUUAAAAUAUUGAAUACUUUAAAAUUUGCGUCUCACCGAGACCGCGACCGAUAUGCCGAGACCGAUGUGGAACGUUCCGGGCCGCGACCGCGAUCGUAACCGUGACUUUGAACCAUGGGCAUAUCCCUCAAACUAGUAUAUAAAAUGAAGCAUUAUGCCUUGUAGUAAACAACUAAUGUGAUCUGAGUUUCUAUCAAGGUACAAAAAUAGAGCAAGAGAUGCCUAAUUCACCGCAAAUGCUCAAACCUUCCUGGGAUUUUUCACAUCUUCCAAGCAUACAUCUUCGACAGCUAAAACAUACACUCAGUCAGGAGAGAACAAUAAAUUCUUGAGAACUUUCGAAUUUCUAUGAGGUCACAAGUGCUAAACAGUAGCUGGAAAAAUCAUCCCUUCAUCCGGCAGAAAGAAAAGAACUUUGGGGAACAAUUUGGAACCAUCAAUAGCAGUGGACAGUCACACUAUGUAACUUGUCCAUACAGCAGACAAGCUCUGGCUCCCAAUCAUAAGCAGUAAAACAAGAUGGGAUAAAGAUUCAUUGGCUGAUGAUGGAAGUUUGUGUAUAUUGGAUCAGCCUCAAAGUCCGCAGCUCUCAACACAUAAUGUUUUCUCCAAACAAUUCUAAAAUGAGGCACUAGGGUAAUUAGCAGAAGCUAGCUCAUGCAUAGCAGGCUUAGCUGAGUAUACACCUUCCUUAUCUAGCCGAGUAUACAGCAGAAUUAGGAAGGAAGAGAGAGAGGUAGUUAAUUUGUUGCUUCGAUUGAUUAUAUAUAUAUAUAUAUUUGCGUCAUAUUUGAUGUAUUUUCCUAUUUAUGUAGAUAUUGAAAUAAAAUUAUGUUUUAAAAAAAAAAUCCAAGCACAUACACCACUAGGCAAUAUGGUCUCCAACCAGUAAAAGGUGUAAAGAGUUCGAGAAGAAUAUGCUUGCAAUUAUGGCCCCUUAGGCCACCAGUCGCACUAAAAUGUGACGUGCUUGUCGUGCGGCAGAACCAUUUGGUGCCGCCCUUUAGUUUGAUCUUUGAUGGCUGUGUCUGGACAAAUUACCUAGGGUAAAAUACAGAAAACUCCUUAUGAUUUGACUAUUUGACACGCUACCUUUUCAUUAUUUAAAAACAUCCACACUAUCCCCUCGUGCUUUGGACUAAAGUGAAAUUUGACUGGUAACUGUAUGUUACCUGCAAGUGAUGCAUUAUUAUUUUUUUAAUAUUUUUUUAUUUUAUUGUCAUUUUUUCUUUCAAUUUUGGUGCUUUGACUUAACUAUCAUAGGUAUUUUUACAAAUUUGAGAAAUUAGUGAUGCACUUUUAAAAUUUUCUAAAAAUUAUUCAUACCCUCUUACUAUUUUGCCCUGUCGUCUCUCUCUAUUGAUGUCAGUCGCCACCACCGCCCACGGCUUUGUCUCCAAAGAUUCUUCCAACAACAAUGCCCCCAAAAUCCAAAUUCACCCAAAUAUCCAAGAAAAAAUUUCAUGAAUUUCAUAAGCUUCCAUCAUAAAAUUCUUGAAAAAGUAGACAAAUCAGAUGAGUGAAAAUGGCAUCCCUCUUCAUUUUUCGUUUUUCGUCGCAUAAUCCGGUAACCGCCGGAUGAUCCACAAGAAAAGCGGCAGGAAUCAAACAUAGCUAACCAGCUUUGAAAGCCAUUAAAAGAAAUCAAAUUCGAGGUAAUUAUCAGAAUUUUACUAAAAGGGCAUAGCUCCAGGAGCAGGCUUUUCACCGGUUGACGCUGUUGGGACCGGAAUCUUCUCAAUCUCGAAUGGCCUUGAGAUAUCUAGAGGGCUUGCACAACGAAUUAGAGCCCAAUUUACACCUUCAAAGAAGGGAUGCUGCUUAAUUUCGAUUGCCCCACGUUUGUAUGCCAACCUAUGUUGUGGCUCUUUAACUAGCAACCCUCUUAUAAGAUCUCUAGCUGAAAAACUGAUGACAGGAGACUUUGGAAAUUGAAGGGGCUGCCCGACAACGUUGAAUAAGGUCGCUCGAUUCCCAGUUCUGGUGGAGGCGAUGAUGGUGUGAAGUGGUGGAGGGGGAAGGGGAGCAGGAGAGAGGAGGAAAAAGAAAGAAAAGGUGAAAAUGAAAAAAAAAAAAAAAGAAUCAAAAAAUGAGCAGAUGCUAAGACCACCUUGCUUCGAUGUUGUGACUUGUGGAGAAUGUGAAAUAGAGGAAGAAGGAGAGGAAUAAUAGAAAAGAAAAGGAAAAAAGAGGAAAGGAAAGGAAAAUAAAAUAAAAAGAAAAAAUUUAAUAAUAGACAGGCUACCGGUUCACAGCAGGUCAAAAAGCGUAAUUCUACUCUAGUCUAAAGCAUGAGGGGGUAGUGUGGGUGUUUUUAAAUAAUGAGGAGGUAGCGUGUCAAAUAGUCAAACCACAAGGAGGUUUUCUGUAUUUUAUCAAAUUACCUAUCAAGUUUUGGUGUUACAAUCCAGUGUCCUAAGCUCUACAUGAAUCAGAUGUAUUCGAUUAUUUUCAAUAUUUAUGUAUUUUGUCAGGUAUAUUACACAUGUUUCAAAUUCUAUAUUGAUAUAUACAGACACAUGCAUGCAUUCAUACAUACAUAUGUCUAUUCUUUUAUUGAAAUUAAUGUGAUUUAGUUUGUACGCAUUUUUGGGUUAGUUCCAAUAAAUCUCCUCAACAAUACUCUUUCUAAAUCAACUUGCCCACUAAAGGUUAAAUUGUACGGUUUCGAAUCUUCUGUUUCCAAAUUACUCUCUAUCUCCUGUCUCUUCUUGUACAGCUGCCACGUAUUUUUAACUUUUUGAUAACCCAAAUUCAAACAAGCUAAUAGGUUGCAUUUUUGUUAUUAAUUUUAUGAUUAUUUCCCUCUUUAUUUUACCAAAUAUUGUAUUAAUUGAUAGAUUCUGUUUAUAUUUGGUGUUUUGUGUUAAUUAUAGGGCGUUGGAGUAAAAAGUGCUAAAAAAGGGUGAUUUUCUUGGAAUUGAUUGUCAACCGCAAGUUUCCCAAUUCAAGAUGAAGCCUACGUGGAUUAUUGACUGAAGAUUAGGAAAUUACCAUUUUUUUUAGAUAUUUUAUUUAGGAAACAAUUGGCAUUAUUCUUGAAGUUACCUUUUUCAAUUAGAAUUCUAGUUUCGGUUGCUGAAGUGAGAGCCCAAAUUUGUUAGUAAUUGGUAGUCAUUUAGGUUUCUUAUUAUCAUCUUUUUUGCGGGGUUGGCUGCAAUAGGGAGGACGGCCGGUUGGCCUCUCAAUUCGUCUUGCUUUCAUUAGUUUUAGAGGAAAACUAAUUGCAACCAGAUUCCACGAAGUCUGGCGGAAUUUCUUCUAGAUGUGUUGCUAAAUCUCCAUUUUCUAGUCAAGGAACAACGGAAGUUUUGGUUUAUUUAAAAAUUGUGAGAUCGAAUUAAUUUUAUUUAUUCAUUUUAUUUACUGGUAUUUGCAUAUUCUCUGAUUGUAUUGCUUAUGGUUGUUUUAUUAAUUGAGUAUCUUGGGCCCGGACGUUGAAUUAAUUUAGCAACCUAGUAUCAAUUGGAACAUUAAAUCUGUAAUUAUUUAAUUACUCUAAAAUAGUGGCAACUGGCAUGAUUGGAUUUGCGUCAGGAGAAUACGCGAACUAAUCUAAAAUAACUCUGGUAGUGUAUUAUUUGGUUAGAAUAGGGCUUCUCUAAUACGUAAGGCAACUGAAAAAUUAAAUCUUACGGGCGUACUUAGAAUUAUUUCUCGAUUAGAGUAGUAAUUAAUGGGCGUACCUUAAUCACCGACACAGUAAAAAAGAGUUGACUGUCAUCACUUGUUUGGCAGUUAUAACUUAUUUAUUAGUUAAUAAUUAGAAUUACCUUUGCAUCGAUAAUCAAUUAGGAAAACCAUUACCGAAAUUAUUUCUUGACUAGAGCUUAGUUAUUAUUAAUUUGAUUUUAAUAAUUUGUGAUUUAAUUUUUAGUUGGCUAUUUAUUGAACCAUUUAAUUAUUACCAAAAAAACCCCCCUUUGUUAGUUUGAAUUUCAAAAGAGACAAAUAACCCCAGUCCCUAUGGUUUCGACCCUACUUAUCACUAUCUACAAAAAUUAUAUUUUAUUUGAGUAGGUAUUUAUUAUUGCACAGACUCGACAACUUGUCACUGCCACGUGUUUCUAACAUUUUGAUAACCCAAAUUCAAACAAGUUGAUAAUAAUCAGUUGACAAGUUUCCUUAAAAGCAAAACUUGCAGUUUUCUUCUUCAUGUAAACUAGAGUUGAAGAAAUUCUGAUAGGGAACCACCGCUUGAUUUAUCCAAAGAAAAAAUAGUUUUGAGUUAUUGGAACAGUUUGAUUUAUUCAAAGGCAAAAAAGUUUUGAAUUAUCUGUUUUAAUUGAUUUUGAGUACAUUUGUCAAUUGAUUAUUAUCGGUUUGUUUGAUUUUGGAUUAUCAAAAAGUUAGAGACACGUGGCAGCUAUACAAAGAAGGGACAGAGGAGAUAAAGACUAAUUUGGGGACAGAAGAUUCGAAACCAAAUUGUACUAAUCCACUCCUUAUAAUAUCACAAUACAACUCAAUUGGGUUCCCCCUCCUUUGUAGAAUAGGAUAACAUAGACAUUACCAAUUAAUCAAAAAAAAAAAAAAGAGGAAUCGGGUAGAACAGUCCAAUUUAUGGCUAAUUUUGUCAUGUGAACCUCGCAUAAUUAUGAGAAGUGACCAAACUAUCUCCACAGCAACUAGUCAAUGACAUGAUCAGAAACAUCUAUAAAUGAAGUGGGAAUACUAUAAUAUUAAAUAGGUAAAUUAGCUCAAUUCAAUCUUUAGUGGGGCAAGGGGUUACUAGAAUAACCCUAUUCGAAUAAUCUUAUAUUUGUCAUUUCAAGAGAGACUAAGUGAAAUCUGGUCGGCAAAUCAAUCCCUACUACAUUUGUCUCAAAGGGAAGUCAAGGGGCACUGGGUAAGAAGGAUCGAGACGCUACUUGCAAAGCCCUAAGCCAUGUUGGUGGGGUCCUUUUAGCAGCAGCUUUAGUGUUACGCUUGUGUCUAACGUGGGGCUUGUAUUGAAUAGAAAAGAUGGAAUGGGCAAUUGAUGUCUUUUCAUUUUCUUUUGAUGUGCUUUACCACCACAAGAUUCCAGGUUACUCAUAGUGCUGUGUCACGGUCAUUGGGUGUACUUGAUUCCUAUUUGGAUUGUAAUUUUCUAGAAUUUUUAUAGAAAAUAUAUCAUAACGAUUUAAUAUAUAUGAUAUAAAAAAAUCUAUGUUUUUAGACUCAGACCGGGAGUCGACUCGGCCGAAUUCAGUAGUCAGGGAUCAAUGGGUUCGACCGGGGUCAAAAGGGGGUCGAACCGAAUGACAUCAUAUAUACGUUGAGGGUGGUAGUUUCGGCUUGGCCUUCUCAUCUCGACCCCCUCCAGGACGGCUCCCCCAUCCUGCUUGUCUAUGCCCCGUAUCGCCCUGCCGAGAUGAGUCUCGUACCGACUCUACCGGUCAUCUCGAGCACCUCGGCUACCGAGGUGCUUGUCGUGAAGCCCCUGAUACCUGAUGGGACAACUGGGGCCAAGUCACAGUCUGAUGCCUGCAAGGGGGAAAGACACUUGAUGGGAUCUACCUGACAGACCUGAUGAGACAGGCUGACAUGCCCAGUCUGUCAAGGCAUGGGAAGUUGAUCCCAACUGCCAUUUCUCUCCGAUUGUUCCCUAUAAAUACAAGGAGGUUACUUAGAAGGGAGGAUUUUUUUUUCAGGGUUUUACAAGAUAUAUUGUCUACAGGCUUUUUAAAUAAACUCUCCCCUGAUAGAAGCUAACUAGAUCGUCGGAGGUAAAUCGGGGGACUUUACCCCACCUCUGACACUCUGAACAGGUGACUUCCGCGAGACCGUACCCACUUCAGGAGAGUUACUCUCACACUCAGUACCGUCUGCUGAACCCGAAAAUCACCUCUUUAAUUGGCGACGUCCGUGGGAACCGGAAAACAUCAAAGACUGAAGCCCAUGCAUUCUAGGAGCAGGAAGGUUCUCACUAUUGGAGCUGAGCCAAGUGCUGCAGCUCAACACGAAGAUGUCUCUGAAGGACAGGGGUAGCUAGAGAAUCAGACCACAAACGGAGAAACCAUAGCCCGAAUGGCUGAGUUUGUAUCUGAGAAUCCUAAUAUUUUUGAAGAAUUAGGGAGGUACUUCAAGAGGCAAGGCAAGCAAAAAGUUGAAUCCUCUAAGAGAAAGUCAGAUGAGUCUCCCGAACUCCCAUCUGAUGAGGAAUCCAAGGGGAGACCUUCCAUCAGGAGUACUCUGAAGUGGGUCUCCUCUAAGAUCACCUUUAUCUCUAAGGCAUUCUCAACGGGCCUGCUGGGGAAAUGAGCCGAGGAGGAACCUCGGCACUUGGGAAAGCCAGGAGUGGAUUACAUGAUGGUUCCGCCUUUCACAGAUGAUAUCAAUGAGGAGAGGCUCCCCUCAAACUUCGAACUGCCUGCCAUACCAUCUUAUGAUGGCCAAGGUGAUCCGGAGGACCACAUUCAUGCCUUCAUCUCGGCAUUCCGAUUGUAUUGUAUUCCCGAUCUAGUCAUCUGCUGAGCUUUUCCAGUAUUCUUGCAGGGAACAGCUCGAAAAUGACUCUGAGAUCUGAAACCUAGGAGCAUCUCCACUCUGGGAAAAUUGGUGGACAAAUUUCUCCAUCGCUUUAUCUCUUCCAGACUGACGAAAAGGACCUCGGCUUAUCUGUUAAAUAUACAACAGAAUCCAGGGGAGUCCUCCGAUCUUAUGUGCAGAGGUUUCAAAAUGAAAACGUGCAGAUACCUGAACCUAAUGAGCAGGUAACUAUAGUCGCCUUCACAAAUAGAUUUGUUGUCAGGCUGUUCAACACCGCAAUACACAAGAAAUACCCCUGAACGUUUCGAGAGUUCUGGAAAAAGGUCGAAAAAGGCAUACGGCCCGAAAAUCUGAACCGCAUGAAAAAGGAAGCUCAGGUGGCAUGCUCAGGACAUGAUCCCCGAAAAAAGAAGGAAUCAAGCCGAGGUGAUGCUAGUAGUUUCCAGAGCUCUGGCCGAGACCGCCGGAGCAUUUUUAAUUGAAUUGCCAAUGGAAAGUCAGCCGUUCCAGAUUCCAAUCUGACCUCUCUGAAAACCAAUCGUUCCCAUAUCCUUGCUAUUAUGGAGCAGAAUCGUCUCGGGCGAGCCCCUCCCAGAUUGGCCAGAAGAAGGGAAAAGAGGAAUUCCAACCUCUACCGCGCCUAUCACCGAGACAUUGGGCACAAAAUCGAGGAUUACAAUGACCUGAAGAGAGAUAUCGAAGAACUGAUUAAAUGGGGGUACUUGAAACAAUUCGUCCGCAGAGAAGAAGGCAAUACGAGUGACCCUCGCCGCUACCGUCAGGGCGAACCCCGUCAGGAAAGCAAUCGAAGUGAACCCCGUCGAGAGAACAUAAAAGGGUUCAGAAAUAGCUGCCGACCCCUCGAAAAUCCUAGGGAGUCGAGGAAGCCUCCCCGAGAUGGAUCCCCUGGCUAUGAGUCAGGUUAUGGGCCAAACAUAGCUGGGGUCAUAAACACUAUUGCUGGAGGUUCGACAGGAGGAGAUAGCCAAAACUUCCAGAAGAUGACCUAUAGACAAGUCAAUUCAGAUCAGGCCAAGGCGAGUUCCCGCCUUACUGAAACAAUCACCUAUGGCCCAAGUGAUCCUAUUCCGACAGCUUCUAGCAGUCAUGAAGCCCUGGUGAUUGAGUUGCUCACCAAUAAUUAUCUCGUGAAAAAGGUGUACAUUGACCCCGGAAGUUCUGUGAACGUCAUGUACUAUUGAACUUUCGAAAGUUUAAAAUUGACAAGGGAUCAGCUCGUACCCGUGAGGACUCCGCUAGUGGGGUUUGGGGGGCAUGUUGUUCACCUGGAAUGGAUGAUUACAAUGAUGGUGACCGUGGGACGACAUCCUCGGUGUCGAACUGUCCUCGCCAAUUUUAUUGUGGUCAAAAUUGAUUCCCCGUAUAAUCUGCUCAUGGGGUGACCUACCCUAAAUGCGUUGCGGGCGGUGUACUCAACGUACCACUUAAACUUCAAACUCCCCAUGCCAGCAGGCAUAGUCGAGGUCAACAGCGAUGUCUGUGCCGCUAGAGAAUGCUAUCUCGCCACCCUCUAGGCAGCCUCUUCGUCAUCAGCCGAUUUGAAAACUGAGGGUAAGAGAUCUCGCAUCCUCUCGAUCGACUGCAUAGACCCUCAACGAUCCGGAAAGCUUGAAAGGUUAGAGACAGGACAUGAGAUCGAAGAAGUUCUUCUGGAUCCUUCAAAACUCGAGCAAACCAUCCGCGUCAGCGCCAGUUUGCCCGAGCCACUUAAAGGCGAAGUGGUUAACCUCCUUAAAGAGUAUCAGGAUGUCUUCGCUUGGACUGCUGAUCAGGUCGUGGGAGUUCCCCACCACCUCAUGUUACAUGAGCUGAAUGUUGACCCACGCACGAAACCUGUCAAGCAGAAAAGAAGACACUUCGGCCCGGAACGCGAUAAAACUGUGGCUGAAGAGGUGGAUAAGCUCUUGCCAGCAUAGAUAAUUAAAGAAGUGCAAUACCUCACUUGACUAUCUAACCCUGUCAUGGUUAAGAAGGAUACUGGAUGGUGGAGAAUGUGUGUGGAGUUUACAGAUCUGAAUAAGACAUGUCCGAAAGACUGUUACCCACUGCUGAAGAUAGACACCUUGGUUGAUUCGGCAAUAAGUUACGAGAUCCUUUGUUUCUUAGAUACCUUCAAAGGUUAUCACCAGAUACGAAUGAAUGAAGAAGACCAGGAGAAAACGGCCUUUUUCACAGAUCGAGGAAUCUACUGCUACACCAACAUGCCCUUCGGUUUAAAAAAUACCGGAGCGACAUAUCAAAAACUGGUAAAUCGUGUUUUUGAAUCCCAGAUAGGGAGGAAUGUCGAGGCCUAUGUUGAUGACUUUCUCCUAAAAAGCAAGCAUGCCUCGGCGUUCACAUCUAAUGUAAGAGAGGUCCUUGAGAUCCUCCGAGAUAUGCGGAUGAUACUCAACCCUAAGAAGUGCAUAUUCAGCGUGACAUCGGCAAGUUCCUGGGAUAUCUAGUGUCACACCGAGGUAUAGAAACAAAUCCCGACCAGGUGAAGGCGAUUCAGGAGAUGUUUUCACCCAGAAACAUUCGAGCCGUCCAAAGGCUGACGGGGAGAUUGGCGGCUCUCAAUCGGUUCUUGUCACAAUUUGCUACAAGGGUAUUGCCAUUCUUUAAAGUGUUGAAGAAGGCAUACACGUUCUCUUGGACUGAAGAGUGCCAAAGGGCCUUCGAGCAGAUGAAGGAAUACCUGCAUCAACUCCCCACUCUUACCUCACCUCGAGUUGGAGAAACAUUGGUGGUGUUUGGAUAGUGUGUUAUUUGAAAUAUUAUUUAAAAUAUUCAAAGUUGACUUUUGUGAAUAAUGGAACUUCCAAAUAAUCGUUUGGACAGUGAAAUAUUGCUUGAAAUAAUUGUUUGGACAACUACAACUUUUAUUUUUCCUUUUUUUAACUAAAGUAAUACAAGAGUCCACGAUUAUGAGAUAAAUGCUAGACAUUGAAGUUCCUCUGCCAUAAUUCUCAACACACUAAUUCUGGUUAUUGACCUUUAUUCCAUUGACGAUGGCAGCAGUUGAUUAAAAACUAUGCGAUAGGUUGACUACUACAGAAGGUUGUCAUCUAUCGCCUGCGGCGCCCUUGGGCUGCAUACAUCUAGUCCGCCAUUGCAUCGCUUGCUGCUUUUCAUGCUUCUACCUCCGCUCGAGAAACGUUUGGCGUCUGCGUACGUACCUUUUCUUCGAGGUCGGGUUGCACCUCUAAUUGGACAUUUUCAUCCUCGAACCUUUGAAAAUGAGCAUCUCCAGGUUGGAACAUUCUCAAAAAAUUAUGUAGCCCAUAGCAUACAAUUACCACACUAAUUUGUGUGGUCAUAUAAAAUUCGAUACUGGGCCCUUGAGGAAUUUAAAUCUCAUUUUUAAUACACUAAAUGUGCGCUCUAUAACGUUUCUAAGACUCGAAUGUCGAGUGUCAAACAACCGCUUGUCUGGGUCUCGUUCCCGAACAUUCUUGUAGGGUGGUAAGAAACCCAGAGUGUUUCUAUCCGCUGCAUCUACCAAGUAGUACUUCCCUAUAUUUCUCAAAUCAUGCUGGGGAGCAUGGAUGCAGAAUUAGUAACAAGGUUUUGUGUAUAUUACGUGUGUGUGUGUGUGCCGAAUUUUAAUUAAUUAUUACCUGAAGGUGGAAGUGAAAAAUUUGAUGGCGGCAUCAACGCUAAUUCUAGCACUCAUGCAUCGUGGGCACUGCCUUCCCAUCCAGUGUAGACGUAGUUGAAGUGCAUGUCAAAAUCGCACACUGCUAGGACAUUUUGUGAGUGUAUCCCGUGUCGAUUGGUAUAUGCCAUUUGCUCUCCACUUGGCGGGCAAACCGGAAUAUGUGUGCCAUCUAGAGCUCUAACAGCAUCCUGCCAAUCAUGAAAAAUCGACUGCAAAUGGUGCGAUUUGCAAGGACAGCAAAUUUUUCACUUUAUUCAGUAGACUAAAUUAUAGGAUUUUACCUGGAACCAUGGAUAGAAGUGUCUUGAGUUUGCAAUUCUUGGGUGAACAUUAUCGUGGUCAUACGGCCUUAUUAUUGUGGCAGCAAAUCUGCAUAGCCCAAGGAGAACUUUGUGCACGUUUCGAUUAAUUGUCUCCGUUGACCGGUUGAAUCGUUCCGCUAGCAUGCGCUGAGUAUGAUGAUGACUUACCAUGACUAGAGUCAUUGCUAAGGCUUUCUCUAUUUCGACCCUUUGUUGAUAGGAUCGAGACACAUAACCGUAAUUCUACAGUAUUUCACAUAAUCGAAGGAAAUUGUCAACUGUGAUAUGCAUGUUUUCCACACUACGUCGGUAAUGCCCAUUGAUCACCUCUUCAACCCACUGCCGUCCGAUUAGAGAGCCGUCGUGGUGAGGUAUUUUAUCUCUAGUCCUGUCACGAUACAGCAUCAUUAAUUCUGCUGUCAAAACCAACAUUGUCUCAUCCCUUUCAUCUUCCUCAGCUAUUGCCUCUCUCCGUCCUCUGCCCGUCCUCCUAUUGUUCGCCGCCAUAGUACAAUUGCCUCUAGAGAAAAAGGGAGUAACUGUAAAUUGCUAAAUCAGAAUCAAACUUGACAGAUAAGGAGCAAGGGAAACAAUUACCUUCAAAUACUUGGUGGCAGACAGGUAUCUUUAUCGUCAGAAAGAACGUUAGUUUGAGCUAGUAGACGAGAGAAGCUAGAGUUUUGUGAUAAUUGCGAGACUUCAAGCAUAAGGAGAACAAGUAAUUUAAAGUGCAAUAAAAAUACGAGCAAUACUACGCACCGACAAAACUCACAUGCAAAAAUGAACGUCUUUUUUAAAAAGGUUACCAUCUUUUUGAAAAGCCUAAUCAAUUAUGAUCGGCUCCUGUACAAUUCGGUGGACACAGCUGCCCUCUACCAAAUAAGAGAGUAAACAGUUGCUAUGGCAAGCAACUGAAAGUGGACUGGCAUGUUGCUGGAGUUGUGUGUCAGAAUACGCAGCCACUAAUAGCUGCAUGAAUGGAGCAAACAAAAAUGAUGCAUGGGAAUUAUGACAGGGGCUCAUUUCACAAUUCUCUUUCUCUCUGUUUCAUUGUUGUUGGGGUAAGUGAAAAUGUAAAAAUAGUACAGGACUAGAUAUGGGAGAGGGGAAGGGAGGGAGGGAAUAGGGGAGAGGGGAAGGUUAAAAUGAAAAAAAAAUAACAGUGAAUUUAUUUGACAUACGACAUUCUGGGUUCCUAUGGCUCAAACUGGACACAUGCAACUAAGGCACGAACUACGGUCAUUCACUGGCGUUCAUGCAAAAAAAGUCGAGAAUGCCUCCAAUGAGUCGUGGAUUCUUUUGCGGCUUUAGCUAGAAAGAAUAGCAUUUAGCUUAUCAUAAUUCGUGGAGUGCUGUCGGCUGGUCCCAGGUGAACAAGCAAUUUCCUAAAAUGGAGUGAUGUCGGCUGGUCCCAAGUGAACAUUCAAUAGAGUGAAUUUUGCUACUAUCUCUAUUCAGUAUAAAAAUAGAAAAGCGCACUUAAUCUAUUUAGGGAAGGUUCAAAUCGAGUUUGUAUAUUACAUAAACAGGACAUGGUAUAGCUGCAAGUGCCUAAAGAACUUAUAUAUUAAGAAACUCAUCUGCGGCUAAUUUUUUUGUCUUUCGCUACCUUCUACCAGUAAAAUUUAAUCACAAGGCUUGAAUGACUUCCAUCCACUGUCGUAAUCACUCAAAUCCUGUACUAGUACCCUUACAAACCAGUAGGUUAAACAGGUGAGAAAGUAAAUUUUCAUCUACGAAUGAUGAACUUCCUGAGUAAAAAUUACCAACUUUGACAAUAAAUAGCUCCCCUAAAUGAUGAAGUACAAUAGCAACCAAAUGGAGUGAUGAACUAGAAAAUGAUGAACUACAAAUGAUGAACUUCCGCAGUAAAAAUAGCUGUUAAGAGUUCACUUAGAAGAAUUAGAGAGUAACUGGCUACUCUUAGAAGAAUUAGAGGAGUAACUCAGAACUCUUGCAUACAAACUACUUGCUAAAAAAUUCUGUAAAACUGAGAGCUAUGAACACUUAGCCAACAAUGAAGCAAUGAUGAAGCAAAUGCCUCCAAUUAUUCCAUUCUGCAACUUCGUAAGAAACAGAGAGCUAUGACAAUUCAAGCCAACAAUGAGCUUCAUACGUACACCAAUCUCAUACUGCACAUAUCCAUUACGCAAUAAAAGUAACAAUUAAGGACUAGCAACAAAAUCUCACAUACCAAAAUGAAACAAAAAUUUGACAAGCAAACUCCACCCACAUAUUACACAUACCAGGUACAACAGCAGUUUUGUAAAAAGAAAAACAACUCCAGCGCAUAGUUCUUAGCGGUUAUAGGCAAGUCCUGAAGGUUGGGAAAAAAAAUACAACUCCACCUAACUGGAAAAAAAAGAGCUCCACACACAUCAUACCAAACUUACACGAGCCAAAGUUGACAACGACUAGGGAUAUUAUAUAUUCCCCUAUAACAGAACCGUUGCCGGAGUGAAUAUCAGAAAUGGAUUUGAGACGGCAACCCUUCUGUUUUGGUGGAAUAUGCUAUUUCAAAUUAUGCCUCACCUUUCUUCCUCAUAUGCCUUGCGACAUAUGCAUAUCUUCCGGUAGCAUAAUAGCGCAUGAAGAUAAUCCGUUGGCCUAAAUUUGUAUCUUCGGUGAGAUACGAGUCUAUUUCUACCUUCCAAUCAACGGGGAUAUCUAUGGCUAACACAAUGUCUUGACAAUUAUCAACUUUGUACGUCUCAUCUCUGUCUAUACGAUCCUUUCGAUCAGUGAUCGCCACCUCUGUGAAGUUCCCGAUCUUGCUUAAAGCGUCUUCAAGUCUAUCCGCAGAUGACCGGCCAGAUUUUGUGCCUCUGGAACCUUCUUGCUCGCCGGAGUUACCCAAACUGGAUGUUGGUCGCUUCCUACUACUGCCUCCCGGAAUAGGGGAGACGUAGUACACAUCCUCCCUUUCCCAAGAGGAGGUGGCUGAAGACGAUUGCGACGACGAUGAGGCUUUGACCUUGCCUUUCCGACUUCUCCGAGAGAUGGUCUGCUCGUUUCCCAGUUGUUCAAGGGCAACUGGCUGGCCAGCAGACUGUGCUCGUGUCCCUGUAGCCUUUUCCCCAAUCGUGAUAGGAGUGAAACACUCGUAUAAGUCGCAACUGAAGGGCUUAGAGAAGUCUUCGUACUCGCUGUAUGACUGUUGGUUAAAAGACAGAAGGAUAGAUCAUUUUUCAUGUUUCUAGCUUCUAUAUAUGCAUAAGCAAAGUGAUCAAGUUCGGUAGACAAAAAAUGAAAAAACUAACCGAAAUGAGAGCAGCCCAAUGGUCCUUGUCAGCAGUGAAAUUCUGGGUGUCCUCUUCCCAUCCGAUGCCAGUUUCGGCCUUGUAGCUGAGCCCCCUCAGUUGGCAAAAAACUUGCCAUUUCUUCUUGAACCGGUAGAAUCUAGAUUGGCACUGGGCAGCACUGACGUCGUCUCCAUGGUUUUCAAGCAAAUGCUCGGCUAUCUGAUCAUAAUUUCAUUCUAGCGAUCUACAUCGGUCCCAUUUUUUUGAUUUCUUGAAGGCGAUAUACGCAUCAAUAAAGUGCUCAUCCAUUUUAGGAGUCCACUCGAACUUACCUCCCAUCUCCUUUUGUAAAAUUGUAACUUCAAGUUAGUAGGCAUGCAAAUAAGUAAUGGUAAUUAAAAAUAUUUUGAGGUGAGGCAAAUGUAUACCAUACGGUUUGCCUCAAAGUUACUGAUGCACUCUUCAAUAUCAUUGGAGUCAGUGGAUGAUUGGACUGUGCAAUUGGAGGUGCAGCUGAUGGGAGGAGCUAAAGACAGAAAACAUGCAGAAAACUGACGUGAGUCACAUAAUCACACAAUUCAGUAAUGUUUUCAGGAGGAAAAACUGAAGUACGCCUUACACUGACUAUUACACUGCUGCUGUGUCUUGAGGGGCAUCUCUAUCAGUCUCCGUCAUGGCCUUAUUCAAAACGUAGGGAAAGUUUUUUUGGAAGGCAGCUCUCAAAAGAAACGUUUAAACUUUUUCUGGGUUAAUUCACGCUGAUUUGUGAACUCUACAAAUACAACAAAUAAUAGGAAAUAAAGUGGCACUAAGUUGAGUCCAGCUACUACUACCAUGUGUAGAAUAAAAACUGCUUUGAGUGAUAAACAAAGAUUGUACAAUAAUGGCGGCCAUGGUACACGAAUGGAUAUUGUAAGGUUAGAAUAAAACACCUUUUCUGCUUUCGCCUAAAAACUCACUAGUAUCUGGUGACAAAGGGUAAGUGCCAGCAUAACAACCAAGAUUUUUUCCUCCAACUCAUAUUGUACAGAUGCGAAGCUGAACGACCAUUACGGUGGGAAGUUAUUGGGCUAGAAAGGAUUUUUUUUCUAAAAAAAUUUAAAUGUUAUAGGAAUAGUUUAAGUCGCAGCAUGGUUGUCAAAUGUGUCCAUAACCACAGAUAUUUAGCGCACAUAGAGCCCCAAAUUUUUCAAAUCAUUCUAGCACAGUAGGCCAACACUAGCCGCAAAACAAGUCCACAUUCAAACAAGAAAGCAAAUCCCUAAAAAUUGGUCCUACUGAAAUUCAUGGCAAAUGAGAUGAUGUUUCUCAAAUUAAUUUUGACAACGGUGGCCAUUUUUGUAUUUCUCCUCAAUCCGAAAACCGGCCACAUAGAAACCUCUCUCCAAAAUCGAAUCAAAAUAGGUGGUUUUAAGCACAAACAGGUAUAAAAAAGUGCAAUAAGUGCUCAGAUCAUAUUUGCCACAAAAAAUUCCUGCUAUUCAUCCAGACACAUACAAAUCCAGAUUUAUGUCAAACGGUAAGUUGGGUUGAAUUUUUUUACAAAAAUUUCAACCCAAUUGAUGAUACCUGAUAGAAGCUCCCGGAUCGAAUUUUGUUGGCACUUCGAAGACGGGGGUGGAACUACACCGCUACUAAUAGGGACUCACAGCCGCUUGUGUUGCCGGAAAAAUGGUGGCUACUAUGUGACGGGUUAAACGAAACAAAAGGAAGCAGGCGGUUAAGGAGUUCCUGGAGUUGUGCUUGAGGAAGUGGGAAUAAAGAGAUGAGAUCGGCUUCAGAUCCAGAAGCGCACAGUGGUGUUUCAGUAAAUGCUAAGCAGCAAGGAAAUAACCGAAGGUAAAUUCAGUAGAUGGGUAAAGUAAUGAGGACCCAACGGCUAAAAAAUCUGAAUUAUGAAACCCAUGCGCCACGCGUCGUAAUGCAUGGACAGCUUGCACAGGACAAAACCCAGGCCUUGCUAACAAGACUAAGUACAAAAUAACAUGUGGGAUUCUAAAUUGUGAAAAAUAUUCAGUCAGUCCAAACACCAUUUCUUCAAAUUAUUCCAACACCACUCAGAUAAUUCAGUCCAAACAAAACCAUUAUAUCUCUACUUGUCCGCGGCUGAAGAGGCGGUGAACACAGUCCUAAUACAAGAUGAUGGCACCCAGGUCCCAAUAUAUUACGUUAGCCGAAUUCUUCGCGGUCUAGAGACCCGGUACACCCGAGCCGAAAAGCUCGUGUUAGGACUAGUACAUGCGGCUAGGAGAUUGAAACCUUACUUUUUAUCUCACCCCAUACGAAUCAAAACAGAUCAGCCUAUCAGGCAGAUACUGUCCUGACUUGAAGCCUCGGGACGCCUUACCAAGUGGGCCAUCGAGCUCGGGGAAUACGACUUCACAUAUGAGCCGCAGACUGCCAUUAAGGCCCAGACCCUUGCCGAUUUCCUAGCAGAACUCACCUUCCCCGCGGACCAAGACACCACCUCGGAAGUGUUGGAGCCACAAAGAUGGGCCUUGUAUGUGGAUGAUUCCUCUAACAAUGAGGGUAGCGGAGCCGGACUACUUCUCGAAGACCCUCACGGAGAUGCAUAUUCAUAUGCUCUCCGUUUUGAUUUCGUCACCUCCAAUAACGAAACUGAAUACGAGACUGUCAUCGCGGGUAGGGGUGGGCAAAAUUAUCCGCUAACUCGAAAACCCGUCAUAUCCGAUCCGAUUCGAUCUGAAAAUUAGGAUAUCCGAUUUUUAUUAUUUGAUCGGAUCAAAAGAGGGUCGGCUAUCCGCUAAAAUGCGGGGCGGAUUAGGGUCACAUAAUUAAAAACCCGCGGGUACCCGAUCUGCCCCGCAUAUAUAUAUUUUUAUUUUUAUUUUUAUUUUUAUACAUACACUAUAAAAUAAUAAGUUAGAAUUAAAUAAGCAAUUUUAUUAAACAAAUUGCAUUACAAAUAUGAGAGACUAUAGAUUAUUUACAAGAUUCAUUUGUAAAGGUCAUGAUCUUAUAUUUUAUAGAAAAAAGUUUAAUUAAUGUGGAACAUAUAUAUUAAAAAUUGUGCUAUUUAUUUCAUACUUUUAUUGAUUUUGAAUUCUUUUAAUUUUUUUCCUUUAUCUUAUAUUCUCUUCAUAUGCUUGUUUCUUGGUGGAAAACCUUUUUUUAGAAAAAAAAAUUAUUAAAUCUUAGAUGAAUGUAUAAAAUAUAAAAUUAAAUUGGUAUAAAUCAUUUUAUUUAAAAAAAUUAAAUGAUAAACGGAGCGGGAUGGGUACCCGCUGAUCCGACCCUAUCUCAGCGGGUACCCGAUAACCCGUUAUCGGGUACCCGCUGAUAUUCGGAGCGGCUAAGGGUCAGAAAAUGGCUGACCUACAAGGUGCGGGUUGGGUCAGCCAAAUGGUAAAUGGGGCGGGUAUCCGACCCGUGUCCACCCCUAAUCGCGGGCUUACAGUUAGCUCGCCGACUGGGAGUUCGGCAUAUCACUGUUUAUAGUGACUCCCAACUCGUCGUAUGCCAGGUACUAGGGGAGUAUGAGGCCAGAGAGGAAUUCAUGCAACGAUACCUCUAAAGUACACCAAUUGGCAGCUUAUUUCGAGUCCUUUAAAAUCCAGAGAAUACCUCGGUUUCAGAACCGACGAGCUGAUACUUUAUCCAGACUUGCUUCUGCCUCAUUUUCUACCCUCAACAAGACAGUUCUCGUGGAGGUUUUAGCCUAACCCGAUUACAUGGUGGACAAAGUCUAUCCGGUGGCCCCGAGGGACACCUGGAUGACCCUACUGGUCAAGUUUUUGGAUCAAGGCAUUCUUCCAGAUGAUAAGCCGAGACAAGGAGAGUGCACCGCAAGGCGGCCCGAUAUGCCCUCCAUGACGGCCGCCUCUAUAAACAAUCUUAUCUCGACCCAUGGUUGCGAUGCGUCAUCUUGGAAGAGGGAGAGCGCACUUUUCAAGAGAUACACGAGGGACUCUGUGGAGCUCACGUCGGUUAUCGGAUGCUGGUCAAGAAGACCUUGCUUAUUGGAUAUUUUUGACCCACUCUACGACGAGAUGCUUAGCUUUUGGUACUCUGUUGCCCUUCCUGUUAGCACUAUGCCCUGGAGCACCACCACCCCACCAAUCUUAUGAUCCCCAUCAUUUCUCCCUGGCCUUUCGAGUUGUGGAGGAUAGAUAUUAUUGGACUUUUUCCUCGGGCGGUAGGCGAUUACGCCUAUAUAGUUGUAGUUGUCGACUACUUCACAAAGUGGGUCGAAACCGAGCCCUUGAGAAGCAUAACUGGUUUGGCCAUUCAAAAGUUCUUAUGAAAAUGUGUGGUUUGUUAUUUCGGUUUGCCUCGAGUCAUCAUCUCGGACAAUGGGAGGCAAUUUGUAGAUAAUCCCUUCAAAGCAUGGUGCGAGAGCCUGGGAAUCAAACAGCACUUCACCUCGGUGGGACACCCCCAACCUAAUGGACAAGCCGAGAAUUUCAAUCGAACGCUCCUCCAUGGGUUCAAGACUAGGUUACAUCACCUCGGAUCCUUCUGGGUAGACGAAUUCUCCAGUGUGUUGUGGUCCUAUCGAACCACGCCAAUGUUUGCUACUCAAGAAACACCAUUCUCCUUAACCUACGGAUCUGAGGCCGUAGACCCUGCUAAGUUUAUUACUCCAAGUCCUUGAAUGGCGGCCUUCAUCGCCGAGGUGAAUGACGAGGAAAGAAAAAUUGAUCUUGACCUAACUGAGGAAAAAAGGGAUGCCUCAGGAGCCCGAAUAGCCCUGUAUAAGAAUAUCCUAGCCAAUUACUACAAUGCCUGGGUCAGACACCUUCGGUUCAGACCAGGAGACAUGGUUCUAUAGAAGAACUCCGUCAGCCGAUCUGAACCACAGGGCAAGUUAAAUCCGAGGUGGAAAGACCCAUACCAAGUUGUAGAGGCUAGUCAGAGUGGUUAUUGUAAGUUGGCCUACCGGGAUGGUGCCCCGGUACCGUGAACUUGGCACGCCGAAAACCUUUGGUUGUAUUAUCCUUGAAUUGUUAAUGUUCAGUUCAGUUACUGACAUCAUUACUUUAUGUUUAGUGUUUUACUCAAUUAUUUUCUAAAAAAUCACUUCAUGGUGUUAUUAAAAAAAAUAAGGGGACAAGAUAAGUAAAAGCGAAACGAAAGAGACAAUUUUGGGAUGGAAACAAACGAUAACUUUCAUUGAUUAUUGAAGGGGGAUUACAAGUAUAAAAGGCUGAGAUGGGAAGCUCAUCUAAGAGCCACCCACCUCGACGGAAUCCGCUCCCUUUCUACUGCCGAGCUCACCUCCUCCAAUAGCUCCGCCAAGCUCAUCACCCGAGACCUGUUCGAAAUCGGCCAUUUUUCGAUUAAAUUCCUCUCAAACUUCGAUCAAAUCCCGUCCGAACUGGAUGCCAUUGGCCAUGCGGUCGCACAGUUCCUUAGCAUCAUCGUUGUAGUUAGACUUGUCCUUCAGCAUGUCUAGCUGCUCUGGAGUCCGGAAAGAAGUCGCAUCCUGGAUGGCCGUGGUAUAGUCGAACAUGAAGCUCGGUAAAGUCAACUCGCCAAAAUCUUUCAUGAAAGCCUCGGAAGAGCGGAAAGCCUCGACGGUCGUACUGCCGGCCUUCUCUAUAACUUCCCGAGAUGACUGCUCCUCUUCUUGUCUUCACUUCUUUUCCUCCUCGAAAGCAGUCUCCAAUGAGUUGAUGGUAGCCUUAAAAUGCUCCAUUUCGGCCACCGCAUUGUCAUGUUGCUUCUGGAGCUGUGCUUUUUCUUCCGCGGCCACCUUCAGCUCCUUUUCAAGCCGAGAUACUUUGUCCAUGAGCUCAGCAGGAGGCUGAUUCUCGACCAUGUUGGUAUACCUCUGGAUAAGCUCGGACAAGAAAGCGGAGGUAGAAUCCCACGCCAUUGAAGUGCUCUGCAUCAGCUUUUCUGUGGUGAGUUUCUUCACGAAAGUGUGAUCUCGGGGCAGACUAGAAUGGACAAGGAGGUGAUGGGGCAACUCGGGGAUCUUUGCAUCUGUCGUUGACCGAGACGUCUCACUCCAGGCACCAGCGCCAACCGAAAUACCUUUUGUCCUCCCCUUCAGGCACGGAUUGGACGAAGUGUCGAUUCCAAAGGAAGGACCUAGUGACAGGCCCCUCUGGGGUUUGGAUUUGUUUACCUCGAACCAGAGAAGGUGGAGCGGCGACUAUCAUACCACGGGUGGCCACCCCCUUCGCAAUGGCCGAGGUCCUGAAGGUAUCUUCCUAGACCAUGAUCAAUGGAGUGGUGGUCGAAGUGCCAAGAGCGCUUUUCUUCUUUUGGACCCCCGAGGUCUGAUCAGGGGCCUUGCGUUUCAAUGGUCGCUUAACCACCGAAACCGCUCCUGAGGUGAUCAGAUCCGAAACUCUUAUCACUGUACAAGGAAAAAGGAUUAAUAAGAAUUAAUUAAAUGAAAUGAAACAAUAGGAAGUGAUGAAUGAAGAAUACAAUAUUUUUGAAACCGAGUAGAGAAGUAAGGGGGCGAUCCGGGGUGAUCAGUGCUCGGCUAAUGCCUCCAUUGACGAGGACCGUCUCGGGGUAGGCCCAGCAGUUAAUCCUGAGACCCGACCCGAGUAGUUUUUGAAAACCCUCCUCAUCGUGCUUCCCCGGAGAAUAAUCCUUCGCCGAGGUGGGAGGCCUCCACCAAAAACCCCUAGAAAAAUCCUCAGGCGGGAUAAAAAGGAAAUUGUGCUUCCACUCUUUUAUAGAUACAUGAGCAUCUACCACCAACUUCGGUACGCUCUUGCCUGGGUUCCCGAAGUAGAACCAUCCUUUCUCACUCCCACUGUUAUGGGUAGUAUAGCAACGACGGAAGAGGUUGAUGGUGGGACUCAGCCCUUAUUCCCGGUAAAGCAUCUCGAACCCGAUGAGAAUCCGGAUUGAGUUCGGGACUAACUGGGUGAUUUUAACACUCCAGUAUCUGAGGCAGUCCCGAAAGAAUCUGGUAGUAGGCAUUCUCAGCCCGACUUCCAGUUGGUCCGUAUAGAUGGCAAAUCUUUCUUUUGGGGGCCGUUCGGCAGUUUAAUCCGGCCGAGGUGUGUAAAUGCUGUAAUCUUGGCGAAAAGGGUACUUGCUGAUCACCUCGUUAGCCACAACCUAAUUGAUGGUGCUGUUGAAUAACGGGAGUUGGCCGAAAUCAACACCCAAGAGAUCGGAAGGGGUAGCCGGUUCUUGUACCCUUUCAUCCCGAGGUACUUCGGAUCCGAGCUCAUCAUUGUAUAAUUCUUCGGAUCCUUCCUGGAUUUGCUCUAGCAACGCCUCGUCCCCAACGGGUACUUCGACUUCCUCCUUCUCCGGGGUGGAAGGGUUCCCUUCCUCCUCUGUCGGAUCGGGCCUCUCCGCUGCUUUGAAGUUCAGCCUGACUGUCUCUCUAUAUGUACCGGCAGUUCGACCCAUAGUGCGAAAAAUAAAAGGAAGGGGUGUCACUUAUUGAUUAUAGAAAAAAAGGGGGCUGGGAUGAGCAAUUAAAGCAACUUGGGUGAUCUUUCUCCCAUACUUCAGAUGCCCGCUGUGACUUCGGAAGACUUAAUAUAGGGGGUGCUGUUAACUUCACGGCGAAAGGUUGAUACUAAUGAACGCCCCUAUUUAUAUAAGAAUAAGGGAAGGUGAAAGGACGGUGUCCCUCGAGCUUUCCCAUGACGCUUCUGCUCUCCUCAUUAAUGACUGACCGGUAUUCUGACUCCCUGUCACAUGUCUUUUCACACAAUCAUGAUGGCUGACUGCCAUUUUGCCUCUCCUUACUUUAUAUGACAUGUCAGCUAUCUCCUACUCACACGAAAGCCUUAGAAGUUGACCGUUGACUUGCCACCUCCCGAGGCUUGAGGAACUUAUUGAGAGUGGUAAUUUUGGCUCGGCCUCCUCGUCUCGACCCCCUCCAGGACGGCUCCCCCAUCCCGCUUGGCGAUGCCCCGUAUUGCCCUGCCUAGAUGUGCCUCGUACCGACUCUGCCGGUCAUCUCGAGCACCUCGGCUACCGAGGUGCUUGUCGUGAAGCCCCUGAUACCUGAUGGGACAACUGGGGCCAAGUCACAGUCUGAUGCCUGCAAGGGGGCAAGACGCUUGAUGGGACUUACCUGACAGACCUGAUGAGACAAGCUGACAUGGCCAGUCUGUCAAGGUAUAGGAAGUUGAUCCCAACCGCCAUUUCUCUCCGAUUGUCCCCUACAAAUACAAGGAGGUUACUUAGAAGGGGGAUUUUUUUUUUCUAGGGUUUUACAAGGUAUAUUGUCUACAAAUUUUUUAAAUAAACUCUCCCCUGAUAGAAGCUAACUAGAUCGUCGGAGGUAUACCGGGAGACUUUACCCCACCUCUGGCACUCUGAACAGGUGACUUCCGCGAGACCGUACCCACUUCAGGAGAGUUACUAUCGCACUCAGGUACCGUCUGUUGAACCCGAAAAUCACCUCUUCAUACAUCAUAUAUAUAUUCCUGCAAAUCAAAUUUACAAAAUAUAACUAAAGAACCCAAUCAUCUAAAUUUAUAUCCAAUUCAUCAAACAAAUCAUCAAAUUCAUCCAAACUCACAAAAUUUAUAAAAUAGAAAUCUCAUACAUGUUUAAUCCCUGAUUAAUAGCAAUCCAAAUUAGGUAACAAGUUCAAGUUCAUAAUCCCUAAGAUUUCAGUCAUUUCCUAACAAAAAUUGUUUACUAUACAGUUGCAGACAAAAGGAAAGUUCCAUAAAGCAAACAGGUCUUCCAUACCGAAGUCAGUCUGCCACCACCCUACAUCAUUUUCUUUUCACAUGCACCUCAAUGAUGUCAUUCUCCUCCAUUUCAAGCCCAGCAGGGGUGGCAAUAGGACUAAUUUUAUCUCCAUCAAAACAAAAAACUAGAUUCUGCAAAUCAAGCUUGACCUUGUCAGCAUACAUCUUGAAGAGUCUCUCAAAUUUAUCAUCCAUGAAAACUCUAAAUUGCUUGGUCCAUCCUUGUCCUGGAUCGUAAUAACAAUCUUUGCUCUGUCCUGGCAAGUAUCUGAGGGCUGUUCUGCAACACCUCUUGUAGGAGAUUGUGAUGAUGCAUUAAGGUGACUUUUCAUAGAUUCUGCAGCAGUGAACUCUCGUCUCACAGAUUCCUCAACAGCUUUCAAUGCGUCCUUUGCUGAUUGGCUUAGCGAAGCUAGUUCCUGCCUUUUCAAGUGACAACGGUGGAGGCUUUUAGAUUUAGGGUUAUCGGAGUUGAAGAGGAAAGGAAGAAAACUACGGAAUGAGAAGCAAAGUAACUGACCCAAGUUUUGUUAAUUUUGUUUGAUUUUUUCAAUCAUUUUUUAACUUUUUUAGUUGGUUAGUCAAACUUUUGAUUGAAAAAAAAGGCAGAAAAAGGACAAAAAAAAAUCGGGGUGGAUCAAAUUAUCCGGUUCACAGGUCAAAUCCGGUUUAUGACCGGGUUUGACCGAGUUUUUAAUACUCGAGUUUUUUAACUAACUCGGACCGGAUGCCUAGCUAGUUUUCGGUUCGACCGCCGGUUCGGUCUGAGUUUGAAAACACAAAAAAAAGUGAUUGAAAAUGCGUUCGUAAAAAAUUAUAAAAAAUGGAUUUCCAAACAAGACGUAUCUUAAACUGUGAUUUAUUGAGUGGCUGUUUUGAAGUUCUUGGGACUUUGAUUAACUUCUUAGCUUUAGACCCUCCCUACAACAGAUCAUUGGAACAAAGAUUCCACUCAAAAUAUAUUGUCAAAGAAACAUUAAAUAUACUUUCUUUUCCUAUGGGUUGAUUACACUUUAUAAAACUAGGAGUAUUUUCACUUUGCCCCCCGGCCGGAAUCCAAACAACAGAUCACUUUGCCCAUCAAUGAGUAUUACGCUAGAAAAAGUGACUGAGAAAAGCUAACUUGAACAAUUUCAGAGUAGAGAAGAUUUGCAUGGAGCAAUCGUAUCCUUCUUGUCGUUUAGAAGAGAAUAUAAAUAUUAACCUAAAAAAAAUAAAGAGGAAAAAGGAAAAUUUUGCAUAAGUUUUUUAGGUCCAAUUAAGCAUAUUUCACAGCUUCCACUGAAAUUUCAAAACUUUCAAUUAGUUUAAAGGAUUUAUUUUGACCAAUUAUAUAAAAAGUAUUGGAAUUUCAGCCUUGUAAAUUAGGCCCAUCUAGUCUUUUAAUGUCAAUUUUUAGAAAUCUAGUCAAGUUCUAAUUUGUUUCUUUCAUACAUGUUCAGCUUUAUAUGUAAACAAACACAUACACAGACAUAUACAUGAAUCUAAUUGUUCGGUAGAAUAUUGUACUUUUUCAAUACCUACCAACGUUUGUAUCUGUCAAUUAGGCUGGAUUUCCGUUGGGUAAUUCAAUAUCUUUUGGAUUUGUCCAAGCCGUGAGUUAGGAUCUGGUCCCGAGUAAUUAUGAAAAAAAAAAUUAAUUUGACAACCUACAAAAGUAAUAACAAAGACUAUAAUAAAAUGUGGAAAAAAUAUUAAAUAAUAAUGACACAAAAAUUUACAUGGUCCGGUCAAUUAGACCUAUAUCCAUAGAAGAAUGUCAGCAAAAUUCAUAAUCAUAAGAAUACAAAGCUUAGGACAUCUUAAAGCAGCAAAAUAAAUGAGAGACAAAUGUAAAAGAGAAACUCAAGAUUGAACAACCAAGGAAUGUUUCCGAACUUGGAACUCUCAACUCUCUCGGCUGGCUUUUAGAAAGAAAUGUAGUAGUGGAAUGGUUGGUGCCCCAAUACCACAAAAUAUGAAAGAGAUUAAACAAGAAAUCUCAAUAUUAGACAAAAGGGGGAGAAUUCCCUAAAUGAGUUUAUUUCUCUGGUAUAGAAGUGGCAUACCAAAUGCCUUGCCAAACCGCGUAUUUAUAGGAGAAAUUCUUCAAUAUGAAACCACCAUUCGAACAUGAGUUGCUACUGAAAUUUUUGACAGCUAAAGCCUUCAAAAUAAUAGUAGAGGUAUGACAUAGGCUGGUGAAUACUAGAGCUGGCAAUUUGUCCCAAGUCCCAAUGGGCUACCCAUGCCCAAAGGAACUUUGGGCGGGAUGGGUAUUAUAAUUUGAUAUUGGGUUUAAGUUGGGACACAUCCCAACUAUACCCAUUAAUGAAUGGGAAAGGGUGGGAAAUACUUGGGUACCCAUUGGGUUCAAAUAGCAAGGGCUCCGUUUGGAUUAGCUGUUUUUAGGGGGUAUUUUUGAAAUAUUUUAUUGUAACAGUGUAUAUGAAAAAUAUUUACUAUAAAUUUUUUUUUGAAAUAUUUGAUAUACUAAUAUGGAUGGGAUGUUUCUUGAGUUAUUGUAUAUUACUGUAACAUUGUAUUUGAAAAACUUAUUUUUUGAAAAAAUAGUCAAUCCAAACGGAGUCUUAGAUUCAAAAAUCAUCUUUAACAAUUUUUAUAGUCAUACCAGCGAAUAUAAUCUAGUAGUCUUCCUAGUCAUUAUCCACAAGAAUUUCUAGCAUUUCAGUCAGUUUAGAUCUGUCAUCCUUGGACAAUGAUCAGGAUAAAUAUUCAACAUCCUAAGGACCUUGGUCAUCUUGAUAUAUGUUAGAAUAUAGCUGUAUAUCUAUCUUUUCUUUUAUUUGUUAAUCUAAUUUUUGGUGGGAAUCUUGAGUAUAAAGCACUUGCAUAUUUAUUUAAUAAAACUAAAAAAAAUUUAAUAAAUCAAAAAUAUUAAAAUUAUAUAAAAAAUAAAAAAUGAAUUAAAGGAAAAAAAAUAUGUAGGAAAUGGAUUUGGGUAUUGGGCGGGAUCAAUCUAAAUUCAUCCCAAAAUGAUCCCGCCCAAGUUAGUCCCAAAACACAUAUGGGUAAGGUUUGGCUCAAACCCAUAUAACUCGGUUCCAUCUCAAACCCAAGCAAAUCCCGCCCGCCCAUUUUGCCACCUCUAGUGAAUACGUACAAAGAAAAAAAUGUCGAUGUAACCCACAAAGCUUGACAGCACCAUAAAUAAUUUUACAAGGAUGUCAAAGACAAAUUUCAACAAGUCUCCACCUUCACUUUGCAUCUAUCAUAUAGUAAAAUCGAAAAAUAGUAAACUUGAUCCACCUUCUCCUUGAAAACUUCAAUGAGCCAAUAUCAUAAAAAAUUCUAAUGGAUCCCAAUGGGCACAUUAUGAAAACCUCAACAAAUUCCGACAUGUUAAAUUACGAAAGUCUCAACAAAUCCCAACAAUUUAUAAAUACAAAAUCUCAACGGAUUCCAAUGGGCCAGAAUCACAAAGGCCUAAAUAGAUCCCAAUAGGCCAAAAUCAGAAGAGCCUUAAUGGAUUCCAACUGGCCUAAUUUACAAAAGUUUUAACAAAUCCCAACAGGCCAAAAUCACACAAGCAUCUAUAGAUUCCAAUGGGCCAAAAUCACAAAGUUUUCAAUGGAUAUUAACAAGUUUAAAGUCACAAAAGACUCAAUAGAUCCCACAAAAAGUCACAAAAGUCCUAAUAGCAUAUGGUAAAAUUGGAAUCAAGCAAAACUGAUGUUGAAACAGUAACAGCAUCUAUAAUAGUAAAUCUCUCUGCAAAAUAUAUAAAGUACGAAACUUGUACGGCUUCAUAACAAUAAAGCACUUGAAGUGAUAUUUAGAAUUCCACCUUUAUCUGUGUACCUUCAAACAUAUAAAGCUUAUAUAAACUUUAGUUCAAGUAGAGUCAAUUUACUAUCGUCCUCUUUAUGUAUAAAAGCUCCAAUUUAUCCCACAAGUCUUUGGCCGUCUUUAUUGAGCAAUUUCAUGCAAAACCUCAUCAGAGAGAUUUAGGAUAAUCGCCAAAAGGGCUUUAUUAUCCAUUUCUUUAGAUUGCUCAUCCAUAAUUUUUUUUGGCUUUUUCUCCUUUUGACGUAACGCUACUUCUACUCCAUCUUACAUGAGAAUAGCUUUCAUUUUAAGUUGCCACAAAUCGAAACUGACACUUCGAUCAAACUUAACAGUAUAGGUCUUCGUUAUCGUCACAAUGGUUGAAGCAAAAAAAAAAAAAAAAGAACUGAACCCGAGAUAACUGGGAUGUGAUACCAGUUUGUAAGGAUCUGGUCUCGGGUAAUUAUGAAAAAGUUAAUUUGACAACCUGCAGAAGUAAUAACAAGGGCUAUAACAAAAUGUGGAGAAAAAUAAUAAAAGACAAUAACGCAAAGAUUUACGUGGUUUGGUCAAUUAGAUCUCCAUCUAGAAAACAAGGUGAGCAAAAUUCACAAUAAUAAUGAAGAAUACAAAGUCUAGGACAAAAUUUCUAAAGCUCCAAAAUAAAUGAGAGACAAAUAUAAAAGAGAAACUCAAAAUUGAAUAAACAAAAAAGGCUUCCCAACUUGAACUCUCAACUCUCUCGAUGGCUUUUAGAAAGAAAGGUGAUAGUGGAAUCGUUGGUGCCCCAAUAACUCAAAAUAAGAAAGAGACUGAACAAGAAAACUCAAUACUACAGGAUGGCUUUUAGAAAGAAAGGUGGUAGUGGAAUGGUUAGUGCCCCAAUACCUCAGAAUAAGAAAGAGACUGAACAAGAAAACUCAAUACUACACAAAAGGAGGAGAAUUCCCUAAAUGAAUUUAAGUCUCUGGUGGUAGAAGUGCCACACCAAAUGCCUUGCCAAACCGCGUAUUUAUAGGAGAAAUUCUUCAAUAUGAAACCACCAUUUGAAAAUGAGUUGCUACUGAAUUUUUUGACUGCUAAAGCUUUCAAAAUAAUAGUAGUGCUAUGACAUUGGAUGGUAAAUAGAUAAAAAGAAAAAAAUGUUCAUGUAGCCCACAAAACUUGACAGCAUCAUAAAUGAUUGGGCAAAUUACAUUUUACCCCCUGUGGUUUAGCAUUUUUUAUAUAACUCCCUUAUGGUUUCAAAAGCUAUACAUAACCCCUUCAUGGUUUAGAUUAAAGUGUCAAAGUGACGGAAAUAAUCAUUCGUAAUGAAACCUAUGAAAAUAUCGAAAUUACUCUUGUUUAAAAACUAAAAUGGCUAAAGUAAAAAAUAUAUAUAAACAUAAUAUGCAUGACACUCUAAUCCUGUAUAAUUUUAUAUUUUGCCAUAUAACCCCCUUAUAGUUUAAUGAUUUACCAUAUAAUCCUUUUAUGAUUUUCAAAUAUAUACAUAACCCCCUGUGGUUAAUAAAUAAUUUUUAAUUUUACAUAGGGGUAUUUUUGACAUUUUAGUUGACUUUGUUAUGGAUUUCAAAUUUCAUCACUUUGAUACUUUAAUCCAAAUCAUGAGAGGGUUAUGUACAACUUUUGAAACUACAGGAGGGGUUAUAUAAAAAAAAUACUAAAUCACAAGGGGAUAAAAUGUAAUUUGUCCUAAUUUUAAUGAAUGCCGUCAAAAUAAAGAGUGAAACUAGUAGUAUAACUGAGUAGUAUAGAACAUCCUACUCACAGCUAAGAGUCCAAGAUAACUGCGAAUUAUAUAGGCAGUAAAGAUUGUGGUAUGGUGCAAUUAAACACGAUUGCUAUAUUAAAAAAAGAAAAAGAAAAGAAGAACACCAUUGCUAUAUUUCUUACAACUAGAAGUCAAUGCCUUUACCCAAGUUGUCACUAACCAUGUGUGUGCUCAAAUUUAGUAGUAACGACUUCAAAAGUCAUCGUCGAAUUUUAUCAACAGUGACAAGAUUUUUGUUGACACUGAAAAUCUUGUCACUAAAAAUCAUUUUUAUUGUAGUGAAAUUUCAAGAUUCGAUAUACAUUUGUAAACAUUACUAUUUCACGCACACGAUUUCGUUAUAGAGGCGUCACAAACAACAAUUUUACAAGACUAUAAAAACCAGAAUUGUACACAUGCCUCAGAUCUUUAGUCUAAGACCAUAUGUAGAGUACAAAUUGGCAUUUCGUGACGCCUUCCACUUCCCCUCUUUCACCUUCUGCGCACCAUUCAGGUAGAGACUCGAACACUGAGCAUGGAGGGCGGAAGGUUCCUUCUGAAGCGCUGGUAUCAAUCUCCUGACUUUGAUGUUUCCUUGUGCAUUUUAAUAAGAGAAAAAAAAAACCUCAAUCAUUCUUCUUCCAUUCACUAUAUAUCUCUAUAUAAGAUGCCAAAACUUGUUUAUUCGUGAGCUUCCCUUUCUUCAAACAUUUCACUUCUACAUUUUUCUGUACACAUUUCUGUCUCAUACUUAUACCAAUAAAUUACAGUGAAUUACGAACUCAAGAAGACCCACGUUCAUGGAUAAUCCAGUGAGUAGUUCAUGGUUCUCUGAGCUGGUGAGUUUUCUUCCUUUUUUCACUAUUUAUGAUGAGUUCUCCUUCGCCAUGAAUUUACUUUUAGCAGCACUAUUGGCACAUUGAAAAGAAUACAGACUUCCACGAUACCAGUGCUUUCAUCGCUUCAUUCAAGUUAAAAAAAAAAAAAAAAAAAAAAUAGCCUGUCAGUAUACCUUAAUUUUUUUAAAAUUUUUGGUUCUCUUACACAACUACUUUUUAGCUAAAAGUAAGAUUGUACGUAACAUAGUUCAUUUUCAUUCUCAAAUUAGGAAUUCCAAGCCAGAUUUUUUUUGCUUUUUUACAACUACUGGUAAGUGCUGAGAAUAAUGGCUUAAGAAUACGGUCAACGGAGGAUUCAGAACUCAAAAAUGGAUUUUUCCUUUUCGGGCAUAAUUAAAUGAAAAUUUGAAAUCUAGGAGCACGUAAAUAGCCUUGAUUUCUAAAUCUAAUUUGAUGUACUUGUCGAUCUAGCAUUAAGCUUCGUUAGAACAUAUUUUUUACCCAUAAUAAUGCAAAAUUUGCAAGGAGUUUCAAGAACUGCAUAUCUCGUAAUUAUAUUGGAAAAACUUCCAUUGAUCACUUAACCUAUUUCUUAUACAUUUCCACUUUUCUUUCAAAUACAGGGAAUGGAAGAUUCAUUUUUCAAUGACCAAUAUGAUGUUAUGGAUUUUCUGGAUGAAGAAUUCCUGAACGCAAAUUUGUCCCCGGAAGGGAAUACUAAUUCCUCCACCUUCAUUCCAAUAAGCACUUGCAGUACCACUUUGUCUGCAUUUUCAACCAUGGAUGCUCCUCCAAUUAGUACUGAAAGACCGGCAAAACAGCAAAAGUCCGAUGACUUGAACUCUUCCAGUCUUGGAAACAUCCCAAAUCAUCAUAAUCAGCCAAUGAUUCUCACUUUUGGCAAUCCAGUUAUGCCCGCAGAAAUAAAUCCACAACAGAUAAAUCUUGAGGAUGAUGCCGUGUCUGAGAUUUUGAAGUCCCAUGGUUCAUUUGUAAACCUUGAGGAGGCAACCAGAAGUUCCCAGAAGAGAAAGAAAACAGGUGGCCGCACUAGGCCAGCAUCGCAAACUUAUGAUCACAUUGUAGCAGAAAGGAAGCGCCGCGAGCAGCUCAGCCAGAGAUUUGUAGCUCUGUCAACUCUAGUUCCCGGCCUCAAGAAGGUAAUUUAUGAAUUUAUUAUUACAAGAAUGACAAGAACAUCAAUAAACCAACAAAACGUUUUUGAUAUUAAGAUCUUAUUGCUGUCGUAGAUGGAUAAAACUUCUGUUCUUGGAGAUGCUAUCAGUUACUUGAAACAUCUUCAGGAGCGAGUGAAGACGCUGGAGGAACAAGCAGCGAAACAGAACAUGGAAUCGAUGGUGCUUGUGAAGAGAUCACAGCUCCUAGUUGAAGAUGAAGGAUCAUCAGAUGAGAUGGGUGGCUCUGAUGAGCAGCCACUCCCUGAAAUUGAAGCUAAAUUAUGCAAUAAAAAUAUUCUUCUCCGAGUACACUGCCGAAAUUAUCGAGGGGUGCUGGUAAAAAUUCUUUCUGAGGUGGAAAUGCUGAAUCUUACUCUUAUCCACACAAGUGUUGCGCCAUUUGGACGUUUGGCUCUUGAUGUUACUCUUAUGGCCGAGGUGAGCUCAUAGUUAAGGAAGAUUUAUUCAGGUUAAUAUUUUGAUUGGCAAUGAUACAUCUUUUUUUUUUUUGGUUUGUUCUAAUUCCUUAAAACAUUUUUCCAGAUGGAGAAAGAAUUCAACCUGACAAUGCAGGAAUUAGUUAAAAGUCUUCAAUCCGCCCUUCAGCGGGGCAAGCAAGGCGAUUGAAUGCUGUUCGACGUCUGGCAGUUAUCUACUAGUGCUGAUUGACAAGUAUGCAAAAAGAAAUGGCAGUGAAGACCAUGAAUGUAGACCAUGAAUGUAGGUUUAUUUGUCAAAAAUUCUUACUUUCGUAAGAAAAUGUCAGAAAGGAAGACCAUGAAUGUAGGAAGACCAAGGUACAAGGAGGUAGAAUUUAUGGAUGACCAUGACCGUCUUGAUCACGGGAUUAGACCAAAAAACAGUAUCCUCGAGGGUCUCGAGGCGUGUCAGUAUACUAAGAUAUUACCAUGUCCUCCAGAGGGAUUUUCCUGAUUGGUUUUCUACUUCUUGGCCAUCAUUACUCUCAUUUCGCUUGUGUUCCUUAAAAGAAUGGAUAAAUUUUUCUCUUGUAUCCAUCUUUUCCUCCGCCAAAAUAAUGAUAAAAAAAAUAUUGGCACAUAAAAACGCACAUAAUGAUAGCUAUUGAAUAAACAUAGAAAUAUAUGUCUGAAGAGAAUAAGAAUAAAACCAAAAAUUCGCCAUCAAGCAGUAAAUGAUUUUAUUCACUCAAAACUCAUCAGCUAUAAACUAAGAAUUCUUUCAAAUUUUGGAGGCUUUCCAAAAUUUCUCUGUUCAGUCUCUCUUCAGCUAAAAUUUUCAGCCAAGCACCAAUUUAUAUAUGGGCUACAAUUGCAUGACUGAGAAACUUAUCAAAUGCAACAGACCAGUAAAAAUUCUGACGCGGACUUUAAGGUACUUGGAUUAGAAUUUAGAACCGAAAAAUGAUUUGUAAUCUGCCUAGGGCUAUGAUGGAACUAAGUUACAAUUAAAGGACCAACGAAUUAUACACAUGACACACAAGCUAAAUAAAUUAACUAAGUCUGAUUUGAAUAUGUUAACAAGAAAUGUGAAGUUUCCCCUUUACAAUAAGGAUAAUGGUGUAAACUACAACACAUGAUAUAGUAAAAAAAAUCAACAUUUCCUCUCUCCUCUUCAUGAGUUGACAAAAUAUAACGAGGAGAAAUUGCAAGAGAAACCAAAAAAAAAAAAAAGAAAAAAUGAUUAUAACUUCCAUUAUUUGUAUAUGCAUCCUAAGAAGGGAUCUUUAUUAAAAUGUUAAAGCUAAUAUUAUCAUUUUAGGUGGAUAAGAAAAGUAGGUAUAAUUUUUAAAAUCUCGAGGGAGCUCAGUAAAAUUAUCAAAAAUCUCAAAGGAGGUUUUUGAAAUUACUAUCCCACUUAUUAUGCAAAUAUUUAGUAAUAAUCAUGGUAUAGAUAGUUUCAAAUUUGAGAUCCUAACUAGACUGGCAUGUCAUGGCUUAGAAAUCUUAAUAGGGUAAAAUAUACUUUACUCCCUUGUGGUUUAGCAAUUUUUCAUAUUAAUCCUCUUGUGGUUUUAAAAAACUAUAUAUAACCCUUUCAUGAUUUGGGCUAAAGGGACAAAGUGACAAAAAAAAUCCUCUGUAAUAGAACUCAUAGAAAUGUUAAGAUUACCUUUGUUUAAAAACUAAAAUGGCUAAAGUGACCAAAAUAUAUAAACAUAACAUACAUGACACUUUAACCCUUUAUGAUUUUGUGUUUUACUACGUAACUCCUUUAUAAUUUUCAAAAUAUAUACAGAAUUCCUCAGUGGUUAAUAAAUAAUUUUCAACUUUAUAUAUAGAUACUUUUAACAUUAUAGUUGGUUUCGUUAUGGAAUGUAAAUUUCGUCAGUUUAAUACUUUAAUCCAAAUCAUAAGAUUAUAUAUAACUUUUAAAACCACAUGGGGUUACAUGAAAAAAUACUAAACUACAGAGGGAUAAAGUGUAAUUUAUCCAUCUUAAUAUAUCAUGUUGUCUUAUUUUAUCCAAUGUUACAACGCAUAGAGGAAAAUUACUUUCCGUUGCUUGCUCUCGCCAUUUGCUUAUUGUGCUUUAUUCUUUUGAUACAAGUAUCCCAAUUGACCUGUCUUCGUUUAUGAUAUGGUAAAAAUGAACUAUUCAUACUAGACGAAGUUUACGCAAAACUAUUUCAACAUGUGUUAUUUAACUCAGGUAGGGUAAUUUAACAGAGCACUCCUAGGUGUUAAAAUUAAUCGCGACACAAGUGUACAAUUAUGCAUAUUAGACCAACUUGCUCAAAACAUAAGUCAAUAUUAUUAAUCAUUUCGCUGGAAAUCGUCCUGCACGAUUUGCUUUCAGUUGGUUAUGAUUAAAGAGAGGGACCUUAAGAAUUAGAAAAUUACUUUUUUUUUUUGUAGGCAACAUCAUCAAAUAAUUAAUUAGCAAAUGCUACGUAAGUAACCAAAAUCCAGCAACCCACGAGUCCCACGAGAAGCCGUACUCUACCUCAACCAAGACCAGGAAAGAUUUGUCCCAAAAUAAACAAAUGGCGCAUAAAAUUCUUGGUCUAGCUGCAUGCUUUUCCAAAUUGACAUUCUAGCUUACUUUAGAGUCUUAAUCUCUUGAAACUUUUUGACAUAGGCUUCAAAAUUGGCAGCAUCAUCACUAACAAGAUUCUGUACUCAUACUUUUGACUGCCAACUCCGCACUAAGCAGCCUGCUUGACUCUGACGAGAGCAUCGAAGACUUUCAAACUGUACUUUGGCGGCCAGAUUGAGUUUUUUCUCCAUCUUAUUAAAAAUUAAUUAAUUAAACACUCAGAGGCUCAUUAUCUAAAAUUCUGUAAGACAUAUAUAGCAAUGUUUGUCACUAACUUAAAUUGGAUCCUCAGCAAUAUUUGUAACGUCAAGAGCUAACCUUAAUUUUAAGCGUUGAUCUACACUAUCUCCAGUGGCCAAAGUUAAAAUGAACAUUUUAACUAUGAAUUUUUAAAAGCAUUGCUUGUUCCACCACUAAUUUGUAAAGAGCACAUAAAAUAAAAUUACUUGUUCUAUGUUAUAUGAAUGCUUUCACUAUUACAAGUAAUUGUUCAGAAAGUUAAGAAAUAUUUGCAUCUUAUUUUGCCCUCACUAAAGGAAAAUUCUGGCCCCCACCUUUCAAAGGGUGCAAAACUUGUGUUGGUAACAGCAUUAGAGAAAUAAAAUAAAUAAUUUAAAACUAUCUGUAGCUUCUCUACCUCAAAAGGUAAUCUGAUCAGCAGUUAUUUUAGGAUUGCAUACUUUAGCUGCAAUUUCAGUGAGUAGCUGCUUAUAUAUCAAGGCCAUCAAUCAGUCUCAUCGGGUGAUCCACCGUCUUCACCUUAGAGUUUUGAUUUCUUCACAAGCACGUAGGAUACCGGCUGUUACAUUGUUGAGCUAGAGGGGCCACUGCCCAAUUCCAAGAAAAUUAGGUUUUGUCCCAUGAUAACUUAGAAAAUUUACAAAAGUAUCCUUUGUAUUAAAUAAAAAAAGAGAAAAAGUUCCCCACAAAAAAAAAACUUUGAUAAUUAUGUAUGAUGCAUUAAAGUUUAGAUGUGUAUAAAGCUAGCCGUGUCAUAAACAAGGGCAAACUAGGGGAGCGGGGCAGGGCCACCGCCCCAAGUUCUAGAAAUUCAUGCAUGUCACCCAUAAAAUUUUGAGAAUUUUCAAAUCUUUUAUAUAUAUAUUUAACUAUUUGCCCUCCCAAAUUCUAGAAAGUCAUGCUUUCUACUGUUCAAAGUUUGAGAAUUUUCAAAAUUUUCUAUAUUUAUUGAUCUUUUGUCUUUCAAAACUUUGGCUCCUAAUUUUACAUGUGUAUAUAUUGUGCCCUCUCAAAUUAAAUUUUCUAGUUCUGCUACUGAAAACAAAUGUUUCUGGUUCCAUAUCUGCAUGGUUUACUCCUCUAGUGUAUUUACCCUCUAUGGAAGAUGUCUUGGGUUUGUGACAGCUUCUCCAAGGAUAGAAGUUUAAUACAUUUGCAAGAGUAAGAAAAGCUUGUGAAAUAUGAAAUUUCAAUAAACAAAUCUGGUGCAAGUUAUGUAGUUAGAUGUGUGCGUGAUGAGUACAGUUACGCAAGUUGUGUUGUUAGAUAUAUGUCCAUGUAUAAUUAUGCUGAGGUAGUAUAAUAGGUAUGUAGUUGAUCAAGACUCUGCUUGCCAGCAAUCAAUUCGACAUAUGCUCCUACAUCAUUAACAUUGCCCCUAAAUUUACUUGAGAUACCAAUUUAAUUCCCAUUUUCUUGAGGCCAAGAACUAUGGCCAAAGGAGCUAGGGAUCGCUGACUGAGCUACAGCUUCAAAUUCUUUCUAGUGUUGUGUGAUCAUACAUGUGAAAAGGUGCGCCAUUUGGCCUCAGAUCAAUCCUUCAAAGAUUUUAGAGACUGUUAUUGCAUUUUUUUCCCCCUUCUCACAAAGGGGUAUUUUAGAAUUUUUGAGGACAAAUUUAGCAUAGUGAGUAUAUAUUGUUACUGCAAUACUAAUAAUAGAGAAAGUAAGUAUAAUUUUUCAAACUAAAGAAGAGCUGCCUGCAGUAGUCAGAAAUCUCAGGAGAGGUUUCUUAAAUUAUCUCAAUCUUUAAAGCUUAAACGGGAAAACCACGGGCAGACACCAGUCCGAGCCGAUUGGUUAGAAAGAAAAGCUUUGUCGUCCACCGUACUUGGAACCUUUAAUCUUGCAAAAAGUUUUAUGCUAUGAUAAAAUUCUUGGUCGUGUUUUGGACGUUACCGUGUACUAUCAUUUUGAUGAAUUAAGGCUGCAAACGAGUCGAGCCGAGUAGAGUUUUGAACUAAUUGAGUCGAGUCUCGACUAAAUUUUACCGAGCUCGACGAGCCGGCGAGCCGGCAAAUUUCGAGGUCGAGCUCGAAAAAAAAUAAAAAAUAAUUAUUUUAUUUUUAAAAAAAUAAAUAAAAUAAUAUUUUUUUAAUAAAUAAUAAAAUAUUAAAAAUAUAUACGUAAUUUUACUAUGAAAAUAAAAAAUAAAAAAUAUAUAUAUAAUAUACGUAAUUUUAUUAUUAAAUAAAAAUAAAAAUAAUAUAUAUAUAUAUAUAUAUAUCCAAGGCUCGCGAGCUAACGAGUUUAAUAUUCUGAACUCGACUCAAGCUUGACUCGAGCCGCUCGAGCGGCUCGAUUCAUUUGCAAUCCUAUGAUGAAUGUCUCUUUGAUGCAGUCUCGAGUGGUUUUCUACGCCCAUCAUAUUAAUGUGCAUACAAUAUUAUGGUUUCUAAUUGAGCGGCGAGAGAAUUUUUUGUGCCUGGUCCAACAAUUCCUAGCCUUUCUCACCGUCAUAGAAUAUUCAAUGUUAACCAAUACCCGUAAAAAGUCAUCACUGGUGGACGUUGCUAGAGUUCUGGAUACUGUAGAUUUACCCUGUUGUCGUUUGGCUUUUGGACACCCCUAAAUGUUUGAGUCAAAAACUCAUUUUCACGUUAGAAUCAAGAAGGUUGCCUUUACAGUAGAUAUGUAGGCAAGCAAAAUCAUUAUGGCGCAAAAGACAUUCAAUUUCAACCAUGUUAUGUAUUUUUGGACCUUUCUCACUUCAGAGUUUAAAGGGUAAAUUACACUUUAUCCCCCUAUGAUUUAAUAUUUUCUUACAUAAGCCCCCUAUAAUUUCAAAAUCAUAUAUAAUUCCCUCAUAAUUUGGAUUAAAAUGUCAAAGUAACGAAAUUUGCAAUCCAUAACGGAGAUAACUAAAAUGUCAAAAAUAUCCCCUAUAUAAAGUUAAAAAUUAUUUAUUAACCACAAGGGAGGUUAUGUAUAUAUAUUGAAAAUCAUAAGGGAAUUAUAUGGUAAAGUACCAAACCAUAAAAGAGCUAUAUAGUAAAAUAUAAAAUCAUACGGGAUUAAAAUGUUAUGAAUAUUAUGUUUAUAUAUUUUAGUUAUUUUUAGUUUUUAAACAAGGGUAAUUUUGAUAUUUCAUAAGUUCCGUUAUAGAUGAUCAUUUCCGUCGCUUUGACAAUUUAAUCCAAACUAUAAGAAUUUAUAUAUAGUUUUUAAAACUAUACGGAGAUUAUGUGAAAAUUAACUAUACUACAAGAGAGCAAAGUGAAGUUUGCCCAAGUUCAAAUAUGCAUGUCCAGUAUAUGUCGUGCUUUAUUUGCAAGUGGUUCUAGUCGUGGAGUAUUACGCCAUAAAGACUAGUUAGAAGACCACUGUAGGUUUAGAAUUGAUUUUCAUUUAUAGAAUAUCCUUAGUUCAUCUGACAAUAGAUGAUGACUAGGUAUAGAUGUAUGCUAUUUAUAAAAACGUAACAAUGAUGUAAACAGAGAUAGUGUAUCAUGAAUUUAAUUUUGUUCAUAUUUUAAAAAAAAAUUAUUGACAGAGUAAUUAGAAACAUUAAUCUGUUAAGCUCGUUGGUGUCUUCACUGCUUCGCGUGAUGCACACUUAUUCUAAGAAAUUCAACAAUCAUUAUUUGUCCCUGAGAUUGAUUGACACAACAUGACAAUUAGAGAGGAAAACAUAAGUCCGAAAGUAGCAUUACUCAGUUGACCUUAAUUCUUUCGAACAAAGCUGCGCCUGCAAAUACACUUGCUUAGGUAUGACAAUUGAAUCGGUUUAGGAUAGAAAACGCACCAAUCUCCAGUCUUACCAACUAGACCUUUUUCUGAAUUAACAUACUUAAUUCGAUCCACGUCCUCCAUGUUUAUUUGAUAGCACUAGUAUAUUUUAAAUUCUAGUUGAAUCAUGCAGACCUUUGACAUAUGCGGAUAUGCCCAUGAAAAAAGCUUGACCCCAUGAUUUAAUGGUAAUAAAAAGUUAGCCUCUAAUAAUGCAAAUUGAAAUCAAAGCUACAUUAUAAAUCCAUUAUUUGCAGAUAUUUAUGUUAUGAUUUGCUUAUCUUUUAUUGUGGGUUUGUCAACUAGUAAGUGCAUUUUCUAUGAUUUUCAAGAAAACAAAUUGGAAGAUUGAAUUGAGAAGAUAUGUAGAAAAAUCAAGGAUUUUGUAGUGAAAAUUACCAGAGAUGUGAUUGGAUAUAUCUUUGGGCACUUAUCAAGGAAUGAUGGUUAAAUUUGGAAAAUCUUGUCAUGCAAUUACACCUUGCCCAACCAAAGACGAAUCCAAUUGCAAUCCAACUAUGGAACGAAGUUUAGUGGGAAUUGGAGAGAUUUUCUCUAUCAAAUAUCUUAUUUUAUAAUGUUUAGUCAUGAAAGCUUAUCAUCACGGCAAUUUUUCUUACCUUAAAUAGGAGAAGCAAAACAUCCAAGAAUAGGAAUUCAUUCCUUCAUGCAGUAAAGUUGAAGAUUGCACUAAGGACUGAGGAGAGAAUAUAUAUGCUAGACAAUUAAUAGGGUAAUUCCAAUAUGUAAUAGAUUGUGUUUUUGCUCCAUAGAAUGAAAGGCAGGAUUGCACGUUUUGAUUGAAGCUAGAAUCAAUUGUAUAGAAUGACAGUCAUGAGUUUAUAUGGCAAAUUGAAAAGAACUUAAAACCAAAAUACCAAAUGUAUAUGAGCCUCAACAAUUAAUUAUUUAUACGUGAUAGUUGUUUGUGUAAUUUCCAUUGGAUACAUCAUACAUCUAUCUCUAAUUGAGCUGGGGCUAAUUAACUGCUAGUGAAAAUGGAAGGUGACCAUAUGUCUUGAAUAUAUAUUAGGGUAAAAUAUACUUUAUCCUCUUGUGGUUUAGUAAUUUUUUACAUUAUCCCUUUGUGAUUUCAAAGUUAUAUAUAAGUCCCUCAUGGUUUAGACUAAAGUAUUAAAGUGACAAAAAUAAUCCUCUAUAACGAAACCCAUAAAAAUGUCGAAAUUACCCGUGUUUAAAAACUAAAGGUCAAAGUGAUGAACAUAUAUAAACAUAAUUGCAUGACACUUUAUCCCCUCAUGAUUUUGUAUUUUAUAUCACAUAACCCCCUUAUAGUUUAGUAAUUCACCUCAUAACCCUUUUGAUUUCUAAAAUAUAUAUAUAACCACUCUGUGGUUAAUAAAUAAUUUUCACCUUUAUAUAGAAGUACUUUUGAUAUUUUAGUUAACCUUAUUAUGAAAUACAAAUUCCGUAACUUUGACACUUUAAUCCAAAUCAUAAGAAAGUUAUGUAUGGUUUUUGAAAUCAUAAGGGAGUUAUGUGGAAUAGCGUUAAAUCAUAGGAAGGUAAAAUGUAAUUUAUCUUAUAUAUUAAGGGUUCACGAAGAAGUGAAGAAAAUUUCAAGUUAGAAGAGUGCAUUUCAUCCAUUAUAUACUAAGUAAGAAAGGAUUCCUCCUCUCUCUAAAAGUGAGAGCUUCUCUCUCUAAAAUUGAGAGCUUCCUUCCUCGGUGUAGGAGCAAAAACUUUUUUCACUUCUCUUACCAAUAUCCCGCCCAGCUUUUGAAACUUUUUCAAAAUUCAAGAACACAAAACGUAAAACUCAUCUGGCCCAACAUUUGGGGGAUACUUGAUCAGAUCAAUGAUGGGAUCAUUGAAGAAGAUAGUAUAUUAUGUAGAUGCUUCAGUUUAAUAUUGUCUCAGUAGCUUUCUCUUUCUUUUUCUUUUCAUCCUUCUCUUGUUCUUUCUUUUGGUCUCCACCAGUCAAGGAGCAGAAGUAAGCUCAUGUGCACAGAAUCCUGAACUAUGGAACUCCAGGAACCCAGUUAGGGGGAAGAGGGAAUCUUUUAUUGCUAUCCGAUUUUCGUUUCUUUUGCUUUAAUUAGUCUCACGUUUAUAGUUUUUUGUGGUGCUCUUUUUUUUAUCUCUUUUAUACUCAGGUCAAAAGGUUGUUUGUCCUUCUUGAGAUAGUACUGGGUACACUGCAUGGUUUCGGGGAAGAUGGAGGAAGCUCUAGCAAACGCCUUACAAAGAUUUGAUCUGUCAGAGACAAAUGGGUGGAAUAGAUCUGAGCAGUGAACAUGUGGCACAAAGUGUUCCGGAUUGUAGAGGAAGCUUGGUUGGAAGAAUAAUGGGAGAUAAGAUAGCCAACUUCACUGGGGUAAAGAAUUUUACCAACCACGUUUGGGGUUAUCCCAGAAACUUAAGAGUUACUGAGAUAGGUCCAAACGUGUUUCAAUUUCAGUUUGAAAGGGAGGAGGAACAGGAAAAGGUUUUGGCAGGAGGUCCCUAAAUCUUAGAUAAUCAGGUUCUAGUAACUAGAGAAUGGUGUGUAGGCUUUGAAAAAAAUGUUGAGUGUUUUAGGUUUGCCAGUCUCUGGAUUCAAAUCUGAAAUCUGCCUGUUCAUUGGAUGAGUAAUGCAGCAGGGAAGAAGAUAGAGAGAGUGUUUAGAAAGGUUAAAGAAGUCCUCUUACCACCAGGGGAUAGAAAGGAGGGGAGACAUAUGAAGAUAUAUGCUGAAACAGACUUAUUACAGCUACUUGUUAGAGGGCCAGUGGUGAAGCUUAAUGGAGAAAUGGUCUAGAUAGAAUUUAAGUACGAAAGAUGCCUAGACUUCCGCUACAAGUGUGGAAUUAUAGGACAUGGAGAUAAGAACUGCAGACUUGAAAUGAGCUCCAAUCAAACUCACAAAGAAGCCCAAUUUGGGCCAUGGAUGAGAGAUGGGAAUAUAAUGAUGCCACUACUCAGGGGUGAGCAUGGAAAAGAACUGAUUCUUAAGGGUCAAUCAAAAACUUCAGAGGAGGGAGUUAUUGAAGAAAAUAAGGGGAAUGGGGUAGUGGAGAGACUGGAACAGAAUGAGUUGAUUAGGAGAAGAGAAGAGGGGGCGGGAAGGGCAAGGGAGAGAAAAGAGGAAACAUGCAGGAAAGUGGAAAACAGGGGGAAGGAAAUAGUGAUAAGUAAUAAGGAAGGGAUAGAUAAGGGGUCAAGGAUAAAUGAGGAGAGGAAGAAAAAUCAGGAUAGAGGAAAAGUAAAACAAGUACAGGAGGAGGAGGACAUGAUAAGGGAAGGUGAAGGUCUUAUGGAUCUAGAAAUGCAGGAAGAUGCAGUUGGACAAGAAACAAUGGAAAAACCAGCAAACAAAGAGAAUUUUCAGAGAGAACAUAUAGGGGAAAAUAAAAAAAAAAUUGCCCAAGGAUUAUCUGUGAAGUUGGAAGACAAAAGAAAACAUCAAAAAGGUUUUCAUAGGAUCAAAAGAAUCCCACUUGGAGAGAUUAAAGACAACAUUCAGGUGGGGGAACAAGGAGGCAAAAGAAAGAAGAUUACAGUAAAUAAGGAGGGCGAACCAAUGGAAGAGGAUGGUUAGGAUGAACCUUUGCUGAAACAAGGGCGAAGGAAAAACAAGAAAAUAGCUAAACAAAGGGAACUGGAGGCAAUCCCAACAAAGCCUCCAUAGUGCAAAUGAAGGUCCUGGUGUAAAAUUGUCGAGGUAUGGGAGCACCCUUGACAAUUCCCCAACUAAAGGAGAUGAUAAAUCUCCACUUUCCAAGCAUUAUUUUCUUGGCUGAGACAAAAAACCAGAAAACAGUAAUGGAAAAGAUCCAAAAAUAGAUUAAGUUUGAUCAAUGUUAUGUGGUAAACUCCAGUGGUAAGGCAGGAAACCUUGCAAUGUUUUGGAAGGAUGAGAUAGAAGUGGUGAGCAUAAAUAAGGAGAGUUUCUUCAUAGAGGUUAAAAUAAACGACAUAGAGUCAAGAUGUGCAUGGUGGCUGGAGGGAAUAUAUGCUAGCACAGAUGAGAAUACCACAAAGGAACAAUGAAAAACUAUAGAGCAAAAAAAGAGGGAGUGGGGGAAACAUUGGGUAAUAGUAGGGGAUUUUAAUGAUAUACGAUCUGGGGAAAAAAAUGGGGAGGGAGAAGGAGACAUGAGAGUAGUUUUACUGAGUUUAAUAGGUUCAUAAGGGAAAAUGAGUUGGUAGAUAUAGGAUUUGAGGGCAAACCAUGGACAUGGUGCAAUCAGUGGGAGGGUAAGGGGGAAGUAAAGGAAAGACUGGAUAGAUGCCUUGCAAGUGUGAAAUGGUAUCAACUUUUUGAAGGAGCUAUGUGUAGCCAUCUAGAAAAUGAAGCAUCAGAUCAUAGUAUGCUCAUAUUGGAUACCAAUCCCACUUAGAAGACAGUAAAAAGAAAAUUCUACUUUGAUCAGAGAUGGGCCAGGAAUGAGGAAACCAAAAGGAUAAUAGAAAGAGCAUGGAGAGCAGUUCAUCAAGGAUCAAGAAUGUUCAAGGUAACAAGGAAGAUAAAAGAGUGUAGAAUGGCUCUUUUAACAUGGAAAAGGAGCAACAACCAGAAUUCAGGGGAGAAAAUUAAGCAUAAAAAAAAGAAAAUACAGGAGAUAAAAAACAGCAACAAUUCAGGAAAAAUGGGACAAUUAGCAGACAUGAAGCUGCAACUCAGUAAAGCAUAUCGUGAGGAGGAAUUCUAUUGGAGUCAAAAGGCAAGGACUAGGUGGUUACAGGAAGGUGACAAAAACACUGCAUUCUUCCAUGCUAGUGUAAUGGCUGCGAGAAAACAAAGAAAAAUCACAAGUUUGCAGAAGGACAAUGGAGACUGGUGCAAGACUGAGCAGGAAGUGAUGGAGGAGAUAUGCAGAUACUACAAACAGAUGUUCACUACUGUAGAAUCAGAGCAAAUGGAGGAAACAAUGCAGGGAGUUCCCACUACUAUUUCACGACAGAUGAAUGAGAACCUGAUAAGACCUGUGGGCGAAGGAGAGAUACACAAAGCACUCCUCUCCAUGCAUCCUAACAAAUAUCUUGGGACAGAUGGUAUGUCUCCACUUUUUUUCAAAAAGUACUGGCACAUUAUCAGUUUAGAUGUGGUUAAUGCAGUGGUCAGUUUUUUUCAUACUGGCAAGAUGCUAAAGGUUGUCAAUGAAACUCUAAUAACUUUGAUUCCAAAGGUGGAAAAUCCUAUCAAUCUGACUCAAUAUAGACCUAUUAGCUUGUGCAACACUCUAUAUAAAAUCAUUUCAAAAGUGCUAGCUAAUAGACUCAAAAUUGUUUUGAACAAGUGCAUUAGUGAGACCCAAUCUACUUUUGUCCCGAGUAGACAAAUUGUUGAUAAUAUUCUCAUUGCCCAUGAGGUGAUGCCUUUUUUGAAAAACAAAAGAAAAGGAAAAGUAGGAUUCAUGGCUCUUAAACUAGACAUGUCAAAAGCAUAUGACAGGGUUGAAUGGAAGUUUAUAGGAAGAAUGAUGAUGAACAUGGGCUUCUGUCCUAUCUUUGUUAGGUGGAUUUUGUCUUGCAUAUCCUCAGUCUCUUAUUCUUUCAAUCUUAAUGGUGCAAAAGUGGGAUCUAUAAAAUCCAGUAGAGGCCUGAGACAAGGCGACCCCCUUUCUCCUUACCUUUUUGAUAGGGUGUUAAUUGUUAGUAAUUUUUAUUAUUAAUUUCCCCUUUGUUCCUACCAAAUAUUGCUUUAAUUAUUAAUAUCUAUGUAUAUUUGGUAUCUGGACUUAAUUUCAGGGAUUAGAGCAGAAAAUUACAAAAAAAAAGAAGGGACUUGCUCCAUAAGAGGGAGACUUCAAAAAGCCCCAUGGACCUGGCCCACAAGGAGAGAAAGAAACGGAAUGGCUGAUGAAGAAUUAAUUGGUACUAAGGGCUCUACUAGCAAUAGCAAACGGGAAGAGAGGAAACAUUGAGUAGGGCCUGGCCCUUUGGUACCCUUUGUUGACUUAUGCGGCAGGGACCACGGAGAAUAGGGAAGGCAUUAGUCAUUUGGCUUUAAAAGAGAAACAAACGUACACAGGAGCUCUUAUCACUAGUUUUAGGAUAGUUUUAGUUCAGUUUUAGUUUUUCUUUUCCUUUUCCUUUGUCAGGCACACGCCAACUGUUCGACAAUAUUCCCUAACGGGAAAAACAUCCCUUAUUCCUUGCUUUCUAGUGAAAAACUUGAUGCCUUUACAGUCAAUUAAUUUGCAUGGAUAUUUAAUUAUGCGGCGUGGCUAAGCCCUUCAUCUAGUUGAAGGCCAACUUGAAGGCGCGGUUCCAAAUAUCUGUGAGAUCGAAUUAAUUUUAUUUAUUUCUUUUAUUCAUUGGUAUUUGUACGUUUCCUGAUUUAAUUGGUUAUGCUUGUUAUGUUAUUUGAAUGUCAAGGGCCCGAUAUUUGAAUUAACCUAAUGAUCUAUGCCAAAUUAAUUGAUUGAAUCCGUAAUUGUUCAAUUGACUAAUACCAGUGGCGACUAGCGUGAUUAGUUUCAUGUUAGAAAAACGUAUGAUCUAAGUUAAACAAACCCUUGUAGCGUGUUUGUUGGUUAGGGUUGGGCUUUUCUAAUUAUUAUUGCAAUCGAGUAAUUAAAUCCUACGGUCGUACUUAGGGUUAUUUCUUGGUUAGAGAAAUAGUUAACGGUCGUACCUUAACUAUCGAGAAAUUAAGGAAAGGUUGGUUGUUCAUCGCGUGUAUGACAACUAUAACUAAUUUAGUAAUGAAUAAUUGAAUUAUCUUUGCAUUGAUGAUCAGUUGAAUGGACCGUGUCUGAAAAGUUGCACCUUUGGCUAGAGUCGUAUUGAUUAUUGAUUAAUUAUUAUUUAUUCCUUUUAGUUGUUUCAUUAGUUAGUUAAUUAGUAAUUUUAUAUUCUCCAAAAACCCCCCCAUACUUCGAACUCUAAAAGAAAUAAGUUAUUCCCAAUCCCUGUGGAUUCGACCCUACUCACCACUAUAUACAAAAGCUGCAUUUUUCCUCGAGUAGGUAAUUAUCAUUGCACAGGCUCGACACCCUGUCACUUUUCUUAAUUUGUGCAGAAGGUUUGUCUCAUCUGAUAAACACAAAGGUUGACAAGAAAAUGAUCACAGGAAUCAAGGUGAGCCAGAAAAAUCCACAAAUAUCACAUCUAUUCUUUUGCAGAUAACUCUUUGAUUUGCUGCAAAGCAACAAUCCAAGAGGCCAAACAGGUGAAAGAGCUUCUAAAGAGCUAUUCAGUGGCUUCAGGACAGCUUGUAAAUUUUGACAAAUCAGCAGUUUACUUUAGUAGAAACAUCCCAAUGGCAAAUAGGGCAGCCAUUUGUGAAGAAUUGGGGAACUUCAAGGAGGCAGCUAAUGGAAGAUAUUUGGGGCUACCAAUGGCGAUAGGAAGGACUAAGAACCAAGUGUUUGGUUAUAUCAAAAGUGCAGUAAACAAAAAGCUAAAAGGCUGGACAAACAAAAUGUUGAGUUUGGCUGGGAAAGAAGUGCUCAUAAAGUCAGUAAUUCUAGCAAUGCCAAACUAUGCCAUGGCAUGUUUCAAACUGCCAAAAGGACUGUGUAAGGACAUUUGCAAGAGUAUAGCCAACUUCUGGUGGGGCAGUAACCAGCAGGAAAAGAAACUACACUGGAUUAGUUGGAAGAAACUAGCAGAUGUCAAAGGAAAAAGGGGUUUGGGGUUUAGGGAUUUAGAAGCUUUUAAUAAAGCUUUACUUACUAAGCAACUUUGGAGAAUCAUUUGUUUUCCAAAUUUGCUUAUGACUAAAGUGAUCAGAGGCAAAUAUUUAAGAGACCAUAAAUCCCUGGAUACCCACCCUCCCAAUUCAGCUUCUUGAUCAUGGAGAAGUAUUCAUAGUGCAUGGAACUUGAUUGAAGAAGGACUAUGGAAAAGAGUGGGGGAUGGAAAACAGGUGAACAUAUGGUUGGACAGAUGGGUGAUGUGUUCGGAGACAGGAAAAGUUUCAACUCUAUGCCCUCCAAACUGCCAAGUGCAAACAGUAAGCCAGCUGAUACGAGAAGGAAGUUGGAAUGAGGUCAUACUGCAGCAAGUUUUCAACCAAAAAGACAGGGAGCAAAUAGCUAGCAUGCCUCUCAGUGCGUUUAAAAGACAAGAUAGAUUCUUUUGGUGUUUUUCGAAAUCUGGAACCUACACUGUCAAAACAGGUUAUGCAAAGGUUGUGCAGGCAAGCAGUAAUGUCAAAAAAAGAUAGAAGCUGGAGGAGGAAACAAGCUGGAAAAUUAGGAAACAUAGCAUCUGGAAGCAACUUUGGAACCUGAAUUUAAAGCACAAAAUAAAAAACUUCAUCUGGAAGUGAUUGCAAGAUAGAAUAGCUGUUAAAGAGGCUCUCUACAAAAGAACUGGUAAAGGGGACAAUAUUUGUACAAUCUGUGGAGAAGAAGUAGAAACAGUUGAACACAUAUUUUUCAAAUGUCCAAGAGCCCAAAUAGUAUGGAAACUAGCACCAGUUAGAUGGGAGGAGCUGGGGGAUUUACAAAAUAAUUUGUGGAGAUUGUGGGAGGCUGUAGCUCAGACGGGAUCAAAGGAACAUGGGAUGGAACAUAUCAGCUUGACAGCAAACAUCUUAUGGCAAAUUUGGAAAGCAAGGAACAAGGUAGUGUUUGAACAGCAAAGAGGUGAAGCAAGAGAUAUAGUACUGAGAGCACAACAAGAAUGGCUCGAAUUUGAAGAGGUGAUGCAGCAGGAAGGAGUAACCAAAUAGAAAGGAAUGGCUUCGAACUAGAAGGAAUAGAUAAAGGUACCAUCAUUAGAAGGAAUCAUUCGAAUCAGCACAGAUGCUGCUAUCAAUGCAAGGAUGAUCAAAACAAGAAAAGGAAUAGUUGCAAGGCAUUGGACAGGCAAGAUUAUAAGAGCAAAGGGAGUAGUAGAAAGAAAAAAAGGUGAAACUCUAAUGGGGGAAACAUUAGCCAUUAGAUUAGCUCCCCAAAUGGCACGAGAAGCAGGCUGGAGGAAAAUUGCUAUCCUAUCAGACUGCAAGACUGCCACAGAUUACAUCAGAUGUAACAAUGUGCAGGAUGGGAUUCUAGCAACCGUCCUAGAAGACAUUGAGGAUCUAACACUAUAUUUUGAAUAUUGCACAAUAUCUUGGGUGCCUAGAACAUCUAAUAUAGCAAGUCAUAGGCUAGCACUUUUUGCAUCAAAGCUAGUUAAUGACAUAGAUUGGAUAAAUGACUUCCCAAUUUGGUUGAUAGAAGCAAAUAGGAUAGAUGAAAGGGCUGUUGCCCCCUUUUGUAACUAAUUCUUGUAUUAUCAAGUGUUAAUAUAUAUAAAGAUAUUGCCAUUUGUUGAAAAAAAAAAUCCAUUGUAUACUAAGUGCACGAAGCCAACUUUUAUUUACUUAAAGUUGACAGCGACAUAGGAUGGUCAAUAAGACUUUCACUCAUUCACGCUUUUGAACAUGCUCUCGUCUUACAACAUUAGGGGUACCUUAGCUGUGUGAGACACAGCUGGUCCCCUAGAAAUUUAGUUAAACACACAAUAACAAAUUUUUGUAAAUACAGGAGAAAUUUUGAGCAUCAAAAUAAUUAAAUUAAAAUUUGUCGCCAAGAGAAAUUUCGUCUACGAAGUUAGCACCUAUUUAUCAUGAUUUGAACAAAGAUUUUUGAACCAAUAUUAUGUGAACAUAAUGAUACCAACAAAAAGGAGAGAUAAUAAAUACACUGCAUUGUCAGUUUAAUAGCUGCAUAACUUUAAUUGUGACUAAACUAAAAGCAUCAUAAUACUUCUAUCAGUUUAAUGAUCAGAAAAAGUUUAGAAAGUCAUCAUGAUCUGUUAUAAUCUUAAAUAUCAAUAAAACAUACAAACUUGUACAGUUUUCUAUUUUAUUUUUAGAGAAAAAGCAAGUUAUUAAUCCAUCCAUUUAAAUCUUUUUUAAAAGCAUUACAAACAGGUGAGAACAUUAUCUGCCAAACAGUUUGGGAGAAAUAGCAAUUUUAGAUAAAAAUAUAAACUAUCACAUUUGUAGAUUUACAUGUACAAAUUCGAAACCAAACCAUUUGUUUGAUCACAAAACGUCUUCUUAGUCAAGAUUGAAUUUUCUAACAAUUUUUUGUCGAGUCACACUCUAGACUAAAAGCCUCAAUUCUGACUUUCACAACCAACUACAAUCUUUUAACAACUGUAAUCAAUUAAGCUACUUAAAUUGGCAAAAGUUGGCUAACUCUUUCAGCCAAAUAGUCAUGAUAUGUCCAGUUCCAUACCCAACUUAUAUUAUCGUUUGAGACUCUGAAAAAGGAUAAAAGUACAAAACCAUAGAGCCAACUUAAGCAAAUGAUUUUGAAAUCUAAUUUUACACUUCUUUUAUUCUCAGACUAUCAUUUGCUAAAAUUAAAAAUCAUGAAAAUAAACCACCUAUCAUGUAUACAGUCUAGUAAUCCAAAUGAAGAGGUAUUGUUGGAGGGAUUAGACAAAAUCUUAUCUUUCCUGUAAGACCAAAACAUUAUUUUUUUCUCCAACAAGAGCAUCAAACAUUCACUCGGAUAAUUAUAGAAAAACAAAAAAGCAUACUUCAAAGAGAAUCAAGUAGGAAGCAAAAAGGAAAAAAAAUUAGAAAUAGCUAAAAAUAAUAGAAAGAUGAUAAGAGAAAUAUGGGACGGUGAAUUAGACUAAAAAAUGACUGGGAGAGUAAUGAGGGAGUGUUGAGAAAGGAAUAAUUAUGGAGCAUGGCUUUGGUCAAAUGUAGUUAGUAGACUUAAUCUAGUUUGAAAUAGCCAAAUUAGUUUAAAAUAAAAAAAAUUUUGCACUCUAAAAAAUGAGAGAAAAAACCUCAAUAAUAGAAUACUACAUAAUAAGCAAGGAUGUAGUUUCAAUACAAAAACAAUAUGUAACUUCUGAAUAAUAAAGCAAAAAUCUCACAUCAAAUAGCUAGCAUAAAGAACAAAAUUCCGAACAUUAAAAACGAACUAAAGAUCAGAAUUGCAAACUACAUAGAUUUGCAUUUAGUUUCAAGGCAAACCACACAAAAGAAGAACCAACUUGCUAGAGCAAAACAAACAAAUGCUUAAUGUAUAGGAUGCAAAUCAUGUAUAAAAUUAGGCAAAGGUUGUAAUCCAUCAAUGUCUACUAUCCUGCAAAAGCAAUAAAUACACAGCCUUGAGUGAUUAGCAAAAAUUGACAAUACUAAGAGAUGAAAGGAAAAGAGGGAAAAAAGGGGGGGGAAAUGGAAAAAGAAAGACAGACAAAGGAGGAAGUCGUGAAGAAAGAAAUAAGCAAAUAGGUUUCUAAUCAAAAGGCAAAUGAUGAAAAAAAUAUUAAGUAGUACGUACCAAAGAGAGAGAUAAUAAGAGUAGAUGAUCAUGAAUUAUGAUUACCAGACUAAACAAGAAAGGAAGUAUCAAAUCCAUGAUCUCCUACAACAAAAUCAUUCAUUUAGUUAAUUAUGGAAAAAUACAUCAACUAAUCCAGUAGAAAAAAAUAGCAGAGUAGAUGAUUAGGAUAAAGGGAAAAAAAGAAAAAAAAAAAGGGCAAAUUAUACUUUACACCAUUGUGGUUUAGUGCUUUUCUACGUAACCCUCCUAUGGUUUCAAAAAUUAUUUAUAACCGCCGCCUCAUAAUUUGAAUUAAAGUGUCAAAAUGACGAAAUUUGCAAUCCAUAAUAGAGUCAACUAAAAUAUUAAAAAUACCUCUAGGUAAAGUUGAAAAUUAUUUAUUAAACACAGGAGGGUUAUGUAUAUAUUUUGAAAAUCAUAAGGGGGUUGUAUGGUAAAGUACUAAACUAUAAAAGGGUUAUAUGGUAAAAUAUAAAACCAUAGGGGGUUAGAGUAUCAUGCAUAUUAUAUUUAUAUAUUUUGGUCACUUUGGCCAUUUUAGUUUUUAAAUAAGGGUAAUUUCGACAUUUUCAUAUAUCCCAUUUUGCAUGAUUAUUUCCAUUACAUUGACACUUUAAUCCAAACUAUGAAAGGAUUAUAUAUAAUUUUUAAAACUAUAGGGGGUUAUGUGAAAAAUAGCUAGACCACUGGGGGUAAAAUGUAUUUUGCCCAAAAAAGAAAGAAGUAUAGAGUGAAAAUUGAAUGUAGAAGUGGCACCGUAGAUGAAUAUUUGUGUGGUUGUCUUUGACUAGAAAAGAAAGAGGAAAUGAGGGUAAAAAAAAAUACCAAAAGAAAGGACUAAAAUAAAGAUAACUUUCUUAAAGGAUUAAUGAGCCACGUGUCAAAGUAGAUGGGAGCCACUUAGCAGCCAUUGGACCUGCUAUAGUAAUUUCACUUCUUUCUUAUAUAAUAGGUAGAUACAAGAGUUUUAAAAAAAAAAAUUGUAUCUUUUGGAGUAGCCCGAGAUUUACUCAACUAAAACAUGGCACAACCCAAGAAAAAUGGUUAUCUUGUCUUAAUUCUUAAUACAUACAAAUUAUAUAUAACUCUCAUGCAUGUUAAUUUUCCCUUUGCAUGUUCGCAGUUCAAUCUGUGAAGAGUAUGAAGCUGGAGAUUUUCAAAGGCCUCGAUAGAAUGGUUCUAUCUAAGGACGUAUUUAAUAAAACAUUAUAGCGCUUUAUGGUAUAAAUUUGUAUGAGAAAUGAAAAGGUUGGCCUAAAUUAUAUAUGUUCAAAAUUUUCAUUCUGAAAAAUUCAAGGCAUGUACUAUAUAGUUCUUCACGAAAGUUAAACAUAAAAUUGUUACAGUUGUCGAGAGAAAGAUGUUCCAGUUCUUGAUUAAGAGUAAUUUUCCCUUUUCUAAUGAUUAUGGCUUCCAUUAUACAUCGCAUCAAAAUUCGCCGGCCAUAGUCAGCUCCGAGACACAUGCAUCUGUUGUUGUGUGCACAACACAAGUCAAACUUUGGACGUUAUCUAAUAAUAAUAACUAGGAGGUAAUUGGCUGUGCUAAGCACAGCCUAGACCCUAUAAUCUGUUGUCAUAUCCAAACUUUAUUCAUGUUUGAAGAGGGUUGUUGACCUUCUGGGUUUGGUAGCAUAGACGGCUGGAAUUGGACUUGCUGAGGAUAAAUGCGCCGAAUUUGUGCUCAGAAGAGCCGUGUGGUAGAGAGAAAGGAGGAAAAGGGUUAAACGGCAAUUUGGGAAAGAAACAGUGCAAUGGCAAAAGAAGGAAAAGAAAUAGAAGGCUUGAAGAGGGGUGUUGACCUGCUGGGUUUGGUAGCAAAAUCUCCUCUUCUCUGUUUCUUCCACUCAGAUAGCCGAAUAUGAACCUACAAAAGAUGCUAGUGUUCUACCAAUUUUCUGAACAAAGCAUUGUACUUUCUUUCAGUUAGAACCACAAAAAUCCUCCACAUGCACGUGAUUGCACUUGUCCCAAGAAUUAGCUUCUUUUAGGGAUUGUACUUGGUUUGAAUUUACCAGUGAAUUCUUUCUUUUUUCUGCUGCUACGAAGUGAUUCAACGGCAAUUUGAGAAAAAAACAGUGCAAUGGCAAAAGAAGGAAGAGAAAUAGAAGGCUUCGGACAAGAGAAGCUUUAGAUUCAGACAAUUUGCAAGAAACAUUUUACCCUGCCAUUCCUUAAAAAAACAAAUGCAUAUAUUUUUUGUCAUUCAGAAAUUAUUGCAUUCAUUUGCUCAACAAAAAAUUUUUUUGUCAAAAUAAAAGACAAAUGCUCACAUAUCAAUAAAUUAAAAUAAAAUUGAUUCGAAAGUGUAUAUUCUAUUAGUUGGUUAUUUCAUUUUUGCAUUUAUAACAAAUUGGAACCAAUUUCUUUUUUUUUUUUUUUAUCAUUUUCCCACUUUGAAGAUAUCUUUUUCUUUUCCUCCGAGUUCAAAAAUAGCCAAGGUUUGAUUAAGAAAGUUUAAAUAUUUUUUUAGCAUGUAGAUUAAAAUAAUAAAAUUCUUGCUAUUAGAUUUGGAUAUUUCUUUUAAUUUUUGAAAAUGUGACAAUUUUUCUAUCAUUUUUUGACGGCUUCUAAAAUAGCAAAAGUUAUAUUAACAACGUAGCAAAAAAAAUAAAAAAAUAUAAACUUUCAAAAAGACGAAUAGAAUUUUAUGAUUUUUAAUAAAGUCAAGUUAAUCUGUGAAAUAUAAGUUUAAAUGAUAUUUCAAAUCGUAAUAAAUAUAAAUUCAAAUAAUGAUAAUGAUAAUAAUAUUAUAAUUGGAUUACAUCUGUCCAAGACCUAGAGCUUGAAAUCAAUUUUAAAUAUUUCUUUUUGUUUUUGAAAAUACGGUGAUCUGAAAAAUACUCUCUCAAAUUGACAUCAUAAUAAAUAUAAAUUGAAAUAAUGAUAAUAAUAAUAAUAAUUUGUAAUUGAAUUACAUCUAUCAAAAGCUUACAAAUUGAAAAAUCCAAUAAAAAUAAUUGGACCUCAUACUUGAAUGCCAAGGCCAGACCAAAUUUGGUCAUUGUGCAAUGCAAUCCAAUCUAUCUAUCUACCGUUGCCUAUAAAAAGAAAAGGAAAGAAUAAAAGCUCAAAAACUCACUAAGAGUGCCAUGUGUCAAUGAGACAGCAUGCUACAGUAACAGUGCAAAGGCAAAAGAAGGCAAAAGAAGGAAAAGAAAUAGAAGGCUUCGGACAAGAGAAGCUUUAUAGAUUUAGACAAUUUGCAAGAAACAUUUUACCUUGCCACUUGUCAGAUAAUUAAGAAGCCAUGUGGCAAGAGGAAAGGAAAAUACUAAACCUGGCUCUUUUCUUAUAUACAAGGUAGAUAUAAGGUGCAUUUUUGACAAAAAAUAAUAAUAAUAAUAUAAGGUGCACGUGCACCUACUCAGGGGAAACGAGGGAAUUCUUCUACCUAUAAUUUUCCGGCGCAAAAACAACAAAAAAUCUUAUUUCCAAAUUCAAGGGGAAUCUUUUUUCUGAAAUAAAUCAAUUGUAUUAUGUAUUAUAAUAUUUUUUGUUAUGUGAUGUAUGUAAAAUAAAAAAUACAUAAAAAUAUAAAAAAUGAUAAAAAAAAAUAUACUUAUAUACAUAAACAAUUAUUCAAGCAUACACAUGUUAGAUCCAAAUUCCAAAAGAUAGCAACUUGAAGAGAAUUACUAUCCUAAGGAAUACUAUUCUUCACAUUUUGAAGAGAAUUACUAUAAUUUACAAGUUAUAUGUUUUUAGGCCAUUAAAAAAAAGGAACUCGAAGAAUAACGAGAUCAUCUUCUUCUUCUUUUUAUUUUGCCACUUCAAUACGGAAUGCUUUUUUUUUUUUACUCUUAUUUUAUUUAUAUAUAACGGGGUUCAUUUUCUGUACUUUUAAACAUGAGCAAUUCAUGAAAACGUCUUCAUAAAAUGUGCAGGUUCCUGCCACUACUUAUGACAAAGCAAGACUUGAUAAAUAAAUCUAAAAUUUAUUUUCCGCAGGUGUCUGAAAUUUAAAGAUUGAACUUUAAGUAUUGAAGUAUUAGUUUGGUAAGUUAAAUAAGUCUUAUCUAUCUCAUAAUCAGCUGAAUUUGAACGGGAAACUCUAUUCUAUUUCGUGUGUGUAUAUCACAUCGUCUAAAAGUAAUAAUAUACUUUAUUUUUAUAUUAUAUUUUCAAAUAUCAUUUUUGACACUAAUAAGUUCCAUUUGAUUCUAUCAGGACACUUAAAAAAAAAUUCUGAUUAUCCUUGACCAAGUUUUUUUUUACCCAUAUAGGCUCCAUGUAAUUAGAAAAUCUACUUUUUUUUUCCCUCGCAUUAGAAUGAACAAGUGCAUGGAUCCUCAUGCUACAAUCAUGGAGUAUUUGUAGUCCAACAUGGUUUUUCCUUUAUUUAAGUCCAACAUGCUUGUUGAUUGUAGCCUGUAGGGGAGGUCAAGUUUCCCCGUCGAUCGAUUCACACAUUUAACUCUCUGAAAUAGCUGGUCCUCCAACUUGCUGUUUAGAGUUUAGACCAUGCUCGGAGCCAGGGACAGAUUUACAGUGAAUUGCCUCUGACCCCACCAAAUCCUUAGUAUGUAUGUAUAAAUUAAGAACCCGGGUGGAUUGUUAUUUUUAGAAAUUUUUUUUUUUUUGCAGAAAAAUGUACUGUAACGAUUUGAUAUAAGUGAAAUACAAAAGUGAUUGAAAAAUAUUUUUAUGAAAAAUAUGAAAAUUUUCUAGUAAAAAAUAGCAGUCCAAAUGUGUUCACGGAAAUAUUAUGUUCCAAUAUUUAGAUAAUAUUAUUCACUUGCACCCAUUACUUUUAAGUCCUACCAAAAUCUUUAAUAUAUAUGUAAAAAUUAAUAACCACAUACCCUCGCAUUUAGAGAUUAUUGCUUACCACCCUUUAACAAAAUAAGGUGAAUUAUCUUUUAUCUCCUUGUGGUUCGGUAUUCUACAACAUAUCUCUCCUAUGGUUUAAAAUUCUAUAUAUAAUUCAACUCAUGAUUUUUCAUUAAAAUGUAACCAUUAGUUUUUCUAUUAAUAAUAACGGCCAACAAUAAAAAGUCAAAAUCAAACUAAUAAAUUGACAAUUUUAUCCGAUCAUUACUUCUUCUUCUUUUUUCACUCCAAACAUAAAAAAGAAGAAAUUGAAAUAAAAAGUAGAUAAAUAAGAACUAGAAAAUUCCAUUAAAGAUUUGGUUUAAAAACCUAUAAUGAUAUUUAUAGUAAAAAAAGAUUUGAUAUUUUUUGUUUCUUAUUUAUUUAUUUAUUUUAUAUUUCCUUCCCUCUUUUUUGUUCCAUAUUUAUUUUUUAUUUCCCAUCCAUCUCUUUUGUAUUUAUAGAAAAUUAAGAUUUUGUAGGUCAAAGUACAAGUUUUCAAAAUCAUCUCUUCUCUUCCCCAAAAAAAUAGAGAAAGAAAAGAAAACAAAGAAAAAAAAGAAAAAAAAAAGUAAUGAAAGAGUGAAUUUGUUAAUUUAUUAGUAUGAUUUUGACUUUUGACUUUUGAUCAUUAGUUUUAACGAAAAAAACUUAAUGGUGACAUUUUAAUCUAAACUAUAAGGGGAUUAUAUAUAGGUUUUUAAAUCAUAGGAGGAUUUCGUGGUAAAAUACCAAACCACAGGGCGGUAAAAUAUAAUUUAUCCAACAAAACAUAUAGGUGUCAUCCUAACUUAACAAGCUUAUAAAUAAACAUGUGCAUUUUAAAUUAUAUUUUAUAUUAUUUGUUAAACAUGUGCAUUUUAAUGCUUGAACAGUUAUGUUUACGCAGUGUAUUUGCCCCCACUAAUUUAUAUUUCUAGCUCCGCCAUUGUUAGAAGCACCAUGUAAACAAUAGGUAGUUCGCCAUUGGAUAGAUUAUUAUUUGAAAUAAUUACUGUAACACUUUUUGUGAUGUGAUGUAUGUGAGAUAAAAAGGUGGGUUGGAAAACGUGUUUACGAUGUAAGUAAAAUAUUAUUUGAGAUAAUUUCACUAUCCAAACAAACCCAUAUUUUAUUGGUGAGGCGACCUUUUUCCACGUGCAACCCUUCGAAGCUAUGACCAUAAUAUAAGAGAAAAAGUAAAAAAUUUAUGGAGCCCCAAACUAUCACCGUUAUUAAAUUUUGGCCCAUAAUCUAAAUUUUAUCUCUGGUUGGCCUCUAAACAAUUGAAAGUAUAUAGUUUAAGGAUUUUUAGUCAUUUUAAACAUAAGUGAAGACGAACCAAAGGACAUUUUUGUCCAACUAUAAAUGAAAGCAUUGAGACCAUCAGGUCCAUUAGAUGGAAUUCUAAUAAAAAAACAUUAAACCAUCUUCGCUGGUGAUUUUGAGCCCCAAAUUUCUUAACACAGCCACAAAAUUAAUGUUAAAUUAUAAAACAAACCCUACUAAUCACCCCAACCUUACCUUCCACUCCCUCUACCAAUCAUCUCCUAGUAUCUAAUGCUUAGAAUCCAGGCUCUGCAACUUCAACUAUUGCUUAAACUGGUUGAUGAAACUAUCAGCUUUAGCAUCAACCUCGUUGUCAACUCACUAUCAACUUGGCACCCUAUCUCGCAAUCACCAGACGCCGAACAUCCACAAUGUCAUGCUCCUUGAAGUGCUUAAACGCAAAUUUCAAACAUGUUGACUUCUUUAUCUCUAUCAAUAGCCUCGUUAGAACCUCAGUCGUGACUAGCUUAGUAUCUAACUUUGACCUGCCAAUGCGUAGGUGACAGGUUGUCGAGCCUGUGCAAUAAUAAUUACCUGUUUAAGAGAAAUACAGAUUUUAUAUAUAGCGGUGAGUAUGGUCGAAUCCACAGGGACUAGAGAUAAUUCAUUUCUUCAAGAGUUCAAAGAAUGAGGGGUUUUUUGAAAAAUAUGAAAUAACUAAUUAACUAACCAAUGAAACAACUAAUAGAAAUAAUCAGGAAUUAAUCAAUAACCACUACGACUCUAGUCAAAGGCGUAAUUCUUUAGACACGGUCUAUUCAACUGAUCAUUGAUGCAAAGAUAAUUCAAUUACUCAUUACUAGAUUGGUUAUAGUUGUCAUGCACGCGAUAAAAAACCAGCCUACCCUUACUUUUUCGAUAGUUAAGGUACGACCAUUAACUAUUUUCCUAACCAAGAAAUAACCCUAAGUACGACCAUAGGAUUUAAUUUCUUGAUUGCAAUAAGAAUUAGAAAAGUCCAACCCUAACCAACAAACACGCUAUGAGAGUUUGUUUAAGUUGGAUCAUACGUUUCCCUAACAUGAAACCAAUCACGCUAGUCGCCAUUGGUAUUAAUUAAUUGAACAAUUACGGAUUCAAUCAAUUAAUCUAGCAGUAAAUUAUUAGAUUAAUUCGAAUAUCAGGCCCUUGACAUUCAAAUAACAUAACAAGCAUAAGAAGUUAAAUCAGAAAACGUACAAAUACCAAUGAAUAAAAGAAAUAAGUAAAAUAAUUCGAUCUCACAGAUGUUUGAAACCGAAUUCUCAAAUUGACCUUCGACUAGAAAACCGAGAUUUAGCUACACAUCCUCAAGAGAAAUCCACAGGACUCCCUUGAUAACCAUUUGUUCCUUCUCCAAAAACUAAUGAAAGAAGACAAAGAAAAGAGACAAGUCACGACCGUCCCUCCCAAUUCCUAUUUUGUAGCUUCUUAAGGAAAAUCAAACUCCUCCCGAAAUUGCUGCUGGCCAACUCCUAAUCAAACGGGAAUUCGGCUUUUUCUCUCUUUUUGUUUCCUAUUCAGCUUCUACUACUAAUAAUAAGAUAUAUAUGUUACCCAAAAUAUAAAAAGGAACUGCUAAAAAUAAUAUUCCAAGUUUCCUAAUCCAAUAUUAGGACUAAUAAUGAUAAUUAAAAUCUUCAAAAUCUUACUUUGAUACUGCCUUGAAUUUGAUUUGGACUUGGAAACCGGUUCCGAACGUGCCACUAUCAAAUUAUUUGGAAAAUUGCCCCUUUUUGUCACGUUUUACUCCUUUUCCUACAAUUAGUACCAUUAACCAAAUAUAAGUAGAAUUUAUCAAUUAAAACAAUAUUUGACUACAAUCAAGGGGAAAAUAAUUAUAAAUUUAGCAACAAAUUAUGACCUAUCAAUUUUUUUCACACCUAAACCAUGCUUGUCCUCAAGCAUGAGAAUAACAAAUUAAAUAAUCAAAUUCAAACAAUGGUUAUUGCUCAAAUCUUCUACUGCCAAGAUACAAUUGAAACAUAUGUCAAGUAUUAGUGGCAAUUUUUAAAAAAUAUCUCUCCAAUUAGCUUUCAAGAUCAUUGACUCUUUUAAUUUAUGACUAACUAAUCUAGAAUAUAAAAUAUUCAACCAGCAUCCAUAAGCAAAUGGUUCGACUAUUAAGCAAAAUCUCAACAUUAAAAUUCAUGGAUCAGCGGCAAUUUAUUCAAACACUUUCACAUUUUUCACUAUUAGCACAUUUUUUUCUAAAAUAUCUCCAUGCUUGAUUGAUUAUUUUUUUUCCAGGGGAAAUGCUUAGUCUUUAGCCAUUUAAGCGUUUUGACGCGAACUUCAACAUUGGCCAAAUGAAGGAGGCCGGUUACUCAGCCAUUAUCGCUUAAAAUCACAUCCUCAUAGUUAUCAUCGUUUUUUGACGUGAAAAUCGACACUUGUGGUGAAGGCCUCUAGUUAUUGGGUAAUGAUACUAGCGGAGUAUAGCCAAAUACUAUUCAUAAAUAAGCAUCAAAUUAAAACUAAAAAUCACACAAACUCGUUUCAUUUCUUAAACAUUGAGAACUAAGAUUAAUUAUUGAACCAAUUUGCAUAAAAAAAUGUUAGACAAAUAUUUACAAUACUUAAAGAAGUUAACCAAAAAAUGCAAAAGCCACAAAAUCUCAAAUAUUCAUCAAAAAGAUACUCUUAGAUUUAAUCAUGUCAUACUUAACACCUUAGAGCGUAAAAUCUUAGCAAUAGAAAAUUUUAAACCAUCUAACCAUCGUUUAUCAGGAACAUUCACAAAUAUACACAAAGAUAGGCAAAAAUUGGAUAAAAUUCGACAAAGUCAAACAAAAAAUUUCAACAAAAAUAUCUACACUUGCACUUUUUCAAUAAAAUACCAAUAUAUUACUCCACCCACACCUAAAUCUCACAUUGUCCUCAAUGGAGAUCAUAAAGCAAAGAAAGUAAAUAGGGCAACAAAACUUCCCUGAAUACGUGGUAGAGGGCCUCGGGCGGCUGUGGCAUAGGUGCAAAUGGUGUAGUGAAAAUGGUGCUACAGCAAGGUGCAACAGUGACGGAUUGCAGAGAGAAGGAGAGCUUCGGGGUACGUCUUGGUCCAAGCGACAGCGGCGGCGCGCGGCUGUGUUAUGUGAAGUGGCGGCGAACUACAACAGGGGGAGAGAGAGAGAUUGGUGGCGGACGUGUUAGUGUCGUGGCGAUGAGCGAGCAUGGAGGACAGCAGCAGCGCGCGGCUGUAGUGGCUGGCGGCCGUGGGUUAAGCGCGACUUGCGGGAGCGGCGGUGGAGGUGGGGUUUCGGCCGAAGAAAAAGAGAGAAUAGGGGAAAUAGGGGAGAAAGAAAGAAAGAAAAGAGAAGAAAAGAAAAAGAAGAAAGAAAGAAAAAGAAAGGAAAGAAGAAAAGAAGAAGAAGGAAAAAAAAUAUUUUUUGAAUAUUUUUUCUUUUUUUUUCCGAGAUACGGUUGUUUAAACAUGGCAUGGGCACGCCAAGUUUUGUAAAAGUAUUCUGAUCCUGGGGUGACUUUUUGCAAAUCAACGCGUGCCCUCCUUGCGUGAGCACGCCAAGUCUCCAUGUCCUGCCGGUGUUGUGAAAUGUUGAGGUUUUACCAACAUAGCGCGGGCACGCCAUGUUUUGCAAAAGUCUCCGGACCAUGAGGUUGGGACUUACAAAUUAACGCGUGCCCUUCAAAUGUGGGCAGACCAAGUUACCCUGUUCUGGUCACUGUUGAUGAAAACAUCCAGAUCAAUCAGUAACCAAGUGAGAAACAGCAAAUUUAAAGCCUUGAACAACGAAAAAUAAAUAAAAUCAAUAUUUGGGUUGCCUCCCAAAAAGCGCCUUUCUUUAAUGUGUUUGACUAGACAUUUUCAUGUUUAUUCACGGAGAAUAAAAUCUUGUGACUCGUUUCAAUGCUUCAUUCUCUAUAUAAUCCUGAUAGCCCUCGUAAAUAGAAUAAUCCUUGAGCACACGAGGUACAGUCUUCCAUGGAUUAGUGGAUAGCGCCAAAUGAACAAGUAAUGACCUUAAUUCUUCACUCACUCCUCCAUUACGAGCAUUUACUGGUUCAAGAUAUUUUGCCAUCGUAACUCUUAAUUUAUUCCUGUCAUGAAAUUCAAAAUCUUCUGGUAUAAUAAAGUCAACGUCACUAACAGGAAUUAAAGAAUAAGAGUCAGGAAAAUAUUGAUUAAGGAAUGGAGGAGAUGUCACCGCAUUUGGAGAUUGUUCACUGGAUUUAUUCACUUGAACAAUUUGAUAUUGGAGUUCCAUUUCUUGUACUUCAAUUCGCUUUUCAAUUGUAUCUUUAGAUCUGUUUUCUUGAGACUCUUACAGCUCCAUGUCACUUGUCAGGAUAAUUGCACUCUCAUCAUCUUUAAGGUCGAUGUUGGUCUGUGAAGGCAAUUCUUCAUACAUUCGAGAAGUCAAUUUCGUUAUUCUAGAUGUCAAUUGAUUCAUUUGAUCUGCUAGGUUAUAAAUGCUCGCUUGUGUCUCCUGAAUGCUCGCUUGUGUCUCCUGAUGAAAUCGAUAUGUAUUAGCAGUUAGUAAUUUCAUUAUUUCUUCAAGAGACAUACCUAACAUGGAUGACGGUUCUUAAAACUCUUGUUGUUGAAAAUUCAUUAGUCUGGUUGCAUAAUUAAAAUUGGAAUCAUCCUACCAUCCUUGAUCAUACCCGUUUGAAUAAGGGUCAUACCACGUUUGAUAUUGAGGUGAAAAAUCUCCAAAAGUAUCUAUUGAAACACUUAGGCCAUCGUAAAACGUGAAGUAUAUUUCGGUUGAAUGAUCUAAGGCAAAAUAACUUCCACAAUUUGCAACAACCAAUUGAUCAUUAGAAAAAACAUUAGUCUCAUAACCCCUUCUAAAAAUAAAAUCCAGUCUAUCACCAAAAUACGGAAUGUUAGUAGCCAUAAAUUAUAUAUAAAAAAAUAAGAGAAAAAUAAAAAAUUGAAAUCAACAUGAACUCAAAAAAGAAACAAAUUAAUUGGAAAUCAGUGCCCGGCAACGACGCCAAAAAUUAAUAGAUUGUCGAGCCUAUGUAAUAAUAAUUACCUACUCAAGAGAAAUAUAUAUUUUGUAUAUAGCGGUGAGUAGGGUCGAAUCCACAGGGACUGGGGAUAAUUCGUUUCUUCUAGAGUUCAAAGUAUGGGAAAUUUUUUGGAGAAUGUGAAAUAACUAAUUAACUAACUAAUGAAACAACUAAUAGAAAUAAAUAGGAAUUAAUCAAUAACCAAUACGACUCUAGUCAAAAGUGCAACUCUUCAGACACGGUCCAUUCCACCGAUCAUCAAUGCAAAGAUAAUUCAAUUACUCAUUACCAGAUUGGUUAUAGUUGUCAUACACGCGAUAAAAAACCAGUCUUUCCUUACUUUUUCGAUAGUUAAGGUACAACCAUUAACUAUUUCUCUAACCAAGAAAUAACCCUAGGUACGACUAUAGGAUUUAAUUUCUUGAUUGCAAUAAGAAUUAGAAAAAUCCAACCCUAACCAACAAACACGCUACGAGGGUUAGUUUAAGUUAAAUUAUACGUUUCCCUAACAUGAAACCAAUCACGCUAGUCGCCACUGGUAUUACUUAAUUGAACAAUUACGGAUUCAAUCAAUUAAUCUAGCAGUAGAUUAUUAUGUUAAUUCGAAUAUUGGUUUCUUGACAUUCAAAUAACAUAACAAGUAUAAGAAGUUAAAUCAGAAAACAUACAAAUACCAAUGAAUAAAAGAAAUAAGUAAAAUAAUUCGAUAUCACAAAUGUUUGAAACCGAGUCCUCAAAUUGACCUUCGACUAGAAAACCGAGAUUUAGCUACACAUUCUCAAGGGAAAUCCACAGGACUCCCUUGAUAACCAUUUAUUCCUUCUCCAAAAACUAAUGAAAGAAUACAAAGAAAAGAGACAAGUCACGGCCGUCCCUCCCAAUUCCUAUUUUGUAACUUCUUAAGGAAAAACAAACUCCUCCCGAAAUUGCUGCUGGCCAACUCCUAAUCAAACGGGAAUUCGGCUUUUUCUCUUUUUUUUUUUUCCUAUUCAGCUUCUACUACUAAUAAUAAGAUAUGUUCCCCAAAAUAUAAAAAGGAAACUACUAAAAAUAAUAUUCCAAGUUUCCUAAUCCAAUAUUAAGACUAAUAAUGAAAAUUAAAAUCUUCAAAAUCUUCCUUUAAUAUUGCCUUGAAUUUGAUUCGGACUUGGAAACCGGUUCCGAACGUGCCACCAUCAAAUUAGUUGGAAAAUUGCCCCUUUUUGUCACGUUUUGCUCUUUUUCCUACAAUCAACACCAUUAACCAAAUAUAAGUAGAAUUUAUCAAUUAAAACAAUAUUUGACUACAAUCAAGGGGAAAAUAAUUAUAAAUCUAGCAACAAAUUAUGACCUAUCAGUAGGGAUGGCAAUGGGUUGAAUAAAAUCCAAUAUCCAUGGGUAUUCGACUCGAUGGUUAGUCUGAUAAGAUGAUUGAUGGGUUAUUGACUAGGGUUGGUGUUAACAAGAAAUUACGGAGGGUUAAUCCAAUAGGAUUUAGCACGAGAACCCUAAAAUCCCAAUACCCUAUAUAUAUAUAUAUAUAUAUAUAUAUCUAAGGUUCCAAUUUUAUCUUUCGAUAACACAUUUCUUGAUUUUGUAACCAAAUAGCAUAUAACUCUAACCCAACACAAAUUAAGACAAUUAUGAUUAAAAACAGAAGAAUGUCGAUUUAACCCUUUAUUAAAUGUUGGAUUUUUCUCAUACAAGUUCUAUGGCUUUAUCCAAGUUUAAACCUCAAUGUAGUGUUAAUUUAACAUGAUGUAUGUAUUGAUUUUAAUUUGAUAAAAAUUAAUUUUCCUUUUUUGAACUAUUCAAUUAGUGGGUAGAAGAUACCCGAUGGACAAUCUGAACUCGUAUAUAAGAGGAUUUGGUAAUGGGGAUUAAAAGCCAGAGGGUUAUUGAUAGGAUUUGAUGAAAUACUUGCAUAUGUGGAUUAAGAUUUGGUAAGAUGAAUUUUCCAGGGUACUCAACCCACUGCUAUUCCUACCAAUGUGACACCCUUUGAGCUGAUUGUGCACUUCAUCCAAGCAUUGCAGUUCUUCAUCCUCAACAUUAUCCGUAUGGCUUUGCUCAAAAUCCAAACACCUUCCAUUUUCUCAUCAUUUUCCCCGUGUCCUUGCUGAAAAUGGAAAUGGUUUCCAUUUUCUUCAACAUUUUCCUCAUGGGUUCCCUAAAAAACAAAAUGAGUUCAAUUUUCUUGAGCAUUCUCCUUGUGGGUUUACUGAAAAAUGAAAUGGUUUCCAGUUUCCUACCCGUUUUCUUCAUGGGAUUGCUGAAAAAAUUGAUGGAUCUGAUUUACUUGAACUUGUUCGAUGAACAAUGCUUGCUUCUCUUGAUAAGUUGUUCAAAGAUGAAGCUGGUGAAAGAAAGAGAUGAUUAUGUCCUUUUAAUUUUGGUCCUGUUCUUAAAUUAUGGUUAGACAAAAAUGACUUUGAUUUCAGUUUCAUUUACGUCUAAAAUGACUAGAAGUUCUUAAACUAUGCACUUUUAAUUGAUUAGGGGCCAGUCGAAGAUAAAAUUUAGAUUAGUGGACAAAACUUGACAAUGAUAAUAGUUUAGGGGCUCUUUAGAUUUUUUACUCAAAGAGAAAUUUCAUUGUACAAUAUAUAUUGGGGUUUCACAUUCUAUGUUGUAGUUUUACUAGUAUAUUAAGGCCCUAUUUGAUAACUCAAUUAGGUACUUAAAUUUAAUGAAUUCAGAUUUUAAUAUGUUCAAACGUGUUUGAUAACCAAAAAUUAAAUAUUUGAAUUAAUUAAUUGGCACUAAAUUUUUUAAGUAAAAUUUGUUUCCAAAAAUUAAUCAUAAACUAUUCAUUUAUCACUUAAUAUAAUAUACACUCAAAUAUAUCAGAUUUAGUACCUAACAAUUCAAUAACUUAAUGAAUUCAGACUUCAUAUUUUAGAUUUCAAUUUUAUCAAACGCACUCUAAGUCUUAUAGCAUGUUUUAACUACACUUGUUAUUCAUUUUCCAACGACCAUUUGUAGAUAUUAAAUACAUGGACAUGUGUUGCCUUGAUACAUGAUGUAAAUUAUGAUAGAAAACGUAAUGUUAAAAGUGCAGAAGAAAUCAAAAACCUCAACAAUUACAAAUGACACCAACCAUUAUUAGGAUGUCAAAUGAGAAAAGACGUGAUCUUAAUAUAUGGUGUAAUGAGGAGGCAAUACCAAAAGUUUAAUAGACGAGUUAAAAACUGAUCGUGUACAUGUCUUGCCUUCCACUUUGCUUUCACCUUCUGCGCUCCUUUGAAGGCAGCUCAAACACUACAAUGGAGGGUAUAAAGCCCUUUUCGAAGCGCCGAUAUCAAUCCCCAGAUUGAUGAUUUCUUGUACAUUUUAAUAAGCCUCAAUCAUUGUUCUUUCUAUUCGCCAUCUCUUUAUAUAUGAUGCCAAAACUUCCUAGUUUUGUCAGGGAAAGCUCCUAGCCGGGGAAGUUGAUAGUGGUGAGCUUCCCUCUCUUUUCACCCAUCUUAAUUGUUUUCCCGUUAUUCUUUCCUUCCCCAUUUACAUUUGUAUCUCAUACUUCAUUAUGCCAAUACAUUAAAAUCCCUGUUUCUUGAAGAUCCUUCUGCAGAUCCAAGUUGAUGGACAAUUCAAUGAAUUCGUGGUUCUCUGAAUUGGUAAACAUUUUCCAACUUUCACUGAUUAUGAUGACUUCUUUUUUCCCUCAUCAAUUAUAGACAUUGAAAAACUAAGAGGUACAGCUCCGGCCCGUGAAUGCAUUGACCACCACAGGGCUUUCCUUGCUUCUUUCAAGUAUUGUGGGUUAAAACAAAUAGCUUGCCUGUGGACUUGACAUCCCCCAAUGCCCUUAUUAUUUAGGCACUUUGUUUUAUUACUAGCUCGAAUUUCCCUUGCCUUACAAGCUAAAAAGUUUUCUGCGCAACAAAACGAAAAAAAAAAAAAAAGAAUGCUUAACAGAUUUUGUUGUCUUAACAAAUAGUUUUUCCAGAAGAAAUUUUAUGUAACAUUUUUUAAAUCCAUUGCGAAACUAGGAAAUUAUCGCUCAUUUAGUUUUUCUACAAAUACGACUGGUUAGGAGCCAAGUGCUGAGAGCAUUAGAUACAGGGAAUGGAGGAUAAAAAAUAUGAAAAACAAAAGACAAACAUGGAGGUAGGUAUAAGUUGCCUUAGUUGCUGCUUCAAAUUAUUAGCUAAGGAAUAAAUUAAUAUAAAUAUAAUUUAGUACACUUCAUGAUCUAGCAUUAAGCUUAAAUUAUGAACCAAAUAUGUGGUCAAGAAGGGUCCAAGUGUUUCAUCAAAUACGUUUAAUCUAGAUUACUUGGUGGACUAAGUAGUCAAAUAAAGUUCAGUGUCAUUAUUAACUUCCAGUUGGGCGUUGCUUUGAUUUUCUGAUACUGUAAAAUUAUAAUGUGUCCAUGUAUAUCAAAAAAGCUAAAAAAAAAAAAAAUGCAUAGGGAAGGGAAUAACGAGAGUGGUUGAUACCAAUUCAACAAAGUGUAUUAAGUCCUCUGUUUUCAUUUGCAUUUCUGAGAUGUUGCCAAGAAAUCAAUUAGGGCAUAAUCACCAAUCUCUAGUGUUAUAACAGAUGCAGCGGAACAGAAGAACAAACAAGAAUAGACAAGAACAACUUGGGGGAAAUCAGAUUUUAUUAGGGUUGUGAUUGGAAUAGUUUACAGACUAAAAUAAGGUGUAUAUAUAUACAACCAAACAUUCUGGACCCAAAAAUAGGCCCAAAACAAGAUCCAAAAUAAAACAGACACGGUAACUAAUAUAUACCGUAAGCUCAACAUCUAGGCAUCUCAACAUCUAGGUCCACACACACACACACUCUUACAAGCAAUGGACUUCCUACUAAUGAUCCAAUAAAAAUGUUGAUCGAGUUUUAAGGGCUAUGAAUCAUGAUUAUCUAUCAAAUGCUUGUAGAAUAUUCAAUCUUUCACUUUAACUACAGGAAAUGGAGGAUCCAUUUGUCGAUGAUCAAUGUGAUAUCAUGGACUAUUUUGAUGAAGAUUUCACUGCUGCACUUGGAGAAGAUCUGGAAAGCAAUUUGUCUGCUGUUUCAGCCAUGGAAGCUCCUCCAAUCAGUAUUGAAAUCCCAGCACCACAGCAGAAUUCUAAUAGCUGUAACUCGGCAGCCACCCUUGAAAACAUGCCAAAUCAUCACAAUCAGCCAAUCAUCCUUACUUUUGGGAAUCCAAGCACGCCAGAAAUAAAUCCUCAACCAUUAAAUCUAAAGGAUGAUGGAGUAGUGUCUGAGGUUUUGACAUCCCAUGGUUCAUUUGUAAAUCUUGAGGAGGCAGCCCAAAAUGCACGGAAGAAAAAGAAAACAGGCGGCCGGGUUAGGCCAGCAUCGCAGAUUCGUGAUCACAUUUUAGCAGAAAGAAAGCGCCGCGAGCAGCUCAGCCAGGGAUUUGUAGCUCUAUCGGCCAUUGUUCCCGGCUUCAAGAAGGUUUGUAGUAUUUCCAAGAAUCCAAUUUUUUAAAUAAAGAAAAUAAACAGACAAAAAUUUUUCUAUCAUUGUGAUAUUUCAAAUGUUUAAUGCAACCAAAUUUUGUGAUGUCAUGUCUCACGUCAAAGGGGGCUAAUUUAAUUAAUCCCACGACAAGUUAUUCAAAUAUAAAGUGUGCUGUUGAUUUUCCGGAUCGCGAUUACUAUAAAGAAACAGCAUAACCUUCUAUCAUUGCUCUCUCUCUCUCUCUCUUAUACACAACUACUCUAUUAGUAGUUGUUUUUAGCCACUAGGCUUAAUUUUGCUUUUUUUUUUUUGGAGCUUCACAUAGUUUUGGUUACCAAGAUCUUAUUCUUAUUGCAGAUGGAUAAAACUUCUUUUCUUGGAGAUGCUAUCAUUUACUUGAAACAUCUUCAGGAAAGAGUGAAGACGCUCGAGGAGCAGGUUGCGCAACAAACCAUGCAAUCUGUCGUUCUAGUGAAGAGAUCACAGCUUUUAGUUGAAGAUGAAGGAUCUUCUGAUGAUACGGGCGGCCCUGAUGAGCAGCCACUCCCGGAAAUAGAGGCAAAAAUGUGCAAUAGGAACAUUCUUCUCAGGAUUCACUGCGAAAAGCAUAAAGGGGUUCUGGUUAAAAUCCUUUCCGAGGUAGAGAAACACAAUCUUGCUGUCAUGAACACGUGCGUGGCUCCGUUCGGAAAUUUCGCUCUUGAUAUUACCAUAAUUGCUGAGGUGAGUUUAGCAGUCAGAGAAUUUUUUUCCUUGGGAUUUUGUUUACAUGAAUAUUGAAUGUGAUGAUACAUGGUUACACAUAAAGAAUUGCAGCAGAAGUGAGGUAGACUUCCACAUGCUAGAAGCAAGGUAAAAAUAUUGAAAAAGAGAUAUUGUUGCUGGGGGAUUUGAAGUUUUGAACCAGCAAAUCUCACCCCGAGAGAGCUAGUCACCAAUUUUUAUGUUCGAUAAUCUAUUAGUAAAUUUCAAUGUUUACAAUUUGUUCUAAGUAUUGAUUUCAUUAAAUCUUUCCAGAUGGAAAAAGAAUUCAGCCUGACAAUCCAAGAAUUAGUUAAAAUUCUUGGAUCCGCUGUCCAUCGGGGGACGGUGGCCGAUUAAGAGCCCCCGGUUGGACCGCCAAGAGAACUGUUCCAUAUCCUAUGGGAUCCGACAGAUGCAAUGGUGAAGAAGACAGACGACGUUCACAGGCCAUACUUUGAGAUUGACAACAUAUGGAUGCCUAUGCAUAUUAGUACUUGCCCGGUUUUAAUGAUCAGGAAUGAAAAUUACUAUCAAGAUUAGACUAAAAAAAAAAUAAAAGGCCUACCUCCUCGAGGGUCUCGUGAGCUUUCGAUUGAUUUUCGUGUGUAGCUAUUUGGCAUUGCACGUAGACGAUACAAAUAUACAAAAUGUUACUGGUUCCCUUUAGAUUACAUUUUUAUGAGGUAUUUUGGUAAAUUUUUGGGUUUGUUAAGAUUUUUUUUUUUUGGUGUUUUCACAAAUUUUGAUUUGUUUCGACUAUUUUGAGUAGCUUUAGAAGCUUUUGAUGUAGACAUUGUAACACUUGUUACGAUUUAAUGUAUAGUUGUAUGUAAUAAUUAUAAUAAUAAUACUAAUAAUAAAAGGUGUUACAAAAGCAAAAAAUGAUUGUAGCACUGCUAGCAUAUCCUAUCUUAAGGAAUUUUCUUCAGUUGAUAUUCCACUUAUUAGGGCCCAUUAAUUUGAUGAUGAAAGGUUUUCUUUUUUCUUUUAUUCCCUUCAUAAUCAAGAAAAAGAAUAAUUGUUUCUUUUAUUUCCUAAUGUUCAAUCAAAAUCAAAACAUGAGAUGUUCUUUACAGUAAUACACGGCUUAUGAUUAACGACUUAGUCAAUCCACGUGUUUAGAAAGCCAUUAUUAGCUGAUGUCUGAUGAUUAGAAAGAAUUGACAAAGUCUGCAUUCUGGUCAUUGAUUGAUGAAUCUCACAAGUCGUGUGGACAGUACUCUUCGACACCAUGUGAUACUCUCGGGUGCUACAACGUGUUAAAGUACACUUUGAUGCCCACAACAGCAAUGAGAUGUUUUUGCAUGAUGAAUCUUGAGUAGCCAAAUACUUGCUAAUAUAUUUCAAUUACCAAGAACUAUACAAGUUUGAAUAGCCAUGUUUGAACUAUCAAUGCUCUUGCAUUCAACAUUAUCUUUAUUCCAGUUACAUAUUGAAAGCGGUUGAAAAUGGAAUAGGGUGUGGCAUAUAACUGAAACGAAUGGAAUGGAUGGCUGGUGAUUGAGGAUUAUGCGUACGAAGCAACCAGUAUUGUGGUAGGAUUUGUAAGCACCUGUGCGGAACUAUCGCAGUAAUUUGUUGGGGUUACUAAUACAUCUAACUCUACUCUACUAGCCAUCAAUGUUUUUAAAAUCAGAUGGGAGAGGGAAUUGAAGGAGCUUUUAGUUCACGAUUCAACCGGUUUGAUUGAUUCAACUCCGAUAUAAAGGUUUAAUAAUUUUUUAUUUAUUCUGGUAUUAAUAAUUUUAAUAAAAUUGAAAUAUUUGUAAAGAUAAAAAUUUAGCGAAUUUCAGUUCAAAAUCUCUGUUUCUACCCAUUUUUACCAUUCCAAUCGAUUCUUGAUCAAGUUUAGUUGAUUUCAUUGAAUUUUUGAAUUAACUAUUGACUCGAAUUAGAAGUAUAAUCAAUUUGUUCUUCCAUUAAUUGAACCGACUAGUCUAAUCCGAUUUUCAAAAUAGUAGUAGUCAUGGUAAUGGUCUUUCUCAAGAGAAACUUUGCAAUAUCCACUUAACUAGUACAUUGUAGCUAGCAUUACCCUUUGGUCCGUGACAGGUGCCGAACCUGUGCAAUAAUAAAUACCUGCUCAAACAAAAUAUAAUUUCUGUAUAUAGCGGUAAGCAGGGUCGAAUCCACAGGGACUGGGGAAAAUUUAAUUUCUUCUCAAGUUUCAGAUAUGGGGGGUUUUUGAAAAUGAGAGUAACUAAAUUACUUGGAAUGAAUUAAAAUAAAAUAAAAUAACUACAACUCAAAUAACUAAUUAUCACAAUAAAAAUAAUAAUGGACGAACUCUAGCCAAGAGACAACUUCGGAGAUGGUUCACUUAAUUCGAUCACAGAUGCAAGGAUUAUUCCAAUUACAAUCUGAUAAAUUAGUUAUAGUUGUCAUACACGCGAUAAACAACCAACUCUUCCUCAAUUUGUCGAUAGCCAAGGUACGACCGUUGACUAUUUCUCUAAUCAGGAAAUAACCCUAGGUACGACCAUAGAAGUUCAAUUCCCUAAUUGCAUGAAUAAUUAGAAGAGCCUAAUUCUAACCAAUCAACACGCUACGAGGGUCUCUUUAAGUUAGCCUGUCUAUCUCCCUGACACAAACCCAAUCAUGCCAGUUGCCACCAGUUUAGGAUAAUUAAACAAUUACGGAUUUAACUACCCUAAUUGGCUUCAGGUUAUUGAAUUAAUCUAGAAUCCGGGCCCUGGAUAAUCGAAUAACAAAACAACCAUAUGAACAUAAAGCAGAAGAUAGACAAAUACCAGUGAAUAAUGGAAAUAAAUAAAAACUAAUUCGAUCUCACAAAUUUAGUAGAACCAAAUCCUCCGUUGUUCUUGACUAGACAAACUUAGCCACGCCUCAUGAGAAAAUCUUCAAGUAAUUUCAUUGAGGUCCAGGCCAUCAAAAGAGCCAAGAAAGAAAAAGAAAACUAAAACUAUGCUAAAAACUAAGCUAAAACUCGCCCUUCAGCCUUUCUUACUAUUGUCCUUAUAUAGCCAAAAGGAUACAUGACACAAGGCUUUCCUUUAUCCCGUGGUCCCCGCACGAAUUGAGAGUCCAAUUCCAAUUUUACAAGCCUUGUACGUUUCUUUCUCAUUUUAAAGUCCAAAAGGAAUGAUGACUCCAAAUGCUCUUAUCCCGUGGUCCCCGCUGAGAUUGAGAGUCAAACAAACUCAUAAGAAAAGCCUGCCGAAUUACUCCUUGUUUCCUAAUGUUCCUAGGACUCCUUGUACCAGCCUUCUCUUCAUCAGCUCAAAAGGGAAGCCGUUUGUUUGAUCUCUUGUGGGACACGUUGAGGGAGCUUCGCAGGAGACUCCCACUUGUGAAGUAAUUUGCUUCAAAAAGUCCCUGCUUUUUGUAGUUUUCUGCUCCAUUCCCUGGAAUUAAGUCCAGAUACCAAAUAUAAGUAAAUAUCAACAAUUAACACAAUAUUUGAUACGAACAAAAGGGGAAAUUAAUAAUAAAAUUGCAAACAAAUAAUGCCCUAUCAAUUCCCCCCACACCUGAAUCAGGCUUGCCCUCAAGCAUGAGAAUAGCAUUUGAAUACCAAAAUUUUGACAAUGACUAUCGCUCCAACUACCGUAUUGCCAAGAUACCCAGAAAAACAUACAUCAAGCAUCACAGGUCAAGAUCAAAGAAAAUUACUCCGGUUAGCUUCCCAACCACCAACUUCUCCAAUUUAAAACAAGCUAAUCUAAGAAAAAGGAAUGGUUGUUCACAUUUAUCAGCAAAUGGUCCAACUACUAACCAAAAUCUCGACAUUAAGAUUACAAACCGGCAAGCUGACUUAUUCACACACUAACACAAUCUUUAUUUCACUUUUUUUUUUCCUUUUUGUUUUUUUUGUUAUUUUAUUUUAUUUUUUUUUUUUGUUUUUUUUUUUUUGUGAAUAACAAAAGACUUAAUCUAUAGCCAUUAGAGCCUUUUGACGCGAACUCCAACAUUUCACAGAUGGAGGAGCCCGGUUACUCAACUCCAAUCGCUACGGGACCACGCACUCAUAGUAACUACUACCUUUUGACGCGAGAAUCGAUACUUUAGGUGAAGAUCCCCGGUUACUCAAUAGUAAUCACUAGCGGAGUACAGUCAACUCUUAUUUAUAACCAUAUAGCACAAAAAAUAACAGCAGCCAGCCUCAAAUUUCCAAACAUGGAGAACUAAAAUUAAUAAAUGGACCAAUUCACAUGAAAAAUGCCAACAAUCAUUCCCCAUGCUUAGAAGAGUUAACCAAAAAUAGGAAAAGUUAAGCAAUUAUUGAUAUUCACCAAAGAGAUAUUCCUGAACUCAACCACAUCAACUUGAUACCUUUUUAAUAAACUUGGCAAUAGCAAAAUUAGAGACAACCAUCCGGUAUCAAAACUUGGUAUUCAUAUAAAAACUGACCACUAGGAAAAGAAAAGAAAAGAAAAUAAAUGAAAAGGAGAUAAAUAUCCGACUUAAAACAAAGGAAAAAACACCUAAAAAAAAUCGAAAAUUGAAAAUACUAGCACCCAAAACUGACCCCCCACACCUAAUUCACACAUUGCCCUCAAUGUGAUAAAUACAGUAAUAGUAAGCAAAAGAGCAACGGUACUUCCCUGAAAUCACGGGGACCAUGGCGGGGCCACAGCAGUGGGUGAGGCGAGGGAUGGUUGAGUUGGGUUGGAGUAGGCUAAGGUCAAGAGGUUCUGGACCAAGAAGAGAACCUUGAUCUCACUAUUGCCGCAAAUUAGCAAUUUAAAGCCCUGAGCAAUUUAAGCCCAACAAGUCAAUCAAUACCAGAAAAUCAUUCCAAACAAUGUACCAGUUAAACUCCACGGGCAAAGGACGUCCAACCAAUUUCACUCAAGCAAACUAGGAGCAAUGCGACUGAUUAAACAAAGCAACAAAUUUCAGCAAGUGGACACAAAUUCAGCCAAGAUCUCAACAACUGGUUUCAACUUGACAGCCAAUUACCCAAUCUAAAUUCCAGCAGCAACCGAAUAUUAUUCGAUCAAAUUCCAAGAAUUUCAGGCAAUCGCCGUGACCAGUACCACUGGUGCAUAUACAAGAAGGGAUGAAAUCAAACGGCCAGCAAUAUAGCAGCAAUAACAAUAGGCAAAAAAUCUCAACCAGUACCACUGGUGAGUCACAGGGAAAAAUUAAAUUCAAUAACAAACCCCAACCAACAAAAUGCACACUGUAGGCACCCAAGGUCGAGACAAACUUCUCAACAAAGCAUCAAUUAUAGGCACUAAGCAAUUAGGGUCCCAACGUAGUCAAGCACAACAACAAGUCAGCCCAUCAAUUCAAUUAAUAGCAGAAAACACCCCCACAGAUAGCAACAAUCAAACUCAAUUCCGUCCAAACUGAUUCCGCAGAAAUUACCCAAUGAAUUUAACUGCUCGAAACGCCCUCACAGAAAACCAACCCCAAAAUGUGCAGGAGAAACCCCAAAUAAAUCAGCAGAUGAUAAAUCAAGAAAAUUAUCCCAAUUGCAAAUCAAUUCCAGCAAUUAGUUUCUAGAAAUUGCGAAGGGGGAAGGGCAAGCAAUACCUCCACCUGUCAAUUUUUGACAGGUGGCGAAGGUGCGGCGAAGAGGAAAAGGUGAGAGAGGGGGUCGCCUGCGCGGUGGUACUGGAGGCGUCGGCUGGGCGUCGAGCGGCGAUGGUGGCGUGCUGCUACUGCGCCUGGGGGUGCGCGCAAGGAGCUCCGCUGCUGCUAGCGGCGGACGAGAUGAAGCUUCCGGCGGCGGUGGUGGCGUGCUAGGUGGAAAAAGGUGCGGUUGGUGAAAGUCAACAGGCUUGCUGGCUCGGCUGCGCGCUGGUGGAGGUUGGUGGUGACCGCGAGGGGAGGCCGGAGCUGGUGGUGGCGCGCGAUGCUGCCGCGCGGGAGAAGGGGCCGCGUGCGGGCGGCGAUGGCGACUGGGCAGUGUGGUUUGUGCGAUGGAAGAGAGAGGACUAGCGGCGUGGGUUGGUGGAGGCCUGGAGGCGAUGGUGGAGGCGCUGGUGGCAGACAGCAACGGCGGAGAUGUGCGCAGAGCUGGAGUGCGGCGUGCUGGUGGCGCGGCUGUCGCGGAGCUCGGGUAGGCGGCGGCUCUGGUUGAAGGAACAAGAGAAAAGGGGAAAGCAGGGGCAGCGGGGAAGAAGGAAGAAAGAAAAGAAAGAAGAAAAGAAAGAAAGAAAGAAGAAAAGAAGAAAAAGGGAAUUGUUUUUUUUUUUUGUAAUAAUAAAAUUUUUAAUUUUUUUUUUUUAGAGGGACUCCUGUCUUAGGCGUGGGCACGUCUAACUGCUAUAGAGUCCGCAGAUCCUGAACGAGAAUUUCUUUCCCUCAAGCGUGACCACCUGGCGUGGGCACACUUAACCGCUAUGGAGUCCGCAGAACCUGAGCGAAAAUUUCUUUUCCUCAGGCGUGACCAUCUGGCGUGGGCACGCCUAACCGCUAAUUUCCUGCCACCAAUCAUCAAACCAUUAAUUGACACUAACACUUAACUAAAACUUCAAAAAUGCAUGAAAACUAAAACAAAUAGUCUUGGGUUGCCUCCCAAGUAGCGCCUUUCUUUAAUGUCUUUGGCUAGACAUUUUCAUGUGUAUUCAUGGAGGAUAAAAUCUUGUGGCUCGUUUCAGUACUUCAUCUUCUAUGUAAUCCUGAUAACCCUCGUAAAUAGAGUAAUUCUUGAGCACACGAGCUACGGGCUUCCAUGGACUAGUAAAUGGCGCCAAACAAGUCAACGAUAAUUUGCAUUCUCCACUCUCUCCUCCAUCACACGCCUUUAUCGGUUCAAGAUAUUUGACCAUCGUAGCUCUUAACUUAUUCCUGUCAUGAAACUCAAAAUCGUCUGGUAUGAUAAAAUCAAUCUCACUAACAGGAAUUAAAGAAUAUGAGUCAGGAAAAUAUUGAUCAAGAAAUGGAGGAGAUGUCACCGCAUUUGGAGAUUGUUCACUGGAUUCAUUCACUUGAACCAUUUGAUGUUGGGGUCUCAAUUUUUGCUCUUCAACUUUCUUUUCAACUGCAUCUUUAGAUUCCUUCUUCUUGAGACUCUUGCAGUACCAUGUCAUUUGUCAGAAUAAUUGCACUCUCAUCUUCCUCAUGGUCGAUAAUAGUUUGUGAGGGCAAUUCUUCACUCAUUCGAGAAGCCAAUGACGUUAUCCUAAAUGUCAAUUGAUCCAUUUGAUCUGCUAGGUUACGCCUGCUCACUUGUGUCUCCUGUUGAAUUUGAUAUGUUAAUUCAACUAUCUCUUCAAGAGACAUACCUGACAUAGAUGAUGAUUCUUGAGACUCAUACUGCUGAAAAUUCAUUGGCCCUGUUGUAUAAUCAUAACUGGAGUUAUCCCACCAUCCUUGAUCAUACCCGUUUGGAUUAGCGUUAUACCACGUUUGAGACCAGGGUGAAAAAUCUCCAUAAUUAUUGAAUGGGACACUCAGAUUAUCUUGAUAUUCGGGGCACAUACCGGUUGAAUGAUCCCUGGCAUAACAAAUUUCACAGGUUGCAGCAGCCAUUCUUUUUUUAAUAGAGUUUAUUGCCUCUAAGUAUGCAAACUUAGAAAAACAAUCAAUCUCAUUGCCUUCCCCAAAAACAAAAUCCAGUAUAUCACCAAAAUACGGAGUGUUAGAAGCCAUAAACUAUAUAAUAAAAAAUAAGAGAAAUAAAUUAAAAAUGAAAACAAGGUGAACUCAAAAAGAAACAAAUUAAUCUGACACCAGUCCCCGGCAACGGCGCCAAAAAUUGACAGGUGCCGAACCUGUGCAAUAAUAAAUACCUACUCAAACAAAAUAUAAUUUCUGUAUAUAGCGGUAAACAGGGUCGAAUCCACAGGGAUUGGGGAAAAUUUAAUUUCUUCUCAAGUUUCAGAUAUGGGGGGUUUUUGAAAAUGAGAGUAACUAAAUUAAUUGGAAUGAAUUAAAAUAAAAUAAAAUAACUACAACUCAAAUAACUAAUUAUCACAAUAAAAAUAAUAAUGAACGAACUCUAGCCAAGAGACAACUUCGGAGAUGGUUCACUUAAUUCGAUCACAGAUGCAAGGAUUAUUCCAAUUACAAUCUGAUAAAUUAGUUAUAGUUGUCAUACACGCGAUAAACAACCAACUCUUCCUCAAUUUGUCGAUAGCCAAGGUACGACCGUUGACUAUUUCUCUAAUCAGGAAAUAACCCUAGGUACGACCAUAGAAGUUCAAUUCCCUAAUUGCAUGAAUAAUUAGAAGAGCCUAAUUCUAACCAAUCAACACGCUACGAGGGUCUCUUUAAGUUAGCCUGUCUAUCUCCCUGACACAAACCCAAUCAUGCCAGUUGCCACCAGUUUAGGAUAAUUAAACAAUUACGGAUUUAACUACCCUAAUUGGCUUCAGGUUAUUGAAUUAAUCUAGAAUCCGGGCCCUGGAUAAUCGAAUAACAAAACAACCAUAUGAACAUAAAGCAGAAGAUAGACAAAUACCAGUGAAUAAUGGAAAUAAAUAAAAACUAAUUCGAUCUCACAAAUUUAGUAGAACCAAAUCCUCCGUUGUUCUUGACUAGACAAACUUAGCCACGCCUCAUGAGAAAAUCUUCAAGUAAUUUCAUUGAGGUCCAGGCCAUCAAAAGAGCCAAGAAAGAAAAAGAAAACUAAAACUAUGCUAAAAACUAAGCUAAAACUCGCCCUUCAGCCUUUCUUACUAUUGUCCUUAUAUAGCCAAAAGGAUACAUGACACAAGGCUUUCCUUUAUCCCGUGGUCCCCGCACGAAUUGAGAGUCCAAUUCCAAUUUUACAAGCCUUAUACGUUUCUUUCUCAUUUUAAAGUCCAAAAGGAAUGAUGACUCCAAAUGCUCUUAUCCCGUGGUCCCCGCCGAGAUUGAGAGUCAAACAAACUCAUAAGAAAAGCCUGCCGAAUUACUCCUUGUUUCCUAAUGUUCCUAGGACUCCUUGUACCAGCCUUCUCUUCAUCAGCUCAAAAGGGAAGCCGUUUGUUUGAUCUCUUGUGGGACACGUUGAGGGAGCUUCGCAGGAGACUCCCACUUGUGAAGUAAUUUGCUUCAAAAAGUCCCUGCUUUUUGUAGUUUUCUGCUCCAUUCCCUGGAAUUAAGUCCAGAUACCAAAUAUAAGUAAAUAUCAACAAUUAACACAAUAUUUGAUACGAACAAAAGGGGAAAUUAAUAAUAAAAUUGCAAACAAAUAAUGCCCUAUCAGUCCGAUUAUAAACACUUGAAAAGUAUUUACGCGAAUUCCUUUCAAUUAUUCACCUCUAAAGAGGCAACUUAUUCUUGAUGUUGGUGAAAACAAUCGAAAGAGCCAAGAAGUAAUUUGCGGUUCAAAUGGAGUCGCAUGUCUUACGUGAUUGGCUUGAACCAUGAGUGCGAAUCUACUCACAAUCUAGUUCGAGCAAGUUAAGGUGCGGUCUAAUUUAUGGAUUUUGUACCUUUGGCUUUUUGUGUUUGAUUCAUUUUUUUAAAAAGGGAAAGAAAAUGAUAGGCAGAGAAAGGGAAUGAUAGGUCAAAAGUGGACAAAAAUGGAGGAAAUAAAAUCUCUCUUUCAUUGAUUUACUUUUACUGGUUAAAUAACGUACGUAAUUCUUUCAUUUAUUUUGUUUGUUUUUCCUUUUUACAUGAUUGAAAUCACUCUCUAUUUUUCUUUUUUCUCGUUAAGAAGAUGAAAAUCUGAUUAGUAACUUUAAGAAUCACUUCUAGAAAUCUUUAGGCAUCACACCUAAAAUUAGAAUGUAUCACACAAUUCCAAAAAAAGACAUUGAGUCUGCAAAAAAAAUUUAUUAAUGAUAAAUUUAUUAACGAAUAUAUAUAUAUAUAUAUAUAUGCAUAUCUAAAAUAUAUAAAAGGGGGAACGUCCAUUUGCUACAGUCCAUCCAUGGGCCGGUUUCGGUGGUAAUUCUCAUGAGUUCGUGGGUUAUUUUGGUCUUUCCACCGUAUAUGCCUUGCAAUAGGUUGUUGCUUGUUUUCUCCAUAAAAGGGGGAACGCCCAUUUGCUACAGUCCAUCCAUGGGCCAGUUUCGGUAAUAAUUCUCAUGAGUUCGUGGGGUAUUUUGGUCUUUCCACCGCAUAUGCCUUGCAAUAGGUUGUUGCUUGUUUUCUCCUUCUAUUGCUUCUGUUAUUACAAUCACAGAUCAGAAAUCAGAAAUCGGAAAUUAUAUAUUAUAAUUAUAAUGGCCAACAAAGAUAUUGCACUUUAAUGACCCUGUACCGUGCAGUCUUCAAUGUUUCCAUCUUCCCAACUUUCUGCUCCAUCCAUGCAAUCCACAUAUAUAAAAAUGGAAUCUAUUUACUCUAUUGCCCUUGUCUAAUGUUAAGUUGACUAUUUCUCUUGUAAUAUUUAUCUUUAUAAUAUAACUGUAGUGUGCGUAUAUAGGUCUUUGCCCUUAUGAUACAUUUGUGCACGUGUGUAUUUCACGUACCCUCCCCUCAACUGUUUAACUUUGUACAACAAUCUGAAUUGGUGAUUCCUUGCGCACUCUUUCAUGUUGCUCAUUAAUUACUGAUAGUGACGGUCUAUCAAGUAGUCAUUUUUAGUCACUUAUAUUUAUCCUUUUUCACCCCACUAUAUACGUUUUCUCCACUUUUUAUUACCAAUUAUCCGGUAAUUUUCCUAUCCCACAGUUGUCAUCAUGCCCUUUGAAUUUUUUCCUCUCAUGCUUUUUUCCUCCCGUUUAUACAUGUUUACUUCCACGUGUUCUUUUUUUACCACUCCUGUUUGCACUUCGUUUCUUUUUCCUUCUCUGAAAGCCACCCAGUCAGUAGCCGUCUCUGUGUUCCUUGCUGUUCAUCUUCGUUUUUGCUCCUCCACUCACCAUGACUUCCAUCUUGGUGCUGUUCUUUUGUUCUUUACUAUAUGUUUUAUAGUUCCGCUAGAUGUUUAUCUUCAUCAUCUUACCCAUGGUUCCAGCAAAGAAUAUUCUAUCUAUUGCAUAUUUGUCUAGGUGUUAGCCAUUUACUUCUGCCUUUUGCAUAUCAUCUUUUUUUUCCUUAUAAUUCUUUGUAUUUUUUGCUCAGGUCAUCGAACAACAACGUUUUGCUAACUGUUAAAAGUCAGUAAGAGAAACCAAUUUCUUUCCAUUACUUUUUGCUGAUCACUCAAAGUUGCGAAGCCGAACCAGUUCUUUGCGCCGGUAACUGGUAUGCACACGACUCUUACCCAUAACUCUUCCAUGAUACGUUUGCUUUUUCUGCCCAGUUCCGUUCUUAAGAAUCAUGCGAACGUCUUUUACUUAUUAUUUUUUUGCUAUGCAUGUAAUCAUUAUCUAAUGUAUAUAAUGUUUUGGUAACUUACACGUGAAAACGAUAUAAUCAUCCUUCUGUUUCAUAUUUUUUAUUAUCCAGUUAUAGCAACUAUUAUUUUUAUUCAUUUUAUAGCUUUCCUAUAGUUUGUUUGUGACCAUGCCGCGAAAAUGAAAAUAUACUUCGUAUGAAGAAAUGUGUCUACACAAGAAUCAUCGUCGUAGGGAAGCUAAGGCGUCUAUGCUUGACCCAAUGGUUCACACUAAAAAUCCAGCUAAACUUGAAAGCAACAAUAUUGUAUCCUCGACUCCAGUAUCUCUACUUUCUGAGAAUCAACUGUCUGAUGCUUCAGAAAACAUAAGCCUAUCGCUUCCUAUGCUAUCCGAACAUGUCCUCAAAACAUCUGACAUACCUUCAGCAAGUAAGACACUUCGUUUAGUCGUCCAUAUAUACUCCAUCUAACAAAGCAUUCAGUACACCAAUUUUCUUUAAAAAAUAUAUAUUGAUGUCUUGUCUAAGAAUCUUUGUCCAUCAAUAAUGCAGCCUGUUCAUCUUCUAACAACCAUGUCUGCUGUGAUGUUAUAAAUGGACCGACUAAUGGAGGUAUUUAUACCUUUAUCACUGCUAUAACUUCUCCCACUAUUGAAUAUUUGUUUCGUGCAAAUUUUCCUAAAUACAUUCGUCCAUCUUUUACAUUUUACAUCCAGUUCAACAACAAAUAGUCUUUCCUAGCUCUCAAAUGACCAGCAACAUGCCAAAACAAAAUGCUGGUAUAUAUGAAAACUCUAUCUAUUGCCUAAGAUACUCAAUAAAUGUAUCUAUAUCUACAACAUGUAAUUGAACAGUCUCCCAUUCUUAGGUCAUCAGCAAAAGGUCAAAAAAAAAAAACAAUGGAUUGAUAGGAUUCCUACUCAACCCUCUGUUUUACCUGUUGUCCAAGAUUGUGUUUUUUGUGGUGCUAAACGUUUCUACCAUGAGCCACCUGGUUUUUGCUGUGCUUCCGGUGAAAUUCGAUUAGUUGAGACAGAGAUGCCAGCUCAGUUAGCAAAACUGUACACUGCUAAUACUCCUGAAGCAAUCGAAUUUCACCAAUGUAUUAGAAGCUAUAACAAUAUGUUCGCAUUCACGUCUCUGGGAGUUCAUUCUGAUAAAGAGUUGAAUAAGAGAGACAGAGGAAUCUAUGCAUUCAGAGUACAGUGCCAAAUGUACCAUUUUCUCAAUCCCCUGGUUCCAAUGGACGGCCACAAACCAUCAAAUGUAUAGUUAUACUAUUUUGAUACUGAGCAUGAAAUUGCGAAUCAGAUGGCCAUUUCUAAUAAAUUUCAAGAAACUAUUCUAGAAUAGCUGCAGCAAAUUCUGGAUCACAAUCCAUACGCAGCAUUUUUUCGCAGUUUAAGAAGCUUUGAAGACAUUUAUAACCAUAAAGUUUUCUUAAACUUGCACCCUUCUCUAGACCAGUGUGUGUAUAAUACUCCAACAGUCUCUCAAGUGGCUGCCAUAUGGACAGAAAAUGACCUUAAUAUAGAAGAUUCCUCUCAGCAUAUACAGGUCUAUCCAAGGAGUGGUAGACCACAAAUCAUUAAACACUAUUUUGGAUGUUAUGACACGUUACAGUAUCCCUUAAUUUUUGCAAGAGGUGAGACUGGAUGGCAUGAAGGUAUACAAAGAAUUUUUAAAAAUCAACAGUCUGUACAAGAUUCCAUGACAUGUCAGGGCCAUGAUAUCCAUAUAGGCCAUUAUUCUUCUGCAGAGGAAAUAAUUUCAGCUGAGAAUGCAGGUAAUUAAUAAAAUAUGAUAUGUCUUAUGUAUAGUCCUUACUACUAUCUUUUUCUCAUCCACAUAGUCUAUCAUACCUUUUGCCAACUUCAUUGUCUUGCACCAAUUUUGCAGAAAAAAAGGAGCACUGUCUCUUGUCGUGACUACUAUUGCUACAAGUUUCAAAUGCGCCAAAUUGACAAAUCCUUAAUACUGCACUGUGGGAGACUCUUCCAGCAAUUCUGUAUCGAUACAUAUGUCAAGAUAGAAUUAGCAAGCUGGGUUUUAAUCGAAAUAGGCAACGACAGAUCAGAACAGAUGUUUACUAAGGAAUUUUAGACAGCAUUUCAAAUGGAGAAACCUCUAUAUCAAACGUUGGUAAACGAAUAUAUUUGCCUGCUUCUUUUAUUGGAGGUCCUCGAGAUAUGAAACUAAGAUACAUGGAUGCCAUGACGCUGGUUCAAAAGUAUGGAAAACCUGACAUAUUCUUAACAAUGACCUGUAAUCCAGCUUGGCCUGAGAUCAAGAAGCAUCUGUCUGAUGGCGAAGAAGCACACAACAGACCUGAUGUAACAUCAAGAGUAUUUCGUGCCAAACUAGAGAUGCUCAAAAAUGAUAUUAUCAAAAAAGGGCUUUUUGGCAAAGUAGCAGAUACAUGUAUGUUAUAGAAUUCCAGAAAAGAGGCCUCCCACACGCACAUUUUUUGAUAAUCCUUGCAAAUAGAUGCAAAUUAAACUCACCUGAAGCUUAUGAUCGAGUUACAUCUACAGAAUUACCGGAUCCAGAUCCUUUCCCUUACCUCCAUUCUGUUAUGGUUGCUCAUAUAUUGCAUGGACCAUGUGGAACAGCUAAUAAAAACAGCCCAUGUAUGAAGCAAAAUGGAAAAUGCAGAUUUGCCUAUCCAAAGGAGUUUGCUGAAUUCACGAGACAUAAUAAGGAUUCGUAUCCUCUUUACAUGCGCCGUCAUGAUGGAAACACUGUCACAGCUCGUCACUUCCAGAUUGACAAUCGUUGGGUUGUUCCCUACAAUCCAUACUUACUUGCCAAGUAUGAUUACCACAACAAUGUUGAAGUUUGUUCCACAAUUGAAGCUGUUAAAUAUAUUUACAAAUAUAUCUACAAAGGACACUCAAAGAUCCUGUAUCAGCUCAAUGCAGCAGAGAAUGAUGGAGCAAUUGACGAAAUAAAAAACUUUCAAUCUGGACGUUGGAUAUGUGCACCAGAAGCAACAUGGCGAAUAUUUGUUUUCGACCUCAGUAACUUGAAUCCAUCUGUCAUGGCACUACAGAUACAUUUAGAAGGAGAACAGUCAAUGGUUUUCAAUGAGGAUGAUAUUCUGGAGAGACUUGCAGUGGAUGAACGAAUGUCACGAACUAUGCUAACAGAAUUUUUUCGGAUGAACAGUUUAGAUGCACGUGCACAAGCCUUAAAAUGUCUUUAUAAAGAAUUUUCUCAGCAUUUUGUAUGGAAUGCAACUCACAAAAUAUGGGAACCGAGACAAAAAAGAAGCACAAUUGGAAGACUAACUGCAGUGCAUCCAACUCAAGGUAAAAAGUACUACUUACGGAUGUUACUAAUGCAUGUCAAAUGGCCUAUGUCUUAUGAAAGUCUAAAACACAUUGGUUCAAGAACAGCUUCAACUUUCAGAGAAGCUGCAGAAAUUCUAGGCUUAUUAAAGACUGAUGAUAGGGCAGAACAAUGUUUACUUGAAGCUGUAUCAUUCCAGAUGCCUUCUACUCUCCGUCACUUGUUCGCUCUCAUUAUGGUCCAUGUACUACCUCCUAAUCCAAUGUUGCUAUGGCAGAAAUUUGAACCAUACCUGUCUGAAAAUAUUUCUAGAGACAAGUCUUUAUCACCUGAGCAGACAAAACUAAAAGUUCUCCAGCUUAUUGACUCUCACCUGCAAUAUAUGGGCAAACAUCUUGCUGAUUUCAACAUAGCUGUCCCUGACACUGAUGCCUUUUCCAUUCAAAGAGACACACAAGAAAUAGGGGCCGAGCUCGACAUCAAAGUUUUUGCUGAAGACAUAGCAUCAGUUGCUCUUCUUAAUGAUCAUCAACAAUCUGCUUAUAAUAAAAUCAUCAAUAGAAUUGACAACAACAUAGCAGGAGCUUUUUUUAUAGAUGGGUCAGGAGGAACAGGCAAAACAUUCUUAUCAAAGACUUUAUUAACAACUGUGAGGUCUAAAGGCCAAAUUGCAUUAGCCACAGCAUCAUGCGGCGUUGCUGCUUCCAUUCUUCCAGGAAGACGUACAGCUCACUCUCGAUUUAAGAUUCCAAUUCAUGAGGACAAUGACAGUGGCUGUAAUGUUAACAAACAAAGUAGCAGUGCAAGAUUGAUCAAGCAAGCCAAACUCAUCAUCUGGGACGAAGCAACAAUGGCCAAAAAAUAUGCUAUUGAGUGCUUUGAGAAGCUACUAAGGGAUAUAAUGAACUCAGAUACAGUAUUUGGUGGCAAGGUUAUCGUAUUUGGUGGUGACUUCCGCCAGACAUUACCUAUUGUCAUCAAAGGGUACAAAGAAGAUUACAUUUCUGCCAGCUUGGUAAAAUCUUAUGUUUGAAACCAUCUUGAAAAACUCCGCCUGGUUGAAAACAUGCAUGCACAUUUAGAUAAACCAUUUUCAGAUUUUCUUUUGAGUCUUGGUAAUGGAACUUUGCCUUGCUUUGAUGACUCCAGAAUAACAUUGCGACACUAUCUUACAAUACCUUUUGUUGAUGAUCAAUCUUCACUUUCUGUUCUAAUCACCAGUGUCUUUCCUGACCUCAUAGCAUUUGGUACACACUCAUUGCAUAUACUUAACAGAGCUAUACUAACUACUAAAAAUGAAUUUGUGCACGAGAUAAACAACCUCCUGAUCACAAAGUUUCCUGGUACAGAACACAAAUAUGUAAGUUAUGAUGAAACUAUAGACCAAUCCAAACAAGCAGAACACAAGGACUUUUUACAUUCAUUAGAACCUCCAAGCCUGCCACCACAUGAACUCAUUCUAAAAGUCAAUAGUCCUAUUGUAUUACUUAGAAACUUGAACCCAAAAGAAGGUUUAUGUUACGGAACACGACUAAUUUGUCUUGGUUUUGCUCCCAAUGUUAUCCAUGCACUCAUUGCUGUCAGAAAUCAUAUUGAAAAACAAGUCUUUAUCCCAAAAAUCUCAUUACAAUGUUCUGACAGUAACAUUUACAUAGUACCCUUCAAGAAAACACAACUUUCAGUUAGACUUUGUUUUGCCAUGACUAUUAAUAAAGCACAAGGACAAACACUCGACUUCGUCGGCUUGUACUUAAAGGAGCCAGUAUUUGGUCAUGGUCAGUUGUAUGUUGCUUUAUCUAGAGCUAAAACAGCAAAUGAUGUUAGAGUUUUAGUUAAGCCCUCUCCAGAUGAGCAGACUGACAUAGUUUCUACAAGAAAUAUAGUAUACAAUGAAGUCCUAUCAAUUGCUGGUGUUAUCUAAGCACUGUCUCUCUUUAGCUUCUAUCAUUAACAUCUAACUUCAGCUUUAUUCACUUGCUCCUUAUAAUACACAAAUAUGAUUAUCCUCUCUUAAAUUAUGUGUUUUAUAUUAACAUUUUAGAUCCCAUUUCAUUCACAGUAGCAUUUUCUUUUCUCAAUAAUAUUGUUACUGCCACGCUCUUCCUUGUAGUCAUGGAUAGCAGAUGUAUUUUAAUAAUAGACUUCCAGGAGAAACAGCGCCAAUGGUUUGCCAAACUUUAUGUAAUAGAGGUGACAAGAAUCUUUGACCCAACUCCAAGAACAAAGGCAUACCGAUGGCUCUUAUUUGCAGAUGAUCAGGUACAUAUAUAUCUAUAACAUAUACAAUAAACCAAUACUUAACUUUCCUAUAACUUAUACAACAACAUUAUGUUCCAUUAUCUAUCUAUAAUCCUGUAACCUACAAUUUAUAUUUCACAGAAUGACACGGUUCAGGGCAUCAUUUAUCAACAAUACCUGGCUUUCAUUGGCGAAAUAUUCAAGCACCAGGCAUCAUACUACUUCGGUGGUGCAUAUAUUAGCAAAAUUCAAGAUUCCCGCCACCAAAUGGGUACAACACCUCUUCAGCUAACCUUUGACAAAAGGUCCUUCAUACAACCAGUUGCAAGUCCUUUACCAAUGUCAUUGCCAAUGUAUUUUUCACUCACUUCAUUCUGGGACCUAGACCAAUAUCAAGGCAAAGAUAACCAAAGACUCAGUACACAACACACUCCUCCUUAAAUUUAUUUUAUAUAAAUCAUUAGUUUAUGUCAUGUUUCCACUUUUAUUAAUACUAACCAUUCAACAGAUAUCAUGUGUAUUGUCAUUCAAGCAUUACCUCAAAGAAUGAUUGGUGGAGCCAAGCCAUCAGUUAUCCAAGAGUUCAUUGUUGUCAAUGAAGAGUAAGCAAAACGAGAUUUUGUACACUUUAUCUUACCUAUUCAUCAAUAGCAAAUGAUUUAAACUUUCAUUGUAUUUCUCUAACUUUCAUAGACAGCAUCCACUUAUCCUCACACUCUGGGAACCUUUUGUUGAUAAUGAAGGAGCUCAACUUCUUCAAAUUGCACAUACCUACCCAAUUGUUGUCAUUCUCAGACCUAUAGUAACCACCUUUUAUGGUAUAUUUUGUAGAACAGAACCAUUUCUAUCUAUAUUACAAAGCCUACAAACCAAAAAUUCUAACACAGCUUUGAUAUUGUUACAGGUAUCUCUCUGAGGACCAAAGGAAGUACAAAUAUACUCCUUGAUCCUUCAUUUCCACAGAUCACUUGGCAGGAUGGUAUGCACGCUUUCACAUUCAAACUUGCUUCUCUAUUACUUACAUUUCUAUAUAACCAUGACUCAAUAAUACAAAUCAGUAAAUACACUGCUAUUAUUACCACUGCUUGCUACAGGAUUGAAGAAAACAAGAACUACAUUGACAAUAUAAAAGCACAAAAACUAUACGAAAAAGCAAACCAAAAGAUCAAGCCACCGCCUGAAAAAGAUAUUUGACAGAUCUCACAAAUUCUUGGUGCAUACAUUCUGGUAAGCUAAUACACUAACUUAACUCCAGACAUCAAGUUUGCUUUAUAUUUAAAUGGUACCAUUAUAGAUAUGUAUCAAACUCAUUUUAAAUUAUAUAUGACCAGCCAAAAGAUUUCUGGAUAAAAGGAACAAUCCAGAUUACAAAUUCUCGGCAACACUUCUAUAUUGCUAGCUGUGCCGACUGUGGUUGCACCACCAAUGCACCUAUGGAAUUUGAAUUCUCAUGCCACAAUUGUAACAAGAGUCAAACAAAACCUAUCCCCAAGUAAGUCAUUAUCCCAUUCAUAGCAAAAAAGACCUCUUAUUUAUCAUAUUAACAUAUAUAUAUAUAUAUAUAUAUCUACAUCUAUAUAUACAUAUAUCUAUCUAUCCGUCUAAAAAUGUUUCUGUAAACACACAAAUCUACAAUUAUCCAUUUUCAUAUAUUAACAUAUCAUUUUCCUAUUAUACAUCUCCGUCUACAUUAGUAUAUUACUUCUCAUCCCUAACACACUCGAAAAUUCUCUUACAUAGGGCCAGACUAUUUGUCCAAAUAUCUGAUGAUUCAGCUCAUUUGGAUGCAUUUGUCCAAAACAAUUACGCUGAGAACAUAAUUGGGCUCACAGCAAGACAAAUCUAUGACCAAAUAUCAUCUGUGAGAAUCACUAAGUUACACAAGCAAAUUUUUACAGUACUUCAGAAAUAUAUACAAUAAUCCAAAAAACUCUCUUUUCUUAUUCUCCUCAACAGGGACAAGCAAUUCCAAUUCAAAUAAUCAAUGAUAGACUUUUUUCAGAACCUGUCUACUGCCAAAUAAGGACCAGCUCCAACCGUUCCACUCCACAGGGAUUGCCAAGCUUCUUCCUCUCCUCAUAUGCUGCUGUCUCCCAACAACCUCUCGCUGCAAUUGAAGCUAACCCACAUGAAGAAUCAUCCAUCGGCAUUGUCACAAGUCCAUCCAUCACAUAUUUGACAUCUGAAAAACAAUCUGCUUAAACUCCAAGCAACAAGACAGAACCAACACCAACUUCAGAGCUGAGAGAUUCUGAAAUCACUACCACAGACACCACAUGCACACCAACAUCUUCUGCUAAACGCAAGCUACAACUGGAACCUAAAAAAGAUAGCAAACAGCCAAAACAAGGUUAACAAUGUAAUGCCAUCUAAAAAAUAGCUCUUUUGAACCAACGUUGCAUAAUCUCUGUUAAUACCUUUAGACCAUAUCUUUUGGUACAAUCUGUUCCAGCUCUUUUGUAUCUCUAACUGCAACUUUUCUAAGCAUCGUUAAGAAUCUAAUGUCGUAUAAAAAUGACUCCUUUAAACCAACAGUGCACAAUCUCUGUUAAUACCACAGCAUAUCUUUUGGUACAAUAUGUUCUAGAUUUCUUCACCUCUCUGCCUACAAGUUCUGCGAACAUAUAUAGAUCCAUGACCUAUUAUACCAACAGCUCUGUCUAUUCACCUAUUAUAGGUGAAUACAUAUCUGAAUUUUGUAGUUAUUCAAGUAUAAUGACAGUGGUACCAAGGAUAUAUUCUUUCUACGUUGGUGUUUUUUAAUAUCAAAGCUGUAUAUUCAGCUUUUGCAGUGGCAAGAAAUACAAUAGUGUGGCUUGGUUUGAUAUCAUGUUCCUCGGUAAAGACAUUCCAGUUGUCUGUGAUAUAUUUCCCUUCUAUGGUCAUUGAAAUUGUUUUGCAGCCUGUAGUGAGCUUAAGAACUGGUGUCCGUUCUGGAUUUAUUCCUUGUCUCAAGAGUUUGGGGAUUUUUUGCAAAAAAAUUGGGAAAUAGUCUUAAUGUAUAUGAUGUGUUUUAUGUUGUGAAAGAUUCUAUAUUAUGAAUGUAGUAAAAAAUGGCAAAGUUACCAAUUGAAGUCUGUCGUUGGUGGAGUAUACAUGGUAAAAAGCUAUGUUUUUUGUCAAUAUUUUGGUGAAAGUUUGGGCUUAAUGAUGAGAAAUAGGUUCUAUGUAGUGCUCGACGUUCAGCUGGGUCUGAAAUGGAUGGAUGGAUAAAAUUGUUAGCAAACAUUUAAUUAUGAAAACAGUUCAUAGUUUUAUAGACAAAGAUGGUCUUACCUCCGUUCACAGGAGAUGGAUUCGUGUUUGUUGUUGAGAAAGGAGUUGUCCAUGGUAAAUAAUCUUGGAAUUGGUGUUCAUUAAAUAUUAUUGUGUCAAAAAUGUUUUGUCUAUCAAAUAAAAAUAAAAUUAGAUAAUAGUUUUGUAUAUUAUUAUCCAUUAGAUAUGCUUUCCACCCAACUGUAAAAUCUCAUCCCUGUAGUUGGAUUUGCCAUUCCCUAUGUCCAUGCUUCAGAAAUAUUGUUGUUUGAAUUUGUUGUUGACUGGCGUUAAAGAACGACGUUGGAAUUUUCUGUAAAUAUCAUAAAGUCAUAUACUUAUGUCAAACAUUUCUCACAAAAAAAAUUAUGAAUAUGGGUUGAAUGAGUACCGUAUUCAACGUGCUGUUCUGCCGUAUUACAAAGCAUAAUUUUAGAGCUGGGUCUUGAAUCUGAUGUCUUGUCGACGAAGCGGUAUCUGUGGAUGAUCAGGUUUUCAGUAAGUAUAAUAGAAUUUUUUCUAUUUAGUGUAGUCUUAUAUAUAGAUUGUUAUUGAAAGAGUAAGAACUUAGACAAGAACAUACCUGAUAGAAUGGCGUCCAUACUACCGUAGGAAAACUUUGAUGAACGAACAAUGUAAGGGUUAAAGCUCGUUUUAUAGUUGUACUUCCUCAUUUUUUUGGCAUAUUUGUUUUCAAUAUUUUUGAAUAGUAAAAUGACCUUCUCAUCAAUAUUUUAGUUGUUCUCUUUGGGAAUUUGUUCAUAUAUAUUUGAUAUUUUGUCUAUUGAAUAUUUUUAUUGUUAUUUCUUUGAUUUUUGUCACUAUAUUACAAAUGAUGCAAUCAUCAACGGUACAUAUGGCACAUAAUGCACAGCUACAUAUAAUUGCUUUUUUCUGCUUAGAAAUGAAAUAAUUGAGUUACUGGUGUGAUGUUUUGUUUGAUAUGGUACUUAGUCAUUGGUCACGUGAAUAUCUAUCAUGUUGUUUUUGAAUAUAUAUACACUAUUUCUUCUUUAUCUUUUCUAUUAGGUAUACCAUGUUUUUGUUUCUUGCUUCUUGUCUCUACAUAUUCGUUCUUAUCUAUAUAUUACCUGGGUAUAUAUAUAAUGUUUAAUUUAUUUCUUGAUUUUUGUUGAUUUAAUUAUACACUUACUGAGCAAUUAUCGACUAAAUGAUUACAAAUUUACUAAUUAAAUUGUUUAAUGGUCAAUUACUAACAAAAAAUAGUUUGAUAGCCAAAAUAUAAUCUGAUCAAUAGUUUAGUGGCCACUAAGAUUUUGUACCUUAAUAUUUAUUUAUUUGUAAAUAACUAACGAUCAAUAUGUACAGUGAUUUAAUAGUAUGGUCUUUGAUUGAUUUCUUGCAGCUUUCUGUAAGCCAUUUGUUUUCAUCCUUUGUUUGUUAAACACCCCCAACACAUAACAAAAUUUACCACUCCCAACAGCCCCAUCACACAAUAAAAUCCAACACCCCCAACACAGGCUAGCGCAGGGCCCAAAAACUAGUGUGUGUGUGUGUAUAUAUAUAUAUAUAUAUACAUGCAUAGAAUCAGAAACUUUGGAAACCCGGGCCCCUUUUCUUGUGGAUAAAACAUAAAGGACCAUUAUAUGCCACUUAUUAGAGACAAAAACUGCACUGCAUUUCGCCCAUACUGCAUUGGUUCUUAGAAAAGUUACUUCUGUGACCUGUUUUAACUCUUCCUCUCAACUUUAGGUUAGGGUCCUCUAAUAUAAAAAUGAGGGAAGGGGUUGUGGCAGCUUCGAAAUUCUCAAAUAUGUGGGCAGUAGUAAUGGAAUGACAAUAUUUCAAAAGAAAGAAAUCAAUGUCAAUCAGCAUCAUACAUCAUAAAGUAGCAUCACUAUUUAUAGAAAUACAUAUAAUAAUUCACAAGCCAACGAGACCCGCGAGAGGAAUUGUUUAUGCCAUCAUGAACCACGACCAAAACAAGAGCGUCACACAAAAAUCUUUAAAAUAAACCCAAAAAAAAUUUUGGCAAAAAUCUACAGAAUUUUGCCCUCCCAAUCUAAAAUCUUGCUAAAAACAGACGUUAAGAAGGGUCUGUUUGUUUUUGAUGGAAAACAUCUUCCGAGAAAGUAAUUGCCUUAAUUUCCAGGGUUUGGUUCCAUUUUAACCCGGGGGAAGUCACUUCCCUUGUAAAAUAUAUAUUUUACUUCGGCGGAUGUAAAACGACUUCAAUCAUAAGCUUAUUGAAGUUAUUUUCCAGCCACCACCCCCUCUCUUUGGCCCUUGUUUGCUACCUCUAUCUUGUCCCCAGCACAUUACGCAUUAGUUGUCUCCUCCACAGCUCUAUUCAACCCGCAUUCUUCUUCCCUUGCACAUUAGCCUGCAUCAUCAUGAGCCAAAGUCAUGGAAGACUAGUGCAAAGGAAUUAGGUCUAUAGAAACAACGUGGAUUGGACAAAAAGAGAAGAUUUCUAGUAGAAAAGAGAGAAUACAACUCUAAAACUUUUACAAACGGGUACAGAUGUUUUCAAAUUGAUUAUACAUGAGAGAGCUUGACAGUUUCGCUGAUCAAAUAGAAUUUCCAUCUUUUGCUUUGACAAUAGGAAUCAAUGAUGAAAUCUAUUAGGUCUUUAUGAACAAAUUUUGGCUAUAAAACUAUUCUUGUAACACCUGCUUUUUAUGUUCUUGCUAUUAUUUACCUUGGAUCACAUUUCAUUUGACGGUGGAAAUGGUGUUUGAGGUGGUGGAAGAGGUUUUUGUGGUGGUUGUGAUGCAUUGAUAGCAGGCACUGAAGAGUAGUGUAGUGGUCAUAUAUUGUAAUGGCUAUAUUACUACUGAAAAUUUAUUUUCAAAACAGUGACCAAACACAAGAAAAUUAGGAGAAAAACAAAAUAUUUUCUGAAAAUGACUUCUACUGAAAUUAUUUUCCCAAAGAAAACCUUUUUAUGUCGAAUCAAACAGACCCGAAUUUGUUUUCCUGUCUAAUCGGCAUAAAAGCUGCCCGUUUUACUUGUUGAAGGGCAGAACCAAUGAUGGAGCCAAGGGGGGCAGAGGGGGGCCACGGCCCCCCAUAAGUUUUGAAAAUUUUAAUUCAUAAGAUGUAAAUAUAUCUAUAAGACAAAGUUGGCCCCCCCUAAUUUUUUACAAUUUUAGUUUAUAUUAUGAGAGUUUAUAUAUAUAUAUAUAUAUAUAUAUAUCUGUGUGUGUGUGUAUAUGAAUUAGCCAACUUUGAUUUAAUUUUUUCUUCAAAAAAGUUAUUUAUUUUUUUAUUGUGCUAAUUAUUUAACAUUCAAAAAAUUAAACAUAUAAUUUGAUAAUUCAUAGUAAAUUAGCCCAAUUUGAUAUAUUAUAAUAAAAGACUCAAUUCAUAAUUAUCAAUGGGUUAAAACAAAAAUAAUUACUUUAUUGGUUCAUAUACAAAUAUACAACUUAGCCUAAUUGAUAAAAAAUUUAAAAUUAGUGAUCUAUACUCUUGUUGACCCAUAUACAAAUGUACAAAUAAUUACUUGAAGCCUUUGUGAAGACAAGAAAUUGAGUGAUCUAUCCUGUUGUCGACAGAUUGAUUAUAUUUGUUCUCACUCUUCCUAUAUCAACUGCAACUAUAGAACGGACAUUUUCAAUUAUGAAUAUAAUCAAAACGAAGAUCCAAAACAAGAUAAAAGAUAAUUUCUUGAAUGAUUAUCUACCAAUGUACAUAAAAAAAAGAAUUUGUUCAAAAAUUUAGUAUUGAUUCAAUUAUAGACGAAUUUAGUUCUAUGAAAGAACGUAAAACUCAAUUUACUUUUAAAAAAAGAGGUUGAAAUUCAAGGUAUGCUAACAUAAUUUUUAUCUUUUAUUAAUUGAAAAUAGUUAUAUUCAUAUUGCACAGUUAUAUUUUUGUUUUUGCACAAGUGACAUAUUGGAGCAUUUUCUCAUAAUGUACAAUUUGGGUAGUUUGUGAUCUUAUAAGAUAUUUAAUCAAAGGUUAUUUCUUAUCCUAAUUUUUGUUAUGACUAUGCUGCAUAUUUAUGAAAUAGACAUACUUUUAUAAUUAAAAUUAAUAUUUGAUAUAUUAAGAUGUUAUAUAUUUAAAUAGAUAAAAAUUAUUUUGAAUAUAACAUAUUAAGAUAAUUUUGUUCAGAAAAAUUUGCCGCCCCCCCCCCAAGGAAAAAAUAUUGGCUCCGUUCUAUAGUCUAUAGAAUGGACAUUUUCAAUUAUGAAGAUAAUCAAAACAAAACUCCAAAACAAGAUAAAGGAUAAUUUCUUGAAUGAUUGCCUAACAAUGUACAUAAAAAAAAGGAAGUUGUUUGAAAAUUUAACAUUGAUUCAGUUAUACAUGAAUUUAGUUCUAUAAAAGAACGUAAAUCUCAAUUUAUUUUUAAUAAAAGAGGAUGAAAUUUCAAGGUAUGCUAACAUAACUUUUAUCUUUUUUUAAUUGAAAAUAGUUAUAUUUAUAUUGCAUAGUUAUAUAUUUGUUUUUCCACAAGUGACAUAUUGGAGCAUCUUCUCAUAAUGUGCUACUUAGGUGGUUUGUGAUAUUAUAAGAUAUUUAAUCAAAGGUUAUUUCUUGUCUUAAUUUUAGUUAUGACUAUGUUACAUAUUUAUGAAAUAGACAUACCUUUAUAAUUAAAAUUAAUAUUUGAUAUUUUAAGAUGUCAUAUAUUUAAAUAAAUGAAAAUUAUUUUAAACAUAACAUAUUAAGGUAAUUUUGUGCGAAAAAUUUUCGGCCCCCCUAAGGAAAAAAUCCUGGCUCCGUCACUGGGUAGAACGAAAAUGUCAGGUUUAAUUCUUUCUCCAUUAUGGGGGAAAAGUAAAAGAAAGAAUGCAAGGGACAUUAAUUCUAUCAAAAUUUUGUAAAAAAAUUACUAAUUAAAAGAGAUCAAGUUAAAUCUGUCCCUAGAUCUAUGUACAAGAAGCUUACCUCAGCAUUAUAUAUUAGAUUAAUUUUUUCAAUAUUGAUAGUAUAAAUACAUUAUUUUACCAGUUGUUUAGAUGCAUGACACUUCAUUGCUUCUAAAUUGAAAUCUUACUUUAUAUAACACAAUGUAUAAAAAAAUAUGCAUAUCGUCGACGUAGGAAAAAUUAAUUCGCAAUUAUAAUGUUUGCUGCCAAAUUUCCAAUGAUGCUAAACGAGUAAUGAUAACAAUUAAGCUUCUCUAAACUUAAAGUCCCAGAUGGCAAAACUUUUUAGUAACUAUUCAAGUUUUUAUUAGAUUAUGUAAAACUGGCUAGAAUAAUCCUAACGUAUGCAACUACAAGGAAAUAGCACAAAGUCACCAAUAAAGGUAUUUAGCCUCGUUUCCAGCUUGCCACAAGUAUCCCUUUCCAACGGACAACUUUGUCCCCAACACCCGCAACAAUCUUCAACAAAAUACAACCUUUUCCGCAACUUUCCACACAUAAGUGGUCAAUGCUAAUCUUCCAAUCUGAUCUGCCCCACAAAAUUAUGUUCGACUUUCUUCUGAGCUCUAUUGUUUCACCAAUGCCAAUUCUGCAUACCAUUUGCAAGAACCUCACCAGAAACUUCUUGCCAAGAUGCCUUGGUAACAAACUGAGUGAGGAAACUUCUUACCAGUUUGGCACUUGAGUUUUUUGUCAAGUUUGUCUGCUACAAGUUUUUAAAAACUUUAGUUACAGUAAUCUCAAAAAAAUUGUCAAAAUUUUUAAACUAUACACUUGAAAAUAUUCAAAAACUAGUUUUGUACCCAUUCGUUGAACGGGAAUCGUCGAAAAAUAAUAAACUUUAGUCAAUUUAUAAAAAUAUCGAUAUAAAAUACAUAUUUAAUGUAUAAUCUAUUAUAACUUGUCUUAAGUAUAUUACUAUGUGCGCAUUAUAAUGUAAAGUAUUCUUAUAAUAUAAAUUUGAACAUCUAAUUUAGUGGAUAAUAAUUCAAAAAUAGAAAAAAAACAUUCAACAAUACCAUAACAUUCAAAAAACUUGAAAAUAAAUAAAUAGUGCAGUAAAUAGUAUCAAAUAAUAUUCUACUAUUCAAAAACUUGUUUUUAUUUUUUUCUGUUUGAACAUUCUCCUCGAUUUGUCAGUGCAAAUCAGCAUUUAUUUAUUUUCUAUUAUCACUGCAUGAUAGCAAAGUAGGAUAACUAAGUAUAAAAAAAAUAAAUGAUUUAUCGCAUUCAAGUUUGUAUAUAACAAUACGUAAAGAUUAUAAUUAAGUAAAUGGUCAGAGUCUUUUAAUUAACUAAUGAAUUUGCAGAUGUAUCUAAUAGAGAUAUUUAUGUCUCUUGUAUUUAUAUCGCAUUGCUUUCCAGUGCCUUUUGUUUUUGGUUGUUUUUCUUGAAGGCAAAUUAACAAAUAUCGUAGUAUAUGAUCACAAAAAUCAAUUAACAAACAUGUUAGAAAAAAUCCUACAAAAAUAAUGAUGAAAGUACUUGUUUAAAUCAUAUGUCUUCAUAUAAAACAAAUAGAAAAUAAAACAAAAAAAAAACAAAAUUCAAGAUAUGUUACUAAACUCUUACAAUUGAACAUGAAUUUGAUGCUUAAAAUCAAUAUAUUAGAGGCUAUAUGUAGUGUAGACAUAGGAAAUAAGAAUUGAUAAGAAUACAACGAGAUAUUGAUAAGAACAUUAAAAGUAUAUUUAUCUUAAUUUAAGUUACUUAAAGUACGUAACUUUAGGUAGGAAAUAAGAAUCCUAUAAUAUUAAAAAUUCUUAUAAAAAAUAAAACCAUAAUCGUCCAAAUAACUUUGGAUAGGAAAUAAGACCUUAUGUGACCUGUACUAUAUAUGUAUAUAAACCUGUACGUAAUAAAUUUACAAAUGCAUUAUCAAGAUAGAUUUUACCGACCUUAAAAGACCACCUCUACUAUAUCGAGUCCUUUAAGUGCAUGGACUUCUAUGAUGUGGGUCCACACACGAAAUACUCCCCACCAUCUCAGCAGAGAUGUAUUGUGAUUAAGGAAUUAUUAGUAGAAAUAUAUUAAAAAAAAGACGGGCAGAGGACACUACGGACAGAGACCUUUCUCUUGGAUUGGAGGACACUACGGACGGAGAAUCGAGUAGGGGCCUUCGGGGUGCAAAACUUCAACAAAUAUCUAAUGUUUUAUCUCAUCUUUCUUUAGCUAUGAUAAUGGGAUUUUAUUUCUUUGGUUGAUGACACUCCAUUUUCUUUAUGGACUUUUUUAGAAUUUUUCAAUCAGAUGAAGUGCCAUUUCUCUUUGUACAUCAAUUAUGCAUGGGGACUGUGAGUCUUGUAAAAACUUUCUCGGGCUAACUUUCUUUAAUUUUCAUGUCUAGAUUGUCUAUAUGUUGUUCUAUAUAUGGGUAGAUUAUCUUAAAAUAAAAAGAAUCUAUGAUGAAGCUAUUAAAAAAAAAGAAUAGGACACUAUAAAAAAAUAUAUUAUCAUUUAUUCCUAUAUAUCUAAUAGAGGAGAUUUAUGUCUCUUUUAUUUAUAUCGCAUUACUUUCCAGUUCCUUUUUUGGGUAGGAAAUAAGAAUCAUAGAAUAUUAAGAAUUUUUAUAGGAAAUAAGAAUUGAUAUAUAUCCAAACAAAAAAAGAGCAAGUCACGUAGGAAACUACUUGCCGUCUCGUUAAGUCACAUAGGAAAGACAAAAUAUAAAGGGAUAAGUAUGAGGAUACAACUUUAUUAUAUAUAUAUAUAUAUAUAUGAUUUACACACUUCAAAAAUUUUUUAAAAACCUUUUACAUUAAGUUACAGUAACACCCAAAAAACUACUUGUCAAAUGGGGCCACAAUCAAACUAAUUAAACUCGCUACCAGAAUUCACCCAAGGAAUUAAGCCAAGGCUUAAGAGUAAAGAGCAAGAAAAUUUUAUUCUUCUCAAGGAAGCCAAAAGCCGCACUUGUGUAUCGAGAUGAAAAUCGACUUUGAAAAUUACAGAGAGAUCAGAUUAAAAGAUGAAAAUGAACUUUCAAGGUAGCUUUGGAAUAGGGCUGCAAACGAGCCGAAUCAAGUCAAGUUUUGACCUUUUCGAGUCGAGUCUUGACUUAAUUUCAUCGAACUCGAACUCGAGCUCGAGUUCAAGCUCGAAAAAAAUAAAAAAUAAUUAUUUUAUUUUUUAAUUAAUAAAUAAAAUAAUAUUUUUUCUUAAUAAAUAAUAAAAUAUUAAGGAUAUUUAUGUAAUUUUACUAUUAAAAAAAUUUAAAAUAUAUAUAUAUAUAUAUAUAUACUCGAGCUCACGAGCCUAACGAGUUUAAUGUUUUGAACUCAAACUCGAGGUCGACUUUGGCUCGACCAACUCGAGCUCGACUCGAGCUUGAAUCAAGCCACUCGCGAGCGUUUGCACCCCUACUUUGGAACUACCCUCCAGCAGUAGGCGUUUUCUAGGCACUAAUAUCAUAAUUUAGAUGAUGAAAUUAAAGUGGCUUUAUUCCUUGACCAAAAGUACAUAUAUUAGUGAAUACUCCGUAUAGCUAUUGGAUAUUUCAGAGAAGUUGAACCAUUACAAGUUGAGGAAAUUAGCUAUAACUUGGUAUAUGGAGGUGAGAAUUGAGAACCGUUUGUUGCACAUGGAAAUCAUACCAUAAAAUUCCCAAACCAUAUAAAAAUCUCACCCUAGCUCCUUCCGCAUCAAAGUUGUUUAAAAAAAGAGUUGGUUAUGAUGGUGCUAAUCAGCUUUGCCUUGGAAUUUAUUUUAAGUUUGGAACUAAACUAAUUGACCCCCCAAAGUGAGAUGCGCAUAGCAUAAUUUAUAAGCCUAUAGUAUGUUAUCAUACUCUUUAGUAAAGCUCAAAUGUUUAGAUGAAGUUUCAUCGCGUUUAAUUUCACCGUUUGAUUUUCUUCUUCCUGUGGUACAAAUGCAGCAUGCAUUAGAGGCCAAGUUAUUUUCUGCUCAUCAUCCUUGAGGUACCAAGUUUAGUUACAUAUUUUUCGCACAUGAUGAUUGAAGUUGAACUUUUUUAGUGUAUCAUCUCUUUAUUCUAAUGGGAACAGGAAAAGGAUGAGGUACGAGCGACGAGAGUUGAAUUCUCAAAGCAAUUAAAGUUGAACUGUGAAAAGAAAAAUAAGGUACUGGUAGUCCAGGGCAUUUUCAGAUCAAUGGGCCCUAGGAAUGAAGAAUAAUCAUUAUUAAAGAAAACAUAUACAACGAGCACCAUAUAUUAUGCAAAAUUAGUACAUAUUGAGCCAACGAGCCCCACGAGAGGCAUUAUUACCAAUAACGUCACUCCAAAAGAAAAUGAAAUAAGAUAAAAUAUAGGGAUUUUGCACUCGCAAACUGCAGUCUUAAUACAUAAUGUUUAUUGGGAUCUUUUACUUAAGACUAAGCGGCAUGCUUGCCUUGUUGGAGGACAGAUCGAAGAGUAUCGACCAGUUCUUUUGUUGUCAGGUUGACUUCUUUCUCCGCCUGGAAAAGAUUACCACGAGGGAUCAUUAAAUAGUAGAAAAAUCUAUAAGAAGAAAAUUGAUUAAAAAGAUAUCGAACUUUAAAUUCGUUCCUAGACCUAUAUAUAAGAAGCUCACCUCUGCGAUAAUUGUAAUGUCAAGAGCAAAAUUCCCAAAUGGGGAAACACAAGUAUUCAGUACAGCAAGAUUGAGCUUGUCUAUCUGAGAGAGAAUUUUGAUGAGCACCCCUUUAUAAUUUUUGCAAUGUAUUCUUAGAAGAACAUUCUUGUCGCACACUUUAGCUUCAAAUUCAGGCAGUGGCUGCUCAUUCGGGCCAGCCACCUCAUCUGAAGAUCCUUCAUCUUCAAGUAAGAGUUGUGAUCUCUUCACAAGCACCACAGACUCCAUGGUUUGCCUAGCAGCUUUCUCCUCCAGUGUCUUUACUCUCUCCUGAAGAUGUUUUAGGUACUCGAUGGCAUCUCCAAGAAUAGAACUUUUAUCCAUCUGCACCAUUAUAAGUUCUUCUCAGAAAAAACUUUGUCACGAUUUUGAUGUGUAAGUUAUGUAGUGAAAUGUCUAUGCAUGUGCGAAGUAAAGUCAGUGCGGUUAUCAUUGUCCGCUAUCUAUAAUGUUUUCUUGAUUCGGUAAAGAGCAGAGUGUCAAGUAGAAAGCUAAAUAUAGGCACGUAUUUGGCAUAUGAAUGAAGUUGUAGUCAAAUAAAAUUUCAUGGGGAUGCUAUUGUGGUAACCGUAAUUAGGCUGCAUGAACGUGACAAUGGCAUGAAAAAUAACUCUCUCUCAAACCUUAGUUAUGGAUGAGAAAAUAGAUGGUACUGCUCACCUUCUUGAGGCCAGGAACUAUGGCGGAAAGAGCCAUGAAUCUCUGGCUGAGCUGCUCGCGUCGCUUUCUUUCUGCUAUUAUGUGAUCAUAGGUUUGUGAUGGUGGCCUAACACGACCACCAGGUUUCUUUGCUUUUGUUUGGACGGUAGUUUUAGCAGCCUCAUCAAGUUUUGCAAAUGAACCAUGGGAUGUCAAAACCUCAGACACUGCAUCAUCCUCAGGGUUCAAGGUUCCUAGAGUCACUUGAUGAGGAUUUAUUUCUGGCAUAUUUGGAUUCCCAAAAGUGAGAAUCAUUGGAGAAGAAGAAGCUUGACCAAAAUUUGGCAUGUUGUGGAUGUUCGACGAGUCGUAGCCAUUAUUAGUCUUGUGCUGUUUGGCUGGGGUUUCGAAACCAACAGGAUGAGCUUCCAUCACUGAAGGUUCACACAAUGCAGGAGUGGAGUUGCAGCUUGGAAAGAUAUUGGAGAAAGACGGAUUCCCUUCUGGAAAAGAAGAGUUUUGGAAGUCGUCGGCAGGCGCAGCAGAUAAUUCAUCGUUCAAGAAGUCCAUGAUAUUAAAGUCAUCAUUGGACAAUGGAUCCUCCAUUCCCUGUUAAUAAUAAGAUAAGGCAGCAUGUCAUGUAAGAAUCGUUUAUUCAAUAAAUGAAAGCUUCUUCCUCUGAUGUGAUCUAUACUUUGCGAAAGCCACAACUAGAAAUAAAAUAAAAGGAAAAGCAAAUGCAACAGAAUUAAACAGAAGACUCUGCAGUUCAUUUAACUGACAAUCGAUUCCGAUGGUUUUCAUAAAUUUUGUUUUCACAUGUUUUUGCCUAGUAAUGGUCAAGUUAAGCUUGGCUUGUCUUAGUUCAAACAAAAAAGAAGAUAAGCCAAAAUAUUGUGUCAGGUCUCUUUCAGCAAAAUUUGGUUUGCCUUUCUGAGAAUCCGUUGGGUUGGAAUCUAGUAUAACCAUUUUAAGCUUGACCAAAGAAUCUAUACGCUACACAACGAAUAAAGCAAUUUGCCAUCUAACAUCCACUCUAUAUUUCUAAGUUGAAAUUAAAGCUAUGCCAUUAUGCCAAAAUCAUACAAUAUCUUAUAUUUUUGGGGACAGCUGCCCUUUUCCUGCACCCUGAAGGUCCAUCUCUGCAUGUAUUUAUCUAUUUGUCGUGUAGUCUCUUUGCUCUUGGAUUCAAUAUUCUCCCUCAGUCAUACUAUGACCUUUCUACUACACUUCACCAUUCGUAGUAAACACGAACAGAAAUGACGACGAAAGAAAGAGGAGGAGAUAUAGUAAAUAUCUUCACAGGACUGAUAAUGGAGAAAGAAAUAUUACCCGAAUUCCGCCAUAUAUGUGUUAUUCAAACUAGGAAAAAAGUGCAAGCCAUUACUACCUAAACUGGUCGAUGUCCAACAUGAAAACUUAUCAAAGAUCAAGAAAGGGAAGACAUCAAUAGUAUUACUUCGCAUGAAUGAAAUCUGUUACCAGUUGAGAAAACCACGAGCUCGCUGAAUUAUCCAUCAACAAAGACUACUUGAAAAGAUGUCAAAUUUCUGCAAAAUGGCCAUUUACAGAAAACAAAAGGGCAGAACAUUUAGACAAGAGCAAACCCCAACCUAAGAUAAAGAAAUGUUGUCAGAAAAAAGAGCUCCUAGCAAGAUGAGGGAACCUCACCUCUUUCAAGUUUCAACACUCCUGCUGCUAAGGGCUUCUUAAUCAAGAAAAGAAGUUUUUGGCAUCUUAUAUAGAGGUGGUAAGUAAAGAACAAUUAUUGGAAGAAGGCAUAAAACCGGAGUUUUAUAUAAGCGCUUCAAAAACAGCCCUUCGCGCUCAAAUAUAAGGUUGGAGCCUCCUUCAGUGGAGUGCAGAGGGUAAAGAAUGGAGCGGAAACGCAUAACUCCUGCGUCGUAAACAAAUUGAACCCUUAAGGAACAGUUCGGAUUUGCAGCCAUCGAACAAGUGUUGACAACCGCAUCUGUCAAUAUUUUAUAUCAAUUAUGUAUUUAUUAUUUUAUUAUAUAGAUAUUAUAUGUAUAUUAGUGUAAAUUUAAUAUUGAAAUUGAAGAAUUAAAUAAAUUUUUGAACUCUCAAAUCGAGUUCUCACCCAUCAGAGUUUUAAAUCGAAUCGAACUCGAGUUUAGAUUUUGAACUCGUAUAGGAUUCAAGUUCAAAUUCAAAUUCGAAUCCAAAAUUUUAAAUUGAACUCAAACUAUGAAAAGUUCCAUUCAAUUCUAUUCAUUUACAGUCCUGACACCAACCAAUAUAUGAGCUACGUACAAUAUAUGCAUGUCACCUAUGAUUGAUUUUAGGGGGUAGUCCGCCCAUGUGCUAACUUUGCACCAUUGACGAGAUAAAUUAUUUGCUCGAUAUUGGGUUGGUAGUGGAAGAACUAUUCAAGGGAUAGAUGUUUAAAACUUUAAAAUUCUGGGGUGUUGGGACUUCUGUGAGUCGUCUGACCAGCCAUGCAAGAUAUAUGACCGUCCAGCUAUCUCAUUUUAGCUAGUAAGAUUAUUUAGAGUUUGCAUAAACAAGUUGGUAAGAUACUUGCAUUAACCCCAUGCUUCACAAGUAUUGAGUUCUUAUCCACAGGACCACCUAGCAAUGCAACUUUCUUGGAUUUGCAGUAUUUGUUUGUGCCUAAUUCAUAUAAGCUUCUUUCGGCAAUUCCUCAAACAGGGGAGUGCAUCUUCUCUCCCGCACCAUAUUCCCGACAACCCCUUACUAACUGUGCAAAAACUAUGAAUUAUAGUCAGGGACCAGCAUAAUGUUGCACUUUGAAGCUGGCUUACUUGGGAAGGGUUUAUGAACUGGAAUCUCAAUUUAAUGUUGACUUUUUGAAAGAAAAAAAAAAAAGUGAAGUUUGAUCUCAUAAGUUAAUUAAAACAAAGGAAACAAAUUUUUUAUUAACAAGUCCUCCAAAUUAUUCAAUUAGAGACUUAGUGUUUAGACUUUCCUUUCUUUCUUUCUUUUUUGAAGUUUUUCGCUUAUGUUACCAAGCAUCUAUGUAUGCCAUGUGAUUAUUCAACACCCCAAAUGAAAAAAGGGCAACUGUGGUUAAUCGAUUCAAGUAUGAAGAUAUGCGGAUAUGCAAUUUUCUGUGAAAAGUCAGAAAGGAAUUAAAAAGAAAUGUUUUGUUUCGCACUUAGCUGCAGUUGGGACAUAGCCUUUAAAGUUAAUCAAGGAAAAACACCACACCUACCUUAUUAUCGAUGCACAACCGCAUCAAUGGAUUUGCUGCCUUAGAUGGGAAAAUUUUAUUAAGGAUUUACCCAUAACUUUGUUUUCUUCGUUUUGCUUUCGAAGUUUUUGAUUUCUGUUACCAAGUAAUGAUUAACCGGCUCAAGUAAGGAGAAAAUGCAGACAUGGAAAGGCAAAUAUAGGGGACUUUUUUUUUUGACACAGAUUCAGGUGGGAUCCUAAUUUACUCAAUAAUUGAAGCAAAAACAUAACAGGCAUUAUCAUUAGAAUUAAUAUCCUUAUUAUUGAUACCCAACUAGCCAAUUAAUUCAUCAACAGAUUUGCUCUCCAAUAGAUUAAGAUAUGCUCUUCUUGUCGUGUCUUGACUCCAAACAUAAAUUCUACCUACUUCUCCAAUUUAGAUGAGUUUUUUUUUUUUUUUUGACCAUUUGAUUAGGUGAUAAAGAGGCUACAUACGUAAUUCAUUUCACUGAUACAGUAUUUAAAGAUAGUUUUCCAAUAUGAACGGAGUGAUCAUAUCAUGCAAUCCGGUUUUAAGUACACAAACGUCCAUGCAUGAGAAUCCAGUACCAGUUUUCUUUUCUAGAUAAACCUGUUUUUGAGAAAAAUAUGGUCGUUUUGAUGAGUUUAACUUGAUGGUACCAUCAUCUUGAUUCUAGAUCACAAGUUUGUAAGAUUACUGGGGAGGAGGGACUAAAUCAAUACUCCCACGGACCUGGAUUUACGUUUUCCAUGCAUUAUUAACUUGUUUAACCGACAUUAUAGUACAUAUUAUGUAAAGCAAGAACCAAACUCUCCCGUCAAUAACUAGUUUCUUGAUUAUCUCCCAAUGUAUUUCCAACUUCAUUUUUCCAUUCGUUUUCUUGUUCCCUUUUCUUUGCAUUUCAUCAUCUUCCCUUUUGUCCCCUUUUCGGAUCUCUGUUUUCCUCAGUAUCGCAUUAUGGGCAAAAUGAAGAGGCAGCCUGCAGUUUGGGGUGCACAUAAAAUCAAACUUCCGUGAUAUAUAGAAGCAUAAGUGGAGUAUAUAGUAUACAAUAAAUUUGCAAAGGUUUCAAAUUCCUGCGUGCUUGCUAUCGUGUCAGAAAAGCAACCACAAAACUUGAUUCAUUGGAGCCAUGGUAUGGUACUUCAAAUCUAAUCUCAUGUCCCUGCCACAAUGAAACUGUUGAAAGACCACAGAAAUGCUAGCUGCCAAGUGCCAACCCUUAUUUAGGUAUUGACUUAUGAAACGCUUGCCAAUUUCUGCCAUUUCUUGAAUUUGAAGGAAAGUUCUUGGAAAAGCACUCUAGGACGGAACUUGCUCAAUCACACUUGCCUAGAAUGCUCUUCCCAUUAGGCCACGACAAUUCAACAAAGAAAAUAAAAAUGACAAUCAAAUUUGGAAAAUGGAUUCUGAAUUCUAUCUUGUUUGUAUUUUUCUGGUAACACUAGUAAUAAGGAGCCUUUCGAGCCAAAGAAAAGGUUAUUUUAAAAGUCUAAAUAGGAUGGCGCCUGGGUCUUGAAGAAUAAAUCUCUAUAUCUGCAGCGGCCGUAGAUUUUUCUUUCUUUUUUUUUUUUAAACCAGAAUAGACACUAUCGGUUGCUUUCACACUUUAUAGGUCAAGUCUUCUCUCUUACUCAUGAAUCAUGAUGAAUAUCUUAGGGUAUAUUUGAUAAAAUUAAAGUCUGGAAAUUGAAAUUUGAAAUCUAAAAUAUGAAAUCUGAAUCCAUUAAAUUAUUGAAUUGUUAAAUAUUAAGUCAAAUAUAUUUGAGUGUAUAUCACAUUCAAUGAUACACAUUCAGAUAAGUGAGUAGUUUAUCACUUAUUUUUUAGAAAAAAUUUUAUCUAGAAAAUUCUGUAUCACUUAAUUAAUUCAAAUGUUCAAUUUUUUAUUAUCAAACGUUUCUGAACAUAUUAAAAAUCUGAAUUCAUUAAAUUUAAAUGUUAUCAAACAGGGCCUUAAUAACGUUUUCAACAAGCCACAAAUGUACAAAAUCACUAAUUUUAGUGCUUAUUUUUUCUUUAUCAGAGAGACAAAUAAGGAAUUUUUUUUAUUUACCACUUUCAAUCUUAUAUUGACACAUUUUCUGCGGUAAUGAUCAUUACCAUUUAGAUUAAGGCUUAUAUAACGUGUCUUUAGAUUGGAAUGGAUUUCAAACUGCGCCUAGUGUAGUCUUCUCUCUUUAUUGGAUCGCUUUUGGAAAAAUUAGACUUGAAUUGUCGAAGAUGCUUUUCAAAAAAAAAAAAAAAAUCUCCGAGAUGGAAACAACUCUUGUAGAAAAACUUGUGAGGAGGUUACAUCGCAAAGGCCAUUAUCACAUUAUCUUCUCACCAUGACUUGACUUGCACUUAAUAUGCCUUCAAGAUUAUUCCAAAAUCGGGACGCACAAGGCUUCGCGAGUUCCCUCCUUUCUUUUACUUCAACUUCUCUGCUUUUCCUCCUCUUUUCAUAAGACCUUCCUUUUACUUCAACUUCUCUGCUUUUCCUCCUCUUUUCAUAAGACCUUCCUUUUCAAGGGUCCCAUAUAUUUCAUUUUAUUUUAUUUUUUUUAAUAAAAUCUCUCCUAAGUUUCUUAGCUAGAGUUCUCUCUAAAGUUUCCUAAUAAGAAAUUUCUAUUUCUCUUUGAGUUGAUAGUGAGAAUUUUCAAUUUUUUUCUUCUUUUAUUGUUAGAUUCAAAUUUAUUUUAGAUUUGACUUUUUUGGGUUUUCGACCUCUCUCGAUAGGCUUCAUUAUCAUUAUUGGAGUUGAAAACUGUCGAUUAGUAGAUUUGGCGAUUGCAACAUAUAAAGAAGAAAGCUCUCAACAUGUCUCAUCAUCAUUAUUAGAGUUGAAUCCUUUGAUUAGCAAAUUUGAUGAUUGCAAUGUGCACAGAAGGGAGCUGCAAUGAUUUAUCUUAUUAGAGAACAAUUUAAAAUUUUUUACAUUUUCCAAAUCUAUUGCAUCCGUUAAAUUGCAGAUGCAAUCCAGUAUAUGUUUAAUAUGCCAUUAAAGCAACGAUAUAAAUGAAAUCAUGCUGGACAAUUUCCAGCAAUUCGUCAAUGAAAUUUGGUCUUUAUCAAAAAAAAAAAAAAAAAAAAAAGAGAUUCCUAAUACAUGAUAGAGGAGAGAAAUCGUUGUGACUAAUAUAGGGCAAUGUGGUACAGGAAAACGAUAACUUGUUUCCUACUGAUAAUGACUUUAAAUUCAAGAAUGGUCAAUUCAGUCAAACCAUGUGCAUGGAAAGGCAGUCUGCAGUCUGCACUCUCAACCAAAAAAAAAAAAAAAAAAAAGGUUCAUAAAUUAUCAAGGACUAGAAGUGUGGUUAUACUUUACAUCGCAGAGACUUGAGGUCAUAAAGUGGCUUUGUUUGUAUUGCAUUUUUUAGAAUUUUUUGUAAAAAAAUUACUGUAGUUAUUUGAUAUAUGUGAGAAAAAAACAUAAUAGAGAAAUGUGAUCAUGAAAAAUGACGCAAUUUUCCGGUGGAAAAUGGCUGUCCAAAUGGGGCUUUCUAGAAGUUUUGGAAGUUACAAGUAUUAAACUCUCUCAAUCGGUAUGUUUGAUCGCACAAGGCUUAAAAAUUUAUGUAUCUAAAUAAUAGAGGUGGAGAAUCCUAAAAUUUAAGAAUAAAGAGAUAGAAUAUAUAGCAAUAGAUUUGAGAGAAUUGGUCUGACCUCCAUAUUGGUUUGCCCUACUUGUUAGUACAUGCUUACGAUGGUGAUAAAGAAGCCGGUCUUUAUGCUUGCGUCCAAUUAAGUGUGCGCCAGCCAGAUUCUGAAUACGAAACUUCUCGGAUUUGUAAAGUAUACCUUUGGGUGCACUGAAGAAAAAUAUAAAACUCUACCGAUUAGUACUUUUCACCGCUUGAUAUUUUAAAAUGAUUUUUCUAACAGAUGCCCACCGGACAUUUGUUAAUACACUUAUACUUUUUCUAUUUAAUUUUACCUACUCUCUCCUGUAUUUUUUUGGGGAUGUUUUUGUUAGAUGAAAUUUUUAAUAACUGACUACACUAACUCUAAAAAUAAUAAUAAUAUUUUCAAAAUACGCACCUCAAAACACUUUAAAAUUACACACUCAUUCCUCUCCUCUAUCACCACCUCCUAACCAUUUCCACUUUCAUCGCUAUCGCCGCAGGCCAAUCCACCGCCACCGAAACCAUCAGAUACUCAUGUCCACUUCUUUCUUUUUUUUUUCCUUUCUCUAUAAAAAUUUUUUUUUCAAAUUUUACAAUAAAAUUUUAUACAAGCACCUAAAAAACACAUCAUCUAAAUGGCCUUUAAUUCUUGGUGCAAAUCAUCUAUGCCCGGAUUCUAAAACACUUCCUUGAGCUUCGAUGCAUGGAAACAAUCACGUCCGGCCAGUAUGUAAUCACUAGUAACGCCAUAUAAAGCGUGCGUGACAAAUUCCUUGUUUCUUAAUAGAGAAACGGAUCCAUCUGCCCUGUGGCGCUCCUCGUGUGGUCGUUAUAAGCAUCUGACCUUCCGAAACUUUUCUUGUUUCUAUUCCCAGCCAGGGAGCCUCCUGCAUCCAGCCACUAGCAGCGAGUAGCGACUUUCCGCACAUAAUCGUCUCCGAGUUUCAAUGAUGAAAACGAUAAGAUCUGGGGAGAAUUUCAGAAACUUCCCUCGAGGGUUUCUAAUAAUUUCACUUAGCAAUCUUUAGAUUUUUAAUAUUACACUUAUCUUUUAUUGACCCUAUAAAAUGAUCAUAAUAACCUUAAUAUAUUAAUGUUUUUUAUGCAAUUAAAAAAUAGGCUUCUAAUCUUGUGCAUAGGAAUGCACCGCACAAUUAAACAUUUAAUGGAAACAAAAACAAGAUUCACUCAUAGAAUAAUUAAUUAUGUCAUAACAUAAUUCUAACAUAUUAAAAAUUAAUUUUAACUUUGUUUGAAGGAUCUGAAGAUAAAUAAAAGAGGAUGUAAGCUAAAGGUUUGGAUUGCUAAAAAAGGACAAGGCAUGUGUUGGUACUUUAACAUUUGAGGGAUAGGAUGUUACAUUAAUACAGUUGGUGAAAUUCUUUGAGCUUAGCAGUACUGUUUUUUUUUCUUUUGUAACUUAGAUUGAUCUUUUAGAAUUUAGGACAGUUGAUGAAAUUCUUUGAGCUUAGCAGUACUGUUUUUUUUUUUCUUUUGUAACUUAGAUUGAUCGUUUAGAAUUUAGGGACUGGUGGUGGUGGUGGUAGUGGUCAUGGUGAUAAUGGUACUAAUUUGAGAUGAAGGUUUAAAAUAAUAGAGAUGAUGGUUGAAAGUGGGUUUGAGAUUUUAUGCAUAGUUCAUAUCUUUUUUGAAGAAUUUUAUAAGAAGGUAAAAUGAACUUAAAAAAAUUCAUGAGGGCAUUUUGGGUUAUUCAUUUAAAAUUUUGAUCAUUGAAUAGUUUUUGUUACCAAAAUAAUAAACUUAAGAGAGGUAUACAUAAUUUUUGGAACUUUAAAAGAACUAAGGCUUUGUUUGAAACUUAAGAGAGGUAUUUUAAUCACUUUUUUAUCUUACAUAUAUCAAAUUGUUAUAAUAUAUUUUUCUAUAAAAAUUCUUAAAAAUAGCAUUUCAAAUAGGGCUUAAGUGAAAUUGUUAAAAACCUCAAGGUUUCCGAAAGUAUCCCUAAGAUUUGUUUGUAUUCAUUUUUUCAACAAGAACCUACCACUCCAUUCCCUCACGAUCACGAAAUUCCUUGCACGUAAUCUUAUACAUUACGUCAGGCGAAAGAGUUGCAAUCAAAAUCAUAUCGUACUUUUUGUGUCAGAGAAGUAAUAAUUACGUUUACGUUGAAAGGGGUUUGAUUUGUCUAAGUUAAAUUAUUUGAAUUUCGUGCAAAGAGGAACUUACUCUAUUGAGCUCCUCAUUUUUUUUUUGUUUUGUCAAAAAAAGGACCUAGUCCCACUUCAAACUCCAACCCUUUUUUAGAUUGUUAGAUUCUUUUCUCAUUUUUGUUACAGAGUCGAACUCUGGUGGAUGUUCUAACUAGAAACUACACCACCUUACUCUAUUAAGCUCCUCGCUAUUGCUUUUCUCUCUAAUUAUAUAAAUUUUUUCUAAUCAAAUACUUGGACAAUCGUAUUGCUUAAUUGAUUUUCGAUAUAUUACUUAAUUGAUUUUCGACAUUCUAGUAAAUCAAUCAAAUUCCGGUAUUUACAGUUUUUGUAUCCAAUUUACUUUUGUAGGAGCUUUAGAUUAGACAAAAUAUUUAUAUUCAUUCUUUAAAAAGCCAUUAGCAACAAAAUCAUAUAAACCUUUCUGUCUAAUAACCCAAAAUGCACUCGUGAAAUUAUGGAAUUCAUUUUACUUUCUUAUAAAAUUCUUUAAAAAAUAUGAAACAUGCACAAAAUCUCAUAUUUUCACAUUUCAAACCUCAUCUCUACUAUUUAAACCUUUCAUAUUUUCACAUUUCAAAUUAGUACCAUUAUCACCAUGGUCACUGCCACCACCAGCCUCUAAAUUUUAAAACCUCAAUUUAAGUUAAAAAGAAAAAAAAUAUAUCAGCACUGUUAAUUUCAAAAAAUUUCACCAAUUGCAUUAAUAUAGCAUCAUGCCUCGCAAAUAUUGGAGUACCAACACCAACUCCGUUCUUAUUAAACCUACAGCUUACAUCUUUUUUUAUUCAUUUCCGAAUCCUCCAAGCAAAACUAAAUUUAAUUUGUAAUAUAUUAAAAUUGUAUCCAACACAUAAUUGAUUAUUCCAUGAGUGAAUCUUGUUUUUGUUUACAUUAAAUUUCUAAUUUUGUGAUGCAUUCAUAUGUAUAAGAUUAGGAGCGAAUCGUUUAAUUGCAUGAAAAAUAUUAAAAUAUUAAGAUUAUUAUGAUCAUUUUAUAAGAUUAAGGGAGAUAGUAAUAUUAAAAAUCUCAAAAGCACUAGAUAAAUUUGUUAGAAACCUCAAGGGAGGUUUCUGAAAUUAUCUCCCGAGUUAUCGUACCAUUGAGAAAUCCACCUGCAUAGUGAACCGCUUUUGUUGUCAGGUACGCCUUCAAGACUUGGUACUUCGUUCCUUAUUUGAACAUAUUGAGCUGGAUAUAUAUGGUCGAUUGCUAGAUAAAGCAAUUCUGCAACAUUAUCAUCAACAAGCAGCUAAUUCUUCUUUCUCUGCUUUUUUUUCCCUUUAAGAGAUCAUGGGAUUCUAUUUUCAUUGAAUGUGCUUACUAAGUCAAUCCAAACAAGUAUAUGAUUUUUUUUAAUCUCAUACCCCUUCCUGCAUUCUUCUCACCUCCAAAUAUUAUGUUUAGAAUUCAAACCAUAAACUGCCAUAUUUAGAAAGCGCACCCUACAUCCCUUGUAUCCUUCUCCCCUUCAACUGCCGUGUUUAGAAAGGACUCAGCCGCUCGAGAACAAGCAUAUAAUAUUUUUCUAGUGUAAAUGAGAAAAUUCGAAUUCAAAAUCUUGCGUUUACACUUCUUCUCCGGUACUAUCCAACCCACCGCACAACUAUAUGGUGCUGAUUGUUGCGUCUAUGUAAUUAUUUUUGUGGGGAAAUGUAUUUGAUCUCUUUUAAUUAUUGGAUCUGCCGGUUUGGUUACUAAAAGUUGGUAGAUUGGAGUUUUUGCAAUGGGCCAAUCAUCAUUAUAGUCAAAAGUUAUAAACUAAUUAAAUUUCGCCAUUUCACGUUGUCUAAUCGAUAAACUAAAAAUAAAAUUAAGGGCAAAUUUUACUUUAUCCCUUGUGGUUUAACAUUUUUUAUAUAAUCCCCUUAUAGUUUCAAAAGCUAUAUAUAACCACCUUAUAAUUUGGAUUAAAGUGUCAAAGUGACAAGAAUGACCAUUCAUAACGGAACCAUCUAAAAUGUCAAAAAUACCCUUAUGUAAAGUUAAAAAUUAUUUAUUAACCAAGGGGGUUAUGUGUAUAUUUUGAAAAUCAUAAGGGAUUAUAUGAUAAAAUAUUAAACUAUAAGAGGGUUAUAUGGUAAAAUAUAAAAAUUAUACAGGGUUAAUGUGUCAUGUAUUUAUAAAAAUAAUUUCGAUAUUUUUAGAAGUUCAAACCAUGAGGGGGUUAUGUAUAGCUUUUGAAACCAUAGGGAAUUAUGUAAAAAAUACUAAAUCACAGGGGGUAAAAUGUAAUUUGCCCUAAAAUUAACUUAAAAAUCCAAAGAUUGACAAACUUGAAAACCAUUUAUUAGAACUUCAAACCAAAAAAAAAAAAAAUCAGCUAGGCCUUUGAACACCCCUCCCUAAUUUUUGUGUUGCACUGGCUUCAUCUCAAAUUUUAGGGAUAAUUUCAGAAACCUCCCCUGAGGUUUCUGACAUUUACACUGACCUCCCCUGUAGUUUGAACAAUUACACUGACCUCCCCUGAGGUUACUAAUCCUUUACAAAUUCAGUCCAAAUGAUUAAAAUAUUAUUUUAGAGAGUGAAAUUAGAAUUUUGUACCCGAUUUGUCCUUUGUGCCACAUGUUCAAUGAAUGGCAAAGUAGUACAAAUUAAUUAAUAAUUAAUAAACUUUAACGAGCGUAGUUUAUAGGCAAAUACGUAUUGCCUAUUUAAAGGACCAGCUCUUUACAUGUAUUUUACUUUCAAACAUUUACUUUAUCACAAAUAUUUAUUCUCAAAUACAGAUUUGUAUUUAUUCUCAAAUAUUUAAUUUUUGUUAAACACAAAACCUACCAGUUUUUCUUCCGUAGAAAUAUUAAUAUAACACUUUUUCAAUUUUAGUUAUAAAUAUUUAUGUAUUUAACAUAAAUUAAAUGAUUCAGGAUAAAAUAUCCAUAAAGAGCCAAUACUUUACUCAUGUAAUGGAUGAAAGUCAUAAAAAAUUAAUAGUUUAUAAGGCCAUUUAUUUUUUAAAAAAUAUUUAAUUUAUAUUAAAUAGAUAACCUACUGAUUUUUUUUUGCAAGAAUAUUACUUUAACACUUUUUAAUUUUUAAUUACAAAUGUUAAUAUAUUUAUCAUAAAUUAAAUAUUUGAAAACAAAAUAUCUGUAAAGAGCCGAUACUUUAAAUAGGAUAUGCGUAUUUGCCUAUAAACUACACUAUUUAAAAUAAGGAGUAUAGUUUAUUGAUUUAAGUUAAGGAGUGUAGUUUAUUGAUUUAAGUAAGGAGUGUAGUUUAUAGGCAAACACGCAUAACUUAUUUAAAAUACCGGCUCUUUACAGGUAUUUUAUUUUUAAAUAUUUAAUUUAUAAUAAAUAUAUCAAUAUUUGUAAUUAAAAAUUAAAAGGUGUUACAAUAAUAUUCUUGUAAAAAGAAAAUCGAUAGGUUAUCUAUUUAAUAUAAAUUAAAAUUAAAAAAAAGAAAUGGCCUAUAAAAUGUUAAUUUUUUAUGGCUUUCAUCUAUUACAUGAGUAAAGUAUUAGCUCUUUAUGAGUAUUUUAUUCUGAAUCAUUUAAUUUAUGUUAAAUACAUAAAUAUUUAUAAUUGAAAUUGAAAAAAUGUUAUAUUAAUAUUUCUACGGAAGAAAAACUAGUAGGUUUUGUAUUUAACAAAAAUUAAAUAUUUGAGAGUAAAUACAAAUCUGUAUUUGAGAAUAAAUAUUUAUGAUAAAGUAAAUGUUUGAAAAUAAAAUUCAUGUAAAGAGCUGGUACUUUAAAUAGGCAAUACGUAUUUGCCUAUAAACUACGCUCGUUAAAAUUUAUUAAUUGUUAAUUAAUUUGUAAUACUUUGCCAUUCAUUGGACAUGUGGCACAAAGGACAAAUCAGGUACAAAAUUCUAAUUUCACUCUCUAAAAUAAUAUUUUAAUCAUUUAGACUGAAUUUGUAAAGGAUUAGUAACCUCAGGGGAGGUCAGUGUAAUUGUUCAAACCACAGGGGAGGUAAGUAUAAAUGUCAGAAACCUCAGGGGAGCCUCAGGGGAGGUUUCUGAAAUUAUCCCCAAAUUUUAUAAGAAAUGGCUUGUUGGAACUUGGAACUCUCCUUCCCAAAGUUGGCUUUAUGUCCACUCUCAAGUACAAUUCCUACCCACAUCAAAAAAGGAAAAGUACAUGAUGGACUGGUCAAUCCUAUAAUCAUCUGUUCAGUGCUUUGUAGUUGUGGUCCUUAAAUCUGAAAGGCUUUGCAGAUUGGAAUAUAACAGGUUAGCAAGGAGACCCUUCCAGCAGGCAUUUUAGAAUGCCCCCAUAGAACUUGGGGUGUCUUUGAAUAAGGAUUUUUUUUUCUUUCUUUUAAUCCCUUAAAAGUAAUACUGCUUAUUAUGAAAAUUUUCUUUCUUUCUCACCAUAGAUCGGAAGUUUGAAACCCUACCCUUGCAGAGGGAGGAUGUGUAGUACGACACUCUUCUGAUCAAGACGAUCUCUUUCUUCUAACCCCUCAUACAACUUCCUUCCUAUUAGAUUAGAAUAAAAUAGAUUAUACAUGUUACGGUAUAAAAGAAAAGAUAUACAUACAGUUCGAGAUCAUCAUCCAAUAAUUGUGGAUCGGUACAUGUAGGAUAUUGAUCAAUUUGUUAUAGCUUGAUAUCAUCAUUCAAUAAUUGUGGAUCGGUGCACAUAGGCUACUGAUCAAUUUAUUGUAAAUGUUAAUGAUUACCUCCUUAAUAAUAAUGAAGUCUUUUUUUUUUUUGGUCAACCAAUAAUUUCUAGACUACUCCACUUAUGAAGAUUGAAGUAUCGUUAGAUCAGACGGAUUUACUACACAUUUAUUUGAAUUUGAAGAAAUCAUAUAUUACUGAAAAAUAAUGAGACCCCGCAAAGAGAAUUAAAGGGACCGUUAGUUAACAAUAACGAAGUAUCAUUCUUGUUUUUAUCGACAAAAAAGUUCAUUUCUCGAUCAAUUAAUAAGUGACUCUGGACCGAAACUUUAAAGGCACAGAAAGGUUCAUUUGGUCGAUCAAUUAAGUGAAUGUGGACCGAAACUUUAAAGGCAAGUUGGACGUGUCAUGUAUUGCUUCCAGAAUCAAUAGAUGAGGUUCUGCAGUUGAUGCCGAAUCACUGUUGGUCGGAAUGACCAAAUACCUGGCGGAUUUCGAGCAACCCGUGGAAUCUAAAGAAACUAUUGGUCAGUUUUCCGAAACAACAUGUAUGAUAAGAUAAAGCCCACUAGAUGAUUUGGAGUAUCAAAGCACUACGGACGACUUUUGGUUCGGUAACUCGUUGAAAAGUAGUGCACCAAUGAAGUUUUUAACAAAAAUAUUUAUUAAAUAUUUAUUGGAUAAUGUGUAAUUUAAAAUUUUUUUAAAUAUAUUUCUGUUUGGAUUAUUUAGUUUUUUAAAAACUAUAAAAAUUUUUAAAAAGUACUCUAAAAAGUAGUGUAAUUUUUUUUUAUGUUUAAAAAAUAUCCCAAAAUAUAUUUUAAAAACUCUAUUACUCUUAAAUAUCCCAAAAUAUACUUUAAAAACUCUGCUACAGUAAAAAUUUUUUUUAAAAACACCCCAAAAAAAUAAUUAAUCCAAACGGACCGAUUAUAGGAUAAAAUGAUUAAAUCUAAUAUUUUAUUUUAAAAAUUCAAAAGCUAUUAUAAAAACACUAAAUUUGAGCUUGUGUUAAAAGUGCUUUUAGUUUUAGCACCAAAACUUCAACUUCUAAUUUUAUGGAGCGACGUUCACCAAAGGUAUCAAAAGUACUUUUAGCAUUAAAAAGUACUCUUUUAUAAUAAAAAAAAACACCACAAUCUCAUAUGAGACCUAAAUUUGAAAUUGAUCAGUUUAUUUUACCCUUCCUUUUCAGUGUUUCUUCCCUCGGCAGGAAAAAGAAAAAGAAUAAUAAUGCAAAACCUUCAUGCCCUCUUGUAGGAUUGUAAACGUGGUACCCCAGAGUGGAAGUAAGUUUUUGUCCAGUUCUUUUCCGUCCGACAACGUGACAAUGCGAGACUAUUUUUUGUCAUUCUUAGCCGUAGGGCCGUCAAUCUUGAAUCUUUGUUGGACAGUUCACAGCCUCGCGCCUUUUUUCUUCACAAGCUAUAUAGCUCCUUGCAAGCUAAUUGUACGUGUUUUUUGUUUUUUUAACCCAAUCCGCAACUGAAAAAUCUUUGAAACUUUUGCAAUUUGCAGUCUCAAUCAACUUUUUCCCCCGACAAUGGAUAUGCUUCUCUCGUCAAAGGAUAUGUUUGUCCAACGUGUUUUGACGAGGUAGUUCUUCUUAUUUUCUAGCUAGGUAACAAAAAAUCCAGGAAGAAAAGAGGCUAACCAAUUCCAAUAUCAAUGCAAGUCACCUAACCUACCCUAACGGCAGCUAAUAGUGGUUCAUAUGAAUUAGUAAUAGGAGCGAAUUAGUAAUAGUGGUUCAUAUUAACGAAUUAGUAAUAGUGGUUCAUAUUAAUAGUGGUUCAUAUGAAUUAGUAAUAGGAGCGAAUUAGUAAUAGUGCUUUUAAAUAUAUUAAUUAGAGACAUAGUUUAAUAAUUGCUUAUUGUAUUGGAUAAUGUGUAAUUUGAAAAUUUUUAAAAGUGUUUACCUCUUUAUUUGGUUCAUAAUACAGGAUAAAAUGAUUAAAUUUGAUACUUUAUUUUUUAAAUCAUAAAAGUUAUUCUAAAAGCAUCAAAUUUGAGUUUUUGCUAAAAGUGCUUUUAACACUAAAAGCUCUGCUCAUAAAUUUAUGGGAUGAUAUUCACCAAACACUUUAAAAGUAUUUUUAGCACCUAAAAGUGCUUUUUUUUUUUUUUUUAUCAAAAGUACCGCAAUCCCAAACGAGGCCUAAGAUAUUAGCACUUUUGAAAAAAAAAUCUCCAAAACUUCUUAAACUUCAUCAAAUGCAAAAGAAAGGAAAGAGUGUCUGAGAUUUCUGGAGGAGUGCUAAUAUGAUUUCGCUAAACUUGAUAGGUAACUCCCCUCGUUUUUAUUUAACUGCAAUGAGUUAUUAAUUAGGAAAAGUUAAAUUGUGAAUCGACUACUAGAAUCUCAAAUCAAAUUAUAUUAAGGCCUAAUUUCAAGGAUUUUGAAGAGGAAGAACGAAGUCGUGUAAAGCUAAGUCAGAAGGGAAAAUCAAAGAUGGAGUUAAUAAGUUUUCUUUACAAAUAAAUCGGUUGAUUAAAUUUAGUUAAGUUGUCAUUAUAAUCAACUUAUUUACCCUUUUGUGUACUAAAAUUUUAUUUGACUUUUUUAAAAGCUUUUGUUUAGCUUUAUCUAGCUAGCAUUUCCUCCACAUUUCUUCAAAAACUUGGAGAAACAAUUACGUGGCCCCUUUAUUUUCCCCCUAGCCUCCCAUUUCACUUCUUUAUUCCUUCUCUUUCUUUCCAUCCGACAGGAAGGUCAAAAUUCCUCCAAAUUAAAAAAAGAAAAGUAGAAACGGCCCAAUGGGUUUAAAAAAAACUUUAGGCCCAAAGAAUUGUUCUAGCAGUAGCACAUAUUGGGUAUGGGAAAUAACACAAAAUCUCGUCUCAAAAACCUUUGAAUUUUACCCAUUCCAUCAACCUAGAGCCUAAUAUUUGCAAACAGGCUUAAGUCCAGCAUAUAUAAUGGGCCGUCCAUUUCCCAGUUCGGCAUUACCCAAUACAAAUUUCACUAUCCUUUUUCUUUUUCCAAUGAAAUUUCCCGAGCACGCCUGUAUUUUCCAACUGAAGCAAAAAUGGCGAGCAUCUUGCAAGUGCCAGUUACGUCGUCGUUUCCCUGCUUCUCGUCUUCAUCAUCGUCCCUAAAACGACGUAUCCUCAGCAGAACAGUCUCCGCAACCAGUAGUGCUAAAAUUCCAGUACCUCCAAUAAACCCUAAGGACCCUUUUCUAUCGAAGCUUGCUUCGGUUGCCGCCUCGUCGCCGGAAGUACUCCUCAAUCGGCCUCCGAACUCCGACACGCCGCCGUAUUUGGAUAUAUUCGACUCGCCGAAGCUCAUGGCCACCCCCGCCACGGUCCGAGCUAUUUUUCUUCAUCACUGGACUUUCUGUUUUUAAUUUUGCAAUGCAAUUGAAGAUAAAGUAUUGCUAAUUAUUAAGUAUAUUAUGAUUGUUUCCUAUACAUAUAUACAUAUAUAUAUCUAUAUAUAUAUAUAUGUGUGUGUGUGUGUGUGUGUCAGUUUUCCACAAGAUAACAGUUUUUCCAGAAAAUAUAUAUAUAUAUAUAUAUAUAUAUAUAUAUAUAUAUAUAUAUAUAUAUAUAUCUGGAAAAACUGUUACCUAUAUAUAUUUUUUAAAUUUUGAAGAGAAUUGGUGCAACGUUUUUCAGGUGGAGAGGUCUGUUUCAUAUAAUGAACACCGGCCGAGGCGGCCACCGCCAGACUUGCCAUCGUUGUUGCUGCAUGGUAGGAUAGUGUACAUUGGGAUGCCGGUAAAGAGCCCUAAAUCUUUAACUACUUUACUGCCAAUAUUUGAUAAAAUAUGGCUUCAGCGAUCAGCAAUGCAGUAAAGUUGUUGCUUUUGUCUGUUAAACGCUGGUGGGCUCCUGCCUGGUGGUUUAGUUAUCAUAUGUUGCUUAAAAAAAUACUCAAAAGUGAAGGAAAUGCUUAGGUUUGUGCUAAUGGAUUGGAAUUUGCUGCGACACUUUUUUGGUGAAUGUGACAUUCUUGAAAACCUUAAUAUGGUCAAAUAUAACAAAUUGGAGAGUUGGCGACUCAAUGUAGGCCUACACAGUGGUGAUUUAAAUGCAGUUUGGAUCUUUAUGGGAAGACAAUUUGUUUACCUGCGUUGUUUUGUUGAUAUCAAACAACAAGAUAAGGUGAUAGCAAAAAAUAAAUAAAUAAAUAAAAGCAUCAGUGUUACAAAGGCCAACACACAAAACUGUAUUGAAUAGAUAUUGCUACAAAUAUUCAUACUUCUUAGGUUGAAGAAGAUGAUGGCAGAAGUGAAGUUGUGUAUCAGCUACAAAAUUCAAAAGCUUUUGAAAGUGGUCAGGAGCAAACUUGAGUUUCUGAGGAUUUUGAUAAACAAGUGUAUGGGUUUUCAAUGUCAACUAUCCAUGAAUUUGAUUGCAUUCAUGGAAAAUUUUAAUCUAGCUGGCUAAAUUUGUAUAGGAUGGAUAACGUAUUGUGGUAGAAGGGGUUUUUUGGUUGUCGUGACCUUGGUAUCAGGGAACAGAAGGUGUGUGUGAUGUGCUGAUUUUGAUUUCCAAGUUGUGUUUUCUAGUGUUAGAAGAUCUCUCUUUUUAUAGCAUAUCAGUUCUGGAUCAAACUUUGACUUCCAAAGUUUUGUUGGUAAACUCGAUCUUUUGAAGCCAAUGCGGUAAAUUGUUUGAAGGUGGCUUGGCUUAUAGCUGGUACCUGGGAAGAUGUUUUUCUAGCUUCUUGAUUUCAUAAGCGAAGGGGCUGCCUUGAUUCAAGAAUGGGAUCGAGAGGGCAGCCUGCACCUUAUGCCUUUCUGGCACAUUUCAAUGGCAUUGGUAUGAUAAUUGUUUUAAAGGACAGGAUUAAACAGCAUAAAGUACCAGCCUUUUCAGAUUGCUUAACGUUAUCCGAUAUAAUUUUAGGCUAUAAUUUCCUGCUGUUGGGUAAAAUUUCUUACUGCCAAUAGGAAUUUCUGGCAACUUUUUCCAUGUCUUUUUGAGGAGAGAAGUGGAUAGACAUUUGCGUAAGAAUGCAGGAGGCAAAAUAGGUGUAUUUUCGAAGUAAAAUCAAGGAUAGGUUGCACCUCAUUUUCAAACAGACUAGUCUUUGAAAUUUACUUACAUAGGAGCACAUCUUGUGGUUAAUGCUUGGUAGAUCAUUUCAUUCUCGACAGUUAAGUAGUUCAUGAAUGAGAGGACAAUAGAUGCCAUCACAUGGAAAGGAAUUUAGUUGCUUUCCAGUUCCAUAAACUUCUUGUACUAUGCCAGUAUUGUAAUGGCAAGGGAAAUAGACUAUCAAAGGCAUUCAUACAUAUAUAGGAUGCUGUUUGUUGGUCAUCCACAAAAUUCAUAAAUUAAAAGCACAAGCUCACUUUCUGCUCUUUCUGAACAUAAAAACUAAUAGAUCGAUUGUCUGGGAUGCUACCUGUGGCCAUGUGGUACUUUCAUUCUUGUAAACUAACUCGUUUUGGUAAGUUUUUGGUAUUAUUGCCUUGCUGCAUGAAUUAUUCCCCAAAGACUUGUCUAGUGCUGAUUUGUUUUACCAGUUAUGUUGUAUGAUGUGAUAAUCAAACCUGUUUCUUUUACCAGUUGGUGCCAGCGGUCACUGAGCUUGUAGUUGCAGAAUUAAUGUAUUUACAGUGGAUGGAUCCAAAAGAGCCAAUUUUUCUGUACAUAAAUUCUACUGGAACUACUCGUGAUGAUGGUGAAACGGUGAGCCUUUGUGUUGCAGAUUAGUUCUCUUUGAGUACUUAGCUGUUGUUGCGGAACUUGCUGUUAGUUGGCUGUCUUGUAAUGUUAUUCAUACAUGCAUCUUAACCUCAAAUGCAGUUAGUUGUUUGUCAAGUUUGAUCUUGAGUGCAAAUUGGGCCUUCUGAAAAAGGUGAAAAGCUACAAGGAAAUUACAGAUGCAAUAUACUGAAAGAGAUGCCUAGAAAUUAAAAAAAAUAAAACACAUAGGAGUUUAGACAUGUUUAAAUAACCAGUUGUAGAUUGAGAUGAGAUUUGAAGACAAAGUGGACCAGUAAUGGACCGAGAACUUACAAUGCAAUUGAAGAAUUGACUACACAGAAAGCAAGAAUGCAAGUUAUGUUGCUGAAUGGAUAGUAAGAGAUAUACUUCUCGUUAAUAACCUGAAUAUGGUUUGUUACUAAUUGCCAUCCUGUGUGCGUCUGUCUUGUCCUUGGAAACUUUUUGGCACUUUCUAUUUAUUGCUAAAUGUAUGCCUUGGGUGCUGUCUGCGAACUUACUUUUAUACCAGUCAACACUGUAGGGACCAGUUUUCUCAAGGGUUAGUCUUUUUAUAUUAAUCUCUUUACUUACAUACUGAUUUUUGCGUACUUCUCUGAGUCUAGUAUACUAUUAAUUUUCAAUUAAGCUAUUUUUAUGAAACCUUCUGUGUCUUAGGUCGGCAUGGAAACGGAGGGUUUUGCAAUCUAUGAUGCAUUGAUGCAGUUGAAGAAUGAGGUGAGCUUCUCCUAUAGGUUAUAUUUUAUGUUAAUAAAGAUGUGACAUCUGGCAUUUUAUUGGAGCAUUUAGGCUAAUUUAAUGUCUAUCCUUCUUAGAAUUUAAAUUUUAUAGCUUGCAUAAAGUAGAUGAGAGUUAAAUUCAUUAGCCAAACCUUGCAUGUUGUUGACUUUUCAAUCUAUCUAGAUUGAAACAGUAAGCCUAGUCCAGUUUUUAAAAAGCAGUUUAGUUAUGUUGUCAGAUACGAAUUAGGUGAAAAAUCUUUUCCCUGUUCAAGCUUAAUGAGGCUAUGACUAGAUUAUGCCUAUUGUUGACUUCUGAUAUCUUUGUUUCGUCCUUGGUCAAGUUUUUUUCUGUGCAUGAAUGGAGAGGUAUCUGUAUUGGAUAACAAAUUGAGAUAUGGUGUCUCUAUCCAGUGCUGCUAAAAUACACGUUUGCUUAAUAUUUCUCCAAUUAUAAUACAAUGCGCAGCUUUGGAUUGAAUGAAGUCAUUCUGUGGAUUUUGAUUGAAUAACUAAACAUACUGAGUGAUCUACAUUGAGGCAAUUUCCUCAAAUGGUUACUGUUGCUACUGGAGAGUAGUAUUGAAUGCUUUGACAGUUUCUUGUUAUUUUCUAUCCUCUUAUUAUAAUGUGAAAUUCAGAUACAUACUGUGGCUGUUGGAGCUGCUAUAGGUCAGGCAUGUCUCUUGCUUGCUGCAGGAACCAAGGGGAAAAGGUUUAUGAUGCCGCAUGCAAAAGGUAUGCUGCGUUAAUCAAAUCUGGUUUCAUGUGCAAUAUUUCAUGUCCUCUGACUCGAUGCAUUUAGAAAUUUGACAUGAAUUUUGGUUUCUGCUCCAGCUAUGAUUCAGCAGCCUCGUGCGCCAUCAUCUGGGUUAAUGCCAGCCAGUGAUGUUUUUAUACGUGCAAAGGAGGUUAGUUCAAGCUUUUGGUGGCAUUUUUUGCUUUAAAUCCUGCUGAGAUAGAUUUUAUGGUGGAUACUCAUGUGAAGUAGCUUGAGGGUUCCUUGAAAUGAGUAUGAACAGAUGUACAGCUUGAAAAAUGAGGACUGUCCUCAUGCAUUAUCAUGGUUUAGAGUUUCACUUUGUCAUCUACCCGGUAAAAAGCUACUCAAUGCAAAUUUGUGCCUAAUCCUCGCAUCAUCUUCUUAUAGGAGCUUAUUUCAUCUUCUUCUCAAACAUGACAAGCUAAGCACUUGUUGUUUGGUGCUAUUAGAAUUCUGGCACACUAUUAACAUUUAGGGAAUGUUUGUCCUAACUUUAUUUUUAUUGCAGGUAAUAAUUAACAGAGACACCCUUGUUGAACUUUUAGCUAAGCAUACUGGAAAUGUGAGUAUCCAACAUCAGAUUUAUCUCUCUCCGGCUUUGAUUUAGUAGCAAGCAGUUCAUGCAGAUUAAUUGUUGAAAUCUUAUAUUAACAGUCAAUAGAGGCAGUUGCUGAUGUGAUGAGAAGGCCAUUUUACAUGGACUCAACCAGAGCUAAAGAAUUUGGCGUCAUUGACAAGGUCAUUUGUUGAUCUGAGUCACCCCUACGAUUUUAUAUUCUUGGGAUUCAGACUCAUUUGAUUUUUAUACAAUUUGAUAUGGGGAAAACCUUGAAUUACGCUAGUAUUAAUCAACAGCAACUUGUGGUUCAGAUACUCUGGCGUGGUCAGGAACAAAUUAUGGCAGAUGUUGCCGCUCCAGAGGACUGGGACAAGAAUGCUGGAAUUAAAGCCUUUGAUGCAAUUUAACAUUUUCUCCAGGUAAUUACAUGCAGUAUAAAUUUUUCUCUUAAAUACAGGAGUAUUGGAAUACUGAACUUGAUUAGAGGCUCUGGUGACUGGAGCUUGCAGCUCCUUUGAUUCAUGCGGGUGCUGCAACAUCCUUUGUUGACCAUAAAGUUGAAAACGUUCGUCUUAAUUCUGGCUUGAAUUUCAAAUGGACUUUAUCCAUCAUUGAUAUAGAUGAAUACAAAUCAUUUAGAGAAAGCAAAAACUUUCAAAUGAACUUUAAGAUGAUUUGACAGAGUUUAAUGCACAUUUAGGAUUGUGGUGGGUUAUCAAAAAGCACUUCGCUUAGUAGAGUGUUGAGUAGAAGUACUUAUUAAGUGCUCGAUUGUAUUGUUUCGGUGCAUAAGUGCUGCUUGUAUUUGGUUUGUAUCUAUCUCUUUAUUCAAUUAGGAGUUUAUGAUCAAAUGCCCAGAUUUUUUGUUUUCUUAAGCACAAAAGUUAUUCUAAAUAUACCCAUGUUGAACUUCUGCUGAAAGUGUUUUUCAGACCAAAAACUCUACUUCUAAAUUUAUGAAAUAACACUUACCAAGCACUUGAAGGCUUAGUUUGGGAGUUUCGGAUAGAGAAGAAAAGAAGGGAAAACUGAAGUUAUAAGAGAAGAGGAGAGAAGAGAAGAGAAGGGAUUAUUAUGUUGUUUGGGAGUUUUGAGAAUUAAUGGAAUGAUUAUGGAUAUGAAAGUCAUUAAAUAUUUGUUCAAGACUUUUUUAAGGAUAAAAUAGGCAUUUCAAAAAAAUUUGAGAAGCAUCCUCAAAGUUUCUCUCAUUUUCCUUCAAAUUUGGGAGGAAAAGUUUUGCCUACUGUUCAUCUUUCUGAAUCCUCCCAUUUCCUUUCUUUUCUUUCUUACUAAAAACUAACAAACAAAGGAAAACUAUAAAUUUUCUCUUCUUUCCCUUUCUUUUCUGUCCAAAUCCUCAACUGCUAAAUGAAGCGUAAAAGUGCUUCUACCGCCCAAAAGCAGUUUAAGCAAAAGCACUGCAAUCCCAGCAAGCUCUGAAUGCUGCAGUCAUUUUAUGGGAAAUUACAACGCCCUUGGGCAGAAUUUUAUGGUCCUUUAAUCUUUCCCUUCUAUCCCUUAGUGAUAAUAGUGGUUCACAUUUUAAAUGCUUAAUACAAUUUUAGGGUCCAAAAUACUUAUUUCACUGUCCAACGGUGAAAUUAGUUAUAGAUCCUAUAUCUUUGAGCUGUCUAUUUAACUGCGCUACCCCACUAGUCAUCUUUUUACAUUAGUAUUCUGAUGUCAAGCAAAUUCAAGAUGUUUUAUCUUCAACGUAGAGAGUUAAUGUGGGAGUUUUUGAAGUGUACAUUGUUAAGGAAUCUAAAUUCACAAGUUCCAUGUAUCCAGUGCCCGCACCACCAACCCACCCCCCCACCCCCUGUAAAAAAAAAAAUCUCUUCCAAAACCAAAAAAAUCAUACAUGCUGCACAUUGUGCAUGGCAGUGUUGAUCCUCUGUAUAGGUCAAAUGAAUUAUGAUUGCUUUUGUUUAGGAUUGGUGAUUUGAGAGAACCUGUUGUCUGGCUGAAAGCACAUCUAUUCCACUAGCGAGAUGAAAAGCUUGUGUCACCUGAAGGAUUUAAAUCGGACGAAGGAACUGUCUGCUGAAAGCAAGGAUUCAAAGCGAAUGCGUUAGCUGGUUCAAGUUUGUUCGCGUACACAAAUUUCAAGUAUUAGUGGAUAGUGGAUCAUGGGUAAAUUUAACAGUAUCAUACGUUUCUGAGGCUUACAGUAAUGUUUUUAGCCUAUGGAUAACAGUAUAGACUUCCCAAGCUCUACAGGCUUUUGGCUGAAAUGUACCGCUGAUUUUUCUUAUCAACUUUUGUGUAUCAUAAAAUGUCAUAAUCUCACAUUAGGUUGCUGCUUUAUCUAGUGUAAUUCAUUAUUGAUACUUGUACACAAGCUUGCCUUGAACUUUACCCUUUGUUGGCUGCAAAAGUAUGAAUUUGUGCAGAGGAAUUGCAAUUCUUUUGUCCAAAAUCCUCAGUUGUUCAAGCAACAAACACUUUGUCCUCAGACAGAAUGGCCCCUAUUCAUGGCUUCCGAUUUCAUUUAUGAUGGAAGGAAAUGUGAUUCUACUUUUCACCUUCAAAUUCUGGGUACUCUAUUGCACAUUGCUGGGGGAACCGCAUUUUGAAAUAGCAGAAAUUAAAAUUAGAGCCUUCAAGUGCAUAAGCCAGAAGGGAUUGGAUGAUUAGAUUAACAGCACCAAGUAUCUAGUUUCUAUUUAUAUUUCUUCAUUAAAACUUUGGAUUAAUCUUCAAUACAUAGACAGUAUAUGCACUUUCAUUAUUAGAUACAUAAUACAUAAUUCAAAUUUUACAUAUGUAUUGUAUGUUAUAGUAUAUACAUUGUCGAUUUAUUCAAAAGUUCAACUCUUAUUAUUAAAAGCAAAUAAUUAGCCGAUGACUUAAAUUGAUUUAGGGAAAACAAAGUGAAAAUCUAGAACAGUGAAAUGAGAACCUGCUCAUGUAAUCUUUGUACUGAUUUUUAAGCAAUGAUCUAUUGAUCGAGAUAUAGACUGUUGAAUAAAAACAAUUUCUGACCGGAUUUUUUUUUUGAUUCAUCUGACCGGAUUUAUUUAUUGACUAUAAAAACAAAACUACUGGGAUAAAUUGAAUAUAGAUUUUUUGAAUAUCAAAUCCCAUCAUGAGAAGACCUUGAUGAAGCAUUAAUGAUCAUAUCCGUUUUCCCGAGUCAAAAUAUGAAUAGCGCUACAAAUUUCGGCCACCAUUACCACCACCGUCACGCCGCCUUCAUCAUAGGAGGAGCGAGCUGUGCCGCGGCCGCGUUGCGUUGAACGGUUGAAGAAUGACACGGACACGGCUAACAGCUUCCCGUCACUCUUAUCAUCUUUGAUGAUGGGCAAGCCGCCAUUUCUGUCGAUUAAAUUCGCCGUGGUUCUCUCCUUUUCUCUGGCCGCCACCGCCUCGUCCACGUCACUCUUCUUCCCCAGACCCAAGCCCCAAAAGCAUUCUACCGUCUCUAUACCCAAAGCCAACACCAAAGACUUGCUGGCUCUUCUGGGCUCUCCCCAACAGGCUGCUUCUGUCAAUGCCGAAGAAGCUCAGAAACUGAAAUCUUGUUUCAAGUUCCUAGUACCGUUUUCGCCUCCCGCUAGACCCGGCAUUAACGACCCUUUUCGACGUUCGCUCAAUUUUCGUAAAUCUUUGAGCAGUGAUCAUAGCGGAAGAGGAGUGAGAGACUGGGAACGCGAUAAUGAGCUAAUAUGGUGGCCGCCAGCCCCGGUUAUGGAGCUUGCUCGUCUUGCUGUUGACUCUGGUGGCGAUCCCGGUGCUAUUCAUAGAGCUCUUGAUCCUACUCCUAUCAAGGUGAAGUUUUUAACCUCCGAUUUCUUUUCUGAAGGUUUUUUCCCUCUUUUAUUUGUCUGAAAUGCGUAUUAUCACCCAUGUAAAUUAGCAAUAUGUUUUCAGAGUCUAGUUUUUAGCUAAAUAAAGCUGCUUUCAAUUAGUAAUAAUGGAAGAGCAUUAGAAUUAGUAAAAUUGUUGAAAACAGAGUAUCUUUCAUGGUUGUUUGCUACGACAUUGAUAUUUUAUUAAUUUGAAAUUACAAAUGAUAUUGUUAGUUAUAUUCUGUAGUGCCAGAAUAGGGAAAGCCAUUUCUUAAAAAUUCUUUUAAAGAGGAUUUCUUGGAAAUUGAUUUCUUCUUUCUGCGUUCUCUCUUCCUUUUCUUCUCAAAGUAUUAUCGGUUCUCUUUCCACUCCUCACUCUCCUUCUCCAUCAAUUUACAAUACGCGUGCAACUUUCAAGUGAUUAUCUCCGUAAUAUAUCCCUCUGCCUUUGAAUUGUUGUAACAUCCGAAUAUGGUGCCGAACAAAUUAUUGUUUGGACCAGUUGAUGAGGAGACCUGGGUAUGUUACAAAAGCAACAAUUUUUAUGUACAUUUGGGGGAAGUUCUCUCCUGGAAGCUUCGGAUGCCACUUGGACGCAACUCCUGCACCCAAAUGCAGGGGUUCAUGUAUUUUACAUUGCCUCCUUGCAUUUUAGUGCAGUUAUUGUCCAUCCAGGCUGAAGUCACAUUGCGGAAUUUGCUGCAUGGAUAUACAAGAACAAAAAUGUUGCCUGAGUUACACCAUAAACACAUUAUUCCAAUGCCAAUGCAUUCAAACCAUCAAUUGGCCCCCCUAAUUUGUGGUUGGGGCUUGGAUUUGGGAACAUAGUGGUAGGUUCCCAGAUGCCUUGGAUGCAAUUGCAUCCCUAGUUCUUGAACUAGCCAAUCAAAGUUAAAAUUAUGUGGUUUUCUACAGAGUUAAGUUCUUCGAGGAUCAGUUUUUGGUAAGAGACCAAACAAGAAAAAUCCAUUGAAUUUGGUUUCAAAAUUACGUCCUGUCUCAGCUCUGUAAUGUGUCCCUUAUUGGGUCUGAAUGUAAGCAUUAUUGUUUGGCUUUGAGCAUAAUUGGUGGAUGCAAUGUCUUACUUAUUCCAACUUACAGGUACCAGAUGUUGAAGGAUCAAAAGAAGAUAAAUGUGAGCUCACAAGAACUCCUUAUGGUUGGCGCUUUAUAAAUGAGGUAAUAAUUUGUUUAUUAGGGGAUGGGAAAGUAUUUCGCAACACAUUGCCAUAACUUCAAUUUGUUUUGCAUUAAAAGCCCAAGUAAUGGUUAGGUUACCAUUUGCAAUUUGGGAGGUUAAUUGUUCAAUAAACAGAGAUAGGAAUUUCUCUGCUCAAAGAGGCAAGGCUUGGCAGGCCCUGCAUCUUAGAGAAACAGAAUGGGAAAGUAUUGUUAUCUUGAGUUUGUAUUGUCAUGUUUUUGUCUUGUUCUCUUGAUUGAUUUUUUUUGUUUAAUUUCCAUUAUGUAGGAGUUGAAUUCAUACCUAAAAUUUUUAUUUGAAAUGAUUGUUGCUCGGGGUCCGAACGUAGGACUGAAUGUCUCAUUAAACCGCUAUGACUUCUUUCACGGCCACCUUUUUAUUGCUGUGGACUCUGGAAGACUUGGGAUUUUGUAAGUUAACAAACAUCUACUUUUGAGUCAACUUCAGCCAGGCCAUUUACAACUAAAAUUGUUUUGACAAUUUCUUACAAUGGAAAGAAACAUUAUGUGAAAAAGUUUUCAUUGUGAUACAAGAUGAAAUUUCUACUGAUGGUAAGCUAAAUGGUUUGUAGACUCGUUUUCUUAUCUCAGAGAAAGGUCAAACGGUGAUCCACUGAGAAUUUUCUUACUGUUUAUAAAAUGAUGAGUGAUAAUCAUGUACAAUAAUUAGAUGAAUUCUUUAGGUUGUUUCUUAACACAACACUAGUUCAUUGUCUAUUUUGGAAAGUAAAUCUCAUAAAGUCACAAGGUGCUUAUGAUAUUGGUGCUCAUCAUUUUUAAAGGUUCCAUGCCAAAGAAUACCCUGCCUACGAGAAAGAGGUGUUUCCUUACAACAUGGGUUAUUGCCAGAUUGGUAAGUUGAUCUGGAGUAAUGUCAUACAUACUUAGAAAAUGCAUUUUCUUUGUUUUCUGUUAUUUCCAGUUCUGUGAGAUUAUUUUUCUUUCUUGAUAGAUUUGAUUUGAAAGAAUAUUCUGCAUAAUUUUAGUUAGUUAUCUUGUAACAAUCUCCAAUUUUCUUGGAUGGAAUGCUUAAUAAGUGCUAAUAUGGAAUGUGGACCAUGACAAACAAUAUGGUAAACAGUUUUGGAAUCCAAAAAGCAUCUAAUGGUUCUACCAGGUCCCUUUCUAGGUGGACAGUUCUGCCCCCGUCUGAAUAUGAAACUUUUUUCCCAAUCAGACUUGGAUAUGCAAUUUGGAACCCAAGGGCUUAGUUGGUUUCCUCCAUGAGUAACUGAAUUAUGAAAAAAUGAAUUGCGAAAGCAAAAUAAUUGUCUGUUAUAUCACCUUUCAUUGUUUGCGACUACUUACUAAAUCGACAUUGCAAAAUUGCAAUUGCUUGUAUCAAAUUGAACUCAUGGCUCAAAGAAAUUGUGAAAGUACCAUCUUCUGCAGUUUUUUUCUACAAUAAUUGUCUUUGGUUAUUAUUGUCAGGUUCUAAUGUUACUUAUGACGAUUCAAUGAAUUUGCGUAACAUCCUGUGGCUAGCCCCUUUGCCAAGUAAUUCCACAAAAACGUGGUUGGCGCCUGGUAUUUCUUCUCAUUUUACCUUAGUGGACAAAGUUUAACGUUGUAUCAACAGUUUCUGCUUCAAGUUCAAAAGUUAUAUGCUGGUAUGCUUGUCCUGUUUUUGCUGCUUCAAUUAUUAGAUCUUCCAGCUGUGGGGUGCUUAUGAUUUUGCAUUCCCUAAAACUGGUUUCCAUGUAUGUGACUGGAUGAGACAUAUAAUGUAGUGUAUGUUUGAUUGCAUUUCGAAAUAUUUGACUUUCAUAGACUGGUUUUGUCAACUUUGAAAGAAGUUAGCAUAUGAAGCCUAGAGAAAGCUACAUAUGGGUUAAGUUUUCAAAGCUGUUAUGUAAGCUGUAAGAUUCAAACCACCUCAAGUUGAAAGGAAAACUACCGUCUGCUUUCUUUCAUUUCUUCCCUUCUUUUCUAUCACUAAAUUUGGUGGAGCUUUCAACAAAUGCACUUUGAUAGUCGAGUGACCAAUGACUGCAAACGAAAUCUUACAUCAAAGAGUGACAUUGUCAUCUCAACAUUCAUAAGAGAGAAAACUCGUUUCCAAGGUGGACAUAUAAGGACCACCAUAAAACAAAAAGAAUGGAGACAAUAAUUGCUGGGCUUAUUACAUACAACUGGCUUAUAUUGCUCUUUGACUGGAGCAUGGCCUUCACCCCUACUGCUUUCCCUAACUAGUGAGAUAUUUCUCUGAAUUUGGUUUUCUUAUUUUCGAGUACCAGGAACAAAAUCUCAUCAAAAUGUAUAUGGCAUUAUAUAGCAAAGUCACCAGUUUUCUUAUUUUUCUUUUCAAGUACCAGGAACAAAAUCUUAUAAAAAAGGACAUGGCAUUGUAUAGCAAAGUCGCUAGUUUAUGUGUUGGACAUUUUCUUGAAUCCUUACAUAAAAUAGUUUUUCGAGUUCCGAUGGACGAUCAUUGACUAUUACAUUUUAUCCGAAAGUUUUACUAAUAUUUUGCUUGGUUGCUAUUCCCAGGAGUCCUUGUGGUAUUAGAUGCCCAUCCAGAAGGAAUCAUUUAUCAGGACCUCAUUCCUGAAUAUGUUAAGUUUGCAAGGACUCUAUAUGAAGGUUCUAACUCCUUUUUCUAGACUUAUUAAACCUCAUUGUUUAGAAGAGUUAAUAAGAAGUCUAAUGUGAUUAAUAUUUGUCUGUCAGAGGAUUUUGGGGAAGUUGUAGUUGAUGUUAACUACCUAAAUGUGGGAGCUGAAGUGCCAAAAUAUCAACUCUUCAUGUGCUGACACCUUCUGAAGGUAGAAAGCUCCUUUCCUUGGUGUCAUGUCAAAUUUGUUGGCAGAGAACUGAUGAAUCGUUGUGUGCAUUUGUAAAUGUGACUGAUCUUCAUGCUAUAUCUCCAUCUUCCACCGCAGUAUUAAAUUCUGCAUACCAAAGAAAAUGAUCAAGCUUCCUGUUUGCAAGUUCAAUUGCUUCAGAAUGUGAUGGACUAGCAACCUCCCACCCCAUUUCACUGGAUGACUAUCUACGCAUAUCUUUCUGUUGUUUCUGAUAAUGAAACAAAAUUAUACGCCUUCCAUGCGUCCAGAUCAUGGCUGGUGAAUGUGUUACUGUCCUUCAAAGUCUCUGUCAUUUAUGAUGAGGGUGCAGCAAGCGUUUCUUGCCUCUUCUUGUUAAAAUGAGAACAAAUCCAAAUCCAUUGAUGAUUAGUUCUCUCUCAUUGGACAUUGCAUGAAAGAAUAGGCGUACUUGAAUCCAAUUGUUCAUGUCUGAUGUCUCCAUAACAGUUCCACUUUUUCUGGAUGGUGUAUUUUGAACGUCUGUAGUGUGAAUUGUACAAUUUAAAGUGCAAAGUUUUUCUCUUCUCCCUCCCUUGAAACUUCAGUAUGAUGCAUCUCUUUACCUAGAGUGCAUUUCUAAUCCAGAGAAUUGGUUACCGGUUUAAGCAAUGCAAGUAUAAUACAUUAAUACAGUAUCCUUGUCUUUGUUUUCUGCGUGAAGUAUGAAGUAAGAUAAUCCCAAUAUGCCAUGCAUGAAAAGCAAUCCAACAAUUAUCUGAACCCUUAAUCAGUUGCAUUAAAUUUGGUUGGAUUGAAACGCGUUAAGUGUGUUAAGAGUCCCAGAUUUAUGCCAACAAGUUCAACAGAAAAGAUCAAAGGAAGAGAUGUUUUUGGCUGUUGAGCGGGUAUGUUGAAUGCAUGAAAUGAUGACAGUGACUUCAACUGUGUACUGUGAUUUGAGCGUUUAAAUCAUGCAUGGCGCGUAUCAAAUUACCCAGAAUCAUUCGGUUAAUUACUCUGAUUACUGUUGAAAAAAGAAUAAAUCGGGACAAUAUUGUUCUGACAUCGGACAGGUAUCAAACUAUGAUGGUCGCCUGUUGGGCUGAUUAAACCUUGCAACAAAGAAAUAUCUACUUGUAUAUAAGAAAGAAAGAAGGUUUAAUGCUUUUCUUUACUUUUGCCAAGUGGCUUCUCAAUUAUUUGACAAGUAAGGCCAAAUAUUUCUUGCAAAGUAUUGAAGCCUUCUCUUAAUAUUUCUUUCAAAUUGAUCGAAGCCUUCUCUUUAUUUUGGCAUUAGUGCUUUUCUUUUCUUUAGCCAUGUGGAAAAGUCAAAUAUUCCUUCCAAAUUGUACAAAACCUGUCCUUUCUUUUGGCAUUGAACUCUUUCUUUCUCAAAUUGCCGAUGAAGCCUUUUCUUCCUUUCUCUCUACCAGACAGCUAUUUUGACCAGACGGCUAUUCUGAUCAAAAAUUCGGCGCACCUAUUCUAAGCAAAUCCAAUUCCAAACGGCUAUUCUACCAAAACCCAAUCGGAAACGUUGGGAUUUUUAUGUGAUUUGGGAGAUGGGUUUUGUGAGUUCCUUCUUUCAGAAAUUGCCGUUGAAGCCAGUAGGUCAACUGCCACUCCAGACACCUGAUUUCAUGUUGCAGAAAUUGCUACUCACUCACAUGGUGUUUGUACUUCAAAGGAGGAAAAUUAGGAGCAGGUGAACUGUUUUGCCUACACUUGCCGUAGUUUCCUCUUUCUCUAAUAUCAAAUUAACCCAUUUCAUGUUGCAAGAAUUGAUUUCAUGUUAACCCAUUUCUCUUUCUAUUGAUUUCAUGUUGCAAGAAUUGUGGGGCAGUCACAUGAUAAUUAUACUUCAAAUGAGGGAAAUUGGGAACUUUUUGUUAGAUUAGGUAUGACAUUCUAUUCUCAUUAGUUUUCCAUUCAGCCUUACGAUUAUGAUGAGAAAUAUCUUUUCAGAUGUGAUUUUUCCCUUGUUCCAGUUAUGAUAAAAAAAAAUAGGUUUCCUAUUCAUUUAGCCUGUAAAUUUUCCAGUGAAUUAUGAAAUCAAAAAAUAAAAUAGAGGUAUUUAUCAGUGCAUGGUGCUGGCUCCUCUGUCUUAUGAACUGCAAGAAGAAGUGUCUUGAUCUUUACACCUUCUUUGGAGUCUCUUUGGUGAGAAAAAGUCUUUCCCUUUUUUUUGUGAAAUUUUUCCCGUAUGAGUAAUACACGAAUUAAUAAAUUCUAAUAUACACAUAUGCUUCAAUUGAUAGGUUCUUUCUGCUAUGAUUCAUAUCAUCAGUCAAGGAAUCCUUUAAUUUGAAGGUCAGCUUGUUGUCUUUCUUGAAUCUAUGAGCAGUUUUUCUUCAUUUAUUUGACUAUAUUUUCAAAAGUGAAAUUUUAGUGUUCCCUUUUCUUUGUAGUAGUUUUUCUUCAGUUUCUGCUUCAUUUAUUUUAAGUUUGCUGGUGCUAUUUGUUUUGUGUGAUCCUUUAUGAAACAAAUAGUUUUUAUUUAAGUAGGUAAUUGUGUUAAUAUUUUCUCAAUCCAAUUGUGUUGCUGCAAUCCAUUCACCUGAAAAAACAAGUAAAAAUGAAGAUAUGAACCCAGCUCCCAGUUCAAUAAUCCUUAUUUUGAAAUUUGGUGAAUUCUUGAAUAUAUAUUAUUAGUGGCAUACCUACAAAAAAGAAAGAUCCAUUUGCUAAUAUGAGUAUGGCCAACUGAACUGUCCUAUUGGUUUGCUUAUGAUCAAUGUUCUAUCAAACAGCCAAAUUGCUAUAUAUACUAGAAAAAAGAUUAUAACAAUGGACAACAAUAACAUAUUUUGUGAGCCAAAAUCAUUAGCACAAUAUAUUUUGUGAGACAAACUUUUGCUUGUGCUGAUUUUGGGGCUGUGACUGCUAUGCUAAAGUUAUUAUUACAUGACAAGUUUAUUUUUAACUAAUUUCAAUCUCCUGCUAUUGGUGCUUUUGUCUUUAAUUACAAUAUACAUAUCUAAAAUAUGUGACCUGUUGUUGUUCUAAAUAAGGAAUAAGAGUGAUUAUCUAUUUUUUAGAUAACUUUAAGGCCAAUGCAGAGAGGUUGUUAUUGGCAAAGCUUGUUUAGUCAUCUAAGUGAUUAUUGGUUAAACAACUUAAGACUUUGUACCUCUUGUUUCUAAUUGAUUAUCUAGUGUGUGCCUUGUUUGCUAUUUCAUUUAGUCUAGACUUGUCUAGGGCAAUGAAACACUUGAUGGUUACCUCUUAAGGAUAUUGUAUACAGAGCAUCCUUCGGCUGUUAUUCAUUAUAGCCCUUUUAGGCAAAACUCGUUCACUCCUUUAUAUGACUAUCAGUUAAGCAACUUAGGUUAUUGUGCCUGUUUUAUCCCAAGUUGCAUGUAAUAUGCUUGUUGUUUUGUCUAAUCUAGACACAACCUUAGGAGAAUGAAAAACCUGAUGAUUACUUUUUAAAAACGGAGAUUUGAAUGGUGGUACUUGUUGUAGUCUAGCCAAAAGCUGGGCUCCAAAGGCAUCAAAUGUAAUAAACAUUUCUAAAGGAAAAUAAAGGUUAUUAACUUGGUAUUCGGAUCAGUUGUGGUUUUAGGUGUCCGCUAAUAUCCUAUUAAAAUUACUUUGUUUUGUUUAUAGUGCAUCAUUGCUCUUGCUGUGUUUGCCUCUAAAGUUCGAAUUAUGUAUGCACCUAUUUUGUUGCUUUUCUUUGCCCUUUUUUGUUCAUGUUCUUUCCCUGAUAUUUCUUUUUCCUUGUGUUUUGUUACUUGGAUAAUCUACACUUCAUCUUAGACGUAGAGCUUUGUACGCACAGAGCAAAUAAAUCUUUUUGGUAAAUAUAGGAGAAAAUUUGAGUAUCACAACAAUUAAAAUUUGCUAUGAAAAGAAAUUCCGUUUAUAAAGUUAGUCCUGUAUUCAUCAUGAUUUGGACAAAGAUUUUGAACCAAUACUAUGUGUCCGAAAAAAAAAGACAUAAUAAGUACACUACAUUGAUGUUAGCUGCAUACUUGAUUGGUAAUUUAUAAUUUUAAGAAUGCUAUUUCACAAACAUUACUGUUAAUCUUAUCUUAUAUGAAAAUAUAUGACAACAGAUUAUAUGGGGCCUAGGUUGUGCUUAGCACAGCCGAUAACCUCCUAGUCUUACAUAUAUAGAAAGACUUGAGAUUUUUACUCACAGGUUUAGCCACGUAGCGGAAUGAAGGGGGGAGAAAAAUUUUCUCCCGUUUAUGCCCUGAGAAUAUUGUUUAGUUCUCCGAAUAGUGUAUCACUGGUGAGGUCAUUUUUGUCUUGUUACAUAAAAUUACUAUCUUGCCCAGAGAAAAAUAACUAGCCCCAAAAUAGUAACUAACUGUUGAGGGCUAUUUUUGACUUUUUAUUAAUAAUCUUUUGCUUUAUUUCUCAGUCUUUUCCCAUCUCUUGCCCUCUUUUUUUAGACCAAAGAAAGCGGUAGUUGGCAUUAGCUCUGUUGUUCUCCACUUUUUCUUUGUCUCCGUUAUGAAAGAUAAGAAAUCAAAAAGCCAAACAAAAUUAUGGAAAUGCACCGAUGUGGCUGGAAAGCAAAACACUCCCUUUGCAUUUUAUUUUACAACUUUAGCCUAUCAUCUUUUGUUUUCUUCUUCAUCUCUCUCUCUCUCUCUCUCUCUCUCUCUCUCUCUCUCUCUUUUUGUUUCCCGUUUCUUAAUUUUCCUUUCAGCUUUCUUUUCUCCCACAAAGAAUCAAUUAUGGCUGCCCAUCCAUAUCCCAACUGUGGGAUUGUUCCACAAAAGAUGAUAAUCCUCUUUUCCUUUUCAUUGUUUCCGUUUCUUGGACUAUUCUUCUCUUCGGUGGAAAAAGAGAAGUAGAGAAGCAGCUGAAUAGCUUUUAGAAACAGUGGCCAAGAAAUGGGUUGUCCGCCUGCUUCCUCCAACAAUUGGUCAACAAUUUCAGGAUUGGCUUAGCUAAAUUACGGCUGCUCAUCGGAUUUUUUCGUUAGUCCUUAUCUAUUCCUUUUUAUUCCCCAGUCAUUCUUUUCCUCUUGCUUUGUCUCUUUUUUUUUUUUCUGUUUUUCGUUCUUUACUUUCCCCCUCCUGUUGUUUACAGAUCACUCAGUCAAUAAUUUCAUGAUUUUCUUCUCUAAAUUAUGGCAAUCCAUCCAAGUUUUUUUACAUCUGUACUCUUUAUUAUUAUACCCAACCAUGAGAAUGUGGUUUGUCCUUUUGUAUUCAUUUUCAUUUCUUGCCCGGUUGAGAACUUACCCAGACUCAAAUAUAUAUAUAUAUAUAUCUCUGACAACUUAUCAAGUUUGCAUCUUUAUCUGCUCUAUUCAUAAUGGCUAAUACUAUUGCUAGAGAUAUAGGUUUGUCCUUCUGUUUUCCUGAUAUUGUUGACCAAUUGCCAAAUUAUCAAGAAUGAAGGAAAGCUUGUGCCUUUAUAUUAGAAACAGAAGUACUGGUCACAAAAAACUACACCCUUCUUCUACUUUGUUCUCUGCAACCUUUCGUGCUGAAAAUAACUACUACUUUUCUUUGUCUAAUUUAUUCCCCUGCCAGUAUUUAAGAGAUUGGAUAAUCUGUCUACUUUUUAUUUUAGUUACCAAAUUUCUUCAAGAAUCAAGAGGUUAAUUGCAGUUUGAAACAAUUGGUGCAGAAAAACUUCUGAUUUAGCUUCCACGGAUUUCUAGCAAGUAGUUGCUUCAAUUUCAGGUCACUCUCUUUAGUCCUUCAAUUUCUUGCUUUUUCUUUUCCUGUUAAGAAUAUGGUACAAGUAAUUACCAAUUAAGGGUUGUCACCAUUUAUUGAAUACAGAUAAUCAAGCUAAAACAAGUUAAAUUCUCAACCUAAAGUUUAAACUAAAGUUCCAACCUUAUGUAAAAGCAUAGAAAUCAGGUUUUGCCCCACAUUAAAGGUAUUAUGCAUAGAAAUCAGGUAGGCAAUAGAAGAAACAAAACUUAAAAUAGAUAAUCCUAAUAUUGAGUUUCUAGGAUUUGUUGUAGCUAGCUUAGAAGUGUAGAAUAUUAAUUCCUCAAAGCUAUUUGUAAAGGCAACGUUCUUGGUUCCACAGAACUAUCAAAUGUUAAAACCACAAUAUGUUGGCUGUUUUAUGCAUUCACAUAAUUUGAAUGUAGUGAGUGAUGCAUAAUCUCUUCUAUGAAUACUAUUACACCCAAUUAAAGAUUACAGAAUCUGUGACAGUUUCUCUAAAUCCGAGUAUCUAUAAAGCUGGAACAUUAAAAAAAUGAGGUUUUCUUGAUGAAAUAUGUUUGCUCACUAACUUUGAACCAUACACCCUCGUAUUUGCACUAAAAAAUGCACAAACCUAAUGAAGUCAGAUUGUUUGGUAAGAAACGAUACUAUGUUCUUUUGUAGCUUAAAUGACUGUAGUUUUUAGAUUGUAAGUUCAUUUGGUUUCACUUAUUAACUGAAUAUGGCUGAAAAUAAUUGCACCUUUGCAAUCUUUCCUACUAAAACUAAUUACUCCUUUCUUUUUGUUUUAUUUUUUCCUCUGUCAGUAUUAAUAUUAUUAGAUAGUUUGCAUAGUUUUGCGUUGACUGAUAGCAUUCUUCUACAUCCAAUUUACAUUUCCAACUCCGUUCACCAGUUCAGCAUAUUUGGGGUUGAUGGAUUCAUGCUAAGGAAUUGCUUUACUUCAAGGUCAUUUCUUCUGUUCCUUGACUGCAUAGAUUUAGUUAUCAUAUUAUGCAUGGUGCAUUGAUGGAGAACAAAACAGUACUCAGGCCUAAUAUUGCUUUCAUUUUCUUACGACUACUUUCAUUGAGAUGAAAAGAUAAAGGAAUGCAAGUAAAAGUUUUAGUUUAGUAGAUGAGUGGUUUAAUGAAUGCUACAAUACUCAGGUUUCACUAAAAGGGAGCCCACAUAUCUCUCACAAAAUAGUACAAUCUCAAGAGCUAUCAACAAAUUUCCCCCUUUCUCUCUUUAUGGGGACAACCAUUCUACUAAAAGCAAUUUGUGUUCUUUGUUCUCUGUUUUAUAGAUGGCUAGCUGCCAUGGAAGCAAUCAUUCUACUGAAAGUAAUUUUUACAUUUUCUUCUCUGUUGUACAACUGUUCCUUUUCUUUCAUGUAAAAAAUAACAUUAUAAGCAGAAGGUGAAUAUAUGUAAUCCCCAGAAACUGGUAUCUUCAUUGUAAAGGUGUAUGAAUUUUGUGCUUUUUAAAUGGAAAGGAUAUUAUGUAAUUUCAUUUAAGAAGUAAGGUUCUACCUUUGCUUCUUUAUUCUUACUCUUGUUGAUUAAACAUUUACAAAUGCAACAUAGUAUAGGAUCUUUUGAACAUUUACAGAUGCAACAUAGACUACGUAGUAUAGGAUAUUUUGAUUUUCAUUAGAGAGAUGCUACUGCUAGAAAGCAAUAAUUUACGCACUUAAUAUUUUCCACAUCUUGCCAGUAAACGUAUUUGGCAUGCUAUGUUUACAACUUGAUGACCAAUGAUGCAAGCAAUCCACAAAAGUUUUUUAAUUAUACCACAAAAUCACUGAACUUAAUAAAAUUUUCUACAAUAAUCUCUAAUAUCAGAUUUCUUUUCAGCUAAAACUUUAAUCUUCUAGCCUAAAAAUCCUUUUAAAAAAUUUUUAAACUUAAAAAAAAAAAAGAAUAGCAAAUAAUAACAGUAUUUAGGUUGGUAUUUCAAUUAAUAAAAAUAAAAAAAUAAUGUUCAUAUCUAAUAUUGUUAGGACCAACAUUUCUUCAAUUUUAAUAGGUAGGCAUGAGCUAUGGUAAACACCUUAUUACAUUAGAUACAUCUACAUAAGAAUUGUCACUACUUACAAUUUAGGUGCUCUAAAUUAUAUUUUCUACACAAUAGGUUGGGAAUUGGUUGUGCUAUUGGAUUUAGAUGAAUAAUUAUUUAAUCUGAUGAGAAUUUUGAACCUUUUCAAAUGGGUAAUUUAUUUCUAAUUUAGAAUAAGAAUUAGAUACAAUUGUGCCCAAGUUUAAAAAUAAGAGUGGCAAAGAAUUUUUCAAUAUUUGUUACACAAUAGAUUGGGCAUCGGCUAUGCAAGGCACAGCCAGAACCAUUCUAGUAUAUAUAUAUAUAUAUAUAUACAUAUUUAAAAAAAUGCUGGCAGCCCGCAGCAUCAUGAAAUAGUAAAAAAAAAAGGUGUUUGUCUGCUACAAGUCUUUUAAAAAUUUUAACUACAGUAACCUCAAAAAAAAUUUUAAAAUUUUUAAACUAUACAUUUCAAAAUAUUCAAAAAUCUACACAUUUCAAAAAUUUUUUAAAAACUUCUAUAGUAAGUUACAGUAAAAUUUUAGACAAACUCCCAAAGAACUCACAUUCCAAACAGGUUUCACCAAAACUUUAUUCUUGCCUAUAUAAACAGGCGGUGAGCAUUUUUAAUGGAGUAAAUAAAGUCAUUUAUGAGUAUUUUUGUUAACAAAAAGUGCAAAAGUGUAGUUUAUCUCCUAUAGAUUUUUUGUGAAAUUUUUUGGGCUGUACAAUAACUUGUUUAAUUCUGCCAUGAUAACUUGUUUUCUUUUACUUGGCUUGCUGCAAGUUUCUGAUCACUUGACCAAGCCAGAGCCAGAAAAAGGCAGGCAAGCUAAAUUACAAUUUUUCUUAUCAAUUUCUCUACUACUUCUACCAUGAUCAAAUAAUGUAGAAAAUAGGAAUUGGCGUUUAAGCAAAUUAGUUUCUAAUAUCUUUUCUCUUUAAAAUGUUCUGAUUCAUUUGACCAGGUUAGAGUCAGAUAAAAUACAAUACCAGGCAUUCACCAAGCUAUAGGUUCUUUUUUGUUUGAUCAUUUUUCUGUUUACUUUUACGAUCAUAUUUUCAUUUGUUGGAAGUAGAAGGGUGAACAUAACGGUGUAUCACAUGGGAUUUUUAAAAUAUUCAUGAAAAUAUCUAAAAGUCACAUAUGGAAGUGUAUAAAAUAUAAGAAUAAAGGGAUUGAAUAACAUAAAUUUAGAAAAAUUAACAUGAUUAAGGUCAUGUUUGAUAAUCCAACUCAAUAUUUAAAAUUAAUGGGUUCAAAUUUUAAUAUGUUUAUAUGUGUUUGAUAGUGAAAAAUAGAACGUUAUUAGUUAAGUAGAUUUGAAUUAUUUAGGCAAAAUUUACUUAAAAUAAUGGGUAAUAAGCUAUUCACUUAUUACCUAAUACAGAGUACCCACGAAUGUUAAAAUUUUAGUACUUAAUAAUUCGGUAAUUUAGCAUAUUCAGGUUUGAGUUUUUAUCAAACUCUCGUUUUUAUAAUUUUUUAAAAGUCUAAAAAGUUGUUAGCUAAAAAGAAAUCUUGUUUAAGAGUUGCAACAAUGAGAUCAACUUCUAAAACAUGCAAUUACAAUGAGCACAUUUAUUCAACAAAAGCUUUUUUAAAUAUCUUUUUAAUUGUAUCACAUACACAGACUAAAAUUGAAUAAUUAUAUCUCAAUAAUCAAUUUAUCACUAUUUAACACCAAAUUAGAUAAAGAUUAGAUUUAUACCUGUAAUCUAUCUAAUAAUAUUUAAACAUGAUCAUUUGGUGUUUGAUUAACUUUUACAAUUACUCUUGAAAAUUCUACAGAAACCAAACUAGAAUGGUCUAGUGGACCGGGCCAGGGUUGGUUUUGUCUUUCAGCCCAUUUUAAUGAGUAAAACCAGCCAGCAAAAUCCAGUGGGUCCUCUGUCCACAUUACAUCAACACGUGUCCCACUGGCCCACAAAGAUAUUUUUAUUAGGGAUAAUUGCAGAAACCUCCCCUGAGAUUUCUGACAUUUGCACUGACCACCCCUAUGGUUUAAAACAUUACACUGACCUCCCCUGAGGUUACUAAUCUUUUACAAAUUCAGUCCAAACGAUUAAAAUAUUGUUUUAGGGAGUGAAAUUAGAAUUUUUUACCAAAUUUGUCCUUUGUACUACAUGCCCAAUGAAUGACAAAGUAUUAUAAAUUAAUUAACAAUUAAUAAACUUUAAGGAGAAUAAUUUAUAGGUAAAUACAUAUUAUCUAUUUAAAGUACCGCCUUUUUAUGGGUAUUUUACUUUCAAACAUUUAAUUUAAUACAAAUAUUUACGCUCAAAUACAGAUUUGUAUUUACUUUCAAAUAUUUAAUUUUUGUUAAAUACAAAAACUACCAAUCUCUCUCCCGUAAAAAUAUUAAUAUAACACAUUUUUAAUUUUAGUUACAAAUAUUUAUCUAUUUAAUAUAAAUUAAAUGAUUCAAAAUAAAAUGCCAUAAAGAGCCAAACUUUACUCAUGUAAUGGAUGAAAGUCAUAAAGAAUUAAUACUUUAUGGGCCAUUUCUUUCUUUUUUAAAAAAAAUAUUUAAUUUAUAUUAAAUAAAUAACCAACCGAUUUCCUUUUUGCAAUAAUAUUACUGUAACACUUUUUGAAUUUUACUUACAAACAUUGAUAUAUUUAUCAUAAAUUAAAUGUUUGAAAGUAAAAUACCCGUAAAAAACCAGUAUUUUAACUGAAUAAUGCAUGUUUGCCCAUAAAGAGUCGAUAACUAUUUAAAGUAUCGGUUCUUUACGGGUAUUUCACUUUCAAAUAUUUAAUUUAAUACAAAUAUUUACACUCAAAUACAGAUUUGUAUUUACUUUCAAAUAUUUAAUUUUUGUUAAAUACAAAACCUACCAAUCUCUCUUUCGUAAAAAUAUUAAUAUAACACUUUUUCAAUUUUAGUUACAAAUAUUUAUAUAUUUAACAUAAAUUAAAUGAAUAAAAUGCACAUAAAGAACGAAUACUUUACUCAUGUAAUGGAUGAAAGUCAUAAAAAAUUAAUACUUUAUUGGUCAUUUCUUUUAAAAAAAAUUUAAUUUUUAUUAAAUAAAUAACCUACCGAUUUUCUUUUUGCAAGAAUAUUACUGUAACACUUUUUAAAUUUUACUUACAAAUAUUGAUAUAUUUAUCAUAAAUUAAAUGUUUGAAAGUAAAAUACCUGUAAAAAGCCGGUAUUUUAAAUGAGUAAUGCAAGUUUGCCCCAUAAAUUAUACUCCUUAAAGUUUAUUAAUUGUUAAUUGAUUUAUGGUACUCUAUCAUUCAUUGAACAUGUAGCACAAAGGGCAAAUCUGGUACAAAAUUCUAAUUACACUCUCUAAAAUAAUAUUUUAAUCGUUUGGACUAAAUUUGCAAAGGAUUAGUAACCUCAGGAGAGAUCAGUGUAAUUUUUCAAACUACAGAGGAGAUCAUUAUAAAUAUUAGAAACCUCAGGGGAGGCUUCUGCAAUUAUCCAUCAGGGAUCAAUACGAAUGUCAUAGAAUUUUGUAUUGACAUCUCUUGUGGCUUAAAAAAUUACACUAACCUCCCCUGUGAUUUAAAAAAUUACACUUACUUCAUGGAGGUUUCUGCAAUUAUCCCUAAUAAUAAAACAAUCACAUUAUCCACUUAGACGUGCGCAAUGAGCACCCUGCGGACGUUAGCAACAAGUCAACAACCCUACCUUACUAUAUAUAGUGAGUCCCUUUCUUCUCCACUGCUACACUCGCGCUGCCGCCCACUCCUGUUUUUCAAUAAUGGGAAAAAAGUAGUUUUUAUUCCAUUGCACAAAUUUAAAAAAAAAUUAAGAUUAAGAAUUUUCGUGUGUGAGUGCGUGAGAGAGAGAGAGAGAGAGAGAGAGAGUUGAGGAUGGUUGUGGAGCGGUGGGUUGAAACGGCCGUCGGCGAUGUGUUGAAGGACGGCGCUCGGAUGCUACAGAUUAAGUUGAAAAACCGGUUCAGAGUCGCCGUCGAUCACCAUCGGAGAAUGGCGGGGUUCUACUCCACCGACGGCGAUGGAUACUUCUCGUCGACAAUGCAGCGGUUGAUUCAGCGAUUCAGCGAGUUCCGUAGGGAUUCUCUGCCUUCGUCCACUAUGUUCUACCGCAAACGAGGUUAAUCUCUUAUAAUAGUACUCUUUUCCUUCCUUUUUCCUUUUUUUUUUUUUUUUAAGUAUACGCUGUUUUGACGUUAUAAAUAAUAUCUACAUCUUUUUGUGCAUUUUCUGGUUAGUUUUUAAUUUAAUGCUAUUGAGUUUUGUUAUGGAUGGUGGUGAGGUGGACUUUUUCUUACAUUAGGAGUUCCAGGAGUUGAUUAAGAUCGAGCUGCUUAUAAUUUGUAUUCAUGAUCGCUAAUGAAGUUUGGGACUUGGCUGUCGUAAAAUUGGUGAUUGUUUUUUGAAGUCUGAAUUUUAUGGAAUGUAAGUUGUUGAAGCGUGCAUUUUUGACUCAUUGAAAUAUGGAUAUUAAUUGAGGAUUUGGUUGAAUUUUUUGCAUGGCAGUAUCCCUUUUGGAGAAAUGUGUUGAUAGCUUAUAAGUGGACAAAAAUAAGUUAGAAGGAUGAGAAAUCAUACUCCAUAGAUACCCAGGAAGAAACGCGAAAGUUCAUGUUGAAGUCUAGCUAUUUACACUAAUCUGGGAUAAAGACUUGAUCAGGGAGUAAACUAGCCCAAGACUUGAAAUUUAACAGGAUGGGAAAAGGCCAAAUUGUUUCGGCUUAAUGAACCGGAAUCUUCGUGCAAAUUUAAUAUGGAUGCUCACUAACUCCUAGUGUCAUUAAAUGAUUUAUUCUUCUCAUCAUUAUCUGUAAAUGCUCUGAACAGGACAACUUAUUCAAUUAGAUCAAGAUUGUAGGUAAUGAUUAAACUUUAAGUAUUGAAAUUCAGAUCUUCAAUUUUAUUGAAGUUUUCCUGAAGUUUUCUUUUCUCUACUUUCUUUGUAAGAACCUGUAUGUGGAAAAAGUCCUAGGUUUUCCCUUAGUAUUGGAAAACAAAGCUUAAACUUUCCAGUAUGAAUUAAACCUUGAUGCAUAUUUCUUGUGCUUCCACUUUCGUCAAAUAGGAUUCGGAAUUUAUGGUUGACACUCUGGAUUUGAUUCGUGACUAGUUAUUUAUUGCAACAUAACAAUAUAAGAAUGACAUGGAGGAAGUAUCUUGAUGUAAUUUCAUGUUAUGGAAUUGAGAAAUGAUGAACUUGGAAUCUUCAGUUCUAGUGAGCAAUUAAUUUUUCAGACCUAUUGUUUCUCAAUUUUUUUUAGGGGGUGAAAGGGGUAGCAGAAAGAUCUAGUAUGGCAGAGUCGACAUUGUGAUCCUAACUUGUUUCUCUAAUUGCUUUGGAAAAUAACCAUACAGAUUCUACAAUAAUUGGGAUUGAAGUUCUGUUCAUUUAUCUGAAAGAGAUGUCAAUUCGUGUUUUUUUUUCUUUAAACAAUGUCCUUUUCAUCCCGAAGAGGAAAUGAUAUAAAAAAAACUUGGUUAACUUUAUUGAUUUGUAACUCAUAUGUGUGUGAAACGGCAAGCCAUUUUACCAAAUAGUUGUAUGAGUUGCUUGAUUUCAAAGAUAUUUGAUGAAAGCAACUUGUAAAAUGAACUACAUUUCACUUGAGUCUUGCUAAAUAGUAAAAUGAAAAACAGACAAGUAGCAUUCUCACUAUACCUGCAAAGGACAUUAUGCUUUAUAUUUCUGGGAGCUGAUGCUCAUUUCUGGGUGAAGAUGACAAUACCCUGAGAUUUAAAAGUAGUUAGAUUUAAAAGUAACUACUUUUGAAAAUUUUCCUUUUUUUUUUGAGAUUUUAUUUGCAUUUUUACAGUCAUUGGAUCAAAUAUUGGUGGAUCAUAUUAAAAGUCAGUACUGAAAUAAUUUUAUCAUUGAGCUGUAUACCUCUGGCCUUCUGCAAAGCAAAUUUAUUUUAUCAUCUCCAGACCUAGUUGAUUAAACAAACUGAGACAAAAAUAUUGGAGAUAGACUUAAUUAUUCCAGGAAAUCAACUCUGUCUUCAAAGGGAAUUGUUUCCUUCUGUCUGUCUAUUUUUUAUCUUAAGGGUUAAAUUGUAGAUAGAGUCGUUCUGCGCUGUAUGGAAUCAUCUUCUUUUAGAGCUGAUUUUCCACAUAAGAUGAUUUGCUUAUGUACAGAGAGGAGUUUUUGCUUCUCAAUUCUACUACUCUUCCCUCUAUCCUCAUCUUUUUGUACAUGUACUCCGUGUCUCCUUAAGAAACUAUUUCUAAGAAGAGGGGAUGUGGUAGAGUACGUAGGGAUGGGAAGCAGGCAUGAAUCAUAGCUGGCAGUUUAUCAACUAACUCCACUAGCUAAUGUGAUCUGAAAGUUAUUUAGAGACUUUGAGAAAGUUUUUCUAGUUGUAUUAGUUGGAUUUAUAAUAUGUGAACUUUAUAAUUGCAGUUAGUAAAGACAUUGAUCUCGAAGCAGAUUCAGUCCUGACCCGAGUGCUUCAGGCUGUGGCUGUUCCUGUUUUUGGAAAUGUUUGUCAUGUUUUCAUGCAUGGCCUGAAUCGAGUGCAGGUAUGAAAAUUUUUUCUGGUGAUACAAUUUAAUAUUCUCUCUCUCUGUGUUUUUGGCAUGUUACAAACAAUUAAAUGACUUGCAUCACAGAUAUAUGGUGCAGAAAAACUUCACCAGGCUGUAUUAGGUAGACCAGAAAAUAAGCCCUUAGUUACAGUAAGUACACCAAUUCAUAGUUGUAUUUUAGUAAUAUCAAUUGGUUUACAUUUUCCCUUGCCCAUAAAAAUAAUCAUCUGAUUGCGCUAAGCUGUUUAAAUCAUUUGUAGGUUAGCAACCAUGUUGCUGCCGUAGAUGACCCCUUUGUUCUUGCUGCCUUACUUCCUCGAAAUGUUCUGUUAGAUGCUCAUAACUUGAGGUGGACACUUUGUGCAACUGAUCGAUGCUUUCGUAACCCUUUGACAUCUGCAUUCUUUAAAUAUGUGAAAGUGCUUCCAGUUUCUCGUGGUGAUGGUAUUUAUCAGAAGGUACUUCAUUGUUUGAACUUACAACUUUUUUAAAGAUAUUAUGUAUACAUGGUAUCAUAUUUUCAUCUCCACUUUUCAGACUUCAUUUCUUUAAGGUGUAAAACUAUGUGCUUAGUGAGCUUGUGCUAAGGAAGCAGAUAUUUUGUUUAAUUAUCCAAACUCUGUGUAGCUGUCAAGUUUUCAGAUGCUUUAAUUUGGGCUCAAUUGAGGGUGCUCUCGUUUUUAAACUGUGGCUGAUAUUAAAGCUGGUGCAGCUUCUCCUAAGGACCUUUAAUUCUUUGUAAUUUUCAUUUGCCUGUUCUGGUCUCAAGAUGCUAAUUUUGUCAACUAAUCUGUAAUAAAAAUAGGUUAAUUUAAAAUUAUUUCGGCAUUCUUUUAAUGCCUCGCUUUCAAUUCGAACUUGUGAAAAUAGUUUUCUCUUCCCCCUGUAUUCGACCAUUUGUCACUUCAUAGGUCAAGCAAUUGAACAUGGUGAACAUUUGUCAGUUGUGUAGCUUGUAGCGUACAUGCAACUGUUUUUACUUCACGGCUUAAUAGCUUGAAUGUCAUCUAUCUCUGCAAAUUUCUCUACAAUCUGAUCAUUUCAAAGUUGGCUUAAUUUCUUCUUCAUAACUUGAUUCAGGGAAUGGAUGUUGCUAUAUCCAAAUUGAAUCGUGGUGAGUGGGUUCACAUAUUCCCCGAAGGCAGCCGUUCUCGAGAUGGAGGGAAAACCAUAGGUCCUAUUAAGAGAGGUGUCGGCAGGUGAGAAAUGUCUUAAGCAAUCUUGUUCGUGAAUGAAAUUCAUCCCCUUUUAAAAGGUUAAAGAAUUGUGGUUUAUUCCUAUAUGCUUUUUGGUACAUGGUUUGCUGAUUCAAGCCUAGUGACUUUCCCCCCGCCCCCAAACCCCCCCCCCCCCCAACACAAAAAAAACCAUUGUUUUCCUGUUGGAGGGUGGCCUCGGGGGGACUGGGCUAAGUUACUGAGGGAAAUUGGCAAAACAAUUGUCCUUUUAUUUAGAUGUUGCUUCUUGAUUAUGGGAUGAGAUUGACUGAGCAAGGUGGACAAGAUUGUAUUGCAACAUGAUGUCUGUCUUUUCUUUAAUGUCUCAAUUAUUGUGACAUUGUGAGGAUUUGAAAUUGUGCAAAUUAUCUAAAUGACUUUUGAUAUGAUAGUGAUAACUUCUUACAGUACCAUAUUUGUCCCCGUUUCUGCAAACGAGAUGAGCUGUGAAACUAUUCACAUAAGCUUUUAUAGCUUGAAUAAGCUGUCAAAAAAAGUCUCUAUGCUGCAAUUGGUUCUACUUGCUUUUGCAGUAAGAACUAAAAGCUGUUACCAGGCUAGAAAAUGCAUCAGGUGAUAUGUCUUGUAUAUAUUUUUCAAUCUGGCCUGUAAGUAGAUAUGUGUUAUGAUCUGUUUAGAACUAAGUACUGCAGCUCAGAGUGAACCAAGAGCUCAAUAACUUGAGAGGAACGCAAUCUAGUUUAGACACCAUGACAAAGUAUUUUGAGUAGGUUCUUUUUUAUACGCAUCUGUUACGGUUAUUAUGCUUGAUGGAGGGGAUGGGUGUCUAGUUAUCUGAUAUGGUAGUUUAUAGUUGACAUUGCAUUUGUUUUGCUUAAUGUUGCACCCUGGAUUUUUCAUGCUUUGUGCCAAAUUUAUCCUAUUGACUGGAUCAUGUCUGCACUUUGACAAUAACUGUAACAGGUUGAUCUUAGAUGCUGACAAUGUACCAAUAGUUCUCCCAUUUGUGCACACUGGCAUGCAAGAUAUAAUGCCAAUAGGAGCCAAGCUUCCCAGGAUUGGUAAGACGGUAAGUACUUUUUUGUUUCACCAAGUGGUGCUAUUUAUUUUGGAAAGUUGUGAUAGUUUCAAAGCAUCAUCUUGAGCUUUCUGUUUUCGGAUGGUCAAUUUUGGAACACUCAUCCGAUAAGCUAUCUUUCUGUGAUCUGGCCUGAUCGAUCGAUCAUAAACUACAGGUUACUGUACUUAUCGGUGACCCCAUUCAAUUUGAUGAUAUACUCAAUUUGGAAGAAAACCAGAAUAUGUCCAGAGGGAAGCUGUAUGAUGCCGUGAUUGCUAGAAUACGCGAUCGACUGCAGAGGUUAAAAGCUCAAGUUGAAAGAUUAGUAGUGAUUGAACAAUCACUUCAACUUCAGAAUUACCCUACAAAGGUCACCGAACAAUCAGCUGGAAUUUUGCGCCAGGUUGAUUGGGGUUCGCCUGGCAAGGAAACUUAUACACGACUUGAAGACUAUCUAUCCCCGAGGAAAAAUUUAACAACUGAAAAAGUAGAAGUAGACCAAACCCAGUUACAAGAAAGAAGUUUACAGAGUCGGAAUUCUAGAAUGUGUUUGCUCUGGGAAGGUGGAAUUGGCUCUAGGAAUCAGUGUUACAUGGAAUCCACCGAGUUAAUGGGUUUUGCAGCUAGAGGUUUAUUAAUGAAUAAUACUCCUCGGGUUAAUGACUGCUUUGUUGAUAUUCAAGGAGUUAAUCCAUUGAAGGCUUUGAAUGACUUCAGGAAAUCAAUGUAUGAAAGCUACUAUAGUCCAGUUUUUGCUGACAACUGUGUAAUUUAAGGUUAAAAUAGAUUUUUUUUUUUUUUUUUAAAACCAAUUUUCUGUUUUCUUAUCUUGUCCUACCCAAUUGGAGUCAUUAGCACCUGGAGUAGAUUGAUUUCGGGGAAACAACCAAUAAACCUUUAUUAAAGAUAUGGUCUGUCUAACUGGUACUGUUUUGGCAUUCGUUAAAAUACAUUUUAUGUGUUAAAUUUUUAAAAAUAUAAGAUUAAUUUUAAAAAAAGUAUACAAAUAUAAAAAGAAUAAUUAGAAAAAGUGUAUAAUGUAAAAGAAAGUAAUAAUUGUUAAUAUAUAUAUAUAUAUAUAUAUAUAUAUAUAUAUAUAUAUAAUUUAGGUAUGAUAAGGAGCGCUUAGGCACUAUUAGAAAGAUCCUUCAAGCUGUAUCUGAAAUUUGAACCUUUACCCUGUGAGUAGGAGCACAUGACAUGACUAAAAGGCACAAAGCAGGGGUCUCAUUUGCAUCUUCUGUAUGAUCAUCGGGAAUCAAACUAUUUGGAUAUGAAGUUAUAUGCCAAAAUUUUUUUGAUUGUAUCAUGAUGCACUUCUUAAUUGUUGUUUUAUAUUUUAAUCACUUUUUAAAAAUCUCACAUACAUUAUUUAUUGUUCCGAAAAUCAUUUUCAAAUAACUCUUGUGCAAACAUGCAGUAUUUGUCAUUUCUAAAUUCUAGUUCUCAUAGUGGACGAUUUCAAAUGGUCUCCACACCAACCAUUUGAGUCCAAAGAAGUGUGAUUAGUUAAAGCAGAAAUGGUGCUUGAGAAUUAGCCAAAAUAACCGAAAUAAUAAUAAUAAUAAUUCAAUUUCUGCCGGCCCCAACGGCGUAUCGGAGCAUUGUAUUCCGGUUUUGUCUGUUAAUUUUUGCUACGCGAAAUAUCUAAACUUGACAGUUAUUAAUCGAGUUGAUUUGGAAUAAAAAUAAAUCAAAAAACGCAAUGAUAUUAAUCUGAAAAUUAUCUUAUCAAUAUAUUUCCUCUUUGUAAGAUUUGAAAUUUCCAAUGUAUUAUCAUCAGGGUGAUUAACAAGAUUAUAUUUAAUUGUUAAUAUUUGCUAGAAUUCAAUUUUUUUUUUUAAAACGAAUGAGUUUCGAUACAUGAUAUGUAACUUAUAUUUAAACCGGAAAUAAAGUGCAGGGUAAAAAGAAUGAAUUCAGAAAAAAAAAAUUAAUUCACAAAAUUAAAAUUACUGUGAUACUUACCUAUUUACAGCAAAAGUGGAGAUAAAAAAAAAAAAAUCACAUUUCCAUUUAAAAUGAGAAACAAAACGGAAACCGUAACCCCACGGCACGGUACAGAUCAUCACAAAAUAUUAGAAUCUGGUAAUAAAUUCGGGAUCUGCACACACAGUGGAAGGUGUGACUGUGUGUGAAAAUUUACUACCCGGAAAAAAAAAAAAGAAACAAAAAUGUCAGACGACGAUGAAGAAACGAGUACGCAGCCGGAAGAGCUGAGUCACAAGCAAAAACUAGAAAUUGCAAAAUGGUUCCUCAUCAAUUCUCCCCCUGGCGAAAUCCAAUACGUAGCCAAAGGUAUGUUUAUUUAUUUUGGGUACAAUAAUCUAAUCGCCUAACAACUUUGUGAUUUUUUUUUUUGGGGGAAUUUUUGUUGACAAUUAUCAUGUUUGGGGGGGGGCCGCCGGCUGCAGAUGUUAAAGCGGUUUUGAAAGAUGAAAAUGUAUAUGAAGCAGCGGCAGCGGAGGCAUUUCCUCUGUACAACAAAUCUCACAUGAUUUGCCUACAACUUCCUGACCGAAGUGGCGAUGUAAUUUUCGCUUCCUUCCUUUUCCAAUGCCGUUUUCUAUUUUGUUUUGAAUUUUUUUUCCGGCCAGUAUUGUGUUGGAUUUCUAGGCUGAAUCAUUUUUUGGACUGCUGAAAUAAAUGCUUCUAUAAUUUAUGCACAGUUAUUGGCAUGCGAGUUUAAUAAUUCUCUUUCUAUUGAAGCCCUGCAAGUUUAUAAGAAUUUUACCUUUAAAUGCAUACUUCUUAAUUUGCCAUUGCAUUUGUAAGUUUUCUUAAUUUAACUUGAACCUCUCCAAGAAACUGACAAUCCGCAUUUAAUUAAUUCUUACCGGGCAGCUGGUGGAUAAACCCCACUUAUAAACAUAAGGUUAUAGCCUUCUUUAGGAAGAGAUAGUCAGUGCAUCCUGUGUACCCUGUCUUGAUGGAGCAGCAACCCGAUUAUGAGUAAAGAGAUAGGUUUUAUAUAUCCGCUGCCUGAUAAUUUUUAGCCGAGUUUUAGGAGCUUUAUCGGUCAGUAUACUUGGAGGAGGAGGAGCUUAAUUGGUUAGCUAAACACUGGACUUCCAGUUCUCACGUUGAUCAGUUCAAAAGGCUGGUUUUUGCUGCUAUGGCACGUGAAUUGUGCAGAGCUAGGGAUGGAGGUGUUUUUUAGUGUAGGCAUGUUUCUGCUGGUAGUGUAUUUCUGCUAUCGUGGAGAGCGUGGUUUAUGUUGUGCUUGCCUGGGGGAACUUUCCUACAACUAGAGAGACAUUUGCAUGGGCAGUUGAUCUUGUUAGAAGUUUUUGUUUAUUUAGGUUCCUUAAUUUUUGAAAUGUAUGGUGUUAGGUUCAUGUGAUUAGUACUCCUGUAUAUAAAAAUCAAAUUUUUUUUCCUUUAGGAAGGAUUUAUUGUUGCUAAAAUUUGGAAUUGCUUGUAGUGUUGUACAUGAAGUAUUGAGUGUUUUAAUUUUCCUUUGAUGUUAUAUGUACAGGUGAUGGUGACAUCGUUUAGUGAGAUUACUGAAGAUGAAUAUCUUGAUCCUAGGACUGCGCAAGUGGCUGUGGUUAACCAUGUUAAGCAAGUAAUUUGCUCUUUAUCAUCCAGUUCAUUAUGGAUUUGAAUUAUUCUCUGCUCUUCCUUUGGAUUAAUUUAUGGUUUGUUUUCUUUUCGUGAUGAAAUGCAUAAUGAUCAAGAAGCACCACUAGAGGAUGAAAGAGUUGGUCUAGUAGCAAACACUUGUGCUUUUUACCAGUCAAAUUUGCUAUUUCCAUACACGUAGUAUAAAGUUUUUUUUUUUCCAUUUAUCAGCCCAACUGGUAUUGACUUUUUGAAAAAAAAAAAAUUUUGGCUAUAUGUGCCCGUGAUUUUGCCCCAUCAAGCUGAAAAAGCAAGCAAUAAAGUUAAGAUGCUGACGAGGUGGAAGCAAGGGUACCUGUUUGGUUUGUCUUGAACUAAUGGGAAGGUCCAAUAGAAUAUGCUUUCUGAGGCUUUUUAUAUUGUUUAGAGAUGCAAUGUAGCCUUGAUGUCAAUAAGGGAAUUCUAUUACAGCUAUUCACUCGUCCCCCCUCAGCUACAAGACUGAGUAAAUUGCUCUUCAUUUCCUCAUUCCAGGGAUCAUUAAGUGGGAUUGCAUUAGGCUUUGUAGGUUUUGCUAAGUGAACUCUGUCGAUUGAAAAACUUAGUGUGUUAGAGCCCUAAUUUUGCUAAUUUGGUAAGGUGUCUGUUUAUUUUGUACUGCCUUGAGUCUUGGAGUCUGUAAAUGAGAUACCUGAAUAUGUCUUGACAAUGAACUUAGGCUUUUCUACUGCUGUUUCCUUUCAGCAGGUGUACCUUAGUUUUUCACUUUUUUGAGAAAUGAGCUUAUUGGCUUGUGGAUUCUUAUAUAUGACAAAGUGCACUGCUUAUUCAGUCUUGCACAGAAGUUAGACCGGCAAGUGAUGAAGAACUUCCAUCUGCAUAUGUAGAGGAAUAUCGGUAUGUUUUUGGAUCUCUUUUUGGUAAAAAAACUUCAUGCUAAUUUUUUUCUAAGAGCAUGUUACAUUGGUUUAGGUGCUUGUAAGUGCUUCUAUAUAGGACAGUUUACCACCUCAAAUGUUCUUGAAGUUUAUUUAGGAGGGUUGAACUUAUUAUUUGGCUAUCAUCUGCAGGAUUGAAGUAGUUGGUUCGUUUUUUAAAAUACCCUAGAGGCUUGGAAAAACUUUUGCGUUACAUAUGUUUAAUAGAAACACAAAUGAGGGUUCUCUGUAAUGAUUAAGCAGGCAUAUAAGUACGAGGACUAAUUGCUUAAAGUUUGUUUGUGUUUACCUAAGUGAGUAAUAGCAUAUGGAGGAUGUGAGGGACAUAUAGCAUUCUCAAACAUUGAUUUAUUUGGAGGUUAACAUUUCAUUAUAUGUUGAGCAACAGUGAAAGCUGCAUUAUAGUUACCUAGUAGCAUAAAUGUUCUUCUAUUGGUCUAUUCUCCGAAGACCCUAACUCUUGAGCAUCUGUGUUAAUUGUGGUGCAUUUUGUCAGUGUACACACUGUUUUGGUUAUAUGACUGCAAUGAGCCAAUUAUUUUCAGCUCAGUCACAGAAUUUUGAUAUUACUUCAUGAAGUGCUGUUCUUUUUCUAAGUUACUGCUUUCCACGAUUUCUAACAUGUUCCUUUUGAUGGUGUUACUUUUCAGGUGCGCGGUGGAUGCAGAAAUUAGCAAGUAUGUUGGCGAAGCUUAUCCGAAAGGUGUAUGCUCAGUCUACUCUUCCAAAGGAAAGCAUGUGGAAGAACCUGGAUCUAAUUUUGAGCUUGUUGUGGUGAUUUUAGCUUCUAGACAUAGUCCUCAAAAUUUCUGGUAUGCCAAGGCUGAUUUCUCGGAAUUAAGUAAGGAACUUUGAAAUGGUUAAGGAAACUACCAAUUAGAAGCUAAUGCUUGUCUUUUGCUAGACAAAAACCAAAAAUAGCUGUGUCAUUCCAAAUUUGAACUUGAGACUCCAUCAAGGCAUUUUAGUUUACUUUCCUAUGUAUUUUAUGUGUUGCAUAGUCUCGUCAUUGUGGGGUAUCCCAAACCUUUAAUUUGCUAUUUCUUAUGAAAUCUUGCAAGUGAGGCUACACUUUUGUGGUAUUACUUCAAGAAAAAAUUUAAUUACGCUUUCCUAUGCCAUGGAAUGAUGGAAGUUUGGAAAGAAAUUAAUUACUGGUGAAUUGCAAUCUUUUCUGCAUGUUUUAUCAUGAGUUGCUCCAAAGUUUCAAAGAAAAGUAUCACUACUUUUAUUUGCAUUUGAGCUUGGCAAAAGGAAGGUUCUGCAAAAUUGUUUCAAUGUCCUAUAUAGGCUUGAACAUCUGCUAUCAUAUGUGCAUAAUUAUUGUGGUAAAAGAUAUCUAUAAUUUCUGAAAUUAUUGUGGUAAAAGAUAUCAAAAUUGUUUCAAUGGAGUUGAUUCUCUCUCUCUCUCGUCCCUCACCUCCCCCUCCAACAAAAAAAAAAACCUUAAACUGUCUGUGCAUGGAAUUCCAAGAUAAAACAGUGGGAGGGGAAUGCAUAAAUACAGAAAGUCUUGAUCAUCUUCAAGCCUCACUUUUCUGUUAAGAACUUGAUGUCUGUGCCGGGUUUUCCAUAUAAUAUGCACCUUGAGUGCUACAAGCAUCCUAUAUGGUCGAAUGCAUUUGGGAAGGAAUUUAUAACUUGAUAUUGGUGUAUGAUUUCAGUCUGAAAGUGGAGAGUUUUGUUACCCUACUUUCAGUCUAAAAAUGGACAAUUGUACAAUAAAUUGUGUGAAAGACAAGGCCAUGGUUGCCAACACUCUUUAUUGAUGACAACAUUGUGAAAAUUUAAGAACUUAUAAAAUGAAAUCUUGAUGCUGAGACCUAGGAGUUGUUGCAUUCACCAGAUAUGGUUAGCUAUAAUUAAGAGGAGUAAGAUACAGCAUUCUUCUAUUUAUGUUUUGCUGCUUAAAUAGUUGUCUCGUUGUGUAAUGGUGCAGCAAUGGAAGUUGGCGGUCAAUAUGGAAUGUUGUGUUUGAGGAUGAGCUACAAAUUGUGGAACUGAGAGGCAGAAUGGAGGUGUGAUUUGUUAUUUUGUAUUAUGAGUGUCCAGUAAGAUUUCUUUUGUUGAAGUUUUCUCCUUGUUUUACCUUGUACUGUUUACUAUCCAAGAUUAAGUAUACUCAUGCUGAGAAAGACGUGUGUAAUGUGGUAACAUUUUAUGUUUUCCUGUUAAGGUAGGGGCCCACUAUUUUGAAGAGGGAAAUGUCCAAUUAGAUGCAAAACAUGAAUGCAAGGAUUCAACUGCAUUUCAGGUCAAGAGUAUGCUAAUGUUUGUCCUGAAAUUUCUUUAUUAUAUCUAGUAUAAUUGUUGCAUGUUUUAAAUCUUCUUCUCUGUACAUUUUGUUCUGGAAUGGAAUUAUGUUUCUUUCUUUAGUUCACAAAUCAUGAACACUUCUAUAGCUUAUUCGGUGUUGCAGAAUGGUACCUGAGAUAUAGAUUCAUAAGCAAAGUUUGGAUGUCUAACAUGAUCACGUGUCUUGGAUAGCUUUCUGUGACACUUAAAAGAAUAUGGGAUAAUAACUUCAGCAACCUUCUAAACUUUCUGGUAAAGUAAAAUUCAUUCGAGUGGUUUAGACUCGACAUUUUUGGUGAAUCGAAAUCUUUUUAGGGGUUCAGAAUUCUGGACUCUCUCUCAAAUGAAUUAUGCGCUAAUAUGGGUUGUAAAAGAUCUGAUUCCAACAGUUAUCUUCAAUCAUUAUACUGGAUAUAGCUGCCUAUUUCUUUUACGUAUGACAAAUGCUUUUUUUUUUUUUUUUAACGAGUUGCAAUAACACUUCUGGAAGAAGAACUUUGGAGUCUGAUAGGGCACUAUAACAAGAUAUUAUAUACGUGUUGUGGAGGAUUCUGAAGGUUAAGAGCAACUGUUGGUGUGAUACUUUUAUGUGUUUAUUUAUCUAUUUAAUCAUGUAUUUAGUUUAUGUAGGGGAGCGUUGAGACUUUGGGUUUGGCUUAUGGGGCUUUGAAAGUUCUGAAUGAUUGAAAAAACAGAUUAUUUGAAUCUCUAUCUGACAUGUAUGUUACAUAUCUUCAGUCGCCUGAUGAUUGUGCUGCUUCUGUGAUGAAUAUAAUUCGCCAUCAUGAGACGGAGUACCUAAAUUCUCUUCAGGUUUGGUACUCCUCCAAAUCUUAAUUUCUGAUUUUUUUUCGUAGUGUUUGCACUUGGUAGUUUAUGACUGACAUUUGUUUAUUGACAGAAAUCUUAUUUGAAUCUGCCUGAUACAACUUUCAAGGUAAAUCUAGGCUCUCAUUUGGUCUGGGAUCAUCUUCAUGAAAUGAAGUUUCUGGUGGAUCUGGUUUCUCUUUAUGCCUAUUAUGUGAAUUUUAUUCUAUGCUCAGUAGUGUAGUGACAUUUUGAUAACUUGCUCUGCUGGUAUUUGUUGUAAGCCUUAAGAGGACCUGUGUCUGUCAAUUGUUCUGCCUGUCAGUUCUUGCACCACUAUGUUUCUAACCAUUUAUAUGUGAUGCUUUUGAGAUGGAGUGUUGGUCUAAUUCUACCAGCAAGUGUAGGGGUUAUAUAUGCUAGUAAUAUGUUUCACCCUCAAUUCGCAUGCUGAUUUAUAGAUGUUCACAAGGUUUCUUCUGCUUUCCUUUGCCUGCUGCUGCAGGACCUUCGAAGAAAGCUUCCAGUUACUCGGACACUAUUCCCGUGGCACAACACUAUGCAGUUCAGCUUGACCAGAGAUAUAUCAAAAGAACUUGGCAUUGGAAAAUAGGAUACGGUAUAAUCAGCAUCUAUUUUUGAGAUUUCAUCCAGCAGUGUUUUUGCUCUGCGUAUGUAGAUCCAAAAAUUUUCGUCCGAGACUGCAUACAACAUUCUUUGUUCCGUUUUUACAACCUUCUAAAAAUUUGAGAUUAUUGUGAGGAUUUAAGGAAAGGGUGCGGGGGCAGAAAUGCUGAAGAGCUAAAUACAGUUAUAGUUCCUUGAGCUGCAAUGCAAAUGCUGGAACCAGUCUGUUCUUCUUCCUGCAAAAUCAUCUUUGUCACAUGGUGCUCGUAAAUUUUUCUGCUUGUGUCUGAUCGUACCUAAUUCCAAAUGAUGAUGGGCAUCUUGUUGCCUCGAGUUUGUUUAUGUUUUUUCUUCUGUGAUGUGAUGGAAGUGAAAAUGGAACCAUCUCUCAUUUCUAGUUCUUUUUUUUCUCACGGAUGUGGUGAGAAAAGAGAGGGCUAAGAAAGAAAGUGAAAUCUUUCUGGCAUUUGGGAAUUUAGCCAGGAAAGAAAUUGAAAGAAAAGGAGGGAGGGAUUCCACACUCCCUCCUUUCACACUACAAAAAUCGUCAGGCCAAAAUUGGGGUGGAAAGCGUGAGUUAAGUAAAUGUUUUAAUAUAUCAAUUUUACCCUUUCAAAGAUUAUAAUAUAGUAAAUGUUUUUCUAUGUUACGUGAAUUUCAAGCUUCAAGGGCGCUUAUGUAAAAUUAAAUCUUUUCCUUUCAGUGCCAAUUACUCCCAAAUGGAGGAAAUACUUUUCAUUAUCUUUCUCUCCAAAAACUCCCAAACAACAUGAAGAGAUAAAACAACGUCUUCUUGUAUUUUAUUUUCUUUUCUAACUUAGACUUUCUCUUCUCUUCUUUUCUUUCCCGAACUCCCAUACUAGCUCUAACGUGCUUAUCCCUUUUUUUUUCCUUUUUACUAAUUAAUUUAUUAUAUUUUCCCAUUAUUAUAGUCAUAAAUAAAAUUCAUCAUUGAAUGAAAAAAGAAGUUUUAUUGAACGUUAAAUUAAACAUUGUUAAAUAUUUAAAUUUAAACUAUCAAUUUUAAUGAGAGAUACAAGUCAAGAAAAUUGGGAUCAUAGAAUUUUUUAUCUUUUAAUGGAAUCAUCUCCUUUCUCUACUGUUCUCUUAAGAGGAGCGUGAAAAAAAAAAAAAAAAAAAAAAAAAAAAAAAAAGGAAAGUGCGACAUGGUAUUUUGUGAGAAAAAUCACACCUGUAAUUGAGAAAUUCGUCGGAAAGCCGAAAAAGAUGCAUUGCUAUUUGCUACAAGAUUCCAUUGCCGGGAUUCGGGCGGGGAUUGGCUAAAAAGUGAAGAUUCAAAGAAUGUUAAAAACAUUCCGUUACCGGGAAUCGAACCCGGGUCUCCUGGGUGAAAGCCAGACAUCCUAACCGCUGGACGAUAACGGAUUUUUUUGUUGAGUGCUGCGAGCAAUAAGCAUUUUAUCUAUAAUCACUCGUUAUUAUCCAUGGGUUCACUGGCAUUUUUAUUGGCAAAAUACCAAAUCCAGGUUGGGAUGUCUCAAUUCUCAAAUGUGAAUUGGGAAACAGAAUAGAUAAGAUAAUAGGAAACAAACCGCCUCUAAUUAUAUGUUUCACCAAGAAAAAAAAGCUUGAUUUACUUGUAUUACCAAUUCUAAUAUACAUAGUUAAUUGUUCUUGAAAGUAAAAUAAAAUUAUAGGUAAAAAUUUGCCUUUUCUCUUAUUAAUGUCUUUCAUUAUUUUGUAAAAUUAUUUUAGAAAGUGGAUAAACUCACAUUGUACCCAAUCCCUAUGUAAACCUUAAAAUAAUUGCUCCAAAAAAAAAAAACUUAAAACAAUUAUGUAGACAAAAUCAAGCUUGAAGAAUAUGGUUAAAUCCCCAUUGUUAAAGAAAAAAAAAAAUCUCCGUCAAUACUAAUUUUCUUAUUCCUUUUGUAAAAUACACUAUUAAAUUUUGAGUAGAAGAACAUUUUUGUAGAUCAAAUCAACUUUUAAUUUAACCAUUUUCAUAAUAAACCCUUAUGCUGAACACGGGCGAGUCCACUUAAGAAUUUUAUUGGGAGUUUAACAGCAAGACAGAAACAUUGGAGGCAAAGUUGCGAAAAAGGAAAACUACGGGGGUUAGAUUUGCAAAUAAAAUAUUCUACAUUUCUACUGCCGCCUACCAAAUCACAAAACCCUUCUCCAGCCUCGUUUAAAAAGUUUUAAAGUCCACUCCGGCAACCAACGAGCUCUGUCCGAUCCCUUCGUCUCGUGGGGAUCAAUUCAAGUAAUUCUUCUCUCCUUUUCUUCUAUCUCUUUCGUCUUUGAUUUCUUUUAUUUGUUCAAGAUUCCAACAUGAUUUCCCAAAACUUCUUUUGUUUUUCGUAUGCUUACUAUACCAGAGGCUUUGACUCAAUGUGCUAGCGUAGUUUAAAUUUAUGAGCUACCCAGAAACUGUGUAUUCAUGUUUGUUCAAGUAGUGGAACUUAAUUCGGCUUUGAUUUUGUUGAUUCUUAAUUGGGUUUCUUUUUUUUUUCCCCCCUUUGCAGGUAAAUUGUGGUUGUUGUAGGGUUUUUGGCAUCGGAAGCAAUGGUAAGUUCGGGCAUUAGCUUUUAAAAUUAGCGUCAAACGACUGCCCCUGGUGUUUCAUUGUUCUUUUAGCUGAUUUGGGUUUUUCUUGUUGUGACUGUUUUUCGUUGUUUCAGCUGCCACUUUCUCUGCUUAAGACUGCUCAAGGGCAUCCCAUGGUAACAAUUUCAUACACGUUAUUCUUCUUUCUUUUUUUAUAUUUCAUAAUUGUUAUGCAAGUUUAUUUGUAGUGUUGUUGUUUUACGGGGUAUUUUGAUAUAAUAAGUUUGUGUGGAGAGUUCAACUAUGGGUGUGUUUGUGGUGUGCUUUUCAGAUGUUUUCUUGGUAGAUUGGUGUUUUCAGAAGAAGUGCUGCAGUCAUUCUUAGAUUUGUUGUUUUUGUCGAGUGCUUUUUUUAUUUUUCUUGAUAGGUGAGUAUCCUAGGGAUUAGGGUUGUGAGUUGCUUAGUGUGCUUAGACUCGUUUUUAUGCAUUAUCAAUGUGAGAGUUCAUUUUGAAAAGUUCAAACAUCUCAGAGAUCCAAGCAUAGGCUUGUUUUCUGUGUGCUUUUUUUAGAGUUUGUUGAUGAAUGUUUUUGGAAUUAAGGUUGUAAUUUCUUUAUUAUAGUAAUAAUGAUUGUUUUUAUACAUAAACAGUAUGAGCUACACUCAUGCAGUAAGUACAACAGGAGAAGUAAGUCAAAAGCAGUUGUCUCAGAGUGGGAAAGCAUAAUUAAGAGCUCAAUGACACCUAGAAGGUUCUAGUUUGUUUCUGUGUUCUCUGACACAAUUUUAGAGGAGCAGCCAGGAAAAUUGCUGUAAUUUUUUUUGGCUUGAAUAUAUAUUUAGACGAUCUGAAGAGCUGAUCAAUGGCACCUUGUUAUUGUUUGCGCUGUUUAUCUCAAGAUGAAUGUUGAGAUGGUACAUGCUCUUGUUUAGUGGAUUUGCUUGCUCAUGUAAAAUUUGUUUUCUUAUUACAGUUGGUGGAGCUAAAAAAUGGGGAAACGUAUAAUGGACACCUUGUCAAUUGUGACACUUGGAUGAAUAUCCAUCUUCGUGAAGUCAUCUGCACAUCAAAGGUGAAUUUUUGCUACCAUGACUUGUUUAUCAUCUCUCUGAUUGUUAUGCAUUGGUGUUUCAUGUAUUACGGGUGUAGCUUAAUGAAAAGUAAAUGCAGGAUGGAGACAGAUUUUGGAGAAUGCCAGAAUGUUAUAUUCGUGGUAAUACAAUCAAGUAUCUACGAGUUCCAGAUGAGGUAUGUUCACUUCAUAGUCAUAAAUAUGCAGAUUUGUUGUUUGCUUCAGUUCUCUUCCUUCUCUGCUUUGACAUCUAUAUGCUUCUGCUUCUUUCUGGUUUGUGCUUGGUAUCUGCUAACACUAAUAAAAGCCAGGAUUUUCUUUUAAGCGUACGUGCUAUCUGUAUUUUGCCACGCUUAGUUAAAACUUGAUACCUAAAUGUCAUCCAUCAUAGAUGAGGCCCUGUCAUCACUUCUUUUCUUUAUGUUAAUGGUCCAAUUGGGAAGACAUCCACCUAGUGCUAGCUUGGUUUUGGCUGCAAUGGUUGAUCAUUGAGCACAUUGACUUUGGCAGACGUAAAAUGCUCCUCCAAAUGGAAUGUUUUACAUUCGUUGAAUGGCUUUUGAUUUUGCACACUGAUUUUGGAGGACCAAUUGCUAACUUGUUUAAUUGGAAUGUUUUACCUACUCAGAUACAACUGUUUUGUAUAUAGGUUUGUCCAUUAAAUUAGCUUUAGAGUGAAGCUUUCUGCUGUUUGGUAAGCCCUUAAAAUAUUGUCAUGAGAGUAUUCUGGGAACUAGAAUUUUUCUUCUUCCUGCAACGAAAAUCAAAAAGUAUAGUUGUACUUUUAGGCGUCAGAUGUACACACACACUCUCUCUCUCUCUCCCCCUCUCUGGAGUGAUGCAGCUUAGCCAAAUCAGACAUUGAUGUGCUCCUUAAAGUGUUUCUUUUAAAGUCUUUAACAAUGGUAAUAUCUGGAGGCAUUUUAUUGUUAUGCUUCCAUGCAGUUGUUUAAACUUUAAUUGGGGCACAAAAAGUGGAAGUGCAUCUAUGUGAUGACAAAAGUACAGAGAUGGGUUCCUUGCUGACCAGAGCUUCUUUAUGAUCUUUUUCCUCGUCUCUCUCCAAUCAACCCUGCCUUUAUUUAUUGAACUAUUUGUUAUAAGAUCCUAGGUAGUUGUUUAGCUCAACCAUGAGUGAAGAUCACAUCCUUAAAAACAUGAUUUAUACAACCCCUUGAAGGAACUUUAUCCCACUGUCAAUUUCAUCUACAGUUGAUAGGGGCAGUAAAGGGUUGAAGAAUGUGGCUAAUCUGUUUUUCCUUUUUGUAGAUUUUUAUAUGAACCUUGGUAUGCUUUGAAUCCUUUGAUGACUCUUCAAAGAUUGGUGAUAUGUCGACUGUGCUUUCUUUUAAAACUGGAUCUUGUUUGGAACUAGGGAAUUAUAAAAACUAGGAAGUCAAGGUAAUGCAUCAUUGGGCUAGUCCCUUUGUAUCCUGCAGUUGGCUCAGAUUUGGUUUGGAUCAUUAGAAUGAUUCUUAUUUCUUGCAUAUCCAGCUACUCUAGUCCAAGAUAGCGUUAUUCUUCCUCUAUGCUGUAUGGAAUUGUUGUCACUUGACAUGUUUGGUAAAGACUUUUAUGUCAGAGACCUCUGAUUCCAUAGGACAGAGCAUUUUAAAUGGUUAUUUGCUAUCUUUGUAAUUGGACUGAAAACCUUUGUUUGGUAGUAUGCCUGCAAAACAACUGACUGAUUAUCAAUUUGCAUAACCUGUUGGGUGGGACUUUAUGGCUAUACAUUACAUUGUUGGGUUCCAUUGGAAAUACAUGUCAAUUUUUCCUUGCCUUGCACGAUAUAUUGGAUUGAUGAAUUUUGAUUUUCUCAGGAUACUGAUUAUUUGUGUAUCUUUUGCCUUUGUCGUGUCAUUCAAUUAUGUCAAUGUGCUUAACUCUUUUAAAGUGCUGAAAAUUGUACCUUUUUCAAAUUUUUUUUCCAGGUGAUUGAUAAGGUUCAAGAAGAAACAAAAAGCCGUUCAGGUAUUAAUUAUAGUAUUGAUUUACUUCUGUAUAUGAUUGAGCCCAAAGAAGGAUGUCUUCUCUGUGGAUGCCUUCUCUAAAUCAUCUGAAAUUCACAAUAAAAUUUGUUUUCUACUUCAUUCAUUGGAUGGCGUACUAGUAAUUGUAGGUUCCUCGUGGUAUAGAAACUUGUAUGUCUGGGUUCUUUGAUGUAGACAGAAAUUUCCCUUUGUUACUUCAACAUCAGUCUUGUAUUCUAAGUAAUACAUUUCAAAGUGGCAAUCAACCAGGAGGAAGUAGCAAAUCAGAUAAGUACAAACAAUCUUGUUGCAAUAAUUACAGCCUGUCCAAAGACAUUUUGCCGUGUAUAUUACGAUGUGUUUGAGAUUGAAAGAGUACAUUACAGAUGUUGGAUUGUUCCAAAAGCACAGUAAUGCUUGUAUAGAAUUCAUUUUAUUGAGGGCAAAAAUAUCAAGGAUAGAAGGAAAGAAAGUAAUGGAAAAUAGCAUUUGAGCGAAUGAUAUAUUGUUGUUACCAAGCUAUUGUUAAAUCUCCAACUUCAUUAAUGUAAUUGAACAGACUAAAGAACAAGAGAUUUACUAUGUGUUUCAUUACUUUUUGGAGAUGCAUUCCAGUAUUUCUGAUGAAUUGAACAGAUUAAAGUACAAGAGAUGUACUGUAUGUUUCAUUACUUUUUGGAUUCCAAUAUUUCUGAUCAAUGUAAAAAAAAAAAAGAAGGUAAAUAGCUUUUUCUCUGUGUACUGAAUGUGGAAUUUGGCACAUUAAAUUAGUUUAUGGUCAAAAAUGGUUUCUAAUCCUGACCACUUUUACAUACUUUUUCAGAUAGAAAGCCACCAGGCGUUGGGCGUGGAAGAGGAAGAGGUAGAGAUGACAGUGCUGCUGGGAGACAGGGAAAACCAAUUGGGCGUGGCAUGGAUGAUGGAGCUGCCAAAGGUGCAGGCAGGGGCAAGGGAGGACCAGCUGGCAGGUCUGGUGGUGGUAAAGGUAUGAAUUUGCAGUCUAAGUUGUUGGUUAUUAAGAAGCAAGCAUCAGAGAGCUGUGUCUUAAGAACUUUCAACAUAGCAUUUCUCAUUUUAAGACUUCUGAAUGAUCUCAGAUACGACUUUUCCUUCACUCCUUACAGUCCAAACAACCUUUGCAAGUUUACACUUGCUUUUUCUCUGCCUCUGUUAUGACUUGAAUGAUGAGGGAACAAAGAGUUGUCUUCUAAAUACCUUAAAAUUGUUCUCUCAUUUUUGUUUGCAAGUCUGUCUAACGGGUGCCCAUUGGGUACUCGUUUAAGAUAUAUUUCAGGUGUCAUAUUUUUGAAAAUGUAAGAUUAAUUAGGGAAAGUAAAUAAAUACAAGGAAGGGUAGGUAAGAUUAAAUAGGAAAAGCAUAUAAAUGCAAGGGAAGGUAAUAAUUGUUAGUAUGUGCAUGUACAUGAUAAGCUAGGUGAAUUUUAGGUGUGUUGAUGAGUGUUCAAUAGGCACCUGUUAGAAAAAGUCCUAUGUUUGUUUAUUGAAAGAUUUCCCUGGUUGAAUGUUGGUGGCAGGUGGUGGGCGUGGACGUGGCUUGUAGUUCUUUAGCUAGCUGCAGAAUCAACUUCCUUGGAGCAGAGUUGCCGAUUUUAUAUGGCAUUUUAUAGUGUUUGUUAAGGUACAGGAUUGAAGAAAAAUGACUGCUUUCUUGUAAAAGGACCGAGGUGUAAGGAAACUGUUUCUGUCCAACAAUCAAACAAGCAAGCAAUGUAUUUUAUAGUUCCAUACAUUAUUUUGUUGGUACUUCUUUUGGCUGAACGAAAUGUAAGUAUUAUGGAAUCGUUAUCUUUUCUUUCUAUCUCGAGUAAUUUUCGGUUUUUGAUUGACUUCUAAUCCUUAUAAGAAAUUACAUCGUGAGAACUUCUUGACUGCAAUCCUAUCAAUUACUCAGGUAUCACAUGGUUAGACUGUGGAAGCCUGCAACUUUCCUCUUGCUGGAUUCUACAGAAUCUGGCUGGUGAGGUUUUUACUUGGUGAGUAUUCACCCGUUUGGUUUGGACUCCGGAAUAGCAAUGGCAAUGGGUAUAAAAUGAUCGAUGGAUGGUAAUAGGUUUUGGCGAAUCCUUUUCACUUGUUUGGUACCAGGCUGAAAUGGGAAUCGAUGGGAUUGGUUUUUUUAAUUACAAGAAGUAAUUUCAUCCUUUUUUUUUCCCUUGUUUCCUAAAAUGGCCAGAUCCUCGCAGCAAAACCGCCCCAAUUUCCAGCCACCAGCCCUACGAGCCAAUUGUCCCCAAAACAUCAAAGUUUCAUCUCAAACUCUUCAAAUCCAUUUCCAUGUAAAAGCAAAAAUUCAAUUGAAUUUGAACAAAGUACUCUGCCUUGGAUUUGUAUAAAACUAGAAACUAGAAACAAAGGUAACUGUGAAUAGGUCUAAAACUUGCUAUUUGUUCACUACCGAACCCCUUACAUUCUAUCUGGAUGACUAACUUAAGCAUCAGAUUUACAACGAGGGAAUGUUGCCACGGCGUUUGCACCAGCACAGGAAAGGCCGAUCCCUGCCCGCCCGCACAAGUAUCAUGCCAAUUGAGAGCCGAUUGAAAAGUGAAAACAUCAUCCCAAAAUCACCUCGUUGAGCAGCAACCUAAAUGGGCAUAUCCAAAUAAAACAAACUCCUCUUUCGAGCUGCUCAAGCAAGUAGGUUAGUCUCUUUUAGUAAUAGCGGGUCCAGAUUCCAAUUUGUCCAGGCAAAACGUCAGUUUAGCAGUCGAAUCCGACAAAUGUCCACUUGCAAAGUUGCAAUCAAUCUGUUAUUGUUUGUAGUUGCAGCUUUUUGUAAAUUCUCAAAUAGCGAUAGCUUAAAAAAAAGAAAAAAAAAAGCUAAAUAACGAGAAUUUUGCAAUAACAUGUUUUUUUUUCAUUAUUGGGUGGAGAUUAGGGGUGUUUCGCGAAUCGAGCCGCUCGAAUACGAGCUCGACUCGAGUUCGUCAAUAUCGAGUUCGAGUCGAGCUCGAACUAAUUAAGUCGAUCUCGAGCUCGAGCUUGAAGUCAAAAACAUUAAACUCGUUGGCUCGCGAGCGGCUUGCGAGCUCAAUUAUAUAUAUAUUUUUUAUUUUUUAUUUUUAUUUUAAUAGUAAAAUUAUAUAUAUAUUCAUAAUAUUUUAUUAUUUAUUAAAAAUUUAUUAUUUUAUUCAUUUUUAAAAAUAAAUAAUUAUUUUUUAUUUUUAAAAAAAUAAAAUAAUUAUAAAUAUUUUUUAUUUUUUAAGCUCGAGCUCGAGCUCGACUCGAAUUUGACUCGAGCUCGAUAUUUUGAGCUCGUCGAGCUCGAGCUCGAGCUCAGCUCGAUUAGCCAAAGCUUGACUCGAGCUCGACUCGUUUGCACCCCUAGUGGAGAUGCUUGAAAAACAUGCCGCCGAAUUUAGAAAAUUUUGGAUUGCCAUUUUUUGUAGAAAAAUGUCCUGUAGUGAUUUGAUGUAUAUGAGAUAAAAAGGUAAUUAAAAAUUUUGUUUACAGAAAACGUAGAAAUUUAUGAUUUUUUUCUUUGUGAAAAAAAACUUGCUUGUGAAUCCACUUCAUUGCAAGCAAAUUGCAUAUUUGAACAAUAAGCAUAUAACUAUAAAGGAUACGUGUAAAAAUGUUCAAGAGUUAUAUGUUUCUCUUGUUCUAGUCCCUAUAGUAGUAAUAAAUAACAGUAAACAGCGUGUCAACGUUUGAAGAACUUUCAAUAAUGGCAGAUAUUGAAGAAGAAAGCAGUCAAUCAAUUACUCCUACAUUAGCUGGCCACCAAAAAAAUUUUAAGACUAUUUGGAUUUAGAUCAAAGAAUCAAAUCUCUUGUCGUGCAUUCUAAAAAUUCCAAAGUGGACAAUUUCAGAGGCCUCACUGUUGGAGUAUAUACUACCGCUUAUAUUUCCUCUUCACUCUUCAAUUUUUACUUGUCUUGUACGUUAUAGGUACCGUCUUGUAAUGUUUACUUCCUCAGUAAUCAACGAGUUCCCAUGAGUCAACUGGAAAGAUUUGUGAAUCAGUUAUACUUUCCAGGACAGAUUUGAAGUGCAACAGGAAGUGUUUUCUUAACUUCAAUGAUUAAACAAAAUACUGUAAAAAAAUUGGAAUGUCCACAUCCAAUUUUCGAUGGUGCUAAUGAGUGUUGUUAAUAAAAUAAUGCAAGCAGCUCAACAUAAAAUAAUUGGAUUUUCUUAUUGUAUUUGAUCAAUUGAAAAGGAGGUGUAUUGUCAAUUAUUACUGGUUUCUUGACGUAUAAAGAUGUAUUAUAUCUCGCAACAACCAAUAGUGGUGACGUGAAAGAAUUUCCUAGGUAAUACGAUUGUGUUGGUGAUCUUCCAGCGUCAGAAUGUUGAAAAAAAGUCACAAAAUGGUUGCCGAACGUAUCUGGAUACUAAUAAACAAAGCCCUCCUUUCAAAGUUUAAAUCCCGAAGAAGUAGGCUAGCAAAUCAAUUAGGUAGUUGCCAAGGGCCGUAAACUGAGUCGAGUCGAGUCGAAUUUUGAUCUAAUCUAGUUGAGUCUCAAAUUAAUUUUACCAAACUCGAGUUCGAACUCUCAAUGUAAAGUUCGGCUUCGAACUCCACCUCGAAUUUGAGUCGAAUCAAGCUCGAGCUUGAGUUUAAAAAAAUAAAAAAUAAUUAUUUAAUUUUUAAAAAUAAAUAAAAUAGUAAAUUUUUAAUAAAUAAUAAAAUAUUAGAAAUAUAUAUGUAAUUUUACUAUUAAAAUAAAAAUAAAAAUACAUAUAUAUAAAGUUGAACCGGCUCUCAAGCUAACGGGUUGAGUAUUUUUUAAUUUGAAUUCGAACUCGAGCUCGACUCAAGUUUGGUGUUGAUUGAGUUCGAGUCGAGCUUUGAUUCGAACUGCCCACAAUUGAUUUGUGAUUGGCUCGUGAACAGCUCGAUUUGUAUGCAACCCUAGUCGCUAACCACAAGGCAACUAUAGAAUGCAUUUCUUGAUGGCAUUUCUCUAGGAUAGAAGUGAAUUUCUUUCCCAGUAACCCUCUGCUGCAUUUGAGGGAUCGAUCUUCUAGUAUAAAUUAACGUAAAAAUAGUGUAAAUUUUGCUGAUUGAUAAAGAAAUAAAUUCCGAAAAAAGGGCUAGUUUAUUUUACUUUCAGUGGGUCCAGAUUCCAUUUUCUCCAAGUAAAAGAACAAAAUAGCAUUCAAAUUUGACAAUUAUCUACUUGUGAUGGGUCAAUCUGGUAAUAACUAAUCAUUUUAUGGAUCAGGUUUUCUGGUUCUUUAUUAAUCUCUUAAACUCAGUACUUCAUCUCUGAAGUGUAAAUGGAAACAAACAAAGAAAUAAAAUAAAGAAAUAAAAAAAAAAAGUAAAAAAAGAGGAUAAACUAUAAAGAAGAAGCAUUUUCUUGGAAUUGAGAAGAGGGAUCUUUAAACAGAAAGUAAACUAAAGCAAGAAAAACUUUCUUAGUAUUUUGUAGUGUAAGUUGUGUAGUUCAUUUGUUGUUCUUGUACGCUUGCUUGGAAUUUAGCUGUGAAACUAGUUAUGAUUACUUCAAUAGGUAAGGACACUCUUUUUUUUUUCAGGAAAUACUUGAGGGCACUCUUGAAUGGCAUUUUUUAUUAGGACUGAAAUGCCACAUUAUAGUACUGAAAGCUAACCCAACCAAAUGAUUCAUGAAACAAAUGGUUGUAUUAGUCAAUUUCAUAAUGCUGGAAAACAGCCAAAGCAGCCAAACUGUUUUCGUGGUACCACCUCAUUGUGAAGUAUUAUUCACAUCUUGUGUUGGCUACUAGCAUUAGCAUUAGGAUUAACUGAAUCUCUAUCUUUCAUAUCUUCUUCUCUUUUGGUGGUAGUAGACUAGUAGAGUUGAAAUACAGUAAAUAGAACUUUGGUUUUCUGUAAAUUGGCUUCAAAUGGCAGACACCAAAGAAGGUAUGACUCAAGAACAGCACCAUGUCACCAUAGAAGCUCCUAAAGCACUGCAAGACAAGGGAGAAGAAGUAAAAGAAGUUGAAGAGAAGCCUCAGAACAAGACAAAGACUAAGCGAGUGGCUUCCUUGGAUAUUUUCAGAGGCCUCACUGUUGCGGUGCAUAUUUUUCCCAUAAUCCCUUUUCUCUCUAAGUCUUGAAUUCGGAUACUGUAUUAUUUAUGUAUGCUAAAGGUAUCUGAAACCUUGAUAUUUUGUUAUCAGUGUUGCUAGAAAAAUCAGAGUUGUGAAGGAACUUCUUUUAUCUGGUUGUUGAAUACUUUUGCUUCCCCACUGGAAAGUUUUCGAAACUCUACUGGGAAACUAUUAGGAUCAAUAAUUUUCAGGAAAAUCUUUGGUGCAUUAACAAGUGUUUUCUUAUGCUGCUGCAUGAGCAUACAAUACAAAUUCUAUUACUUUAUAAGCAGCAGCUGCUGAACAUAGAACCGUUGGGUUUUCUUAUUUAUUGAAGGAAAGGUAUGAGCUGAAAAAAUAUGAGCAUAUGAUAAAAUAUAAAUAAAGUGGUAAUUCUAUUCUAAUAAGGAUUACUUAUAAUAGGAAUUACUUUGACAAGUUGCCUAAUUUGAGUGCUAAAAUGAAAUUACGAACUUGCCUCUGAGUUCAGUAUUGAAUCUGUAGUUGCCAGUGCAUUCCACUCCUAUAAACCAACUAUUCAUAAGUUACUAAUGGUUGAUAUUUUCAAAAACGCAAUAUCAGAACUAUGGUAACCUUACUAGUAUCUGCAGUGUAAUUCCUUCUUUAUGACUGUUGUGACUGUAAAAGAGUUUCUAAGUGCAAAUACCUGUGGACAGUUGAUGGUACUGGUUGAUGAUGCUGGAGGAGAAUGGCCGAUAAUUGGGCAUGCACCAUGGAAUGGUUGCAAUCUUGCUGAUUUUGUGAUGCCAUUUUUUCUAUUUAUUGUCGGAGUGGCAAUUGCACUUGCUCUCAAGGUUGAUUUUCUGCCUUUGAUAGAAUGUAUGCUUGGCUGAGACCAAUAUUGCAUUGCUUUCUGAUUAGUUCUACUGUUUCAUAUGUAGAGAAUACCAAAAAGGUUAAUGGCUAUUAGAAAGGUAAUUUGGAGAACUAUCAAACUUCUCUUCUGGGGUCUUCUUUUACAAGGUUUGUUUUACUGUUUUCUUCCCAUUUAAUGGAUGUGUGCUGCUUUGUUGGGGACCAUGUCAUUUAGUAAUAUAGUAGCACUUACAUUUAAGUGGUAGAAACUCAAGUUCAUUUCAGAAUCAAUAUUCAACAAGUAAUUCUUGCAAAAGUAUUAUAGCUUUCUUUUAUUGGCCUUUUGUGGUUAAUGGUGGCCAAAAAGUAUUGAACUCUAGGAAACUUAUUUAUAUGCUAUUAUAGAUAUUUGUAGCCUGACCUCCUUUUGAGCCCCACUAAGAUAUAUAUAUAUAUGUGUGUGUGUGUGUGUGUGAACCGAGUUGAUGCUGGAAGACUGCAGGGGGUGGCUUUGUCAAAAUUUAACGUAUUUAUGUUGCUAAGACAAUGAUUUUGCAUGAAGAUGCUCACAUGAUUUGGAAUUGUGUAAAAAGCAUUUGAGUUUCAAUAGUGAUUUGGCGGCCAUACUUUCAAUGGAUUAAGGUUUCCUUCAAGGUGGUAAUCUUUCAAAAGUUGACCAUAUACUGACUCACCCCUUUUAACAUUUGAAGGUGGUUACUCUCAUGCACCAGAUAAACUUACAUAUGGUGUCGAUAUGAAAAGAAUAAGGUGGUGUGGCAUUCUCCAGGUGAUCCGAAUUACAUUUUUCUUAUUUGUUGAAGUUUGACAAGUUUUUUUCUUAGUUCAACAAACUGUACACUGAGCCAAUUUUGGUUUGCACUUCUAGAGAAUUGCUCUUGCUUAUCUGGUAGUGGCAUUGUUUGAAAUCUCAACAAGAAAUGCUCAAGUUAAGGAUCUUUCACAUCAAUGGUUCUCUAUAUUCAAGAUGUAUAUUUGGCAUUGGUUUGUACUCCACUCUUCUUCUGAUCUUGUACAAUCAAUCAUAUUGUAAAGUAUUCUGAUUCUGGUAUAUUCUUCAGGGUGUUAGGAGCAUCUGUUUUAAUUAUUUACCUGGCUGUGUUAUACGGAACUCGCGUUCCUGAUUGGCACUUCAUCGUCCACAAUGAAGAUAGCACACUUUUGGGCAAGAUGUUAACUGUAUGUUCUUUGCUUCUGCCAUAUAAAGAAUACUAGCUUCUGCUACUCUAGAUACAGUUACCGGGGUCCACUGUUUUACAGUUGUAGAUGUCAUUGAUGUUGUGUUUACUAUUGCUGGAGAUUCAGAAGCAGGGAAAAAUAAGCUUUAGCUACUUAGUCGAUGUUGGCCAUUCAUUCUAAGGACAUUUAAGAAAAUCUGAAUUGUCUAUGACCAGCUUCAUAUCCCCUAAUUAUAAUACUUCACAAGAUGAAAAUAAUUCAUUCAUUCAAUGCAAUCUAAGCAUAUCAAGCAAGUGUAAUUGUUGCAUUUCUCAACAAAGAUCAAUGUGCUUCUUAAUCAUUCUUGUGGUUGUCAAGUGGUGUUUGUUUCCCACUCGCUUCUCUCUCUGAGCACCUUCAGUCGAAAAGGUAAAGAUGAUUUGGUACUUGUAUAUGCAUUCUAAUUGGUUGAUUGUGCAGGUAACCUGCAAUGUCAGAGGAAAAUUGGAUCCUCCUUGUAAUGCAGUGGGUUAUGUUGACAGAAAAGUGCUUGGUAUUAAUCACAUGUAUCAACAUCCAGCUUGGAAGAGAUCCAAGGUCUGCAGGGCUGUUUUUGAAUGCAAAAGUUCUUAUCAAUCACUAUGUACAUUGUUUGCUUCUGCUUUACGGCCCUCGGAAACUUUUCAUGGUAAUUCUGUUCUGCAGGCUUGCACUUACAGUUCUCCUCAUGAGGGACCUUUUCGGGAUGAUGCUCCAGCAUGGUGCGUAGCACCUUUUGAACCAGAAGGAAUUCUGAGGUAUGUAUCAUUAGUUCAUUUCAAUUUGAGAACUGCCACUAGUUUUAGUUGAAAUAUUGGCCUGGUCCUAGUUAACAUGUUCCAACAGCUAACUAAAUGUAUAGCUAAGCCAAAAUAGACGAUGCUCAAUGCGCCUCUAUCUUUUUAUUAUCUAUGUUCAGGAUACAGUUUGGAAAUUCUAAACAAGUCUUUUGACUGCAGCUCAAUUUCUGCAAUCCUCUCUACAAUCAUUGGAGUUCAUUUUGGACAUGUUCUUAUACAUACGAAGGUUUGAUAGAUAUAUAUAUCUUAUGUUUGGGACAACUGUUAUUCACUGAAUGUCACUAAAAGUCCUUAGUUCCUGAAUUUCAGGAUCACUCAUCCAGACUUUGGCACUGGACUGUCAUGGGUUCAGCUCUUUUGAUUUUUGGAAUUACUCUUCAUUUUACACAUGGUGAGCCCUGCUAGUCUCUCUUUCCCUAUGAACAAAUCAAGCAGCAAAUCGUAUUUCAAAUCCUCGGACUUGGUUUUAUUUGACACUAGGACCAUAUCAGCUUUACACAUUACGCAGCAUCUGUAGAGCAUGAGAUGAAAAAAUUACAUCUCUCGUUCGUCUGGUCAUAUACAUCAGUUUACUCACUGAUUUGGUUGGAUGCAGCUAUUCCCUUAAAUAAGCAACUGUAUACUCUCAGCUAUGUUUGUGUGACGGCAGGAGCAGCAGCUCUGGUGUUCUCAGCAUUCUAUAUCCUGGUAUGCUACUCGCAGAAUAAUCUUAUGGCCUGCAUAGAUUCUAGUCACACUGGUUCCUUAGUGAAAGCUACAAAACUAUGCUUUCUUGAUUGUGCACCUACCUGGUUUGACUUGGCACAUAAUGAGUUUAUCUUCCUCUAGUGCUGACCCUAAAAUGUGAGUAACUUGCCCUUGGCAUUUCAAAUGACAUACUUUACUGAAACUACAUGUCUUGUUUGAGACUUGUACCUCAACAGCUAAGGGUGCUUUUGAUAAAAUUGAAGUCUGAAGUCUAAAGUCUGAAUCUAUUAAAUUAUUGAAUUAUUAAGUAUUAAAUCUAUUACAUUUAAGUGCAUAUCAUAUUCAGUGAUAAGUGAAUAGUUCAUCACUUUAUUUUGAGAGCAAGUUUUGCCUAGGAAUUUAGUGCCACUUAAUUAAUUUAGAUGUUCAAUUUUUGGUAAUCAAACAGUCUGAAUAUAUUAAGAUCUGAAUCCAUUAAAUUAAGUACCGAAAUUUUAUGUUUUCAAGCAUAGGCAUUGGUUGCACUCAGUAUAAAAUGAGUCUGACUUCCUGUGCUAGAUAGACAUACUCUUAAACUGAACUUAGAUGAGAAUUGCAGAAACAUGGAAAAAAAUGAUUACCAUGCCACCAGUGAACACACUGUCAAGUUUGCAAGAGAAAUUAUCAUUUCAAAUAAGAUAAUUAGAGCAGGCUUCAGGUAACAAAGGAGGUCAUCUUUACAUGCAAUGGAGAAUCAAAUGAAGCAAAACAAAAUUUCGAAGUUUUGGAUCUAGCGCCAUUCUCUUGCACAAAUCAAAACAAAAACUGGUAAUAUCAAAGUUUCCUAAAGGCAUACAAUGACACAAAUUCCAUUUGCCCUUGUUAUCUGCAUGGAUGAAUCUUCGAGCCCUCGUGGAUACUAACUUAACAAUGAAUAGUAUCAUUGGGGGGUAUCUGAAAUGAGCAAACUCAUACUUUUGCUUACUCAAUCUUGAUCUAAUCAAGUAUUUCUCACUCCAUUCCAGGUUGACAUUUGGAAAUUGAGGUAUCUGUUUCUGCCACUUGAAUGGAUUGGUAUGAAUGCCAUGCUUGUGUAUGUCAUGGCAGCUGCAGACAUUUUCGCAGGAUUCAUUAACGGGUGGUAUUACGACAACCCUCAUAACACACUGGUACUGCACUCCUUUUAGCUGCCAAAUAUUCAGCCUUAAUAUGUUUGUUUUUCACUGCUCAAUUAUAGCAAUACUAAAACAAGCAUUGCAAAAUAUAAUAGCUGCUCUUCAUUGUCAUUGUUAUCACAAGCCUGUCUGUCCCCUUUAAGUUCUUGCAAGCUCUAUGCUACUUGAUGAGUUUCUGACUAUCAAAACAUUCUCUAUAGGUGCAUUGGAUUCAGAAGCACAUAUUCAUUGACGUUUGGCAUUCAACAAAAGUAGGGAUUCUACUUUAUGUCAUCUUUGCAGAGAUACUGUUCUGGGCUAUUGUUGCUGGCAUUUUCCACCGUUUGGGAAUUUACUGGAAGCUUUAGUUUCUGUGCUUGAUGCAUUUUGGUCCUUUUCUAGCUUUGUUAAUUAUAGCACCAUAUUUCAUCAUAACUGAUACCUUCUGCUACCUGUAUAAGGUUUUAUGAGCUGAUUUGUUGUUGAACUCGACAUUUUCAAUAGGUCUCCAAAUCAGAAAAAUGGGGCUUAAGACGCUCACUUGGGCUGUAGUGCAAUAACUUUUGCUCAUUCCGUUCUAUUGAUUUAGGUUAAGGUCUAAUCCAUUCGUAAGAAUAUGCAAAGAUUUUACCAAACAACUACCAAAGUGCAGCCAUGGGUCCAACAAAAAAUUUAUUGAGUGUUGUUGGACUAGGGGCCGAGGAGCUUGAUACCCCUUAAAUAAAGUUUUGAAUUCAAAUCUUGUGAACGGAGAAAAUAAAAGAGUCAUGCCGUAAAUGGCGAUCCGAUACCAUUCGAAUUAGCUGGGGUCCAAUGCAGUCACUAGACAUCAAGAAAUUUACACUAAAAAAAAAAACAGAGUUCCAACCAAAAAUUAAUUUCAUAGGAAUGAGGAAUCCAUAUAAUAUUGUCUUCAAGAACAUGUUGGGCUCUUAUCAGUUUUUUUUUUUUCCAUUAAUUGUGGUAGGACAAAAUUACAUUAGCAUAUAGGAAGCAAAGUGUGCAAGAACGUCCACUGCAAAACUGAUUGGUAUCUUUUAUUCGCGCAAAGUAUAUGAAUUUGGCAAAUAAACGUUUUUCAUUUUUGUUGACUUGUUUUGCGUUGGGGGGGGGGGGGGGGGGAGAAGAGAGAGGAAGAAGACAAAGAAAAAACUUGAUUGUAUAUAUUACCUUAAAAGAAAUUACUAAAAGCUAUCACAAUAUCUGACUUUGUCUUCAAUGUUCCUAAAUUUUCAAAUAGGUGCAAGGUAAUGCCAGGCUAUCAGAUUUAGAUUAAGGAGAAUAAAGAGUAAAACGGAGCUUCCUUGUUUGGAUUGAAGUUUUUCAAAGAAAAUUUUUGGGAAAAUGGCCUGUUUCAUCCUCACAUUUCACAAAAAUAUUCUUUUCGUCCCUCACUUUUAAAAUGAAACAAUUUCGUCCUUGACAUUUAAAAAUUAAAGCUAUUACAUCCUUGAACUCAAUUUUCAAUCUGAAUCAAAUCACCUAUUAACUUGAUUACAAAUUUUGAAGGUAUAAUUGGUAGAUUACUUGGUUAACUCAACUUGAAUUCCUACAUUGUCAUUGUAUACACUGAUGAUUUUAUAUACCUGCCAUAUCAUUUCAAUUUAAAUUUAAACACGAAAUUUUGUAUUUAUGAUACACAUCUAGACUCGUAAGCGAAUAUAUUAAUGGUGCAUGAAAAAAUUUUCCCAAAAGAAAAACUCUACUAUUCCAAGACAAAUAAUGGCCUUUAUGUUAUAAUAUUUAUUUUUGUGGUUUGAUAAAUGUCAUCCGAAUAUGAUGAAAUUGACCGAGUGACCUAUCAAUUCUAUCUCCGAAAUUUAUUACUGGGUUAUUGGAUGGUUUGAUUCAGAUUGAAAAUUAGGCUCAGGGAUGUAAUAGCUUUAAUUUUUAAAUGUCAGGGAUGAAAUUGCUUCAUUUUAAAAGUGAGAGACAAAAAGAAUAUUUUUGUGAAAUGUGAGGGAUGAAGCAUGUCAUUUUCCCAAAAUUUUUUAUACUUUUCGUGAUCAUAUUUUUCAAUCACCUUUUUAUCUCACAUACAUCAAAUUGUUACAGUAUAUUUUUCUACAAAAAAUCCAAAAAAUAGCAAUCCCAACAACCUAUUUUUCCAAGAAAACUAUUAUCUUACUUAUAGAUACAACUAAUAUCCUGUGAUUGCAUUCUAUUUUAUAUCUCUAGCUUAUUUAUAGUUUGUAUACAAUUUGAAUUAUUUCAAGUCAAAUGACAAACAUGUAUAAUAAGCUAAACACACAAAAAAAAAAAAGUGCGCAACAUACUAUUUUGAGGUAAAUGAAUAUCUUUCCUUAUUUCAAUUAGGUCUUUUUCACAAUUUUUUGUUUGUUGUGCCAUGUGGUCAUUUCUGUGCAUCGCCUUUUUCUUUUUUCUUUUUUUUUUGAAUUGCUUUGAUUAUAAGUAGUUCAUUUAUUUUAACAAUUCUAAAAAAAUCUAAUUCAAACGUGCUACAUUGGUCCUCCUAAACUAUUGUAUACUUUAAAAUAAAAAACAAAGGUUGUUGGGGGGGGGGGGGAGUUUCGUAACGGGUAUCUAUUGAGCACUCGUUAAGACACAUAAAUUUCACCUAAAUUAUUAUGUAUACAUAUAUUAAUAAUUAUUAAUCUCCCAUACAUUUAAACAUUUUUUAUAAUUAAUCUCGUCUUUAAAAAAUUAACACCUGAGAUAUAUUUCAACGAGUGCUUCAUAGGUUACACAAACCAAAAGGAAAAAAAAAAAAGGGAAAAAAGGGUUCUAUUCACCUUUUGUAGGCAACCAAUUCCCAAAUGGGCUAGUCUAGAGAACAACUCCGUUAAUUUGUUACGCAUCCUGAUUCUACACUUCAUUUUGGGCUCGGAAUCCAAUAUCUCCACUAUGGGCUUUCCUAGUUGUGAUCCAAUUCAACCACCGAACACUCCAUUCGUCGGAGAAAAGUUUCGUCUCCCCUUUCAUUUUCUUGAAGAAGAAGUUUUUCUCAUUUAUUCUCGUGAAAGGUCGGAGCUCGCAAGUCUCUUUACUCUCUCAGAACAGAUCCCUUUCUCUCUCACACACAACACACACGAUAGACACACACACAAUCUGGGGACGGUGAAUUGAUCGGAGAACAUUAUGGCGGCGCCGAUGGUAGAAGACAGCAACUUCGAAGACGACCAGCUCAACUCCAUGUCCACUGACGACAUUGUUAGGGCUUCUCGCCUUCUCGAUAACGAGAUUCGGAUCCUCAAGGUUUUUUUUUUUUUUGCAUAAAUUAUUAGUAAUAUGAUUUUGGACUUCGUUUGUUUGCUAUGAGAAGUUGAUUUUUUUGGGGAAAAUGAUAAAAUUAAAUUAUUGAUGUUGAUCGUGCAAUUUUGGUGAAAUUCAGGAAGAGUUGCAGAGGACGAAUCUAGAAUUGGAUUCCUUCAAGGAGAAGAUUAAGGAGAAUCAAGAGAAAAUUAAGCUCAAUAAGCAGCUUCCUUACUUGGUCGGCAAUAUAGUAGAGGUGAUUUUUAUUUUAGGGUUUUUUAGUUUCAAUGUUUCGUUUCUGACCUUUUAUGCUGUAAAUUUCACUUAUAAUUUUAGACCAAAAGGAAAGUUUUUUUUUUAAGGUUUUUGUGCAUGUUGAGAGAAACUUUGCGUAUAAGUUUAUUCGAUGAGCAUUUCCAUCGUUCAUGCUUUUGGCCAUGGUUUUUUCAUUUUGAACUUCUGAAACUUAUUGGGAUAAACAAAAUUAAAAGAGAACGCUAAUUGUAUGAAGGUUUCUGUGGUUCAGGAUGCUAAUUUGAUAAAAGAAAACCUAAACUUUAUCCAGAUUUCCCCUGAGACAUUCAGAGGAGAAAGAAGAUAGGAGAAGAAUUAAGUACCGCAUAAAAUUUACUGUGAGAUUUAUAACUAUUUUUCUGUAUCCAAAAUCUUUUAAUCGUCUUCUAUUAGCUUAAAGUUUUGGGUUGUUGGUGGAAUCAGCAUCAGCCUACACACCUAUUACUGGCGCUUUUGAUGUGGAGGGCCCUUUAAAUGUAUGCAUUAUUGCUUUUCUAGUUACUUCUUGCUUUUCUUUAACUUGAAACUUUUUGGCUUGAGCCUUGUUCUCUAUUUUUACCCCCCUCAGUGAAUGCAUUGGGUUUCAUUUGACUUGGAUGGGGAAAACAAAAUUAGGACCAUAAGUGAAUUUCGUUCUGGACUUUGUUGUGUUUCAAUUUCUCUGGCAGUUAUCUUCCAUUAUACUUUUGCUGGAGAGUCCAUGCUGAGGUUCUAGGUGAAGGAGCAGGUGUUUUUCAAAGGAUUUAUUUUUCAUCAUGUGAUUCCAUGUUCUCAUCAAAAGCCUCCUUUGGGGUCAGCAUAUCAUAUAAUGUAUGUUAUUUAUUUUUCUGGUGAUUGCUAUAUUAGCUAAUAUGAUUUUGCACUUUUCAGAUUUUGGAAAUGAACCCAGAGGAAGAGGCUGAGGAAGAUGGUGCAAAUAUUGACCUUGACUCUCAAAGGAAGGGCAAAUGCGUUGUAUUGAAAACUUCCACUCGCCAAGUAAGUUGCCUUAUAGAAAGCUUUAAUGAUUGUUUAUGAGCUCAAGCUUCUAGAAUCAUGUCCUAGUUCAUCAUAAAGUCCAUACAUUUUUUGGUUUUUCUAAACAUUUUGUAUUUUGAUUGUAGACAAUUUUCCUUCCUGUUGUUGGCCUUGUUGACCCUGAUAAAUUAAAGCCUGGGGAUUUGGUUGGAGUAAAUAAAGAUAGUUACUUGAUCUUGGACACACUACCGUCUGAGUAUGAUUCUCGAGUCAAGGCGAUGGAAGUUGAUGAAAAACCAACUGAAGAUUAUAAUGACAUUGGUGGUCUGGAGAAACAGGUAAAGUUCUUACUUUUUGGAAUGCUUUCUGUUGUGGCAUUCUUGGAUUUACUUAUUUAGUUGGCCAUGCUUAUGGAAUUGUGUUCGUUGUCAUAGAUCCAAGAACUUGUUGAAGCCAUUGUUUUGCCUAUGACCCACAAAGAGCGGUUUCAGAAGUUGGGGAUUCGUCCACCAAAAGGGGUCCUUUUGUACGGACCUCCUGGAACAGGGAAGACAUUAAUGGCUCGUGCAUGUGCCGCCCAAACAAAUGCUACUUUCCUUAAGCUGGCUGGACCCCAGCUUGUACAGGUGAUUAUGAUCACCAUAGAUAUCCUGGAUAAUUUGUCAAGUGGUCCUCUAAUUGUCAUUUUUGGUCUCUUCUAAGUCUGUUUAUUGGAACUUCCUGUGGCUUCUUCUGGGAUACUCUAUGGUGUAAUUUCUAAUGAAGCAUGUCACAUAUUCACUCGUUUGUCUGCUAGUAGGAGUUUAGGUCGGAUGCUCUGCUUGGAGUUUCUAGCAAAACUUAUCUUUUUGCUUUCAAACUUAGGAUACUCUUUCCAUUCAAUGUGCCUUUUUUUCAAAUUUUUUUUUUCGGUUAAUGAGCAUUAGCGAAUGCCAGAGAAUUAGUUACAAAUUUGACUUUUAAGGGGCAAAUAGAAGUCUCAUCUUUAUUUUUGAAGAAUUACUAGUGUUUUCACUAAUCAAAACAGAGGACUUAAUUGCUGCACCUUAUCAUGGAUUUUGGAGCACCAUAAGAAUUCAAUAAUUUGCAUAAUCUUUGAAUUUUAGGCCUUUUUGGAGGAAGUAUUCAGAUUUCUCUUUGGUGCUUUUGUUGCUAGAUGGUUUUAACUUUUCCCUUCUAUCCAUAUUCUUAAUAUGAGAUUUAAUUUAUUCUUAAAAGAGAGGGCUGUGGUUAGCUUAGUUUUCCAGGUGACAAAUGAUUCUGCAAUGUGGUGCAUGAGGGCUGUAAUUUGGUGUUCUUUAAUAAAGUUGACAGGCAAUUUGUAUAUAAUAUAACUAAAUAUACUUUGAUGCAGAUGUUCAUUGGAGAUGGAGCAAAGCUUGUCCGCGAUGCUUUCCAGCUUGCAAAGGAAAAAUCUCCUUGUAUAAUCUUUAUUGAUGAGAUUGAUGCCAUUGGUACAAAGCGUUUUGAUAGGUAAGCAAAUCGCUCGGGGUACUGCUUGAUUUUAUUCAGCCUGGGGUUUUUUGUGCUUAAUGGAUUCUCAUGGUUUAUAAGACGUGAUUUAUUAAAAAUUGGAAAGAAAAAAAGAGUAAAGCAUUGCAUAGCCCUAUACAGAUUGUAGCAGGUAUCCAUCCUUAUCUGAUCAAGUUAUGCUUUUGUUUUGCAGUGAAGUCAGUGGGGAUAGGGAGGUCCAGAGAACUAUGUUAGAACUGCUUAAUCAGCUUGAUGGUUUUAGCAGCGAUGAUCGGAUAAAGGUUUCUUUUUUUAUUUUUUUUCACACCCCUUUUCUUUGUUCUCGUUGUGUUGGCAUAUGAUUUUUUGCGGUUAACUUGGGAUAGGUUUCGACACACAGGCAGUAGAUGUUCUUCCUAGUAUAGUGCUAUUUUGGUGCUUUUGCAAUGAUAUUAGAUUUUAGUCAUUUAUGUUACUUUGAUACUUGUCCAAGCUCAACUAGUGGGCUUCUACGAAAUUAUGUCUAAUUUCUGACAGUUUUGUGCUGGUGUAUCUUGGUUAAAUUGUUCUUAUUUUUCUUUUGCUUUGGUAAAACAUCUGCAGGUGAUAGCGGCGACAAAUCGAGCUGACAUUCUAGACCCUGCCUUGAUGAGAUCAGGUCGACUUGAUCGCAAAAUCGAGUUCCCCCAUCCGUCUGAGGAGGCCAGGGCUCGGAUCUUGCAGGUACAUCUCUUAACUUAGAUUAUCCUUUUCUUACUGCUUAAUCAUCAUGCUUUAGUAUUGUCCAUACCUUUCUGGGGUUUACUUUUCAUUUUUAAUUAUUUUAUCUUGGUGUGGUGGUAUUGCAGAUACACUCCAGAAAGAUGAAUGUUCACCCUGAUGUGAACUUUGAGGAGCUGGCUCGUUCAACAGAUGAUUUCAAUGGGGCACAACUGAAAGCUGUCUGCGUAGAAGCAGGCAUGCUAGCACUGCGGCGCGAUGCCACUGAGGUCUGUCUCUCUCUCCGCAUUGUUUUUUUCUUAAUAUUUUUUUCCUGUUUCCGACUUCUUGGUUAGACACGACUUGUGAAAGGUAUUUGCACAUUUAGAUACCAAAAGCAGGGAUAGGGGUAGAAGAUGGGGAUUCAAAAUAGUCGUCUUUUUUAAAGAGUAUUUUGGGGAUUACGUAUGCUGCUGGGAUUAAUAUGAGAAAUUGGUUAAGAUGCUGCACAUGGAAGUUGGAAUGUUUUUUCAUGGAGGGGUUUUCAGACAUCUGAGCUCAUUUUUUAAAACAACUCUCUUCUUUUUCCAGGUGAACCAUGAAGACUUUAAUGAAGGUAUCAUCCAAGUUCAAGCAAAGAAGAAAGCCAGCUUAAAUUACUAUGCAUAGAGAUCAUGUGGGUUCAGUGAUUUCAAGCAUGUGGACGGCGAACGUAUGCUCACGUCAUAACUCCAUUUACUUGGCUGUGCUGUCAUUCUCGUACCCACACUCAUCUUUUUUUCCCCUGGGAAAAUCAAAAGAGAGAGAAAAGUGGAGGAAAGAAAGAGUGUUCUAAAACUAAAUCAGGAAAACAAGUUUCAGGCGGUAGAUCUUUUUCUUGUACCGACACUAAGCCGUACUGGUUGACAUUUUGAUUUGUAUGUAUUUGAAUGCACAAUGCAGUGGAGUAUUUGGGUCGCAGGUGUAACUUCUUCUUUGCUUGUCCCUCCAAGGUUUUAAAGCGGCUUUUAAUAUCAUUCUACGCCUACGUGAAAGCAUUACUGGAUUGGACUUUCUUUGGUUGUGAAUGUGCACUAUAGGAUGUUUUAGCAACUAGCGCGAAGACUAGUUGCCUUCAGGUGGUUUAGUUCCUCUUUUUAUCUUUUUCGUCAGUUUCAUGUGAUCAUGUAGAUGCAUUCUUUUCUAUAAUUACUGGCAAAAGAUAGGAAGCGGGUGCUACCAGCGUCGCACAGUUACUGUGAAAUUCAAAUUGCCGCUGGGAACGAAUGUGAGUAGGUGCUACCAGCGUCCGAUAGAUGUAGAAGAUCAUCAAGCUUAAAAGAGGACAUCAUGAAGCAGAAUUACGUGCCGUUAUUGUUGACGGUAUACUGGUUCUGCAUAAUCUGCUGUAAUGGGCAUGGCAACAACGGAAUGCUACUCUGAUUAGCAGCAGCAGCAGCUAGUGAAAUGUCAAGUUCCAUGUUGACUUGCAACAUUUACCAUGUUGCUGCUGUUUCUUGUGGCUUAAUUCCAAAGCAAGUCUUUAAGAAGUGAAAACUAAGAAAAAAGAGAGAGAAAGUUCUCUUCUUCAUAUUUCUGAACUACACAAUGUACAAAUAUAUAUAUAUAUAUAUAUACACAAGUGUAAUCUAUUUUAGAUUCUAAAAUCAUGCUAACCUAAAUCACUCUAUCGCCUAAUUUUAUAAUCAAAACAAAGCAAAUCUAAUCUUUUCUAAUAUUUAUAAUAGCAAAUCUUUCUAUAAUCACAUAUUUUCAACACUCCGCCUCAAGAUGGAGCAUAGAUGUUAAUCAUGCCCAUAUUGCCACAAAUAUAAUUAAUUCUCGGAUCAUUUAGAGAUUUAGUGAAAAUAUCAGCUAACUGCUUUCCAGUUCUCACAUGACUGGUUGAAAUCAAGUUUUGCUGAAUUUUUUCACGAACAAAAUGGCAAUCAAUUUCGAUAUGCUUUGUUCUCUCAUGAAAAACUGGAUUUGAUGCUAUAUGAAGGGCAGCUUGAUUGUCACACCAUAACUUCAUUGGAAGUGAAUUAUUGAUUCCCACCUCACACAAUAAUUGGUGUAUCCAUAUAAGCUCACAAGUGGAUUGUGCCAUAGACCGGUAUUCAGACUCUGCACUAGAGCGAGAUACUACAUUUUAUUUCUUACUUUUUCACGAUACCAAAUUACCUCCAACGAAAACACAAUAUCCAGUUGUAGAUCUUCGAUCAAUUUUAGAACCUGCCCAAUCCGCAUCUGAGAAGCAUUCAACAUGAGAAUGGCCAUGAUUACCAUAUAGUAUACCACAUCCCGGAGUUCCUUUAACAUAACAUAAGAUUUGCUCUAAAACUACCCAAUGGGUGGUUCUUGGUGAGAACAUAAAUUGACUCACAACACUAACUGGAUAUACAAUGUCACGACGAGUCACAGUAAGAUAAUUCAAUUUUUCGACUAACCUCCGGUACAUUUCAGGAUCUGAGAAUAACUCUCCAUCAUCUGCUAUAAGUUGCAUGUUGGGAAUUAUUGGUGCACUACAUGGCUUAGCACCAAAUUUUCCUGUUGCUUUCAAAAAAUCAAGGACAUACUUCCUUUAGCAUAAGAAGAUACCUUGUUUACACCUUAUAACCUCAAUACCUAAAAAGUAUUUCAAUAUACCCAAAUCUUUUAUUUGAAAGUGCGAUUAAAGAAAAUUUUUAAGGGCUGCCAUACCUGUAUUGUUACUACCAGUAAUAACAAUAUCAUCAACAUAAACCACUAUUAGGAUAAUACCAACUUCAGAUUGUUGAUAAAAGACAGAAUGAUCAGAAUUAUACUUCUUCAUGCCAAACUUUUGAACCACCUUACUGAAUCUCCCAAACCAAGCACGAGAACUCUGUUUUAAACCAUAUAAUGACUUCCGGAGUCUACAAACCUUACUAAACUCCCCCUAAGCAACAAAUUCAGGUGGUUGCUCCAUAUAAACUUUCUCUUGUAAAUCCCCAUGAAGGAAUGCAUUCUUAACUCGAAUCUAUAGAUAGAGAAGAUGGUGGAGGAUGUGAGUCUAUGUGUUGAGAACGACGAGAAUAUACUUGAGUGAUCGGUGGUCUGAUAGGAACAAUUGUUGUAACAGUAUAGACUAGAAUAUUAUCUUCCUCCUCCUGACUACUAUAGACAUUAGACUCAAAAAAAAUGGAUAUGUCUCAAAAAAUGUAAUAUCAGCAGAAACUAAAUAACGAUCUAAACUUGGAGAAUAACAUCUAUACCCUUUUUGAAAAUGUAAAUAACCCAAAAACACACACUUGAGAGAUUUGGGAUCUAAUUUAAACACUUGAAGACGGGUAUCACGAACAAAACAAGUACACCCAAAUAUACGUGGUUCAAUGGAGAAUAAAGAUUGGGUUGGAAACAAAAUUGAAUAAGGAAUCUCACUAGCAAGCACAGAAGAUGGCAUGCGAUUAAUUAAAAAAGCUGUUGAAACAGCAUCUGCCCAAAAUUGCUUAGGAACCUUCAUAUGAAAUAGAAGGGCUCUAACAACUUCUAAUAAGUGCCUAUUUUUCCUUUCAGCAAUACCAUUUUGUGGUAGUGAGUCAAAACAUGAAUAUUAGUGAAGGAUUUCAUUUUCUGACAUAUACGAAUUAAAGAGUUUAGAAAAGUAUUCUUUUGCAUUAUUACUUCACAAAAUAUGGACAGACACAUUGAAUUGUAUUUUUAUUUUAGUACAAAAGAAACAAAAGAUACUAAAUAAAUUUGAACGACUUCUCAUUAAAUAUAAUUAGAGCUGUUAAUCGAGUCGAGUAUUUGGCUGCCGAGCUCGACUCGAGUUUAAUUCGAGCCGAGCUCGACUCGAGCUCGUUAAGAAAACGAGCUUUAAAAUGUGUUCGAACUCGGCUCGUUAAAUGUACAUGUGGCUCGAGCUCGAGCUCGAGCUCGACUCGUUUAUCACAAACGAGUCGAGCUUCAUGAGCUCGAGCUCGAGCUCGUGCAAAUUAACAUUAAUAAAAACCUAUAAUUUUUAAUUCAUAUAAUUUUGAUUUCUAAAAUGACAAAUAUGCCCUUCAUUAACGAGCUCUAACGAGCUACUUGAGUAUCAAACGAGCCGAGCUUACUCGGCUCGUUAACUAAACGAGCAUGUUUCGAGCUCGAGCUCGACUCGUUAACCAAAAUUAACGAGCCGAGCUCGAGCCUUAACGAGCCGAGCUCUAACGAGCUUUCGAGCUACUUGAUUGGCUUAACAGCUCUAAAUAUAAUCAAAUAACACGAAAGUAGUCAUCAACAAAAGUGACAAAAUACUUAAAACCAAAUUUAGAUACUAUUGGACAAGGGUCCCAAAUAUCAGAGUGCACUAAUUCAAAAGGGGAUGUAACCCGUUUAUUGACUCUAGGCAAGUAAGGCAAACGAUGAUACUUGGCAGAUUGACAUGACUCACAAUCUAAAUGGGAUAAAUUCUGAAAACUUGGAUACAACUUUUUCAAGGUAGGUAGAGAUGGAUGACCCAAAUGACAGUAAAUUUCAAGAGAAGUCAAGGUAGAAAAACAUGCAACAGGUUUCGGCACUUUCGAUGAAGGGGGUUCAAGUAUAUACAGGUCGCCAUACUCACGUCAUUUACCAAUAAUCUUCCCCGUCAUAAGAUCCUGAAAAAUACAAUAUUCAGGAAAGAAUGAGACAGAACACUUGAGAGCUUUUGUAAUUUUACUGGCUAACAGUAAAUUAAAAGAAAAAUUAGAUAAUCAUAAGACUGAAUAUAAGGGGAUAGAUGAUAUAGAAAUUGCUAUACUAGAACCCAUAACUGAAGCACAUGACCCAUCAGUCAAAGUAACAUUUGGAUGAUCUUUGUUAGGAUUAAAAGAGGAGAAGAUACCUUUAUUUCCGGUCAUAUGAUCUGUUGCACCGGAAUCGAUGAUCCAUUUGUUAGAAAAUGACACAAGGCAUAUAGUAAGUUUACAUGAAUGAUCAAUAGAAGGAGGAAUGGUACUAGAAGAUGGGUUAGCAGAUUUUUGUGAGGCCUGGAACUUAGUAAAGCGGGCAAACUCAUCAGCAGAGAUGAGUAUGGAUUUGUUAGAAGGCACAUAAUUGUUUUCCUGGGUUGCGAAAUUUGCAAAUGGGGGCUGCUGUUGAGAUCUACCAUGAAGGUCCCAACACGUACGUAUGGUAUGGCCUGGUUUCUUACAGUGAUAACAGACUCAUUGAUUUGAGUUGUAUUGUCCAUGACCAACAACCCCACCAGUCCCAUUUUUGCCAUUGUUUCUAUCAUUAUUUCCUCGACCAACUCCAUUUCGACUCACGAGAGCGCCAGUAACAUUGGAAGUAGACAAAGAUUUCUCGGUUCUCAACACUCGUGUGAAAGUGUCAUGGAGGGAAACAAUCUCUGGGUUAGAGAGUUUGUGUUCGAGAAGCAUCAAACUCAACUGGUAAUCCUGCAAGAAAACUCAUUACAUCCAUUUGUUCCCGUUGAGACUGUUGAGUUUUUACAUCAGUACUAAAAGUAAGGAGAGAAUUCAAUUCCUUAUACACACGUUUAAAAUCCAUAAAAUAUUCUGUAAGGAAUCUCUGCUAUUUUUUCGGAUGGUAAAAUUCCUUGCAAACAUCAUAUGUAUGAUUUAAAUUACCCUUACCAGAAUACAAAAAGGCCAAAUAAUCCAUAAUAUUUUUAACAAACUCACAAUGAUUGAUGAGACUGACUAUCUCAUUAUCAAUAGAGUUUCGGAUCUGCAAAAAUAAUUUUGCAUCUUUCCUUAGCUAAACCUUCUUUUCUUCCCCAUCAACGGAUGGGUUAUCAGUGAAUUGAUCAUCUCUAUCAAUGCUGCACAGAUAUAUCCGAAUAGUUUUACUCCAAUCCAAAAAAAAAUUUCCACUCAGUUUGUGUUCAGUAAUCUUUGAUGUUGUAACAAUAACAUCAGAAAUUACUGUUUUCAUUUCUCUACUACUAACUUUCAUAUCUGCCAUUAUAAUUCACACAAAAAAAAUUUUAAAAGUUAUUCAAUAGGGUCACGUCAAAAAACAAAUUGAUAACAGAGUCUAAAGCUCUGAUACCAUGAAAACUAAAAAAAAAAGGAGGAAAAAUACUCUUCUUCAUAUUUUUGGAUUACACAAUAUACAAAUAUAUAUAUACACAAGUAUAACCUAAUUUAGAUCCUAAAAUCAUGCUAAUCUAAAUCAAUCUAUUGCUUAAUUAAUAUUUGAUGCUAUAAUCAAAACAAAUCUAAUCUAAUCUUUCCUAAUAUUUACAAUAGCAAAUCUUUCUAUAAUCACAUCUCUUCAACAGGAAGAAACGAAAUUGAGUGAUACAUGGUUUUUAUGGUUACUUAGCAUGGCACCUACUUCUGUUUCUUCUUGAUUGUCGAUCAAAUUACAGCGUCCCUGCCUGCUUUUAUUUGGUUGCGCAAUGGCUCUUUAUCGAGGUUUAGCAUUUUGCAGUUGCACCUUCGGUCUUGUUUAAAUGAAAGACCGAAUGCAUCCAACCAUGGAUGGAGGAACAAAAUUACACAACCACAGGCAGCUGGAUGGAGCACAAAUAUGCCCUGUAUGUAACUUACUUGGUAUCGAUUGUGCCUUUCCAGUCAAAACCUUAUAAGGUCCCUCCAAGAAUGACUAUGCUCCAUCAGGACGCACUUAAUCGCACCAAACAUCAGCUACUGUAAUAAAUAGACCUGAACCCUCCACCUUUUAGAAGAGCUAGAAUUUUACUGCCAGCUGAACAUGGUAUGAGGAAAAGUUUUGAUUUUGCAUACAGGGAACAAUCCCCAAGCUUGGUUUAUGCAGGAUGCUAAUCUGAGAAGGCAUCCACUUCAUGCAACUCACUGAACCAAAAAUAACAACUCAAAACUACACUGAUGCAAGUUGUUGGCAAAGUCAUUAGGAACUCCUAUUAUUCUCAAAAUCCUCUGUUAAAACAUAUAAGCAUGUAAGAAAAUGUAGCUAUCAAAAUUUAAAACGCCAAGGCAAGGCGUGUUCUACUGCCAAAUACUAGCACAACUUGAACGUAAUAAAGACCACUACACAAAACAGCUUCCUGAUUAUUGCACGCUUUAUUUCUAGCAUUUGACCUCCUUCAGCCCAGGUGCAAGGUAAAGAAAAGUUGGAUCGGUGGCACCUUCUUUGUAGUAUGCAAACACGAUUGAGCCAUCAUCAUGCAUGCUCUCACCAACAAAGCUGCAGAACACAUAAAACGAUCAAACAAUCAAUGAAUGUUUUCAUCCAAAACAACACAGCGGCAUUCAUCUAUAUACUGCUUCAAUUUCAAAUGUGGAAGUAGACAGAGAAUCCUGUUUCAUCAAAUAGGGUCGACACAGAGACAGGGAAAAGAUUGAGUGGACUUACAACUGAAGGUCGCUCAGCUUUGACAGGAGGUAUUUAGUUGCUCCUUCAAUGUUCUUUUUGAAAGCAUCCAGCUUCUCAGGCUCCAACUUUGGACUUAAAUUCUUGAUAUAUUUCUUGAUGUAUGCAACAAACUGCUUUUUGUCGAAAGCGGGUUGCUCCUACAAAGAGGCAAGAGUCUCUUCAUUGAAUAACAAGAAAGAAUAAAAGAGGAGGUCCAAUUUGGAGUAGUUUUGCAGCAAAAGUAUACCAACCUGAAGUCUGAAAGUAUCAACAAUAUCAACAACCUUGACAGCUUGGUCGUCAACUCCUUCAUCUUCUUCUCCACCUUCAGCAGAAGGAUUGGCCCCAAUAUUCACCUCCACAGCACCUUGAACGACCCACUGAUUGAACAUUCCAAUAAUUAAUGUCAAAUUUGACUUGUCACAAAUAAAUUUUUCAUGCUAAUAUGUGAAGCAUGGCCUAAAAUGUCUCUUUCCCUCCUGAUACAGAACAAUUCUACAAAACAAAAAAUAGUUGAAAUAAAAAAAAAAGGGACGAAAGCCUUUACCUUCCCUUCUACUUCCCACAGCAUUCCAUUCUCAAUUUCCUUAUAGGGGAAUGAGUCGGAUAGAAGCUCAUCGCCUGGAAAUAAUAAAAAAUUUCAUAGUAUUACUUUCUUGAAGCAAUAAAUAAAGACUAAAAGGAGGAGUUGAUGCAGUUGACAGCUAAAAAAGGACCAGUACCCGAGCACACAGGAAAGAGAUUGCCACAAAUCACAGCUUAAAAAAAGCUAUCCGUGAGAAAUAGUAUAAAGUUUCAAUCUUUAUAUUAGAAGGAAAACAUAAUUGCAAGAAACUCUGCAAGAAUGCUACGAUGAAUCUGGUAGCCACAGAAGCAAUUGCUAAGCUUAUGUAAAAGGUAUACCAAUUAGCCAUCUUUAAAUAUUUUUAGAUCCCAAUUAAUCAGUAUCAACAAACUUUUACUGACAAUUUGGCAAUUACUGGUUGUGUACACCAUACAACUCAACAUGCUCUGAGAUUAGAAGACUCCCCAGCAACACAGGCAGUGCACUUGUGCUUUCUUAAAUAAUAGUAGCAAUUAAUAAGUCAAUUGCUCCUAAAUUUAAAUUAAACAUGCUUGAUAUCAUUUUCCGACCAAGUUUCCCUUGAAGGGUUAGCUAGAAUUCCUUAGUUUUGUGCUCCUAAAAUAAUCUUCAGGGUAAACUCUAAUCAUUCUGGUAUCAACGAAGGACAGAAGUAAAGACUCUGCACCGAUGCUAUUCUCUUCCUUGAAUUGAAAUUCAUAACCGAAGAAACACGCAGGUAGAUCAGCCCCAACGUUAAACACAUAAUUGGUAUCCAAUUAUAGAAACCAAAUAAAUAACAAGUUUACAUCCAAUAAUACAAUCUAAAGGGUUUUUCUUCUUCUUUUCUUUUUCAUGGUUUUCACAUGUAUGAACUCAUGCGAGAAGACAACGAAAAAAAAAGUACAAAAGAAUUAAAUUAAACUCUUAAGCAAACAAAACAUAGGAACUGUUACAAGAAAAAGCAACUUUGGUUGUAUCAUGCAACAAAGUUUUCACACAGAAAAGGUUAAGAAAAGAAGUGUACCAGAAAGAAGAUCCUGGUAAACCAACAUGUUUGCAGACUUGAAGUUUCCUUGGUUGUCAGAUUUUUUUCUUUCUGCUGGCACUAUGGAAGACGUACUAUGCUAUAAUUGUACAGUAAGAGGUAACGAAAGAAAAGGUAGUCCUCCUAAUAAAGCCGGGUGGUGAGCUUUUAUAGUGGAGAAUUUGACGGUGUCCCUUCAGGAAUAGGAAAAUCCUAAUUAAUAAAACCACUUCAUAUUAGGAAUUACUUUAAAAUUUAAAUAAUCUUUUUAUUUGCUUUUAGGAAAAGAAAAUCCUAAUUUCAGAAACCUCCCCUAAGGUUUCUGACAAUUUUAUUGAGCUCCCUUGAGAUUUGAAAAUUUACACAUACCUCCCUUGCCAUUUAAAAUGAUAAUUUUACCCUUAAACAUUUUAAUGAAAUUCCCUUAUUUGGUAUGUUUAUAUUUAGAAUGAGUUUUAAAAUUAUUUUUUCAUUCUUUUUCCUUCUUAUUCCCUUUUUUUAAUUAUUUACCAAUAAAACUGUAGAACUAUUACCAUUGCUUGUAGUUUCUAUUAUACCCAAACAUAGGACUAGUGUUUUUUCGAAUGAAUUAAUUUUAUAUGUAAUUCAAUACUUUUGCUGAUUUUUGUUUUCUAUUUUUUGGUACUAAAAUUAACAAUAGAUAAAAAAAAAUGGCCCAAAAUCACUAUCAAAUUAUGAUAAUCCCACUACCCGAAAAAUUCAUAAACUCUAAAUAAAUUAUUUCAACAUUUUCUUUUCUAUCUUAUAAAUCUAAAUCUAUAAAAAGUGGCAUCAAAAGUACCCUAUCAUAAUGAAAAAAUAAUUAUUAUAGUUAUUUAUCAAAUAGCAGAUAUGGACAUGAAAAUUUUGACACCUUUUCCUUAUAAUUAUACUAGAUAAUCUUAUAAUUAUAUAGGAACAUAAAUUAAAACUCAUUACACAAGGGCAUUUUUGAGUAUUUAUUUAAAAAAUUGAUCAAGCCAAUAUUAUUUUAAAAUUUUGUUACUAAAACUGUCAAACUAAAGGAGGUAAGUAUAAUUUUUCAAACUUUAGGAGCUCAGUGAAGUUAUCAGAAACCACCUCACGGGAGGUUUCUGAAAUUAUCCCAAAGAAACUUGCAAAUUAAUGGGAUUUUGAGAAUUAGAUUCUCCUCCUCUUUUGACUGAUGGCCGACAUGGGCCUUUCUUCUCCGGCCGGUUGUUUUCUUGGCUAGUAGUGCAAUUUGUACACUUCUAUUCUACGUUACUACAAGUGGGAUGCAAGUGAUAUACAGUUGUGUAUGUAUGUUGUAUGUGUCUGCUGGGCGGUGCAUUGAAUUUGGAUUGCAAUCAUUUACUUCUGACUUUGGAUCAAACCCAAUAAAGAUAUUAUUAUCAAUUUCCGGAAAAAAAUAUUAUUUAAAAAAAAAACUGGUUCAAAAUGAAAAAACGAGAUAAUAAGUGAAACCAUAAAAAGGGAAGAGAAUCUCUGCUUUGAGUACGGUUACAUGGUAAAUCUUGCACUAUUAACUUGGUGGUAUUGUAGUAUUAUCAUAGGCUUGUGAAUUUUCUCAUUAGUUAGUUGAAAUAUCAAAUUUACCUUUUUGGUUAGAAUAAAUUGGUUUUAAAUUAGUUAAACUGAAGUGAUGAGAGUUGGAUAUUACUCACAGACACUUAAAGAAUGAUAACUUCAAUCUUGGAGUGAUCAUUUGUUGGGUAAACCCAUAAGUUUGGUUUACUAAGGGUAUCAUUUGUUGGGCUUAUUUCUUUCUAACUAUUUAGACACCAUCUUUGGAGUGAUUUUUUUGUUCCAAUUUGUAUGUGAUUGAUUGUUGAGCAAUGACUGUGUUUUAUUUUGAUGCGCUAAACUUUUGGUUUAAUAAAAGUUAAUUUAGAGAGUUUUUAAACCAUUUAGAUGCAUGUAAUUUGGGGUUGUUUGGCAAAUGAAUUUUGCCAAGUUUUUAUAAGUUUUUAAAUAAUUUUAACUACAUUAACAUUAAAAAACUCCUCAAAGUUUUUAAAAUACACAUCUCAAAAUACCAAAAACACACAAAAAAAAUUUUUUUUUCCUUCUUUCCUUUUUUCUUCUUCCUUCACCCACCACAGCCUUCGCCAUCAGCCAACACCAACUGGCACCUCUGUUGAUGUUAGCACCGGUUUUCUUUCUUUUUUUCUCUUUUCCCUUUUCUCCUUCCUUUUCCUUUCUCCCUCCCUCUCCUCCUCCUGUCCCCUCUUCGCUACCGCUCCUCCUCCUGUCCCCUCUUUUCUUCUCCCUAUCCCUUCCCCUUGUACAAUUUGGUCGCGUGACCAGAUCGCUAGUCAUAGUGAUUAGAUAUUUAGAUCACGUGGAAAUGGGAGGGGAAAUGUGGCAGAUGGAGGGGGAAGAGGUGGUGGAGGAGAGGGGAAGAGAAGAAGGGAGGGGAGAAGGUUGGGAGAGGAGGGAAAAAGAAGAAAAAGAGGGGGAGAGAGAACAAAAUAUAUUUAAAAAAAAACUCCAUCUGUUGUCAAUGCUGGACGUCGACAAAGGUUUUGGCGACCGGCGAUAGAGAGGGAGUAAGAUCAAUGGUGGGGUGAGGGAGAUGAAGAUAAGAGGAAAAAAAAGGAAAAAGAAAAAGAAAAAAAUUUACACACCCUAAAAAGUUUUGGAUUAAUGUUUCCUACACUGACAGCGUAUACACUGUCAAUAUUGAAUAAAUGACAAUUAUACAAAAUUUGAAUUUGAAAUUUAACUUUUGCACACAUGUCAUGAAUCCAACGAUGAUAAUGUAUACACUGUCAGUGUAUAUAAGAUUUACUUAAAAGUUUUUCUACAAUUUUUACUGUAAGCUACAAUAAAAUUUUAAACAAAUAUCCAAAAACCUCAAUCAACUACCUCUAGAGUAGUUGGUCACUAGGGAGAGGUUUAAAACUCUCCUUGAGUGUAAGUCAAUGAAUCAAAUCUCUUAGUUUGCAUUUUUCUUUAGGAUUUCUUGAAAAAAUUCAACAGCGAAAAAUCCAAAAAACUCAUUUGGUUUUCAUGAAGAAUUGACUAAUUCCACAAUGCACCCCCAAACUUGUACAUUUUUCCACUUUGCGCCCUAAAUUUUGAUUUUAGACAAUUUGCACUUUAAACUCUUAAUUUUGAAUAUUUUGCACCCCAAACUCUCAAGUUUGUCCAAUUUAAGUCUAAUCGAUGACUAUAUUUGCAAAAUUAAUGAGAUAAAGAGCGGUGAAAAUCAAUGACAAUAUACUAUUUUAUUCUAACAAUGAUCUCUUAACUUUUUUCACUAAUUUUAAUACAUUAUCAUUGAUUUAUGAAGUCCAAAUUAUUUAUAUUAUUAAUGAAAUUUAUGAGAUAAAAAAUGACACAAAUUAACAAUAAUAUAUUGUUUUAUUUUUGUUAUGAUACAUUAGCACCUUUUGAGAACUUUCAACAUAUUAUCAUCGAUUUGUUCGGUUCUCUAUAUUAUUUAUUUUACUAAAGUUAUUAUUGGUUGAAUUUAAAUAAAACAAAUUUAAGAGUUUAGGGUGCAAAAUAUUCAAAAUUAAAGUUUAGGAUGCAAAGUGAGAAAGUAUACAAUUUCAGGAGUGCAAAAUAUAAUUAGUCCUAAAGAAUUUGAUAGGGUUAAUUAUCACGUUUAACAAGUGACUUAUGGUGCGUCUAAAAACUGAAUUUGAAAUCGAAGUUUGAAUUUAUUAAAUCACUAAAUGGUUAAGUACUAAGGUUCCGUUUGAUAAAACUGAAUCUAAAUUCUAAAAUCUGAAUAUUAAAACAAUUAAUUUGCUGAAUUUUAAGCACUGAAAAGAAAUAUAUGAAUGUCUGAAUCUUAAUACUGAACCUAUUUAUACUGUUUGAUAAACAUUUAAAAUUGAAUGCUUAAUAAGCUAAAUUGUAUAUUUUUGCCCUUCUAUCUUUUCAUCCAAAAAAGAAAUAAAAUUUAUGAUUUAAUUAACUUAAAAUUGUUAGGUAUAAAACUGGCAAUAUUUAUUUUUAAAUCAAAUUAAUAUAAAAGAUGAGAUAUAUUAUGAAAAACAUUACAAUCCAAUAAUUCAUAUAACAUCUAAUAUUUUGAAUAGAAAAUUUAGAAUUAGAUAAGGAUUUUAAUUAGAUAAGAAUUUUAAAUAGAGAAUAUUAUGUUGUUUAAUUGGAUAAGGAUUUUAAAUAGAGGAUAUCAGGUUGUUUAAUUAAAUAAGAAUUUUGAAUGUAAUUAACAAACAAUGGUAGAUUUAAUAGAUAAGAUAAGGUCAUUGAAAUAAAUUUGUUGAAUUAAGUGUUCAGUUACGAUUCUUGUGUUGAAAAAAAUACACACAAAUUCAGAACCACUUAACAAGUUGAGCAAAUAAAUUUUUAUUUAUCAAACGUCCAUAACUUCUGAAUGUCUAAAAAAGUUCAGUUUCAACAAUCAUAUAUAUAUAUAUAUAUAAUAAAGUCGUAUCCUCAUAUUUAUCCCUUUGCAUUUUCUCUUUCCUACGUGGCUUAAUGAGACGGCAAGUAGUUUCCUACGUGGCUUGCUACUUUUUUGUUUGGAUGUAUAUCAAUUCUUAUUUCCUAUAAGAAUUCUUAAUAUUAUAUGAUUCUUAUUUCCUACCCAAAAAAGGAACUAAAAAGUAAUUCGAUAUAAAUAAAAGAGACAUAAAUCUUCUCUAUUAGAUAUAUAGGAAUAAAUCAUAAUAUAUAUUUUUUAUAGUGUCCUUUUUUUUAAUUUUUUUUACAGCUUCAUCAUACAUUUUUUUUAUUUUAAGAUAAUCUACCCAUAUAUAGAACAACGUACAAACAAUCUAGACAUGAAAAUUAAAGAAAGUUAGCCCAAGAAAUUUUUUACAAAACUUACAGUCCCUAUGCAUAAUUGAUGUACAAAGAGAAAUGGCACUUCAUCUGAUUGAAAAUUUCUGGAAAAGUCCAUAAAGAAAAUGUUAACCUUUUUAUCAUUUUAAUUGUUACAAUAUCUAGAUAAAUAUAACUUUUAGAAUAGGUGUAUUUAUACAGGUAUAUGUUAAAAGUCUUGGUAAGUGAUGCAACUGGUAGUGCUUGGUUUGGUAUUUUUGAUCAAGAGGCUGAAAGAAUAAUAGAACACAAACUUUCUUUUAUUUUUGACGAAUUUAACAAGGUAAACUUAUAUCUAAUUUUUAAUAAGGAUUAAUUUUUCCUACACUGAUAGUGUAUACACUAUCAACAUUGGAUGAAUGACAACGAUGCAAAAUUUGAAUUUGAAAUUCAAUUUUUGCACACAUGUCAUGAAUCCAACGAUGAUAGUGUAUAUACUGUCAGUGUAGGAAAUAUUUACUCUUUUAAUAAUAAUAGACAAUCCGACACUUAUUUUAGCCGUUGAAUAUUCUAACAAAAAAAAAAAUCUAUUAUGCAUUUCAUUUUCAGGAAGGGUUUAGCAGUGAAAUCGUAUCAUCAAUUAUAAAUAAGAUUACGUGGAAAUCUUUUGUGUUCCAAAUCAUCUUGAACAAUUACAAUCUGGAACAAGAUAAUAACAGAUUUACAGUGACUAGAUGGUUCCACUGUGAUUUCGGGAGGAAAACGCAUUUCAUGCUUUUACAGGUAAUGUGCAAUAAAUUUUUCUUAUAUUUCACAUAUUAUAUCUCAUAUAAUAUUUUUGUCUUUAAUUUUGAUAAAUCAUUAUCAGAUUGGUGGAACCGACAACCAAUACCAACCUGAAACAUUUUCUUCCCAUAUCCCAAUUAGUAUAACAGAUGAUUCUAAUCAACAACAUUUCAAUACACUUCAUAUGAAUCAUUCAUCAGAGGGUUCAAUAAAAAUCACAGAGGAAAGGAAUUCUCAUAAAAAGAUUUGCAUGAGAAAGUAGAUUUAAUAUACUAUUUUACUUUCUUAAAUUAUAAUCUUUACAUAUUGUUAUACAUAAUUUUGAAUGCGAUAAAUCAUUUUUUUCCAAUACUUAGUUAUCCUGCUUUGCUAUCAUGCAGCGAUAAUGGAAAAUUAAUAAAUGCUGAUUUGCACGGACAGAUCGAGGAGAAUGUUCAAACAAAAGAAAAACAAAAACAAAUUUAUGAAGAAUAGAAUAUUAUUUGACACUAUUCACUGCACUUUUUAUUUAUUUUCAAGUUUUUAAUAUUAUGGUAUUGUUAAAUGAUAUUUUUUCUAUUUUUGAAUUAUUAUUCACUGAAUUAGAUGUUCAAAUUUAUAUUAUAAGAAUACUUUGUAUUAUAAUGCGCACAUAAUAAUAUAUUUAAGAUAAGUUAUAAUAGAUUAUACAUUAAAUUUUUAUUUUAUAUCGACAUUUUUAUAAAAUUAACUAAAUAGUUUAUUAUUUUUCGAUGAUUCCCGUUCAACGAACGGGUACAAAACUAGUUUUUUAUAUUAUCAAACAAACUCCAAAUAUAAUAUAUAUGAGUGUAUAUCAUAUAAAGUGAUAAGUGAAUAGUUUAUCAUUUAUUUUUUUAAAAUAGUUUUAUUUAGAAAAUUUAGUUCAACUAGGUCAUGUUUGAUAACCCAAUUUAGUACUUAAAUUUAAUGGAUUCAGAUCUUAACAUGUUCAGACACACGUUUGGUAAUCAAAAAUUAAACAUCUGAAUUAAUUAAGUGACACUGAAUUUCCUAGGUAAAGCUUGCUCUAAAAAAUAAGUAAUAAGUUAUUCGCUUAUCACUGAAUGUGAUAUAUGUGACAGCCCCACCUCCCCCUAAGGCGAACCAAAGGGUUCGGCGGACCGCCUGCCUAACUCUCGCCGGGACUACGGAUCCGGAACGAGCGUAAACCCUACCAACCGCUCAAAAGAACUUCGAAAAGAUAACAUUCACUGUCCGAAACCCAAACAGGCACAACAACUUUAGAUAACCCUAGAAAAGAACAUUUCCAAACCAAAUCAACUUAGAAACAUGGUUAAACACUUUUUAUAUACACAUGGUUGCAAAUUUACAAUUCAAAAGGGAAUUGUUUGGUUAAAAUACAUUUAAGGUUUUCCAUACAUUGAGGAGCUACACAAAAGAAGAUUCAAACUAGCUCAACUCAUGUUUCAACAUAUCAGAGUCUCCAAAAUGUGGUUUCCUAUAAGGAAAACAAGGAUAACGGAAUGGAGUGAGUUAGAAGCUCAAUGAGGUACCAAAAUAAUCACAGUCAAGAACCAAGGAACUUCACGCUCAAUUAAUCACAUAGGUGUAUCAAAUAAGGAGAGGAACCAAACAACUUAGAUAAAAGGAUACAGAUGACUCUCAGGAGCCAAAUUUCCCGUUGCAGUACUUGAUCCGACUACGUUGACUCUCCGUCAACUUUCAAAUAAGGAAACCAGUCCAGUAGAACACCACUUUAUCGCCAAAUCCUGUUCACCAAUCACACCCCUUACCAGGCCCGAACUACAAAUAGAAACAGAAAUGGUAAUACUCGAGUAUACCGGAAUCAAGAGUCUCAAUACUCAAAGAUUCUAUAAAAACAGGCAUCCACAGAUUGUCAAUUUCCUCGACCAAGCCCUUGCAUGGCUCGAUUUAAUUAACUCCCCAUGAGGUUGAACUCAGGUUUAACAAGGAGGCCGUUGGACACAUUUCCAAACGACAUUAUAACAAGUGCAAGUAAUAGGCUCAAGUUCAUAACAAAUACAAGUAAUAGUUCUCAAUUGGUACAACACAGGCAAGAGAACGAGUGUGAUAAAGUACACCCUCGUUUCAAUCAAAUUAAACAGGAUUCAUAGUCAUUCAUGUCAUAAAUUUCAAGUACAGAUAACUCAAAUAGCAACAAUGCAAGGGAGUGGUACACUCACCAGUUCAAAUAAGGAUACUUCAAAAGUUUCCUUCCCAAGUGUGGCUUUAAUCGUCGGCACCUCCUAGAACAAUCAAGACAAGCACUUAAGACUCGACUCCAAGACCUAGUAUGGAAUUCGCAAUUGAGAUUCGGUUACGAGCCAUAUGCCUAGUCAAAAGAGCCAUUAAUGCAAAGCAAAGAGGUGACCUCGGAGUGAAAAGGUAACAAUUAAUUUUAAAGGCAUGAACAACCUCAAAACCCUACCUACAAUGACUGACCAACUCCAAAUGUGAAGUAGAAAAUGAAAGGAAAAUCAAUACUAGGAAAAUAGGAUUUUCCAGUUUCGCGCAACCCUAUAUGAAAAAUCAUAUCUCAAGUUUUGUAAGUCCAAAAUUAGUAAAAGUUAUACCGUUGGAAAAUACAUUCAAAAGGCUAUAACUUUUCAGAGAAUACCCUCAUAAGAUUCGGAACGCAAGUCAGUCAAAUUCAAGUCUCAAGUUGCUGCUUUAUCCAGUGAAAGACAGAACAGGUACCAUAUUUCAGUCAACUUUGAAAAAUCACCAGAAAUUGUACAGACAGAAACAGGGUCUGAAAUUUAUACGGUUUAUAGCCCUAUGAAUCUAGUUUAAAACGCAACAAACGGAACUUAAUCCCGACAUUUCUACAUCAAGAUAUAGCACAUUUUCCGAAACUGUGCAGAAGCUCCACAAAAAUUUUGACAGCAUUUCCCUUGUCUUUCUUUACUUUCCAUUCAAACCUCAACACCCACAAAUCACAAGCUAUCAAACACCUUAAAUUAGAGCCACAACAAGGCUCGAAUACGAGUCGAUUUCGAGUCAUAAACCGAAUCCACAUAUCACUAGAGUAAAAUAAUAUGGAACGUAUAAGUACAAAAUCAAACUAGAACAUAUGCGAAAACGAAGCUUGGGUUGGUAAACAAAAGGCAGAUUUGCUGUUGCUUAGCGGAAUUAACACAACUAAAGCUAUCCUUAUCGGAUUGAGGUGUAAUUUACACCGUUUUGAAGCUAAGAGAAAGGGUUACAAUGUUGAUGAAGAUCACUUAGUCCAAAUUCCAGUGUAACCUAGUCAAAUUCCCAAUUCUCAGAACCAAGUUCCAACUAAUCUGCUAAUUAACCGUACUAUAUUUAAAUGGCCAUAUCUCAGGCUACAAAAGUCUAUUUAAGGCGUUCUUAGAGGCGUUGAAAAGCUAAAACAAAGACCUACAACUUUCAUGAAGACCACUCAGUCUAGUUCUCACGUUAACUAGGUCAAAUUUACCAAAAUAAUUCCAGAUUUUCCAGUUCAAAAUUCACUGCGGAAAUCAACUAGCAGUCCUGCUUUAUUCACUCAUAUCUCAUCACACAUAACUCCAAUUCAGGUAAUUCCAAAGCCAUUUGAAAUCUAAGAUACAAGGCUAUAAUUCUUAAGAAGACAUCAUCAACCAAUUCGAUAACAUUCCUGGUCAAACUAACCAAUUACAUAAGCUGAUUAUCAGUUUCGGACAGAAACAGGGCAGCAGGGGUAUUUCGGUCUUUUCAUAGAUUACGUUGCUGCGAUUGAGCUGAAAAUUUACAGGCAGCUAGUUAACACCAUUUGCUACAACUUUCAUGUUUUAACCUAAGCCUGAUUCGGCAUCUAACAUGUUCAAAUAAAAUCGGACAGAAACAGGGUCAUUCAAAUCCCUAACCUGGAAUUUCCAUAAUACUACUUCCAACCAUGAAAUAUGCUCAUAAACUACCAAAACUACAACUUUAUACCACUAAUUAGCAAUUAAUUGAAGUAAAGAAGAGGUUCUUGGCAAAAUACCUUAUCUUCCUAUAAAAGAUGGUAGCUUAGACUUUGUCCUCCAAAAAUAACUCCACAAACACCUUGGAAACUACCUGAAAAGUAAGUUUUAUGGAGUAGUUUGGAAAUUAAUCGGUUGAAACUCAAGAUUUGGACAAGAAAUUGAAGUGGAAGAUGAAGAACUCUUUUGGUUUCUCUCUCACUAAUUUCAGCCAAAGGAGACAAGAAAAUGAAUGAAUUUUGGUCAAUUUUUGGUAUUUAUUUGGUAAAGGUGAUAAGAUGGUCUUAUGGUCAAAAUGUAAGAAUUAAUCAACAAGUGACACUUGUCACUUCAAUUAAUACAUGGUUAUCCUUUUGUCUCUCCACUCUCAUCCAUAUAAUAACCUCUAAUUAUCUCUUAGCACCUGGUAAAAUAAACCCGGUAUCCAAAACUUAAUCUAACUGGCCAAAUUUUUCCGAACUUUCCGCACUAGUGGGUCCCACGUCCGGUAUAUGCUCUUAAUUUCUCAAAAACCAACCGAUACUAGAAAAAUCAUCUAAAAACUAUAUUUAAUCAUAAAAAUUAUUUAGAAAAUUUUUCUAAUAAAGAAAAUGCAUAAAAGGCAUACAAUUAAAUAAAAUUAAGUCUAGAAAAUCAAAAAAUUUACGGGUUCUCACAAUAUAUACUCAAAUGUAUUAUAUUUAAUACUUAACAACUCAAUAAUUUAAUGGAUUCAAACUUUAAAUUUUAAAUUUCAGAUUUCAGUAUUAUUAAAUGUUCUCUAAAUUAAUUCAGAUGUUCUAUAUUUUAUUAUCAAACACAUCUAAAUAUGUUAAGAUUUAAACCCAUUAAUUUUACGUGCUUAAUUGGAUUACCAAACAAAACCUUACUUUGUCAACCCAAGUACCUAACCCAUGAGCAAGCAGGUUUAGUAGACUUAUCUAAGAAGUAAAGAGCUUUUCUUAAAGCUCUAGCAUCUAGUGGUUAUUAAAUAUCAUAAAUUUACUUAUCUAAGAAGUAAAAUAUCAUAAUUUUAUUAAAUCUGCACUAGCAUCUAGUGGUAUACAUAGAUACAGACAGAUGUUAAAUACAUAAGAAUGAAUGCUAGAAAUUAAUAAAAAAUAAAAAUUACACCUUGAAAUUUUAGAUACAUUCAAAGAUAAAACAGUAUAGGUCCGAGCCAUUUAUGUAUUUUUCAACCACCUACGCCACAUAUGCUAAUUAACUGCUUCAGACGCCGUUAUUAUGGUGAGAUCUAAUGAAAUAAACCUAAAAAAUCUCAUAUCUGAUAACUAAUCUGUAAAAAACUCAAAUCUAACAAAAGUAAUUAAAAACUAAAAACUCUCAUUAAAAAUCUCUCUGGGAUAGAAGAAAAUUUUCAUUAGAAAACUUUAAAAGAGAAGAAACUCUCACUAUAUAGCUUUAUGAGAGAAGAAACUCUUAUUAGAUAAUCUUAAGAGAUACUCACUACACAAAAAGGAAAGCAAAGAUAAUCAUGAAGGAGGAGACGAAUGGAGAUUGAUCACCCUCUACCAUUCUAUGAAGAGGAUUAGUUGCUAGAGGUAUCUAUCCUACAGUAUAUCUUUUAGAUUCAACAUCAACCAUGCUUCAACCUUGGAGAAUGAAGCUUUGCUUGCAAGGAAAAAUAAAUUUUUUUUUCUAAGGAGGAGGAUAAUUCAGAUUUAGGAGGAGUGAUGUUCAGCAGUUAUGAGCUUGGUAUGAGGGUUUGGUGCCAACUAGCUGCCAAUUGACAUCCUUAAUUCUAUGAAUUUAACCAACUACAAUGCAUCACCAUCAUCAACCACUAGAGUCCAACAAGAAUGAAACUUGUUAAUGGUAGCUAUAUGUCUUGUCGUUCUGGGCUGCCCCCCAGCAGAUCAUUACUUUUUCAUCUGGGCUGCCUCCCAGCAGGGCUCAUCAUUGAUGUUUGGUACACCUAUUUCACAAUGCGGCAAAAGCCAAAAUCCAUAACAAGGCAGUGUAAAUUUUUAUUUGAAAUUUUAGAUAUUCAUUUCAAUUUUCAAAUCAACUUUCUAUAGACUGAUUAUCAUCAUUAAAUGCAUGAUAAGUAAUUCAAAUUUAAAUUCAAAAUUCAAAUUUUAUAUACAUGUCACGCAUUUAACCAUGAUAAUAUAUCCGCUUUCAGUAUAUAAGUUUUAACUCAUUCAUUAAUGUGGCUACAACAAAGAUCUAAAUAUUCGGUAUAGUGAUAUGUUCUACUUAACCCUAUAUCUAUGAAAUAUUUUAUUCUCGAACAGUGAAAAUAUAUAUAUAUAUAUAUAUAUAUUGACCAGAACCAUGAUUAUCAUCCAUUCUGUUGCAGAUUAACCUAGAUUUUUCUAUUGUUACUCAUAUAACAUUCUUGUUUCGAAAUUUUGUCAUGUAAAACACACUCUUUAAAGUUGGACUCAAUUAACUCAAUAUGAAUUGAACUUGAUUAAUUCAAUAUGAGUUGAUUUCAAAUAAUAAUUAAGAGAAAAAAAAACCUUGUCACAGGUAAUAGGUGACUAGUAGAAACUCAACCUUAAUUAAACAACCUUUACAUGUUUUUACAUUAGCAGAUAUAUAUUAUAUUACAUAAUAUGAAUUCAAAUUUGAAAUUCAAAUCACGCAUACAUAUUAUAAAUUCAUAGUUGUUAAUAUAAAAAAAAUCACAAUAUUGCCAGUGAUUAAAAGUUAAUCUAAUAUUUACCAAUUGAGACUAUGAAGAGGCAUAUGGUCCACAGCUGCAGGUGUUAAAAGAUUUGAAAGUAUGGCACCCUUUACAUGUACCUCAUAUGUGGCAAACAAUGGACAAUGAUGAAUAUGAGAAUGUGAUUAGAUUGUAAGGUUUAUAAUGACAAAAGUAGAUGACACUUUUUUCUGUGUGGCAGGAGAAGACAUAAAAGGAGAGAAUAUUCGAAGGUUGGAGCCAUACAUAUUCGUUGGCUCGGAGCAUAAUUUGACGAAAAGCAAAGAAUUCCCUACUAUGACGCAAUAGGUAUUGAAUCUCUUGGAGUAGGUUUUUCUUUCAAGGAAGUCAAACUAAAGCACCGGCCGACCCAGCCAUGCUUUUAUAUUUUUAAUUUGAGAAAAUCGUUCAAAACACUUUUUAUUAUGUGAUGUAUGUGAGAUAAUAAGUUGAUUGAAAAUAUAAAAAGGUGAGUUGAAAAUGUGUUUAUGAUGCAAGCGAAAUAUUAUUUGAAAUAAUAUGUGUAUCCAAACAAACCCAUUUGUUCUUUAUUUUUUAAAGAGUAACUUCUACGUUUCUUAUAAAAUUAAGUCGAUAAAAUUCAGAUUCAACUUUUAUUUUCAAUCACUUUUUAUCCUGAAUCUAUCACGUAACCAUAUAUGGUCAGUUUUUUGAGGUAAAAAAGUUGUAGUAUUUCAAUUUAGAAUUAAUCUUUCCUAUACUGAUAACGUUGGAUGAAUGAUAACUAUGUAAAACUUAAAUUUAAAAUUCAAUUUUUGCACAUAUGUCAUGGAUCUAACGGUGAUAAUGUAUACACUGUCAGUGGUUAUAAAAUUUACUUUUUCAUUAAUAGAUUAAAAAAAAUGGCUCGAUUCAUUUUUAUUUCUAUAUUUAAAAAAAUAAGAUAUGACUGGAAUUACAUUCUUUUUUUUUUAAGUGAAUUUGACCCGAUUCAUAUUCAUUUUUAAAGUACGAUGCAGAUAGGUGGUUUUGAAUCUCAAGAGUAGAUUUUCCUUUCAAGGAAGUCAAACUAAAACACCCAGCCCACCAAGCCUGGCUGUUCUAUUUUUAAUUUCCCGAGGGAUACUUUGUACUUCGUCUUGUUUUUGCUCUUCACGCAGAGCAUAUGAUUUAUGACCAAUAUUUCCAGCUCCAACCAAAUUCUUGCUAGUCGAAAUGAGUUAGUGUUCAAAAUUAAUAUUUUAGGACAAAUUCCACUUUGAACCCUUGAACUUAUAUCACCUUUUACUUUGCACUCUAAACUUCAAUUUUGAAUACUUUACACCAUAAACUCUUGAUUUUAAACAUUUUGCGUCAUAAACUCUCAAGCUUAUCGUAUUUAAGUCCAAUCAAUGAUAACUUUAGUAAAAUUAACAACAUAGAGGACCCAACAAAUCAAAUACUGAUGUGUCAAAAGCAAUCGAAAAAUGCCAAAGUAUCACAACAAAAAUAAAACAAUACAUUUUGUCAUUCAUUUAUACUAUCUUUUUAUCUUGUUAAUUUUACUAAUAAUAUUAGUAAUUGAGACCUUAUAAAUCAAUGACAUUGUACUAAAAGUGGUCAAAAAGUUAAAAAAUUGUAGUUAAAAUAAAACGGUACAUUGUCACUAAUUUUCACCGUUCUUUAUCUCAUUAAUUUUGAGAAUGUAGUCAUUGAUUGGACUUAAUUAAAUUGGACAAAAUUAAAAGUUUAGAGUGUAAAAUGUUCAAAAUUAAGAGUUUAGGGUGCAAAGUAUCCAAAAUUGAAGUCCGGAAAAGUAAUAUAAAUUCAGGGAUGAAAGUAGAAUUAAUCCAUUAUUACGUUGCUACAAAGAGGCCUGGCUAUGGAGACAUCUUCAUCCACAGUUCUAUUCAGUUCAGAGACAUAAAUAUUACUCUGGUCAUCUCACCAUAGAUAUCUAUCCAGGAAUAUGAUAAAGCUGAUUUUAUCAAUAUAUAUAUAUAUAUAUAUAUAUGAUAAAGCUGGUUAUGCAUUAAAAGUUUAGAUAAACGGUCAAACCAACUUCAACCAACUUGGCCUGCAAGUUGUUAAUGAAGGAAUUUAAAGUAGAAAAUGACAAGAGCUGGCAAGGAUUUGGACCAAAUGCACAUCCCAUUUCCCAAAGGACGAGAUAAAGGUUUUAGGGUCUGUUUGGUUGGAAGUAAAAUAUUUUCCUUGGAAAAAUAUUUUCCGUGGAAGUAAUUUUCCAUGAAAAUCAUUUCCCUUUCAUCAUUUUCAGGUGUUUGGUUAGCUUAUUGAAAAUAUUUUCUUACUUCAUUUUUCUGGUGCUUGUUUAACUUUUGAAAUAUUUUCACUUUUAUCUCUAUCUUUACUUUCUACACAUUAUAACUACAUACUUCUUCCCAUGCAAAAUAAGAAAAUUUAUCUCAUUGUUUAACUUUAAAAAAUCUUAGAGAAAUGUAUAUAUGAAUAAAAAAUAUCUCCUUAAGCAAUAAACAAAUUGCUGGUCAUUUAAUGUCAAAUAUCAAUCACAUGCAAUGCUUAUUGUGACAUAUAUCUUGCACUCUCACUGCUGAAAGUUUCUCUAGAAAAGAAAGUCCCUAUUAUACAUAAUUAAUUACUAGCAUAGGAUGAGCAAGAUAGGGUUUUUUUUAAUUUUGAAUAUACUAGGGGGAGGGUUGGGUUGGGUGGUACGGGGGAGGGAGUGUAAGGAAGAGGUCUUGGAUUCGAGUCAUCCUGUUUACACUAAAAAAAAAAAAGGAACAUACUACAAGAUGUUUUCAGUAAGUUUGGAACAUACUACAGGUGGGAUGCAUGUAUUUCGGAAAACAACUUCAAUAAGUUUGGAAGUAAGAUGAGUGAAAAUAUUUUACAUAGGAAAAUGUUUUCAGUAACUUUUGUGCAACCAAACACAGGAAAUUAGGAAAAUAUUUUCCUGGAAAAUAUUUUCACCCGAAACAAACGGACCCUUAAUGAGCCUAGUUUUCUACUCCAAUAUUGGUGAAAGAAAAUUUGAUUUUGAACUAUGUCAAGAUAAUCUACGAAGGUCGCUGUGUCUAAUCAUGGAAUCAUGAAACGUCCACUAUUUUAAUUAGAUACAAGAAAGACAAGUGACAAAUAUCUGAAUCGACAACUAGUCCAGAGGAGAAUCCAACGAGCAAAAGAUUUGGUGCGCCUCUUGCUUUUGUCUCUGAAUUACGAGGAUUGACACAUUGACAAACAAUUUUCUUGGUUGGCCUAAUUAUGAGUAUUUGGCAUUUUACUUACAAGCAUUUUUGGUCCUUCAUUUUCUCCUUCACCUUCUAAAAUAAUUAACCUGCAUGGUAUGGAUAGCUCGGCCACUUCGGCCGAUAUUGAGCCUUCGUAGAGACUUGUCUUGGCAUAGCUUACUUAUAUGGGGUCAUCAGAAGCUUCAGCCCACCCCCUCAUACUCGUAUUAAUCGAUGAUUGAUAUGAUUGAUGUGACAGUCAAUCACCUUAUUAUUCAAUUUUACUACUGACACUGCCAGCUAUCGCGUCUUAUCCUAUCGUACGAGAUCAGAUUACCUGUAGACUUCAUCAUUUUGCUUUCUAAGUCAUCUGGUAUAAAUAUUGAUUCUUUACCCACUCAAAAGGUAUGUGCUCUAACUCACCCAAUAUAACUCCCAACAAUUACUGACUUAAAUAUCAAAAUGACUCCACGGGUAUUAACUAGCAUGGUAAAAUUUUAAAGGGUAUUGAGUAAUUGCGGUAGAGCUUGAGUAAAUACGGAAUUAUGACUUUGAGCUUCUUUAAAAAGGAAAAGUAUUAUGUGUGUAUGGAUACAAUUAAUAGUCAAUCACGUAGUACGCCUUUGACCGCGUGUGUUGGUUAGGACAACAUAUUAUGUGCACGUGUUCAGGUGCAUUUGACACGUGCGUCAAUGGCUUCGACGCAUUGACUGGCCCUUGAUAACGUCAACAAAAUACAAAUCUAAUUUUCUGACAAGAGUUCUUUUUUUUUUUCUUUCUUUCUUUUCAAAAAAAAAAAGUUAUUUUUUUCCCCCUCCUUUUAUGCAAUUCUCUAAAAAUCGUUAGUUGGAUGAGUACUUCAAAAUGUGCAUUUUUUUGUUUUUACCUAGUGUUGUCUAAAAUCUAAAUUACGUGAAGUUCAUAGAAGUAAUAAACAAAUUGUGCGAAUUUACUGUUCUUUAACAGAAUUUGAUAUUUUUUAAGUACAAAUAAUAUCCUUGAAAGUCCAAUUUGGCUCAACAACUUAAAAGGCCAGUAUUGUUUGCAUUUUUCAUAAAUCUAACCCUUGUUAUAUUUUUUCAAAGGAAACAUUAGCUAUUUUUUUUUUUUAGUAUAAGUGGGAUGGUUCGAAUUUAAAAUCUGUCAUUUACACUCCCUUCCACCGAACCAUCCAACCUGUUUUUCUCCAUAUUAACUGUUAUUUGAAUUGACAUAUGUAAAAAAUAUUUAAUUUUUUUCUACAUUGACAGUAUAUGCAAUAGUAAGUACAAAUGUUUAAUAACUAAUUACAAUUUGAAUUUAAACUUGAAAUUUUAUAUAUGUGAUAUGCAAACACCCCGCUAGUACGUAAAGUUUGCUCGUAUACACAUAUACGACAGAUUAAACCUUUAAACAAUGUCUCGAAGAUUCAUCCUUUAAACCUUGUCUCUCAUAUACAUUAAUCACCUGGAUCUACGAAUGCCACUCGUUAAAUGCGUGUAUUAUUUCUAGGUAAAUUGCAGCCUUCAUCCUAGGUUUAAGGCCUUUAUCCGACGUCUUUAACUUUCAACUCCUACAACUUAAUUAUAUGUAAAAGUUCAUUAUUAAAAAAAAUUAUAUGUAAAAGUUUCAUCCUACUCAUUUUUCACGUAGAUUAUUACAUUUAUGAGUUACGUCUCAUACGACUGUUUUUGCCAAUUGCCCGUUAAAAUUCUAUGCUAGCAUUCCACUUUCGCCAAAUCGAUAAUAAAUGUUUUGUGGUGAAUUUACAAAUUAAACAAAAUUAGUAAAAAAGAUCUGUUAUAUCAAAGUUUAUAAUACAGUAAUAUGCAGGACACGUAAUAUAUGCAUGUGAGAGUUUUCCUAAAUGGGAAUCUUAUAUGGUAAUAUUCAGAUCUUAAACAAUAAAAUAAGACGAUUAUUUUACUGAUUUUGUUCUACCAUUAUCUUUUCUUAAUAUCAUACUAGCUGGCAAUUAUUUGUUUUUUGACUAUAUAAUGCCGUGUGAUACCGUUAUUAGAAGUACAAGUCACUCGAAUCAAACUUGAAUAGUGCAUCUUCAGUAGGGCUGCAAACGAGUAGAGUCGAGUUGAACUUCAGUCUAAUCGAGCCGAGUCUUAACUUAAUUUUAUCGAGCUCGAAUUCAAACUCAAAUUCAACGAGCUGCCAAUUUAAAAUUCGAACUCGAAAAAAUAAAAAAUAAUUAUUUUUUAAAAAAUAUAAUGUAAUAUUUUUUCUUAAUAAAUAAUAAAAUAUUAAGGAUAUAUAUGUAAUUUUAUUAUUAAAAUAAAAAAAUAUAUAUAUACUCGAGCUCGCGACGAACUUAAUAUUUUUGAACUUGAGUUCGAUUUGGCCAUCUCGAUCUCGAGUCGAGUUUUGACUCGACCCACUCGCAAACGGUUCAAUUCAUUUGCAGCCCUAAUCUUGAGUUCGAUUGUGGUUGAUUCUAGCUAAAAUACUGGAGUUCGAGUUUAAUUUGGUUUUAGCUUACUCGAACUACGUUUUGAGCUUGAUUGUAUUUUAGCUGAACUUAAGUGAUAUAAAUCAAUAUUUUUAUAUUAUUCUAAACAAUGGAUAUGAUAGAUGUUUCACACUAAACAAUAUAAAAAUUUACAAUAUAUAAUUAUAAUUGAAGAUCGAUUGAACUUGAUUAAGGUCUACAGGCUUUCAAGUAUCAAAUAUAAGGCUUAAACUCGAGCUUGUCAAGCAAUUCGAAUUGGUUGAAGUUAGCUCGAAUCGGCCAAUGUGAACUUUGACCGAAUAAACUCGUUAAUAGUUUGAUUAAACUUGGCUCAUUUGCACCACGAACCAUAACACAUACUUAUUUAGAAAGUAGCCUUUGAAAAUAUCUAAGCUUUAAAGCUAUGUUUGCAUUGAAAGAUUUGAUAAAAGAUUUGAAAUUCUCUUAAAUAGGUCGUGUGGAUGACUCAAGAGGUAUCUAAAUUUGUAAUCUAUCAACUUUAGGCAUUGUUUAUUUUGAGUAAAUGGGAGGGAAAGGAAAGGAAAUAAAGGGACAAGAUUUUUAUUGUUUGGAUUAGUCUAUGAGGAAGGAAAGAAAGGUUUAGAAAGGAAAGGGAGGGAUAAAAUUUAGUUAUUUUUUUUAGUCAAUUUUCUGUCCAAAAGUGGGUGGAAAUGAAGGGAAAGGACAUCAAGAUUAAUGAAAUUUUUGAAAUUUUCUAAAAACAUAUCAGGUGUUUACAAACUAGACUUUUUAAAUUAUGGAUAAAAAUGUAAUUAAUUCAUAAUAGUUUCCUUUCCUUCCGUAAUUCAAAUAAGACAAAUGAGCUCAAGUUUUCUCUACUCUACUUUCUUUUCUUUUUUAGUAGAAUCCUCUCUUUUCCUCGCCUUGCCAUUCCUUCAAUCCAAACGACGCCUUUGUUUAUAAAUAAUUGGUAGAUUAUAAACAAAAAUACCUCGCAAAAUAUCCAAGCAACUCGAGGAAUCCGAGAGAUUUUCAAAUCAUUCAAUCCAAAUGCAAAUCAAAGUUGUUUUUUUUUUUUUCUAAUAUUUGGCGAGAGCAUAGAAAGAAAGAAGUAUUGGAAAUGGAAAAUAGGAUAAAAAGAAAUCUGGGAACCUUCACUGUAAGAUGAGUGAUCAAGUUCCCUAAAUGCAAGAGAUUUUCUAUUUCAAAAAUAUAUUUUUCAAGGCGACUCAAUAGACAAUCUUUAAUGCAUCUAAUAUAUAUCUAAUUUAUUUUAUUAUAAGUGUAUACAUUUAUCUUCAUCAUUUUUAUUACUACAUUUUACACGUCUUCAAACCCUUCUGACGCGUGUCCUUUAUAUUUCUUGUCAAACAGGCUCAUAUAUUCAGUCUCAAUCUAACAAUCACGUGUUUCAUUUCCCUUUUUUCUGGUAAAGUAUCGAAACACAUGAGAUGUAGUUAAUCUGAGCAUGUGCACUUAUAUGCUAAAAGUUUGGCGUAAUUUAGAUAUAUUAAUGUUAAAAAAAAAAUCUAUUUUUUCUACUAUAAGAUUAUGCAAACACGUUGUAUUAAGAUUAAUACUCGCCUAAAUGUGAUGUGCUCCAACCACAAAUGUAUUACAAGGGAUAAUUUUAAAAACCUCCCUUGAGGUUUCUGAAAAGUUCACCAAAUGCUUUUGAAAUUUUAAAUAUUAUACUUACUUUCUUUGACCCUAUAAGAUGAUCAUAAUAACCUUAAUAUAUUAAUAUUUUGCAUGCAAUCAAACAAUUCGCUCAUAAUCUCGUGCAUAUGAAUGCAUCACACAAUUAGUCAUUUAAUGGAAACAAAAACAAGAUUCUCUCGUGAAAUAACUAAUUAUGUCCUAAAUACAAUUUUAACACAAUACAAAUUAAUUUUGACUUUGCUCGGGGGAAUCUAAAGAUGAAUAGAAGAGGAUGUAAGGUGAAGGAAAAAGAAUGGCGCUAGUGGUGGUACUCCAACAUUUAAGGAAUAUGAUGUUAUUAGUGAAAUUUUUGAGUUUAACAGCGUUGAUUUUUUUUUUUUUUUAACUUAGAUUGAGGUUUAAAAAUUUAGGGAUUAAUAGUGGUGGUGGUCACGGUGACAAUGGUAUUAAUUUAAGAUGUGGGAGUAUGAAAGAUUUAAAAUAGUAGAGAUAAGAGUCGAAAAUUUAUUUGAGAUUUUGUGCAUGUUCCAUAUUUUUUAAAGAAUUGCAUAAGAAGGUAAAACGAAUUUUAUAAUUUCAUGAUGGCAUUUUGGAUUUUUGACUAUUAAAUAGUUUUUGUCACCAAAAUGAUAAACACAAGAAAGGUAUGUAUAAUUUUUAAAACUUAAAAAGAACUAAGUGAAAUUGUCAUAAACUUCAAGGGAGGUUUCUGAAAUUAUCAGAUUAAUACAAUAGCAGUGGGAGUUCCCAACUUACCAUCAGUAGUCCAUCACAUACGGCGGUUUGGUUUGGUUUGGUUUGGUUUGGUCCCACCCCUGCUUUCUGCUUCUGUCUGCAUAGUUACCAAAUCCAACGGCCCCAAAACAGGCGGUGUCCCUGACUCCUUGCUGACGCCAAAAAUUACAGUACUACCACUACUACCCAAUUGCCCCCAUCCCCGAAAAAAAAAAAAAAAGAGAGAGCGAGAAAACACGUUUCCCCCAACCAAUCCUCCCCUCACAUGUUUUUUCUUCUUCACAUCGUAAAAGCUCUCGUCUUCCCGUCUUUUCCCCUAUCCAUCUCUCUCUUACAAGCUAUCUUUAUCUAUAUCUAUAUCUACACCGACAUAUCCAUAAGCAAUCGGCUCUGAAUUUUGACUUUAAUUUUGGGGGAAAGAAGGAAAGGAAGAAAGAUCAAGGAAAAGGCCCAAAUAGAUAAAAAGGGAUUAGACUUGGAGAUUGAAUGCUUGCUCUGUUUUUUUUUGGGGGGUUCUGUUUGAGGGAAUUGAGGGGAUUGCUGGGAUUUGGUUAAUUUGGGUGAAUUGUUAAUUUAAUUGGAGGAAUCGAGGUGGGAUAAUUUAGGGUUUUGGUGGUGGUUGAUUAAUUUAAUUUAAUUUAAUUUGAUUGGAGAUGGGAUUGGACGGUGGGGAUAUUCUAGAUGACGGCGAUGGAGUUGGAGGAGGAGGAGGAGGAGAGGGAGAAGGGGAAGCAUUGGUCACCGUUCCGUGUUCGAUUUGUUUGGAUGCUGUGACUGAUAAUGGGGAUAGAUCUUGGGCUAAGCUUCAAUGCGGUCACCAAUUCCACCUCGGUGAGUUAUGAUUUUUUUUUUUCAUUAGCUUUGUUCUCACGGUUUUAGUUAUUUUGAUUGUAUACUUUCCCUUGUAAUUAUUGAGAUCUGAUUCUUUAAUUUUAGAUAACUGCAAAAUGAUCGAGAAAGAGUGGUCAGUUGAGUUUAAUUUACUAAGUUGGGGCGGAUUGAAGUUUGUAUUUUUGUGGUUUUGGAUUAUUCCAAUUUGAUCGGUUUUUGCUAUUUUAUUUCUCAAUUUUUGCUGAAUUAUGUGGUUGAUGAGGUGGGCAAGUGUGUUUAUACAUGCAUGAAAGCUGUAGAAGUAUUUACUAGUAUUAUUUGUUUUGAAAAUAAUGUUGAAAUGACGAUCUAAUAGUGGCAGGGAAGGGUUAUAGUGAGUUGGGUUGAUUAAAGUUUGACCUUUAGGAUUUGGCUACUUCCACCACUACAGGUUGUUAGUGUUUUCCACAACAUCUAGAUAAAUUGUGGCUUGAUCGUUUGUAAAAGCUUAAUUUUCUUGGGUUUUGGUCAAGUCAUGGUUUGUUGGUUGCAGCACUGGUGUUUGGGGAAAAUGCGUUUGAGAAAAGAUGAUAAUUUUUGUGUGUGUGUGUUUUUUUAUGGAUGUGGGCGGAUUUAUUUUAAGAACUUCCCAAGAGAUUGUAUUGAUUUAUCUCUCAAGUGUAAUUAUAUUGGAAUAGAAAUGAUGGCUUUGGAUUCACUCAAAUAGAUAUACCGUCACAUUUGCACAACUUUCAGUUUCUUUUAACUGCAAAUUAGUCUAAGCUCAUUAAUACAAGGCAUUAGUACUUUCUCUUAGCUGUAAAAUCUGAUAAAAAUGAAGCAGAAGGACAACCUUACAUCUGAUUCUUUUGCUUCCCUUGAGUGUAUUGAACAGUGAGCUGAUAUUUUGUAACCUGUAUUGGAUAAUUCAGUAGGUGCACCUCAUUUCUUGAAUUUUGGAGCAAUCAAUUGAUCUUGCUAGACUUUGUGUUUCUGUUGUGCUCAAUUGAUGGAUUACCGCUUUCCCUUGGACUUAAGAGCCUGAGGUUAUUACUUCCCAGUUGACUUUGUGAAAGAAGGGCUAAGUAUUUAGAUUCCAAUCUUGGUAAAGGCAAGAAGGAUUGCAUUAGUCAAAUGCUCAUAAAAAAUGAUGGCACAUUUUAAGACUAGGAGAGAGUUAUCCAUCAUUCAUACCAAAAAAAGUAUUUGAUAUAUGGGAAUGAUUGCUGGCCAUUAUUUUUCAAGAAUGGAAAAAAGACCCUUUAAGUUUGAAAGUUAUUAAAUGCCAUCUGCUUGCCCAUUCGUUCUUUGCUCCUUGUAUUGUUCCUUUUAAGAGCUGAAGAUAUCAUAUAAUUUCCCAAGGAUUUAGCUCGUUACUAUUUAUAAUCAUAUUGCAUUUUUCUCGAGUCCUGAUGAUUGUGUGAAGGUUUCUUUAUAUUUAGGUCUGAAUUUUUAGUAAGAAUUUUGACAGUGUUCUGGUGUACUAAAAGAUUGACUUUCUUUGCAAUCUGGUACUAACGAAGAAAAGAAAUGGUUUGAAGGUUUCCUUGGGUUUAGGUCUGAAUUUUUAGUGAGAAUUUUGACAGUGUUCCGGUGUACUAAAAGAUGACUUUCUUUGCAAUCUGCUAGUAAUGAAGAAAAGAAAUGGUUUGAAGACUGAGAUUUGUGUGGCAACUUUUGGAAUCAAAACCGCUGGCUGGACAUUUGUAAUCUAAGUAGUUAGUAGCCAACAGCCAGAAGCCUUAUAUACUAUUGCACAAUGUUCAUACACCUAAUAUGGGCUCAAAUUCUGGGGUAACAGCACCUGUUGAUCACAUGACAUGGCAUGCCUGUCUUUCACCAUGCCAUAUUGCAUGUGGCUGCUCUGCAGGUGUAACUAUCCAGUUGUCUAAACUAACAAUCAUCUGAGUCUGAACCAUUGCCCAGCACCCAAUUCUUAUGUACUUGUAUAUAAUAAACUUAUAGUACCCUGUUUGAUUCUUAUUGAGGGUCAUAUUAUGCGCUAGAUUCUUCAAUUUGAUUCAGUUGACACCUUUUAAAAAAGAUUCUGUAGUGAAUAUUAGUAUCCGAUAAAAUUCUGGAUAACAUGAUGUGACAAAAAUGCUAAAUUUGAUAUGACCUUUUGAUCUUCUUUGUCCUUUUCUGAGAUUUCUGCUUUCUUUACGCAAUAGGCUUAUGUUUUGGCUGUGAUUGCUCUCUAUGGCUAAAACUAUUGCUUUAUGCUUCAUGAACUCUGAUUUUCUAUUUGGGAAUGUCACUACAUAAAAGCAAAUCAUCUAAAAAGGAACAGUAUUGUACAAUUCAGAAAUUUGGUCCCAUUUCACCAGAAAAUAUAUAGUCAACUCAAUAUAUGUUCCCUUUUGCCAUUAAUAUUGCCGCUUCGAUUGUGGUUCAGGAUGCUGGGGCUUUUUUCAGCCUAUUCAGAAUUUGUCAUUUGUGAAGUGGAAUAUGAUAGACAUAUAAUAUGGGAAUGUUGAAUUUUGCUGGCUAACAGUCGAUUCUAUUGACCUAUUGCUUCGGUUUUAUUAGGGAAUAUUUGCGUUGGAUGAAUUUUUUAAGUACAAUGCCAGGGAUGGGAAAUUGUGAUAGACUAUUGUCCUUGCUGAGGUAUUAUUGAGGGAUAAAGAUUUAAUGAUUUCCUUUUUUUUUUUAAGAAGUAGAAAAGAUAUGUAUUAGUAGGUCCUCUAAUGACUUGAGGAACUUAUGUGGUUUUAACUACAACUUUUAAGGAUGUUUGAACAAGUUGGUACAGGAGUUCAUAAAGAAAGGAAGCAAAAAAAAUUGAAGUGCAAGGAGAGUUUUCAACCUUUGUUUUAUUGUGCUGAAUACUGAGUUGAGGAGGCAUAUAUAUAUAUAUAUAUAUAUAUAUAUUUUCAAAGCUGUAUGGCCUCUUGAAACUCCUGAUGUUAUGUCCUCUUUUUGAGGACACCUGCUUGGGAGGCAAUGUUAGGAGUUGGUAAUCUAGGGGAUACGAGGAUAGGCUUAGCCCAUAUUAGGAAAGAAGCUGGCAGGUUGUAUAAAUUGAGCACCUGUUUGUUAUGGUAGCAAUCUUUUCAGAAUUUGUAGAGGUUCAUGGAUAUCAAUAUUAAAGUUGACAGCGUGCUUCCUCUCCCUUUCCCUUUCCAUGUCAUGUGGUGCAUUUUGAAGGAGAGUGGUCGGUGGUCAUCUGAUACUUCAUACAGUAUUAAUAUUUUUCACCUGCACAAUAUUCUUCAUAACCUUCUUGAGUCCUAAAGAAAUCAAUCAAUCAGAAAGCAGUUGAAAAGGGGUGAGCCUAUCUCCCAACCUAUCUCCCAACCAGCAGAUGAGAGUGCCCUUUUUAUGUCUUUAUGUUCUACUGUGCCCCUAUCCAUUUUAGGAUGACAAAUGAAGAAUUACUUCAGAUGGGUUAGCAUGUGCUACUUCUGUGACUGGAUAUGAAAUCAAAACUUUCAUUGAAUUAACAGUUUGUUAUUGCUUCUGGUUCAUCGAAUCUUCAGUUUGAUUAUUGAAACUAUUAUGAUCUUGAAUGGUAGGUUGUGCUGUCAUAUAUUUUUGCCAAGGAUGUUCCUGUCUUGCAUUGAUUUCCUACUAGUCAUUAUGGAACAUAUUAAGCAUAAGAGGCUUGAAUUUUGGCCAAUGUAAUCAGCAAAAUUAAUGUCUUUAAUGAAUUCUAUGGGAGCCAUCUUUUUCUGUGCUCAAACAAACUUCACUGUGAUUUGACGAUGACUGACUGUUCCCAUUUCUCCUAUGGGUAUGUCUCUCGUUCUCAUGCAGAUUGCAUUGGUUCUGCGUUUAAUGCUAAGGGUGCAAUGCAGUGUCCCAAUUGUCGAAAGAUUGAGAAAGGCCAGUGGCUGUAUGCAACUGGCUGUCGACAGCUACCUGAGUUCAACAUGGAUGAAUUUGCUCAUGAUGAAGAUCUUUAUGACCUUAGCUACUCUGAAAUGGUAAUAUAUCUUGUUGAUCCUCUGUUAAGAGUUUUUCUAUGUUUUGGCUUCUGUGGUUUUCUAUUUUUCUCAUGUUCUAUGACUAUGGUAGCUUGCUGAUGGUCUGUGAUUGGAAAAGAGUGUCACAUUGACACACGCACAAGCAUAUAUAAAUAGCUUUGAGUUUGUAGAAAGAAGUGUUGUGCUGUCUGAGUUUGCUGACCUGAUGUAUUGCCACUUUGAUUUUCCUACUGGCUCUAGUUUGGCUGCUAGUAAUUACGUGUUAAAUGUCAAGAUGGAACAAGAACGAAAUCACAUUAUGAAGAAUGUAAGUGGACCAUUAAUAAUCUUGGCCAUCUUCUUCAUUGAGAAUCUGCAUCUGGAGUUUGUGCUAAUAAUCUAUAUGCAGUUUGUUCCCCAGCAUCUGUUAAAAAAAGAAAAUAGAAAGAAUAAAAAAACUGACUGCAAGCUAUGGACGUUUCAUACGAUCUUUUGUAUUCUGUUCCUUCUCUCUCAUGUUGGUUGUCGCUAUACAUAAGAUUAGUGAAGAGCUUUCCUUAUUAAAGGUUGUGUGCUGAAGGAGUAUUUUAGCUAAUGAAAAGAAGUAUCACCAAAUUAGUAUAUUUUUACUUGUACAUUGUCAAUUGUUAUUGUUUUUCUGAGCUAGAAGUGUCUUAGGCUCUAGGAAUUAAGUUCACACUUUUCUGUAAUGAAUGUGGCUCAGGGUUCUGGGCAAGAACUGGUUGUUUAAUCUGUUGGUUGUAAGUUUGAGAAGACAACACUGAGUAUAGCUGUGGACCACAUACACAGUCAUUAUGGAAGGAGAUGCAUCUACAUGUUUACACAUGUUAAAGGACUUCAGGUUUCAUUUUAUUGAUAACUGCCAACUAUAGAGAAGUUACUUGAUCUAUCAGCACACGAGUUAACUGCAUUCCUGCAAUUGCUCGAAGAUAGAAACUGGAAUUGUUUGUACAUUUCUUUCAUGUCCCAAAUAUCAGUUCCUUAAACUUUUUUCUUGAUUAGCGUGUGAUGUUUUGAAGUAUGAACCAAUAUGCUUAAGUAUAAUCUACACACACUUAUGCUCUUCAGGUUUGGAUAAUCAUUUAGUAUGCAGCAAUGGUAUAUCUUGCUAUGAAAUUGGUUUCAUAUGGUGGCUAUGUUACUGCACUUGAUUGUGUUACUUUUUACUGGUAACUGAAGCUAUGAGUUAUGGUGUGCAUUUUGUCUUGUGUUUUUUCCCGGAUCUGCUGCACCUCUUUCAGAAUGUGGACUACUAUACUUGUAAAAACAUGUUUUAGAAUUCAGCUUGUGGAAUAAUGUGCUCAUACUUUUGUUUUUAACCACGUAUGUAAAUUAUUAGAGUAGAGAAUACUUCUUGUUCUAUGUUUUCAAUAUUUAUGACAACUCAAGUUUCUUACAUAUUAGCAGUUUUUGCAGUCUAUUGGAGUUCAUUGGUGUCCAUUUAGCGGAUUGACUCGGCUACCUUCAUCUUUUGAGUGAGUACAACCACAAUAUACUUUCUAAAUGAAUUUGACUUUCGUUUCAUGAUGCAUUCUUUUGUGAACUUUUGAAUGCUACAGCAAAUCUCUCAGUUUUCGAUGUUUUUGAAUUCUCACCUUGAGGUGGGUUUGGUUUCUGCAACUGAAUAUCACAUCCAAGAAGCCAUUUGUGUUUCAUUAGUUGUUACCUCUGAGAAGGGGCUGAGCUAGAAUGUGAUUCAGUGGGGGCAAACUUAACAUGUGAAAUUCUACUACUAACGGUAUCAAAAGAUAUAUGUUUAACUAACAAUGUAAUCAAUACAUGCCAAAAGUUAUGUACAUAGUCAAUUCAAAAUUGAGCAAAAAAAAAAAAAAGUAUCUCUCAAAUGUCAAGUUCCUAAUAAAGGAGUUUUCUUCUCUUCUAAUAAAUUUUCUCUAGAUUUCUUGUUAAGAUGAAAAAAAAAAAGAAUGAGCACUUAGGAAGCUCCACUGCGUAAGUGAAAAACUUUUCAAAUGGGUUUGUCUGCUGGAGCACGUUGGAAAAGACUGAGAAAGAGAAUAAAUGGAAAAUUGAGUCUCUCUCUCUCUCUGUUUAGACAAGGUGUUAUUUAUUAUUAUUAUUUUUUAAUUUUUAAGUGUGUUGACUUAUUUGGAUGUAGGGACAUAAAAAGUGUGAAACACCAAUAAACUAUUUUUGAAGGACAGUGGGGCAAUUUCCUUUAAGUGUGGGUUAAACCUAUAACUUUUUACCUAUAUAUCGAGAUUUUUUACCUAUAUAUAAUUGCCCCUCUACUUUACCUGCAUCUCUGUCUCUAAUCCAAAAAAAAUUGCUCUUCCAUACAGCUGUGUUUUGCUUUGUUUUUUCCCACUAAACUCUUCUAAACAAAAGAUAUUCAAAUGUGAUAGCCAGGGCUCGCAGUAAAGAAAGUAUUAAGGACCAUGUGGUGGAGCACAACUGUGGUGUUCUUACAUCAUUGAAUGAUUUCUACUAUCCAUUGGGGGGAAAAUACUGAAAAGGAUUUUUUUUAAGUGGAUGAUAUCAUGAGUUUUUUGGUGUGGUGGGAUUUGAGAUCCUGAAUUUAUAAUUCCCAGCAGUGAGCUGCAUUUUUUACUAAAGUACUCUCGUCUGUUUUUGUUCAAAUAUGUGUUUAAUAAUGUAUUGAGAAUUUAGAACUACUACUUGUUGCAGAGUAGAUUUAAAGUAUAGGAUCAGUCUGCCUCCCACCCCAAUCAUCUAUUCUCUCUCCUCUUGUUAUUUGUGUAGAGCAUUAUAUGCUCCUAGAAUAGUAGGAACACACAGAAAGUCAUUUGGAGAAAGUUUAAUCAUUGUAGUGCCAAGCUUUAAAGCUGAAAGGCAUAUAUUUUAUUCAAGCUAAGAGAAACACAAAAAUAGGGGAGAAGCUCCUAUCUUGUUCAGUCACCAGAUCCAAGAGCUUGACUCUUUGAUAUAGAAAAUGAAGCGUUCGUGGAUUAAAGAAUUUAAGCUUCAUAAUUUUUGAUGCAUGUUGCCUGUAAAUGCCAAUAGGAAGAGAAGAAAUUGGAUAUGUUUUCUGCAUAAGGAGAAGUUCAAGGUCAUCCAGUCCAUUUCUACUUUGUGACUACUUAAAUAGAGUUCUAAAUCCAUUCGAGUAAGGAAACCCACUCGGUUUUCAGUUAGAUGGGAAGGGAUAUACGAGGUCCAGUGGUAGCCUAACACACAGCACUGCAGAAAGCUUUUAAGGCGUGCCAAAAUUUUGGUGUUUGGUUUAGUGCGGGAAUUGCUAGUUUUUGCACAUAUACUUGUCUAAGUGGCUUAUGGAGACUCUGGUGCUCUGGUUUUCUGGAUGAGAUGUAAAUUUAAAGUUCCUAGAUUUCCUAUUCAACAUUGUAUUGAUUAUUUUUGUUAAAAAUACAAGAAUUGUUCACAUUAACAAGGUUUGUUGUCUUCAAGCUUUGAUCCAUUAGUUAUUGCCUUUUUUGAAAAAGGUCUGUUUCAGUAUAAUUGGCCAUUGUGGAGGUGAGGGAAUGGUUAAGUACUGCAAUCCAAGGUGACAGGCCAACCUGGUCGGCCCUUGAUACCUUGAACUGAAGAUUUUAGGUUGGAAGUUUUGGUUUGAGAACUUGGUGAAGGUUGACCAUUCGUUAUCAACAUUAGAAUGGGCUGUACUGAUUAUUUUUCUGUAACCCUUGCUCAACCACUAGCAAGUCACUAUUCUGUUAAUGUACUUGUACUGGAUGUUUCAUGUUUAUUUAUGGCAUUUUGUUUUUUUGAUUAAGGCGACAAUUGAUGUCACAUUAAGGUUGUCUUGCUUUGAUUUGGUCAUGGUGUUGUCACAUUGCAUUUUGAAGUUUAGAGUUACUUUUGUUUCUUUCUCAUUUACAGUGUUUUGACAUGUUAUCUUUUUACACUUUGCAGAGAAGGAGAAUACUCAUCUACUGCAUGUAAGGUCUUUUCUUCUGACUUAAAGCUGCAAGUCUUGUGAAGCUUGGUAAUUGAUAGGGCAUUUCCUAUUUUGCAGAUCAUGAAAUUUUUGGACAACAUGCUAUCCUUGCUGAGCAUACAGCUAUAUCAUCUGCGAGUCAUCCAUGCCCAUAUAUUGCCUACUUUGGACCAGUCCAUCCCUCAUCAUCAAAUUCAAAUGCUAGCGUUUCCGAUGGUUCUAAUUUUAAUAAUCAUUGGAAUGGUGCAUCUGUACCAAAUGAGAUACCUGCAUCUUAUGCUUUCCCUGGCAUGGAUGUUCAUUAUCACAGUUGGGAUCACCAUUCCUCCCCUUUCCCUACCACAAGCAGUCGCAUUGGUGGUGCUGAUCAACCCUCAAUCCCAUCCGCGGCUCAAAGAGCAGCUAGAACGAAUUCUGAUGUUCCGAGAUCGGGAUCCUUUGUGCAUCCUUUCAUUGUUGGUCACAGGUUGGUAUUUGUUCAUCAGUAAUCCGAUAUGCAUUUACUGGAUUAGGCGUCACAACUUCUUUUGUAAGUGGUGUUGUACUAGAAUAUGCAUGUAUCCUGUAACUGGGCCAAAGCCCUCAAAAAGUACACAUGUCAUUGCCAGAUCAAAGUCCCUAGUCUCCCAAAGGGAGGAAUAGAUUGAAUUAAUGAAUAGGAUUGAGUUCUAUUGUUCAGAAGGAAAACAUCAUCUUAGACACUUUUAUUUUAUAUUGAACGAACAAAGUUGAUUUUAGGUAGUCCAUCUCAGAAAGUUUCUCACCAGCCAGUUUAACUAUAGGCAAUAUCACUAUCAGCAGCAGGCCUUUGCUAUUUUUCCUGUGCGAUUGUUUUGUUGUUUUUGUUUCCUUUUUUUAACAUUAUGAUAUUCUGAAUAAGGACACAGUUCUGCUGCCAGAGCUGGGAGCUCAGUUGUCUCAUCAAUGAUUCCACCUUACCCUGGCAGUGUAGCUCGGGCCCGAGACCGUGUUCAAGCUCUUCAGGCAUAUUUUCAGCAACCAAGCAAUACACCAUCAAUACGCAAUCCAGUGAUGUCUGGAUCACGGAGAUCAAGUGCUCAUAGGAGUGUGGCACAAGUUGGUCCAGUUGCUUCAUCGUCUGACCAGACUGGUGCUUUUUAUUUCAUCCCUUCAAGUUCAUCUGGAAGAACCUAUCAAGAAGCAGAAAAUUCCCUGCCCAAUCGCUUCCAUGGUUGGGACCGAGAACACUUGCCUUCGUUUCCCUCGAGUCAGAUUGAUAGAGACCCGGGUUGGGGACCAUUCCAUCAAGCAGCUGGUGGGGCUGAUGGUAGUCUCAGGACUAACAGCUUUCGUCAGAGGCAUGGACCUGAGAGGAUGCCAUCACAAAAUCGGUCAUAGACUGCUUAUUAUGUCGUGAUGAAACGUUAUGAUAACUAUGACUGAAACACAAUUUAUAUAUAAUGUUUGAGAAACAAUGAACAACAGUUGUAGCCUGUCAAGAUUGGCAGACGAAAAGCUGUUAGAUGGCCUUAAAAGUUUGGUGGCCAAGUGAUUGUGUGAUGGAUUUUGGCUUCCUUCCUCAUGUCUUUGCCUGGGGGACAAUGAGAUCCACUCUUCAAUGGCAAAGUUGUAAACAUUUCCAGCAAUUGGCUUUGAAAUUGUUUUCAUAACGAGUAACAUGACAUCCAUGUUCUCAGGAAAUUCUCUGAAUAAAUCACUCAUUGGCUGUUCAUAUUUGAAAAGUGAAUUCAGGUCAAGAAACCGAGAGCGAGCAAUUGCCUUGGGACUCCGCUGGCUGAAGGCCUAUUCUCAAUCUUACUUUCUUAUUAAAAGAGCAGACUCCUUCGUAGACAUGGGAUCUUAACUCAUGACUGGAUAAACCCUUCGCUUGACUCUCGAACUCAUGACUGGAUAAACGUCUAAGCGAUUUUGUCAUGUUCCCCAGUCUCAACUUUUUCGCCACUUGCGUGAUAGUAUCUUGUUCCAGUCUCUUUGCUUUCCGACAUCUUUAUUGUUAUAUAUUUAAAGCAUGAACACCAAUUUUGAUGUUAAAAUUUCUGUGAUUUCAUGUAAUGUCAAGGAAGCCUUUCUUCCAUUGGCAACUUAGACAACUCGCUUCCCGUUCUUUUUAUCUUUUGCCUGCUUCUGGCCUCUCAAUAAAACCUAGUACCAUAUAGUAACUUCCACUAGGAAUACAGAGAGUCCGACAAAUGCUGAAGAUUCUAAUGUGCACGAGCGUGUUCUCGACAUAUAAUUCUUUCCUCUACAGCUAUAGCACCAAGGCAAUUUUUAGGCUUGAAAGGUUAUAGAAGAUGAUAUCCUUCCGUUGCAUGAUGCAUAUUGCAAAUUUCAGGACAUCUUCAUUCGCCGGAAUUUCGCGAGGCAGGUACCAAUUUCAUUGAAGUACCCACCAGCGUGGCUGCAGAGCGCCUCCCCUUCAAAAGAUCAGCCGGAGCUCCCCCAGAAACCACUUCCUCAUCAAUCUCUUCGCAUCGAACACUACUUGCUUGUUUGUUAAAACAUCAUCAUAGCAAAAUCUUUAACAGGAGGCCUACUUAUCGAGAUCAAGUUCUUUCAGAAAGCAAAGCAAAAUCCUCGCAUGAUAAUAGGGAAGAAAGUAAAAAGUGAUGGGACUUUGACCACAACCACGUCACUCCAUCAAUAAAAACAACAGCGCUAUAUAUACCCAUUGAUGCGUAAGCCGACAACCAUAUAUUAGAAUACGCAGAAGGAAAAUGAGAGCGCCGACAAGAGAGGACACAGUAAUCAGAAGUUCUAAUGCGAAAAUCAAUCUCCACAUCAUAAGGUAAUACAUAUUUAUCAGGCCAAAUUCAUACGUCAUGUAAGUUCUGUGAAGGGCUGAAGGUGACAGCAUGUUCCUUGCAAAAGCCGCAACACAAUAUUACUAAUCCAAAUCCCAGGGAACAAAUGAUUGGGUCCUACUAAGUCUGCUCCGUAGAACCCUCAUUUAAAGUCAGCCAGGGUAGAGCUUGAAUCAGCUUCAAUCAGAUCUCACCUGUAAAUUACAACAAUCAAAAGGGCAGUUCCUCGAGUACAAUAUAAUUAGAAAAUGGAGGAGAAAGCAUACAUACAGGAGAUAGAGAUCCAGAGAUGCUCCUGCUUCGGCUCCUACUAAGGCUUGGACUUCUGCUUGCAUAUUUGCGACGCUGUGAAAUAUACAAGAUUAAAUGGGAUCAGUAAGAAUUCAGUUUUGUCGAAUGGAAAACAAGAAGUAAUCCCAGAGGAGUUUAUGACUUACAGAUAGUAUUGGGCUUCUAAAUUUCCUUGGAGAUCUGCAAAAAUUUCCAAAAUAAACCCAUUUUAAUAUCCAGAACAGUCCAAUAUGACUUCUGAUCCAUAUGCAUCCAUGCUACCUCGACGUCGAUAAUCAAACCAAGGAAACAAUAUCUACCAGCAAUCUUUAGCACCACUUAACAUACACACUCUUUUAGACCAAUCCAAAAUAAUUUCACGUUCACUGUUGUCCCAUUCUUCAAAUCUGGUCUUCUCCAACGUGGGAGGACAAUGAUACACAAUGCUAGGGCAAAGAGUAAGACAAUUCGCUCAUACUUUACCAACAGCAAAGCUAAGAAGCUGUUGUAAACCACACAAAGAUGAUGCUGUCAUCGUUACCUUGGGUUCAGAGUUACGAAGUGCCAUUCUAUUCUAGUUUUUGUUACUUUUUUGCAAAAACCACCUUAGACAAGAAUCCACAUUAGGAAAGAAUCCAUCAUCUUCACUAGGGAAGUUAGCACCAUGGGCAUCACUUGCCACAGUUAAAAAAGUAUUAACAAAAUUUACCAUCCAGGCUAUGCAGCAGGUGCUCAUCAACUAAAACAGCAUGCAGCCACAGGGCCCACAACCAAGAGUUGCAUGAUAUUUGAGCACCAUAAUCCUCAAGUCCCUAACAUGCAAAAUCCCCAGAUCGCCGCGAAAAUCCAGAUCUAGAAAACAAAAAAACCAAUCUUCAUAACAGUAUCAUUAACCACAAAAGGUGGCAAGUCCUUUCUGAAUUGACCCCUAUCCCCGAGGAUAAAAUGGAUUGUGACACUUGAGAACAAAAGACAUCUAGCAUACGCAUAUCUUAUUAGAAUUACUAAUCUGAAAUUCACCCAGAAGUGAAGCCAACAGUGCUGACUUUUGUGAAGAAAAAUAUUUUUUUCUUUUUUCCAAAAAUUGUCAACUACUAAGGUGCCUUUUGAACAGACUAUUAAAAUGCCUGAACGGGACAGACUUCUCUGUAACUAGAAGUUAAAAUGCAUUAUGCUAGAAAGAAGCAGUGAAUCUCCUUUUCCAGAUAUUGGAAAAAAUUAAGGUGCCUUUUUGACUGGUGAAACAGAACAAAAAGCCUAGAUAAUUCCAUAUGUUUUACAGGAAAAGAGACCAUAAAUAUAUAAAUGUAAAUUGAAAACUUCAAGUAGAAGAUCAAAAAUUUCGUAUCUUUCAUCUUUUCUUAAUUUCAUUUACAAAAUUGGGUGGUCAAAAACUAUCCAUCUCAUAUCAGCAACAUAAGAAGCAAAACAUUUUGCUCCUUUAAUGGUUUCAUCUUAAAAACUCAAGAUUACUAAAGAAAAAGUAACAGAACAUGCAGCAGUCAUCCAUAGAUGACAAGCUUAGCAUUAGAAACCAGAAGCUGGACCAAAAAACAAAAAAAGUUUUAUAUCCAACAAGAAGACGAGGAAGGAAAAUGAUUGGUUCAGUGAUAUCCAAAGAACUAAGAAACAUUCAUCACUAGAAUCAUAAUCCGAGUAAUAAGCCACGUAAUAGAAGCAUGCAAAGAAGAGUAAGGAAAAUGAAAGAAAGAUCACACACUGUUCCAAAAAAAAAAAAAAACAGAGAGGAGAGAAAAUAAUAACCACUUAAAAAGCACUUUAAAUGGCAUAAAGGCACUAGCUUUGAACAAAUUAUUUCUCAGAUGAAAACAGAAUAAAGCACAACCAUUAAAAUCAAAAUGGAGAAUUUCAUAUUUGGAAGUAGUCUUCUGAAAAUGACAGUUAACCCUUCAAGCCCGUGAUAAUCAGGAGAGAGAAGAGAGUAUGAAUCAUAUAGCAAUUUUGACUUAGCUUCAUAAUACAUAUACCUCAUGUUAACCUUGUUGAUGCAACAAAUCAUGAAAAUAUAACAUCUCAGGAACUCACUCUGGCAGUUGCUGAUAAAAAUACCAGCCACUCUCAUGCAUUUAGGAAACUACAAUACAGCUAUACAACACACAGAAUAUAACAGAACUGGAAGGCUUCAAGCACCAAUAAAUUGUUUGAUAAGCCAAAAAAACAAAAGCACAGCAAUAAUCUACCUUGAAACAUAAUGAGGGGAGUCAGACAGAGCCCCUGAUGAAACAGACCUUGAGAGAGAUCUAGAUGGAGAGCGACGAGAGUAUCUGGCCCUUGGAGAAGCACUAUGUAAAAGCAAAGUCUGUCAAUGGGUAGAGUAAUUCAGACAAAAAUUAGAAAGGCAGAUAAAUUUAGAAUUCAUCAGACCUCCUGCUCCUGCUGCUGUAGCUAUAGCCAGGACUCCUACUCCUUGAAUAGCCAGGACUCCUACUAGGACUUCUGGAGAAGCUUCUUCGUAGAUCGUACUCCUCCACCUAAAGUUUCACAGACAAAAAAAAAAAAAAAAAAUGAAAGCGACUGUCUAAUAACACCAAGAUAGAAUAUAAAGGGUUCAUCAUUACAUACCCGUAUGUAAGCCCGGGAAUACUGAUUGCGAAACAGAGAAUCAUCAAGUUUCCGUAUCUGCAAUGAAUUGAGCAAACAAGUAAAGAACAUUAUAUCAUAGCCUGCCUUCCUUCUCCUCCUUUUCAACAAUGAAGAACUAUUGAAAGAUACAUAUGGCAACUUUCAACAAAUCAGGGGCAAAUUGCAAUCAAAAUAAAAUCAUGACAGAAAUCUAAAACACUGCAAAGGAAAGAUUGAAGAUCACUAACAUUUAAAAAUACUGGAACAUAAAAAUGGAACUCUAUGUCCAGUAUUAACUUACCGCGUACUUCAUGUCAUCAUAGUUGGUGUAAUCAAUAAUCCCUCUCAUACCUACACAUGAACCAUGACAAUAAAAACAGUUAUCAUUCCAAAUAUAGUGUUAUAAAAGAAUCAAAUCUUCAAAAGGCAUUAACAGGGGAACGAGUACAAAUCUUAGAAAACUCAGAAUGACAAACUUAAGAUACUUAAAAUUUAAAAAUAGGACAGUCAUAAUAAACUGUUUGCUGACAAUCUUAAAAAAGAACAAAUAAAAGACAAACAAGCUAGAAAACAACCAUUAAGUAAUUUUAACAUCCACAGAAGAUGCUCCAAAAAAAUAAAUUUACUAAGAUGACCACCCUAAAAAAAUUUAAGUAAUAUGCACCAGGAAAAAAUGUAGUGUUAUUCCACGAAUAAGCAGUGUGUUACACCUCUUCUCCCACCAAAUAUAUUUGCAACUGGUACAUAAAUUCAUGCUACUAAAAGUAAAUUUAGAAUCCUAGUUUAACUGUUAAGGUCUCUCUCCAUCCUUUUUUUUUUUUAAAUAGGAUGAUUGUUGAGCAUAUCCACAUAAAUAGACACACAGGCAUUCCUGCGUGGGGAUUGUUCCUUUGAGCAGUAAUGGGUAGAGGUACUUUCCAACAAAAAGGUUUGGCACAUCAGAGGAUCCAGAAAAGUCUACACUGAAGUUUAAUAAGUUGUACAGUUCAGCUCCAUAAAGCUAAAUAUUUGCGUCGUCCUGAGAUGCACAGUGUGGCCUCAGAGAAUAGUAGUAUGCUACAAACAAGUAAAGAUUUGCCAGAAUUCUUUUUAUAAAAAUCAUCGAUCAGCCCCCUCAUCCACAUUGAGAAUAGCUACCAAACAGAUGUAACAAAAAUACACAUAACCAAACACCAGGCUGACAUAGAUGUGCUAGAUAAACCUCUAAGUUCAACUAGUGCUAUGGGCACACCCAUGUCUGUGCAAUUUAAAUAAAUAAAUUUAAUAUAAAUUAAUGUGACAUGAAUUUUUCUUUAUUAAAUUGAUAGUUAUUUUGAUAAUUAUACCUACAAGUGAUUAUGCUGGCACAUGUUCUUAGGCAAUUUGGUUGGAAAUUAUGUUGGUUAUACAUAAUUGGGUAGUUAGAAUAAAAAUUAGUUUUUAGGUAGUUAGAGUGAAUAUUAUGCAGGUUAUAUAUGAUUGGGUAUUUAUGAUACUAAUUAGUUUUUCUGAGGAUAACAAUGUAACUUUAAAAAGUGGCAAAACAUGUUUACACCAACCCCCUCCUUUCACUUUAUAUAUAGUAUAGUAUGUUGCUAAGCCUACAGAAGGUGCUGAAACACAAAACCAGUGACACUUGAGCCCACAGAAAUUUGCAAUAGACUCUUAAUAUUAAACAAAAACACAAAUUUAUUCCAAAUAGAAAAAAUAUUAGACAACUCACCAUCACGAUCACGGAAAACUUGAGAGAAACAGACAUCACCUGCUCGACGCAUGUGAUCCUAGUAAAAGAGAUAAAACUAAUCAAUUUUAAAAAAGAAAGAACUAAAAUCAGAUAGCCCUCUAACUAAGAAAAUCUAGAACUAAAAUGGGAUAGCCCUCUAACUAAGAAAAUCUAGAAUUCUCACCUUCAAGUCCUGCCAUGAAGCAGAAGGUGGCAGCCCUGUGACCAAAACUGCACAAGUUUGAAGUGUUACCAACAAAUUCUACAUGUAUUACAUCCUUAGCAUAAAGCAAACCAAUAACACGUAGCAAUGACUCACCACGAUAGUCAGAGCGCCUUGAAACACCACCACGACUCCCUCCACUAUUGUAACUGCUGUAGCGAUCAUAUGAUGAUGAUGAUCCUCGCCCACCAUGUGCGAGUUCAACCUGCAACAACAUGGGGUAAACAGACAAAAUUAAGCAAUUUGAUACACAUCAAUCAACAUAGUCAAAACAAGGAUGGGGAACUAACCCUUAAUCGGUGACCAUCAAAGUUAUAACCAUCUCGACCGCGAAUAGCAUCAUCAGCAUCACGGUAAUCAUCAAACUGAGCGUAUAAAAGAGUUCAUAAGUCAGAAUAGAUAGUGAAACACAAAAUUAGAACAAAGAGUUCACCUUGUUGAUUGUCAAUAAUCCAGGCAUAACUAACCACUAAUGAUCCAUUGAAAACUCAAAUCCUGAAUCAAUCGAGAAACUCACCUCCACAAAUGCAUAACCAGGUGGUCGAGGAGGAAUUUUCAAGUCAAUAUCCACAAUACGACCAUACUGCAAUAAAUCAUUAGAGAGAGAACAUAAAAACAAUUAGCAAAUAUUGUCUUGUACAUGCACAUACUAACCAACUAGGAAACAGGACCCAAGGACCUCAUGCCAUACUCUAUUCGGUCCAGUCAAGAGAAUCUCAACAUCCGAUGACAAAUGCAUGCACAUGUCAUUUCUAAAUAUUAGGCACCAAUGAAGAAAACAGAACUAAAUUACUCCCAACAUAGGAAUGCAUCCCAUGAUUCAGCCACAAAAUCAUCCGAAAUUUCAAAUUUAACACAAAAUUAUUUGAUUAAUGGCAAAAGUUUCGGCCUUGGAAUCCCAAUGGUUGUGCUUCAAGCUAGUCUAAUUCCAGCAUAAGGUUUAAUACCACAGAAAACAAGAAAAGGGGCUCUGUUCUGUAAUAAAGGUUUAGCUUAUUCCAUUUCCCUUCUCCGGUUUUCAUAGUAUCUCUUUGCCCAAAAUAGCAUCAAAGGAAGGUUAACUCGCAGAAUAGACAAGCAGCCUUGAAAAUAUAAGUUCAAAAUUCAACUUAAUUACAAGCAUAUGACCAUAUUUGUAUGGUUAGAACAUAAAUUCAGACAGUAAGGCACUAGCUACAACUAAUCUUGAGGAAUGCUUAUAAAAAAAUAAAAGUAAAAUAAAAUACCUUGUAAAACAAGUCUUCCACUUCACUCUCACGGAUAUCUCCGGGGAGAUUUCCCACAUAAAUGGUUCGGCUUGAGCGGCUUGAGCGACCCAUUUCUUCCUGCAAUCAUAUAAAAUUGGUCGCAUUUAAAAACACAUAAAAGUGCCAUUACAUACUUGUCAUAAAAGCUACAACCAGGAAAAAGAACUAAAUAUUCAUCAACAUUAGACAAAUUCAAUGAUCUAAAAUAAAACUGAAUGUGAUUAAUGAUAAAAACUCAUAAUCGAUGAGAGCAAAAGACCCCUUGCACUAAUUUAUUAAAUCCCAAAAAAUGACAGACAAUGAAUUCAUUAAUUAAUUUUUUUUAAAAAAAAAAACCGAGUAACAAGCAAAAAAUCAAUACCUAAAAAUUCAUGGAAACAACAAACAACACAGUACUCCCAACCCAAACAGAAAAGCAAACACAUUUUUACAAAUAUACUGCAUGAGGUAAGUCCAUAUAACACUAUAAAUCAUUCCAAUCACAGAAUUUCUUAUUUGGACACCAAAAAUUAAUAACCUCAAUUCUCUCUCUCUCUCUUUUCUUUUUCCCUUUUUGCACAAUAUACAAAUACCAGAAAGAGAAAAAGAGAGCAAAAAGCUCUAAAGAUUCUUUUACUCUUCAAUUAUGAGAAUCUAAGAUUCCCAAAACCCUAAUUUCUUCAUUCCCCACCUUUCUACAGUUAAUCAACAAUCAAAGCCGUUGAAAAAAUUCGGAUCAAUUCUAAAGCUAAACUGAAGUACCAUUACAGGUCCAAAAGGAAAAAAAAAAGGAUCAAGAUUGUUCAAAAUUGACAGGAGAUUAGAAUAACAAAUAGAUGAAGCGUUAAUAAAUUCGCGUCUUUUCUAGUCGUAGUAGACUGGAAAUAAAUUUUCUGGAUUGAAAAUUCAUUUUCUAGAUAGCUUAUAAAUCGAUUUCUAUUAAAAAUUCACUAACCUGAUAAAGAAUUCGACCAGAGACUUCGUUUCUUGGGUGGGUUGAGAGAGUCUGGGAAAUAUUUAAAGUCCGAGGAGAGAUGCGACCAAUAUAUAGAGAGAGGAAAAAGAAAGAGUUGGAUUUUUGGAACCUGAUCUGACACGCGUACGGGUGGACGGUUUAAGGGUGACUGACUCUGGUUUGACAUGUGUACCCCUUUUGGCCAUUUCAUGGCUUCCACGACCACGAUAGAUACUUUUGUGCUGUUUGCCCGUGGUACGUUCACGUCACAAUAAUCUAUACAAACAAUAGAGAAUAUAUGACGCUGAAGAAUAGCGGGCCUGUUUGGAACCUGAGUUUUUUGAGAGUUUGUCUAAAAUUUUACUGUAGUGUACUGUAGAAGUUUUUGAAAAAAUUUUUUAAGAUGAAAAAUUUUUUAAAGUUUUUUUAAGAAGUUUUUUGGAAGUUUUUUGGAAGUUUUUUUCCUUUUCUUUUUUUUUCUUUUCCUUUUUUUUUUUUUUUUUUUUUUUUUUUCUUUCUCUCUUCUUCUUCUUCCUCUUCCUUCCCACUCCCCCUUCCCUCCCCCGUUACUUCUGCGUUGCCUCCCCAGCAGCAAUGGUCACCAUUUUUUGUCCUUUCUUUUUCUUUUUCUUUCUUUCUUUUUUCUUUUCCUUCCUCCCUUCCCCUUCCCCCUCAAAAACUCCUGUGCCCACAGCUUCUCCGGCCAGCCCUCAUGCAUCCCCGAUUCCUUCUCCAUCUCCAAAGAUUCCUCCAACAAUACCUGCGGCUUCUCCCUGGUGAAUGCUCCGGCAGUGUCACCGCCUGCAUCAUCUCCAAUUGAAAGCUCAACGAGUUCUCCAGUUCCAGCCACUGCAGAGAUUCCAUCCGCCAGUGCCAGUGUUCCUUCCACUUCUGCGACAUCGGCAAAAUCGCCGGCGAUAUUCCCUUCGAGCAGAAACCUGCCAAGUUGCUCACCGGCUGGGACGAGUUUGGCAUCGGAAACUUCGCAAGGCCCAGUUGCUGAUGAAUCGGUGCUACCUCCAUUCAUGGGGGGCCUAAUUGUUCUUGCUGAGCAUUGGAAGAGGUGAUGACAGAGGUGGUGGUGACGGAAAAAGAAGAAGAAAAAUGGGAGGUGGGGGAGGAGGAGGUGGUGGUGGGUUGGAGUGGGUGACGGAGGUAGAAGAAAAAGGGGAGGGAAUUUUUUUUGUGUGUUUUGGGUAUUUUGAGGCAUGUAGGUAAAAAACUUUGUGAAGUUUUUUGGGGUUCUUGUAGCAAAAAUUGUUAAAAAACUUGUAGGAAACAAACUUGCUAAAAACUUGCACUUCCAAACAGGGCCGCAUUUGAUAUAAACACUUUUUAUCAUCUUUUGAGUUUUUUUCAUUUUUAUUUUUUCCUAAAAAAUGGAAAAAAAUUUUCCCCAAAAAAAUAACAAUCUAAACAAGACCUAGGCUCUGCGGACAUUAGGGAGUUUUCCAAAUACAUGUUUUUCUUUAUGAAAUUUACAAUAACAUAAUCCAAAAAUAACCCCAAAACACUCUAAGGGUAUGUUUGGUUCCCCAUAGAAUUGGGGUUUAGAAUUGGAAUUGGGCUGUUUAGAUUCUACUCUAUUUAAAAAAUUAGAAUUGAAUUUGAAUUCUACGGGGAUCCAAUUCCAUGAAUUGAAUUCUUUACCGGACCAAAAGAAUUCUAAUUUCAAUUCCACAACUAAACCGGAUCUACACGCGGAUCUAACAUGGGUCAAAAAUUAAAAUCAGGUCAAGCAUAAGUUGCAAGAAAUAGUUUCCCGUUCCGAUUGCUCCUUCUCCACCAUCGUUACCACCUCCAAUACUAACCUCUCCUGCCACUGUCUUCCUCCUGCCUUCUGUUUCUCUGGCCACUCCCUCCAUCCUUUGCCAAUCCCGCCACCUUCCGCCCAUCACUUUGCUCAUCACAAGACCUACUCCGUCCAAUUUUUGUCACUCGUGUAAUGAAGUCAGUAGUUAAGUAGUAUAAAAGGGAAGAAGUCGUGAAGAGAAGUUAAGAGAAGGCGUGGCAGUAGCAGGAAGAUGUCAAGAGAAGUCGUGGUCUGGUGAAGACUGCAGUUAACAGUGUACGAAAGAAGAAAGGUGUGAAGUCAGGAAAAGAAAAGUCGUGGAAGAGAGAGUGAAGGCGCGAUCCAUAAAUCACGCCUUUGCUGGGUUCAUGCUGUUCUUGCUGAAGUUGGGGACUAGACGAGCUUGAAGAUUCUGCUUACACGUGUCAAUCCCUCAUUAGUUAUUGGAAGGAGUUAGUUAGAGUAGCUUCUGUAAAUGAUACGAUCAUGUAAUCUGUUAGCUAUCAUUUGGUUAAGAUUUGCUAUUGUAACCAGAGAGGGAAUAUCCCCUCUAUUGUCUUUCCUCUCAAGUUUCCUGCAUUCUUUUCCCUCUUCUCCUCUUUCCCGCCAAUUCUUAUUCUGUAUCUAGUUUUGAAGUUCAUCAAUGAAAACGAAAGGUGUUUGUUCUUGAAUCCAAUCGAAUCUGAGUAUUUAUUAAUUUUUGUUUAUUCAACUUCCAUUCCUGCAACAUUUCUGGUUCUGUACCACAACGGUGGUAUCAGAGCUGGUCUUACGAGUCAUAGGGAUGACGAAAAAUCAGGACAAAACACUGAGAAGAGAGGUAGUGGAACUUGGUAGUGUGGUCAGAACCUUCACCAACAAAAAUGAGGGAAUAGAGCAGGCCAUCAGAUCAAUGGGAUUCAGGUAGGAUGCUACUGAAAAAUUACUAAAGGGGCUAGAUCAGAAGUAUGAAGGAAUGAUGAAUAUGAUGACUCAGCUAAAGACUAAAAUGAAUGACAUGGGGAAGGAAUUUGAAGGAAGCAGCAGUUCUAAGGAGGUGGCUCAACUUGAGGGAUCUAAGUUGGAACCACCAAAGGAAGUAGCUGGAAGGAGAGAAUUCAGAACCAUCAACAAACUACCAAAAAUAGAUCUACCAAUCUUCGAUGGGGGCAAUCCUAAGGAAUGGAUCAGGAAGGCUAACAAGUAUUUCAAGAUACAUGGAAUAGAAGAUGAAAUGAAGGCUGAAGUAGCAGAACUUUACUUCAGGGAUAGAGCAGACAUCUGGUUUCAUGGAGUCUUCUAUGGAAGGGAAGCUAUACCUUGGGAAGAGUUAACUACUGCUCUGUGCAUCAGAUUUGGGGAAGGAAAACCUGAGGAAGCCAUUGAGGAGUUCAACAAGCUAGCACAGGCUGGAUCAGUAGCUGACUACUUGAAAAGAUUUGAAAUGCUCAAGGCCCUGGUAAUGCCAUCCUUACCACAUUUAUCUGAUUCCUAUUAUAAAGCAUGCUUCAUGAGUGGAUUGAAAGAGAAAAUUGUCAAUAUGGUGAAAAUGUCAAAACCUGAAACUUAGCGAAGUGGCCAAAUUACAAGAGAAGAACUUAAAAGCUAUACAGAAGAUACACAAAGCUGUUCCUGCUAGUUUUAGCAGUCAGAAAAGUCAUAUAAAAACACCCCCUCAUACCAGAUGAAACCAAGACAAUCCCAAACACACCACUAGACCCCCUAACCAAAAUGCAACAAACCAAAAUCAAUUCAAGAAGAUAUCCCAUGCAGAAUUUAACCUGAGGAGAGAGAAAGAAUUGUGCUAUAAAUGUGCUGAACCUUAUAUUUUAGGACACGUAUGCAAACAAUCCCAUAUUUAUUACUUGUUAGCUGAAGAAGCUGAAACUGCAGAAGGAAGCAAGGAGCAGGAAGAGGAGGUCUAUUGUGACUGUAUUAAUGGGGAGUUGGUAGAUGAACAUAUAGAGGUGUCCAUCCAUACCUUGGCUGGAGGGGCAGGGCACAAAACCAUAAAACUAAAGGGCCUGGUUAAGGGGAAACAGGUUACUACACUAAUAGACAGUGGUAGUACCCACUGUUUUCUGGAUGAACAACUGGCAAAGGAACUGAAGCUUAGCACACAGGGACCUAACUUGAUAGUUAAUGUGGCCAAUGGAGAAAGGGUAGAAUCCAAGGGACUGGAUAAGUCUAUGCAGUGGGAAAUGCAAGGUCAUCAGUUCCAAUAUGCCUUUAACACCUUAAGAUUAGGAGGCUGUGACAUAAUCCUUAGAGUAGAUUGGCUGGCCAAGCACAGUCCCAUAGAAUUCAAUUUCAAGGAGCUCAGUAUGAUGAUCCAUAAGGGAGAGCAGGAAAUAGUGCUGAGAGGAGAGGAUACUAGCACUAGUUUAAAGAUGAUCAGAGGAAGCAGGUUGGAUAGGUGGUUGAGGAAACAGGCAUAUGGGAUGGUAGGACAACUAGUGGCAAUAAAAGAGGAGGAUGGUACAGGUUAGAUACCUGCUAAAAUCAAUUAAGUGCUAGAUCAAUACAAAGAUGUCUUUGAAGAACCCAAAGGGAUGCCUCCAACCAGGGGCCAUGACUACUAGAUUGUUCUAAAAGAGGGAGCCAAGCCUUUCCAAAUAAGGCCAUACAGGUGCCCUUACGUACAGAAGGCAGAGAUUGAGAAAUUAGUAAAGGAAAUGCUGGAAAUAGGCAUCAUACAGCCUAGCAGUAGUCUUUUUGCCUCACCAGUGUAGCUGGUUAAGAAGAAGGAUGGAACAUAGAGAUUCUGUGUGGAUUACAGGCAACUGAAUGAGUUAACAGUGAAGAAUAAAUUCCCCAUGCCUUUGAUUGAAGAGUUGAUAGAUGAGCUGCAUGGAGCCAGGUACUUCACAAAAAUUGACCUAAGGGCAGGAUACUUUCAGAUCAGAGUCAAGGAGGAAGAUAUUCCAAAAACAGCUUUCAAAACUCACCAAGGACUCUAUGAAUUCAAGGUCAUGCUAUUUGGCUUGACCAAUGCACCAGCAACCUUCCAGGGCCUGAUGAACCAGAUUUUUCAAGAUCAGAUGAGGAAACAUGUGUUGGUGUUCUUCGAUGAUAUUCUAGUUUACAACCCAACACUGGAGUUGCAUGUCAAACAUGUAACUAAGGUAAUGAAUCUUCUGAGACAACACCAAUUGUAUGCCAAGAUGAGCAAGUGCUCUUUUGCUCAGUUGCAGGUGGAGUACUUGGGACACAUAAUAUCAGCAGAAGGAGUUCAAGCUGAUCCUAAGAAGAUAGAGUGCAUGGAGAACUGGCCCAAACCAACUAACAUCAAGCAGCUAAGGGGAUUUAUGGGACUGACAGGCUACUAUAGGAGGUUUGUCAAAGGAUAUGGAGCCAUAGCAAGGCCUAUGACAAAUCUGCUGAAGAAAGACAAUUUCCAUUGGAGUGAGGACGCAGAGAAGGCUUUUCAGGAGUUAAAAGGAGCCAUGUGCCAUACUCCUGUGCUAGCAGUGCCUGACUUCACACAACCCUUCAUCAUUGAGACAGAUGCAUGCUAUACUGGCACAGGUGCUGUUCUGAUGUAGAGCAAGAGGCCCAUUUCCUACGUUAGUCAAGCCUUGGGACAGAAGAACAUGGGGCUGUCAAUCUAUGAGAAAGAGUUGCUAGCAUUAGUGACUGCUGUAACCAAAUGGAGACACUACUUAGAGGGGCAUCACUUCAUCAUACACACUGACCAUCAGAGAUUAAAGUAUUUGCUGGAGCAAUGGAUCACUACUACUCUCCAACAGAAGUGGCUCACUAAGUUGCUAGGACUGAGCUAUGAAAUUCACUACAAGAAGGGAAAAGACAAUGUAGCUGAGGAUGCACUUUUUAGACAAGGCAGAGAGGGGAUAGGGGAAUGCACAGCCAUAUCUUGUGCAAUGCCUGCUUGGAUCAGAGAGGUAAUGGAGAGUUAUAAGGGGGAUGAGUGGACUCAAAAGACCAUAUCACUGGUGCUACUGUCUCCUACACAGGCACCAGACUACUCUUACCAGGAUGGUAUUCUCAAGUACAAGAAGAGAUUAGUAGUGGGGAGGCAAGGUGAUACCAGGAAGAAGCUUAUCACUGCAUUGCAUGACUCCCAAAUAGGAGGACACUCGGGUAUUCAAGCCAGCUACAUGAGAGCCAAACAGCUGUUCUACUGGCCAGGAAUGUACAAGGAGAUCAAGAAGAUGGUUUUGGAAUGUGACACCUGUAGGAAGUGUAAAGAUGAACAUGUGGCUUAUCCAGGACUGCUAUUAGGAGUGGGAAAAAAAUUCGAUCCGAUCCGAAACCCGACCACCCGAUCCGAAAAAUAGAAUAUCCGAUCCGAUUUUUCUUGGCGAGACAAAUGCGGGUUGGGUACUCGUAAAAACGGAUACGGAUACGGAUCAGCAAAAUAAAAAUCCACGGGUACCCGACUCGCAGGGUAUAUUAUAUAAAUAUUAGAAAAAUAAGGGUUCAUUAUAUAAUUUUAUAAUUUUUAAUCCUAAAUGUAAGUAAAGUAGUUCACAACCUCAUAUUUUAAUCUCAUAUGAUCCACCUCUUCUCAUCUUGUCCAAAAAAAGUGAAUAUUUUUUGUGAAACCUGAACCAAAUGAAUAAAAUAAAGAAAAAUUUAUGAAACUCUAUCAUAAAAAUUGUUCAUCCCUUUCAUUCGUUUUCAUUUUUAUUCUACUUCCAUCGAUUUUUUCUGCAAAAUUUUGAUCAAUUCAAUCAAAGAUUUAUGUUUGGAGCUCCAAUUUUCUGUUAACGAAAUAAUAAAAACAUUUGUGUCUUUCAUUUAUUUAUUUAUUUUAUUGCAAUUGUGUUUCUUAAAUUUGUUUCCUUUAUUUUAGUGCAAGAAAUUUAUUUUUCUUUUUCAUCACCUUUAAUGCAACAAGGUCUAUUCCAAAGAUGUAAGAAAGUUGGGAAAAAUUUUUCAAAAUUAUUUUAGUUAUACUUUCUUAAAAAAUUAUUAACUCUGUCCAAUUCUUUUCCAAACUUGAUUCUACAAUCGACUCAUUUUGGAUGCAAUCUUGUACCAUAAUAUCCUUAAGGAAAUUGGAAAAGUUGCCAUAUACUUAUUAUUCUUAUGUUUGUUAUGUUGUAAAAGGAUGAAAUGUGUGAGAAUGGUGAUGUACUCAAAAUUAUCAUAAAACUUCGUUUUAUUCUUGUGUUUGUUAUACUUGAAAAAGUUAUCAUAUACUUAUUAUCCUUGUGUUUGUUAUGUUACAGAAGGAUGAAAUGCGUGAGAACGGUGAUGUACUCAAAAUUAUCAUAAAAUUUCGUUUUAUCUAUUAGAUUUUAUUAUUCUAAUAUAUACUAAAUUUAUGAAAUCAGUUUGAUUAUUGGAAGAAAUAUGUGAGAAUGGUGAUGCAUGGAUUUUGAUUAUAAUAUAUCUACCAAUGUUAAUUGGAAAGCAUACUUUUUUUAUUGGAAAACAUGUUAAUAUUAAGUGAAAAAUAUUUUUUUAUUGAAAAAUAGUUUUUUUUAGGGGCGGGUACCCUAUGACUCGCCCCUUUUUUUCGAGUACCCGAAAAUAUUAGGAACGGGUUAGAUUUGCAAAAUGGCUGAUCCGAUAUUUUAGGGUUGGGUCAACCAUAUCUUGUUAGAAACGGGUACCUGACCCAUGCCCAUCCCUAAUUGCUACAACCAUUACCUAUCCCUCAAUAUUCAUGGAGCCACGUUACCACGGAUUUCAUUGAAGGACUGCCACAAUCAAAAGAGAAGAAUACCAUAAUGGGUUGUGGAUAGUUUCACCAAAUAUGCCCACUUCAUCAGUUUAGCACAUCAUUUUGAUGCACCAAAGGUAGCUAGACUUUUUAUUGAUAAUGUCAGUAAAUUGCAUAGGAUUCCUCAAAGCAUGUUGUCAGACAGGGAUAGGAUAUUUGUCAGUCAAUUAUGGGGAGAGCUGUUCAGUAUGUUGGGAGCUAAACUAGACUACAAUACAGCUUAUCACCCUCAGACUAAUGGUCAGACUGAGAGGGUCAACCAAGUGCUAGAGAUGUACCUCAGGUGUGUGACUCAUAUAGAACCUAAGGGAUGGAAUCAGUGGUUGUCCUUGGCAGAAUGGUGGUAUAGCACCUCACACCACACAGCCAUUUAAAUGACUCCAUUCGAGGCAUUAUAUAUCCUCCCCCCUCCUCAACUGGCUUUAGGACCUUACCUUCAGACUAGAGUAGCUGCAGUGGGAGAUUACAUCAAAAAAAGGCAGCAAAUGGACAACAUGUUGAAACAGAACUUGAAGCAGGCUCAGGAAAGGAUGAAGAAAUAUGCUGAUGAGAAGAGGAGUGAGAGGGAGUUCAGUGAAGGAGAUUGGGUGUACCUAAAGCUACAACCAUAUAUACAGAGUUCAAUAGCCUUGCGAGGAAACACCAAACUCUCAGUAAAGUACUUUGGUCCAUACUAGAUAGCAGAAAGGAUAGGAGAGGUAGCAUACAGACUGAAUCUACCCACCUCUUCAAAGGCUCACCCUAUUUUUCAUGUGUCAUUGCUCAAGAAAAAGGUUGGUGACAAGACCACCCCUACACUCCAAUUACCAGAAACAAAUGAAAAGGGGCACUGGAGGGUAGAACCAGUAGCAGUGCUUGGUAGGAGGAUGGUAAAGAAAAGAAAUGAUGCUGCAACUCAGUGGUUAAUCCACUGGUGGGGCACAGACCCUGCAGAAGCUACAUGAGAGGAUGCGGAGGAGAUUAGGAAACAGUUUCCCACCUUUCAAUCUUGAGGACAAGAUUUACUGUUAAGGAGGGAAUAUUGUAAUGAAGUCAGUAGUUUAGUACAAAAGGGAAAAAGGCGUGAAGAGAAGUUAAGGAAGACGCAACAGUAGCAGGAAGAUGUCAAGAGAAGUUGUGGUCUGGUGAAGACGGCAGUUAAUAGUGUACGAAAGAAGAAAGGCGUGAAGUCAGGAAAAGAGAAGUCGUGGAAGAGAGAGUGAAGGCGCGAUCCAUAAAUCACGCCUUUGCUGGGUUCAUGCUGUUCUUGCUGAAGUUAGGGACCAAACAAGCUUGAAGAUUCUGCUUACACGUGUCAAUCCCUCAUUAGUUAUUGGAAGGAGUUAGUUAGAGUAGCUUCUAUAAAUGAUACGAUCAUGUAAUUUGUUAGCUAUCAUUUGGUUAAGAUUUGCUAUUGUAACUAGAGAGGGAAUAUCCCCUCUAUUGUCUUUCCUCUCAAGUUUCCUGCAUUCUUUUCCCCCUUCUUCUCUUUGCCGCCAAUUCUUAUUCUGUAUCUAGUUUUGAAGUUCAUUAAUGAAAAGGAAAGGUGUUUGUUCUUGAAUCCAAUCGAAUUUGAGUAUUCAUUAAUUUUUGUUUAUUCAACUUCCAUUCCUACAACAUUUCUGGUUUUGUACCACGACACUCCGUCUCUACACUUGCCUCUGCCACUUCUCCAUUACUACUGUAAUCACCAUUAUUCCUCUCAGCCUGACAUUUUGGGCUCUCUCCUUCAGCUUUUCUGCUUUCCCCAAAUUUCAGAUACAUUUAGGGCUUGUGAAAGGUAACUUUAUCUUUGAAAUUUUUUCAAUUAAUCAUUGGUUAUGGGCUUUAUUACAUAGCUUUGUUUCAUUGGACACAUUGCAAUGGUUUGUUCUGUUUUCAUGUCUAUUUUUUCUUAUGAUGAGUGCUAAUUGACUAUCAUCCUCUGUUAUCUCUGUGUUUUAGAAUGGAGAUGGUAGUCUUGGAAGAGGGUUUAUGUUUGUAGUGUUUUCUGGUUUUUAUUUCAAUAAUAGUGGGCAGGUACCACUUAUGAAUGUGAUAGCCCGUUUCCUUACUCUUUUUCCUAUUGCAAUGCACUAUGGAUUUAAGGCCCCUUAAGCAGGAAUUAAUGAUAUCUGCUCUUACAUUAGUAGCUCUCUAGGUUCUAGUGGAGGCACUUGUUUCCAAAUGGGCUUUGACUGAGCUGUAGUUGAAUAUGAAAUUAUGUGAAGUCUGUAUAGAAGAAAUUCUGAAGGCUUAAUACCCAAAUACAUCAAAAGUUAAUUUUAUUUCAAAACGAUUGUGGUGUUUUCUGUGUCUAAUGGUAUAUUGUGGCAUUAAUUUAAAUAUUAAUCAAUUCCUGGGUUGAUUUAUCAUCUCUUGUAAAAUGUUGAGUUGUUUGCUUCAUGGUCUUUAUUUCUAUAAGCAUGAGCUAUUGUUGAUUGGGAUUCUUGAUGUCAAUUAGUAACUAUAUAUCUUGAAUAAUUACUAACUAUCCAGUUAUUAGUUUGGUGCAAUAAACUGAGAUACUUUGUAUGGGUGGCAACGUUUACUGAUUAAGUGCUGGUUAAUUGUUCCCAAAAUGGUUGCUUGUCUUCAAUUUUUGCACGCUUUAUGGUAAAAGCAUGCAUUAGUUAUUCACAAAUAUUCGGAAUACCUUGAACACCAGCCUGCUUAUAUACUAUAAGCUAGUAUACUGGUUUUCUACUAAGUUAGAGAAGUUGAGUGGGCGAAUUUUUGAACUGAAGAGCGAAUGAAGAUUAUUUCCUUUUUCUUUUUGUAUUCUACUCAACAGACUUGUGUCCUUUUCACUUGUCUUGGACACCUAUAAGAAUGUACUGCAUGCUACCAACAUGUAACUUUGCAUUGCCUCAUUGUGGCAGCUGGUGUUCCUGUUUUUAGGACUGCCUAUGCACAUUUUGUUUUACCCCUAAGAAGUAUCACGGAUUGAUAGUUUGUUAUGCCAAUCAAGUUACUAUUCAAGGCUAGCUCACUGCUGGUCAAGUAGGUGAUGAACGUCCAAUAUGAUCUAUGAUGUAGUGUUUUUUAUUUUUUUUUGGGUAAGAAUCUGAUGUAGUGUUUUUCAUGACUGUUUAACAUUAUAUGAUUGUAAAGUAGAUGUUCUAAUUUCAAUUUUGCACAACUUUUGAAUGGUGAAAAACUUGUCAAGUUUACGGCAAAUUUUGUAAAAAUUAGUCAACUUAAUUUCACUUUUGUGUAUAAUAGUAGUUAAACUCGAGCAAUGAAGUAUAUAUGUUAUAAAUGCCAAAGCUUAAACUUAAUUUCGAUGUUGGUGUAUGAUAAAAUUAGUGACGAGGUAUGGUAUAAACGGUAAUGACUUUUACAAAUAUUCCCACGAUUGAAUUUAUUAUAGGGUAGUGGAAAGAGGUUUUCUCCAAUUAAAUGAAGUAGAGCUUGGUCUACUUGAACAAGAACUUAAACUAAUUGCUUGUAGAGUAACAUAUGUAAAUAAGCCUUGGAUAUAACUGCAAUUUCCCAUGAUUAAGCCUAUUAAUUCUACUUUCUUAUUUUGUUAACUUUUCACACCAGUAGUGUCUUGUUCUUUAAAGGAUGGGAGAUUAUUGUAUACUUGUUGUAGCAAAUUAGUGACCUAGUCAAAUUUCUUAGAAGGCGCUGAAUUUAGAUGAGAAUGAUACUAAGAAGCAAGAGGCAGGUGCUUCCUUUCUUGUGAAAAUGGUACAUUUGCUCUACAGCGAAAGCAAAAUGGUCAUUGUGUCCUUAUUCAAGGAUUAUUUAUCAAAGGAAAAUGGUCUUAAUUUAGCAUUAAACUUAUGCAGCUUUACAAUCACCCUUACCUGACAUGGAAACAUUGUGAACUGGCAUGGGCAUCUGUGUCUUAAACCCCCUAAAAAAUCAGGAGUAUUUCAUACAGGGAAAAGGAAUGUUACUAGUGCAUUUGCUGACUAUAUUUGUGUAAGAACUUUCCAAGGCAAUUGUGGACUAUAUUUUUUGACGUCACCAUCGAAUUUUUGAUGUUCAUGAAGGCUGUGUAGGUCUGCAAGGAGGAGGAAAGUGGUGGUGCCUUGGUGUUUCAAUGUUGAAGCUGAUGGCUUGGUUCCUUUGUUUUGUGUUUUUGAAAUCCACAAUUGGUUGAAUUCUUGUCUUACCUUUGAAGCUAGAAAGGACUAUUACAAUUCAAAAGAGCUACCUUUCUCUUUGGCUUGUUUUAGGCUUUUAGCGAGAAUACAUUUUUCUAUUUCUUUUAGCGAGAAUACAUUUAUUAAACUUUUAGUGAGAAUGCAUUCUUCUAAAGAAUCGUGAAUUGUGUUGCAAUAUUUUCUAUUUAUAUUGUCGUUGUUGGUUGUGGUUUUGCCUGAAUGUCUCAGCUGGUUGUUGCUCUUGGUAUUUUGCAAAAAAGGAAGUAAUUUGCUUUUUUCAUUAUAGAAGUCAUGGAUUAUAUCAAUAUUUGGCCGUAUCAAUGUUUGCUUUUUUCAGAUGCCAAGAGACUACUAAUGGCUAGGACUGGUGUUGCUUCCAGAGGCCAAAAGUUUCGAUUGCUAACAAACCAUUUCAAUGUUAAAGUAGCCAGAAAUGAGGGCUACUUUUUCCACUAUAGUGUAUAUAACCUCUAUCUCUAUGAUGGUUGUUUAAGCAAGCAAUUUAGCACAAGUAUUCUGCUCUUGAUAUGUAGGUGUCGAUUUAUAUUAUCAUUGUUGCAAUAUUUUCUAUUUAUAUUGUCAUUGUUGGUUGUAAUUUUUGCCUGAAUGUCUUAGCUGGUUUCGGGUUUUUGGCUGAUAUUUUGUCAAAAAAGGAAGUAAUUUGCAUUUUUCAUUAAAGCUUGAGUAACAAUUAGCUAAAUGCAAGAAAAAGUAAAUUAGUAAAGGUACAAAUUGGUUUUUUCCUUUAAAUUUUUAAUAAAAAUUAGCUAAAUGUAAGAAAAAAAAGAAAUUAUUAUAUAAAAACAAGGAAAAAAGAAAAAUUUUAUGUAAGCAAAUGUUUCAUGAAAAUAAUUCUAAUUCCUAAUGAAUUCUUCUCUCAUCCAAACAAAGAAUUUGGAAUUCCAAAUAAAUUCCGUAUCAAUUCUAUGCAUUUUCCAAAUGAAAGAAUUGCAAGGAUUUGGAUUUUUAAUUCGUAGAAUUCUAAUUCUAAUUCAAUUCCAAUUCUGUAGAGCCAAACGUACCCUAAUUACAGUUCCAAAUGCAACCAACAAAAACACAAAAAAAUUAAAACAAUAAGAUGAAUCCUAUUAUCUAUUUCUUCUUCCAUCCACUUCUGCCACCCACCACAAUCAUCAACCACUUCUCCCUCCUUCAUGCCUUUCCCUUCCCUCUUCCCCUCUCUUACCUCUCCCUUCCUUCCCCUCCUUUCUCCUCCCCUCUUUUUUCCGCUUCUCCCAUCCUCUCAUUCCUCCUCUCUUCCCCUUGUCCCUCAACCACAAAUUUGGUUGCACCGAUCACAGUAAGAAAAAUGAAGGGAGAGGAGGAGGGUUACAGGAGACAAGGAAAAGGAGGGAAGAGAACGGGAAAGAAGGAAACGGGGGAAGGGAGGGAAGGAAGCAGAAGAGGGAGGAGGACGAAGGAGGAAGGAGAAAGGAAAGGGAGAAAGAGAGAAGAGGAAGAGCAAUGAUGGUGAUGAAGUAGGAAGGAGAGGUGGGUGGCAGUGAUGGGCGGUAGUCAAAAAUCAUAACUUUUACCAAUACUCUAAUCAAAAUUUAAAUUUUAAAAACACUCAAAAAAAAUUCAAAAAAAACACUUAGGAGGCACUUGGUUCAAGUUUAAGAAUUAGAAUUGUAAUUUAAAUCAUAUUUAAAAAAUAUAGUAUGGGUUUUGGUGGAAAAAUAUUUUAUACAAUAUAUAAAGGGGGAGUGUCACUAUAUGGCGUAAACAUACGGUGUUAGUCACUUUUUAAAAUUUGUAAUAUACCCUUAAUUAUAAGGACAAAUUUGUACUAAUAAUUUAAAAAAAAAUCUCCAUAAUUAGCAAGAAUCAAAAAGUAGUUAUCAGUUCAAUUGUUCACUCAUUAUAGCUUUCUUUCACCAACUCUUAAUGCCCAUGUAUUUUACUCCACUUCUAUUAUCUUUCUACAUGAUCACCUGCAUGAUAAUCGAAUUUGAUCCAUAAAAAAACUCUUUACUCUUUAAAGGGAUAAUUUUGAUAAAUAUAUUUUUGUAGGCUACACACAUGAUAGAGUGUGUCAUGAGCACUAGUUACAAUAACAUUUGCUCGGUAAACAUUUGUAAGGAAUGAGUAUUACAUUAAUUUAUUAUAUUAACUAACCAUUUUUCUUAUGCCCCUCUCUUUUCCCUUUCAACUACCAAUUUCCCAAUCAGCAACUGCUGCAAUUCAAUAGUGAUUUGACUGCCUAUUUUGCAAUCACUAGUGGAAUUAGAGCUGGUAAAAAAGCCCAAAAUUCAAUGAUCACCCCAACCAGUCCAUUAAUUUUAAAAGAUGGGUUGGAUCAGUUGGAUUAUGGGUUUUGUUAGGUUGGAUAAGAAAAAUCUAACUUAUUCAUUGGGCGGGUUAGAUUUUUCAUUUGGAUACCCAAUACCCAACUUACUUAAAAGUAAUUCAAAAUAAUAAAUACAAGAUUCAAUACACAUAUGCCCAACCACUUGCACUUGGGCAUGUGUUAAUUAUUUAUUGACCAAUUUAUAUUCAAAAUUCUCAUAUAUAUGUUUUCAAUUAAUUUUUUUAAUUUUUAUUUAAAAGAAAAAAGAAACUUAAAAUAAAAACUCAUGCUUAUUUUACCUUUACAACAAUAGUUAAAAUUUCUCAACUUUUAUAAUAAUUUAUUAUAUCUUUUAAAAGUAUGUUGUUUUCCUCCCCUUUUUUUAUAUUUUUUUGUGAUUGUUCUCAAGUUGUUACUUGCUUCUAUUUGUUAAUAUUUUGUGUACGUAGAAUAGUGUUUUAAAUUUGUUCUAAUUACAUUUUUUUACUUUUCCCUAACUUGUUUUAUUUCAUUGACAAUAAUUCCUUAUCAAUAUUAUAAUACAACAAAUUAUAUGUCUCUUACUGACAUUUUCAAGUAUAAUAUAAUCUAGCAUUCAAUAAUUUAAAUAUAGAGAAUAUUACAACUUACAAUAAAGCAGAUAUGAAUAGUAAAAGUGUUGAUAAGUUGUGACAAAAAUAAGUUUCAAUCAAUUAGUAGUAUUAAAAAGUAUAAAAUAAACAAAUUUUUUUAACUAAUCUACUUAAAUAUACAAUUUAUUAUCUAAAUUCACAAUACAAGCAAUAUAAAAUAUUAUUCUAUUUAUGAUGUGUUUCUAAGGAGUUUAAAAAGUGAGUAUGUGUUUGUGUGUGUGAAAGUGUAUUAGUGUGUGAAAAUACAUUUAUGUACAUGAAAAUGUGUUUAUGUAUGUGAAAAAUUUUUUUGUGUGAAAAUAUAUGUAAGAAAGUUUAUGUAUCAAAAUGUAUUAAUUAAUAUAUUGGGUCAUGGGUUUGGGAUGGUCCAAUAUGACUCAACGCAAAAUCAACCCAAUUUAUAAUUAAGCAAGUUGGAUAUAACCCAUUUAAAUAAAAAUUCAAUAUCAACCCAUCUAAAACCCAUCCAACUAGGGCUGUCAACGGUCCGGGUCUAGACCCGGACCCAGCUCAGGCCCGCUAAUAUUUGCCGAGUAGGGGAAGGCAUAUAGUUCCGUGACCCGGACCCGGACCCAUUUUGUCUAAUGAAUUUGCGGGUCGAAUACGGAAUAUGCCGUUCCGACUCGUAUAGGACCCGAACCCGUUUUUUAAUUAAUUAAUAAUUAAAAAAUAUAUACCUAUCUCUAUCUGUCAUAAUUUUUCAUACCACUACUUACUUUCAUUCCCAAUUUGUUCAACCCUAAUAGUCUAAUACCCACCGCUGCCGCACCUCUCUUCUCUGUUGCUCCUUACCCAACUCCAGCUAUCCUUUUUCUCCUCUGCCUCCCGACUCCUGAGUCAUGCCUCCGCCAGUCACCACUCACCAGACACCUGACCUGGACCGGCGAAGCUUCUAGUUUGCUCUUCAUCCCCAGCUCCAAAGAAAAUCGCUGGGUCUAGCUAGCUCCAAAGAAGCAAGCCCAGCUCUUCCGUCAUUCCGUGAGACUUCUCCUCUUUUGCUCUACCUCCGUGGCUCCGCCAGACACCAGUCCGCCCUGACGCCUGACGAUUGCAGCAAGCCCAGCUCUUCUAGGCUUCUAGUUCUACCAAGUAGCAGCCCAGCUUUCUUUCUCAGUCAAGUAUUUUUUUUAAAAUUUUUUGUGGGGGAAAAUUGAGAAGAUAUGAGAAAUGCUGUAGAACGAAACCUUCUUACCUCCCCAAACAGAAGGUAUUUUAGUCGUUGUUAGUGAUAGUUUCUUGCGAGCUAGAUUUUCGUUGCGGAUUGCAUAAGAAACUUGACUUAAUCUUAAUGUCCCAAUUCAAUUUGUGAAGGGUAAAUGAUCAUUUCCAUUUUGAAGGGUAUAUAAAUUCAAUUGAACUCCUAUAAGUAACGAAGUAGUAGGAAAUAUUUGGCCCACUCAACAAGAAAAUUUGUUUGCAUUCAGCCCUCAGUUCCUCUUCACCCAUCGUCGUUGGUCUUUUCUUUUUGUUUUCUGUUUUUCGGUAGAAAUUUGGAGGUCUGAAAUAUAAAACAUCUGAUGGCACCAAAGUGGAAUGGAGCUAGAUUAAAUCUUGGACUAGAAAAUAGAAAUAAGCAAAACCAAAAAAAAAAAACAGAAGGAAGAAAGAAUAUAAGUAUUUUUCUAGAAAGAAGGUAAGUGCAAAAUGAAAUUAGGGAAACUAGAGUUCAGGGAAGAGAAAACAAAGAGAAAAUGGCAAUCGACUAAACUCAACUCUUUCAAGGAGAAAAAAGAUCCUAAAUCCUAAAUGUAGUUGUCCUUUUCAACUCCAAAAUAGGGCAGCUUAUCCUUUUCCCCCUUUGGAGUCUUACUAACACAAUAUCAACAUUUGUUAUUCUCCUUUUUUUCUAGAAAAAAGUAAAAAAAUGGUUGAUGCAUACAUGAAUCUGCUCACUGGAUUUUUUGCAUUCACUGGAUUUUGAAUGCGACAUUCUAAGGAAUUUGUCUUGUACCAUGUUUAUCUAAUAAAUUAUGUUAUUCACUAAUUGCAGGAUGUCAUCUUUGCCGAGUAAUCCAACAGGACCAAGUAGCACAGCUGAUGAGAAUGAGAUUGCCAUUUUGGAUUCGGAAGAGGAGGAGGUGAAGGAAGAUGAUUCGUGUAAGAAACCUAGGGAAAAGAAAUUAACAUCUAAGGUAUGAUUUGAUAUGGAUAGAGUUAAGACUGCUACUGGUAUUGUUGCCAUAUGUAAGCAUUGUAAAAAAAAAUGGCCAGGGAUAGCUCAUGCGGGACAAGCCAUUUGAAAAAACACAUAGAUAAUUGCAUUGCUAGAAGACAUAGGAGUGGAGGGUAGCAAGUACUUCAGUUGGCUAAAAAUGCUUUGGAUGAUAAAGUUAAAGUUCAAACUUUCAAGUUUGAUCAAGAGAGAAGUAGAAUGGAUUUGGCUAGAGCUAUAAUAAAACACAACUAUCCUUUUACCAUAGUUGAGUAUGAGUACUUUGAGAUUUUUUGAAUAAUUUGGAGCCAAAUUUUAAGCUGGUUUCUUGAAAUACAGUCAGGGUAGAUGUGAUUAGUGUUUAUAAAGAAGAAAAGGCAAAAUUGUAUAAGUAUUUGGAUGAUUUUGAUGGUAAGAUAAGUCUAACUACUGACAUCAGAUCACCAAAAUUUUGCCUAUGCCUAUUUGACAGCUCAUUAUGUCAAUGAACAUUGAGAAUUGAAAAAGAAAAUUAUUGCUUUUAAAUUUGUUCCAUAUCCUCAUGAUGGUGAAACAUUAUUUAAAUUUAUUUCUGAUAUCAUCUUGGAAUGGAACAUUGAUAAAAAGCUUACCUCUGUUGUUGUUAAUAAUGCAUCUUCAAAUGAUUCAAUGGUUAAAUGUUUGAAAUCAUGGCUAUUGGAUAAGUCAUUGCUCAAUUUAGGAGGUGAUCUUUUUCAUGUUCGAUGUAGUGCACAUAUUCUUAAUUUGAUUGUGCAAGAUGGGUUAGUUAUUAUUGGAAAAUUGCUUCAUAAGAUUCGAAAGACCUUAAAGUACUUGAAAAGGUCUACUUCUUCUUAUCAAAAGUUUGAGAAUGCAAUUAAUCAAUGCAAGAUGAAAAAUAAAAAAAGAGUGGGUAUGGAUGUUCAAAAUAGAUGGAAUUCUACAUUCUUGAUGCUGGAGACUGCUUUGCCUUUGAAGGAAGCUUUUUGUCAUUUAGAACAAAUGGACAGAAAUUACAAGUUCAAUCCUUCAAAAAAUGAUUGGAAAGUGGCUAGUGUUGUUCAUGGUUGUUUGAAAAAAUUUUAUGAAGCCACAUAUCAUUUUAGUGGUUCUAUUUUUCCCACAGCAAAUGUUUUCUUUCCCGAUUUAUGUAAUCUUCGUAUUAAGAUGAGGCAGUGGGAAGUUAGUGAGCAUGAUUUUAUUCGAGAAAUGGUUAUUCCAAUGAAAGCAAAAUUUGAGAAAUAUUGGGAAGAAUGUUCUUUGGUGCUAUCUAUUGCUGUGGUGCUUGAUCCUAGAUUUAAGUUGGCUUUAGUAGAGUAUUAUUACAAUGAUCUUUAUGGAGAAGGUGGUGAAAGAUAUGUGGAUAGAGUUCGUAAUGCUAUUGCUGACUUGUUUGUUGAAUAUGGAGGUGACCUUACUCCUUUUUUGAGUUAUGUUGGAGAUAAUAUAGGAGAAGGGAUUUCUAGUUGUGGUAACAAAAAUAUAGAUGUAGAAGAUGAUGAUGAUAAGUUGUCUGAUUUUGACAAAUGGUAUCAGCAAUCAUGUUCUUCUACUAUUCUUGCUAGUCAAAAAUCUGAAUUGCAAUCGUACUUGAACGAGCCUGUAUUUCCAAGAAAAGAUGAUUUUGACAUACUAGGCUGGUGGAAGGCAAACAGUCCAAAAUUUCCUAUUCUUAGCAAGAUGGCUCAUGAUAUUCUUGCAAUUCCAGCUACUACUGUGGCAUCGGAAUCAACAUUUAGCAUUGGCGGAAGGGUAAUUGAUGAGACUCGUGCUGCUUUGCUUCCUGAUGUGGUCGAAGCUUUGAUAACAACUGGAGAUUGGUUACCUUUGAAAAAGAAAAGAAGUAAGUCCUCAUGUUUAUGUUUCUUUUGUUGUUUUUUCUUUUUAAAUCCAUAUUACAAGUUUAUUUGGUUGAGUUACUCUAGAAAGACUAAUCUACUUUCUUUCUCUUUGUUUUCUUAGAAGUAUUUGGAGAAGAUUUGAGUGAUUCUUCUAAAGUUCUCAAGUUAGGGUGUAUUUGUGUAAGGCCAAUUUGAUUUCUUUCUUACCUGAUUUUUUUUUGUAUUAGUUAGUAAUUAGUUUACAAAUAUAUUGUAUCCUUGUUUUUGUUGCAGAAAAUUGUGAAACUUGAGAGCCAUGAAGACUAUUGUAAUCUACAGGACUUCAUUAGUUGGUUGAUGUAUUUGAUAUUUAUGUUUGAUUGGACUUUUUAGAAAUUGUAAUUUGUUGGAUGCUAUAUUGGCUUUGUUGCUAAUAUUGGUUUUGUUGAAAUUGUAAUUUGUUGGAUGUCAUAUUGGCUUUGUUUGGACUUUUUAAAUCCUUGUGUUUGUUGGAUUAGAUUAUAUGAAAUAGUUUGCUACAUGCUGUUUUCUUCUUGUUAAUGUUACUUUAUAUUAUCUUUUAUGUCCUUGUUGGCUGAAAUCUGUUAAGUGUUUAACUCUUGAGCUGUGGUGAUGUUAGGAAAAACGAUUCAUCACCUUGUUCCUUUUUGUUUCUAGUCCUUUCUUGAGCUGAUAGUCCCCUCGAUAAUGGCAAGACUAUUGAUUGGAUUGCAUAUUGGAACCUUCAUCAUGAAUGCUUCUCGAAGACUGGUGUUAGUUCAUUAUGUUAUAGUUAUAGUUAUGUUAUAAUUCAUUUAUAGUUCACCAGUCUGGUGAACUAUAACAUAUUUGGAAUCCCUUUUGGAUUGCAUCUCGAACACCAAUCUUUGAAGGCUUCAUGGGGUCACUCCUGAGAGGGGUUAGCUAUGCUUUUGAAUAUAAGAGGAGAAUGUGAUAAAAAUUAGACUGCAUUUUCCAGGUGUUACUUGAACAGGUUUUUAAUAGGUCUUUUUGCCGGGUAGACCCGGCCCGGAUUUGGGACCCGUCGGGUGCGGAUCCGAUGAAAGAUUAGAAGACCCGUCAGGUAUUUGGGUCGAAUCCGGAACUAAUCCAGUAUAACGGGUCCGGGUCCGGAUAUAUGCAUUCCGACCCGGACCCGACCCGUUGACAGGCCUACAUCCAACCCACCCAAUGGCAAGGUAUAGGUGGAAUAUGACUAUUCAUUACGAUCUAAUUUGUUACUUUCAUUCAAUCAAAAACCUAACCAUGUUACCUGAUCCCUCACUUCUCCUUUGUUGCCUAGUUCAGCAGCAAUAUUUCUUUAAAUUUGUCCUUUCCCAGCAUACUUCUCAAGAGCUAAUUUUCGAAUUCCUCCAUAGUCUUCGCUCCAAAGCCGUCUCCUCUAGGUGAAGAAAGGACGAGAGUGCAAAUUUGCCAUGGCGAAUAAGAGGGAGGAGGAAGCCCAAUCAAAGAAACAGCGUAUUAGCAGUAGUGGUCAUUUUAUAGGAAGAGAAGAAGGAAAGUUUGACAGUGAUGAAGAAAAAGUGGAGAGAUAAAUUUGCUAUAAGGAGGAGUAGGAAGAUGAUUGACAUCGAAUAAACUUGAUGUCAAAUUGGUCAUUUGGCAGGCAACAAGGACGAAGGGAUAGAAGUGAAAGAGAGAAGUUUUGAAGGCACAAUUAAAAAAAUUAAACAAAUUAGAAUUGGAAUGAAAUUUGGGGAUUAACAAACCUCUCAAUUUAGUGGCUAAUUCCUUCGAUUGUUGCCUAAAAAAUAAAAAAUUGGAAGAAUAUUGUUCUGACAUGGAUAUGGUAUGAAACUAUGCCUGUCGGGUUUAGUUAGCCUGACAGGAAAGAUUUUUUUUUUUUUAAAUGCUGAGCUGCAGGGCUUAGUUAGCCCGGCAGCAAAGAAUUUUUUUUUUUUUUAACAAUGCUGGGUUGCCCGGCUACCAAGCUGAAUUUUUUUUUAAAAAUAUGUUGGCCUUUGACUGUUUUUAAAGUAAAUUACCAAUUGCAUCAGAUACGAAUGCCUGGAAUGCUAUACUGCUAAAUUCGACAUUUUAGGAUUAUCUCCAGUCACAAAAGGUGGGUAAGAUUAGUAUGUGGCUCUUUUGCUUUUAGGGAAAAAUGCACUUUUCAUCCUCAAAAUUUGGGGAGUUGACCAAUUUUAUUCUCAAAGUUUAAUCCCAAAUACAUUUCAUCCUCAAAGUUUCGUAAUUUUGACCAAUUAAGGACAAUUGACGAGAAAUAUCCAAUUGACCGUUACAACCAACGGUUUUACCCAACAAAAAUGGGUAAAACCGAAUGAAGCUAACUUUAAAGGAACAAAUGCAACGGACAGAUGAAAAGCUCCAUUGUUGUCCUUCUUCCCUCUGCCUUGCAAUCCCAAAAUUUUUUUGCCAAUCUUUGCAGCUUUAAACAUUUCAUCCUCAGAGCAUCCAGCAGUGGAGCUCUCUGUGCUCUCAUUUUUGCCUAAAUGAGAAGCAGAAGUUCUGAAGUCUCUAGUGGUUCAUCAACUCCAUUCUGCAACUGUGGGUUAAGAACAAAAAUGAGCAUCUGUUGGCGCUGCGAGAAUCCGGGAAGAAGAUUCCUUGGUUGCUCUCUGUGGCCGGUAAGAAAUAUUUGUCUAAAAAUAUUGGUCCUUCAAUGUGUUAAUUUAGCUAACUAAUUUCAGAGAAAUGUCAUUAUUAUUAUGGUAGAGACCCGAGAGAUGCAGGUACUUUGAAUGGGUUGAUAAGCCAAUUUGUCCAAGAGGGAGAGUUCUCAUUCCUGAUUUGCUGAAAAAGAUUAACAAAAUGGAAGAACAAGUUGAAAGAAUGCGUAAGAGAGAGAAAUUUUUUAUUACGAUAAUUGUGCUUUUGGUGGUUUUGCUAGUACUGAGUUGGAGCAGUAAAGGCGAGGGAAAAGUAAAGGGAGGCAAGUUGCUGCUAACAUUGGAGUGAUUUUGAUAAAAUUGCAGAAGAACAUUUUGAAGUUGGCUGUGUUUGUUGUUGGAACGAGAGUUGCAUUUUUCCCUAUGAAGUAAUAUCCAAUUGUAGGGUAUAGAAAGGGACUUCUUUUGUUUGUACAAAGGUUCCAAAUGAACUCUGCAAUUUAUGUAAAUGGUGGGAUUUAGGAAAGGAAAUGUAUUUGGCAACAAUGCAAUUUAUGAACUCUGCAAUUUAUUUUGUUUGUAAAGCUAUGCGUUGAGUGUAAGAAAAUGGUCCUUGUCAAAGUGUUGUUCAUAUCAUAUAUAUAUAAUGGCCAUAAACUGAUAAACCACAUGUACUGAUAAUACAAACAGAUGCAAAUAAAUCACGGUGGAAAACAAAUGCAAAUAAACCAAGCUGGUAACUAAGCUGAUAAACCAAGAUUGUCCCACAUGUACUGAUAAACCAAAUUGGAAAAUAAAUGCAAAUAAUACAAACAGAUGAACAUGAAAACAACUGCCAUAUAUGUAUAUCAUAACUUCAAUACAAUUAAAGUGCAUUCCAAAUGAAAUAAAGCAAACUACAUAACUGUUGUUGAACAUGGGUCCAUAAAUCAAAUAAAGCCAGCUAUCACAUUACAGCCUGCAUUUCCAUAAUUACUAGGCAAGGCAAAAGUUGAAACAACAAAAGUCAUUCACUAAUUACAAAAGCAGCAACUUGGCUUGAACAAAAGCAGCUUGGCUUGAAGAAAAUUCAGCAUGUUGUUUCUCCUAUCACAGUAGUUUCUCCUUUCCCUUCGAUCUAGAUGAACUAGGAACACUUAAAUCUGCUUUGGCGGCAGCAGCAGCAACAUGCAUAUGAACAUCUCUAAUCCUGAAGGGCAUCUGUACUUGUUCUUUAGUUUGUGUUCUGGCUUCCUUGGUGUUAUAUUUCACUUGGGACCUUGACAGCCCAAACACUUCGUACAUAUCCUGGUCUACUUGAUCUGGGGCAGAGGAUGUUAUGUCAAUCUCAACUAGUGGCUCAGCAUUCUGUUGAUGUUCAGUGUUUGAAUCAUCAUUACAAACUGCAGCUGCAACUCUUCUUGUACGUCUAUGUCUCUUUUACACAAAAUAGUGACGUAGCAAAAGUCAAAUUGCAUAUAGACAAAAAUCAAAAGAUGUAGCAGGUUUUUCUACCCUUUUAUUUGAAAACUCAGUAGCAGGCUUCUUGAUUUUCUUUGUUCCCUGCAGUUUAAAAGGAAAACAUGUCAUUUAUAUACCAAAUAACAAAGGUAGCUGUAACGAGUCAUCAAAACAACUUACAACUUUUUUUCCAUCUUGGCUAGUUGGAUUGUUGGUAGAAGCAGCAACUUGGCUUGAACUAAUAUUAGUUUCUGCAACUGCAGGAUCUUGAGCAUCUUUGAGAAGCUUGCAGGACCUCAUAUUAUGUCCUCUUUGAUGACAGUAUCUACACUUGUUAAUCUGUCUCACUCUUGUCACUUUCUUCUUAGUUUUUUUCUUGGCUUGUUGAACCUCCUCUGCACUUCUCCUUCUCAGUUUCUUAAGCUUUCCAGGUGCUCUCCCAUAUAAGGGUGGCAAAGGACCUUCACCAACAUCAGUAAGCUCCCAUUCACUUUCUCCAUUCAUGGGACACACUGAUCCUUUAUAGCACUUCAUAUAUGUCUCCACUGUAUACCAUUUUGAAACAUAUAGCGGAGGAUCCUUUUUAGCUAUCCAUAAUGCAUUAAUGGCAUGGGGACAGGGAAUACCUGUUAGUUCCCAUUUUCUGCAAGAGCAUGUUUGCUCAUUGAUGUUCACUGCAUAUUGGUCACCAUAUGGGCAACUAACUUCAUAAAGAUCAUCAUUUGACUUAAAUGAAAAACAGUCAGGUGUUCUAUCUAUAUUUUUCUACAUAAUGUGAAGAAUUUUGGGGUAGUAAGGAUAAGUCUACCACUUCUCUUUGGCCAGAUUCCUAUUUUUUUGCAUUCUCUGCAUCAUGUACAACCGUAUUGCUUCAAACAUUUCAAUUAUUGGCUUCUCCCUCGCAUCAAGAAUUUUGCUGCUGAAGCACUCACAGAUAUUAUUCAAUAACAUAGCACAUUUAGGAUGAGUGCUAAAAUAAACUCUGCUCCAUUGACUUGGUGGUUUGUCAUCAAACCACUUGGCUGCCUCUAUAUCAAUUUCAGCCAUUGCUUCCAUUCUGCUAAUGAAUUGGGUUGGUGUUGUUGCUUUGGCAACAGUUCAUAACAUUCUCCUCAAACCUUCUCCUUUGAAACUAGUAGAAGAAAAGUUAUUAUGCAAGUGUUUCACACAAAAUCUGUGGGCUGCAUUUGGGAAAAUCAUAUCAUAUGCUUCAAUUAGACCUUAUUGUUUGUCACUUAUUAUUGUCCACUCAUAAUCCUUUUCAAUUUUCAAAUCUUCUUUAAAUAGUUUGAAGAACCAGCACCAUGAGUCCUUACUUUCACCCUCUACUGUAGCACAUGCUAUUGGAGAAAUGCCAUUAUUGGCAUCAACUCCAACAGCUGUUAGCAAAACUCCUCCUACUGAUUCUUUCAAAAAAGUACCAUCUACUCCAAUAAAUUGCCUACAUCUAGUUAGAAAACCAUGCUUCACUCUAGCAAAAUAGAUGUACAGCUUCUCAAAUCUGCCUUUUCCUGUUUUUGAGUCUCUAAAGCCAUCAACAGUUUUCAUUAUAACAGUGCUACCAGGGUUGGAUCUUAGAAUUUCAUGCAUAUAAACUCCUAAUUUGUUGUACUGGUCUUUUUCACUGUCUUGAACAAUUUUUAUUGCUUUUCUCUUUGUCCUAUAUGUUUAAUUUUUUGUGAAGGAGCACCUAUUUUCUUUCAUUACUAUCUUCCUAAAAUGCUCCAAAUCUAAUUUAGGAUUACACCUAAACUCUUCACAGUACUUCUUAGCUACCUAUCCAGAAUGCACAAGAGGGUUAUCAUAUGUAAAAUCACAUGUGUAAUUAUGUUCAAAUGUUCUUAUUUGAAUAGUUCAAUCCCCAAUUAAUUUCCUAACAUACAUAAGCCAAUUACAUUCACUAUUUUUGCAUCUAGCCCUCACCCUCACUCUAUCUUGUUUCAUAAACUUACAAGGCCUGCCUUGUUUCACACUAUAAUUAUGUAUAGCAGUCUUGAAGAGUUUCAGACUUGUAAAGGACAUGUACAGCUCUAAUUUUGGAUUGUCAAUAUGCUUAGGAUCAAAAGUACGAGACCUCAAUUUAGACUCUUCAUCAUCAGACUCAUGAAUGCUUUCAAAAUCAUAUUCAGAAUCAGGAACCUAUUCUGUUUCAUCAGAAUUAGGAACCUUCUCUGUUUCAUUCAAAGGAUCAGGAAUCACAUUUUCUUUCCUGUGAUUGUCUACUCCUAACCAUUUAGCAUUUUUGUCAAUAUUAUCAUGAAAUAUACAAUUAUCAGCAUCAUCACCUAUUUCAUAAUCUGAAUCAAUAGCUGAAAAAAAAGUCUCAUCACUUACAUUGGAAUUAUUAUCACAAUUAUUAGCAGCACACCUUCCUUGACCUUCAUCCCUAAUAUUAUUGUUACCAUCACCAUUUUGGAGUUCAUUUUCCGUCUCAUCUACCUCAUACGGAUCAUAACCAAGUUGUUGCACUAGAAUUUCAUGAAAAGAUACUUCAAGAUAUAAGUUAACUUCCUUAGUUGGUCCAACCUCUCCCUUAACAUAACCAUUCAACACCCUACUGCUAUCUAUCCUCCUAAAGGUGUUAUUUUCCCAACCAUAGUACACCUUAUGACCAUAUACACCAGCACUCUCAGUUAAUCUAUCCAUUUCGAAAACACUUAAACCUAUACUCUCAACAUAGUCAAAAACACAUAAAUCUCCACCUUCGUAAUGGGGAUUAGAAGUAUAUGAAAUGAGGCCUCCAUGGUGACAUCUUAAUGUAAUAAAUGUGCUGCCCGUUUCUGGUUAAAGAAAAUAAUAUAGAUCAGACUCUUCAGAAAAAAAAAAAAGCUUCAUCAUUUCAGUACAACAAACUGUUGACCCACACAAAAACUACCAAACAAGGACCACUUUUACACUUUUUCCAUACACAUGGCCAGAUACACAUGGCCGGCAAAAUAUACCAAGUAUUAUUGUUUAUUAAUCACUCUCACCACAAAUUUAUAGUCAAGCGGCAACUAUUAUUAGACAUAAGGGACCACAUUCACACUAAAAUAAUCAAAUCAAGACAAAUUUUUUGAUUUAUUUAUACCUCAUGCAAAUGGCCAAAUUUGGAAAAAAAAAAUAGCCACAAAUUAUAGUGGGAAAAAAGUACAAACACAAGGGAUCAUAUAUCAGGUUUCCUUCUCCAAAAAAACACAUAUCUUUAUGCAAAUGUGGAGCUGUUGAUUUUGGGUAUAAAUACUGUAAUUUGGGGGUCGACAAAUGUGGAGCUCUUUCUCCCGCAAUGCCAUUUUUUUCUUCACCUAAAAUGCUCCACGGAUGUCGUUUAUGCCCUCCUUCUUACCAGCAGAUGCUCGAAAAGUGGAUGAAAGGAUUGGCCAAAAAAACUUUUAGGGCUGAGAACAGCGAAGAAAGAAGGAGAAGACAGGAGCUUUUUUCCUUUUGCUAUUUUGUGCAUUUUUGUCCGUUAGAAAAAGUGGCUCCAUUCGGUUUGACCCGGUUAUGAUGGGUAUAAAGUUGGAUCUGACGAAUCGUGCUUCUCACGUGCAAAGUUCCGUCCCAAUAUUUGAUUUGUCCUCCAAUUCCCGUCAAUUGUUCUUAAUUGGUCAAAAUUACGGAACUUUGAGGAUGAAAUGUGUUUGGGGUUAAACUUUGAGGAUGAAAUUGGUCAACCUCCCAAACUUUGAGGAUGAAAAGUGCAUUUUUCCCUUUGCUUCUACUUAGCUAUUUGGUAGUUUGGGGAAAAAUUCUUAACUUCAUUCUUGUUGGCAGGUGCUCCUUCCUUCCUCACCUAUGGAUCAACAUGAAAAGGGUUUUACUGUUGAUAGUGAUAUUCUUUACCCAAGAUCUCCUAGAAACGUAUCAUCCAAUCGAGCAAAGUCUGAGUACGGAGAUUCCAACUCCACAGGAGGCUUUAUGGAGUUUUGGCAGGAGUUUAAACUUACAAUCGUUGGUAUGAUGAACAGUUUGUUUGAGAGCAGCAGAUACUAAUGGAAAUGUGACCAGUGGCUUUGUGGCUAAGGCUCUUGGGCCUUCAUUAAUGGGCUUGGCUGUCAUGGUUAUAAUAGUAGUGGUGCUAAAGUAAGUGUCUUUCCCAUUUGUUGCAAGUGAAUUUGCCAAAGCCACAUCAUGUCUACAUUAGGAGUUCUUUCCAGAAGGGGUAGAGAAAUCUAAGAUAGCAUUGGAAAUUACUCAUGUGUACAUACGAAGCGAGAAGUUCUAGUUUCUGUUAAGGUUCCGCACAUUUUCUUAGAACGUUUGUCCUCUUUUUCACUAAAUUUGAUGAGUAUCUUUGGGUUAGAGAACUUUUGUUUUGUUAAUUCUCAGAGAUUGAUAUGGCUUUUGUUUUGUUAAGGCCAUCAUUCAAAAAGAAAAAUUUCUUUUAGCCCGACAGGUAUAGUCUCAUAUCAUAUCCAUGUCAAAAUAAUAUUCUUCUGAUUUUUUAUUUUUUGGGCAAUAAUCAAGGAAUUAACCCAAUUUAGUCAGGAGCUGAGAGUUGCUACAUUUUUAGAAAUCAUUCUAAAAUCUUAAAUCCCAAACCUUUAAUCCAAACACCACAAAUGACUUUUAUUCCAAAUCCUGAUUCCAUACCUUGGAACCAAGCAGCCCCUUAAUUUGUAAUGACUAUUUAUGGUGGAAAGUUUUUCAAAUACAAUAUUACAAGAAUAAAUAUUAUAUAUACUGACGGUAUAUAAACUAUCAUCAUUGGAUUCAUGGUACAUGUACAUAAGUUGGGAGUUUAAAUUCAAAAUUUGUAUAGUUUUCAUUCAUCUACGACUGAAAAUUAAUCCUUAUUACAAUGUAGUUUUUUAAAAGUGCCACAAAAAACAGUUAAUUCAUAAGUACCCAUUUUGUAUUUCGAAACACAAAAAUUAUUUUAAAAGCAUUAGUGGUGAGCAUGUGCUAAAAGUGUGCUAUACUUCUAAAAUUUUAAAAUAAUACUUACCAAAUACUUAAAAGAAAGUGCUUUCAUCAUCCAAAAUAAAAAUUAUUUGAGAUAAUUUUGUGAAAAAGUACUAUAAUAUUUUUUUGAUAUGAUGUAUAUGAAAUAAAAAGGUGAUGAAAAAUGUGUUGAUGAUGCAAACAAAUCAGUGUGUGUAAAUAAGGUGUAAAUAAAGUGAAAUAAUUGACAUCCAAAGUCCAAACACACUCUUUGUUUUGCAAAAGUAACAUAAUCCCAAGCACCAAAUGGUACAUUACUAAUAUAAGAUCUAGGCUUCAAUAAUGUCAAUUAUUCAUGCAAUAUAUCAAUUAAAUAUUUAACACAAUUAUGCGUACUAUGCAAUGUAACUUCUCACACAUUAAAAUAACAAAUGUCUAGACAACAACACAACGUGCAAUAACGGGAUAAAAUUUGAAAAUGCAUUAGAAAUUCUGCUCUGUAGACUCAUCCAAUUUGAAAUCUAUUCAAUUUCCACCAUCAAAUUUCUACAGAUCACAGGUAAUUACAGAUCACACUGCUUGUCGGGUCAUCUCAUUUCCCAAGUGUUUAUGAGAUACCACAGUAGUUGCAACACAUGGGGUAUCUUUCACAAUUCGAACUGGUCUAAGAUGAUUUUUUGUGUUAUAGGCUCGAUACACGGAUGUACUUGGAUACAGACAUGUACACUUCUUCUUCUUCUUCUUCUUUUUUUCUGUAAGUCCCACAUAUUUGUAUUUUGAUACAUUAAUAAAUCUGGUUUAUAACAGACCUUUCCAACCAAAAUUUAGCAGUGACAUGCACUUGCAAAUUUAUUGAAGUAUGCAAUUGGGUUAGGCUUCCCUUUAAUUGAAAAAUUAAGUGUAAAUUACAACCUCAAAAAAUAGUGAAAAUUACAAAUAAUGAUUUGGAUGAGGUUGAUGUUUAGAUGAAUGUGAUUGAUUGCUGACGCAAUUUUUUAAUAAGUGACAAAAUUUAUUAUAUAAUUUUUGGUAUAUAUUAUUUUAAUGAGUUAAUUUUAUAUACACUGAUAGUGUAAACACUAUCACGAAUUAUGUGCAACGUAUCUAAUGGUAAAAGUGUAUACACUGUCAGCGCAAUCUUGUUUGGAUUGCUAUUUGUUAGAGUUUUUGUAGAAAAAUAUAUUAUAAUAAUUUAAUAUAUGUGAGUUAAAAAGAUAAUUGAAAAGAUGCGCUCAUGAAAAAUGUAGAAACUUUUUAGGCAAAUACCUUUCCAAAAAAGUUAACGUACAUAUCUCAUUUAAUCUAUAAAAAUAUAAAAGAAUUUUAAUGCUAAUUUGUUCCACACCGAUUUGGACUAUGGACUAUAGUAGAAUUGACCAACUUCUUUGUCCUUCCUUAAAUCCAUAUUGGCUCGAAAAAUCAUCUCGGAACCAAAGUUCAGUGGUUACCAAAAAAGAACUAAAUCUCUCUUUGACUUGUAGAUCGGAGGUUUAAAUCCUACCUGUAGUGAAAAAAAUCUAGAGGAGGUGUCAGCGUACCAUUUUGCUUUAGUUAGAUUCUCAUACCUAUUACCAUCUUAUGCAUAGCUUUUUUAGAUUCCCUCUCUCUAAAUUAGAAUAAAUUAAGUUAUAGAAAUGUUAUUGUUAUCAUAAAAAAGAAAAAAGAAAAAUGGUCUCGAGCACCAUAACAUGCCUAAUCUGUCCUUUUGGUAUUCCCGCUUUCCUUUCUACUCUACAACUUGAAGUCAAUCUUGUACUGCCAAAUAGAGAAAUUUUCUUGCUGUUGCUCAACACUCAUUUGCAACACACACUUUAAUGCUAAUCCGGUACCCCUUUGUGAAUUAGCACAAAGCAUUGAAAAUUGCUUCCAGGAAGUGCGAGGAUGCAAAGCUAAAUUGGUUUGACUUUGAUCACUUGCUCCAAAAAAGAGAAACUAGGCUGUAAAUUCUCAAGAGUAUGACAGUAAAAUAGAUGUUACACACAAUACUUCUUUUCUCCUACCAAAAGAUGUGGAUGCUCAUAUCAAAUCACUUGGACGCACUCAAAUAAAUUGCUAGCAACUCCAAAAUUGUAAGCUCUGCCAUCAAAUUGAGAUCUUGAAUCGUUUAGAACAUCUUAGUGCAAAUGAUAGUGAUAAUUUGAUGAAAAAUGACGAAGUUUGUAAUGCAUGACUAUGAGAUUGAAGUGUAAAUAUAAGAUGAGAAAACGUCUCAACCCCUUGUUCUCCUAAUUUUUAGGACUCCAUUAAUUUGAUAGACGCAUGCCCUUAAUUUUGUUGCCAAAAUCUAUUGUAAUUUUCACAUUUCUUAAACACACUUUAGCUAACACAGGUGCAUGAUAAGUAUCAUUAUUCAUAGUGGUGUCAAGCCUCAGAUAGAUUUUUUUUUUUUUGGUAAAAGAAAAGUUUAUGUGGGUUGUGCUUGGAUCACCACUAUAAGUCACAGCAAUGUUAUCGGACCAUACGUUGAAGUUUUUACAAAUUAUCCACUAACACAAUCCUCACAUUAGUAACGAGAUUCAAAUAUACAACCUUUCGUAAGCAAAAUGAUCCAUUCUUACUAAAUAUUCAGUUUAGUAAAACUGAGGUCUAGAAAGUAAAAUAUGAAAUCUGGAGUUGCUUUCAUUUGAUUUCUUCAUAUUUAUCUAAACCUUCACAUCAAUAUAGUUAUUUUAUUAUUUAUCUUUUUCCUAAAAUAUGCAUACAUAUAGGGUCCGUUUGUUUCGGAUGAAAAUAUUUUUCAGGAAAAUAUUUUCCUAAUUUCCCGUGUUUGGUUGCACAAAAGUUACUGAAAACAUUUUCCUAUGUAAAAUAUUUUCACUCAUCUUAUGAAAAACAACUUCCCUUCCAAACUUAUUGAAGUUGUUUUCCGAAAUGUAUGCAUCCUGCUUGUAGUAUGUUCCAAAUUUACUGAAAACAUCUUGCAGUAUGUUCUUUUUUUUUUUUUUUUAGUGUAAACAGGAGGAUUCGAACCCAAUACCUCUUCCUUAUACUCCCUCCCCCGUACCACCCAAUCCAACCCAACCCAACCCUCCACCUAGUAUAUUCAAAAUAAAAAAAAAACCUCAUCCUGCUCCUAUGCUAGUAAUUAAUUAUGUAUAAUAGGGACAUUCUUUUCUAGAGAAACUUUCAGUAGUGAGAGUGCAAGAUAUAUGUCACAAUAAGCAUUGCAUGUGAUUGAUAUUUGACACUAAAUGACCAGUAAUUUGUUUAUUAUUUAAGGAGAUAUUUUUUAUUCAUAUAUACAUUUCUCCAAGAUUUUUUAAAAUUAAACAAUGAGAUAAAUUUUCUUAUUUUGCAUGAGAAGAAGUAUGUAGUUAUAAUGUGUAGAAAGUAAAGAUAGAGAUAAAAGUGAAAAUAUUUCAAAAGUGAAACAAACACUAGAAAAAUGAAGUAAGAAAAUAUUUUCAAUAAACCAACCAAACACCUGAAAAUGAUGAAAGGGAAAUGAUUUUCAUGGAAAAUUACUUCAACGGAAAAUAUUUUUCCAAGGAAAACAUUUUACUUCCAACCAAACAGACCCAUAAAGUGUGCCUCACCGACUACUACUAGAUAUUGAAUAUAUGCAAAAUAUAUUAUUUAUAUAUAUUAAUAUUUUUAACAAAUUAGUUAACAUAAUGCAAUUGUACAUUCAAUGAUGUUACUCGUUUUUAUAUGCAAAAAAAUUGUUCCUACUAUUCUUCUUUUAUUUUUUUUCAAAAUUUGAAUGCCUGGUCAAAUAAGCAAGUUGUACUAAAUUGGGAAUCGACAUUGGCGGCGUAGGAAGCAGUUUAACACGGAAUACAUAAGCGCCAACUGUUUCUGAGAGGCAGAGCUUGCGAAAUCCGCCUUGGCCUUCUCUUUCUUCCCAUUUCCCGCUAUAUAAAUAUGCUCACCAAACCAGAGAUUCCCAAUCCUCAACAGCCAGAUUAGCCAUCUCUUGUUCAACAACAGAAGGGAAGACAUGGCUGUUGCUGACUCUAAAACUGCCACUAAAUCCUCCUUUGAAUCCAUCAGAGAAUGGGUUGUCGAGCACAAGCUUCGUACUGUUGGUAAUUCUUGUACCAUUUUCCCUUCUUUGCUUCUUUUUCGCUUCAUUUCUCUGGUGGGUUUUCCUUUUUCUUUUUCCCCUUUUUAUUAAUGAUUGUUUUGAAUUGGGUGAAAAGGGUGCUUGUGGUUGAGUGGAAUUGGAGGAUCCAUCGCUUACAAUUGGUCUCAACCGGCCAUGAAAACCAGCGUCAAGAUCAUUCACGCUAGGUACCACAUCAAUCUUUCUUCGUCCUUUUUACUUGAUUACCUUUUUCUCUCUUGAAGAUCUAUUUAACUAUAGUAUUUUUAUCUUGUUCUUGAACAUUCUUGUGCACUUUUUGGAUUAAAUUCUCUGUUCAGGAUUUGAGCAAAUUGGUUGAGAUGGGUAGAUUGGGAGGAGGGCCCUUUUCAUGUGCUUUUUAACCCGAUCUUUUUUCCUUUUCUUUUUCUGGAGAAUUAGGCAUUGUGAUUUUGUUGGCAUAUUUGAAUACAAUUUGAUCUCACUUUACGUAGCCCUGCAUAAAGAUUGUAUCGUUUUGCGUGCUACUAGAUUAUUUAGUGCCAUUAGCUGAUCAUAAUAUCUAGAUCAUGUUUUCCUUGCUUGAUGAAAUUGAUGGGAUAGGAAAGGUUUGGGAUUUAUAUGCUCCGAAUUUAUAAUAUGGAAGGUAAUUUACGCAGUGUGCCUAAAAGAACAUGUUAAUUGUUGCUCAUGAUAUCUUCUGGCUUUUAAGUACUUUAGAUACUUAGUUUAACCAGGCAGUGUUUUUAAAUUCAAGAUGCUAAGAAACAAAGUGGUUGUUGGAUUGCACCAUUUAUUAGACUGAGAUAAACAGAGGCCGAUUAUUUAAGUUUGUUGAAGAAUAUAAAAGCUUGCAUCUUUAAUCCAUGUCUGUGGGCUCCUUGUAGUCAUUUAUGUGGACAUUUUACCCUGCAAAUCCAUCUACCCCUAUUUGGCUAAAUAGCCGUCAUCACAUUAACAAAAGCCUCUGCUUCUACCUAGUAAAUUGCAUAAGCUAUAUUGCAGUAUCCUUGAGAAGCGAAUAGUACAGUUUGCCAUUUUAACAUACUUUUUUUAACCAACUGCUACACAUUUUAUGCAUGAAACAUGCAACAGAUACUGACUUUGGUUUGAUGCAAAAAGCAUGUUUGAUGUCUUUGAGAUCUACUGUGUGAAAUAACUUGAGAAAAUGUGAGCAAAGAAAUAAUUUUUACACUUUGAUUGCAUAUCCUAUGUACAUUUGACAUAUAUAAGCACACAUCUUGAAAAUGAUGCAUGCACGUGUAAAAUAGCUAAUUAACUUGGUAUAGUAGUUUUCUUGAGUGGUGGUGGGUGAUUAGACUGUGUCUGGAGAAUUGGAGAAUGAAGUGAAAUGUGAAAUGAGAUAAAGUGCAGAGACUGAAGUGUAUUGGGGAUGUGAAAUUAAAGAGUUUGAACUGUGCCUUUUUCUCUACCAGCAAUGGCAUAUGCAAUGGUAGAAAAGAUGUCCUUGAGCAGGAUCAGCCGCAGAGGGAGACAGAGAAGUGGAAAUUUUGUUGGUUUAAGUUAAUCCCAUAAGUGAUAGUGGAAAGGUGAGGAUGUCUUAAGGUAUCUGGGUAUACUUGCCUUUUUCUAUAGUUGUAAAUGAUGCAAUCGAGGAUUGGGACAUAGAGAGUUAAAGAUUACAGUGAAGUGAGGAAUGGCACAAAGUGUAAUACAGAAAAUUUUUUGGAGACUGGAAUUUGACUUGGUGACCUUAGGGUUUGUGGAUAUCUUCCAUCUGGUUGUCGUGGUUUUGUAAGGGAAGAUGGUGAUUAUGGGGCGUGUUUUCAGGUUUUAGUGAAGGUAUUGUUGAGUCACAGGUAGUAAGUUUGGUCUUGGAAUAUGAGAUCAAAGAAAAGAAGUGGAUGGUUUUUGUACUUGUAGGUUAAGGAAGUUAAGAUAUUUUGUUGUGUUAAACCAAUUGCUUUGGAUGCUGACUCUUGUCAAAUUAACGUAGCUUGACGUACUGAAACUAUUCCUUCUGAUUUCUUCAAACUACUAUGUGUAAAUGGUAUGGUUGUCUAUUCCUUCUGUUCCAUUUUGGGGAUUGUCUUUUAAACAAACUUGUUUCUAACUCAUUCUUUUUUCCAUGGGAAGACAUACUAAGCACAUGAUAUUGUAUUAAGAAUAUGCAAACUGGAUUUUUUCUUCAGGAACCUGUACUCUACCUUUUCGUUCUUGCUUUUGUAAUAUUCAUAGUCGUCCCGAAACGUUAUCCUCGUUUUACUUCAGGUUGCAUGCCCAAGCUCUGACAUUGGCUGCACUGGCUGGAGCUGCCGUUGUUGAAUACUAUGACCACAAAACAGGGAAAACACAAGAUCGAUAUCCCAAAUAUCUUCCGCUGGAUACAUACUCACAAAAAGACUGAAGAAUUAACCUACAUGUGUAAUUUUGAAGAGGGUACAUCAAACUCAUUAUGAUUCCAAAAUUGAGUUUUGACUGAAAACGUUCUUGUAUUUCUAUAUGCUACGGUUUUGCUGAUUGAUCGGUGAUGUAAACAUGUGCCGCCACUGGUACAUCUCGUGAUUGUUCAUCAAUAACAAGGCAUUAUUUGGUCCUUUUUAUAUAGAGUUUAGCUACCAUCAAAUAUCUUUCUGAUUAUCUAGAAUAUUGUGUCGCAUUCGGACGUAGAUUUAUUGCUAGCAAGCACUUGUGGUAAUACAGGCAUGAAUAGAUUAACUAAUGACGUGAUUGUUCUUUCCAUUGGAAUCUAAUUGCAGUUGAACUGCGUUUCUUGCUGAUUGGCUCUCUCUAAACCUAUUUGAUUGGAUUCUGAGUGCAAAACUAGCCUUAUUGGGAUUGUUUGAUUCUUGCAUUCAUUCUAAAACAAGCAAGGACAAGUCAUCUUCAAUUACGCAGAGGUCAAAAUGUCGCAACUCUAAUAUUCCUUAGUUGUUAUAGAUCAUGACUUCUUACAAUAGACUUUUUAUUUUUUAUUUUGGUCAAAAGCAUUGUAUAAUUUCAUUUCUAACUUGAUACCAUAAGGUCUGUUACAAAAGGGCUACUACCCGAGUAAUCUUUCUGUGCGCUCUCAUGGAGCCUAAGAUUGCAAACGAAUCGAACCGAUCGCGAGCGGUUCAAAUUCGGUCAAUAUCGAACUGGUCAAGUCGAACUCGAAUUCAAAAAUAUUAAAUUCAUUAAUUUGCGAGCCACGAGUUCGAUUAUAUAUAUAUAUAUAUAUUAUUUUAAUAAUAAAAUUAUAUAUAUAUUUUUAAUAUUUUAUUAUUUAUUAAGAAAAAUUAUUAUUUUAUUUUAUUUUUUUAAAAUAAAAUAAUUUUUAUUUUUAUUUUUUUAAGUUCAAACUCGAGCUUGACAUUUUGAUUUCGUCGAACUCGCUUCGUAAAAUUAUGUUGAGGUUCCGCUUAAUUAGACUGAAAUUCAACUCGACUUGAUUCGUUUGCACCCCUUGAAUCCACAAGAGAAAGUUUCCUUUCUCAUUUAAGAUUUUUAGCAAAUCUAACAGCAAAUUUUGCUAGAUUCUUAGUGAAGAGCUGAUUUCUGGUUAGGUCGCCGAGCUGACCUAAUUCAGCUCCCUCUUUCGGUGAAGUGAAAGUAAAAGGUAGGAGUGCUGUCCCGAAGUGAGAGGUGGGGCUUUGUCCCCUGAGAUCACUCCGACGGUCAAGUCAAUAUAGAGAGAGAAUAAAAAGUAAUGAACAAUACGAGUGCAACAGUAGUCUUACUUGUAAGGAGUGAACAGAAGAUAUUUAUAGAGUGUGAGAGUGGAGGGAAGGACAGUGGGUUUAAGCCACUGGGUCCCGCUUCCUGAGGAUUACGGCUCCGCUCUGCACCUGCAGCCUCUGUUCCUGACAAGGGAUAAUAGUUCAGGCACUUUGUCAGGUGGUCACGCAUAUUCCCAAUAAAGGGUCCUAGGGUUUUCAGUUAAAGUGGUGGCCCUUAAUGACAUGUCAGGACAGCUGAUAUCUCCCGCGUGCGGCCGAGAUACGACGGCUGAAGAGGUGAAUUUCGACCCGCAGGAGUGAGUCACCCGAACUGGAGGAAUACCUUUACCUUGGGCAACUCUCUUGGACGAAGUCACCUGCUUGGAUAAGAAAAGGGGCUGGAUCCCCCGGUAUAAUUUCGAAACUUAAAUCAGUUCGGAUAUAGAGAAGUAAGAAAGUAAUGAGUGGAGAUAGCGUUCUACCAGAAAUUGGUCAUCCCCUAUUCCAGUAGAGGUGUUGUGUAUUUAUAAGGGACGGAUUGGAGAGAGGAACUGCCUGCACAAGUCCCUGAAGAUCUGAGAUAGUCAGUGCAUCUGGUGGACUUGACCAGUCUAUGAAAAGAUGUGGUGUGAUAUCCCGUCAGAUUCAGGCGGCAUGUCAGAGCAGCCAUUACUCAGGCGUUAGAUGUGUCAGGGGUCACAUCCCUCCUUUCCGUAAUUGUCGAGCAUGCAAGGUUCACCUCGGAGAUACGACCUGGACCAUAUAGCCGAGGUGGCAAACGAGUUCCAACCGUCUCGCAGGAUGAUUCGCCGAGGUGGCCUUUCAGGACACGUCAGAGGACCAGGCCUCGGGCAAUCCGAGCCUAAAUGGCCCUCUUCACUAAGCCCCCCAAGCUUUGGGAAGGACGAGCACGGUACUCGCCGAGGUCGUUAUUUCCCGAGGCUGACAAGUGUGCAAGGCACGGGACACAGACACGUCAUGACUGUGCAGGGGGGACUAGGAGAGAGGUGAAAACAGGGGCUGUCAACUUUAACGUCGGGUCAGUCAAAUCGAGUGUCAGAUGAACAGCACCGUCAUUAAUGAGGAGAGAGAGAGAGUUUUUUAGGGAAUCCCAAAGAUCGCGUCUCUUCGGCUUCCCCCUGUCGCCCAUAAAUAGGAGCCUUUUUUCACCGUCUCUUUCUUUACCAAAAAUUGUGAAUCACCCCAGAGCUCUGUUUCUUUGUCUUUUGACUUCGGCAGUCUUUCUAAACCACAUCUUCUUCGGCAAUUCCUUCAGAUCACAUCUUCUAAGUAAGUUUUACUUCUUUUCCUUCUGAUACAAUGGCUAGAACAGCUCGUACUCACAAAGAGACAGUGCGGCCUGACUUUACCGAGGCAGAGAGGCCUGACCCCUCCGAGAAGAGAACUGCUUCCGACGUCGGGGGAGGAGGUGCAGAGUCAUCUCACCGAGCUGGGACAUCUGUGGAACAGCACGAGGGGAUCGAGGUCGAUCCCGAGGUCUUAUACAACGAUGACCUCGGAACCGAAGUCCCAAGGGACGGGGGUCUACAAGAGCCUUCCACCCCUCCGAACGUGGAUUCUCUUAACUACGGCCUGAUGCCGACCUUUGGGAGUAAGUUGGUGCAAGCUUCUGUAGUCGAGGUGAUCCGCAAGUACCCCUGGAGGAGGGAUUACAGUAUUUACAUACCCCAGCCUCACCAAUCUGCCGCACUGCCACCAAAGGAUAGGAUGGCUAUUUAUGUGGAACAACUAGAGGCCGGACUCAGGGUGCCUACCACAAGAUUUUUUCGGGACUGUUUGAGGUUCUGGGGGGUGAGAAUCACUCAACUCACCCCCAAUGCCAUCCGCGUCCUCGUCGGCUUCCAACUGCUAUGCCGCCACCAGGAGAUAGAACCCACAGUUAACCUAUUCCACCGCUAUUACUCACUUAAGAACAGCGGGAGCGAGAAUGGUUGGUUUUACUUCGGGAACAAAGUCCCGAAAUUAGUGGUGGAAGCCCCGAGCUCAAUAAAGGAGUGGAAGCAUAACUUCUUCUUCGUCCCGGCUGAGAACUUUCCUCGGGGGUUCUGGUGGAGGCCCCCCACCUCGGUAAAAGAAACCUCCCCGAGCAAGCUGGAAGAACACAACCUCCAGAAGCUACUGGGGUCGGGUCUCAGGAUUAAUUGUUGGGACUUUCCCGAAAUGGUUCUCGUAGAGGGCGGGCUCAGCCGAGCACUGAUCAGCUCGGACCACCCCGUCCUCCUUUCUACUAGGCUCCACCGACCUUGUACUUUUUCGCUUUCCCUUUUUUGUUUUUCCUUCUCGAAUUCUAACUAACUUUUCCUCAUUCUUUGCAGUGGUGAAGGUUUCUGACCUGAUAACCUCGGGAGACGUCGAGGUGGCAAAGAGACCACCCAAGAAGCGCAAGGGCACCGCUGAGCCCUCCGCCAGGUCUGCUAAGAAGACCACCGCAGCGACAAGCGACCGCGAGCCAACCGUAGUGAUCGUGGGCGAGGGCUCACACACCUCGGCCUCUCCGGGAGGCUCCCGUGCCUCGGCUAUUCCUGUGGGGGUCCCCAUCCGAGGGGUCACGAUAGCCACUCCACCUCGGGGUCAGGGCGUGACUGCGUUCCCCGAUAAUCCCGUCACGGGGUCCUCUUUGUUCAACCUCCACCACAUGGCUUCCAAGGCGGCCGAGGAGGACAAGAGGCACCCCGGAUCGCACUGGUGUCCGGAGUGGGAGAUCAACGUCAACGAUCGUUGUAAGAACCCUCUGGUUGCCCAGGAGCUUCUGGUGCACUCGGUGUUGCCUCGGGACAGCAUUUAUACUAGAAAGCUCACUCCGGGCGAGCUGAUGCAAAUAGGGCUGUCGACGGUCCGGGUCUGGACCCGGACCCGGCCCGAACCCGCCAACAUUUGACGGGUAUGGAUAGGAAUAUAGGCCCGCGACCCGAACCCAUAUUAUCUAAUACAUUUGCGGGUCGGAUACGGGAUAUACCAUUCCGACCCGUAUCCGACCCGGACCCGUUUUAAUUAAUUAAUAAUUAAAAUAUAUAUACCUAUCUAUCAAUUAUUCAUACCAAUACUACUUUCAUAAUUUCAUUCCCAAUUCUUUCGAACCCUAAUACCCAUCGCCGCACCUGCACCUCCCUUUUCCCCUCACUCUCUUUUCUCUUUUGCUCUGUCUCCCACCUCCGCUAGUGACCGCUGACCAGUCCGCUCUCCCAUCUCCAUCUCUCCAUCUCCGGCGACGCUCUCGACUCUCUCCAGCUCCAAAGAAGCCCAGCUAUCAUCGUUACCGUCGAGUCUGGCCAGCUCCAAAGAAGCCCAACCCGGUCUAGUCUCACUGUCUUCUCUCUUGCACUCUCCAUCUCUGACGCCGGCGAGCUCUCUCCAUCUCUGACGCCUGGCGGUUGCAGCUCCGGUCGAAGCCCAACACUUCCAGCUCUUCCAGGCUUCCAGCAGGCCAGCUUUCUUGUCUCGUCUGCUUUACCUUUUUUAUCCCCCUUUUAUUUAAUAGGGAGAAGAAAAAUUAGAAAAGCCGAAAAGAAUUGUAAAGGAGAAGGCACGUCUCCAGAAAACCUACAAUUGAAAGUGGACGAUAUUUGCAUCGCAUUCUUUCGGUAACCUCAUCUCAAAUGCAAAGUUUGCUGGAUAGUUAUUGGAUUGUGCAGCAACUGGCUCUUUGUUUUUUUGCUACUACAAGAUAUGAUACCAUGACAAUAAAGUAGGCAAGUGGAUCACUCCCAAGCAUUUGAGAGGUUCUUGUUGAAAGGAAAAAAAAAAGAAAGAAAUCCAAAAGCCCUGUUGCUCGGCCUCUAAUUUUCACCAAGAAAAUAAUUUGUUAUUAUUUGGUCUCUGCACAAAGUUAUUUGAAAGAUUUUGCACUCCAAAAAUCGAGGAGCAAAAUUCAAUAAUAAUGCGUCUAGAUUAUGAAAAAUGGAAAAAUGCGCUUGAUUGCUAUAACUAGUUAUUAAGGUCAGCAGAAAAGGUGAAGAUGAUAGAAAGAAAGGAUCUCAGGCAGAUAAUAAAAUGAGGGCAAGGAUAAAGAUGAAGGUGUAAAUCAGGUUUUUUUACUGGUCUUAUUCGGGUAGGCCCUACCCGACCCGGGACCCGUCGGGUGCGGUUCCAGAUAGAGAUUAAGAGACCCGUCGGGUAUUUGGGCCGGUUCCGGAAUUAAUACGGUAUUACGGGUCCGGGUUCGGAUUUAUUGAUUCCGGCCCGGACCCGACCCGUUGACAGGCCUAGAUGCAAAGUGCUUCAGUCUCCUGAGCCUCCACCACGGCCUUCUUUGCUGAAAUGAUACAACGCUACGGGCGUUUUAUGGAAACCUUUGAGCCACCAGCCGAGCUCCAGAAGAAGAUUGCCGACCUGGAAGAAAAACUGAAGGCAACUGAGCUAGAGCGCGACAAGGCCGAGGCGACAAGGAAGAAGGCCGAGGUCGCGAACAAUUCCUUGGUCACCGCCCUUGACGAGGAGAGAUGAAGAAGGGCCCAAGAGGAGCAGUCGACCAAGGAGGCCAUAAAUAAGGCCGGGGUAACUGCCGUGGAGUCCUUCCGCAGCUCGGAAUCCUUCACGCGCGACCUCGGGGAGCUUACGCGACCGAGCUUCAUGCUUGGCUACACUUCGGCCAUCAAUGAUGCAGCGCCCUUCCUCUCUUCUGAACAGCUGGAGUCCCUUCAAAGCACUCCUCACUAUAAUGAGGACGCCAAGAAGCUGUGCGACUGCAUGGCUGAGGGAAUCCAAACUGGAAGGGACCUAGCCGAGAUCCGGAUCGAGUUCAACAAAUGGCUCCAGAAGUUUGAGAUAGAUGGUACUGAAGACGACCAAGCCGGCGGAGGAGCUGAGGGAGGACAGGAUGCCGAAACGGGAGGCGCGACCAUGGGGGGUCAGGAUGCCGGGGUAAGCGGUCAGGAUGCCGGGGUAGGAGGUGCUUAGAAGCACUCCUCUAUGACCUCGGCCUUUUGCUUUUUGUUCUUCAAUGAAAUCAACUUUUUGUUCUCGCAUAUUUUUUGCCUCUUUUUUGAUCGAAUUGAAUUCAACUUUUCUUAUUUUGAACACUGCUUUGUCCCCUUAUUUUUCACUUGAAGAAAAUAAAUUGAAAUUUGAACAAGUGAGAAAUAACUUGGAGAACUGAAAUUUGAGAACACGUACUCUUUAAGGGUAAUACAACUUAAGGUUUUCAGCAUGCCAAGUCCGGAGCACUCGAGAGCCAUCUCGGUAAGCUAAUUUACAAUAUCCAUUUUGGUUGGACUCAACAACACGGUAAGGUCCUUCCCACUUGGGGGUUAGUUUACCCUGAGAUUCAACUCGACUAACUGAGUUCUUCCCUAGAACAAGGUCUCUCGGAUUGAACCGCAAGUGCUUGACCCGAGCAUUGUAGUAACCAGUUAGGAUAUUCUUAUAAAUGGCGAUCUUAGCUGCGGUCAUAUCACGCUUUUCCUCGGCGAGGUCGAGAUCAACUCGUCGUUCCUCUUCAUUGGCCUCGGCAGCAUAUGCGGCCAUACGCGGGCUUGGUGUGAUGAACUCGGUUGGGACAACAGCUUCAGACCCGUAGGUUAAGGAAAACGGGGUUUCUUGGGUUGUUGACCUCGGCGUAGUUCGGUAGGACCAGAGCACACUGGGGAGCUCUUCCAUCCAGGACGAUCCAGCCCGGUGGAGCCUAGUCUUGAGUCCAUGGAGAGUUCGGUUGAAAUUUUCGACUUGUCCAUUUGCUUGUGGGUGUCCAACCGAGGUGAAAUGCUGCUUAAUCCCCAAGUUUUCACACCACGCCUUGAAAGGAUUGUCUGCGAACUGCCUGCCAUUAUCCGAGAUGACCACCCGGGGCAGGCCGAAGCGACACAACACGUUCUUCCAAAAGAAUUUUUGAACAGCAACUCCGGUUAUGCUUCUCAGGGGCUCGGUCUCGACCCAUUUGGUGAAAUAGUCUACUGCUACCACCACAUAGGCAUAAUAUCCUGGAGCUUUUGGAAAGGGGCCGAUUAUGUCAAUUCCCCACUGCUCGAAUGGCCAUGGCAAAGUGAUGGGGAUCAUAAGAUUAGUCGGUUGGUGGUGCUCAGGAGCGUGGUGCUGACAAGAAGGGCAACAGAGUACCAUGACCUGGGCAUCUACCCUCAUGGUGGGCCAGAAGUAUUCGAGCAGCAAGGCUUUCUUCAUGAGCAUCCUGAAACCGACGUGGGCACCACAAAAUCCCUCAUGAAUGUCUUGAAGGACUCCCUUACCUUCUUCCGGGGUGAUACACCGCAACUAGGGGUCGAGGUAAGACCUCUUGUAUAGGAGGCCUUGUCGGAGGAUGUACCGAGCUGCUUUUCGUUGAAGCUUCCGUGCUUCACCUCGGUCUUCUGGAAGCUCACCCUGACUGAGAAAUCGAGUCAAAGGCCCCAUCCAGGUGUCCCCGGGGUAAAUGGGGUAUACAACCUCUCCUUCGUACCCCGGCUCGGAUAGGACUUCCACGAGAACCGUCUUGUUCAGGUCGGCAAAAGAAGUAGAGGCGAGCCGGGAGAGAGCAUCAGCCCUCCGGUUCUGUGACCGUGGUAUCCUUUGAAUUUCGAAAGACUCAAAGUGUGCCACCAGUUGGAGGACCUUAGAGAGGUAGCGAUGCAUCACCUCUUCCCUGGCCUCGUAUUCGCCUAAUAUUUGGCACACGACGAGUUGGAAGUCACUAUAGACCAAGAUGUGUGCGGCCCCGAGCUUUCGAGCUAGUUGUAAGCCGGCAAUGACAGCCUCGUAUUCGAUUUCGUUGUUGGAGGCAGUGAAGUCAAACCUCAGGGCGUACGAGCACACAUCUCCUUGAGGGUCUUCGAGGAGCAAGCCUGCUCCACUACCCUCACUGUUGGACGAUCCAUCCACGUGUAGAAUCCAUCGCUGGAGCCCAGCGAUGGCCACUUCAGCUGUCACCGGGGUGGUAGCUCGGAUGGGUUCUUUCACCUCGUCAAAGGUGAGUUCGACUAAAAAGUCCGUGAGAGUCUGGGUCUUGAUGGCUGUGCGAGGUUCAUAAGAGAGGUCAUACUCCCCCAACUCAAUGGCCCAUUUGGUAAGACGUCCCGAAGCCUCAGGUCGUGUCAGGAUCUGCCGGAGUGGUUGAUCAGUCCUCAAACAGAUGUGGUGAGCUAGGAAAUAGGGCUUGAGUCUGCGGGCUGCGUGGAUCAGGGCCAGCACAAGUUUCUCCGCUUGUGUGUACCUUGUCUCGGGACCUCGGAGAACUCGACUAACGUAGUAGACGGGCAUUUGGACUCCUUCCUCCCUUAUCAGCACGGCACUCACGGCCUCCACCGCAACAGAAAGAUAUAAGAUCAGCUUAUCCCCCGGUCGAGGUGAGGUGAGCGUGGGAAGGUAGUGAAGGUAAUCCUUCAGCUGCUCAAACGCCUGUUGACACUCUUCAAUCCAGGAGAAGUGGUCAGUUUUCUUCAAUACUUUGAAAAAUGGCAGAGCUUUGGAGGCUGACUGCGAUAGGAACCGGUUCAGGGCGGCCAACUGCCCCGUCAACCUCUGGACAUCGCGGACGCACCGAGGUGGAGACAUCUCCUGGAUAGCUCGCACCUUAUCCGGAUUCGCUUCUAUACCUCGCCUUGAGACGAGAUAACCUAAAAAUUUUCCCGAGGUGACCCCAAAGACGCAUUUCUUGGGUUCAGCAUCAUUCGCGUCUUCCGGAGAUAUCACGGACCUCUUUCAGGUCGGCCAGAAAAGCGAAGGUCGUCUGGCUUUUGAGGAGGAUGUCAUCUACAUAGGCCUCAACAUUUCGGCCGAUCUGAAACUUGAAUGCUUGGUUGACCAAGCGUUGGUAAGUGGCUCCGGCAUUCUUCAGCCCGAACAGCAUGGUAGUGUAACAGUACGUGCCGCGGUCAGUAUAGAAGGCCGUCUUCUCCUGGUCUUCUUAGCUCAUACCAAUUUGGUGAUAACCUUUGAAUGCAUUCAGGAAACAGAGGAUCUCAUAUCCCAUUGCCGAGUCUACUAAGGUAUCAACCUUGGGCAAUGGGCAACAGUCCUUGGGGCAGGCCUUGUUGAGAUCGGUGAAUUCGACGCACAUUCUCCAAACCCCCGUAUCCUUCUUGACCAUGACCGGGUUGGACACCCAGGUAGGGUAUUGGACUUCCCGAAUUAUUUUAGCGGGUAAGAGCUUGUUCACUUCCUCACCGACAGCUCGGCUGCGCUCAGGGCCGAGGUGCCUUCUCUUCUGUUUGACCGGACGGACUUGGGGGUCGACGUUCAGCUCAUGCAUCAUGAGAUGGUGCGGGACCCCUUGGACCUCUUCGUCGACCCAAGCAAAGACGUCCCGAUAUUCUCUGAGGAGGUCCACCAUAUCUCUUCGGACAGGACCGGGCAAUCGGGUACCAACGCAACUGUUUGAUCAGGCUUCGUGGGGUCCAGGGGAAGCUCUUCCACCUCAUCCCCAAUCUCCAGCCUCGGGACCUUCUCAGCUCGCUGAGGAUCGAUACUAUUUAUUGAGAGAAUAUUUGACCUCUUCUCGGGUCUCGUUCCGGAGAUUGAUGGGGAGGCCGCUUGUAGAGUGGCGAGGUAACACUCUCGGGCAGCGCAGACUUCGCUACUGACCUCGGCCACUCCUGCAUGGGUAGGAAACUUAAAACUUAGGUGGUAUGUAGAGUACACCGCCCGCAGAGCAUUAAGAAUAGGUCGACCCAGGAGCAAGUUGUAUGGGGAGUCAGCCUUAACCACCACAAAAUUCACUGGGAUAGUUCGGCAGCGGGGGUGGUGCCCCACGGUUACCGUUAGGGUCACCAUUCUCUCGGGGUGCACAACGUGCCCCCCGAACCCUACAAGAGGGGUUCUCACCGGGGUCAUGUGCUCCCUGGUCAGUUUAAAACUCUCAAAGGUGCGGAGGUACAUGACGUCAACUGAACUUCCCGGGUCUAUGUAGAUCUUUUUCACAAUAUAGUUGUUGGUGAGGACUUCAAUCACUAAAGUUUCAUGACUGCUGGAGGCAGUUGGGACGGGAUCACUGGGUCCGUAGGUGAUCACCUCGGACAGGCGAGAACUCGACUCGGCCUGAUCUGGAUUGGCCUGCCUAUAGGUCCUCUUCCGGGAGUUCUGACUAUCUCCUCCUGUCGGACCUCCGGCAAUGGUGUUAAUGACUCCGGCGAUGUUCGGCCCAUAUCCCAACCCAUGUCCAGCAGAUCCGUCUGGGGGAGGCCCUUUCGUCUCCCUGGGAUCCUCAGGAGGUCGGCAGCUGCUUCUGGAGGUCCGCCGCUCAUCUCGGCGUCGGUCUCCUCGUUUGUCUCGCCGGUUUUCAUCUCGUUAGUGGCCUCCAGCUCGGUGGAUGAACUGUUUUAAGUGCCCCUGUCUAAUGAGAUUCUCGAUCUCUCUCUUGAGAUCGUUGCAGUCCUCAGUCUCGUGACCAAUGUCACGGUGAUAUAAGUAGUAGAGGUUCGAGUUCCUCUUGUCUCUGCUUCCAUACAUCCUCGGUGGGGCUUUUCCGAGGUUGUUUUGUUCCAUCACGGACAACACCUGAGACCGGGAAGUGUUCAAAGGAGUCAACUCGGAGUCGAGAAUGGGCGACUUCCCUUUGGAUAUCCUGUCGAACACGUUUCGGCGGUCCCGGCCAGGAUUUCGGAAGCCACUUCACGUUCCCACUUCAGCUCGGCUGGCAUCUUUUCCCUUUCGGGGAUCAGCCCUUAGACGGGUGGCUUGGACCUCUUUCUUCAUGCAGUGGAGGUCUUCGGCCUGUAUGCCCUUUUCAACCUUCAGCCACAAUUCAUGCAGUGUGCGGGGAUAUUUCUUAUGGAUCCCCGUAUUGAACUCCCCGGCAACGAGUCCAUGGGUAAAAGCAGCGAGGGUUACCUACUCAUUGGGGGUCAGGUAUCUGAACGCUUUUCUCAUGGAACCUCCGGACGUACGACCGAAGUGACUCUCCCGGAUUCUGUUGCACAAUGAACAGGUAAGCCGAGGUCUUGGUCGUAGGUCGGGAGGAGACAAACCGGUGGAGAAACUUUUCCACUAAUUCACCCAGGGUCGAUAUGCUCCUAGGUUCUAGGGCCCAGAACCAUUUUCGAGCUGUUCCCCGAAGGAAUACUGAAAAGGCCCUGCAGAUGACGGGGUCUGGGAUGCAGUAUAGGCGGAAGGCCGAGAUGAAGGCAUGGAUGUGGUCUUCGGGGUCACCUCGGCCAUCAUAAGAUUGUACUGCGGGGAGCUUAAAAUUGGGAGGAAACCUUUCCUCGUUUAUAUCAUCUGUAAACGGUGGAGCCCUCAUGCAGUCCACCCCGGGUAUUCCCAAGGACCGAGGCUCUUUCUCGGGUCGUCGCCCCAAGAGCCCUCGAGAAAACGCCUUGGUCAGGAAAGGUACCUUAGAGGUAGCCUUAGAAAAUGCUCGCUUUGAGGCACUUCGGCUUAAGCGCCUCCCAUCUGACCCUUCUUCAGAUGAGUCCUCAGGAGACCCAUCUGACUUCCUUUUAGAGGACUCGGGCUUUUGUUUGCCUUGUCUCUUAAGGUAUCUCCCCAACUCUUCAAAGAUGUUGGGUUCUCAGUUACAAACUCGGCCAUACGGGUUAUGGCUUCUUCGUUUGCGGGCUGAGUCCUCGGGGACUCCUGCCCUUCAGAAAUAUUUUCUUGUUGAGCUGCAUUGCUUUGCUCAGCCUCUAUAGCGAGAGCUUUUCUGCUCCUAGAACGCGCAGGCUUCAUCUUCUAAUAUCUUUGCGUUCUCACAGACGGUGCCAAUUGAAGAGGUGAAUUUCGACCGGCAGGAGUGAGUCACCCGAACUGGAGGAAUGCCUUUACCUUGGGCAACUCUCUUGGACGAAGUCACCUGCUUGGAUAAGAAAAGGGGUUGGAUCCCCCGGUAUAACUCCGAAACUUAAGUCAGUUCGGAUAUAGAGAAGUAAGAAAGUAAUGAGUGGAGAUAGCGUUCUACCAGAAAUUGGUCAUCCCCUAUUCCAGUAGAGGUGUUGUGUAUUUAUAGGGGACGGAUUGGAGAGAGGAACUACCUGCACAAGUCCCUGAAGAUCUGAGAUAGUCAGUGCAUCUGGUGGACUUGACCAGUCUAUGAAAAGAUGUGAUGUGAUAUCCCGUCAGGUUCAGGCGGCGUGUCAGAGCAGCUAUUACUCAGGCGUCAGAUGUGUCAGGGGUCACAUCCCUCCUUUCCGUAAUUGUCGAGCAUGCAAGGUUCACCUCGGAGAUACGACCUGGACCAUAUAACCGAGGUGGCAAACGAGUUCCAACCGCCUCGCAGGAUGAUUCGCCGAGGUGGCCUUUCAGGACACGUCAGAGGACCAGGCCUUGGGCAAUCCGAGCCUAAAUGGCCCUCCUCAACGGCCAUCUAGGUCAUAAAGGCCGAGGCCCACGAGAGGUCGCAGAGACCUAGCCGAGAUCUAUCCGAUGUGACAGGAAGGAUCACGGCCAUGGCACCACUUCAGAUAUGGCGAUCCGAAGUGACCGCCUUCACUGAGCAUAUAUGUUACCUAUUCUAUUAACAAAAGAAAAGGUACAUUGGUCAAACAAGCCUCUCAUGUUAUCAAUAUCGUCUAGUAUAACAGCAGUUCUGGAUUCCAUAACAUUUUCCUCCAUGAUCAUGUCCGCUAUUGCUUUGCAAUCUGAUUGGAAUUCCUCUUCCUUCCAUUGUGCUUCUCGGGCCAUCAUCAUUCCCGUUCUGAGUGCUACAGCUUCCUCCACUGGUUGUUCGCUUGAUUAUGCCUCAAAUCUUGCCACAUUGCUCUAAGUUUAUAACCAACGAUGCAAUUAAGCUUUUUCACUAUUUAUAUAGUUUUGGAGGAUCAGAUAAGUUCCAAUUCUUUGUUUCUGGUUUUGGAUCCAGGUUUAGAUGAGCGGAUUUUUAUUGUCUCCCACUCUGCUAUCUUCAAUCAUCUUCUUUUUUUUUUGCCAAGUCCUCCCACUAUAGAAAAAUUAAGAGCAAAACAGUGCAUAUUAGUACUCUUUUAUAUUUUGGUUUCAAGGCCCAAUAGGAUUUCCUGCUUUCCCUUUUUUUUCGUGACUAAAAUUUUGAAGCCUACAAACUUUUAUUCGUGCUAAAAUCUAUGCUUGCAAAUUGUCUAAUCAGACAAUACUUUUAUCAGAGGAGUUCUUUUUAAGCAUUUCCAUUAUCGUAAAAGCCUACCACUUCUUGAAAACCAAUGUAGCAUUAUAUAAUAUGCGAAUGCGACCUACUAAUGACAUAGAUAUUCACAUAAAUAGCUUCCUCUAAAGAAUUCUUGAUAAUUUCUCCAGCUAAAUUGUUCAAGUUCUUCUGAUCUAGAGCAUCAAACACCUCGAAACAUCAAAAGUGCUUAAUCAAAGGCCAUAGGUUUACACCUCUCAUUUAUUCUUGAAAAGUGCUUGAGCUAUCCUUCCAUUAGCUCCCUUGGGCAGGAAAUCCACCAGGGGAUCCCUCAUUACCGGUAACAUAAACAAUCCUUAAUAUCUCUGCUGGAGAGCGUUUGUACGAGGAGGAGUAAUAAUUCGCAGAUAGGACAUUGCUUGAGGUCUGAUUUUCUGCGCCGAGAUUUGGGUGGACAUGGAUGCCUUCAUCCUUGUUGCCACCCUUAGCCAAGAGGUUUUUGACAUUGGAAAUGCGAGUUGUAAAAUCAGCUACCGUGUGUUGGUAUAGUUCCACCACUUGAUCUGCCCGUUGGUAGAGAUAUAGCCUGAUAACGGGCAUCUUGGCCUGCUUCAACACCUAAUAAUCCUGCUGAAACCUGUAAAUCAAGCGUUAAUAAAUUGACCUCGAGCUCACUUCAAUAUUGGAAAUUAAUUGACGGGCGCGAUUGGUUUAUAACCUGAUACUUUUGUGUUAGAUGUCCCUCUGCUGCGUGAUCUUUUGUGCUAACAAGAUUAUAGACUUAUGCGCUUGCUACGGUAAGUCUUGAGGAGAGGGUUUAUGCCAACAUAUCCUGUCAGUCCAAUGUAUGGAACUGCAUAAGUAGCCAGAAAGAAACUUAGGCUGUUCUCGUAAGGGUUGAAUGGAGGGUCGAGGUGGUAUCCAAAUGCUGCAUCAAUGAUCUUUGAGAAGAGUUCAGCACUUAGAUCAAUCUGAGCUCUUGGGAUCAAACCUACAGCGUCUUGAAGGGCUCUACGCAAUUAUAAGCACAAAAAAACAGUUAGGUAAUGAAGAAAGAAAUCUAGAUUAAUGAACCUUUUUAAGGUUUUAAAAAAAGGCAAAAGAACUUAAUUUUGGAUAUGUAGUAAAUUAUCUACCUUAGAUGGCCAACUCCUUGAUAACCAAACAGUUGCAAUACUUUGUGUGAGCUUGUCCAAAUUUGCUUUUAGGGCACCAAUAGGAGCAGCGCAUCCGAUCCUCAACCCCCUCAAGGAGCCUAUCUGUCGAGUCUCAUCCUAAAAAUUUUGACACAUGUAACAAAUCAUGCGAUUUCAUUCACCCAAUCCUACUCUGAAGCCUAUUUGGGUAUUCCCUUCUCUUGAAUGUUACGAAACCCACUCAGUGUAUCAAUGAUCCAACCAACAAGAAAUCACAUCAAACAAAAAUCUAUAAACCCUGAAUCCAUCAAGUCCAUGUCACAAGGCACCCCGCAAGAACCAUUCUGCUUGCAAGAAUUCCAGAUUCUGUGCGAAUUGCAACGACUCAAUGUCACUUCUGGAAACUUGAAGAGGAGAAUGAAAUAUCAAAAUGGCUAGACAUCAACGUUAAUAACAAGAAAGUGUAAAAGAGAAAUGAUGAAUGGAGAGCCAUUGAUGUAAGUGAAGACAAUUCUGCUCAUAAAACUUGCAACUUCUUGGACUUUAUACAAGUAGGAGUAGAGCAUUUUUUCUGUAUAUAGCAUGGAUCAUCGUCCAGAAAUAAUAUGAAUCAUGUAAAUUUCCAUUUGAGAAAUUAAUUAAAAAAAUCAAUUAUUCCACCAUUCUUUUAUCCCCUAGAAAACCUUUUUUUUUUUGGAAGAAAAUCAUUUUUGAAGUUUGAAGUGAAUGCAGUUACUAAAGUAACAUAUUCUUUUUACCAAUUUACCUUUGUCGAAAAUAUAAGUGCAAAGCGAGGGCAGUUACAAAUUUUUGUAGUAUGUAACUACAUGUACCAUAAUUUCUUUGGAUUAACAUAUUAUGCUAUUUAUGCAAAAUUACUCUUACGUUGCUUUUUUUUUUUUGUUUUUUCAAAUUCAUAACUUUACAUUCAAGGAGUUGUUUAGAAGUAGUUUAUUGAUAGUGUGUUUGGAUAGGAGGUUAUUUGAUAUAUUUAUUGAAAAUAAUUAUUGUAGCACUUUGUAUGAUGUGAUAUAUGCGAGAUAAAAAUGUGAUUAAAAAUUGUGUUCAUGAUAUAAGUAGAAAAAAAUUUGAUUUUUUUUUUCGCAAAUCUUGCUAACCAAACAUACUUGCUUAUCCGUUUCAGAUUGUUUGAGAAAUUUUUUUGAAUUUUUCCUUCAUUUGUAUCAUACUAUCCUUAUUUUUAUGUAAAUGGAAAGUUUUAAAUCUUUUUUUUAAUUUAAGUGAAAAUUUUUAAAUUGAAAACUUUCUACUUACAACCCUCUCGUACAGUCGAAUAUUAAAUACUUUUGGGUUCAGGGGAAAGCAUUUAGAUGGAAUUUCAUCCAAGUUCAUGGGCCCAAAUUCAUUGGUAAAAAUAACUAGUUACAUAAUCUCGUAUUUUCACGUACCUGAUUUUUGUCUAUAAUUAAGAUAGUUUUACGGGGGUAAGAAUGUCUCAAUAUUUAAACCAAAUGCAGGUCUUCUUGAUAUCUUUUGCCAAUGGUUGUUUUUUUUUUUUGGUAAAAAACAAAAAAAAAUCCCUGUGGUAAGCCUAAUACACAAAAAAAAUUCCUAUGGUUUCAAAAUAUACAAUACAACACCUCAUGCUUUGAAUUAAAUUGUAAAAGUGACGGAAUCCGUUAAACUUAACGGAAAUGAGUCAAAUAACUUAUUGGAAUCUAAAAAAAACAAUUUAUACCUAAUUUUUAUCAAAUAUACCUAUUCUAUCCUUUAACCCUCAAUUCUCUCUAUUUAGAUAAGCCUGUCAAUCGGAACUAAUGAGUCGGGCUUUCAUAAGGUCAAACUCAAUUCAUUUAAUUUGGAACAUUUUCGAGUUUCGGGCUAUGAGUUUUGGGUUCAUAAAUGUGAAUCUCAUACUCAACUCACAUAAUAUUCGGGUUAUGAGCCUUAAUCGAGGUUAAUCCAAGUUCACUUAUUACUCCUUAAUUUUUUUAAUAUAAUUACUAUAACUAUUAAGUUUUAAAACUAAUUUAACAUUUACAAGACUGUAAUAUUAAAACUAAACAUGAACAAAUAAUAGUUCUUAAAAAGUAUAUAAACCAAAACUUUUUCAACAAUAUUUAUAUUUCAUUCAAAAUGCAUGAAAAAUAGUAAUAAAACAUGCGAUCAUAAGCCAGUACAUCUUUAAAAGUUGAAACUUUUUUUAUAAUCUUGUGAUUUGAAUGCAAACAUGCUUGAUGAUUUGUGUUUGUAGAUCAAAAAGAAAUCAACCAAUAUUAUGCCAACACAAAAAUUUAUUUAACCAAUAAGAAAAGUUAGAGAUUCAAUUAUACAUCACUAAUAUUGGCUCUCAAGAAAGCUCAUGGAAGAGUCUUUAGAUGUAUUUUUAUAUUUUGUAAUAUAUAUAUAUAUUUAGUAUUUAAUAAUAAUAUAUUUGGAUAUAUAAUUAUACAUAAUAUCAAAAUAUAAAUAUUAUAUAUAUAGAUAAUUAAAGGACCGGACCUAUAUCGGGUUUGAGCCUAAUAGGACCCAAGCUCGGUUCAUAUUUAAUUCGGGUUUAAUUUUUAGGCUAAAACUCAGACCGGCUCACUAAAAUGUCGGGCUCAUCGGGCUUUUUGUCCGGCCGAACGAGCCGAGUUCGAGUUGGCCCAACUCCAUUGACAGUCCUAUAUUUAGAGAAUAAAACAAAUUAUUUUUUUGAGUUGUCUUUUGCUUAAUUAUAUCAGGCCAUUUUGGUCAUUUCGUCCAUUUCCGUUAAGUUUAACCGAUUCCGUCACCUUUACAAUUUAGUUCAAAGCAUGAGGGGUUGUGUUGUAUAUUUUGAAACCAUGGAAAGCUUUUCUGUAUAUUAGGUUUACCACAGGGGUUUUUUUUUUACCCUUUUUUUUUAUAUAUAUACUUGAAUAACUAUACAUGGUCAUGGAACCUUUCUCAACUCUUUUUUUUUUUGUUUCUUUUCAUUGGACAUUUUCCUCAAUAAUUUUUUUGACUUUUGAGGUAACAUCAAACAUAUUAAUCUGAUAUAAUAAUAUUUACCUAGAGGAAAUAAGAAACUUGAAAAGGUGCUCAUUAAAGCUAGUUAUCAAUACUAACUAUAUUAACCCAACUAUCCAAUGGCCUGUUGCCAAAAUCAAGGGUUCAAAUCCAUUUGAAUUACGACUCUAGUACGUAGGUCAGACUAGGGGUGAGCAAUUACGGUAAUUACCGAAUUACCGAUCGAAUUUGAUUUGAAUUUGGUAAUUCGAAUUCGGUAGUUAGGUAAUUCGGUCGGUAAAUCGGUGAUAUCGAAUUAAUUAGAAUCGAAAUAGGGUCGAAAAUGGUUUUAUAGUUUUUUAAUUCGUAUUUACCAAAUUCGAAUUUAUUUCGGUAAAAUGGUAAAUUAUUACCGUUUUCAAUUUCGAAAUUCCGAAUUAAGUUAAAUAGGAAAUAAUAUCCUUAUGUCUAGAUGUUCCAAUUUCAGACUUUUGCCCUAAAUUAGCAUUCGUUCCCAUCAGGUAAAAUCGUUCCCAUUGGCUCAAAUCCAUCUACCCAGACGGUGCAGUCUGUGCAUAACCUAUGGUGUCUCCACAAUCCAAAUGCACCUUGGUUAAGCGAGGAUACUGCACCAGAGUGCUCAACCCAAAGGGGUACUGUGCAUGUUUUGACCAUUCCCUGCAAUCUCCUUCAACCUUGAUUUGGAUCUCCUCCAGGUUGGGACAAUCCUCAAGACCAGCAGCAGUCAAUGGUUAGAAGCUCACCCACGCCAAUCCAGAGUGAAAGACAUUGCAGUCUAUCCCAUGAGUUGCUACAAAAUCCAUUGCCGCUGUUGUUAAAUUGCAGAGCAGAGCAAUUCAGAUCAUAGGAGUGUCUGCACCUCUUCUUCUUGCUGCACAUGAUAUCACUAUCAUAAUCUCCAAAGUAGUUAACAAAUCCAUCCGACUGGUUCAAUGCCCUAAGAAGCAAUUUUCACGAAUUCGAUUAAAUCGGUAAAUUUUCAUUUACCGAAUUCAAUUCGGAUUGAAUUCAAAUUCGAUAUUUUCUAUUUCGAAUGCGAAUUAGGUCGAAUAUUUCCAGAAUCAUUUACCGAAAAUUACCCAUUUCAACCUAACGAAUUACCGACUUCGAAUUCGAUGCUCACCUCUAGGUCAGACCAUGUUAAUUAUUUUUCUCUUUAUAAUGUGGAUUGAAUUGAUCGUAAUUUUGAAUUGUUAUAUAAAAUAAAAAAGAAUAUGAAAAACAGCCAACCAACAAUGCUAGGUCAACCAUAAAACAAACAUUAAUCAAAAUAUUGGCUUGAUUUUUUUUUUGAAAUUUGUGUUCUUGCUUUUGUAUUCAAUUUUGAAAAUAUAGGAAAGAUAAAAUUUAAUUCAACAGAAUUAGUUAGUUGAUGUAAUAAUUUCCUCAAUUCAUCUCGGUCUAAAAUUAAGUCGAGUAUUUAAGACCCUGUUUUCAUUUGCUUUAAAUUUUACAAAAUUUAAUUACAAAAAUUGAUUGUAGAAAAUAAUCAGAAUCAACAAAAGUUACUCUUCAGCUGAUUAUAGAUUUUAAUUUUUUUUAUUAUUAAAAAAGUUCAAAAUUAGAAAGUAAAAACAACCAAAAACACAACAAAAACUUAUUAUCCAAAAUUAAAAUAUAUAAUCAUUUAAAAUAAUUAAAUUGAGAACAAGCCCAAAAUUGGUUAGAAGUAACACUAUGCUUCGUCUGGUGCUAUUUUUACAAUGACACUCAAAGGGCCUUCAACUAAGAAUUGGACCUCAAAGCCCACUAAUACAAAACACCUCCAUUCAUGUUUUUUUUUGGGAUAAUUUCAAAAACCUCCCCUAAGGUUUUCGAUAAUUUUAUUCGGCUCCCUUAAGGUUUACAUAAUUAUAGAGACCUUCCUUGUUAUGAUAAAAAGACAAUAAUGCCCUUUAUUAAUUGUCAACUCAUUGAAAAACUCUAUCAACUAUUAAAACUCUCUCAUCUACUAUUAACCAAUAAUUCAAACCACAGUCUUUUAUAUUUAACUACCUAUUCUCUUUCUCAUAUAUCUAUUUUUCUUUCAAACUCAUUUAUUUAUUAUUAUCAACUAAAUGUGUACUAUCGCUACUAAUAAAAUCACCAUGCACAUUAAACCACCAAUGCUUAUAUAUCUUUCCCAAUCCUCGAUUUGCCAUUAUUAGUAAAUAGUUUCCUUGCACCCAUUUUUGUUUCCAAUUUUUGAUAGGUAUUAGCAAAUUGAAAUUAUCAAAUGACAAAUUGAGUGUUAAUUUCAUUGUCAAAUUAAAUGGAGAUGAAGAUAGUAACAGUGAUAAAAAAAAAUAAAAAUUAAGGAUAAGAAAUGGAAUAGGAACUAAAAAUAGGUUAUAUUGUUAUGGUUAUCAUGAAAAAAAAAGUUCUUGAUAGAUAUUUAUAACUGCAUUGUGUUUCCAUUUUUUAUUUACAAUUAUUGAUAUUAUUCCUUUAGAGAGAAUUUGAUUGAUUUUGAAUUUUGUACCAAUAGAAUAUAUAAGAUAUUGAUAUUAAUAGUGAUGAUUUAGAUUAUUCUGUAGUAAAAAGGUGGCGGUCAUGUAAUUGAAAUUUAGGGAUAUUGAUGAAUAUUGUAGUAUUAAGUAAAAUCUGAUAUUGUUAUGAAAUUGUAGGUAAAUUUUUGGGUAUAUGAUGUAGCAUUUAAAGUUGAUACAAUGGUUUGCAUCAGAAAUUUUUAGGUAAAAUAGGAACAUUAGAACAAAGAUAAGUGUUUAGUUAGUGGUGAUUUGAAUGUUGAUAAGUAGGUAAUAGUGGUAGGAAAUAAAUAUAAAUGAAAUAGAGACUGUAAAUCAUUUUUUCCUUUACAUUUUUGUUGUGAAUUAUAACUCAGGAGCAUUAUAGGAAUUUUAGAAAAAAGUAUAGCCUUUUGGGUCUAGAAUGUUACUUAAAUAGGAAAAAUAGGGGAGAUAGGUGUAAUUUUUAGAAAUUGAGGGGAGUUUUCCUCAAUUGUUAAAAACCUUAGGAGAGAUAUGUGAAAUUAACCCUUUUUUUAAUCCCACAUGAAGAGCGGCCCAAUCAAUAAUCCACACAAAGCCCUGUAUAAACUCUCCAUCAAAAACCCUAUUCCAUUUCCUUUUCUUCGUCGUUGCGUCUUCUUCUGCUUCUCUGCUCGAGUUGACAAUGCUUCAUCUAGUGCUAUUUUUUCAAUGAGACUCAAAGCCUAGUAAUACAAAAACACCUCUAUUCAUGUUUUUUUUUUGGGAUAAUUUUAGAAACCUCCCCUAAAGUUUUCGAUAAUUUCACUCGGCUCCCUUGAGGUUCACAUAAUUACAGAGACCUCCCUUAUUGCGAUAACAAUACAAUAAUGCCCUUUAUUAAUUGUCAACUUGUUGAAAAACUUUAUCAAAUAUUAAAACUCUCUCAUCUAUUAUUAACCAAUAAUUCAAAAUACAGUAUUUUCUAUUUAACUAACUAUUCUUUUUCUCAUAUAUCUAUUUUUCUUUCAAAUUCAUUUAUUUAUUAUUAUCAACCAAAUGUAUACUGUUGGCAGUUGCUACUAAUAAAAUCACCAUACACAUUAAACCACCAAUACUUAUAUAUUUUGGUAUGUAUUCCCAAUCCUCAAUUUUCCAUUAUUAGUAAACAGUUUCCUUACGCCCAUUUUUGUUUCCAAUUUUUGAUAGGUAUUAGCAAAUUGAAAUUGUCAAAUGACAAAUUGAGUGUUAAUUUCAUUAUCAAAUUCAAUGGAGUUUUUCAUUAUCAAAUUAAAUUGAGUGUUAAUUUCAUUAUCAAAUAGUAGUGACAGUGAUAAAAAAAUAAAAAUUAAGGAUAAGAAGUGGAAUAGGAAUUGAAUAUAGGUUAUACUGUUAUGGUUAUCAUGAAAAAAAGUAUUCUUGGUAUAUAUUUAUAAUUGUAUUGUGUUUCUAUUUUUUAUUUACAAUUAUUGAUAUUAUUCCUAUAGAGAGAAUUUGAUUGAUUUUGAGCUCUGUGCCAAUGGAAUAUAUUGGAUAUUGAUAUUAGUAGUGAUGGUUUAGAUUAUUUUGUAUUAAAAAGGUGGCAGCCAUGGUAUUGAAAUUUAGGAAUAUUGAUGAAUAUUGUAGUAUAUUAAGUAAAAUCUGAUAUUGUUAUGAAAUUGUAGGUAAAUUUUUUGGGUAGAUGAUGUAGCAUUUAUAGUUGAUGCAAUGGUCUGCAUCAAAAAUUUUUAGGUAAAAGAGAAACAUUAGAAUAAGGAUAAGUGUUUAUUUAGUAGUGAUUUGGAUGUUGAUAAUUAGGUAAUAGUGGUAGGAAAUAAAUAUAAAUGAAAUAGAGACUGUAAACCAUUUUUUUCCUUUACAUUUUUGUUAUAAAUUAUAACUCAAGGGCAUUAUAGGAAUUUUGGCAAAAAGUAUAGCCUUUUGGGUUUAAAAUGUUACUUAAAUAGUAAAAAAAUAAGAGGUAGGUGUAAUUUUUAGAAAUUAAGGAAAGUUUUCUGCAAUUGUUAAAAACCUCAGGGAGGUAUGUGAAAUUAACCCUUUUUUUGGUUUAAUCGGCCCAAUCAAUAAUCCACCCAAGGCCCUAUAUUAGAGCUGGCAAAAAAGCCCAAAAUUUAACAACCCGCCCAAUCCGCCCAUUAAUUUUAAAUGAUGGGUUAGGUCAAUUGGAUUAUGGAUUUUGUUGGAUUGGGUAAGAACAACCCAAUUUAUUCCUUGGACGGGUUGGAUUUUUUAUUUGGGUACCCAAUAUCCAACUUGUUUAAAAGUAAUUCAAAAUAAUAAAUACAAGAUUCAAUAUACAUAUGUCCAACUAUUUGCAUUUGGACAUGUGUUAAUAAUUCAUUCAUUAAUUUGUAUUCAAAAUUCUCAUAUAUAUAUAUAUAUAUUAAUCAAUUUUUAAAUUUUUAUUUAAAAGAAAAAGGAAACUUGAAAUAAAAGCUCAUGUUUAUUUUACUUUUAUAACAGCAGUUAAACUUGCUCAACUUUUAUAAUAAUUUAUUAUGCCUUUUAAGAGUAUGUUGUUUUCCUCCCCCCUCUUUUUUUUUAUUGUUCUCAAGUUGCUACUUGCUUUUUGUUUGUUAAUAUUUCGUGUACGUCUAAUAUUGUACAAAUUUCUUUUUUUAACCUUUUAGGAUUAUAUAAUUUCGGAUUCUUCAAAUUAACAAACAAAAGCUUACUUUGUGUCAGCCUAACUUUUCAAUAAUUCAAAAUAGGAUUAAUCUUUCCUAUACUGACUGUGUAUACACUAUCAGCGUCAGUGUAAGAAAGAUUUACUCUUCAAAAUAAUGCGAUCCCGAUAUGAUAAAAAUAUCAGAAUAGUUCAUGAAUUCUCCUCUCAUUUAUUUCUUAAAAAGUUUGGGAUUUUCCUUAACAAUUUUUUGGGGACCAAUACCAGUUUUACAAGCAUAUAAAUAUUUUCUGCUUUAUAUCAGAGUUGUGGUAAUUCUAAAAGGUGGUAAUUCUAAAAGAUUAAUAUGACCAUAGCAUCAAGUAUGAUCCUAGAUAAUUCUAAUUAAUCAGGUGAUGAAUUAUCUAACUAUAUCUAUAAAAAAAAUACCUUCUAAUAUAUCAUAUAUGUAUAUAGAUCAUGAUAUUAACUUUGAAUCAAUAUAGUUGACUUGCGGAUUCUAUUUUAUUUUGAUUAAUUAUGGCAACUUGGGCAUGGCUAGUUCAACGAUUUCAAUUUCGUCUGAAGCAAAUACCUCCAAUCUUCAAUUUCAUGAGAAGUUUGGAAUCAGCAAGACAAUUAAUUUUCCCUCUUAAUUACCGAGUCCAAAAACCAAAAUACAAUAAUGUCUCUAGUCAUUUAAUAAGUUUUAAUCAAUUAGUAGUAUUAAAAAGUAUAAAGUAAACAUUUUUUUUAGCUAAUCUAUUUAAAUGUACAAUUUAUUAUCUAAAAUUCACAAUAUAAGCAAUAUAAAAUAUUAUUCUAUUUAUGAUAUGUUUUCAAGGAAUUUAAGAAGUGAAUGUGUGUGAAAAUACAUUUAUGUGUGUGAAAAUAUAUUUAUGUAUGUAAAAAUGUGUUUAUAUGUGUGAAAAAAAUCAUUUUUGUAUGUUAAAAUGUAUGUAAAAAAGUUUUGUAUUAAAAUAUAUUAAUUAAUAUGUUUGAUCAUAUUUGGGUCAUGUGUUUGAAAUAAUUCAAUAUGAUUCAAUCCAAUUUAAAGUUGGACGGGUUGCAUAUAAUCCAUUUAAGCGAAAACCCAAUAUUAAUUCCCCUAAAACCCGUCCAAGCUGCCGAUUGCCAGGUAUACCCUAUAUAAACCCUCCAUCGAAAACCCUACUUCAUUCCCCUGUCUCCUUCGCCGCUGCUUCUCCUUCUGCUUUUCUCCUCCGUUACAGAAUACCAAAUCAGGUAAUUGCCCCAACAACUCCAUUAAUCUACUUUUAUGUUCAUAUUUCUGAUUAAUAAUUUUUCACCAUUUUCUGUUUGUGGGAUAAAGGAAAAUGAGUAAAGGAAGCAGUGGUGCCGCUCUCAAGGGAGGGAAGAAGAAAGGAUCGACGUUCGUGAUUGAUUGUUCGAAGCCGGUGGAGGAUAAGAUCAUGGACAUUUCCUCACUGGAAAAGUACCUUCAAGAGCGUAUCAAGGUCGGCGGGAAGGCCGGCGCUCUUGGAGAUUCCGUCUCCGUUGCUCGUGAUAAGACUAAGAUUACCGUCACCACUGAGUCCAGCUUCUCCAAGAGGUAAAUUUUUUCGCUGAUUUUUCUUUGAUGAAAUUCUCCCUUUUUUCUUUCUAUUGAAUCUUAUAAUGGGUCUGGCUUCUAUUUGUAUGCCAUUUUGAUAUCUGCUACUGAUUCUUUGAAGUCGCCAUUGCCACUCAUUUGAUUCGAAUUUUAAGUUAGUAUUUGCUUCUUUUUCUGGAUGGACAUUUUGGUUUUAUCUGCUUUGUGCUCUGGAUGAGCCUGAUCUAUUCUUGCUGUUUUAGUUUUGGAUGUGUCCUUCAGAGACCAGCAUUUUAAUAUUUCAGUUGAUUUGAGCAGGUCUGAGCCUAUGGGACCUAAUCAUUUGAUUAUUUUAUUUUAGUUGAUCUUUUAUAUUUUUAGUUGAGCAGGUCUGAGCCUAUGGGUAUUAAUAUUGGAUUUUGACAAAUACUGGAUUAAACUUUUGUGGUUAUCGUAUAAAGUUUGUUAUGAGGAACGGAUUGAUAUGAUAAUGAGACCAUUUCUACACCCUGCAAUAAUCUCCACCGCAACACCCCCCCCUCUUUUUUCUAAUUUCACGGAAAAAUGAAAAUACAAAAAAUCCACCUAACAUGUUCAAAGUUUUCUUGAUGACUGAAUAGUCUUCUGUGAUUAAAAAUUCUUCUCCAGUUUACUUAAUGUGAAACUGGAUGACAAUGGUGCUUGUUUCGUGACUCUUACAUAUGGUAUCACUCGGAAGUGGAGAGAGGUGCCGGAUUUACGAGUCUUUUUUUUUUUUGGCUCAGGAAGAGAAAGCUGUUGAAAUCUGUUGUUCUGUACUAUUAUUUGUUGAGACAAUUUGUUUUCUGAUUGGCCCUUGGGACUUCUCUAAACUGAUGGUUUUCAUGUGCCGUUUCUUGUCGACAGUUUCCUCAGCUAGAGGAUCCUUUCGUCAAAAUUUUGUGCUCUAAAGUACAGCUUUACUUAUAGGUUGGUCUUUUGUUUCUGUGGCUCAGGUAUUUGAAGUACUUGACAAAGAAGUACCUAAAGAAGAACAAUGUGCGUGAUUGGCUCCGAGUGAUUGCUUCCAACAAGGAUCGGAGUGUGUAUGAGUUGAGAUACUUCAACAUUGCUGAAAAUGAAGCUGAGGAAGAAGAUUGAUUAGGAGGAUAGAUCAUUUAUCCAAGAGUCAGCCUUGUCAAUUUGCGUAAUCUGUAGCUUUACUCUGGCUAUUGUUUCUUUCAGUGACAUUAUUUUUGAGUUACGUAUGUGUAAUUUGAAAUCCUGCAAAUUUUGUUAUUUCCCCUUUGGGAAACCUGAAUGAGAGACGCAAUCAUAUCAGAUUAGAAACUGUACUGAAAUUGGUUUUUGCAAAGCUCAGACUCGUAUGCACUUAUGUUGAUAACGUUACUGAUGUCUAGAUCACUGGCUUGAUUCUGGACUUGAUAAUUAUUAUCAGUAACUUGUUCAGUAAAACUGCAUUUGCUGGUGGAGUGACUGUCAUGGAUAACUAGUACUGUGACAAGUGUUGCACCGGACACAAUACCAGGCUCUAGUAGGAGUAUGUAAAGUUAUUAUGUGGGUAAAGUUCAUGAACUGCUUUUGUGUACCUUUGCUGAUGCGAAGAAGAUUGGUAUGCUUUUGUCUUUUUUCCUGCUAAUGGUGUUGAAAGAUGUAAAAUUGGCGGAGGGCAAUAUUUUUUUUCUCAAAAGGAGAAACAUAUGAUAUUAAUUCCCGAUAUUCACAAGACCAUCACAUUUUCGUAACAAUAAAAAGACGGGAUUAGUCUAUGAGUUCAUGCAAGUAUGUCAUACCUCAAUGGAGAAAUGUAAGAUUAACCUUUUGUUUUGUUUUGUUUUUUUUACUAUCCUGUUCAACCUCACAUAAUCAUCAUCGGACCCACACCAAUAAUGUCAUCAUCGGAUUGGAUCCAUUCCGCACCAAUAUUCUGCGUGCAUCGUUGACUCUUCAACAUUGCCAUCUUCCUUUCCAUUUUUUGUUAACACGAUCAUACCUUUUAUUUUAGACUACUUCUAUUCUCCGUUAAAGACUCCAAGAAAGGGUAACCAAAAUUUCAAGAAGAAGAACAAGACAUUGGAGAGGAGUUGAGUACUGCAGUUCAUCAGAAAGUGCUGUAGGCUUUCCUUUAAGCAUAAUUCGUGUUUCUGAUUUGAAAUGUUUAAGAAUUCAUGUGCAGCCUAUGGAUGUUUUGGGAUUUUGUUUCUUAGUCUUCCUGUAGGCUUUCCUUUAAGCAUAAUUCGUGUUUCUGAUUUGAAAUGUUUAAGAAUUCAUGUGCAGCCUAUGGAUGUUUUGGGAUUUUGUUUCUUAGUCUUCCUGCAUUUUACCCUUCUCCAUUUCCUUGGUGAUUUAUUUGCAAUCCUUGUGAUUGUUUGAUGGCUAUUAUAAAUGGUAAAAAAGUGAAUUUCGUUAAACGUUUUCACCCCUAGUUGUGUAAAUCUGAUGACCAAUUGUGUUUAUCAAAUGCUGUUGGAAGUAGGAACUAAGCUUGGAAAGAGGAAAUGUUUUACAUUUCUGGUUAUUAAUGUCUAGAGAGACUUCUGGGUUUUGUUAAUGGCUCGUUUGCUGUCUUUAGACGUCUUAUUUUUGGAACUCAUCUACAAAACUCAACAGAAAUCACUACAAUGGCUGAAAAAAUUGAAGUACUAUUACUCCCCUUCGCCUUCUUACCAGCCGGCUCAGUAGUCUUCUUCUUCUUCUUUUUUUUUUUUCAAGUAUAAAUGUAGGCGGGAGGUCUCGAAUCUGGUAUCUCUAACUUACACUCUCUCCCGCGCACGACCCCCGCCGCAGCGGGGCUUAGUAGUCUUUGGUUUUAAUAAUCUCUGCAAGAUCAGUAAUCUGACUUGUUUGCAAUACUUGUCUGACCAACAGAUUCUGUUUGACAGACUGUGAAAUUGAGAGAUUGACGAGAGUGUUCAGUAAGCAAACAUAACUUGUUUGGUUUAAGAGAACUCAAAGAUGGACAGAUCUCGUGUGUGGACACCAUCUGACGGUAAUGGACAAAAUGUAAGCUCACCAAUCUCAAACUAUAAGCAGAUACGAUCAAAUAGAUCUUUACUGGUUUUUUUUUUUUUUUUCUCUUCUUUGGGAUGUUUUCUAUUAACAGGGCAAGAUUACAUUUUGGAGCUAUUGUGUCAUUUGUUGUGUACUGCUCAUUUACACUUCUUCAGAGAAGAUAGGAAUCCUUAUGUAAGUGCUGCUCAUACUAUAUGUCUAAGACUCUUUAUGGUAAGUGGGAAUUUGAUUUUAUUGGACCCCAUGGAUAAGCAAAUCAUUGGUUUCGGUAGCUUAGAUUUUAGAUCAUAUAUAUAGAUAUCGUUCAUUUGUAUCAGCUUCUUUUUCAUCCUCGUACUAGGAACUCAAGAAAACUAGGAAAUUAUAGUUUCAAAAUUGCUGCUGACAAUAUCGGAACAAUACGGCCAUUGGAGAAAGCAUGUCAUUUCAAUAAAAUAUAUCAGCUAGGGGACUCAAUAGCUGAUACCGGAAAUCUUGUUCGAGAGAGUCCCUUCGGCAGUGGUUAUCCUUUCGCCCAUCUUCCUUACGGAGAAACAACCUUUGGAUUUCCUACUGGUCGAUGUUCUGAUGGCCUUCUUAUGAUCGACUACAUCGGUAUGUAGUUAUUCGAACUAAUUUUUUGAUUCCCGUUUCUUUCUUAGGUGAAUAAUUUCUUUCAGUUAUACGUAUUUAGUUUUUUUACUUGAUCAAUGAAAAAUGUAAUUCUUGCAACAUGAAUUUCCUCUUUUGUCGGUUUUCGAAGUUCAAUCUGUCAGUCUUGCAUGCCUAAUUUUGUUCUCCAACACCCCCCCCCCCCCCGGGAACAAAAAAAUGUUCAAUAAUACCUGGUAAUGAGGAUCACAAAUUUUAUUUUACAGCAUUGGCAGCUGGUCUCCCAUACCUGGAACCCUCCAUGAAAGAGGAUGGAAACUUCACCACUGGGGUAAAUUUUGCUGUUGGCGGCAGUACUGCUUUACCAAAAGAGGUGUUGGAAGCUAAAGAUAUUACCAAUCCAAUAUCCAACAGUUCACUUAGUGUACAGUUGGACUGGAUGUCCUCUCAUUUCGCCUCUAUUUGCCAUACCAAAGAAGGUUUGCAAAACAAUCUUUACCAACUAGGAACCUAUAGCUAACGUGUUAAAAGCAAUUAUCCUAUGUUUGUAUUCUUAAUUUUUGAUCCAGGAUGCCGUAAGAUGCUUGAAAAAUCUCUUUUCUUCGUUGGAGAGAUUGGUGGUAACGAUUAUAAUGUGCCAUUCCUCGAAGGAAGAAGCAUGAAUGAGUUAACUGCCUUAGUGCCAGGAGUCGUCCAAAGUAUUACCAAUGCUAUCAAGGUUAGUUUUUUCCCUCUUUUCAUUUGGUAUGUCUUUAACUCAUUCAAAAUUCGUAAAUUCCCCUGGUAGCAGUUUCAACUAGACAUUCAAAAGAUUACCUAUUUCACUUGUUCAAGUCAGGUUAAAUUGUUGAAUUCUAGACACUUGCACAACAUAGUUUUGAUCCUAAUAAAAAUUUUUCUGUUUCAGAGAGUCAUUGAUUUUGGGGCAACUCGAAUUAUUGUCCCAGGAAACUUCCCAAUCGGUUGUAUUCCAGUUUAUGUUGCUUGCUUUCAGACAAACGAUACAGCAGCAUAUGAUGAACAUCAUUGUCUUAAAGACUUGAACAACUUCGCUGAGAUUCACAAUCAGCUUCUAAAAGCAUCCAUCAAGAAAUUGAAAAAAGAUUAUCCCAAAGUUGUCAUUGUCUAUGGUGACUACUACAAUGCCUAUUUGUCACUCCUGUCCAAUGCCCGAAGUCUAGGUACGUUUGUUACAAUACCUUUUUUUCAACAUAUUAGUAGCCAAGAUUGCUAAAUGGUUUCUGGGAUAAUUCUUGUAGGAUUUGAUGAAAAUGCUUUACAAAAAGCUUGUUGUGGAACUGAGCCAUAUGAUUGCUCUGGUGGCAAGUUAUGUGGCACUCCUGGAGUUAAAGCUUGUCCAAGACCUGAUAAGUACAUAAGCUGGGAUGGAGUUCAUUCCACGCAGCAAGCAUACAAGUACAUGACAGCACACUUGCUGGACUCUAUCAUGCCUCAGUUAAAGUGUCAUUCUUCAGCUCAAGAUGCUUGAAUGAAAAAGCAAGCAGUAUUCUAAUUUUUCAUAUUCUUUCAACGUUUUGCUAGAUUAGCUGAUAAGGGCCUUUUUCUUUUCCAUUUUUUUGGGGUCCCCUCUUGAGGGCACACUUGAUUUGAUCAUUUUCAAGACUAGCUAGGAUCUGGCCUUUAAACUAUCUCAUGUCUCAUUAAUUUUGAUUACUACUUACUUCACAUAAUUCAGUGUUUACUUUGUUCACUUUACCUUUUUUUUUCCACAUAAUAUUUCUUCUUGGUUUUUAUAUUUUUUUUCCGUAGAGGCCAAUAGGGUGUCAACAAAUAUCUAAAAAAUAUAUCUUCAUCGUCUGGGACAUAGUAUGUACUUCAGGACUAUGACUUUGCCUUUCUGCAAGAAACAUCGACAGUGGAGCUGAGAAUCUUGUUCCCAUGCGCGAGUACAAAAUACUAAUGCAGGUAGGCUGAGGUUUUGGAAGAAGAUUGAAUAGGAUGUACAAUUAUUUCAUCUGCCUAACCAUUCUUUUGCAUCGUAAAUCAUCAUCAAUCAUCAUCUUCCACUCCCCUGAUUCAGCCCUUAAAAAUGCUCCAUAAAGAGGGUAACAAAAAUUUCAAGGAUAGAAUGUUGGACACGAGUUGAUUACUGCAGUUCAGUUCAUGGUAACUGACACUGGAGUCAACUGCCACCACCGAAACCAUCACUGACAAAGUGCUGUAGCCUCUCUUUUUUAGUUCAAUUUCUGUAUCUUAUUUGAGAUUUACUUUAGCUUAAUGCGCAACCUGUGGAUGUUUUGGGCUUCAGUAUUUGUAGUCUUCUUGAAUUUGCAGCUUCAUGAUUUUCAUGGUCAUAUAGGUUACAGAAAGACUGAAUUUGGUUGAAUUGAAAGUUUUGGGUACAGAAAUGAUCAGAUUUGAUCAAAUAAAAAUGCCAAAGUUAAAAUAAAGGGUUGCUCGCUGCUUAUUAUUGAAUCUUGGAUUUUUUUUUUCCUUUGUGCGUCAGAUUUGAGUGUAUGACAAGGGUAGAAAAAAUUGGCUACAAUGGCCAUGGCAAGAAUGAGAUUUAGAAGAGUGGCAAUACCAGUCUCCGUCCUAAAACCUUUGCUCUAGCAUUCUCAUCAUUCCUGAAUCCAAUCCGUACCACCUCUGCCCCAUAAAUGGAAUCCAUGGAAAUCAAUCCGCGAUUCACAAAAUCGAAAAACAUACAUAAACAUAGAAAAUCGAACAAACCAAAAUAAACAAAAAAGGGCAAACUGAGGAAUUGAAGUUUGGUUGAUAACAACCAUCAUGGUCAGAAGACCUCAGCACCACUAAAAUCCCCUGGAAAGUGUUGUAAUUUUCCUUAUCUCUUCUACUGCCUGAUAGGACAACUGGACAAGGAAUUUUCUCUCUUCUUUUCCUCAUUUGUUUACUGCUAUUUUUGUAAUGAAAUCCGUUAUUUACUGCAUUGCUUAUUUUCUGUUUUUGAAAAAUUCUUGAACUAAGUAUGGAAGGUGGCAAAGUAGGAACUUCUCAAUAUGCAUGUCUCUGAUUCUGAUAUAGAUUUGUAUCUUCUUAAACUUGUUUCUUUCAUAUAAUUCUCUCUUAUGAUGGAAAACCAUUGUCUGCAACAAUCUAAACAACUUCUCCAUGUAUCGCACGCGAUGCGCGCUUAAAACAUGCCAUGGAGGAGUUUGAAGACAGAUUACCCCAGCACAACAAUUGUUUGUGGUGACUACGCAGUAGCCAUAGAGGUAAGCUAACAAUUCUGCCUGGCAUUCCUGGGGUGCCUGAUCGUCCAGACUCAAAACAACAAGAAUACUAAUGUACGGCAGCUGAUGAAACCACAUUUUUAUAUGUUUAUGCUUGAUUAAGACUAAUCAAAGAAGCAGGCCACUUGUGUGCAGGGAUUUCUUGACAUGGUAAGUGCAAAUGUAUACGAGGGUAAAGUCAAGUCUAUGCUUCGAAUGGGAGGAGCAGGGAUUCUACUAUCAAAUCGAAAUUCAGACAGACGAAAAGCGAAAUACGAAUCACAACAAAUUGUCAGGACCACUCUCAGUUCCAGGACAGGUUCUUAUGAGUAUGUGAUGCAGGACCUAGAUGAUGAAGGCUAUAUAGGAGUCUCCCUUUCAAGGGCUAUACUUCAAGUUGCAGGGGAUGCCCUGAGCAUUAACUUGUUAACAUUAGGUGCAUUGGUGCUGCCUUAUUGGGAGCUAGUUCGAUAUGGACUAGACAUAAUAUGGAAGAAAAUCUGGGCUCCUGCUAGAAAAAGAGGUCCAUCUGUACCAAAUUUCAAGAGGGCUUUCAAUCAUUCUGCAUACAUGCAGGUGGAAGGGCAAUAAUAGAUACCAUUAAGGACAAACUAAAAUUGACAGAUAGGGAUGCUGAAACCUCAAAAAUGACUCUUUACAGGUUCGGAAACACCUCAUCUUCAUCGACGUGGUAUUCAUUAAGCUAUCUAGAGGCCAAGGGGAGAGUCAAAAAGGGUGACAAGAUUUGGCAGCUGGCUUUUGGUAGUGGAUUCAAGUGCAAUAGUGCAGUUUGGAAGUGUAUUUCAGAGCUCAAACCAGACAAUGCCAAUGCUUGGUCAGACAGGAUUGAUCAGUAUCCAGUAAAAGUACCAGAUGUAAUCGACCAUCCAUGGUUUGUCAGAACCAAAAAAAAAAAAAAAAAAAAAAAAACAACAACAACUGAUCGUUGCAUAUACUAAAUAUAUGAAGCUGGCUAAAACAAUGAAAGGAAGAUGUUUACCAGUUUCUUUUUUCCCAACCAUAUUCUAUUGAAGGAAUAUGAACGUUAAGAAAUGUACCCUAUUGAAGGAAAAAUUGAACGUUAAUUAGGUUGUAGUCUUAGCAUCGUCUUUUCAAAUGCAAUUCUUGAUAAUUACAUGCUUCCAAAUUUGUCUGUAGCAAUCUUAAAUGUAUUAAUUUAGUGUUGUACAUUUUAUAAUAUUUUACAGUAAAUGACCUUUUUUUAUCAAUAAUAUAGUGUAGGGAAGAACUAAAUUAAAGCGCUAGCUUGCCUUCAUCUCAAAAAAUCUAGUUUUGAACAUAAAACAAAAGACAACGUUUUGUGCAGUUACAUCGAAUAUGUUAACUUUCCAAGAAUUAUAUGAUCUUCUAUUUGAAAAAAAAAAAAAACAUUUCAAAAUAGAAUAUGUUUGGUUUCAAUAUGUAGGGUAAAUAAUAUUCAGACAUUAUGAUUGUUUUAUGUAUAAUUAUAAAGAAAUUUAAUUUGUUAAACACAAAGUAAAAAAUGAGGAACAAGUAAACAUUUCCAUAUGUGUGUUUCGGGUUACAAGAUUUUUGCUUAUCUUGUAACUCUCCCAGAAUUCUAACCAGUCCAUGAGGUGCGAAUUUGUAAAAACGGGGAACUACAAUUAGCAUCGAUAGCUUUAUUUGGAUUGUAUUUUUCUGGAUUUUUUGGAGAAAAAUUACCGUAACGAUUUGAUAUACGUGAGAUAAAAAUGCGAUUGAAAAAUGUAUCCACGAAAAGGAAAAAUUGCAAUCCAGACAAGACUUCUAUGCAGCUUUUCUAAUCUUUUUUGGUUGCUAAAACGAACUUCUUCUACCUUAAUUCUCAUUUCUGACAAAUUACGUAGUCCAAUUGUCUCAAAUGAACUCAACAACAGUUGAAAAAAUAGUUGUUGACUAAGUUUCACUUCUAGUAUAUCCUCAAAGAUUAAUACCCAUGGCUACUUUAGUCAUAUAAAAUAUAUAGCAGUUUUGAUCCUUAAAAAGUUAAUGGUUAGGAGCAAAGUGUAUAUAAUUUGACUUCAAGAGGGCAAAGUGUAAUUAACCCUUUUCUUUAAGUACACUUGUAAACUAAAACUCAGUCACUUAAAAAUCUUGCCUAUAUGCUAUACCCUAAUAAUUUAUAGGUACAUAUGCAUAACUCAGAAGGACAACCCUGUCUCGUAUCAAAAUGUUUGGGCUUCCGUAGAAUCCUACGUAGAACCCCAAUUUUAGGGUUCUAAUAACAAUAAAUAAUGUGUGCAGGGUUAUAAAAUUGAAGGGAUAAAACAAACAUUCAAAACAUAUGUGGGAGAAAAGAAAAUAAUUAACUCACAAUAUUAUUGAAAUCACAAACCAUAAAGAAAGUCACACCACAAUAGAAAACCUAACAAAUUCUUCUAGACUCUCUUAAGAAAAUAGUCUAAACUAAUGCCAGACUUGUUGGAAAAGAAACCACUUGCAUAAGAAAUUACCAAAUAAAACACAAAUUCCUAAAUCAUACAACUACCAAAAACCUAACUCCAAUAAAAACUAAUAAAUAAAUAAAUAAAUAUUUCUAGACUUGGUUUAGUUUGCCAACAUUGUCUCCCUUAAACCAAACUUUCCAUUGAGGCAGGUCCAACACCAUCUCGAACAACAAUUUCUAUGCAAAUUUCUGUCGUUGUAUAGCUGACAUGCAAUUUCAUCUUGUUACUGGUUAUUAACUUCAUCUUUACACGUGGCAGUAGGCGCACUUUGUAUUUUGCAAAUAAUUUUUCAGCAAUUUUUUCUUGAUCAAAGCACUCAUUCAUGCAAAUCCAUUCAUCACCAAAAUCACCAUAUUUAUCACCAAUGUAAGUGCCCAAAAAUACAAAAUCAUAGAUUGCUCUCUUAUCAAAACUAUCAUCACCAAAUAAUUUAAAAUAUCCACAUUUGGAUAAUUAUCCAAAAUUUUCAUACUUUCAGUCAACUCUUUUGGAGCAAAAAUUUUUUGAAUUGCAAUGAAAUCCAUAUCUAUCAAAUCAAAUAUCUUUCCAUCAUCUCGAGGAGAGUCCAAAUCAAUGAUUUUUUUCAAUAAUAAUUUCUUUUUCCUCACAUAGCAAAUCAGACUUCUUUUCUUCCUUUACCAUAUUAUUGCAGUUUUUUUCUUCAACAAAUUCAUCACUUCCAAUUUCUCCAAACAAAAUAUGCAAAUCAAAACUAUCAACUUAUUCAAAAUUUUCAAUAUCACCCAUAUCAUCAACAAAUCUAACAUUCUCAAAAUUCACAAACCAUUUCCAACAACCAGACUUUGGUUUGAAAGCAUAAUUCUUCUCAAUCGUCUGCAAAAUAUAGUAAAUAUCCUUCUAAAAUCUCCAAGGUAUUUUAGUAUGACGAACAAAAGUUUUGUAAAUACAUUCUACCAUUGUUUUACACAUCACUUGAAAAAAUAAUCGUGCUUUUUUCUUGAAAACAUGUUUUGGCAUGCAUUUCACUUGCAUCAACCCAACAAAGAAUAUCAUCAAAUUACAUUGUUUGAGAUUUUUUUCACUAUUAAAACCCAACCAAAAUAUCUAUGUCUAUCUGUCAUUAUGGGAGUCAAUAUGAAAAAUUUUUCACCAUCAAUCAGAUCUGUAUAAUAUUACAAUAUUUAACAAUUUAUAUACCCGAAUAAUUUUUUUUCUCCAUUCUGUCAAGUUUUCUUGGCCUCCCUGGUUGAUUGACCAAUUAAAUCCUUCAAUUUGACAAUCCGCAGCAAUCAAUAAAUCUGGCAGGAUUCUUCUAUGAUCUCUGCCUUCACCAGCAGCAAUCUAACAAUUUUCGGACCAAUCUUGUGUUUGAAUUCUUCAUCAACUACACACUUCAAGACCAACUUUGUGGUCAACCUUGAUUAACUGAAUACUUUUCGGCAAUUUUUUGGCCUUAUUCUCUAACAGCGGAAACGCCCAAAACUGACAUCAUAGUCUGGCUCUGAUACCAAUUGUAGAACCCCAAUUUUAGGGUUCUAAUAAUAAUAAAUAAUGCGUGCAGUGUUACAAAAUUGAAGGGAUAAAACAAACACUCAAAAUAUAUGUAGGAGAAAAGAAAAUAAUUAACUCACAAUAUUAUUAAAAUCCCAAACAAUGAAGAAAGUCACACCACAAUAGAAAACUUAACAAAUUCUUCUAGACUCUCUUAAGAAAAUAGUCUAAACUAAUGCUUUAUUUAUAACCUAUCAGACUUGUUGAAAAAGAAACAACUUGCAUAAGAAAUUAUCAAAUAACACACAAAUUUCUAAAUCAUACAACUACUAAAAAAAGCUAAUAAAUAAAUACUUCUAGGUUUGGUUUAGUUUGCCAACAUCCUAAAUCAACUAUAAAACUUUUCCAGUAUUAUACUGAGCAAUAAUAGUUCUCUAGGUGGAUAGUGUUCAACAAUUUUGUUAUGCCGAAAAUAUACCGUAUAAAUUACUUACACAAGUGAAGUCUAUAAUGUGAAUUGGAUGUUUUAGUAAAUCACUACCUAUUUUGAUUCUUAUAUAAGUUUCAGUUAUGUCCACAUAAUAUCUUCUAUAAAUUUCGUCAAACUCAAAUUUUUCAACAAAAUGUUUAUCAUACUUCUGACAAAAUUUACACUACUAUUAGUUUACAUAAGACUUUUCUGUUGUUUUCUCCAGUAAUUGCAAAUCUCCUAAGUGGAUAAUUUUGACUUUCUAGGUUGGCUUAGGUUCUACAUUCAUAUAGUCUGAUUUGUGAAUGUAUUCUGGCAACGAGAGAAGUUUGGGCCUAAGGAGGAAAAUGGUUAAUUGUGUAAGGGAGAGGUUGCUGAAAAUCGCUGUAGAACCCUAUCAAUAUAUUAAACACACAUAUAGAAUUUCUACUACAUCCAUAGGAAAAGCCCAAAAAAAAGUUACAGAAAAUCAUAUCUACAUUUGCAGCUGCCAGGUAACCUACAUAAUCACAGCAGCAUUAACAGCUAUAUCUGCUCAAAGUCCAUUUCUCCCAUGCAUGAUUGAUAAUUGAUACUGUGAAAAUACCAUCUAAGAAAUAGAUGAGGGGCAAAGCAAAAUCUACUGCUGAUCGUGUAAAAGGGAGGCAUGUGAAAAAAGUGAGAUGGCAAUUCGUGAAGGAACAUGAAUCGUGAGUGGCAAAAUUGACAAGCAUGCAUCGACUAACGUGCUGCAUUGUGUGUGCAUAAUGGCAUCCCACAGACAAAAGAAAUGCAUAUUCCACUUCAUGUCUCUCAAUUGGCUAUCAAAUCCUUUAAGCCAUUGCUUGCAAAUUAAGGUACCCCUUUUGGCUCACACCUAUGUGGUCUCUGAAUUCUGAUUGAGGACAAGUACUGCUAUUAUUACCCUUUACACAAUUCCAAUUUCCAACAACAACAACAAGAAGUGGUCAUCUCCUCCCCACCCCCCCCCCACCCUACGCUUUACUUAUUUCACUAACCCUAUACAGAAAACAGUACUAGUUGCUACAAGUCUGCCAAAAAGAAACAAGUUCCCCACUUUCUUAGGGAAAACCCAAGUUUGAGUUAACUUGUGCUACUUUCUUGUGACUGCCAAAUCAAGUAGUCCAUUCUUGCAGUUGCUGCUGCACCCCACUUCAGCAUCAUCUUCCUGAUCUGAUCUGAUCUCUUCUGCUUCUUUUUCCCCCUGCAGAGACGUGUGUAUUAUCAGUCAUUGAAGAUGAUUUAGACUCCGUACUAUACGCGGGCAAUUUUCUUAGGCCUUAGCCGUUAGCUGUGCAAUGCAGAGGCUGAUUCUUCCAGUUGGGAAGAUAACCAGCAGAUGCUCUCAUCUCUAUGUAGUUCGAUAACAAUUUUUCCUUUUUAAACUUUCUUAUUCUCUUGUCAGAGUAAAUCAUUGGGAAAAUCGUUCAAACCUCGUUCAAAUAAACAUUUUUCAUCUUUCAAUUUUAAAAUGUUAGCUUUACUUCCUCUGCAAAUUCAAGUUAAUAAAAUUUGAUCCCAACUUAAGGUUGUGUUUGGAUUGCAUUUUUCAUGGAUUUUUCGGUGAAAAAUUACUGUGGUGAUUUGAUGUAUGUGAGGUAAAAAGUUGAUAGAGAAAUGUGUUCACGGAAAAUAAGAUCAUUUUUUAGUGAAAAAUGGCUAAGUUUUCGACAACUUUUGAACUUGAAAUUGCCACAUAAAUUAUAUGCAGUCAUUUUUAUAUAUAAAAAGAUCAGAUUUCACUUUUUUAGUGAUAAAAGUGAAUAUAAAUUGGAUCAAAUUUCACAUUUCAAAUCCUACUUUUUUAAAUGCAAAAAUGAAUGUGGAUUGGAUUAUUUAUUUAAAUACAAAUGAGAUUUAACCAUUUUGCUCCUAAAAAAAAGAUAAUGUAUGGGUCGCAUAACAAAUUUAGAGUAAAACGUGGUUAAAAACUUAAAUUAUGAUCAAAUUUUACCAACUAAAAAAAUUAAAUUAUGAUCAAAUUUUAGCAACUUAAUUUUGUAAAAAAUGUAAAGUUAUUAUUUUUAAAGUGAAUGGCAAAAAAAUUUAUUUGACAAAAUGUAAGGGUGUUUUGAAUAAUUUUUCCAAAUCGCUUUGAUGGUUUGGCCACAUUUUUUGGGUUUGUAAUUUGGCGUAUAAAAUAUACCGUGUUUUAAAGAACCAUACAGCAAAGUGCUUUAAGAGAGAUUUUGGUAAUUGCCUUAAUAAUUGUCAUUGUAUAUACCCUUAUUUACGUUAAAGCAAAAUAAUAAAAAACUAUUACUAUACCCUCCAUGUUUUAAUCCUUCAUGCAAGCACUGCAAAACGGCGGUAAAAAAAUGUUGAUACGCAUAGUGGCUAUUUUGCACUCCAAACUUUGGGAUUUUAAGAAGAAAAAUAAGCAUGAGAAUGACAUGGUUAAGCAGAAAUAUUAUACAAUUGAAGUACAUUUCACAAUUUUCAACCAUUUUUUUUUAAUAAUGCCAACCACCUUUAGUUAUGUUUUCGUGUACUUCUCAGAAUUUUUGCGUCGAGUAUGACUGAAGUACAAAAUAAGUACAAUUGGUACCAUUUCUUAACCGUUUCUUGCACCGUGAAAAUUCAUGAUGUCCAUCUUCAAAAUGGUAGAGAAAUUACACUAAAGCGCCAAACUUUCACAAAAGCAUGACAAUCCAUUUUAGCUAACGACACAUUUUAAAUUAGUUCAAAAUUUCAAGUAGAAAUUAAGACACCUUUUUCACUUUUAUAUUUUUCUGUGGUAUUCUUCUAGUAAACAAGUGGCCAAAUACAGCUCCUGCUGCUGCGGGAGAAAGCCAUUGAAGGCAACCACAUACAGUGAUAAUUUGGUGGGAGGUCAAGAGUCAACACCACCAAGACUUGAGUGCUUGGCAGCGACCACCAAGUCAAAGGGCUAGUGGCCUAUUGGACUGUCAAUUGUCAAAUAUUGGCCUAAAUAUGUUGCUAAUGGACAGCAAUGCGAAUGGUGCACUCCGUUUGAAUUAACUGUUUUAGGAGUGUUUUUAAAAUAUUUUAUUAUAACAGUAUAUAUAAAAAACUUUUACGGUAAAUAUAUUUUUUGUGAUGUUUUUGGAGGAAUUUUUUAAAUAUAUUUUAGGGUAACUUUUAAAAUUAACUUAUUUUUAUGGUACUUCCAUUCCUUCUCCUUUUUCCUCUCCCUCCCUCUUCCCCCUUCCCUCCCCCCCUCCCCGUCCAGAUCGAGAGAGGCAGGAGAAGGCCGAGGGUGGCAGAAAAGGGAAGGGAAGGGGAAAAGGAAAGAAAGGGAAAGGGAGGUGGAAAAGGAAGGGGAUGGUGACGGUGAUGAGUGGUAGUGAUAUAUAUGAAAAUUAUUAUAGAAUUCAUUUUUUUUUAAAUUUUUUUGUGCAUGUAUGUGAGUUAUUUUUGAUAUAUUUUGUGGAUGAUAUGUUUUUUGAAUUGUUUUUGUUUAUAUGCUACUGUAGCAUACAGAAUUUUUACAAAAUAUCAAGUACGAGUAUUUUGCAGUUUGCUAAUUGUGCUUGGAUAGAAGAUUAUUUAAAAAAAUUAUUAUAGUAAUUUUUAUAAAAUGAUAUAUAUAAAAUAAAAUUUUAUUUAAAAAAUAUAUUUAUUAUGCAAGCAAAUGCUCUGAGGGUCAACCGUUAAGUGUCUACGGGAAAUGCCUUUGACUUUUUGUAAGUGUACUAUAAUACUCUGUAAUUGACAUCAAGUCAUCUAAACAAAGUGCAAAGUGAAAUGUUUCCAAGUUUUAAUUUAGAACCAUCUUUCUUCGUUAGGCAUCUAUGCCUCUUUAACAAAAGCUUCGAGCCAAUCACAUAAUACCACUUGACAUGAUAUAAAGUUACAUGGUACUACUGUCUCUUUUCUGGAAUUCAAUAUUGGCAUUAUUACUGGUGGAACCGAAGAUUGAGAUUUAGGGGACAAAACACACACACACUCACUGAAGGAGGCAUUCUUACAUGUUUCAAGAACUUUAGAGGCAAAGUUUAAUAUUUUCAAGGGUACAAGUGAAAAGUCUUGAUUUUUUAAGGGGGCACUUGAGAAUUUCUAAUAUCUUCAGGACUGCUGCCAGUGGGCAAAUCCUAACCCAUGCAAACAAAAAUAUUUUUUUCCCCUCAUUUCAAGAAUGUAUGUUUGGUUUGGUGGAGUGAAAAAGGUCAACAAAACCAAGCACAUUCCACUGGUAAAAUUUUUGAGAUCCAUGAUAAAUUCAUCAAGUUCUUGAGUACUGGUUUGGCUAAAGUCAUCAAGUUUUUUUUUUUUCUUUGGCUCCAAAUUCAUCAAGUUAUUAGGCCAUGACAUCAAAUUCUACACAAAAGUAGUCUUCUCUGCAUCUCUCUUGCAGCCAUAUAUAUAUCCUGCAAUUGUCUUCUGUUAGGAAAGCAGCCAGCAAGACGUCAGCCAGCCAGUUGGUUUUCUUAGUUUCAACAAGUCUUUGAGCUAGCUUGUAGUAGUAGUAGUUAGUACGUACGCACAAUAGCCCUCAUAGCCACUCAGAAAUUGAAUGGGAUAACUGAAAUUUUAGGUAAAAAAAUUCAUUGAACAUAGAAAUUUUUAACUACAUACACUGAAGUAGUAUGGUAGUGCUAAGAUAUACAAAGCCUAGAAACCAAAAUGCAGCAAAUGAGCUAGUCAUGUGAGAAAAUAUUACAACCAACACAUGCAAAAGAUUAUCAUGGACUUAGUUUAGUUUACACAGCCUAUGGUAACGUAGCAAAAUUAGCUCAAAUCUUUAGAUGACAAGUGUGUAUCUAGUGAAUUAUGAGCACAAGGACGAGGGAGGGAGGGUUAGCUGGAGAGUUGGAAUUGGCUGCCAAUCGGCCAUGCCAUGGACCAGUAACCAUGAAGUAUAUUAAAAGAACUCGGAGGCGCAGCAGCAGCUACAGCGGCCUAAGUUAAAUGUAAAGGAGCCCCUCCAUCAUGCUAGCUACUUUCAUUUUACAGCGAAAGCGGUUUCGUUACCUUUUCGAGUUUUUCUCUUCUGGACCGUCUCUUCCAAUUGAUCUGAUGUAAAAAAGAAGAAUUGAUCACCAGCCACCUAAUAUAAGAAGAAUGAUCAAAUAUGGUUGUUGAUCACAGAAUUUCUUCCCAAAAGGGAAAAAAAAGAAUGGGAAAAAUAAGGGAGAGAAAUCAGGGGUGAAAAGUGAAAACAUGAAAUCUAAGGUAGAAUCCAGUCCAGUGAGGCAGGUACUAGUACAGGUUCUUAAUUAAGGUCUGCAAGACUGCAACCCCAUAAAGUCAGGAGCCAGCCAGUGGACCACAAAGCUUUUCUUCGGUCCCUGAGAAAUGUUUGAACUGCUAAUGUUUGGGCAAAUGUAUCCCACUAAAACUAGAAAUAAUUAAAACUUUUUACAUUAGAAGCAAAAUUCAUGAGUAAAAAACAAAGGUGGGGAAAACCCUCCAAGUAGUAUAAACUAAUGAAAACACACUUCUACUACCAUAGUGGCUGAAUGGUAAAGGAAUACGAUGAUGUUUCUUACUAAGUUACAGGGCUGAAAACAUGAUGGUAAAUAUGUUGUACGUGGUGGAUAAUUUUCUCUGACAACCACCUGCAAGCGACAGUAGCUCAGUUCAAGUUUCCAGCAUUAUUCUAUUCCCACAUAUUACCAAACUUGCACAUAUUUGUCUGCCUUAUGGUUCCACAAUGCUUAUGCCUGUUGGAAGGACCAAGGCAAAGUCUUAUUUAGAAAAGACAAAAAAGAGGAGAAGAAGCUGGAAGCAGGUACAGAGGGUUUAGAGAAGUCAAGAAUCAGACCUGUGAUUGUUCAAUUUUGAAGAUGAUGAUAAGAAGCUAGAAGAUUCAAGUAGAGGAGUGAGCAACACAUGUUGGAGAAGGGGAGCACGUGCAGAGUUCAUGCAUGGCUAGUGGCAAAAGGAGAACUUGCACGUGCCCUGCUUCUCCAACAAGAGCUACCCGCUCAAUCCAGCAGCAGCAGAAGGGCUGAUUAGCUUUGGCCAAAACCAAACUUCCAAUCACAAUUGCAUCACAACAAAGAAGAAAGCAUGGCACAUGUAUUUAUAGGGAAAGUUUGGAGCGUGGGGGUAGGUUUGGGGGGGAGAGGAGUUAAAGCUUGGAGUCUUGGAGUGGGGAUUCUUUAAAGACCAUGCAACAAGCAAUCAAGUGUAUCCAGGUUGAUUUCAAUUGCAAUUGAUUUGGUGAAGGAAAACAAAAGUCAUGCCCUGCUUUUGCUUGCCCAUGCAAUGCAACUCUUUAAGUUCUUCCUAAGAAGUAAGAAAGCAACAAAGUCCACUGGCAUACAACACAUCUAAGACAGAUUGAAAUUGAUUGCAAGCAAAGCCAAGAAAGAGAGAGAGAGGUCAUGAGAAAUUCAGAAGCAAAGAAAGACAGCCCUUUGAUUUUGAGCUCUCUGAAAAAGAAUAAUGCAUCCUCACGCACUACAUGGUGCGUGCUGUUCAUUUGUCACGACACAAACAAAGUCCACUAGCUUUCAUUUAACUGUAUGCGAGGAUAAGAAUCUAGAAACAAAACUUAAAGCGGUCAAGCAAAUAAAUAUCUCAUGCUUAAAGCGGUCUAAAGUUGGGAUUCAAUAAUCUUAGAACCUUUUGGAUUGCAUUAUUUAAGAAGUUUCUAAAGGUUCGCUUAUCACAUUUUUAGGUUGUGUUUAGAUUGUAAUUUUUUGAAAUUUUUCUAAAAAAUGUACUAUAGCGAUUGAUUUGAUAUAUGCGAGAUAAAAAGGUAAUUGAGAAACGUAUUCACGAAAAACGCAGAGAUUUUUUGAUAGAAAAUUCCUUUCCAAGUAAGGCCUUAUAUUACCUUUUUUAUGUUACGUUGUAAAGAAAAUCGGUGAUAUCGUGAGGGUAAUUAUCAUAAUUAUGUUUAUACUAGAGUAAUUUUAUGUAAAAUACCCAAACCACUCACACAAAAUAUUUAUGCUAAUUUCUCACAAAUUGACACGACUUCAAUGUAAUUCAUUUUCACAUGUUCGAUAUUCUGUAUUCAUCUUUUUCCUUCCACAGUUCUCUCUUCCUUCCCUUGCCAAUUACGCCACACAUCACCUACUCUUCUCCUCCCAACUUCAUUCCAUUCCCCACUCAAUCCACAUUGGACCCUUUCCACCAUUGGCCUUCUCUUUUUCUCCUAUCUUCAUUUUCCACUGUCAAUACGACUUCUUUCCUCAGUUACCCUCCUUUUCCUCAUGUCUCCUUUUCUGUUGCCUCUAUCUACUCCAAUCGUCACUUUUUCUAGAGCUACCAACCCUUUUACUAUGCAAUUCUUCGUGAAGUCAUAGCUCACAAGGACUUUCUGAGACACUUGUUAUCAUGGAGAAUAGUUGAUGUAAGAAAUUUAUGCAUCAAAAAAUUCAUGAAAAAUUAGGGGGAAAAAGAACUCCAAUACCAAUCGGUGUUUUUAUGGUAACUGUGGAAUGUGACUUUGGAACAUUUUGGAUCUUUGCCAAUUGGUUGACAUGAGAUGAGAUUUGACAAAAAAGAGGGAGUCAUGAAAAAGAGAGACUCCGACAAUUUAUGGUGGUCAUAGUCUAAUUUGUUACCAUUAACUUUUAUAAGGGUACUCUGGACAUUUUCUUGAAAAUAUAGUAAAUCAACUUUCAAAAAGUGCUGCACUGUUAUUUUUUUUUUUAAAAAAAAUUACUAAAAAAAUCCAAUUCAAAUGAACCUUAAUUUUGGAAAUUUUGGUUGUAUGACAUAUCUCCGUUUGGCGGGACCUGACAAAUGCUAAAAUUCAGAUGAAACAAGAGUUGAAUUAAUACAGCCCUUUUCUUAUAUAAUUGUAGAGUAACGUAAGAAGAGGUUUCUUUAAUAGGAGAUGCAAAUGUGCAUUCCAUUCUGUCCAUUUCCUUUCUUCUUCUUUUUUUUUUUGGAUAAUUUGUCCGUUUUUCGGUUAAAAUGAAAAGGGAUUUUCUACCAAAAAAAUCUCUAUAUUUUUCAUGAACAUAUUUUUCAAUUUUCUUUUCAUUUUACAUAUGUCAAAUCGCUACAAUAUAUUUUUUAUAAAAAAAAAAAUCUUCAAAAAGUUGCAAUCCAAACGCAACCUUAGUUAUGAUUCAUUGCUUGAGCGUGUUGGAUACGCUCCCGUGAAGGUUGUGAGCUUUUGUACUGCUGAGACACACAAGAAAGGAUGCAAUACUAGAUUUGACGCCCGUUUUGACACGCUCAGUGGAAAAUCUUAUUCUCACUGCUUUCGUCAACUGGUAUUUUGUUCCAUUUAUUUGUUUCUUUCUUCCGAGUUCUUUUUCGUCAUCAUUUUAUUCUGCGGUAAGAGCGUACACACACAGAGUUGACUUGCGGUUCACUACUGUCAUCAGCUCGACAUUAUGAGCUCGUUUAAAUUUUGCUAAUUUUUUAGACUAUUUGACGUAAAUUAGAUUAAAAAAAAUGAUUGAAAAAUAUUUUAUAACAAAAAAAAUUUUUUUUGUAAAAAAUGAUGAUAAUACAAACAAGAUUUAAUAUAAACGUUUCAAGUGUUGGUUCGCGUCGCGGAUGCUUAAUUUUGCAUUUUUUUAUUCUCUAAUAUUAAGCCAUAAGUUCAUAAAAAAUAAGAAAACUAAUUGCACAAUUUGUUGGAUUAUCAACCAAAGCAGAUCACGUGCAUAGAGAUUAAAAAAGAACAACUUCAAAGAUUUCUUGGCAUGACAGGUAAAUUGUACACAAUAGUAGGUAAACCCCACCAAAUUCAUAUAUUAAACGAAAUUUUAUUUUCUAAUAAUUUUGUUAAUUUUUCAUAGUGAUUAUAAAUAAUUCUACCUUUCUUUUUUAUUAAUAUCAGUCAUGAACUCGUGAUAAGAACUACUAGUUUGCUUAAACAAGGUAAAAGUUUGUUUUUUCUUGUUUGGUAGAUAAAAGAGUUGUUUAGUACAGUAAUCAGAGAGGUAAAGUAUCUCUUACCAAGUAGUUUAACACCUUUAUGCAUGUAUCUGGCUAGUUUUAGUAAUUAUUAUGCAUUUUCAUUUGGUUUUGUUCCGCAAACAUUUUAUUGACCAUGAAUGUGAUGGACAGUAGCGUUUUUCAAUAGUUGGCAUGAGACAACGAGAGAGGGAGAGGGGGUGGGGGGAACCACUGGCCCAUUGGCUCAGUGGCCACCAGAAAGGGACUUCCCUUCUUGGACUGUUAGUGAGGGUUCAAACCUCACCAGCAACAAAAAAAAUCUAAAGGUUGUGUUAUAGUAUUUCCUUGAUUUAAUUUGGUCUGUAUACCCACUAGUCCCUUCCACAGCCUCCUUAGGCUCCCCUCCCCCUAGAUUAGGAUAAAGUAUGUUAUACAAAUGUAUCGUUGCUGAUAAAAAAAAAAAAAAAAAAAAAAAAGAGGGGGGGUGAGGGGGGGGGGUACUUACUAUUAGGAGGAGCAACGGGUGACUGACUUUUGACCAAGGAAAGGAAAUUGAUGGGAGUGAAAGAUACAAAUUUUUUUUUUUCUUUUUCAUUCGGAGAUUAGAUGGUGAGAGAAGGGGUUUGCCUAGCUCCUUGGUUUUCGGCAAGAAGGAAAUUGAUGGGGAGAGCAGAUACCAGAGCUGUGUAAGAAAAUGCACGUUGGGGUUGCGUGUUGUGCGCGAGUUCUCUUGAUGAUACUGCUGAUGAUGAUGAUGAUAGCAACAGAAGCAGCAAGUAUAAAAACUAUAGCCAUGGGAGAGAAGUACAGUAGUAAAUGUUACCAUAAAGAAACAAAGAAAUGAAAGCUAAAUGCUUUCUUCAUCACAGUACUUGAGUGAUGGAGUGAUUGGCGUGCAUGUGGGAGGUGUCACUUUGAAGAUAUAUAGUAAUGGUGGUGGUGGUGGUAGUAGCAGUAGCAGUAGUAAGUUUGUGUGUUUGUAUUGAGGAAGGCAGGGUGAGUCCCUAGGUAGAUAUGAUUCCCCAUCUUUAGUAAGUAGUAACCCCUUUGCUUCCAGCACUACACCACCUCACUCGGCCCCAAAAAGCAAAGUAGAGUGUAGUAGCAUGAGCAAAUUUGUUUGUAUUGUGGCGGUUAAUUUCCAUGCAUGGCUCUUGGCUCUUGCUUUUCAAAUCACAUUUAAUCUCUUCUCUCUUUGGAUAUGGGGUAAAUUUGGGAAGAAAAGAUAUAAUCAGGAGUGUCUAUUGGGCUUUCUGAUUCGAGUUUGGUUCAAUCUAAAUCCUGAUUCAUAAAAGAGGGAAGAAAAAAUUUUCGAGCUUUCGGAGUUCAACCUCGUAUUUGAAGCUCAUACUCCACCAAAAAUAUUAGGGUUUCGAGUCUACUUUAGACUCAGGCUGCAAUUUUGAUAAAACUGAAAUUUAAAAUUUGAAUUCAUUAAAUUAUUGAAUUGUUAAGUAUUAAAUCAAAUAUAUAUGAUAGGUGAAUAGAUUAUCACUUAUUUUUUAGAGAGUAAAUUUUGCUUAGAAAUUUCAAUGUCACUUAAUUCAUUCAGAUGCUCAAUUUUUAAUUAUCAAACAUGUCUGAACAUAUUAAAAUCUGAAUCCAUUAAGUUUAAGUGCUGAAUUGAUUUAUCAAACAAGGCUUUACAAUGAAUGCAUAAUCAUAGAUAAUAUUUACAUUUAUAAUGAAAAAGUAUAUAAUUUUUACAUAACAUUCUAUAUUGUUACGAUUACAAUAUAUGUUAUAAAUUGCGUACAGAAUAGAGUAUGUUUUUACAUGAAAUUGUUGGGACGAAACUUUAGUUGGAUUGAGCCUAAUAAAACUAGGUCUAAUUAUUCCGGGUACAAGUAGGGAUAUAAUUCCGGGACCAGGUCCGUUUUGUCAAACAAAAGAACGGGGUCAGAUACGGAACGUGGUAUUCCGACCCGAACCCAAAUAUAAAUUGAUUAAUAAUUUAAAAUAUAUAUAUAUUUAUUAAUAUAAUAUCCCAAAUUUACUUCUCUAACUAUUAUUUCAAAAAUAUAUAUUUUUUCUGGUAGGCCCAACCCAAAUCUGUGACCUGUCGGAUCCGGUUCUGAAAGAAAUCAUAGAGGAUCUGUCGGGCAUUCGGGUCAAGAUCCGGAACGGGUAUAGUAUAACUGGUCUGGGCCCAGAUUUAUUAAUUCCAGCCCGUUGACAGACCUAAAUAAAACCAAGUACAAUCAAAAUUGAGCAUAGGAUUUUGGCCCAUGUUUUGCAAAGUAACAAUGAGACUAGGUCCCAAUUCUUUGGUCCGAGCUCAGGCCAAUCUGGCCCAACUAAUAGUCCUAUAGAUGAGUACCUAAAGUAGCAAGGGGCGUCGCAGUAAAAUAAAUCCUUAAUUAGUAAGGCUCUUGCAAAUUAACGGAUGAAAUACAUCUUAGUCUAAAUCUUAUUCCUAAAACUGCAAAAUUAAAUGUUUUGGAUAACUAUUUUUUGUCAAUAAAAAAAACUAAUUAAACACCCAUUUAGCAAAAGGCUGUCUCUAUAUUGCCAUUAUUUUAACAAAUUAUGCAGGCUGAAAUCUAGUCUCAUCCCAUUUCAAUUUCACGAAUAGUUUCAAUCAGUGUUUUGAAAAUCUGAUCGAAUCAGUUGGUUUCACUAGUUGAACCACCGAUGAAUCAUGUCAGUUGUGAGAUUCACUAUUAAAUUUAGAAAAUUAAUUGGAGUGGUCAAAGUCGUUCAGGUACCGAUUAAGUGAAUUAAAAAAUUCUUUUUUUUAGUUUUAAUUACAAUUUCUCCAUAAUCUUAGUAGGAUAGAUUUAAAAUCUAAUUAGUAAGCUAUUAAUAGAAAAGAAAAAUUCAAUAGUAACUUCACGUCAUCAUAAUGUUCUUUCAUUCCUUCACAAAUCACAUAUUUAUAUCAUGAAUAAUUUAAUGAUUUAAGAACUUUUAAUGUCAUAAAUAAUAAGGUAAUUUGGAGCACAAUGAAAUUUGCACUGUAAUUAGUGCAUAUACAAAGUCAUCCACAAAACCACAAUAACAAGUAUUUUAACAAAGAAAUCUAACUAUUACAAAUCUAUUAAUCUAAAUGUCAAAAGCAUCGCUUCCAUGUAAGAGAAAUAAACUAGGUUAUGAAAUAGUAGUGUACUUGGAAGUCGCUUGGUCUUUAAUUCCACGGCCAUUAUGUAUGGUAAAUUGGGAAAUAUCCAUCAUGACUUUGAUACAAACUCGCGAAAUUUUAGACAAAAUGCAACAUCAAUCAUUUUUAUGUCAAUAGCCACUGGCCAUUUGGUCCGGUGGUCAUCACUAGGGAUGGCAAUGGGGGCGGGGGGUGGGGCGGGGGUGGGGGGGAAUUUUUUCCCCCCGCUUAGAAACGGGGCGGGGGAGUAUACCCCCGCCCCAUCCCCCGCCCCGCCCCCCGCAAAACAAAAAAAAAUAUAAAAAAAUAUAUAAUUAUAUAUAACAUGUAAGUUAAUUAGUUAUAAACUUAUGAUAAUGAUAUUAUUAGUUAGAUAUAUUAUAUAAUGUAUAUUAGUUUAUGUAAUAUAAUUGAUAUUAUCAAUUAUAUGAAUAAUUCUACAUGUUUACUAAUAGAAUUUAUUAAUUAGUUAUACUAAAUUUACUAAUAUAUUUAUACUAAAUUUCUAAUUACACUUAAUAGAAUAACACUUUUUUCUCAAAAAAAAGCACAAACACAAUAAUGAAUUAGUGAUUGCAUUUGUACUAAAAGUGAAAACUUGACUAUUUUAGUUAUAUUUAUUUUAUCAUAUUGGAUUGUAUUCAAAUAACUUCUGUUUGAUUGUUUUUAUGAGUUUCAAUUGUAAAAUUACAAUGAAUAAUAAUUUGGUGAUGUGUUGAUAUUUUAGUACUUGAUUAUUUAUUAAAAUUUAAUUAUAAUAAAAUUAUAUAAUAAAAUUGUAUUAACCCCGCGGGUGCCCCCGCGGGGGAAACGGGGCGGGGGCGGGGCGGGGCGGGGGGAGCAGGAGGCGGGGGACGGGGCGGGGGACGGGGGGAACUAAUAGGCAACGGGGCGGGGGACGGGGGAAGGGACCCCCGCCCCAACCCCGCCCCGUUGCCAUCCCUAGUCAUCACCAUCUUUGGUGAUGCUGGAGGUCAGGGGUUCAACCCCUGCCUCUCACAAACUUGUCACUUUACGUGACUGAUCUUCUGCCCUCACGGGAUAGUUCGAGCGGUCCGCUCCUCCUCCUUAGGGUAUGACGACCUUCCUGACUUGUCCAGGAUUCGAGUCCCGUUGUUAAUGUGCUCGGUGUGGAGUAGGGCCUCCACUCCCGGAUCGCAAAGGAUUAGUCGAGCCCCGUAUGAAUUGAUCCGGACACCCCUGUGUUGACAAAAAAAAAAAAAAAAUCAUUUUUAUGUCAAGAGGUUUAAAAAAUAAGCAAAGUUUAUUUGGCACCGAAAUUCUUGUAGUACCUCAUCAUAAUAAUGACAUGUCUCUCAUUUGAUUCCUUCAUAAAUAUUUAUGCAAAAAUAAAAAAUAGAGGUGGGUGAGUUUUUCUCUCAUAAAAUUCAUAUAAUAAAAAGAUGGACCAUAGGAUCCUAAAUGCCACUAUUGUCAUUUUGUUCUCUCAUUUCUAUAGUCGCACUCCAGCACUCAUUGGACUGGAGUCUCUAAUAAGUGGAAUGAAAACUCUCGCUCUCGCUCGGCCGCCCGGUUGUCAGUCACUGGCCAAGUAGCUCAACUUCCCCAAGCUUUGCAGCUAAUCCCAUAAAAUCUCUCUCUGCCUUUUGUUGGGCCUUCCCGUCCCCUGGGGGAAGGUUAAAGGAGUUUUAAAUUAAAAAUAAAAAUAUCUGGGCGAUCCUUCAUAAUUUGGCUCGUGCUUUCGCUCUUCCGCGGCUAUUCUACUUUGGCGACUCCCUUGGGAGCAGUUGACUAGUGACUUUGGCGGUGGUCGUUGGGUGAAAUUCAAGACGAGGUCGGAAUAUUUGUUAAUGAACUGCUUUCUCUGCAAUUUCUACGGCUUUCUCAUUUUUUUGGGUAAAAUUCUUAUUGUCACUGUAGAUUUAUUCCUUCUAUCAGGUAUUUGUACAUGCAGAUAUGAAACCUACAAAUUUUGCCAAGGAUUAGGUGUACACUUUCACCCUAAAAUUGAGGGAUUUUUUGCCCAAAAAAUGGUCCUUCGUCUGAUUCACUAAGCCCGUACGAACCCUUUUUUUUUUUUUCAGCCUUCAGAUCUCUGUCAACAAUUUCUGACUCUAAAUUUUACUCUCUCGGCUUCGAUUUGAUGGCUGCUUAGUAAGAGGGAAGUAGAAUCAGUAUUAAAAACCGGAGGAAUAGAAAAGGGCGCUUGAGGUUAGAGGCUUUAUAGGAUAUACAUUUUAUUUCAUUUUCUCAUAGGUGAAAAGAAAAAUAGAGAGGUUUCUUGCCUUUUGGUGUUUUCCUCUAUGGUAAAGAAAAUUUUAAAACAUGUUUGGUUUUUUCCUUUUCGCAUAGCAGACACACGAAUGCUACACAAUUAGUGUUUCUUUUUUUUUUUUUUUUUUUGGUAUUUUCAGCUUUGUUUGGAAAGUGGAAAAUCCUAUCAAGUGGUUUGGUGCCUUUUGUUCCCUUGCAUCCUGGUAAAUAAAUUUCUUGCCAUUAUUUUUUUCUUUAUUUUUUUGCACCACGAAAAUAUAUACUGAUCAGUUUUUUUAAAAAAAAUUUUCAGCUUUGGUCCGAAAAUAGAAAAGGUUUUGCAGUAAAAUUUCUGUUCAUUUCCAGGUUAGUUUACGUUUGAUUUGUAUCAUUAAUUUGCUGAAAUUUUUGUUAAUAUUAUAUGGGCUGAUAGUUUAAAUAUUUUAAUAUUAGAGUUAUGUGCCUAUAUGUUUGGCUAUUUACUCUGAUGAUAAGUUUUUGCUUAUGCUUCUUAAGAAGAUAUAGCUGUGCUUUACUGGUUUUAUGUGGUAUUUUAAGGCAUCGAAAUAUUAAUAAAGUAUUUUUAAAAAAACGUGAUUUUCCCCCCCAAUUUAUGCUUGCCCUUCCGAUUUACCUUCUAUGUACAUUAUCUCAUCUCCCAACUAUGCAAUUCCUUUUUUUUCCUAGAAAAAGGAGAGAAUCAAAGAGGGGAAAACACCAUACAUCUCCCUUCCCCACCCCUAUUUGCCUUCCUAGCUAAAAACAUGAAGAAAAACACACACUUUCGCAUCAAUUUUCAGCCAUUUGAUGAAUUUAUUGUGAGUUUUUCUAGCUUUUUUUUCUUCCCAAAAUUGUGCUCCUAGCAGAAAUGUUUGCUUUUGUUAUUAUUGAUUGUUUUGUAAGUUUAAAAGAAUCAAGAAGAAGCACAGCAAAGUAAACAUCCACUAUUUAAGGUGUGUGAUCAUCUCUUACAAGAGUAGCAUGCUUUGUGUUUGAUGAUUUGAUUCUAAAGGUAGCUUUACCACUACACUGGUUUAGUUUUCUGAGAAUUUACGUGUUCCAUUGUUAUGGAGUAUUAGAUGAUUUGAGAGAUGCUUUUUAGCUUACUGCUUGGUCCUAAACAAAAAUGAUUUUACUUUUGCCUUUGUGUUUGUAUGCUGAAUGAUCCUUUAAUGUCUUGCAAUGGCUCGAACUAUCUUUAAAUUUCAUUGGAAACAAUUCUUUGAUAGACCUAGAAACAUUAAUUUCAUUGAUUGUUUUUUACUUUUACUGCAUUGUCAUGUUAGUGACUAUCAUAAUUAGGACCAAAGAGCAGUUAGAGAGUAUUUCCCCAGCUUCUUGGUUCUAAUUUUCUGCAUGUUUUGGGGCUGAACAAGUAGAAUCUGCACUCAAAUCAUGAUUUGUUUGACAUAAUUUGGUUUCUGCUUAAAUUUUAGUUUUAGGAACUGGUCAUGCACUGAUUAAUUCCUGGCACAGAUAAGCACUUCUGAUUUCCAUAUCUUGGUUCAUUGAAAGCGGAUUGUUUAAUGGACGGAUCCUAACUUGGGGGGACAAAGGCUUUUAACAUACCUCAGUCUUCAAUUAUUUUGCUGCUUCCUUGUUAUAUUAGUUUCUCUGGUUUUGCACAUGGACAUGGGCAUUGCUUUAAUUACCCUACUGCUAUAGUUUGCAUAUGGACAUGGUUUCUCAACAUGAUGACAAUUAAGAUCUUCCACGUUCUAUUAAUUUUAAAAAUGAGAGAUAUAGGGAAUUUUUAAAUAUUUUUUACACAACAAAUUGGGCAUUGGCUGUUCAACACAGCCAGAAAAUUUCUAGUAUUAUAUAUAUAUAUAUAUAUAUAUAUAUAUAUAUGCAUGUACGCACACGCACGCACCACAUACUUGUGCACAGAAUAAGACAUCCCAUGACCAAUUUAUAGCAUCACCUGAUAAAAAGUUAAAUAUUUUUAAAUGUAAAUAAGUCUUUAAAAUUGUAAAUUCAAACAAAUAAAUUCAUUUCAAUUGUACCUACUAGGAAAAAAAUCUUAAAUCCAACACAAACCACAACCAUAUUAUGAAAUUAAACAAAAUGCAUUGAAACAUCUAAAAUUAAACAAAAUCUAAUAGAACUACAAAAGAAAAUGGCGAUCUUUGAGUUUGAAAUGAGAAAUAGAGCGAGUUUGGUUACUCUUUUAGAAAUUAGGAUUGGGAGCAAAAGAUUUGACAAAUAAGUUUUAUGUUUAAAACUUUAGGUUCAUUUAAAAAAAAAAAGAAAAAAUUAGAAAUUGCAAUUCAGAGGUCAAUCCAGGUUGAACGGUCCAAUCAAUUUUUUGCGAUUCUGACUGAUUUUUAUGAUGAGUUAAACACUAGUAGUGAAUCGAACCAAAAACUUGACCUGUUCAUGAUCCAACUAGUCAAAUUGGCCGAUUCAGCCUAAUUUUCAGAACAUUGGUUGUGACACAUAAAAUAUUGACUAUUUAGUUGCAAUAUAAUAUAAUUUAAUAGAAUGAUAAAUUUGAAUAAUAUCAUACGAUGUGUUAUUGAUAGAAUCAUAUCACAACAGUCAAUGUUUUACUGCAAAAUGUGUUAUUUUACAUGUCACAACAGUCAAUGUGAUAUGAUUCUACGUAAAAUUAACUCCCUCGUAAGCUCCACAAAUAGAAAAUGCAGGAGUACUUCCUAUAAUAUAAUUUGGAUCAUUAAUUUAAUUUAUUGAUCAUGGAUUAAUAAAGUAUUAUUUACUUAUUUUUUAUUCUUUUUUUUAGAACGAAUUUUGCAAUGAUAUAGUUCUUAUGCCAUUAUAAAUUCUUAACCAUGACCAUUAUAGUUCUUACACUGUUAAUACUUGAACAACGAAAAAGGACAUGAACAAAAAUAAGUACCCAGCCCAUCGUCAAAACCCACUAACAAUCUUCACCAAAACGACUUUUCUAACAAUCUUCACCGAACAAUUUGAGCCCACUAAGCCCAAAGCCAAUAUCCACUGCAUGCCAACCCAACAGCCUUUGCCAACACAACGCCUUCUCCCCUGGCUUCCCUUCUGUUAUAACCUUAGUUUCCCUCUUCUCAGUCACCCUUCUCUCCUACCUAGUUGCCGUUAUUUCAAGGUUUUUUUGAGGAGACAAGCUUGGGCUAAAGAUUGGUAUGGAGUUUAGUUUCUUAUUAUUUUUGGUGCAUUUUUUCUUAAAUUGUUUUGUCCACUGAAUUCUACUUAUCAGUGCUUUUGGGAUGUUGUUGGAAUUGUCAUUUUUCCUUUCACUGAUAAUUUUUUUUUUCUGGGUAAGAUUCUUUCCACUGAUUUUAGUAAAGUAGAUUUUUUUCCUUGAGAUUUUAUGUUUUUGCCUUUAAAUAUCUGUAAUUGUGUAGUCAGCUGGUUAGCUAGUCAGCUCUAUGAAAUCCAAAAAGAAUGGGCCUUUUUUGAGGUAUCUAUAUUAUAAUAAUUAGAGUUCAUGGUUGCAAAUGGAAAAUCUGAUUUCCGUUUAAGUAGUUGCAAGAAUAGCUGUCCUCAGACUUUUGAUCGCUAAAUCAGGUGUUCGGUAUACUCUUAUAUGCCGACAUUGCCUUUGAUUUUUCUGCAUAUUAAUAUUAGAUAAUUCUUCUCUAUAAUAUGAGAAAAUCAUGUGUUUGAUGCAGUGAAAUAUAAGACAAGAAUGAAUAUGGGGUAAAAAUCUAUUCUUGGGUAGUGAUGGAGUGAAACUCAUAAAACUCUGAGUUUUGCUUUGUUGUAGGAUUGUUUUCAGUACUGGGAGCCUCUUCUCUCAUCUUUUUUGAGUGGAAAUUCUACUAUUUUGCACAUUAUGAUUUUCCCUUUAAUUGAUCUUUUAAGUGGCCACAGCCAUAGAUGCCUUUUGUGGAGUGACCAACUGGGUAGGGUGCAUUUUCUCCUCUUAAACUGCUGUCAGUAGGAGCUGUGAAAUUGAAGGCAGAUAUGAUUUGCACCCAUUCUUGUCUAUGUAGACUCUAGAUAUAAGAACUUAUGCAAAAAUCAAAUGUGAGCUAUGAUCCAAGUGGCAUGAUGUAGGCUAAAUGUUUGAUAAGAUGUAUCUCAUAAGUUUCUUUCUAUGUUGCCACAGAAAUGAUUAUUAGGAAAGCUCUCUGGUUUCCAAGAAAAGACAUGUGAAUUUUGUGAGGCUUCUGGGUAUCACUAAAGUUUUUUUCUGGAAAUAGUUUGUUUUGGAAAUCACUGUAGAUGUACAAAAUGCAGUGCAUGCGUAUUUCCCUGACAUAAUCACAUGAAGAUGUUUAAGAUGUGUAGCUUGUAAGAACUCAUCAUGUUUGUGAUAAGAUUAAACUGGCGGCUUUUAGAGUGUGAAUUAAAUGGGGUUUCAUUAGACGAGCAUCUCUUCUGAAUGGCUAGGUGUUUUCCAAGAGAAUUAAGUAUUUACCAGUCCCCUGCUCAAUCUUAUACAAACAUACAAACAGAGAAAGAGAAAGCAGCAGAGAUUUAUUCAUUUCCUCUUUUUUCUGUCUCAGAUGGGUUGCCCCGGGGCUGGGGGGAAUUGGUGGAUUGUAUGAUCAAGUGCAACUGGGAGGUGCCUUUUGAAUGCAAUUCUUCAGUGUUUUUCCAACAGGGGCUAGUCUUCACUGCAAAGUGAAGUGUUUUUUUUUUCUUUUUAAGUAAGCUUUUCAAUGGAUAGGCCUGAACCUGAAACUGGCAAUCAAGGAUGCGUAAAAUAAUGUUAGAUUUAGGUUUUGAACUGGAGAUUGACCCAACUCAGUUGGUUUUACAUCAAUGGUUGAGUUAUCUGAAUGGGUAUCGGUGUGUCAAGUCUGACGUCUGGAUAUAAAUGAAAGACUGUGUUAUCCACGUCUCAUCCUUUUGCAAACUCAGACAGUAUACUUCAACUCUCUGGAUAAAGACUUUUAUCUCAUCCAGUAUUUGCACUUUAUGCUUCCCUUUCGCAUACCUGUUAUUUUUGUCCAAGUCGUUUAGCUCUUGCAAAUACACAGUUAUCACAAGUACCACUCUCUCCUAAUUGGAUAUGGGUGUUUUGUGUUAUAUGAUGACAUAUGUGCUUGAUCUUUUGUAAGUUAGAUGUCAGGAAAACAAAAAUGAACAAGUUGCACUGGCUUUUAAUAAAAUGUUGUAGAUUGAUUUUUUUUUUUUUUUAUUUAUUAUUACACAUGUUUCAUGAAGUCGUUUUUCUUUGGUGAUGCAGAAAAUGGUUAUCCCUCCUGCAGUUCGGCCAGAAAGAGUUACCAAUUUUCUCAAGCCUUAUGUCCUGAAGAUGCACUUCACGAAUAAGUUUGUGUCUGCUCAAGUAAUCCACACACCAACAGCAACUGUAGCAUCCUCUGCCAGCUCACAAGAGCAGGCACUGCGGUUAAGCAUGGAAAAAGCCAGAGAAAGUACAAGGGACGUUGCAGCUGCUGGCAAAAUAGGCAAGAUAUUGGGCGAGCGACUGCUUCUCAAGGGUAUUCCGGCUGUUUCAAUUUUCUUGAAGAGAGAACAGAAGUAUCAUGGCAAAGUUAAAGCAGUAAUUGAUUCCGUGAGGGAAGCAGGUGUCAAAUUAGUUUAAAUUUAAGAAUCAGCUCCAUUCAAGAGUGGCAAAUGCAUGCCCCGCAUGCAUUUUUCUGAAUCCCUCUUUCUUUAACUAGAGGGUCUUUGCUAUUGUGACGAGGAUUAGAAGAAUCAGGGUUAUAUUAUUAUUUUUUUACGUGGCUAAAUCUAUUUCUUGAUAAUCCAUAGUCUGUCUGUGUUUGGGAAAUGAAUGGACCUGCUAAACUUGACAUUUGAGAUAAGAAUUAUUGCAAGUACGGAUAGGUUCUGUCUGAAUUAGCCUACAAGGAGAAUGGCGUACUCAAGGAUAACGAAGUAGUCGUUUUCGUAGCCGGUGUGGAGCAAAGGGGGCAGUUGAGGCGUAGUUCUUUGAAUGCAUGAGCUGUGAAUACUGUCCAGAUGAGCAAGGGAGGUCCCCAUAUUCUGCUGUGCUCUUUUAUCUUUGGCUUAACGUAUCAAAGUUCUUAUAAAGCAAAGCUCAGCAGCAUGGACCAAAGCAACUUGCUGUAGUGCAAGCAGGGACCCGCGGGCUGUCUGGUUCGCAUCAUGCCAUGGUUCUUGAAGUGUCCUAGACGGGAACAAAAGACGUUAUUGAGGAGAGCUGGUGGCUGUAGAUUAAUGGGAACUUUUUUGGUUUUCUUUUUAGUAUUAUGUUUUUGGGCAUUUGGGGUUUGAAUUAUGGUAAAUUUUUUGGCGUUGAAAUUCUUAGUCAUAGUACUACUACUGUCAUCUUAAAUUCAGGAAUGGUUGGUUCAUCGAGCCAUUUUUCGCCCAAACUCUAUAACUAAGAAUAAGUAGUAAUAAUAAUAAUAAUAAGGGUACUUUUCAAAAGGGGUUAAUUUAUGAGUAAAUCUUAUAUGCACUGACAUUGUAUGCACUAUCACGAUUGGAUGCGUAUAUAUAUAUAUAUAUAUAUAUAUAUAUAUAUAUAUAUAUAUAUAUAUAUAUAUAUAUAUAUAUGCAAAUUUAGGAUUUCAUAUUCAAAUUUGAAUCAUGUGUCAUGUAUUUAAUGGUGAAAGCGCGUACGCUGUCAGACAGUGUAUAGAAGAUUAAUUCAUGAUUUAUUUACACCAACGAAAAUCAAAUUUGUUAUUCCGUAUCACUGUGACACGGGUCGCGAAGUGUACAUUUUGGCCCCCACAGUUUGGGAAUACAGAUAAAAUUUACUUUGAUUCAAAAAAUUAUGAACCAUCAAUAGCAUGAUAAGAAAGGGAUUCAACAUUAAAGGUGUCAACAUUUUGAAGCAAUAAUUGAUUUGGAGUGACAAAGAACAUAAAGAGGCCUAACCAGAGAGGUUAAUCAGCCCCAUCACUAUCUGCCUUGGAUCUUCAUAUCCUUCUUUGCUAGACAAAAGUCCGGUCCUGGAAAAAAAUAUUUGGCCAUACCUCUGCUUCUUUUCUUUUUGGGUGUAUUGCUCCAUAUUUUGUGGUCACAAUAAUGAAGAAGAUGAGGUAUGAUUAGGUACAGUUUCCAUAAAAGAAAUUAUCUUCACCAAUCAUCAUUGACGAACUUUAAGAGAGUGACAAAAGGGAAACAUUUUUUUUUUUUUUUUUUUUGUAUCUGGAAUUCCACCUGAGGAAAAAGUUAUCAAUUUGGUUUUUUUUUCCCCUUAAUUUUUUAAAUAAUAAAACUAGUGUAUUGAUUAUCAACCCUGUUGCUGAACGUUACUUCCAUUGAUUAUUUGGCAAAGCCUGACUUUUGUGAUCCAUUCGAAACAAGUUGCAGACCACUGCACCUAAUAUUGAUUGUGUGAAAGUGAUUAGUGGGCCUAUUAUGUCUGUUCAAUCUUCCAAAUCUGCAAUAAUUUAGCCAAGAAUCUUCGAUGGCUCGUCAUGCAUUACACGCGCUGAGGUGGCUAUGGAAUCGGACUCAUAGGGUCAACUCGGUCUGCAACUCGAGAAAUAGACUGCUCGACUAUAGAAUUAAUAAUAAAGAAAGAAUCCAGGAUUUCCUAGAAAAAUUUCGCCACCGAAUGCGUAAGCAUCCGUCUAAACAGAUUAUGUUUCAUUUUUCUCCGGAUUAUGUUUCAUCCAGGAUUAUGUUUCAUUUUUCUCCGGAUUUUUCCCUCGACCCUUUUGUGUCAAUUCCUUCUUUUAGUAUAGAGUAGGAGCAGUGGUAGAAUAUAAUCUAUCGUAUCCGAUUAAAACACAAAAAAAAAAGACUAUUGAAUUAAAAUUUUUGACCCAAAAGAAAAAAGAUAAGAUAAGACUAUAGGAUUCAAGCCGCCACCUCUAACUCAGUGGCAACCGCAGAGCUCUAACUCGGUGACCACCACUUCUUUUGAUGGGAUGGGAGGUCAGGGGUUCAAUCCUUACCUCCUUUUCCGCAUAGGUUAAAAUAGAUUAGGUUAUAAGAUUUCUACCGUUAUGAAAAAAAAAAAUAUAGAAUUAAAGCCUAAUUAGGACCAAGAAAACAGACUGUUAACUCUACAUUUUUUUUUAUAAGGUGCCUGGUUACACUUAAUCCGCGACAAGAUGAUAUGGCAAUUAGCACAACUAGGUCAUGGAUGGCCUCGCACUGCCUCCAGAUUGAGAGUCGUGGAAAUCCUUCACAAGUUACUGCUAAUAUUCAUAUUCUAUCUUUGAUAGUGACCAUAUAUCAUUAAAAGUUGUAUAAAGGAUAAUUCUAGAAAUCUCUCCUAAGGUUUUUAGUAAUUUUACUUGGCUCCUUUGAGGUUUUAAAAAUUAUGCAUGCCUCUCUUAUCUAUUUAAAAUGACAGUAGUAGCUUUUACAUUCUAAUAAAACUCCCUUGUUUGUCAUGCUUAUAUAAGAGAUGGGGUUUUAUUAAUUUUUUUUCUUUUGUCUUCUUAUUCAUUUCUCUUCAUCAGAAAAUCUAAUGAACUAUUAAUAUUGUCUGUAAUCUCUAUCAUGAUCAAAUGUCAAACUAGUAAAUUUUUUUUAUAACUUUAAUAAUGUUUGGAUAGCAAAUUUAUUUCAAAUAAUAUUUCGCUUAUAUCAUAAACACAUUUUCCAACCCACAUUUUUAUAUUUCUAACUACCUUUUUAUUAUAUAUAUACCUCGUAUCAUAAAAAGUGCUGCAGUAAUUAUUUCAAAUAAUAAUUUGUCCAAACAUAAUAUCAUCAUUUAAUUAUGGUAAUUCCACCACUGAAUUAGUCCACAAACUUUGAGAAAAAAAAAAUCAAAAUAACGCUUUCUUUUCUAUCUUAAAAAGAAUCUAUGUCCCCAAUAAAGCACUAUGAAAAGUAACCUAUUAUAGUGAUAUAUUUAUUGUUGAUUAUCAAAUAAAAAAUAUUGACGUAAAAAAAACUAACACUUAUUCCAUUUAUAAUUGUGUCAAAUUACUUUACAAUUGUUUAAAAGAAUAAAUUACACUUUAUAAGAUAAGGGCAUUUUAGAGUAUUCAUUAAAAUUUUGACCCUAUUUUAAGGUUAGAUUAUCAAAAGUAUUAAAUCAAGGAAGGCACGUAAAAUAAUUUUUAAAACCUUGAAGAGUUAAGUAAAUAAGUUAGAAACUUUAGGGGAGGUUUCUAAAAUUAUCCCUUAGUAUAAAUUUCAAGAUUUCUUUUACACUUUUCAUCCAUGAAAGUAGCGUUUGUUCAGUUCGAGGACAAAUAGGCUUUGUAGUUUAAAGUGAAAUUAUCUGUUUGGAUUGUGAAUUAUUAGAGAUAUUUUUACUGUAGUAUUUUUUGUGAUGUGAUGUAUGUGAGAUAAAAAGAUAAUUGGGAAGGUAAAAAGGUGUAUUGAAAAUUGUAAUGAUGAUGUAAGCAAAUAAAUUUUGAGAAAUAAAGUCCAAUCCAAACAAUAUAAUCACACGUUGAGAAACAAACAAAAAAAUGAGAUAAGAACAUAUUAACAAUUCGAUUUUAUUUAAUUCCGUGGACAAAACGAACUAGUAGCGUUGCUUGUAGCCUUCGGCCCUCUGUUGACAAUUUGGUCCGGAUCCGGACUGCCGCCGCCAUUAUUUCCCUUUCGAUUUGAUCUUGUUCGUUAAUCUUUCCUACACUGAUAAUAAAUAUAUUUAAAUAAUAUUAAUAAUAAAUAUAUUUAAAUAAUUAAAUAAUGAUCAAAAUUUAUUUACUUACGUCACUUUUAAAGGCUCAGAAAUCAACUUAACAAAGUAACAGUUCAAAAUGUAUUAUUUUAGAUAACAUUACGUAAAUUUUACACAAUUAACAUGUAGUACUUCAAUAUGGAAAAUAAAAUUCUGUUACAAAUUAAUAAAAUUUUUUCUAACAAAGGGAGGGAUGGCAUUUAAAAAGCCGGUAGGAGGCAGAAGGAUUAGAAUACAUAUUUUUAGUUCUUAUGUUUUAACCUUAACUACUAAAUCGAUAAAUUAUGGAUCUGCGUGGAUUUAUUUUUUUUUUUCAAAAACUAUUUUUGUAUUUGGAAUCUAUAGUAACAAUUCUAAAAAUAAAUUCCAAAAAUAACUCAAAAAAACACACAUAAUCUCAAAUACAACUUAUAAAAAUAAUAAAAACAUAAAAUAAUAAUAAUAAAAACGAAUCCUACCACAUUUUUUUCUUUUUCUACUCACCACUACCACUUACUAUACACAUCACCACCCACCACCGUCGCCACCCCAAAUCUCUUUCCUUAUCCUCUACCCUCAUCCUCCUCUCUUCUCCACCCUUUCCUCCACUUUUUCUGUGGCUUUUGGUUGCGACUAGAUCCUUUCGAUCGUAGUAGCCAGAAACCAUGAAACGGUCGCGGCUUCUACUUGCUAUCGAAGAGAGGAAGGAAAGGAGAACGGGAGCGGUGGUAGUGGUGGUGGUGAUGUUUAAUUUUUAAAAAAUACUUUUAAAGAAUUUUAAAUUCUAAAAGUACUUCAAAAUACAUCACAAAAAUACUUCAAAAAUUCCAUAAAAAACACCUAAUUAUUUACAAUAAAAAUUACAUAUAUAUAGUUACAGUAAAAUUUUCUAAAAACAUCUGAUCCAUAUAAUUUACUAGAAAAGUUGUUCUUUGUUGUUUAUAUACACAAUUCAGAACUGGUUAAAAUAGCUGUAGUGCCGUACCCCAUUCAUGAUGAAGGACGGUCAACAAUUGGCAUUGGCCAACCUUUCUGUCCCAAAUUCUUAUCUCAAAUUCAUAAAGGACUGUCAAUAGUUCAAUUACCUGUAAAGGACUUCAUUGACUGACAAGCUCCAACUCAAAGCAAACUAGAAAAGAAUCUAUUCAUACGUCAUAUAUGUUUGCAUUCCGUUAGGGUUAGGGCCACAAACGAGCCGAGUCGAGUCGAGUUUUGAGUUAAUCGAACCGAGUCUCGACUAAAUUUUACCAAAUUCGAACUCGACGAGCCGGCAAAUUUCGAGCUCGAGCUCGAAAAAAAAUAAAAAAUAAAUAUUUUUAUUUAAAAAAAUAAAUAAAAUAAUAUUUUUUUCUUAAUAAAUAAUAAAAUAUUAAGGACAUAUACGUAAUUUUACUAUGAAAAUAAAAAAUAAAAUAUAUAUAUAUAUAAUAUACGUAAUUUUAUUAUUAAAUAAAAAUAAAAAUAAAAAAAUAUAUAUAUAUACCCAAACUCGCGAGCCGGUUCGCGAGCUAACGAGCUUAAUAUUCUGAGUUCGAGCUCGAGCUCGAGUUUGACUCGAGCCGGCUCGAGCUCGACUCGAGUUCGAUUAACAUCGAGCUCGACUCGAGCUUGACUCGGAUCGCUCGCGAGCGGUUCGAUUCGUUUGCAGCCCUAGUUAGGGUGAUGCUUUGUUGGGGCAUUGUUUUUUUUUUUUGUAGAGUUUCUUGCGUUUCUGUCGCGCUAUCAAUCGAACGUGGAACACAACUGUUAAUCGAUAUUGUUAAUUGUGGAACAAACCAAAAGACAAUUAAUUUGUUUAGGAAACAGAUAAUGAUUGAUCCUUGAAAUAUUUAGCUGAGGUUGUUGAAAUGCUUGUUUGGAUUGCAGUUUUUUAUCGGAAAAAUUACGUUAUUUUUCGUGAUCAUAUUUCUCUAUUAUCUUUUUUCCUUACAUAAAUCAAAUCGUUACAAUAAUUUUUUAUAAAAAAUUAUGAAAAAUGCAAUACAAACAAAAAGCAACCCAAGUUGAGGACCAGGGAAGAGAAAUUAAAUUGAAUGUUUGAACUUAUACUGGUAUGGAAGUUUGGAAGAUAAAUAAGAGAUUUUAAAUUUGAAACUUCUCAUUUAUACUAAAAAAAAGUUAAAAAUACCAAAAAAAAGAAAGAGUGUUGGAACUUGUACAUGUUAGUACUUAAUAAAUGAUAUGGAUAUCAAAAUCUCACAAGGUUUUUUUUUUUUUUAAUAUUAAAAGCCAAGUAUAGUGCUUUGCAAAAUUAAAUAGUAGCAUGGAUUCAACGGUAAUUUAGAAUUUUAGCGCUUCAUUUCUCCCUUCAGCGUCAUGCUUCUAGAACAUUUCCAAGAAAAGACUAGAAAACGUAUUAAUGAUUUCUCAUUGAUGCUACCGCAGCACGAGAGCAAAUCCUCUGUCUAAUAUUUUGUGUUUAAUUUUCUGUUCAAUGUGAAACUACGUAGUUUUACUUAUUAUAUCUGUUGAGAAAAACAUGCCUUGUGCUCUUCGUAACAUGCAUUGAACCACAAAUUCGAAUCAUACUUGAGGAUUUAAAAUAAUUGAUUCUUUUUUAUUUUUCUUUCAAUUUAUCUAAUUUUUAAUAUUCAUUUUUAAGAUUUAAAAUAAUUAUUGAUUCAAAACUAUUUAUGGAAACAAAGAUAUGAUUUUUAUAAAAUAAUAAGCAAAAACUUUUUUUAAUUUUUUUGGAUUACUUCAAGGUUAAUAAAUAAAAAUAUGUUCUUUUUUUAAUGCAAUACAGCCUCAAAAAGGGCAUUUUUGAUAUUAAGGGAAUUUUUGUUAAAUGUUUGAUCAUUCAAAGGGUGAGACCGUUAUUUGAAUAAAUUACAGGGAUUGAUUGGUAAUAUGGUCAAAUCUCAGGGGAGGUAAAUGUAAUUAACCCAAUAAUCUACUGUCCAAACACAAUAUUGUUUGGAUCAUGUGUUAUUUCACUUUAUUUACACCUUAUUUACACACAUUAAUUUAUUUAUAUUAUCAAUAUAUUUUUUAAUCAUAUUUUUAUCUCACAUACAUCGCAUAAAAAAAGUGUUAUAUUACUUUUUCAUAAAAUUAUAUCAAACACACUUCGUACCAUAAAAAUUAUCUCAAACACACUUCGAUCCAUUUCGCCAUUUCCAAUGAAUCCGAGGGGCCCCCACUAGGGAUAAAGCAAAGGGCACUCUCGACCUUUCACAUCAGAACGAAAACGACGCAUCACGUGACAUGCCCUUUCUCCCAUUAAUCGCCCUCCACGUGGCGAUCCACAAAAAAUCUAGACCCUCAACGAUCUUAUCUCCUCUAUCGUGCUUAUCGAUCCACCCUCCACGUCACGUCAGAUCCACCCAGCCCAGAUCAACGGCCACGAUUGAAUCUGAACUCUCCCCAUAGGACUCUGCUCCAACUUUAACGCGUUUUCGGCUAAUAAAUAGCCGUUGAGCUGAGCUGAGCUGAGGACCAUUUCCUCUUCUAAGCUCUCUUCGUGAAAUAAUUUCCGAGUGGGUGAAGGGUUGAGGGAAUAGUUCCGUUCCGUUCCGUUCCGUUAGCGUGCGGGGAGUCUGCUAAAGUGCGCCAUGAGUUUACUGGAGAAGCUCUGGGAUGAUACAGUUGCCGGCCCCCGGCCCGAUAGCGGGCUCGGGAAACUCAGAAAACAUCCUACCUUUAACCUCCGACCGAACGCCGGGAAGGGUACGCCUUCCUUGCUAUCUUACGACGUUUGUUAAAUUAUAACAGAACUGAAAUCCACAAUAUCUGGAAAUUUUGAUUCAUAUCUGUAAAGAUGCUGGUAAAGCUUUACUAUGUAUCUGGAAAUUUUGAUUCAUAUCUGUAAAGAUGCUGGUACAAAUUUUGUGUAUAAGAGAUUGAAGUAUGUAAUAUAUAUGGGCGCCUGGAAAAUGGGUUUACUGAAGAAGGGCUGGUUAGUUAAGCACAAGAUUCUGACAAUAUGAUGAUAAGAUUUUAGCAGAGUCCUAGGUUGAUAGGAGAAAAGUACCUUGAUAAGUUGACUUUUGGACAAGAUCAUUUUGGGGACUAUCCUUUUUUUUUUUGGGUUGGGAUGUACCGUAAUAGAUCAAGUUGGGAUGUACGUAAUAGAUCAAGUUGAAUACGGAUGCCUUGAGAAUAUUAAUGCAUGAAGCUGCAGUUUUAUUGUUUAGUUUCUUUGGGUUUUGUUCUGUAACAUCAGAUUGGAUUGUUUGUACGGUUGAGUGUUGAUGUCAAUUUCUCCUCCUCCUUUUUGUUUUUGGUUUACAGAAUCCGUAGUUGGAAGCCCGAGAUCAUACAGUAACGGAGCAGGAGGAGCGGCGGCGGAGGAUGCAGUGAGGGUGACAAGAAGUAUCAUGAUAGUAAGGCCGCCUCCAGUUGACUUUAAAGACUCGCCGCCGGCAUCGCCAGCCGGGUCAACACCUGGCUCUACAACACCUGGCUCUACACCUCCGGUAUCUCCCUUCGCCGGUAAGGUUGCAAUAGUCAUCACUCUCUUAUGACUAGUCAUCAGUAGAGUACUGUUUUUCUGCUUUUGGUCGUGACCAAAUGUCCAUUUUGUCCUUGAUAACCGGCCUCCAAGAAGUAGGGAGGUAGCUUUUUUUACUGGGUCAAAACCCUACUCCAAAUAGUAGUAUAUCAAAGUUUGACAGAAAAAAUAGAUCAAAGGCUUUGUAUUAUACCCGUGCGGUACACUUUUUUAGUACUGCAUGUAAGUUAGUGAAUAGAUGAUACACUUUCUUAUCGAUGUGCAUAUUUUUUAAAAAUACUUAAAAAAAUACUGAAAAUAUAGACCGAAAAUAUCUAUAAUUUUCGAUUAAAAAACCUAUUUGGAAUCAUAAUUGGCUUGAAAUUAUGGGGAGAAGUCUGUAGAGGGGCCUUAGUCUAGAUCUAGAACAAUCUGUUAAGAGGACAUAUUGGUAAAUCCACAAACGGGGGUUCAUUUGUAUGGUAUAGUAGAAAACUAGUGAUAAGUUUUUGUUAAUUGAAGGGGUUAUUGUCAAUUAUGGCGACAAAUUUUGCCAUAUUAUGUGUAGUUCUAUGGAUGAGUGAUAUAUCACGUCAUGUGUAUUUACAUUAAAUAAAAAUGGUAACAAAAAUUUGUCAUUAAGGGGUUGUGGUGGAUGGAUCUUUUGAGCGGAUAAUGCAAGGCGGCCAGAAAAGUUAGGUGGAAAUGUGGAAAAUGGUGGAUCAGAGGGUGCAAUUAUUUACUGGUUGUCUUCUUAUACACUAAUAAUCCGUUUUAAGGUGGCAUCCACGGAGAUGUUUAGUAAAUUAUUUGGUAUUACAACCAAAUCUUUCCUUUUCGACGUCACAAGUCACACCCACCUUGCAACUUGCACGGGGAUUAAUUGGCUGAAAUUGACUUCGGCUCCUCCUAUGGGACAUGUUUGUGGUUGUAUCACAAGUUGUAUGGUGGACGUGCGUCCUUACUCUUUUUGCUGGAUGGAAGAUCCAGGGCUUGUACCUUAAGAAGGGUAAGAGGGCUAAUGAAUACAAGGUGCAGGAGUUUCAGUUGAAUUCCGUUUCUGAUGACUAACCAAACAAACAUAGCCGAAGGGACAUGAUAUCUAGGUGGUAGUAAGACUUAAUUCUCUGUAAGGAGCUCGACAGUGGUAAAGAGCAGGUGCUCUAAUGAAGUCUGUGCUGUGUUUCAGUCUAAAUAUGUACCUCCUGCUCGAGUAAGAUUGAAUGGGCUGCGAUAUGCUGUUGUGCAAGACUUUGUAAUACAAAAUCUUGAAUGUGCUGCGAUAUGCUGUUGCCCAUCAUGAUGGUUGUGUGCAGCAAUUGAAAUGGAAGCUUGAUUAAUUUGGCAUAUGGAACCGACGAAAAGUUAGGUCUUAGGUCAUAGGAAGUGGAAGUGUUGUUAUGCAUGUGAUCAUGUGCAUGACAUGGUCCAUGCUCUCAGCCUGUGGUGGGAAAGAAUCCGAGUAGGGUGGAAUAAAGGGAAAUAUGGUUGGAUGUGGUAGGUGAUGGGACUGCUUAUUAAUGAACAAAUUGAAUUGUAAAUGGCAUGGAUGGUCUCAAAGCAAUGUGAUGAUGUAGUGUUUCUUUUUCUUCCUUGAUCAAUAGCAAUUGUAUCAUGACAUGGGGCUUCUUUUUGCAGCUUGCUUGGUGCAAUGUCUCUGUCCCCCUCUUUAUACUCCUUGAUGCUGUACUGUACUCCAGCCUAUUGACUGCUACAGUUUUAUUUCUUGUGCAAGCUUUCCUGCAUUUAUUGCAUUACUUGGAUGAAGAAUGUUGACAGCAAAAAGAUUUUCUCGAUGCAUAAUGUGUAGGUGCUGGAGGAAGAGAGGCGUUUCGGUUUCGCAGGAAGUCUGCAUCAUUCGCAUAUGAGAAAUCCAGCAGUGUUGGACCCAGGAGCCCUCCUCCUCCUUACGACCUGUGAGAUAUGAUGAGGCUUGGCAUUUUCCAUGUUGAGCGGCGGCUAAAGUAGUCGGAUUUUCGUCUUCUUCUCAGCUUUGUCAUGGGGAAAUCUUUUAGAUGAAUAGCACUGAGUGUGAAAAAGUUUGGUGGCGUGCAAUCAAAAAAUUAAUCUUGUAAAUAUGGGUUAUGGUAGUGUCUGCUGUCUCGGUCGCGGUGUAUGGAGGGCUGGUCAUGCAGACUUUUGUAAAAGCUCAGUUUGAAGUUUGUAAUGUGUCCUGGUCUCUGUAUGCAGAGCUCAGAGUGGUUUGGUUUCUCCCAAAACUGCUAAGUUUCUUC
rnacentral:lncRNA from 1 species